GUCUUGUGAUGGUCUAGAAUUGUUUCCCAAUGGAGGCUUGCCCACACCAAAUUUAAAACGACUGUGGAUAAGAGAGUGUCAACAUCUCAAGUCCUUACCUGAUCGGAUGGAUCUACUUUCGUCCCUUUCGUCACUGUGGAUAAGUAAGUGUCAACAUCUCAAGUCCUUACCUGAUCGGAUGGAUCUACUUUCGUCCCUGGAUGUAUCUUCUUGUGCUUCAUUAAUGGAACUCUUUCCCCAAGAGAAUAUUCCUCCAAAUCUGUCUAGCCUUCAAAUCAGAAAUUGCGGAAAACUAAAGCCCCCGGGGGAGUGGGGCCUACACAAACUCACCUCUCUUAAUCACUUUACAUUUGGUGGAUGUCCUGAGCUGGUUUCCUUCACUAACAAUGCUGACGAAGAACACUGUGUGCUUCCUCCAUCUCUAACAAUUUUGUCGUUGGAUGACCUGCCGAAUCUCGAAACACUAUCAAAGGGCUUCCAAAGCCUCACCAUUCUUCAAGAGUUAAACAUCUAUCGUUGCCCAAAGCUUGAGGCGUUGCCUAUGGGAGAUUACCUUGAAAAGCUUUUGAGCCUUCACAUUCGAGGUUGCCCACUUCUUGAGAAACGGUGUUUGAAGAACAAAGGAGACUACUGGCCCAUCAUUGCUGACAUUCCAGACGUCCAAAUUGAUUCUCGAUCCAUCUAUUAUCCAUGUCCAUGAAUUCAAUUCCACGAGGUAACAUAUUUAAUUUGAUACCUAUGAAUCCAACAUCAUUUCAUGCAAAAUACUUUUCGACAUUUCUGUUAAUUUUGUUUUCAAAUCAGAAUGUGAAUUUUCUGCAGCAAAUAGUGGAUCUCCCUUUCUGCAAUAGCUAUUCAAGUGUUCAUGCCACUCUGUAUCUUAUAUUUGUGCUUCUGCUCUGCAGCAUAAAUCAAUAUCAGAGCCGAUGUACCAACAAUCAAGUAAUUGAUUGGCUAUGGCGCUAAAAUUAGCCUCUUUUUGUACUAACAGUAAAAUUCUAUCAAAUAGAUAAAAUCGGAGUGAUAAUUGUUAGUCGAAUGUGGUUAAAUUAUUAAUAUUUUGCUUCGAUCUGCUUUAGCAAACUGGAAAUGCAUUGAUUUGACUUACUGCAUGUUUAUGCAUUUUUAGGUUUUUAUGUGGCAUGCGUUUUCAAACUUUUCUUGUAGAUUGGAGGUUCCUACGCCAUUUGAAUGGAACUAAUAAAAAUGACAUCGUUUUGGUGUAGGCAUUUUCUGAUUACUUGUAAGAACACAAGAUGGAAUGAAUGUGUCUCUUCAUUAGACCUUCAAGUAAGUUUUUUGUUCGAUUCUUUUGCGUUUUAAGUGUUUGUAUAAAUUCCUCAGUGAAAUUAUAUGGCAGGAUUUGUGACUGAAGCUAUGUUCAGGAGUAAACAUUUUCUUGCUUUUUUAUUAUUAUUAUUAUUAUUAUUAUUAUUAUUAUUAUUUAUUUUUUUAUUUUUUUCAUGAUUUUAGUAAUGUUUUCUGAUUAAUUCUUUGAUUGAACUUUUCCUUUUGGGGGUUGCCUUCUAUAAAGGUCAAGAAAUCUGUUUAGUCUCUGAAAAUUUUCUUGACUGGCCGACAAUCCUUUCUCGUGUGAUUUUGGUGUGGUUUAAGGUAUGAGGUACCAUGUUUUACGAUUGCUAUUUUAUAAAUUUUCUUUUUCAUUUUUAUUCAAUUUCGUUUUAAUUUGGGGUCUAUUUUGACGUUCUUUGUUAUGUCCAGGGUUUUGGGAUGAUUUAAAGUUACAGGAUUACAUUCAUCCGUAUGAAUUGGAUGUUUUAAUCCAAUCUGAAGAUUUGAAUCAUUGCUUCACAAUUUCAUGCAAUUAAAUUAAGAAACCGAUUAAUUUUUUAUGUGAACGCUUUUUAAUCGAAAACUUUAUUUCAAUUUGGAAAGUUCAAUCAUUUUAAGUUUGCAGUUAUACAUCUUCUUGGUAUGCAUUUUUUUAAUGUUAUUAAUUCAUUCUAAUUCUUAUGGAUUCUAUUCCUUUGUAUGGGACUUCUUCACUGGUUAUAAAUUUUGGCUUCUUUGAAUUUUCACUUUCGUAUUUAUUAAUUUUUUUUUGGUAAAUAUUUUAAAAAAUUAUUGAUAAUAUUGAAUUAUCCUAGACCUUCUAUAACAUAAUAAAUUGAUGUACUAAUUUGUUAAAUUCAAUUAUUCAGUAUUCUGUUUCUUAAUUUAGUUGAUCAAGUAGGUUUUUUUUUUUUUUUUUAAUCCUAAUCUGGAAUAUAUGUGCCCAGAAUGUUGCUGUGAGCAUAUUGCCUGUCAAGAAGAAUCAUUUGAGUCGAGGACGAUAAGAUGUUACAUUUUUUAGCUAUGCUGUUUUUCAGCUCACUCCAACUUGAACUCGGUACAACUUUAAUUUUUUGAAUUAAUUCAGUUUCCUUCAGCUGAUGAAUUAUUGCAGUAUCUGUGUGAGUUUGUGUGGUUAUUUCAUAUUUGCCUGUGAUUUUGUAUUAAUCAUUUGAGUUGAAAUCCUGACUCGGGUUUAUAAUCAUUGUGGACCCAAAUUGCUGAUUAUAAGAUGUGUUUUUAUAGUAAACUAAUUGCUGAUGUCAAAAUUCUUUUCAUUAGUUUUGGGUUGAUUAGUUAAUAAGUUCUUCUGUCUUUUACUGUUUGGGGAUUUCAGCAUGUGUUUCAUUAAUUGGUUCUAUUCUUUUUUUAUAUGGUAUGUACUGACUUCAAUUUGGCAAUUUCUUGGGGAUAUCUUUUUUGUCAAAUUGUAUUUUCACAGAGUUCAACUGUAAAAAUGUGAAAUAUGUCCAAUUAUUUGAAUUUUUGUUGAUAUUUUGAAAUUGAUAUUAUGUAUUGAUGAGCCAUCAAGUUAAAUUUAAAACGAAUUCCAUGUUGCAAAUGCUAUUUGGAAGUUGAAUUUGCUCUGCUGGGUUGCAAAGUAUACUUGAAUUUAUUUUAUCAAAAGAUGAAUAUUUAUCAUCUCUUAGUUUCCCCUUCUUUGUCAUAUAUCUUUACGGAAUUCUUGUAGAAGUAUUUAGAUGAUAAUUGGAUUGUGUUGAUAAUGUAGUUGGAAGAUCAUACGAGGAAUUUCAGGAAAAUAGGUUUUGUUGCUUGAGUCCAUUUUAUUUAAGGUGUCCGGAAAAAAAAAGGUUGUGUGAGUGUGGAAAGUAUAUCAUCCUUGCGCGUUUGGAUCUGUUAUUCAUAUUGAUAGAUGGCAUUCCGUGUGUGGAAGCAGAUUUCACUUAAAACAUAUAUUCACCUUGUGUUGUUAGGUAACUAGUGUAGCUUUUCACAUCUGCUUUCGUAAUGGUUUAUUGUUGUACAUUUUAUAGGCUAAUGUUGCUAGAAGAAAAUCGAAUUUCUUUCCGCUCAAACGAUGGAAUGAUGAUUGAUGGCGUUAAAGAUUACUCUCACCUGGUUGCUGAAAUGAUAGGAUUGUCGUAAGUUUUAACUUGCUAUGUAUAGCUUCAUUUCUUGCUUUUAGUUUUGGUCGACUUCAACUCUAUUAAGUAUUUUGAGCCAAAUAUUUUUUAUUAACAGCAUCAACAUAAUUAAAUUUAUUUUACUCUUGAAACAACAAAUAUGUUUCCUCUUCCUUUUUGAUGGAAGUUACAUCACAAUAGAUCUGUCUUUUAUAUGAAGAUUUUCUUCUUCUCAAUUGCUAUUGCACACUGUACUUGAUAUUAGUUGUGGGUCUGGUAGCUUUAAUGCUCGUCUUCUAUCGCUUAAGCUGAUCUGUGACAGCAUAUGAGCCAACAGGUAGACAUGUUCAAUUGGCACUUGAUAGAGGUCUCCCUUCAAUCAAAACUUAAUCUAAAGACAGCUCCCUCUUCAUCCUUCGUCAUAUGAAGUGGUUCACUGCACUCAAUGUAGCAUUGUCUGUGAUAACAAAGGUAUGAUCCUCAUUAAGGUUUGGGGUUUUGUUUUUUUCCAUUAAAUCACCAUUUCUUCAUCAGAUUAAGUGCAGUGGUUUUUAUUGAUUUUUCACCGAUGAAAAUACUUGAAAUUAAUUUGACAUUUAGCCUAAUGUAGUGCGAACUUUUCUGUGGGUUUUGCUAUUUUUUGCGUGCAUUUCUAUUUCUUUUUUGUUUAUCACAUUUUGUUUGAUACUAUAGUUAUCUGUGAUAAAUUUUGCAAUGGUAAUAUUAGGCUUGCUGUAAGGAAGGCCAAGAAGGAAAAGAAAGCGUAUGAUCCAAACAAGCCAAAGAGACCUCCAAGUGCUUUCUUUUCAUGUAUGCCCAUUUGCAUUUUUGGUCUCUAUCAUUUCUGUCUAUUGUUCUUAUAUAUUAUCUUUUUUAUGCUGCUUGGCAGACUACAACAAUAAUUUGGUAAUCCAUCUAUGAGAAGCACGGUGUUAUACACAGUUUAGUUUGAAUUGUGAUACUGAAACGACUUGUGCCAAACUGUUUUUAUAGGCUAGAGGGGCUGUUGAAUUCGACAAGGCAAAGUCUGAGGUUAAUGGUGAUGAGGACGAUGAGAACAGUGGAGACGUUAGUUGAAAUUAAGCUAUACAACUUUUUUGUACUUGAAACUUAGCUACUAUGUUGACUUUUUAUUUUGUUUUAAUUAAUUUAGGGGGAAGACUAUGAGUAAGCACUAUCACAGAAAACUGGAUUUUGGAUUCAAGGUGAGAACCAACAAUCAAUCUUCCUUCAUUAUUUGCAUUUAUGGCUUCAGGUUUUGUAAAAUGUUCGACUUGAAAGUGAGUUAAUUGGAUUGGUAGAUUUCAUGAAGAAUUAUUGUGUAAAAUUUGGCUUCAGGUGAAUUUUACUGAAAUUAAUUGAAAGUAAUUAUCAAUAAUACUCCUUUUUUUAUUUUUUUAUUUUUAUUUUUUAAAGUUGCUAAUGUGUUUGUUCUUCCUUUCAGUGAGGGAACAAGCGUCUCUUUGCCAUUAACUUGGGGCAAAAAAAGAGAGGAAACGUAUGCCUUGUUUUUCAUUAUUGCCUAUUGGUACACAAGACGUAUUUAGAGGAAAGGGGUGGAGGAAGAGGGGGUUGAGUGCUUGUAGACCAUGAGCAAAAAAUGGCAGACUACAAUAAGAAUUUGGUAAUUUCAUCUAUGAAAUUCUCUAUUACAAUGCACUACGUGCAUCUCACAUGCGAAGAACUAGUUCGAUAAAUAUUCAAUAUUUUACAAGCAGCUUCAUAUCUUGUUAAAUUUUAAAGGUCCUUCCUUUUGUGAAAUCAUUUAAGUUAAAAAUGUUAAGAGAGAAAAACAUUAAUUUAUUAAUAUCUUCAAAACUCUUCUUAUGGUGCAGGUAGAUUUAAUUUUUCUAUAAACAUUAAAUUUCUGACUUUGAUGGGGUGAUGAUAUUAUUUUACAGAUUUUCAUCUGGUCGUCCGUUCCCAAUACAAUUUCGAGACUCGAUUUGAUUGGAGACUCAUAGCUCAGUCAUCUACCAGGUUGAGAAAGUUAUGAAUUGGGUUAGUCGUUGUAAGCUUGUGGGCUGACCACCUAUAUGCCUGCUUUGCAUAUAUUUUGUUGCCAGCUCCGAUCCACAUCAGUUGAUGACGUGUUGUUUACACCAAAUUUGACUUGUACACAAUAUCCGUUAUUACAAGAGUUAGAGAAAGACGCCAAUUCAAACCAUCAUUUGGUGACACAUUUUUUAAGAGCAAUCGUAGAACCUAUAUUUGUUAAGUGAAGCCAAUGUUAUGCUGAAGCAAACAAAAGAUUAUGACGAUUGGGGAUGGUCAAGUUCACAUUUCACUUCUUAUCUUUCCUCCCUCUCUCUUUUAGAGUAAAGAUCAUUUGUAGUAUUUCGUGGCUACCAAAUAUUCAAAUACUCCAGGGAACAUUGGAGAUGUAAAAUUCUGUAUUAUAUAAUAGGAGGAAUUUCUUUCUUUUUUUUCCUAAAUGGAUUAUCAGGUAAGCUGUCAUUAUUUGCAAUAGUAAUAGGCUCUUUAUUAUGAUGUGCAGUUGCACAUGUCCAUGUGUGUGCACGUAUACGUGUGUGUGUGAAAUGUGGAAUAAUGAUAUUUGUAAGCAAUGCACUGCAAACAACAAUCUAUUCUUACCUAUUAGCAAUUAGCAUUCUAUGUAGAGGUAUUGUUACUGCCACAUUUUCCUAUAAUUUUAGAGUAAGGAUAUUUGUAAGCAUUGUACUAAAAACAACAAUUUGUAUGACAGUGAGAUAUCUAUCUCAUUCUCCUAUGAAUUGAGUUCGGUUUAAUUUAUUGAAGAAUGUGAUAGUGAUCCCAUUGUUACAUCAAAUAUUGGUAAUAAGUACUGUCAUAAACUUAGCAUACAUUUAAUUUAUUGAAGAAUGUUACAAUAAUCCACUGUUGCAUGGAUGGUUGAUGGAUAAGUACUACUUACAAAGAGUAUUACUCCUUAAAAAUGGAAAUUUACUAGGGAUAUGAAGCCAAGUGGACAAAUAUCUGGACAAAUAUCAGACCUUGCUAAAGAAAUUUCACUCUUAACAAAUACAAUUCUCCAUGAUAGACCAUAUGAAAAAUCAAAAUUGAGGUACAUUCUAACAAUAUCCCUCUACACCCAUCUCACCCUUUUAACUAUUUACCCACCAACACCCACACUUUAUAUAUAAAUGUUUUUUCUUGUUUUUUUUCUCAAUUUUCAGGGUCAAAAUGUCAAACAAAGUUAAAAUAUUAGAAUUUUAAUAUCAUUUUGAAGUGCUCAUAGCUUGGCUUCUCGCAUCAUUAACAGCGCAUGAAAUGACCGACCACAGCAAAAGUUACAAUGCGUCAAAAUAGGUCAUUCAAAAUUAGUAUUUCAAGAAUUUCGAUAAUAUACUAACUUUAAAAAUUUGUUGGCGAUCGUAUACUAACUGAAUUCAUAAAUUGCUUGUCAUCUUGAUCCAAACAGAUAUAGGUUGUACAUUGAAAAUAAUUAAAUUAUUUGAAAAUUUUUGACGUCAUGUGUCAUGUAAAAUUAUCCUAAUAAAAUGAUGUAAAUUAUAUUAAUAUAUUUGUUGAGCAAAAAUAAUAAACGUUAAUGAAAUAAUUGAAAAAUUUUAAAGGAAAAAAUGAGUUAUGCAUCUCUUUUUGACACGAUCAUUUAAUUAUUUUUGAUAUUCAAAUUUUGGAUCAUUCGAUAUGUCUACGAUAUAAUUCUUUAAACUAAAGCAAAUUUUUAAAAUUAGCAUAUUAUCGAAAUUCUCUAAAUACUAGUUUGGAAUGACAUAUUUUAAGACAUCAUAACUUUCGCUACGAUUGACAGUUUUACGCGCCGUUAACGAUGCAAAGAAUUAGACCGUGAGCACUUCAAAAUAAUAUUUAAAAUGUGAUAUUUCGAUUUCAUUUGACAUUCCAUAAUGACCUCAAAAAUUGAGAUGAAAACAAGGGAAAAAAAAAACCUUUAUAUAUGAAGAAUGAGUGAUAAGGAUGGUGAGGGGUAGGUGUGGGGUGGGGUAAAAAGGUUGGGGGUCGGUAAAAAGUUAAAAAAUUGGGCAAGUGUAGGGGAAAACAAAAGUUGCCACAUUAGUAGUGGGUAGAAUGUUCUCCUGCACACCAUUGCCAGCAGAGCAAUUCUACGAAAAAUAAUACGCGAAGAAUUAAUUUCAUAAUUUGUGAUCGAUAAAAAGUUAUAACCUAUAAAAUUUGUGAUUUUAAGUGUAACGUUUUGUAACUGUGACUAAUACGCAACUGUGAUCAUAAACUGUAUGAUAUUGCGAUCUUAAUUUAUUAAUUAUAUAUUUAAUUAAUGUACUAAAUUUAAUAUUUAUGACCCGGGUUUUGGAAAAUAAAAAAAUAAAAAUCUCAAGUUCGUCAAAAUUGAAAUUGUAACUUAAAAUCUAUCUAAUUAUGUAUUCUUCCCAUUAUAAAAAGUAAUGGUGGAUAUAAUUUACCCAUUGAAAAAUGCAAAAUCCUCCAUUUGACUAGAGGAACCGGCUGUUUCGGCAGAGUUAUAUAUCGAAUUUUACUUGUCAUGCUGAGGUCGAGGGCUAAGAUCUCUAGCUUACGCGUAUAUAGGCAGGGGCGGAUCCAAGCAUGAGCUCCACUAUGCUAUAGCCCGUGUUCGCCCCUGAAAAUGUCUACUGUAUUUUAUUAUUAUUAUUAUUAUUAUUAUUAUUAUUAUUAUUAUUAUUAUUAUUUUAUUGAAACAUAAAUCGAUGUAUAUUUGUAUUGUAACCCGUGUCCAAACUCAAGGCUGGAUCCGCCAUUGAUAUAGGCGUUUAUUUCUAACCAAGUAAUGAACACCAUCACUACUAGUAGUUGAAGUGGGUAGAUAUACAACAGUUACCAUCUAAAAAUGGACCAAAAGUAGUUCAAUGUGUUAUAGCAGAUCGAUGACCACACACCAUGAGCCAUCUAGGUAUCAACUGAUCAUUUACUAUCCUAGAUUAAGAAUAAGUCAUUUUAAGUGAAGUGUGACCUCCCAUUUCCCUUGAGGAGACCCACUGAUCAUUUACUAUCCUAGAUUAAGAAUAAGUCAUUUUAAGUGAAGUGUGACCUCCCAUUUCCCUUGAGGAGACCCAAACUAACCAUAAUCGUAUAGAAUAGAUGUAGUUCAUAAUCACAAAUCAACAUAGAAUCAAGUAGAAAUAAUACAACCAACAGACGGUAUACUCUGUUACAUUAAAUGUUGUUUUAUUGAAUUUCUCAACAGACGUUAAAAUGUUAUCAAACCUCUGUUUGAGUCUCAUUCUUUCAAAAAUUCAGUUUUUCAAAACUCAUUUUCAACCACACAUCCUUCAAUAAAAUAAUAUUACACGUAAAUUCAAAAUUUUUUUUUUUACUUUUUAACCAUAUAUUCUCCAUCAAUCUACUAUUCAAAAUGCAUUAUUUUCCAAAAAAUGGGGCUCAAGCUAAGUGAAGACUUUACAACAAUGUAAAUGGUAUUCUAGCAAUCAAUAUUCCAGUUUCAAGUUGAACUGAAAUUAAGAAAAGAAACAUGUUGACCAGCCUCAAAAAAUGGUCAUAUAAAGAUAUUAGAAAGCACAUAGCAGUCAAGUGUGUGGAUGGAACCACCUUUACAACAAGAAGAGAAACUGGAUGACAGGCAACAAAUACAGUAUCAUAAAGCACAGCUAAUUGAAGCUAUAGGAAUUAGAAAAAUACAUACCUCGAUAGAUUGUAUGAGACUCUUAUGUAUACGUAAUAGUCUAGUUCAGUACAUUUGAUCAGCCAAGAAGAGGAUUAAGAACGUUCCCAAUGAAUAGCACUACCCCAGUCAUAUCUUCCCUGAUGAUGAACAAAAAUGGAUGAUCGGCAACAAAAUCGAACUCAUCCUCGACUAAUAAACCCCUCAGUUUAACAAGACCAGCAGAAGCAGCAGCAGCUUCCGUGCCUUCUUCAUUUACCUCAAUAAAUGACUUGUGGAAAAUGCUAGAAACAUAAAGGUUCUGACCAACUUGUGAGUCCACCAUCUCUGUGAGACCACCACCAGAAAAAGGCAACACGACUCACAGUCCCUUCAGAACUUCCGAGGCUUCAAACCCAAAUGACAAUUUGAAUUUUGGGAUACGGAAUUCACCAACUUCGACCUUUUGAUAUGGGAGGUGAUGCUCCAAGAAUCCUGAUUCCGAACUGACUUUCUCUACCAAAGCCAGCAAUCCAUCUUUGGUGUCUGGAAGAAGGAAGUUCAUAGAGAACUUGCGCUUAUCUUCACCUUGCUUAUACGGAAGGCUCAAAAUUUUGAAACCAUCAAAGGAACGUAUAUAUUGCUUCUUCUUGCUACUCAUGAAGGGUACUUGUACUGAGCUCCCAUCUAGGAGGAAAAAGUCAUGGUCCUUUGUAAUUGAUGCAUCAAACUUCUCACUCCAAGCUCCUUUGAAAUACACUGCAUUUGCAAAGAUGAGCCUCGUGGAAGCAUCGACUGAGCCAGGUGGAAGAAUUUCUUCGACAAGGCCACUUGUUUCCUUUUCAGCCCAUUGAUUGACUUCACCGAUUACCUCAACAGCCUUCAGAAAUAUCAAGAAUAAAGAACAUAACAAUUAAUACAUUGUUAAAGAAAUUUACUUGCAGAAGUAGAAGUUCUACAACAUGAAUGAUUUCACCCAGCCAGUUCCUCUUUCUCCUACAACUCAAGGUGUACAAGCAGAUAAAUAAUUGUUUACAGCAUGAAUUCGUUGACAUUACAAUAGAAACUAUUUCUUUGUAAGGUUUAUUCUAAAUGUCAUGGGCCAUGAGUACCAUUUACAGAUAUACUUGAAACAGAAGUUGGUUACAUGCUUAUGAACAUAACCACCACCAAAAAACAAAAGCAAAAGCAAAGCCGUCCCCAAUAAAUUUGGAGUCAGGGAGCUAGAAGCAUUUUUCAUCCAUUCGACAGGGAUUUCUUGGUGACCAAUACUAACAUGAAGACAAGAAUAAAUCGGAUGUUAUCCAUUUGAUAUUUUCAUAAUAUCAAACUAUCACAAUUCUGUAAACAAUUACAGAAUUUACAAUUUUAAAAAAAAAAAAAAAGGAGGAUAAAAAUAAUGCAAAUUUUCUUACAAUGUGAAGCACCACAUGGAUUUACAACCACUGGUGUAUGGCAAGUGUUUUAAAGUUUAAAAUUACAUGUCAUUCUAUUUUGGUAUUUGGGAAGAUGAAAUCUAAGUAAUUAGGAGAAAAUGCCUUCGGCUUGCUUGGGCUUAGUUUAGCAACUUUUGAACGUACAAAGGUCAAGUUUUCAGUUAGAAACAGAAAAAAGUGAAAAUUUUUAAAAAAUGAGAGAUAUAAUCUUCAAUGAUUUAACCUGGGUCAAACCUUACGAGAUCCUAUAGUACAAUUUUGACAUGAAGCAGCCUUCCAAUUGGGUCUAUGGUGAAGGACAAAACCUUUCAGUUGUUUUUUCAUACUUAUGACAUUCCAAUAUGCUGUUAAAUAAAUGAAAUCAAGUUCAAGUUAAUCGCAACUUAAUAACCAAGAUUUAUUGAAUAGCCAAGGUCAAACUCAAUUCCAUUGAAACUUGGAAAAUUCAUACAAUAAACAAAUCGUUCUUUGAGAUAUACUGACUCGGACCAAACAAGUUUGUUAAUGGAAAUCCAAAAUCUAUAUUUAAUUCAAGCUCAAAUUCCUCCAGCUAAACUUGCUUGUGUUUAUUUACAUAGUAACAUGUUUGGGAGUGUUUUUAAACAGUUCAAAUUAUAAAUGGAUAGAAAUGAGCGGUUCCUCAAAAUGUGUAAAUAAACAGAGUGUUCACAAACAAUUUAUAGAAACGAGCAAAAGUAGUUUAACUAAUUGAACUAAAUUCAUUUUUCAUUGGUAAUACUGGACAUCAACUCCAGCUUUCCCCUAACAAAAUUUACAAAAGCACGGAUAAAUCGACCAAUUGCAAUAAGUUCAACAAUCAGUUGGAAGAAACAGCUUUUCCAUUAACCAAACGAAUAAACAUGGAUGAAAUGGACCAAUUGUAAUAAUUUUUGAAAUAUGUUUUGAAAAUUUCAUCACCUAUUUUUCCCAAAUGUAAUCAUAUUAAUUGUGUCAAAGCCAUCAAAUUGAAUUUCAGAAACAUACACAAUAAAGUAUCAAUUGAUUAAAAAAAAAAAAAAAGAAAUUUGACAGCACACAAACCACCUAUAGACACCAAUAAUAAGCAAAAAAGGUUAUAAGGAAACAAUCAAACCUUGAUCAACGAUAAACAGAUUAAUGAGUUCUAUAAUUGAAAAUAGAAAUUAAACUAACCUUAGUUUGAAAAUCAACAGGAUUAGAAGCAGCCUUGUAAAUAUUAUCAACAAUUUCUUUAAAACUGGGCUUCAAGCUGAGACUCUGAUCUAUCCAACCCCCAUUAGCGAAUGACAAGCAAGGCCCACCAAGGGGGCCACCGUCAGCGAAAAUGAGAUUUACAAGCUGAGAGGAGAGUGAGUUGAGUUCAUCAGUGGACUUCGAUUUGAGGAAAUUAAGCAACUGAUUAAGGGUUUGAUCUUUGGAUCCGGCCGCGAUCAGACCCAACACCACGUGAAUCGAGAGCGGCGAGAACACCAAAUUCUUAUCCUUGGCCUCAGUCGAAACCAAGUAAUGUGCAAGCUGAAGUGAUGCUUGUGUUUGGUUCUUGAUGGAUUCUCUUAGGUCCAUUUCUGUCUGCGUCUGCGUGUGGAAGAGGUGAUUGAAUCAAAAUUCGUGCGCGUUUGGACGUUCUGAAAAUCUGCACUGUGUUCACCGACCCAUCAGAGGCAAUUUAUAUGUGCCAUUUGUGAUGGUUGACUCAAGCGUGUCUUUCAAUGUCUACUCAACACGUUAGGAUUCGUUUCUUCGAGAUAAAGAUUACAAAUUGGGGGAAUCCAUUGUUCAUCCAAACGACCUUGAAGAAUACUUCGACGUUGAUGUUUUGAAAUUAAUUUUGUGAAUAGUGAUUAAUUUAUAGGCUGUAGGGUUAAAAUAGAUAUAAUUAUUUACGUGUAAAAUUAUUUUAUCAAAAGAUUGUGUAAGAAAAAUUAGGUUUGAGGAAAAUAUAAUUUUUUUAGUAUCAUAAUCAACCAUCCUAUAAACUUCUCUAGGGUCUAAAAAUUUAUUAGUAUCGUAACCAACCAUCCGAUAAACUUCUCUAGGAAUUUAGACUCUGUUUGUCACCCAUCAUUUGAGAAAUUAAAAAGUUAUGAAUAGUAUUUUUUUGAAAAAUAUGUUGUUAAAAAAUAAAGAAAUUUUAUAAAUUUGUGUGUAUAAUAUUUUAUUGUGUGAAUAUGAGGAGUAGAAUGGUACUCUAACAAACAAUUUUAAAUUUUAAAUGGGGCAAAACAAGUUUCUUUCACCGCGGAUAUUUCUUGCUUGUUUGACUUUCUUUAAUUUAUUUUAUAGAUUGUUACGUGAUCAUUUUCAACAUAUUUACGCAAUAAAAUAUUAUACAUAUACACUAAAACUUUGUCUAUUUUAAUCACACAUUCUCUUAAAAUUACUAUUUAAAAAUCAUUUUUCUGCCAAAACAGUUGUCAAACAGGCUUCAUCUUGUGUGAUUUUUUGAAAAUUACUUUUUUUGAUAUUUAUUUUCAAUAUACAUUCUUUAAAAUUAUUUUCCAUAUUUUUCAAUUUUUAAACUUUUUAACUACACAUUUUCAAGAAAAUCACAUUUCAUAAUCUCUAUCCCACACACACACACACACACACACACAUAUAUAUAUAUAUAUAUAUAUAUUUUUUUUUUUUUGUAAUUUUUUUUCUCUAAAAGCAUCUUCAAUAGCAUAUUGUAUAUGAUUCAUAACUUUUUCUUACUUUUUAACUAUACAACCUCUAAAAAAAUAUAUGUCACUUGAAAAAUCCAUGUCAAACAAACUCUAACAGUGACAUGAUUGAGGGGAAUUCUUCAAAGUAGAAAUGCCAAUUUAAACCGUCAAAAUCGAAAAUUGUGACUAACCGAACCAAAUAGAGCGAAAAAAAUCGAAUCGACGGUGCAAUGGGGCGGAUAUGGUAUUUGAUUUUAAUGAAUCGGUUCGUGACGGUGCGGGUAUGAUAUUUACGCCGUCGAACCGAAACCGAACCGAUAACUCGCUAAAAAAAGCAAAAAAUAAAUAAAUAAAUUGAAUUGAUUAUUGAGCUUUACACUAUAUUUCUAUCUAGCCGAAAACAAAAUUUCCCCAUUACAUCUACUUGACCUAGCAGGCCAGCUCACUUAUCAUUAGCCCAUAAUAAUAGCAUUAGUAUGAAAGUAUAUAAAUGCAAACCCCAUUUUCCACAAACCACAAGCUCACGCACGCUCCACUACCUCUACGGUCCAAGCCGUCGUCACCUCCAAAAAAUUUCCCACACGACUUCAGUUUUAAAGAAAAGACAGGACCUCCCUUCUUAAUCAAGAUUAUUGGAACAAAAAUUUCAUCUCAAUCAUUUUUGUUGUAUCUGUAAACUGAUUGCAUUUUGCAUCCAAUUCCAGGGACGCAUUUUUCAGGAUUUGAUGCAGAAAUUGUUUCAAAUUUUGUCGAAAAGAGGAUAAAUUCAAUCAGUACUGAUUUAGUAUAGACUUGAGCCAAGUCCGAGGCGUGGUCGAAUAUAAUAUAUUGUGUUUUUGUUUUCAUUGAAUUUUUUCAUAAAUUGUUUUAUAUCAAUUUGAUGGAUGAACCUAUAAAAAAUAAUUUAUUUUCGUGGUUAUUAAUCGAACCGAACCUAUUUACGUGAUUAUGGUGCGGUUAUAGUAUGGUCAAAAAAUUGAUCGUGCGAUUAUGAUUUUGGCCGAACCGACCCAUAACUGAACCGUUAUCAACCCUACUUCAAAGCAUGUUCACAAGAACAUGGAGAGGAGCUGUGGGCUUUAGCUCCAGGACUGUACCCAUUUAUUAUUUUUGUAUUAAUUCUGUGCAAAUAGUUUUUUAUUAUCCCUCGACUCCACCUCUAAUAUCAACCCAUGAUGCGCAAAUCUAAAUAUUCUCACACUAUGCAAAAAUCUCUUUUUGGUUGAGACAUUUCUCACUUCUCAGUUGUAGUAUUCAGAUUUAUAUGAAAAAGGAGCUCAACAAUAGUUUAUACUUUUCCUAAAAAUAAGACAAAAUAAUGCAAAAUUUUGGACAAAAAAUGAUGAAUGAAGUAAAAUAACAAGAUGUAUCUCUUCAACGAAUUAUUCUACUCCAACAUGUCUUCCUGAAAAAACAAGGCCUAUGUGGCCCUGUUUGAGAAGUAGAACCCCUCGUAUAUAGUGUUUUCUACCUUGAAAUGCCACUUCUAAAAAUGCACUUACUUGACAGUUGACACCUCCUUAUGAUAUUUUGACUAUGCUUAGGAAGCUCAAUUUAAAAAAAAAAAAAAAAAGCAGCUUCUAAAAUAAAAUUUUUAUUGGUAAAUGUUUAAAAUAAUUAUAUUAUUUAUUAUAAGUUUUUGUAUAGAAAUGUGUGGAGGGUAAGUUGUUCGUCGAUCAUGAUUAACGAGGUAGUUUCGACCCUUCUCUAUCUCUUUCUCAAAACCGUUAAAUUUGAUAUAUUUUUCACUUGUAAAAUUUGUUUUCAUUUUUUUUCCUUUUUUUUUUUUUGUGCAUUUACGCAUUUUACAUAUUGUUUAUCUCAUCAUCUUCAUCUCACAAAAUAUUUACAAGUUCUUGGAGAUUUCAGAGAUCCAACGAAAUGAAAAUUUGGGUUACAAUGUUCGAGAAAAUGAAAUAAUAAUUAAAAGUAUUCUUCCUAAACUAUUAAUAUAGUAUUUUUAUUUUUUUACAUUUGAUUCUACUUAUUCUUGUGGACAUCAUUGAUACGUGUUUUUAGUAGUCAUGGGCGGACCAACUGUUGAGAUUCUCCUCCCUUUUUUUUUUUUAAAGUCAUGUUUGGCAUCGAUUGAAAUUUAAAUUUAAAUCUAAAUCAAAGUUAAUAAUUAAUUUUAAUAACAUAUUUCAUGGAUUCUUGAGCUUCUAAAAUUUUAUCAAAAUUUACUAAAAAUCGGACUUUAGUCCCCACCAAACAAAGAUACAAUCUCAAUAAAUUUGAAUUUUUUCUCUUUUUUAUUGCUCUAUCCUAUUCUCUCCCUAAAGCCUUUUACCAAAAUCUUAACUCUUCUAAUUUUUUAUAAUUUAUUUAUAAUUCCUCUACGAUUGUCACAUUUAAUAUAAAUUUUCACUUUUCAAUCAAAUUUUUAACUAAUUAGAACCUAAAAAUUUGCAUUUUCUCCUAUUCUAUUUGUGUAUAUAGCACGUGUCUAAACUGAUGAUAUAAAAUUGAACUUAUAUCUAACGAAUUGUGCUUAUCUGACUGAUUAUUAGUAUUGAAUAUUGGUUAUUUGCUAUUACUUUCAAUUACUUGAAUUGAUUGUUUGUAUCAAAUACACAAUUUUUUAAAACAUAAAUAUAUAUUUUCUUGUGAUGAGCAAAAUAUUAAUAAAAUUAUUAUUCAAAAUCAAAUAGAUGAAAAUAAUUAGCAAAAUAUUAAUGAAAAAAUAAUUUUGAAAUGUAAAUCUACAUUUUUUCGGGUCAAAUACGAAUCAUUCAAAAAUAAAAAAUAAAGUAAUCGAUUUGUACAAAGUUUGAUUGUGCCACCUAACUCAAUUUCUCUACGUCCGCCUUUGUUAAUAUUAUUAUAUUUUGAUGAUGAUGAUUUGCUCUUCAAAAGAAACUAUUUUAUUUUAAAUCACCUCCAUCAAAUGAACCCAAUGUAUAUAGUCACGUUGCACAUACUUUACAACAGUAUUAUAUAAUUAACAAAAUAUUUAACCUCUUUUCUUUUGAUUGCGUGCUUAAUAAUAUUUUACGGCACCUGCAACAAUUAGUUAUUUUAUUUUAUUUUAUUUUAGUUUUAAUUAGGGUGGAGCUUUUGAAUACAUUUGUUAUGUUUUGUGUUAUAAUAAUGAGAGAAUUAAAUGCUCAUUUAUUGAACGAUCAAUUAGGUAAACUAGGAAGGACAAAAUUAAAAAUAUGGAUACAUAAAUGCCGAUUAUAGCAUAAUUUUUCUAAUAUUCUAGAAAACAUAACAAUCUCUCCUAAACUAAUAUUGGAUUUUGCUUGUUGUAUGUCGGGCUGUACAUCAACAUGUCCAUAAUGCUCCUGUAGCAAUAUAUUGGAUUUCAAUUUCUCGUGUCCAUUGAAAAGGACGAGAUAUUUACUGGAAAGCCCCUGCCUUAUCUGAUAUUUGAAAACCUUCUCUUUGGAAGCCAAAUUUAUGCAACAUUAACCAUCUUUCUCUAGGAAUGUCAAUUUGACUUACCAGCUCGAGCAGCCCAAGAAAAGUCCGAUCAUGCCCAAUUCGCGGAUCGUUAUAAUCCAGCUGAGGCUUGAGCUGAGCUUCAUUUUGGAGUUUCGGCCGAAGCUCAAGCUAGCCAGUGUGGCUUGACGAACCACAUGGGCCAUUUUCGGCUUGUGAGCAAAUUUGUGAAAAAAAGAUAUUUUGGCUGCUGUAGCUGCCUGUGUAUUACAGGCAGCUAGUAGCUACUGUUGCUGUAGCUCCAGCAGCGAAUUUGCUUGUGUAUUGCAGGCAUCAAUACAUAGUAGGAAGUCACGCGGUUGCCUUUUCAAAAAAAAUAAUAAAAAAUAAAAAAUCACGAGCUGUCUCGGUUCGAUUGGAUUCCAUAAGGCCAGAGCCAAAGCUCAGAUUGAGCGUUGAUAUUUUGACCGAACACAAACUCGACUCGACUCGAGCUAAAGAAAGCUUGAACCAUUUUUACUCAAAUCGAACACGAGCUUCAAAUUAGGCUCGCGAGCCAGUUCAACUUAGCUCGUUGACCUCCGUAUCUCUCUCAGCAAAAUCUUCGACAAUCUUCGACAACUGAUGAUGAGUAGAUCGACUAGAGACAAAUCGGCGGUGAGCAGAUCAAACAGGGCAACAACAAUAUUUUUUACUUGUAAGAAAAUGGAUUUAAAUUUCUUUUUGGGUGAAUUUCUUCAUUUGUUGUUUAAGUGUUAAUUUCUGGAGUUCUGUACUUGCCGUUCGUCGGACAUUAAAUGGGUAGAUUUUAGUUUGUACCUGAAAUGGGUGGAUUUUAUACUAUAAACUCGGUGUCUUGUGAAAUGCGUAUAAAAUAAUUUUUUAAUCUUGUGGAACAGGGUAGAUUUAAGUUUUGAGCUCUUCUUUUGUGACUACUAUAUGCAAUUUCAUGUUACAAAAAAUUCUCGGAUCGGCUCAAGUAAAGAAUGCUUGAACUAGUUUUACUGGAGAUGAACCAAAGCUUCGAAUUUCUGCUCACGAGCUGACUUAGCUCAACUCGUUCACAUUCCUAUCUUUUUCUCAACAAAAUCCCUAGAUGACUAAUGACAAUGGAUCGAUUGGAGACAAAUCAAAGGCGAGCUGAUCUAACAGGGUAACGACGAUAUCUUUUACUUGUACUAAAAUGGAUUUAAUUUUUGUUUGGGUGGAUUUCUUCAUUUCUUGUUUAAGUGUUAAUUUCUGGAGUUAUGUACUUUACCGUUCACCAAACAUUAAAUGGGUAGAUUUUAGUUUGUACAUGAAAUAGGUAGAUUUUAUAUUGAGAACUCGAUAUCUUGUGGAAUGCAUCUCAGAAAAUUUUGAAAUCUUGUGGAACUGGAUAGAUUUUAAUUUUGAGCUCUUCUUUUGUGACCACUGCAUGCAAUUUCAUAUUACAGAAAAUCAAGGGAAUUUUAUCUUUACACGAAGUCCCGAAAACCCAACUUUUUUUUUUAAAAUCAAGAUACGAAAGUGAGGGCAGAAAACAUAUCAUGGUUGGAGUGGUGGUGAGAAUUGAUGAUUCUUUAUUGGAAUCCACACUUUUAAAAACUGAUAUUGGAUUUAAUUGUUGCUUCGCCAAGAGACAAACCCUUGUCCCGUUCCUUCUUUAUCACAUGUUUCUACAAAGUCUUAGCUGCCGGAAGAGUGUGAUUUUCUUAUCCAGACAUUUUCUUUUGGAAGCCUCCAAAGUGUAAUUACAGUCUACGAGUGGAGAUUCAAAAUCCAUGCUCCAAAUACUUGAGAUGUCAAUUUCAAGACACCUUGGAUCAAGUUUUCAUGUAGUAUUUUUCAUUAAGCAUAUAACAAGGAUUUUUUUUUUUUUUUUUUUUUAAAAGUGAUAUACACAAAUGGCAUGAAAUUAUAAGGAAAAAAAAAAAUAACAACCACACAUGAAAUCAAACAAUUAAUAUUUUACCCCUCAAACUUAAAUUAAAUAUUGUCCCCAAUGUAAAAUUAAAGACAAAGGAGGAUGAGGACUUUCUUGAGUGAAGACAUCAAUUGGCUUCAUUGCUAUCGGCAUCAUGGUGGGGGCAGUGAUGGAUGUUGGUUCUAGUUUUGCCCCCAAACUUGAGCCUCGACCUACAAGAAGAGAAAAAUGAUUAAGAAAUUAUAAACAAAAAUGUAAACUAAUAUCUAAAUAAUUAAAAAGAAAAAGAGCUUGGGUUGCCUCCCAAGAAGCACUUAUUUAACGUUGUUAGUUUGAAGUUGUCGGAAUGCCUUAGGUUAGGUCACCAAGGGCACUUCUUCUAUAUUCAGCUCGUCCUUUCCAUAGUAUUACUUAUGUUGCUGGACAUUAUUUUAAAAUAUGAACCUAUUCUUGUCCUUCAACUUCACAGCACCAAAAGGAAAUAUGUUGUGGCUAAUGGUCGUGGCCAUCGUGAAUUAAGAUUAUUCACCGUCAACUUCUAGCGGGACUUAUGGACAAGUACUUGUUUCGGAAUUGGCUUUCUUCUCCAUAUAAACUUUUGCACAAGAUAAUUAGUACUGAAGAUCUCUUUGGAUUCAAAAGAGUUGACAGGCUUCACAAGAUCCUUUUUCUAGUUCUCAUUACUCUCAAGUGGCAAAGCUUCACUAGCCAAGAUAAAAUCAACCAAUUUCCUGCUCUCCCUGUAUAACUUUUUGUAGCAGUUAUGUCUAUUCUUGAAGCACUUGUUACAAUAUACUACAGUAAAGUGUCAUCAAACAAUUCCUUUUUACAUUUUUCUCCCACUGAUGCAACAAUUUCUUAACUUGGUAUAUAGUGAACCUGACUUCUUCUUUAUUAACCCAAAGUGUUAGUUGUCCUCUUUGUACAUUAGUAAGUGCUCUACCAGUUGCUAAGAAAGGUUGACUAAGAAUUAAUGGUAUUUCUUGAUCUUCCUCCAUAUCCAACACCAUAAAAUCAAACGGAAAGAUGAACUUCUCAAGUUUAACUAACACAUCUUCCAUAAUUUCCUUAGGAUAUGUAAGAGAUCGAUUAGCAAACUACAAAGCGAUGGUGGUUGAUUUCGUUUAUCCAAGACCCAACUUCUUGUAUAAACAGAGGCAUUAAAUUAAUGCUAGCCCUAGAUCACAUAAUGCUUUGUUAAUGUUAGAAUCGCCAACUGUGCACGGAAUUGUAAAGCUAUUUGGAUCCUUUAGUUUCUAAGGAAGCUUCUUUGACAUUAGUUUUUUUUUUUCAAGAAUUUGGCAUAAUUCUGCAUGUGUGCUAAAAUAUCUACAAUAGAGAAAAUUAUAUGGAUUUUCUUGAAAAUUUCUAGAAAUUUUGCAACCUGUGCAUUAAACUUUUUCUUUAGGAAUUGCUGUGGAUAUGACAGUGGUAUCUUCAAGAUUGGUGGAUUAUCUAGGAAUGAGACUGAAUUAGGCUUAGAAGCCUUCUUUGUUUUCUUGUCCUGCAACCUACUUUUCUUCCUCUUGUCUGGAAUUUGAGUAGAAACUAUAGCCUCUUUAGGCUUACUUUCUCUAAUCUCCUUACCACUUGUAAAUGUGAUAGCAUUGCAAUGUUCCCUUAGAUUUACCUUUGUAUCACUAGGAAACUUUCCUUUAGGUUAAGUAUUCAUUGCAAUAGCUAGUUGACCAAUCUGUAACUCAACAGAUUUCAUAAUGGCCUCCAUGUUGGUUAUAUGAGUCUCAAUGUUGUCAGUCGUGACUCAUCCUUGUUGAAUCUUGCCCUAGUCUCUGAAAUAAAGGCUUUCAAGAUGUCUUUUAAUGAUGGUUUCUCUUAAAAGGAUUGAUUAUUGAACCUAGGAGAAUGCUAGAGCACAUUCCUAUUAUUACCAUAAGUGAGUUUUUAUAUCAAGCAGCCGCUUGGCAGAUUGGUACAGAAGAUUUCCAGUGGGGCGUGAAGAUGCUUCUUUGGUGAAUGAGAGGCUGGGUGCCUCGUAUACCUGCGUAGCGCGGCUCUCACCAGGCUGACCUUUUCGAGUUGGUCAGGGCGAUCCACCAAACUAGUUAGUAGAAGAUUUGACCAAAUGGAGCGUCAGCUUACGCGCUCCAUCGCCUUUGCUAUUAGUUGGGACGACAUGGCGUGGACUCUGUAGGCUCUGGGACUACCACGUGGUUAAUGAUUUGGCAUCUCUCUGGACGCGUAAGAACAAUCCUCUAAGUCCAUGUAUGGAAUAUUUAUAUCGUGUGCGGACUUUUAGUGUUGGACUAGAAGUAGAUUGUUUGUUGGGGCUACCCAUUGGCAUGGAGAAUUGGUGCAAAGGUGAUUUGGCCGAGGUGUAACAAUAAUAGUCCUCCAAGUCCAUGUAUAGAUUAUUCAUAUAAUGCGUGAACUUUUGGUUGAUGAGGUGUAGGCAUAGUUUCUAUUUGGGCAAGUUUUUUGUUGUUGAGAGCUUUGAGAGAAGCUGUUGAGGCAGAAGCGUGGUCCCUGAAUCAUGAUCGCUAAUAAUUGAGUCUGACUCUGCCUUGAAUCUUGACUUGGAUCAAAAGAUUCUUCAUACCGUAUGAAGAAUACGUAGCUAACAAUAUCUCAAAUACGUAGCUAACAUAUAGCUAGAUUUUAAGACGGCAAUUGAUAUACUUAUAGGAAGAGGAUUCAGAUUUUCAGGUCAAUAAUUAUAAUUACGUUUGAUUCAUUGAUAUCUUGUAUCAAAGAAACGAUGUCUUUCUUUUGAGUUAAAACAAAUUAUUUCAGCAAAAAUUUAUUCUACUUCCACAACUUUCUAUGUUUUUCUUGUUGUGUCACUUAAACUUUCUCUAGUCUUGUUUGUAAAGAUUUAUUUUUAUAGGUUUUCAAAAAUAUGUUAUAGAAAUGGUUAGUACCAUCAGUGGUUAUUAAAGUUUGUUAAAAACUUUAAAAUGAUCGUUGAAGUAUUUUUCUAGCUAUAAUGGUAAUUUAUUCUAAUAGUUACAUUAAUAGUUGGCUGGAAACAUUAACCAAAAUCUUGUAUGUCACCAUUAAAUGUCAACUUUGACGCAAACAAUGCUAAUUAUUACAUAAUGCAACGUAUUCCUAAAUUUUGUAGAAAUUAAUGGAAUAAACACUUUUAAAUUUAAAUUUUCAUUUGGGUAAUAUGUUUUAAAAGCUGAAUGUUUCUCCAUCAAAUUUUCAUGAUAAGGAUUGAUUAUAAGGAUUUAAUUUCUUCAAAUUUGCUCUCCCAACUGUCUUCUCUCUUCUGUUACGUUAUCUGCUUCUUUCUUUUUUGCUGUCCUUCCACUGCGUUUUCUAUUUUUUCCCCCUUCUAUUCUCCUAUCUUCAGCUUCUGUUUGCUUUCACAAAGGAUUCUAAUUCCUUUGAAUUUGAUUCCCAUCUAAUUUCAUGUUUCAAGGCCCAUUAAUGUAUUAUUUAUCUCAAAGGCCUCACGUCUUUGAAAUAAUGUAAUAUAGUCCUUGAUAAAAAUUUGUUUGUGUGUCUCAUGUCUUCUUUAAUUCAAUCAAUCACUUCAAUUAUAAUAAAAAUGUGGAAUUUGAUCUCAAAGCUACAGAUUUUAUUCAAUUUCAUAAUUCUUGAUCAAUAUUUUCUCCGAUCCCUAGUUUCUCCUAACAUAAUAAAAAAAUAUAAAUAAUUAACCAUCAAGUUUACAAUACUACUAACUAAAGACACUUUGGCGACUUAGAUAAGUGUAACUUUAAUACUUAUCAAAUACCGCCAAAUUUGAGCAUUUGUUAGUAUUCAAAUAAAUGAUAAUAGAUACUUUACUAUACUCUAAGAAAAAUACUCAACUCGAUAUAUGCAUCUCAAUGUUUCCUCAAAUACCUAUCACAAUCACAAAAUUUAAACAGGUUAAUGAGACACAAGAACCAAAAAUUAUUCUAAAACUCCACAUAUCGUAUAGUGUUCGUGUGUGUGUGUUGAACAUUCUCAUAUCUACUGAUGUUACUCAAAUCAAAUAAUCUAUUUUAAUUUCCAAACUCUCUUUUCCCAGAUAAAAAACUAAGUCCCAAUAAUGUUGAUAUACUCUUUCAUCACUCGUGUUUUUCUAUUUAUUUUUCAAUUCUCCCAAAGACAAAAUAACUAUGAGAUAUGACUUGUUUUCAUCAACCACUCAGUCACCUUCCAAUUUGUAAUCAAUGAGCUGGACUCAGCUGGACAGAGGUAGCAUUUAUAUAGUUGUUUUGGUACUAGCGCAACACACUUUAGUGUGUUUUACUUUUCUUUUUAUUUUAUCCAUUUUUCUAUUUUUUUGUGAGUAGGGUCAACUUACUCAAUACCAGCUUCAUACUAUAGUUUAGGUAAAUUUUUCCCUAUGUGUCAAAACUAGUGCAAUGUCUUUUACGUUUUAGGCUAACAAUAGGAGUUAAAAGAUAAUUAAGUGGUGAUGUUUUUGGUGUCGAAUGGAUCUAAUCAUUCCUAAACUUAUUCUAAAAGGAUUUUCAAUAUGGUUCUAAACGAAUGUUGGUUUAAUAAAUAUGUUCUAAGGUCUUAAAAAAUUCUGAGGUGAUUGACUUGUACAACUCAAUUUUUAAUCAAUUAUAAGUGUAGUCAAGAAUGAGUACGUGCUUGAAUUGUUCAAAAGACAAGUAUAAAAUAAUAGGAUUCAUAAAUAAUUAAAAAUCUGAGUGUCCAAAGGAAUCGAUUUACAUUUUGCUCUUAUUUGAGAAUCAUCAAUUGAUAUAAAUUACUUUGUCCAAGUCAAAUCACACACAAGCAUACAUAAUAAAGCUAAAAAGUUUUUUUUUUUUUUUUUUUUUUUUUUAAAAAAAAUUUUUAUGGGUUUUUUACAACAAAAGCCCCAAACCUUUAAUCACACCCAAAUUAUUCGUGUAGAAUAAAUUAAAAUAGAACCUAGAUUUUCUCCUCGACGUAAUGCUAUAAAGCAGAAAAUAUCAAAAUUAAAUAAAAGAUAGAAAAUUUAGACUUGACUGAUAAUUUUUGCAAGAUGGAGUUAGCCUUGAAACUAGAAGAAUAUUUUCCUUCUCUUUAUCUUCUCUCCUCCUUCAAAGGAAUUUCUCCUUCUUUGUGCCUUUUUUCUACAAAUAAGAUUAAGUAAUUAUAAUCAAGAUUCCAAUAAAAGAGCAACACAUCAACUACUUAAUCCAUCUAUCUCAAUUCGAUUUUGCUAGUGGUACAUUGAGAUGUAACUAAUGGUGUACACUCCACUCACAUAGGUGAGGGACCCAAUCGAAUAAAAUAUCAUUUCUUUCACAUGGAUCCCACACCCAUGUGAGUGGGGUGUACACCAUUCGGUACAACCCAUUAUAUACCACUAGACAAAUAAUAAGUAAUUAUAAUCAAGAUUCCAAUAAAAGAACAACACAUCAACUACUUAAUCCAUCUAUCCCAAUUUAGUAUAACAAAAUUAGAAAAAUUCCAAGAAAAAAAAUCUCAUGUAAUACUAUUGAGUGAAACUUGAACUUUUCAUGAUUUUUAAAAACAUUGAACAUAUUGAUGAUGAAUAAGUUGGUGAUUAUGUGAAUUUGGGUGUCAAAUAUAUGGAGGAGGGAGAGAAUUUUGAAAAUUUGAAGUUAAAACUUAUUAAAGUUAAAAACUAAAAUAAAUAAAAAAAUUAGAUCUCUUAGUUCUUUUUCUAUGUUUGACCACGGUUGACCACGACGAACAACAAACAUUUGGCGACUGUAUGUCAUCGCAGUUGACUGCGGUCAACCGUAUUGUUUAUUUUAAUUUUUUGCAGUGGUAAUAGAAUGACGACCCCAAAAAUAAUAAAAUAUUUAAAACAAAAUUUAUUUUUAGCUAAAUAAUAAUUAAACAUGCCUAAUCCUAAAUGCAAUUGUAUCAUUUAUAUGUCAUGCAGUAAUAGGAUGGCAAUUCAUAUCGCUGGCUCGAGCCACCCGUGGCUCGGCCUGGGCUAAGCCCGAGCCAGCCCGCAGGCAUUAUUUAAAAAAAAAAAAAAAUAGAAGCCCCAAAAAAUGCUGCCUUAAUAGGUAGUCAGUAGCUGGCUGCCUUUUACGACAACCUUAUAUAAAUAAAAAAUAAAAAUAAAAAAAUAAAAAAAAUAGAAGAACCAUAAAAAAAAUGAGCCUACCCUGCUCGAGCCUAAGCCCGGCUAAAAGCUCGUACAUUUUACUUGAGUCAAGUCUGAACCUUGAGUUUUGGCUUAGGAGCCGGCUCGGCUCGUUAGAAAAGUGGUUUACUUCCCAUUAAAUUCUUGGUCUAUAGUCCGAAGCUAGACUUUGGUCAAGUCUUAAUUAUGAUGGCUCAAGUCGAAAUGUUUUGGCCUUGUAAUCCUUCCAAUUUCUAGCUUUGCAUUCUCUUCUUGCUCUCCAAACUUUGAAUUUUUCAUUCUUAUCUCUACCAAGAAUUUCAACAAAUUUAGGUUUCUCUUCUGAUAGCUUUGUUGAAAUGAUAAAUCAUCCUCAUCAACACAGUUGCACUCCUCAUAUUCAGAUGGUUGCUUGCACUGCUCUCUUCUGUCAUGCCACAAUUUUAAAUUUUGGCAGCUCUCUCUUCUUUAAUAUAAUGUCUUUCAAGAACCUUACAUAACUUGAAAUUUGCCUAAUUGCAUCAACGAAUUGUAUGUUGAUGUAAAGCUUCUUCAGCACGUCCAGGAACUUUUCAAAUUGAUGGUCUAGCUCGUGUUACUUCAACCUUUGUGGGAACGGGAUGAGAAGUACAUAUUUUCUGACAGAAACGGCCACCUUAGCAUGUUGGUUAUCUGAAUUCUCUUUCAAAUUUUCAUCAGUUGAUGUUUUAGAUUCAUCUAAUUUCUCUUCUUCAAUAGUUGUUACUUAAUUUAUCUUUGCUAUUGAUAUUUUGAACGUAAUCCCAAGCAGUUGUACCUCGCUUCUUAUUGUGAUUUCUUUGAUCCUCUCCUCCUCUCUCCACUUUGAAAUCCUUACGAAAAAGGAAUGGGAGGCAUAUGUUCUCAUAAUUUUGGAGCUGCCAUCGGUUGCAGGGUAUUUAUUUGUUCAUCUUCAAUAACUCUGAUAGAUAUUACCUACUCCUUUGAAUUAGUUUCUGUAUAGAAAGGUAAAGCUCCUUGUAGCCUUUCAGAGAUAUCAGGGGGCCAGCUGACCUAUUUAAGUUUCCAAUUCUGUUUAAUGGUUGUCGAAUGACUUUGUAAGGUUGUUUCAAUCUUAGCCAUGUAUUGGUUAGUCUUCUGUAUGAGUUUACCCAAUAUAUCCUCCAAAGAAGCUCUCUUUUCUUCUUGUUGGAAACUAGGAGUUGGGGAUCUGCUGAUGCUUAUUUUGGUUGUUGCUUCAGGAGAAGUUAUGAUGAUUACGUGAUCCUCAGUUAUAUGCAUUGCUCUAUUGGUUAUUUUGCUGGUGUUAAUAAUUAUGUGCAAUCCUCUCUCUAUUUUGAUGCAGCCUAGCAUUCCAUAUUGUUGUGAGCUCCCCCAAAUGUACUACAAAAUUGAAAUCCAAAUUUUUUUUUUAUUUUUUAUUUUUUAUUUUUUAUUUUUGGCAUUUGAUGAAUUUUUAAUGGCCAGAUGGCCUAUAACCUUCCUUUCUAAAGAAGAUAUUUGUGCUCAUAGUUUGUAGAUGGCAUCUAUUUCAUGCAUACCUGAUGAAAUCUUGUAUAAAGAUCUUUCGAAAGGCCACAAGGCAUUGUCGGCUGCAAUUGUCUCACAUCCUUAACUUUAUUAGGUGACCUCAAUGUGAUAGAUCCAUUAGCACUGAUGUACGACAUGCUGGGUUCAAUCCGGUCUAGAAGUACAAAACUUGCAAGGAUUUCUUAAUAUCAUGGUUAGGACACUUUCUGAUCAUGUUCUUGCAUCUUUUACAUGCUUCAUGAAAACUCUCUAAAUCUGCCGGUUGAAAUGUCGAGAUCUCAUGACUUUUAGUUACCUUUGACGUUGGAAAGUAUUUUGUGACACACUUAUGUACUAUAUCAUCAUCCUAAUGCUUUCUUCGCCCGGGGAAUCCAACCAUUCUCUUGCUUUAUCACGAAGAGUAUAUAGGAAGAGUCUCAACUAAUUGCUUCAUCGGAUACUCCAUGAAAAUUGUAGUUUUAGUAGAUGUCCAAGAAGCGUGAGAUAUAAUUAUGUAGAUUCCCAUAAUAUUGAAAUAAAACAAAAAAGGUUAAAAGAUAUCACCAACUUUAAUUACAAUAAACAAGAUAAAAGUUACUCCUGGCUUUCGUUGAUUUUUGUCAUACAAUUCCAACAAUAUUUUUCAUUUCCUUCCUUGCGUAUUGUAAAUCUCACGAUAAUUAGUUGAUGGAAUAUGAUAUAUUUUCUUCAAUUUUGCUCUCCUAGCCAUCUUUUCUCUUCCAUCACAUUUUCUAUUUCUUGCUUUUUGUCAUCCUUCCUCGGUGUUUUCUGCAUUUUUCUUUUAUUUGCCUAUAGCCAGCUUCCGUUUACUUUUAAAAAAAAGGAUUCUAAUUCCUUUGAAUUUGAUUCCCAUCUAAUUCUAUGUUUCAAGGCCCAUUUUUUUUUUUUUAUGUAUUAUUUCUCUCCAAGGCUCACUUUUUUUUGAAUAAUGUAAUUUAGUCCUUGAUAAAAAUUCAUUUGUGCAGCACAAAUCCUCUUUAUUUCAAAUCAAGCCCUUCAAUUUCUAAAGUGUUGAAUUUGAUCUCAAAGCUGUAGAUUUCAUUCAUUUUCGUCAUUCUUGACCAAUAUUUAUUCCAAUCCCAAAUUUUCUCGUAACAGAAUCCAAAAAUACAAAAAAUUAAGUAUUAAGUUCACAAUAAUACUAACAAAAGACACUUUAUGUGGCUUAAAUAAGUGUAAAUUUAAUACUUAUUCAUAUCCACCUUCACAUCCACUCCCUUUUCAAUGAAUUUUGUCAUUUUCGGUGUGUCUUCGAGUUCCUAGACCUAAAGAAAAUGCAUGGAUACAAUUAUAGCAUUUAUAUCUUGUUGCCGUAAAUCUGCGUUGACAUAAUCUAUAGCCUCCUCAUAUGAAGUCUUAUUAUCUACUUGUAUUGUGGACAUCAUCUGUUUGGACUGUCCAACCAACAAGUAUGUGAAAAAUCUCAUGAUGACCUUAUAACCUUAUCUAAGUGGUUGUAGCUCCUAGAUCGUGGCGUUAUUAAGGAAUCACAAUGUUUUCAUCAAAGCUAGUAUCACCAUCAAGUUGACUCCAUUACUUUUGACAAUUUUUUCAUCUAUAGGAUCAUAUGAAAGAUCAUAGCUCCUACUCUGGUCAUGAUGUCUUAAUAUUCCUAAAACUGUAGUUUGGUUUUCAUCAAAAAUAGCAUCACCAUUAAGUCGAAUCCAUUACAUCCUCAGUUUCAACAAUUUCUUCAUCUAUAGGAUCACAUGAAUGAUCAUCCCUUCUACUUUUAUCAUGUUGUUUUAGUAUUCCUAAACUGUAGGUUGUUUGUCACCGGGGUUGUGUUUCUAGAAUUGAUAUCGUAGAUUUAUUCUCACUCAUUUCUUUGAAAACAACCUUAUUUUGGUUUGAAAAGACAUAUAUUGAACACAUUAAGUCAUAAAUAUUAGUCUAGAAUUUCAUGUUAAAACUAAAUAGUGACAUUACAAAUAUUACAAAUCAAAGUUUACUUAUAAUUAUUACAUGCAAUAAUAUGAUACAAAUAUUUUAGUGCUAACCUAUUAGUCGAUGCUAAUUUGAGCCACAUUUGCAGCUGUAACACGUUAUUGAUUCUUUAUAUAAAGAUAAGAAUAUAGCCAAUUUAUUCAUUAAUUACAAUCACAAUAUAAAGCAAUUAAUAAAAAACGAAUAAGAAGAUCAAAUACGAUAAUAUAUUCUACAGCUUUCUGUGAAUCAUCCAAUACUUCUACAUUAUUCAAAUAUUGACGAAUUAUUAUAGGUUCCUUAAUACAACAUUUUAGGACAAAUCAUCGCCUCAACAUCUUUAAGAUCAACCAACGCCUAAAAGAAUAAAAAAAUUCAACAACUAAUAGGGAUUAUAAAUUCAGUAAUUUUGAAUAUUUGAAUAGCUAACACAUAUUUGACAAUUUUCGAAGGUAAUCUCAUACUUAUUUGCAUUCAAUUUCCACCAAAGUAAUAGGUUGAAAGGCUCAUUAGUCAAAUCUUGACAUAACCAUUUAAGAAAUCUAUCAAAUUAUUCUAUCGAUUAAAUAGUAAAAUUUAACAACUAAGUUUAAAUAUAAAUAAUAAAUCGUAUGAUCUAACCAGAAAAUUGAGAAGUAAAUAAACAAAUAGUAUCGUCUAAAAAAAUUAAGGGCUUCGAAAAAUCACAACAAAACAAAAAAAUUAUCAAUAAAAUAUAAUAAACAAUUACAAAAAAUAAGAAAUUUUGGAUAAACUUACAUGGAAAUUUCGGCAAAAUUCGAGAAAAAUAUUAGUAGAAGGAAAGGAAAUGGUGUGAGUUUAUUAAAAUUUAAUUGUCUACUCAAUGUGAUGGACAUUCGAUGAUUAUGGUUUCAAAAAAGUUCAAUACUUCAGCCAAUUUGAGAAUUUUUCUUUCACAAUUUUGAUGACUUAUGGUUAUUUAUUAUUUAAUUAAUUGGAAUGGAUAGUUGUCUAAUUGUGUGUUGAAUUUAACUGGGUUGGAUAUAAUAUGAAUGUAUAUUUUGAAUUUGGAUGCUUUACGUUUUAGUUGGGUUGAAUAAAAUUUAAAGUAACUUAUUUUUCAAUUAUUUUUAUUUUUUGUAAUAAUUUGAUAAUUUGAAAUGGUUUGCAAAAAUUGAAAUCUAAACAAAUCUAAUUUGAAACGAUUUGGUUCGAUUCAAAAUAAAAACAUUGAGGGAUCUAUGUGAACCCAAAUCAAUGAUUUCAAAAACUAAUUUUAGUUCGAUUUCAUAGUUUGACGAUUUUGCUAUCUGGCCCUAGUAAUAGCUGUUUUUAUUAAAACAAUGGAUUUUUGUUUAAAGUUUAAAAGUUCUUGUUGAUCAAUAAAAUUUCUUUUUAAGUUAUUUUAAAGAAGCUCAAAUUUUUCAAAAAGCUUUGUAUCCAAGAAAAUUGAAAUAUGUAUUUAAUAAAACUUUUCAAUAAACAAAAUUAUCCUUCAAACUAUCUUAACAUCGAAAUAACAAUGGACUAAUAUAGCCCCCCAGGGCACAUCCGAGUUGGUGGAUCAAUAACUUUGGCGGGCUCGCAACUUCAGCGUGGAGAGUUCGAUUCCUGGUGGGAACCUGUAAUCCAACAAAUGGGCAACUUUGUUGGUGGAUCAAUCACUAUGGAGGAAAGCUCUCUUGAGGCCAAGAGUAAAAAUCGGGUGGGAACCUGUGAUCCAACAAGGGCACAUCCUGCGGUUUACCUCCGCUAGUCACUGAGGGGCCGAUGGCUAGGGGUUCAGGAUUUAGUCUGGCGAAGCUGGGACACCUGGGUAUAAAAAAAAAAAAAAAAAAAAGGAAAAAAAAAAAAACAAUGGACUAAUAUAAUAAAUUUUAUAAUUUAAAGUUUCAUUUUGAAAGGUUAACAAAUAUGUUUCUAUCUUAUUUUUAGUAUUAUUUAUCAUUUUAACUAUGAAAUGUCACAUACAAUCCCCAUUUCAAUUAGUUAAAAUAUAUAAUAAAAUAAAUAAUGUGAUCUACACAAAUAAAUAACUUGAUAUUCAUUUAAAUAAUAAUACUUCGUUAUUUUAGUUAAAAUAAAUUUUAAUAGUUUCAAUGAAUGGAAAUAAAUAUUAUAUACAAAUAAAUUAUUAAAAUUUAGCCACAUAAGUAUGUGGUAAGCACUUUUUAGUUACACUACCAAACAAUCUAUUUAGUACUCACAACAUUUUUCAGAUUGACUAUCAAACGAACAACUUUUUAUUAAAAGCUUUUCUUGAAAAGGCUCUACUAGUAAAAACUCUAUUGAUAAAGUUCUACACACAAUAGUUGUACUUAAUGGACCCUAAAAAGAUUAGAUGCAACAUCAUUCUCCAAUUUGACACAACAACAAAGAUGUUGAUUUUUCAUUAAAUCUUAGUAGAUGGAAUGGCUGGGAUAUAAAAAGCAACAGUGGCUUAUUUAACACAUUUGAAAUUUAUUGACCAAAUAGUAACAGGUGGGAAAGUUUAGUGACCAUUUCGAUAAUUAACCCGACGUUACUCUAAAACAGAGUAUUAUUAUAUAAUUUUUGACCACUUAUAAUAAUGUUUUGUGUUUCUUGAUAGAUCCUUCUAUGACCAGUUUUAGUACUUUUCCAAACUAAAUAUUCUAUGACAUUUGUGGGACAUAGGAAAGAUAAUUGACAAUUGAUAUAUACAAAAUGACAAUUAGAGUUGUUAGGGUGAUCAGUGGUUAAAUGUGAACAUUACGGGAAGUCUAAAAGCUAAAAUAUUUUUUUAUAGAAGUCUUACCAAAUGUUGAACGGCUUAAUUGCAAUUAAAUUACUUGUGAAAGGAGAAUUUGACUCUUCAGGAUCAUAUUCUCAAAAAAUUCUCCACGACUAGGGAAUUAUUUUCAUUUUAAAUAUAACGGAGAGAUGUCUAAUAAAUAAUAUGUCAAGGUUCGGGAAUUUUAUUGUGUGAGAGAUCUUAACUUUGUGAUUCUCGCCUUAUUUUCAUAUAUAGUAAAAUUUUCUUGCAACACUAUUUUGUCUAAGAAUAUUUGAUUAAUUUUCUCACCACCUUUGUAUCUGAAAUUGAAAAAUUCAUAAAAUUGAAAAUUAUCAAACAAUAGAAGGAUUGGUGUGCAAUAAAUAAAUAUUAUUGUUCCGGCAUAAUCCAUUAUUUUUCUUUCCGUAGCAGUAAUAUUAUGAAACUUGUACAAAAUAUUUUUCACAAAGUAAAUCGUUAGUUUUUGGUUCCUUUCAAGAAAAAUAGUAGUUAAUUUUAAUCUAGAAUUAUUUAAUAAAAAAUUAGAAGUAAAUAACUUUGGGGACCAAUUUAGAAAUCUCUAAAAAAUUCCUCUCCAAUUUUAACAUUUUAAGAUUUAAACGGGCCAGUUACCAAAUACGUUCAUUUCUUUAAUAACAAACAAACGUGGAACUGUGGAAGUCAAAUAUAAUAAAAAAUACAUAUCUAAUAAUUAACAUUCAAGGUUGAAUGUCAAAUGUUGAACGAAAUCUUAACAUUUUAUAAGAAUUUAGAGGAAAGAUAAAUUUAAGUCAAAUCUUGGUUGUUAAAAGGGAAAAUUUCAAAUAAUUAAAUCCAUCCUCUAUAUAUCUAAUAAUUUAAGAAUUUAAAUUAAAUUUUAAUAUAUAGUGUCGAAAAAUUAGACAAAAUGUCAUCAAAUAAAGCCUCAUUGUUACUUUUAAAAUUUGUAUAUGUAUAAGAUCUUUAAUAAAAAAAUUAAUCCGAAAAUUGUGAAGAAUUUGGUCAAGUAAAAUGAAGAACCCAUUUUGCAAACUCAUAUAUUGUAAAUGCAUGUUUUAUAAGAACCAGAGGCGGACCCACAUGGUGUCAUGUGAGAUCAAAUGACCUCACAAUUUUAUUUUAUUUUUUUUCCCUGCUGAAAACGUAAUUUCAUGCCAAGUUGGUGAGCCAACCCAAUUAAUUUUCCUAGCCCAAUACUCAAAAAGCCCAAAUCCUAAAUCUAUAUCCAUAUCACAUUGUCCAUAUCCAUUAGUUUGUCCAUAGAUAUAUCAUAUAAUUCACCGAUUUCUUCUUUUUGUUCAUGAUACGUUGUUCUAAAUAAAUUUCAUUUUUAACUCCACAGUUUGAACUGUCUAGAUCCGCACCCGAUAAGCACGUAUAAUGAAGAUUGAGAUGUAAACAAACUGGUGCAAGCCUCAUCCUAACUGUAAAAAAAUUGAAACUUCGACAAGGGAUCCCAACAAGUUGGUCCCACUUCUUUUUCCUAACUUUCCUUGGACGAUAACAAUUAAUAGUGCAACACUAACGAAAAGUUACGGACCAACUUGAAAAAUGAGGCAAUAGGUUGGGGACCAACGGUGAAAUUUUUGCAGAUUUUGACAACUAUAUAUACAGGUCACAAGUGACUCAUCUGAUAUUCCAUAAAUUUCUCAAAGCUAGUUGUCCCCUGCAUUCAUUGUCUCUUUAUUCCACGGAAGGAUGAAGGUAUGCACACACACAGUUGAAAUGCAAGAAAUGGAAAGAGAAACCCUUGAAUCUUCUUAUAUGUAUAUUUACUCUUUCAAUGUUUUUCAUCAUCAGCAAAAGGUGGUCAUUGAGGUCUCGUUAAAUGGCCAUAUCUCUCAAGGCAUCAUUGAGAUGUUGAUGUGCUGCGUAAAUCAAGAGUCGAACGAAGCUACGAAGAUUAGAACGAGGGCCAUGAAGAUUGCAGUAUGCAUCCCAAGUAAGUUAAAUCUUUUUUAUGAGUAACAAAGCCUGUGUUUGAGCAUUUUUAUUUAUUUAUUUAUUUAUUUGGUGAAAAUGAGCUCAAAGACCGGCAAAAAUAGCUUGUUUGGUACUUGAGACUUACAUAAUUAUAUCUAGGACAUCAAACAAGGUUCCUUUUUUUUUUUCCCCCAAUAUUGUCUAGUCAACUUUAUCAGACAUGCAAUAAGAAGACUUCAAUUUAGAUGGUGUUAUUUACGUUAUUCUAUAGGGGUAGAGUCUGCAGCAAUGGAGGGGGAGGAAAGGAACAAGCUAACAGUGAUUGGCGAAGAUAUCGACACGGUGACUCUUGUCAAAUUGCUUAGGAAGAAUGUGUGCUUCGCGAAGAUCGUGAGUGUUGGCCCUACAGAGACUGUCAAAACUGCCGAGGACAAGAAUCAGGCGGCUGUGCAUCCCAUAUGCUAUAAUCAUGUGCCUCAUUAUCAAUUAUUGGAAAUCAGAGAACCCUACUAUACCCCCUCAUGUUUCAACUUUUGAAUGCUUAUUGGUGUUGAAUUUGUCCAAAAAAUUAAUAAUAAUGAAAAAAAAAAUUAUGUUUUGCAAUGGAAAUGAAUAAAGUGACAAAUUUUGUUUGAAAUAAUCUUACAGAUAGAACAUAUUGUAUAAUUAUUGUUUGUUGUGGAAGCUCGCUUCAAGAUGUUCAAACGGUGAUUUUCUAGCUCAGUUUCACAUUAACUUUUUCUACCAAACAACCAAUCUAAACAUCUCUGACUCACAAGCAAUCUAUUUUCCUUAAUUGCUUCUCAAUCUUACCCAUAGAUGACAAGAUAACGGUGUUGAUUUGUAAGUUACAAUGAAACAAGAAAAAUAAUGAAUGAGGCACAAAGAAGAGACCAAAACGAAGGAGGAAGUCACCAGCUUUCACUCUCAAUUGCACACAUUUUUCUCCAAUAGUAGGCAGCCAUGUUCUCUCUUUACACACAAACCACACACUAAAAAAUGCCUAGCUCAAUACACCAUAUAUAUAGAUAUAGGUUAGGUUUUAGUCUGACCAAGAAAGGGGUUAAAUUGACUAAGAUUUAAAAGCCAUCCAAUAGAUAAAUAUAUGGGCCGUGAAUAGCAUUAAUUUCUUAAGCUACUUUCAACAGUCCACGUUGUUUUCGUGUUGAGCCUUUAGACUUGGUUGUUGGUAAUCAAUUCAUCAUUGUCCAAGACCUGUGAAAAUAUAUUCAAACGUUUUACAUCAUCGCCAAAGAUUUAUUGGUUAUGAAAACCCAACAAAUUUUCACCUUGAUACACAAUCAACCUGUAAGCUAUCAAAACCCAAAAUCAAUACUCACAUAAUAAAUGUAACCNNNNNNNNNNNNNNNNNNNNNNNNNNNNNNNNNNNNNNNNNNNNNNNNNNNNNNNNNNNNNNNNNNNNNNNNNNNNNNNNNNNNNNNNNNNNNNNNNNNNNNNNNNNNNNNNNNNNNNNNNNNNNNNNNNNNNNNNNNNNNNNNNNNNNNNNNNNNNNNNNNNNNNNNNNNNNNNNNNNNNNNNNNNNNNNNNNNNNNNNNNNNNNNNNNNNNNNNNNNNNNNNNNNNNNNNNNNNNNNNNNNNNNNNNNNNNNNNNNNNNNNNNNNNNNNNNNNNNNNNNNNNNNNNNNNNNNNNNNNNNNNNNNNNNNNNNNNNNNNNNNNNNNNNNNNNNNNNNNNNNNNNNNNNNNNNNNNNNNNNNNNNNNNNNNNNNNNNNNNNNNNNNNNNNNNNNNNNNNNNNNNNNNNNNNNNNNNNNNNNNNNNNNNNNNNNNNNNNNNNNNNNNNNNNNNNNNNNNNNNNNNNNNNNNNNNNNNNNNNNNNNNNNNNNNNNNNNNNNNNNNNNNNNNNNNNNNNNNNNNNNNNNNNNNNNNNNNNNNNNNNNNNNNNNNNNNNNNNNNNNNNNNNNNNNNNNNNNNNNNNNNNNNNNNNNNNNNNNNNNNNNNNNNNNNNNNNNNNNNNNNNNNNNNNNNNNNNNNNNNNNNNNNNNNNNNNNNNNNNNNNNNNNNNNNNNNNNNNNNNNNNNNNNNNNNNNNNNNNNNNNNNNNNNNNNNNNNNNNNNNNNNNNNNNNNNNNNNNNNNNNNNNNNNNNNNNNNNNNNNNNNNNNNNNNNNNNNNNNNNNNNNNNNNNNNNNNNNNNNNNNNNNNNNNNNNNNNNNNNNNNNNNNNNNNNNNNNNNNNNNNNNNNNNNNNNNNNNNNNNNNNNNNNNNNNNNNNNNNNNNNNNNNNNNNNNNNNNNNNNNNNNNNNNNNNNNNNNNNNNNNNNNNNNNNNNNNNNNNNNNNNNNNNNNNNNNNNNNNNNNNNNNNNNNNNNNNNNNNNNNNNNNNNNNNNNNNNNNNNNNNNNNNNNNNNNNNNNNNNNNNNNNNNNNNNNNNNNNNNNNNNNNNNNNNNNNNNNNNNNNNNNNNNNNNNNNAAUUUUACUACUUUACAACCAACACUAUUCACUAAUCUCCAAUAACCAUGCCAACCAAUAGAGAAAAAAAGGGAAUCCUAAGUGCACAAGGGGCAAAAUUGUCCAGAAUCUCAAUUUUGCCUAAGGGGUAAAAUUGUCCAGAAUCUCAAUUUUGCCUAAGGGGUAAAAUUGUCCAGAAUCUCAAUUUUGCCUAAGGGGUAAAAUUGUCCAGAAUCUCAAUUUUGCCUAAGGGGUAAAAUUGUCCAGAAUCUCAAUUUUGCCUAAAAUAGAAAUCGAACACCACAAGUCUAUCUCGUCAUCUGGAACAAUCUGUUAGAAGAUAACGUUAUCGAAAUCACCUCUACGCUCUCUCACAUGCAUCUGGUUGAGUUUCAUGCGCUGUCCGACCACUUCAUGAGCUGAUCAUGCAGCUGUGCCUCCACCUAUACGUCACGCCAAUAGUUUUCGUUUCACCAACCAAUCAUUGGAUUAGCUCGAAACACAGAAAUAUGUUCAGUAGCCUUGAAGAAACUGGGCAAAUUUGGUUUCUAUUUUGAUUCUAUAGAUUUUCUAGUUAGUUGUUAGUCAGAUUUUUGAGCCACCUUGAAGCUCUAACCAAUUGUUGCAGAAGCUCGCUCCAAUAUCAAAAUUGUUAUUUUUGAGCCCAGUCUCACAUUAUCUUUCUCCAAUUCAAAUGGCACUAACCACAAUCAAUCCAUUUACCACAGUUGCUUCUCAAUCUCACCCAUACAAGAUAAAUAACGGUGUUGAUUUGCAAGCCAAGAAGACAUGAGAAAAAAAAUGAAUAAGGCACAAAGAUGAGACCAAAACGAAGGAGGAAGUCACCGAUUUUUUACUCUCAAUUGUACAUGUUUUUCUUCAACAAUAAGCAGCCAUUUUUUUCUCUCUUUACUCACAAAUCGCACACUAAAAAAUGGCUAGGGAAAUACACCAUAUAUAGUGAUAUAAGUUACGCUUUAGUUGUACCAAGAAAGGGGUUAAAUGUGCCAAGAUCAAAGAGCCAUCCAAUCGGUAAAUAUAUGAGUCGUAAAUAGCAUUAAUUUCUUAAGCUACUUCCAAUGGUCCUUGUUGUUUUCGAGUUGAGCUGCUAUACUUGGAUAUUGGUAAUCAAUUCACCAUUGGUCGAGGUAUAUGAAAAUACAUUCCAACGUUUUAUAUCAUUGUCCGAGAUUUAUUGAGUAUCAAAAUCCAAUAUUGUUGAAAGAUAAUGAGAAAUAGGUAAAAGAGAGAACUCAACAAAUUGCAGAACCUAUAGGUUUUAAUACGUAAUUGUUGUACUCAAAUGGUAUAGGAUGUUUUAUGGUGCUUAAAGAGAUUCGCCAGCAAAUGAUUUGUAGAAUAAACAAGUAUUUAAAAAAAUUAAAUACGUGUGUUUUCUUCCAAGAACUUGAUGAACAUUAAAAACAUUUAAUAUGUAUAAAAAUGGGAGAAAGAAACACUUAAGUGGAUUUUAAGAAUUGAUAUCUUAUGGUUAUAAUUGAAAACACGUAUUAUAGUUUUCCACAAACAGUCCACAAAUUAGUAAAUAACUUUUAUGAAAGUUGUUAAUUUUCAUGAGAGCUGCCAAGAGAUCAAAAUUGGAAAUUAGACUAAUGACUAGUUCUUGUAACCAUGUAUAUGCAUUGUUCAAGGAAUACAUGGCACAAAGAACAUGGGCUUAAAGUUGCCCACCCUCCAAUUUCUUCCCAUUUUGAUCUCAUAUUGAUUUUUCUUUUUCAAUGGUAAUUAUUUUUUCAAUUCUCCCUUCCAAUAUAAUUUUUGAACAAAAUAUAACAAUCCUCCAGCUAUUCAAAAUUAUAUAGAUCACAAAUAUAAAUUAUCAACACUUACACAUAAGUUUAGAUAUCUUUUGAUUUGAAUCUUACUUUAGUAUAAUUCCCACAAAGUAUAAUCAAAAUUUCAGGUAGCAUAAUAGCUUUGAAACAAUUAUUACUUGUGAUGAAAUCGAUAAAAAUAUACGCAUAAGUGCCGUGUUUCAUAGUUCCUCAAACUCGCUUAGAGCUAAUAUGGACUUAUCCUUAUCCUAUUUGUUGAACUUUUAAGAGAGAAACUCUAAUUCUCUAUGAGUUGCCUCAAAGUUCAUUUAGAUGAAGUUCUUUCUGUUUCUUUGUUACUUUUAAAGAUACUUGUACUUUGUAUUGAAUUUCAUUAAGAGCUUAAAGCUUACCCCUCCUUUAAGUAAUAACCAACAUUAUUACAUUUUAGGAUAGGGUUCUCGCAAAUAUAAUAAUGCUGAAACUAUCCACUUAUUGAAUAACUUAUUGUUACCUUUUGAGCCCAUAGUUACUAUUUUGAAAUGACAAAUAAGAUUGCCUUCAUUGGUGGAUCUUUUAAUUUAAGAGUUUUAACCCCAUCCUACUCAAUGUAGAUAUUACCAGAUCUCUAUUAAGAGGUUUAGUAAAACGAUCCACCAAAUUCUCAUUUAAAUUAAUGUAAUUUGGGGAAAGUAUUCCAUUUUUGAUCAAUUUUCUUAUGUAGUCAUGUUUUAGACUUAUAUAUCUAAACUUUCUAUUGUAUACCUCAUUGUAUGCUUUUAUUAAUGUGUCAUGACUAACACACAAAAUAAAUAUCAAAAAAUAUAUUCGUUAUUCCCAAAGACAUCUCAUAUAGAUCUUUUCUUAAGCAACAUAACCCCUUUCUAGGUGUUGGCUAAUAACACUAAUUUAGAUUCCACGAUUGAAUGUGUUAUACAUGUUUGUUUCUUAAACUUUCAAGAAACUACACCGCUUCUAAGAAGAGAAACCCAACUCGAAGUAGAUUUAUUUUAUCGGUGCUAGGUAUCCAACUAAUGUCAGUAAAUCCUUUUAAUACAGUAAAAUAUUUAGAAUAAUGUAGAUCUAUAUUUUUGGUUUCCUUUAAAUAACAAAUAACCCUCCCGAUGACCUCCAAUGUUCCAUCCUUGGAUUAUUAGUAAACCUACGAAGUUUACUAAUUGCAAAUGUUAUAUCAGAUCUUAUGUAUUAAGCUACAUAAUAAGGCUAUCUAUAGCCCUUGCAUACUCUAGUUGAACAAUUGCUCUUCCAUCAUUUUUUUUAUAAGUUUGGAGUUUGUAUCAAGAGGGGUAUUGAACUCUUUUGUCUUCAAGUGAUUAAACUUAUUAAUUACAUUCUCUAUUUAAUGUAAUUGACUUAAAAUUAGCCCUCACUAGUUUUUGUAACCUUAGUACCUAAUAUGGUGUCAAAUUGUCCAAAAUCCUUUAUCUUGAAUGUGAAAAAUAGAAACUUGUUUUUCUUUUAUUUCAUUUAUGUAAUUACUCAAAAUCUACACAUCGUCAACAUAAAAGGCAAAUAAACACAACAAAUUCAUCAUACACUUUGAAAUAUAAACGCUUAACUACACUAUUAUGUGUGAAACCAAACUUUUCAUGCCAUUUCUUUGGUGCUUGUAUUAAACCAUAUAAUGAUUUUACUAACUUGCACAUUUUAUGUUCAUUACUAGAGUGGCCAAAGCCUUUCGGUUGUUCUAUGUUGAUCUCCUCUUCAAGAUCCCCAGUUAGGUUUUUAUAUCCAUUUAAUUUGAUGAACAUUCAAGUUAUAUAUGGAAGCUAAUGUAAAUAAUAUUCUAAUUGAUGUAUUCUAGGUACCUAUGCAUAUUUAUCAAAAUAACCAAUUCUUUUUUUUUUGUCAAUAAUCUUUAGCCACUAAUCUUACUUUAGCGGUAUUAAGAGUACCAUCUACAUUGUAUUUUCUCCUAAACACCCAUUUACAACCAAUAUGUUUAAAUUCAAGUGGUAAAUCGACAAGUUCCUAAGUAUUGUUUGACAUAAGUGAAUCCAUUUUGUCUUUUGUGGCAUCUUUACAAAAUAUAAUAUCAUAAGAAGCCAUAUUUUCUUUACAAGUCUUAGAAUCGGUCUCUACAUGUGGAAUAAAAGGCACUGUCCUAAUAAAAAUUUUAUUAUUUUUCUCUACCAAGUAAAGUGAAAAGAGUUCAGAAACUAUCUCAUUCUGUCUGAAGGUUUUUUCUUUCUAAGUUCUUUUGCUUCUUUUAAACUCACAAGAUUUAUCAACAUCUUUAGAAGAUGUUUCCUAUUGUUUUCCACCUAACACUAGGAAUCUCUUCUUGAGUUUUCUUAAGUCAUUAUCCAAAGAUAAUAAAUUCUCAAAGAAUUCAACUUCAUUUGAUUCGAUUAUUACAUUUGGUCUCCAAAUUUAACAAUAAAUAGGAUUUGCUAUUACUAGCAUAUCCAACAAAGGCAAUUUUGUUGCCUCUUGGUCCCAAUUUGGUCUUUUCUAGGUCUAUGUUCUUAUAAUAAUCAAGACACUCUCACACUUUAGAAUAUUCAAUGUUUCGAUUUUCUUCUUUUCCACAAUUCAUAAGAAGAAAUUUUUGUGAUUUUUAAAGGAAUUCUAUUAUAGAAUCUAUAUGCACAUAACAAAACUUAACCCCACAAGUUAAAUAGCAAAUUAACAUAUGUUAAUAUGGCAUUUAUCAUUUCAACAAAUUUUCUAUUUUUUUUUUCCAAUUUGGUCUUUUUUAGGUCUAUGUUCUUAUAAUAAUCAAGACACUCUCACACUUUAGAAUAUUCAAUGUUUCGAUUUUCUUCUUUUCCACAAUUCAUAAGAAGAAAUUUUUGUGAUUUUUAAAGGAAUUCUAUUAUAGAAUCUAUAUGCACAUAACAAAACUUAACCCCACAAGUUAAAUAGCAAAUUAACAUAUGUUAAUAUGGCAUUUAUCAUUUCAACAAAUUUUCUAUUUUUUUUUCUUUCCAUCGAAUUGUUAUGCCCCUCACAUAGGCACAGAGGCGUUUUCAUGUGCCGAAGCACGUAAGGAAGAGGUGCUCCCAAAAUAUGAUAUCGUCUGAAGCGUCUUCACGUGCCAAGGCAUUGCUUUCGAAAUAUGAGGCCUGAGCCGCAUUGACAAAGGCACUAUGUCUGAGGGGAUAUGUCGGGGAGAAAAGGAUAAGCACCUCUUCAUUGCCAAUUUCAGAGAUCUUCUGGCCAAGAUCUUCUAUGUGUCUUUAGAAAUGAUUGAUGUGAUGUCUCUGCCAUGUGUCAACCCAGAAUCAGUAGAAUUAAUUGCCCACCCACCUAGGAAGCGAUUGGUGGAUGCCUACUAGUGACACCUCGUACCGUUGGAUGAUUUCACGUGUCACGCAUCUAGCGGUGCUCUUAAAAAUCUUAAAAAUCAUCUAUGAAGGUGAUAAAAUACAUAUUUCUCCCAUGUAUAACGUGUCAUUUAAUUCACAUAUUUUCAAAUGGACAAUUUCUAAAUAUGUAAAGUCCUAUUCACACAAUGAUAAAGUUUCUUAGUCAUUUUCGGUUCCACACAAUUUCUAUAUUUAUGUGUAUAUUUUAUAUUGUAAGAUUUAUAUUGUAAGAUAUCAUAUCAUAGUUUAACAUAAGAAAGAAAAACUUGAUUACGAGAACUUCAUGUUAGGCCGAUUACAUUAGUACAAAUAUACCUAAACUGGAUUGAGAACGUUGGAGUGAGAGUGAAUGCUAAGUUCCUAUUCAUGUUGGAAACAUGUAAUAGAUUUAUUAGGGCAAUUGUUUUUCCGAAAGUGAAGACAAUAUCAACAUUUCAUUUACCAACCACUUUGAAGUAGCCUUCAUUACCCAUUUGCAUCCCUUGCUCACCAUUCGAUUCGUGACAAGUCUUGAAAAAUAACUUAUCAUAUGAUACAUGAAUGUUGUUGCACAUGUAUCAUACUUCCAGUCAGGAAUAUUUUAUUUGAUAGCAUUGAUUUCACUCAUAGUAGAUGCAAUGUUAUCAUCAAAUGAGUUUAUUUUGCUCUCAUUCUUGUUUUGUUUUCGAUGCAAACAAUUUUUCGCAUAAAUUUCGGGUUUUCGUCCCAUAAAAAAAUCUCUCUUGGACUUUUUGUGAUCCUUAUUAAAAGAAUUCCUUUCGUUUAUGUUGACCUAUGGUUGAUUGUAACCUUAAGCCUUUGAUUUAUAACAAACAAGUUAAUUUCGUUUACUCAUAAAUUGAAUUCAAGUGAUUAUAGUCUUUCAAAGCAUACAAUGAAAAAUUGAUUGAUGGUGAUUGAAAUAUCAAAAGCUAUUAUAAUAAUCGGACUUCUAAAGGAGGUCAAGAUCGAAGUCACAUACUCAAGAGCUUAAGAGCCAAACUUUGAAAUAGAUCAAUGAUUAGAUUUCUUAGAUAAAGUGCAAAGAUAUUGGUACUUUGAUAUUUAGCAAUGACCAUUUAGGCUCCAAAUCCUUCUAUGUAUUAAAAAUAAUUUUAUGCAUUAAAAGUUAUUUUUGAUAUAAUUUUUGAUUAAAUAUAAAAAUGACUUUUAAAAUGGUAUUCUAACUGGAAAAAUAUCUUUUAUCUUGAAAAGUUAUUUAAAAAUACUUUUCAAAAGUCAAACGCUUUUCAAAACCUUCAAAUUGGAUCAAAUAAGGCCAAAACGUAAAAAUAUCGAAACUGUUAGACAGUUUACAAGCUAGAAGAAGCGAUCAAUCAAAAAUUUUCAAAGGUCCAAAAUUUGACCAUUUUGACCUCUAUAUUUUACUAUACAAAAAGCUAUAUUUAUCAUCCGAACAAGAGACUGUCGAUCGGACAUGUCAUCCGAACAUACAAUUUUGACGUUUUGAACUAUAUAAAUACCUCCAUUUCUUGCAUUCAUUAUAGCAAUGUUGGAGAGCAUUGAAAGUGAAAAAUGACUAAGUAUAUCUCUUGAGCUUACAUCUCAUUUAUUCUAUCAAACAAUUACUUAAAAAUCUUUAAUUUAUUAAACUUUUUAAAAUCAUCUUUUUAUCAAAUCUUUUUCAUCUAAUACUUGAGCUUCAUUUAUUGCUAUUCAAUUGAAGUGUUGAAUUCAUCCUGUGUUUUUUCUUUUCCAUUCACUUGGAUUUCUGGCUUUGGUUUUUUCAUAAAAGUGCAGCCGUGGUAUUCAGAAAAUAGAGAUCUUUUUUAGUGUUUUUACAAGAAAUCUCUAGCCAACCCAACGCGUUUUGAACUAUUUAAAAUUAAAAUAUCUUAAUUUCCAAUUCCAUUGGACUCCUAUUUCUCUCUUAGCACUUAAUUUAUUUAUAUCAUUUAUUAAGAGAGAAGUUUCAAAUUGUAAAAUCAUUUCUUAUCAGAUUUGUGGGUCUUAUUGAAGUCCUAUAAAGCUCAAUAUUAUAUAAAGAACGGAGCUUCUUGUUUGUAAGGCAUCAAAAGUAUUGUAAGGAUUUGGAUUUUACCAUAAGUUAAUCAAAUAUAGUGAAUGGGUCUUGCUCGUAACUGGGAACUUGGUAACGUAGGAUAUAGAUAAUUGUUUUGGAUCAAACCUCUACAUUUAUAUCAUUUGCAUUCUCUCUUUUAUUUUAUUUAUUGCUUUCGUAUUUGUGCAUUUUGUUUGAUUGAUUUAUUCAUUCCCAAUUUGCUUGAAUUUGAAUCAAUUUUUCGAAAACAUUUUGAAAACCAAUUCACUCCUCUCUUGAGCUGUCAAUUUGAUUUGUUGGAUGGUUCGUUCUUUUUCAUGUCAUUGGCUUUCAACAUGACUUCGCAAGAGUUUUCAUUCUUGUCUCUUGCCCUCAAUUCUUCUUCAUUUUGGAGAUGCUUUUGAAUUUGGAGCAAAGAAAAUGAAACGAUGAGGGUUCUAUUUAUAUAUUUCAAUGCAUCUAUCUUAAUAGUUACAUCUUUGUACAAAAAUUCAUUUUGACCAUUAAAUCAUACCUUUUUAUUGGAACAUGGUCUGAUGAUCUAUAUCGCACACUUUAUAAAGGUAAUGACUCUUCGCUAUGCACCAAUAACAUAUGAAGAGUCAUACCUAAUCAUCAUAACUAUUAGAGACUUAUUCCAAUUCAUAUAUUAAUCAUUAAAUAACCCGAUAAUUCCAACAAUCGCAAACACAAACAAAAUAAGUGACUCAACACAAGCAAAAAUAAGAAAAAUUCUAUUUGCGAGAUAAUGAAUCAAGAUAGGUAAAUUUUCCUUUGAACCUCCCUUAGUAAGAAAAUUCAUCAGACUUGCUUGGGUAAUAAGUGAAACAACAUUUCAAACUAUCAACCAUUAUCACAAGUUUAAACAAUAGAGCAAACACAUUAUUUCUUAUAUUAGACUUGAUUCUUCAUUAUAUUCAUUAAUUCGAUCCUAAACUCUCUUGAGUUCUAAGUACUUUGGAGAAUUCGCCUAAGUAAAAUUCAAAAGAACCUACCAAGUUUUCACUUUCAUAUGUUAUGUUCAUUGAGAUAGUUAAUGAUUCAUUUAGUGUAAAUUGAGUUCUUUGACUUCAAUUGGUCAACAUUCAAAGUAAUUACAAAGCAAGUUAAACUAACUAAUUAUCUACAUUCCCUUUUGUGUUUGAGACUUAGUUUGCCCUUUCCUUAUCCUCAACAAUAUUUGUAGACAUCACUUAUUUACAUUAUAAAAAUAAGGAGAAGUUAAACUCCUAAGUGCUUCUUGUCAAGUCAUUCAUAGUUAGUUUAACUUUUAAAUCCAGUGUUCUGAAUAGUGUGUCUAGGCAUGAGACGUGACAAAAACUCCACGCUUAAGACCUAUGUGCUAAUUUUUUGGUCAAUGGAAGCGUUGGCCGCUUUAAGGCAUGCAUUAUCAUUAUUUUUUAAUUAAAUUUUUGAACAAUUUUUAAUAAGCUCAUUUGUCCUACCCUACAUAAAGUUUUCAACUUUUAGGCCAAUAGAUUGAAAGAUCUAACAAGUUGCUCACUUAUUAGUCCACUAAUUUAUAGAGGGCAUCUCCAACGAUUUUGCUACAAACUUUCGAUGUGGGAUAAAAAAUCCUUCGUUUUGGCUACAGUGCAUUAUAUCUUUGAUUUGGUUGUAAUGUAUUGUACCUUCGAUUUGACCGUAAUGUAUUGUACAAUUGUAUAAAUAGUUAUUUAUAUUUUAUUAAGUUAAUUAAUCAUUUUCCUAUCUUUUACUAAUUAAUAAAAAUUUAAAAAUCUCCAAAUAUUUCAGUUAGCACUAUAUAAUAUAUCUUGUUUAUUGUUUGAAAAUAUAUUUGCUUCGUUGAACUCUUAAAACUACAUUUGGUAAUAUAAUUUGUAUAUAUUAUUAAAUUAUUUUUAAAUUGAUUAAAAAUUUAAAAUAAUAUUAAUGUAAGAAAAUACUUUUUUUACGCCUAAGACUCAUCUAGGUAUGCAUCAAUCGAAGUUUGACCUUCACACAUCGUCAUGCAUGACAUUUUUUUGGAACACUGAUUAAAACUAGUUCGUGAGAUCUACAGUAGUUAGGUUAGGUUUUUUUAGGAUAUCUCUUUAAGUUUUAAACUCAUUUCCCUCGAUGUACGAUCUAUUUGCUUUCUAGAUAAUCCUUUUAUAAAUGAAUUGCUAGGUUUUCUCUUGAUUUAACAACAUCAAACGAUAUUGUUCCAUUAGAAACAAAAGGUUGAAUGUCAUUAUAUUUAUACCUAUGAUGUAUGAAUCUUGACUUAACGAUACACGAAGUUUUAUGUUGUAGCUAUUGUUCGGUUAUUUCUAUAUGCAAUAUGGUUAGCAAUUCAAAGGAUUGGUGGGUCGAUAAUGGUGCAACCCAUUAUAUUUGUGUAGAUAAAGCCAUGUUCUCAGAUUAUCAUGAAUCAAAAGGAAAACAAUUGUUCAUGAGGAACUCUACGAGUUCGAGCGUUGAAGGACUUGGAAAGAUCACAUUGAAAAUGACUUCCGGGAAAGAACUAAUCCUCAAUAAUGUUCAUGUACCAGACAUUUGCAAGAAUUGGUUUCGAAGUCUUUACUUAGCAAGAAUGACUUUACAUUUGUAUUUGUAUCGGACAAAUUUGUACUUACCAAAAAUAAUAUGUAUAUUGGUCAAGGUUAUCUUUGUGAAGGAAUGUUGAUGAACGUUCUAACAAUUGUACGAAAAAGUAUUAUAAAUAAAAAUUCUAAUUAUGUUUAUAUGCUUGAAUUGUCUUGUUUAUGGCAUAGUCGAUUAGAACACAUCAAUUACAAAUCUAUGUUCAAACUUGUGAAUGAAAGUUUAGUUCCGAUGCUUAAGAUUGAUCUUAAUCAUAAGUGUGAAGUAUGUGUUGAAACAAAGUUGACCCAAACACAUUUUCAUUCAAGUCAAAAAGUGAUUAAAGUAUUAUUUUCACGAGGACUAGCUAAAUAUCCAAUUCGAUUUUUAAUUAACAUAUAACUAUCUAAAUGCAAUGCUAAGAAACUAGUAUGAAGCAUUUAUGAACUUGAUUAACAACAAGCAAUAGGACUUCGAAUCUCUCUUUAUAUUAUGUUUUAACAACCAUCAAAGAUAUUGACAACAUGCUUAAACUUGAUGAUUAAUGUACUUAUUUUGUUUAGUAAUCUUUCUCGAUGAAUACUAAAUAUAUUCUCAUAUGUGAACCUACAGUAUGUCUAUGAAAAUUGUGAACGUGUGACAAUGCAUUUAAUCACUAUAUAAUAAAAUCAUGCAAGAUAUAUGGUAUGGGUAUAUAUCUCUAUCACAUAUAGAACCCUACAAAGAUUAUCAUGUGUAUAAUACUUAUUCUUUCUCUCAGACAUAAUAAAGAUCAUUAAUCUGUUCAACUAAUGAUCAAUUAAUUGAAGCAUUAAACAUGUAACAUACUGUUCAAGCUUAACAAGAAUUAAUAGUUAGUCUCGAAAUUAAAAUUAAAACAUCAUAGUCAUAGGCUUAUCGUCAUCCUAGUGACUAGGAAUUUAGUCAAGCAUCAUAAAGUUACAAAAACAAAUGCUUGCAUAUUUAGCCCCGUCUCUUAUUUUAAUUGUAGGAAAAAGAAGGGAAAAUGUCUUGAACUCAUGAAUUUCUUCAAUUCUUAAAUAAUAUCCGUGUAUGAAGAAGCCAAAAUCUAAAUUAUAAUCUUCAAUUUUGGGUAGAUGAUUGUGAGUUCUUGUAUCAAGCUUCUUGAUUUCUCUCUAACGAAUGGUCCCCCAAUGUUUGGUUAAAAAUGAGACUAGAUUUUAUUCCAUGUACAAGUGAGUCAAAUUAGGAAACAAAAUUUUUGUUAUCGGACACUACAAUACAAUCGUACGGUGUCAUGUUUCCACUUGCUAGAAUUCAUGUACCUUGUGAUUUUCGGUCAUAAUGCCUUACUUUUCAUUCUUGGUUAAUUUUUGUUUUUGAAUUCCUUCUUCGGCUCAACUUGAUUCCUCUUCUAUUUUCACCAUAAGUUCUUCAACUUUCAGUUCUUCUCAAUUUAACCAAUGUUAUCCACUAUUACCCAUUCUUGGUCUGUCUCAAGUUUUGGAGAUUUACAAUUCAGUCCCCAAACUUUCACAAUUGUUCUUCUUCGUCCUCUUCAACCGACUUUCACUUCUUUUUUAAUCUACAAUCCAAUAUCAGAACUUUUACAUAACAAUCAAUAUUUAACUAAAAUUAAGUGGAAAUUCAAUUAAUGUGACUCCCAACAUCCACUUUUAAAAGCUUCGAUAAAUGUUAAAUUACGCUUAUCAAUAACAAAAAUCAUGGGUUUGAGAAUUUUAAAAUUUCAGGAAUUUUAUAGAUUGUCUUUCAUGAUUCUAACUUAUUAUAUUCUUAAACUCAUUAAUUUAAUUCUAAAAAUUAACUAUUUUUAAAAUGUUAAGGAACAUAUAUUGAACAACACCAGUACUUAAAAAUAAAUGGAAAUCUUAUAUACCGUAGAGUUUAGUAAUCUCCGACGUUUGAUUUCAUUUGAAUACAUCCCAUAAAUACAUGACUCGGUCCAACACGCUAACGUAAAGUAUCGGUAUGGAAUUUUCGACCACUUAUAUAAUUUUUUGGGUGUCUUGUUGAUCAGUUUUACAGCUUUUUCACAUUAUGAAAUUUGUGGGACAGUGUUUUUAGGUUGAUUAAUGUAGUUACAUGUAAACACUAGGGCCUAGGGAAGUCUUAAAAGGCAAAAGCUUGGUUAUAAACGUCUCGUCGAGGGUAGUGGAAUGGCUUAUUAUAAGUAAAAACUUGAUUAUGACUGGAGAAUUUGAACCUCAAAUGCACGUUCUCAAUUAUUUCUGACUUUUGAAUUAUUUUCAUUUUAUUUUAUUUUUAUUUUAUUUUUUUGUGAGUCAGGUGCUCGAGUUUUGAUUGAUUAAUCUUGAGGAGUGGUUCCUCCCGGUUUGGUUCACCACCUGGGUAAAUUCAAAUGCAAUUACAGCGUAUAAACACUUGGGUCAAACAUUCGGGAUGCGGUUUUCAUGUGCGGACAAGACUCCAGAAGGACAACAAAGCGUAUCAUAACUUUGCCUUCACAGGACAUCUACCUUCCAACGUAAAUGUUGACUUCAAGCUAUCGCAUGGAUCCAAACCUCCGAUACUCCAUAGAGAACUCUCCUAUUUUACUACUGUGCCUUGCCCCUGGGGCUAAUUAUUUUCAUUUUAGAUACUUCGUAGAGAACUUUAUUGUUUUACUACUGUGACAUUCCCGUAGGGCUAAUUAUUUUCAUUUUAGAUAUAGCAUAGACAGGUGUAAUAAGCUAUCAUGGGUCCAUUGAGAGCUGGGAUAUUUUUUGAGUACGAGAGAGACAGUGUCAACCUGAAUUUUCCGUUGGUAAAGAUGAUAUCUCUUUACCAACCGAUAUUCCGUGUCUAAUGUAAUCGUUUAACAUUUAGAUCUUCUUCCAAUGGAUAUUCCAUAAGUUAUGUACCGAAUAUUACCAACGGAUUGCAUCUGUUAGUAACUAGAAACAGAUUAUCCGUUGGUAAAAGUAAUUCACUUUUAGCUACAAUAAUCAGUAACAAAUUUUUCGUUGGUAAAAAUGAUAUCUUUUUAUCAACGAAUAUUCCGUGCCUAAUAUAACCGUUUAACAUUUUGAUCUUUCAGCAACGAAUAUUCCGUUGGUAAUUAAAAACGGAUUAUCCGUUGGUAAAAGAAAUUCACUUAUCCCACAUCGGAAGUUUACAACAAUAUCUUUGUAGUUGCCCUCUAUAAAUUUGUAAUCCAAUAAGGAGUUAAACAAUAUUUUAGCUUUUCAAUUCAAUUGGCUAAAAAUUAAAAAAAAUUAUAAUUAUUAAAUAAAUAAUAAUAAUAAUAAUAAUAAUAAUAAUAAAUAAUUAAAUAAAUUAAUUAAUUAAUUUUUUACCAUACGGUUAUUUACAACAUUGAUUUUUACCAAUUGUAAUGGUAGACAUUUACCAACGGAAAGUCGAUUGGUAUUGGUUAAUACUUUUCCCAACGAAAAUUUCAUUGGUAAAAGAUUCACACUUUAAUAACGAAAAAUCCGUUGGUAAAAUGUUUACUAUUUACGUAAGACAUGAUCUAUUGGUAACUAUUAGCGACCCUCAAAUUACCAGCGGAUUUGUGAUUGCAAAUAUUCCGUUGGUGAAAAUUAUUAGCAACGAAUAUUGAGGUUUUAGGAACGAAAAAUCCGUGCUUGAAACUCUAUUUUUUAAUAGUGUAUAUAAUGAGAGAAUCUCUCACAUUGAGAGGUAUCGAGUUUUAUUGAGUAUAUUUGACAUGGUAUCAGAGCGUGCUUAAUUUUAUUUAGGUUAAACUUACAAACUUCUGUUCUCCAGUGAGCGGCAUUGUGCCGCUCGUCCAGUCAAAUUUUCUUGUUUUUGUUUUACUUUUUUAGACCUUCCAUGUCGAUGUAUUCUCGAGCAUCACCAAGCAUGCAAAUCUUUAGCUUGGACUGAGGGAUAUGAAACCCUUGUCCUUACGAUCAUACUUUUUUUUUUAUCAACCCAAUAUGGAGCUCAAUUGUCUAGUCAAGUUUUAGUUGGAGUUAUUUUGGAGAAGAUUUUGUGUUCUAUUGACUGACCAAUUGGAGUAAUACCCAAUUGCUGGUGACGUGAUUAAUGGCGAUGUUGGUUUCGGCUAUCGAAGGUUCAAGUUACAGAUUUAGGAGUUGGCAUCAUCGACGCCAGAUUGUGGUCGAACUGGCGCCGCUUUUGGAAAUAGCUUGGAACACCCAAACAGAGUGGUGAGACACAAAGGCACGGCCGCUUUCACUAUAAAUCACGGGAUGCUUCACACCAUUACGUUCACACACGAAUUUUACCGCCCGAGCAACAAUAUAAGCAUAAUCUUCAACACUGUAACCAACAAAAAUUUUAGAGUUCUUCCAAGACCACUGCCAUUGUCAAUGACUUUCAUACAAGUACCGAGGUAGAUUAAUUCACAGUAGAUUGGGAAAGCUUCACGUACUCCUUCAGAUGUUGUUGAACUCGUUGUGGAUCUGCACUCGCUAAGAAUGGAACAGUGGAGAUGGAGGCUAGCAUCAUGGAUGGUUCCAGCAAGAGAUGAGGCGUCGUUUCUGGUAUCACCACCGUGAAGAACCCUAUUUCCCUUGCCCAUCUCGUCAUGGAAAAGUCUCCCUAUUCUUAUCUUGCAUUCUCUAGAGCCGAAGAAUAUGCUAAACAACAGGAUUGUGGUGUCGAAUAGAGGUUUCGAUGAAGAACAGAGGCAUUGAUGCAGAUCUGUUUAAGGACUUGGGCUAAUUCUAGUGGGCUUCUAUUGUCUUGGGUUAGCUUUGCAAUUAAAUCUUUUGGGCUGUAUGUUACUUGAGGGUGUUUAUUUGAAGUGGGCUUAUUUUUUUAUUUUUUUGUUGUGUGGGCUGAUUUUGGAGUGGGUUGAAUUUAGGUGGAAAUUUGUUUGGCUUGGAUCUGAUUCGAUUGGGACUUCAUGUGGAUUGUGUCUAUUAGUUUUAAGCUUAGUGGGUUUACAUAUAAAUUAAAGAUUGUUGGGCUUCAAAGUUUUAUAAGGCCUACUAUCAUUUGGGGUUAUUGGCUUUAAGUGAUUGGGUUGUAAACUGUGGAAGCAUGGGAACUUAAGGAGUUGAUGUCUGCUAGUUUUGAAUUGUGUGGAAAAUUCUCUAAUAUGUAGCUCAUGAUUUUCACAAAGGCGCUGCUAAAAAACAAGGCUUUUCGUUUUUUGAUUGAAGAGACAGAGACAUAGGAGUGCAGAGGAUUGAGUUCUUUGGUUGCUCGGAUAAUGAGCUAAAGUUUUGGAUUCUUGGUGGAGGAUUAUCUUUGAAGUUUUUAGUAUUGGCUGUUUUGUGGAAUUUCUUUGAACUACAGCACCUUGGCCAGCAAUAUAUUGCUGAAAUUUUGGCUAGUGUAUUGGCGUUAGAACUUUUGUCGGAGCAUGAAUUAUGUGUUCAAUCGAGUUUUCCCGACAAAUAGAGCUCAUUGUGUAUCGGCACACUUCAUGAAUUUCUUUUGGAAAUUUUUCUUAGGGUAUGAGCUUUUUGGAGUGGUUUUGGAGUAGUUCUUAAUUAUUUCUACACUAUUUGUUAUUCUUGGUUUCUAGUCGUUACUAAUUUUUGUAGAUGGUUGCUCUGAUUUGGGCUUCUUCUUCGUGGGCACAAGUAUUGUCGUUGUCAUCAGUUCAUGAUUGCAAAUUGAUACUUUUACCAACAUCAAUUUGAGGGUGAUGUCAAUGAGAUUGAAUAAGAUUAUAGAGAUUUUCAAAGAUUACGACUUGAAGUCUAUUUUAUCAUUAUAAUUAUAUUAUAUAUAGAUAGAUUAUUUUUACCAUAUUUAAAUUAUAAGUUACUAUUAUUUAAUAUUGUAAUAGAUGCUACAAUAUUUAGUGGUGAUUUUGAUCCUAUAUAAUGAGAGAAUCUCUCACUUUGAGAGGCAUCGAUUCUUAUUGUCUGACCUCUCCUAUGUUCAUACAUUUAUCUUUUGCUAUUCAAUAAAUUAUGCCACCAUGCGUGGAUUUAAUUUUUAAGAAAAAUAAAAGAUGACGCCUGAAUACUGAUACGAUUUCGGCACAAUAAUAGUGAUUCUUCAAUGAAAAUAAUAUUUUGAAACUUCUUGAAUAUAUUUAUUUUAUGUUUUGUAAAGUAAAUAUGAGUUUUUGUCUCUUUCAAGAAAAUAUUGGUGGUGUUUCAAAUAAGGAAAUAAUAUUAUGUUUUUAUUUACUUAAAAAAUGAUAAUAAUUUUUUAGACCAACAUAGAGAUAUCUAAAUAUUGUACUUCCUUAACAUUUUUUAAGAUUACUAAGGUUGAAAUGUGAAUUUCAAAUGUUGAUGAAAUCUUUAAAUAUAGAAUUUAUGAUUGAUUUGAUCGAAGUUCUGGUUGUUAAAAAGAUAUAUAUAUAUAUAUAUAUAUAUAUAUAUUAUUUUAAACUUUUAGAUAAAAUAAUCUAACAUUGUAUUUCCGUAACUAAAAUUUUCAAUUUACGUCUCUCUUUGCUUAUUUAUAAAAUUUGUUCGUGUAUAAGAUCUUCAGUGAACUAUAAAUUUACUUGCACAUUGGUGGCGGAUAAUCUACUUUUGUGGCUGUUGGAUAAGUAAAGCCACUAUUUUUUACCACAAAAGGAUAACUUUGCAAUUUCUUAAUUGUUAAGCUAAGUACAUGCAUGCAAUGGAACUUGACAAAUUCAAGUUUUCUUUCUCCAACAAGUGGCAGCCGAAAUGCUUGAAAAAUUCCAACCACUUGACAGGCCAAAUGUGUAGAGAAUUCUAGCAAAUGAAGGUGGUAGAACUUUGAGUCUUUGAAGCAGUUAAAGGUGGUAAAACUUCUAGCAAUAUCCAACCCACUUACAGCCAAGUUUAGCCAUUAUUUUUGACAAUUGAAGGCGGUUCCUACAAAUGACCAGCCAAGUUGCAGAUAAUUUUCUUGAAUUUUCAAACAAUUAUGGUGACCAAAAAUCUUUAUAAAUAUGGGUAAGACUUUGAGAGAAAAGUGUGUGGUAUGGAGAAGAAAAAUUGAGAGGAAUUAAAAGUAGAGAGUAGAGGGAAAAUUGUGAGUGGAACGAUAAAAUUAUAGAGAGAAAAUUGUGAGUUUUUCUCCCAAGUAUUUCCUACUUGUUUUCUCUUAUUACAAGAGAGACUAAUUAUUGUUAUUGUGUUGUAAUUCUCCUACUAUAAUGAAAUCUUCAUAUACUUGCACGUAGACAUAGUCUAAAUUAGGUGAACCACGUAAAUACUUAUGUCUAUUUUAGCUGCAUUUUCUCAAUUCUAUUAUUUGUCACCCAAACUCGACCCACAUUUUUCCUAAUAGUGGGUACAAAGGUUUCCAUGGUAUUGACUUUUAUAAUGGCUUAAUAGCACAAAACAUUCCUGUGUUUAUCUAUAGUAUGCAAUAUGUCCCCACAUUUCAAUUUUUUGCAUUUUCACCCCAAUUUUCAUGUUUCAUUGCGAAAAACAUUAUUUUUACCAAUUUUUAAUGUAAAAUGACCAAUAUACCCUCCUAUUUAAAUAAAACAAAAAUAAAAGAAAAUAAAGAUGAAAUUGCAACUACAGGCCCAAAUUUUUCAAAAGGCUUAAUAGCACAAAAUGUCCUUACUUUUUUCUCACACCCUAUCCCACCCCAUGCCAACCUAACCCAACCCAGCCCAACCCAAUCCACUCAUUCUUUUGAAGAUUCAAGGAACUGUCGGACUCUAUCUCAUCAACUUUCACCUAAUUGCCACCUAAAACACUAGAACUCAUAUUACAAAUAGCUGUCAUCAACACCCAAACACUUUCUUAUAAACAAAUUGAACAAACAACAAAUUUAUAUGGUUAAAUCAACAAAAAAUGCAGCUUAUCGCAUGAGCAACACGCUGCCUUUUUUCGUCAAUUUCGACACAGGUAAUGGUUCCCACUGUCGCGAACCAUCCAUUCCGACUUCGCCACAUCUUGCCACACUGCUACAACAAUAGGUUACCAUCAAUUUCAUCUAUUAUGCCCCAGAAUAUGUGCCCAUUUAUUGCCCAAUAAGAAAUUGAAAGAUGUUGCUAUAGAUUUUGAUUUUGUGCACCUGUUCAAGUUUUAAGUCCAUGAAGAGAGGUGCUUUAAUGAAUAUAGUUGACUGGUAUGUUGGAAAUGAGAUGGGUCUUGUCGGAACAGGUGGUACCGCCAGUAUUUACAUUCACGAGUUGGGUAUUUUGGCUUGCAAUUCUGACAAAAUCUAUUGGCAUGAAGGUUGGAUGUUGGGUGGUAUGUGUAGAGGGGAGUGAGACCUUUCUAGUGGUAUGGAGUUCCAGUGGUUUAGGCGAUGGUCAGUUGACAUUUUUUGGUUUCUAAGGUGGUGACCCCAUUCAAAUUUUAGGGCUUAGUGAUGGUUUUUUCAAAUUUGUUCCUUUAAUUGUACUCCUUCACCGGUAAAAUAUGUCGUAGAAAUGACAAUGGAGAAUUGAAAUUUCGAGGAUUUUGGCAGCGAUGGCGGUGGUAAAGGAGGUGGAGGAAAAGAAAAGAAGAGAAAAAGAAUUUUAUUUUUUUUUCCAAAAUUUUUUAUUUGGACUCAUUUAUACUUUUUAAAAAGUUGAGGAGCAAGAUUACAAUUUGUUCUUUAUUUGUCGUUUCUUCUCUUUUUGGUUUUAUUUAAAUAUGAGGGUAUAUUGGUCAUUUACAUUAAAAAUUGUGAAAAUGAUGUUCUGCAAUGAAACGUGAAAAUAAGUGUGUAAUGCAAAAAAUUGAAACGUACGGACGUUUUGCAUACUACAAGCGAAACAUAAGAAUGAUUUGUGCUAUAAAGCCUUUCAUAAUUUCUUUAUGACUUUGGUAGAGGGCCUAGAGGUGUAAUUGGUCUAGUCUUCAAUCUGUUCACAUCUAAAAUCAAACGACAAAAUCAGACAUCAUAGGCCUACAAAUAUAGAUAAAUCACACCUUUGGUCUUGAACCAUUUUUCGAAUCUUGAACAAAAUUUACAAGCACCAAAAUAUCCAUUUAUGCUGCACCAAAAUCAAGUCAAGGAAGAAUCUAUUUUGCAAAUCUAUAAACAUAAUUUUUCACUACACAUGCCAACGAGUUGGUCAAGUUUUUUUCUUCUUGAUCUUGCUAUUAAAUAAAAAAUUUGUUGGAGUCAUCUAGUGGGAUUAAGCUCUUGUUUGACAACCUUUAAAGCAAACGCUUUUUUUCUUAAACUAAAUUUUUAAAAUAAAAUAUUCGGUACAUAAAUCUAAAUUUUUUCCUACUUUUGAUUAUAUAUUCCUCAAAAAAUCACUAUUCAAAACCUUGCUUUCUCCAAAAUACUCAUUUUAAUGAUUGUUAAACGGGGGCUAAUAUUGCGACACUAAUGAAAGGUUGAGGAAAUAUUUGCUCCUAUUCAUAGGCUGGUGACUAACAUGCAACUAACACAAUAGAUUGGGGCUGCUAACUUACAACUUUCACAAUAGGUUGGAAAGGAAGGGAGAAAUUUUUGAAUUUUUCCACAAGUAUAUAUAGGACGCAAGUCACUCAUAUUUUAUUAGAAUUAAUUGUAGGCAUUGUAUGUAAUUGCACAAUAGCUUCUUUUCUUUUCAAUUCAUUAGUCGGCCAGCUGUGUUUUCUUUCUUUCAUUUUUGGUGCCAAGCUCCAUUCAUUUUCAAUUGAUUGAACGAUCAACAGAGUUUCAAUUCAUUUUCUCUCUGUAAAUUGAAUAUGGUAUCAGAGCAAAAUCAUUUCCACGCUCUUCUCUCAUCAUCACAGAUUUAAUCUGUUGCUGGAUCUCGUCUUCAUAUAUAUAUAUAUAUAUAUAUAAAUUAAUCUGUUGUUCGAUCUAAUCUCUACAUAGAGUUAUUACAAUCCGGAAAUUGGUUUGAUUCAAGGUCAUCAAUGAACAAUCGGCCAUUGAUGAACCUUCAAGUCCUUACUCCUUACUUCAUUCAAUGAGUAAUUUCCAGAUCUCCUCCAGAUCUGCACCGAAUGAAGAUAAAAUGCUUAAUUCACAACAACCUGUGAUUGGAAGUUUAAUUCAGAGUUUGAAUCCUGCUCAAUAUCAACAAUUGAUGACGAUAUUGUCCACUCAUCUGGCAUCAAGCUCAAACACAGCAGCUUCUGAUUAUCAGGGCAACAAAAUUACAUCAUAUAAUGCAGGUCUAUGCCAUUUCAUAUCCGUUAAUCCAGUCUUGUAUUCCAAAGAAAUUUGGAUAGUGUAUUCGGGAGCCACUAAGCAUGUGUGUUUUAUUGCUGCCUCAUUCAUGAACAUGAGGAUUAUUGAUGGUUCAAAUGUGACUUUACCCAAUCACACACAAAUUCUAGUUAGAUUGUGUGGGAAUAUCAGGCUGAGUCCAAAUAUUUUGCUGCAUGAUGUGUUAUUUGUACCACAAUUCAAGCUAAACUUACUGUCAGUUAGUCCGUUAACUGCUGAAUUACAAGUUUCAUCAAGUUUCUCUCAUGAUAGCUUCAUUAUUCAAGAUGCCAAAACCAAGAAGAUGACUGGUAGGGGUGGUCAAAUGCAAAAUUUGUAUGUUCUAGAUACCAGAAUUCUGAAUUCCAUUUCUAAUGUAUUUGUUAAUACUAUGUCUAUCCAUGUAUGGCACAACAGACUUAGGCAUCUUUCAUUCAAAAGGCUAGACUGGUUGAAGGAACAAUUAUUGUGUGAUGUUACAAAAUUUCGGAGACAUAUGCCUUGUUAUGUUUGUCCACUUGCUAAACAGUGGAGAUUGCCUUUUGAAUCGAAUAAUAGACUGUCAAAUAAUCCCUUUGAUCUCAUUUAUUGUGAUGUGUGGGGACCUUACCAUGUUACUUCACACUCAGGAUACAAUUAUUUCUUGAUAUUGGUGGAUGAUUGUUCAAGGUUUACAUGGGUCUAUUUGUUGAAGCACAAAUCAGAUACCAAGAUUGUUAUUUCCAGAUUUUUCAACAUGAUUGAUACCCAAUUCAAUGCUAAAAUAAAGACAUUCAGAUUUGACAAUGCUUAUGAAUUAGCCUUUAUAGUUUAUUUUGCUGAAAAUGGAAUAAUGCAUCAGUUUUGUUGUGUGGAAAGACCACAACCCACACAACAAAACUCCGUCGUUGAGCGCAAACAUCAACAUUUGUUAAAUGUGGCUAGGUCUCUGUACUUCUAAUGACGAAUCCCCAUCAGUUUCUGGUCUAAAUGUGUUUUGACAGCCACAUUCUUGAUAAAUAGAACUCCAUCUUCUGUGUUGAAGCACAAAAUGCCAAAUGAAGUUCUAUAUGGAAGACCUGCAGAUGAUUCCUCACUUAGAGUUUUUAGAUGUCUAGCUUUUGCAUCCACUCUAACUACGCAAAGAAACAAAUUCCAGCCACGAGCUAGGCUAUGUGUGUUCUUGGGAUAUCCAUCUAGAGUUAAAGGUUACAAACUCUAUGAUGUUGAGUCAAAACAUUUCUUUGUAUCACGUGAUGUUGUGUUUCAAGAAAAAAUCUUUCCUUUUCAUACAGUUAUGGCAAAUGAUCAACUGAUAGAUCCGUUCCCUGACUUAGUCUUACCAAAUCCUUUUUUACACCUUCAUCAAGACUCACAUGCAUCCUCAACUCAGUAUAACUUACCGCCUAUUCCUUCAGCUAAAAGUCAUAAUUUGCAUCAAGAGUUAUUCCCUACUUCACCAUCCCUUGAUACAAUGUCUGCACCUGAUAGUCCUGAUAAAAAUGGUAUUCCACAUACUAACAUUAGUCACACAUGUCAACGUACUACUGUCACUAAUUUGAGACGUUCACAAAGAGUUGCUAGACCACCACAAUACCUUAGAGAUUUUCAUUGCAACUCCUUUCUCAACAAGAUCAACUCCCAUCUUCAUUCACUCAAUCAUAUUAGCCAAUUUAUUUCCUAUAAUCAUUUAUCCCAAAACCACCGGCAAUUUGUAUUGAACGUAUACUCUCAAUUUGAGCCUCAACUCUUUCACCAGGUGGUUAAAUAUCCACAAUGGCGUGAAGCCAUGAAAGCUGAAUUGGAGGCUAUGGAAGCCAAUCACACUUGGUCAGUAGUUCCUUUACCAGUUGGUAAACAUGUUGUUGGAUGCAGGUGGAUCUUCAGGGUAAAACAUAAUUCUGAUGGGUCUAUUAAAAGGCACAAAGCAAGUCUUAUAGCUAAAGGUUAUACACAAAAAGAGGGCCUUGAGUACUUUGACACUUUUUUCCCAGUAGCAAAGAUUGUCACUGUCAAAGUAUUGUUAGCUCUUGCAGCCUCUCAAUGGUGGCACUUGUUCCAAAUGGAUGUAUAAUGCCUUCUUGAACAGUGAUACGUUCGAUAAAGUUUACAUGGAUCUCCUGCCUAGUUAUGAGGUUCUCAAUGCUGUCAAACAAGGGGAGAAACUGGUUUGCAAAUUGCAAAAGUUAAUUUAUGGCCUCAAGCAAGCGUCAAGGCAGUGGAAUUCUAAAUUCACCCAAGCACUGGUCCAUUGUGGUUUUAAUCAAUCAAAGGCUGAUUAUUCCCUAUUCACUAAAGGUUCUGGGAAUGACUUUGUGGCAUUUCUUGUAUAUAUAGAUGACAUUGUCACCACUGGACCAAACAUUCAAGUCAUUGAUUCUUUAAAGAAGUUCUUAAAUUCUCAGUUCAAACUCAAGGAUUUAGGGAAGUUGAAGUACUUCUUGGGCAUAGAAGUGGCUCGUUCUAACUCUGAGAUUGUCAUAUCACAAAGAAAUUAUGCCAUAGAUUUGCUUGAGGAUUCAGGUUACCUGGACUGCAAAUUAACAAAUACUCCUAUGGAUCCAAAGGUUUCCUUAAGUAUUCAUGACGGAGACCUUCUGCCCGAUGCAUUUUCUUAUCGCAGGUUGAUUGGAAAACGGAUUUACCUGACAAUAUCACGACCAGAUAUUACUUUUGUUGUCUACAAACUGAGCCAAUUUUUGUCAUAGCCUCCACUAUCUCAUCUCAAGGUAGCUCACCAUCUUCUUCGAUAUUUAAAGGGUAGUCCAGGUCUGGGACUAUUCUUUCUGUUCACGAAAUAUUUUCUUUCGAUUUAAAUCACCACAAGUGUACGGUUAUUCAACAAGUAAUAAAGUGGAUUAAUUGAGUCCGAAUAUCAUCCCACAGAGAUUGAUUAGUUUAAUUUUACCUAACUUGGCCUUAACCGAAAUUGAUUUGUCAAACGUGAAUUGUAGUAACUUAAAUUAACCUUACUUGGACUAAAUAUGCAAAUAUGUAUGAUUUGAAUGAACUAAAAUGCAAAGUGAAUGUGUUGAUUGCAAGUUGGUGUACUCAAUCAAUGAAUAUAAAAGCGUACUAGGCUCAUGAAUCCCCAAGCAAUGCUCAAUUUAACCUUAAUUCAACACUUUGACAACACGAUGACAUUUUGAAGAAUCAAUAUUCCUAAAUCUAUCCAACACUCUCUUUCGAGAUGAAUUGAACCUAUUCUCAUACACCACCAGCCUAUAUCUCUAUGACGGAUGCAAAUAUAUGAGAAUGCAUGUAGUUUUGUGAAUACUUAGAGAUUCACACAAAGCAUAGGGGUAUAUUUCUAUCCCCCUAUCAAAUCCUACGAUGAUUUAUACCUUAUCGAAUUUAUUCCUCUUCUUUCGAGUAGAUGAAACAAACCACUAAAACUCACACAAUUACGAGCCCAUAAUCAUGGAAGCAAUUAAAUGCAUAUAAAUCAUUCAAAACAAUCAAUACGUGUUUUAGUGUCAAAAUAUGGAACAAAGAAUUAAAUAUCACAUUAUAAGAUUCACUGAUCUCCUAGUAUAGAUUUUUCUAGCCUAACAUGACGGGAAGAAAAACAUAACAACAAGAAUCAAGAAAAGAGAUCACCCAAUCGCCCUUUGAUUUGAAAUCUUGAAUCUUGAAUCUUGGAAUGAAUCCUCUCGUUCUUGCCUUCUUUUUGCUCUUCAAAUCCUCCCAAAAUAAUGUAUAAUACGUGGUGUCUGUUUUUGGACGUUCCUAGUGCUUUAAAAGACUCCCAAGAUUUGUUUCCAUAAGAGUUUUAAUCAGAAAAUGAAACCAGAAAAUUUUCGACGCGAUUGGCCUGGGCAACAUUUUCUUCUCGGUAAUAAGAAAAACAUAUGGGGCGAUCACCCGAUUUUUAUAACUGGGCUGUCGCACAGGCAAAAUUUCUUCCAUAUGUUGCAUUUUAGCCCUCGAAAUCGAUUUUUGAUUCUUUUAGGCCCUUUCUCUUGCAAUUUCAACUCUUUGACUUUCAUUUGCAUCCAAUUGAACCCGCAACAUCUUUAAUCUUCAUUUUGUGAUCCGAAUCAACUAUUAAAAUGUUGCAAUUUAGUCCUCAUACUUUGAAUUUUCUUCCUUUUUGGCUCUUUUUCAUUUCUUUUCUCUUGAAUUUCAUCACAUUCAUCAAUAUAGUCCUACAAAACAUAAUUACAUAGAAUUAAGUCAUAAUUCAAACUCUUUGAUCAUAAUUAAGUCAUGUUUAUGAACUAAAUAAGUGUGUAAAAACACACUUAUCACUUUCCUUCAUCAUCUGACCCACAUUCACUUCUCAAGCUUUAGGCCUUUUCAGAUGCAGGCUGGGGAACUUGUCUUGACACAAGAAAAUCAACUACUAGUUUUUGUAUUUUCCUUGGAGACUCGUUAAUAUCUUGGAAAGCUAAGGCGACGGUCCACUGUUUCUCGAUCUUCAGCUGAAGCAGAAUAUAGGGCUCUAGCUACCACCAUCAGUAAAGUCAUCUGGAUCAACCAAUUGCUCAAGGAUUUUCAGACAUGCGCUAUCUCUCCAGGUGCCUUAUUUUGUGAUAACCAAGCUGCCAUUCAAAUAGCCACAAAUCCAAUUUUUCAUGAACGAACAAAACACAUCAAAUUUGAAUUUUCUUCCUUUUUGGCUCUUUUUCAUUUCUUUUCUCUUGAAUUUCAUCACAUUCAUCAAUAUAGUCCUACAAAACAUAAUUACAUAGAAUUAAGUCAUAAUUCAAACUCUUUGAUCAUAAUUAAGUCAUGUUUAUGAACUAAAUAAGUGUGUAAAAACACACUUAUCACUUUCCUUCAUCAUCUGACCCACAUUCACUUCUCAAGCUUUGGGCCUUUUUAGAUGCAGGCUAGGGAACUUGUCUUGACACAAGAAAAUCAACUACUAGUUUUUGCAUUUUCCUUGGAGACUCUUUAAUAUCUUGGAAAGCUAAGCGACGGUCCACUGUUUCUCGAUCUUCAGCUGAAGCAGAAUAUAGGGCUCUAGCUACCACCAUCAGUAAAGUCAUCUGGAUCAACCAAUUGCUCAAGGAUUUUCAGACAUGCGCUAUCUCUCCAGGUGCCUUAUUUUGUGAUAACCAAGCUGCCAUUCAAAUAGCCACAAAUCCAAUUUUUCAUGAACGAACAAAACACAUCGAAAUCGAUUGCCACUUUAUUCGGGGUAAAGUUGCAGCUGGAAUUAUUAAGCUCCUUCCAAUCCGAUCUCAACAUCAACUAGCUGACGCAUUUACUAAGCCACUUUUUGCAUCUGUCCUUCUCCCUUUAAUGUCCAAGAUGUCUGUAAAGAACAUUUAUCAUACAUCUUGAGGGGGAGUAUUAGAAUUAAUUGGAGGCAUUAUAUAACAUUUAUCAUACAUCUUGAGGGGGAGUAUUAGAAUUAAUUGUAGGCAUUAUAUGUAAUUGCACUCAUCUUAGUUUCUUUUCAGUUCGUUAGUUAGCUAGCUUUGUCCAGCUAUGUUUACUUUCUUUCAUUUUUGGGCACCAAGCUCCAUUGCUAUUUAUGUAUCUUAGUUGAUUGAACGACCAAUAGAGUUUCAAUUCAUUUUCUCUUUGUAAAUCUAAUAUAUUUUCUACAUUGAAUCAUAAAUUUCACGAAAGAAAUUGUCUCCUGUAUCCACCGGCUACAGUCAAGCCCAGGAUGAUGGUAUGUACACACACAGUUGACAUGCAAGAAAUGGAAAUCUAAAAAAGCCCAAGGACCUUCUUAUAUGUAUAUUUGCUCUCCCAAUAUUGUUCCUUAUCAGAAAAAGGUAGUCAUUGAGACCCCCCCUCCCCGAAUGGCCAAAACUCUAAUGGUCAAGGAGGCAUCAUUGAAAUGUUGUUGAAUCAUCUGUUGUGUGGACGAAGAGUCCAACCAAGCUAUGAGGAUUAGAAUAAAGGCCAAGAAGAUCGUGGUGAGCAUCUCGGGUAAGUUAAAUCUUUAUAUGACUAAUAUAAAUCUUUUCUUUGGUAUUGUGUACUAUACAUCAGUAUGUCUAGGAUACGAAACAAGAUUUUAGUUUUUUUAUUUUCCUUUCUUCAAUACUUUCUAGAAUAAUGCUAUCUAUGUAUGACCACUAGUGGAUGUGAUGCAUUUUCACUCACAAAUUGGAUAGAACGGCAAACAAUUUCACUGAUAUUAGGAUCCAUUAAGACUUAAAGUUGCAUUUUAAAAGGUCAAACUUGGUAAGAGAGGUAACCCAAGUCUUUAUAUGUUGGUCUAUAUUUCAUCAAUUUUUGAUGUGUAAUUUAUUCUUUAACAUAUAUCCGAAAGAAGGUGGUUUGUUUGAACAAACCAAUCUGAAAAUUUAUGUACUCUUUUAUGGGUCUUAGUCAAAUCAAAUUGCUUUUCAGAGUUUAAUAGACUCUGAUACCAUAUUAAGAUUUAGAGUUCUAUCUUAAAAUGUCGACUCUAGUUAGAAGAGUAGCUCAAGUUUUUAUAUGUUGGCCUAUUUUUCUACUAUUAUUCGAUGUGGAUAAGGAUCUUGAAGCUGCAAAAAACAUUUUAUAUUUAACAUUCUUUUCAUCUUCGAUGGACGUUGGAUUUACCAUUAUAAUCUUCCCUACUCUCAUGAACAUUAUUUCUAGGAGUUGAGUCGAUGUCAAUGGAGGGAAGCGGGAACAUUCUAACAGUGAUUGGUGAAGAAAUCGACUCGGUGAGUCUUGUCCAAUGCCUAUGGAAGAAGGUGUGUUUUGCUAAUGUAGUGAGCGUACCAAACUGAGAGGGUUGAAACUAAGCAACCGAAACUUGAGAACACGAAUCCGGCUACCUGUGUGUGUGCCUCUUCGAUGCUGUAAUCACUCGCCUCACUGGAAAAUAUUGGAAAUCAGGGAACCCACAUCUUACUGCUUCAACUUUUGAAUGCUUCUUAUGUUAAGUUGUCAAACAAGAAAAAAAAUGAAUCUUUUGUUGUGAAGAAAAUUAAGCAACAUUAAUUCACAAUAGAUUUUGUUGCAAAUUCUGUUUGAGAUAAUGUUACAAGUGGAACAUUGUAGUAUAAUUUCAAGAGAUCAGAAGUAUAAGUUGAGAGAAAACUUUGAUUUCAUUUCUUGGAUUGGAUAGAUAGCAUUACUCUUAUUGAAUGUGUUGGGCUGUGAUGCCAUUUGAUCAAUCCAACUAAUAGGCAGUGAUGAAAUAAGGCCCAAUAUGGAAUCAAUAGAUGAUCCAUUUAUUAAAACCUAGAAGGCCCAAUUAAACCGAGCCCAAUAUCCAGCCCUUUUAACCCUAGUCGUUCUUGGACCGUUGGAUUAACCCACUCAAUCUAACGGUGGAUUGGUUUACUAUAUAUACAUCCCUUAUCCCUUGUUUGGGAGAGAGACGGUCAUUUUUCUUGUUCUCUUUUUCUCUGUGUAUUCUGAAACCUUCAAUGACUUUCGUCUUUGUGACCUUUUCUUCUUCUCUGUGUGAGAACUUCUGUUGAUUAUCUUUGUGAUAAUCAUGUCAUUGUGUUAGUCUCCUUUGUGAGAGUAAACUGUUGGAAGUGGUCUGUCCAUUUUCGGUUCCAGUGAAGCGACUUGGUGUUUUGGGGUUGUAAGGGCUCGUGUGUUGAGUUCAGUGCCUCUGUGGUGGUUAGAAAAGGGCGUAUGGUCUGAGCCUAUGAAUAGAUCUAAACCUUGAUCCAGUGGCUUAGGUUUUCUGUAAAUCUGCUGCGUGUGUGUGUGUGUGUGUGUGUGUGUGUGUGUGUGUGUGUGUGUGUAUAUAUAUUCUGAUUUGUAUAGUUUGAACAGAUUCUGGAUUAAUAGUGGUAUCAGAGCUUUCUUUGUCCGUUCUUGAGUCUUCGAUUGAAGGUUUGAACACUGGAAAAUUAAUUUCCAAGUGUUCAACUGUAGAUCGCAAAACCCUAGGUUUUGAUUUGAGAGGACCUUGUGGUCUGUGGAGUUGAUUCAUUACUGGACUAUGAAAUGCGAGGGAAUUCUGUGUCUCCUCGCCUUGAUCUAUGAAAGAACCUGAAAUAUGAGUCCCUGUGGGUUUCGUUCUUGAGCUGGAACCCUAACUUCGAAAUUGAUUGGAAGGACUUGAAGCUGUUAUGGCUUGACUUGAAUUUUGGUGACCUGCAGAGCACUUAUCCCCCACUGCGAUAACCUGUUUUGAUUUCAGCUGGUGGUUAAUUGUUUAACCACCUUUCGGUUUGCACUUUCUUGAACCCUACACGACAGCACACACUCUUAAUUAUACUUUUAUGAGUAUAUGCCUCUAUGUGACUAUGUUGAUAUGUUCAUUUCCUGUAUACUGUAACUUGUUACAUUAGUUAGUGAUAUCUUGUUAUAUUUGCCUGUGAUCAUUAAAGUGUGGGUGAUUCAAAUUGAGCCUUGACCUGAGAACUUGAUUCUCACGGAAUCCUAGUGAAUUUGAUCAACCCUAGGUCCUGUAGAUACUGUUUUUGAUACUGAGAUAUGGUUUUUUGCCUACAUUAUUAUAUUCUCUGGUUCUUGUGGUGUUUACAUUAGUAUGCUUACUGAUCCUGUUAUUGAUUGAAAUUAUUUGUGAUUAAAAUAAUUGUGGCUCAUUUAUUUGAUUGCAUAUUUUUUGUGACCUAAAACAUAAAUUUUUGUGAAGGUCAAAUUCAACAGUUUUUUCAAAAGUUGAUCAUUUGUCUUGUUUUAAUUUUUUGGAAAACCCUGUGUGUUAGUUUUUCACAAUAAAACAUGACAAAAUCUUUUGAACUUGGUGUUUUUGAUGGAAAAGGGAAUUUUCCCAUUUGGCAACAAAAAAUGCGAGGUGUUUUAGUUCAGUAAAAAGUUUCUAAAGCAAUAACAGAUGAAUUUCCUGAUACCAUGACAGAUGAUCAAAAGGAAGAAUCUGAUGAACUUGCUUAUACCUCCAUUAUUUUGCAUUUGUCUGAUCAAGUUUUAAGAAAAGUAGGUAAACAUGAUACUGCUAAGGCUCUAUGGGAUGAAUUAGGGAAACUUUAUCUACCUAAGUCUUUGCCUAAUAAGUUGUUUCUAUUAGAGAAAUUUUUCAGCUUUAGGAUAGAUCCAACUAGAGACUUAGAAGAUAGCUUAAACAUUUUUAAUAAGUUAGUUCAAGACAUUAUCAAUACAAGUGAGAAAGUUUCUGAUGAGUAUAAGGCUGUAGUACUACUUAAUGCUAUACCUGAAGCCUACAAAGAGGUUAAAGCCGCCAUUAAGUAUGGUAGAGAUACUCUUACACCUGAUAUUGUCAUAGACUCUUUAAGGAGUAAGGAACUUGAACUUAAGUCUAAGAGAGGUAAUAGUGGCCAUGAAAACUUGUUUGCUAGAGGCAGGACUUUAAGUAGGUCUAGUAGUACUCAUGAAAGCCAUAAUAAUCAGGGAAACAACAAUAGGAGGAAGUUUAAAAGUAGAGGCAAGUCUAAGUCAAGGACUAGGACUUAAAAGUGUUAUGGGUGUGGGAAAACUGGACAUUUCAUUAAAGACUGUUAUAAAAAUAAAAAUGAACAGAAACUGAAGGGUGUUGAUGAAGGUAAUGUGGUAGAAUCUGAAGGUUCUGCCACAGUUGAUGUAUAUGCUGUGACUGAAAAUUUACCUAGCUCUGCAAAUGUGGUUGAUGAGAAUCAGAACCAAGAAUGGAUCUCGGAUUCUGGUUGUACCUUCCAUAUGACCUUUAAGAAGGUAUAUUUAGACAAUUUUAAGAAAAUUGAUGGAGGAAAAGUGGUUAUGGGCAAUAAUGUAGCCUUCAGAGUUGAGGGAGUUGGGAAUGUCACUUUGAAAUUCGAUAAUGGAUACAUUCACCCUUUUGAAAGGGUCAGGUAUGUUCCUGAAUUAAAUAGGAAUCUGAUUUCCAUGGGAUAUCUUGAUGAUAUGGGAUUGCAAGAAAAAAUAGGAGAUGGCUUCUUAAAAGUGAUAAAAGGAUCACUUGUUAUUUUGAAAGGUGUUAAAAAAAAUGGGAUUUAUGUGACCAGAGCUAGUACAGUGUCUGAUCACAUAGGUGAGUCUUCUAGUGUAGAAGCUGAUGCUACCUUAAAGUGGCACAAGAGAUUGGCCCAUGUAGGUGAAAAGGGCCUACACAUCCUUUAUAAGAAAGGAGUGUUUGGAAAAGACUCUAUAUCUAAGGUGUCCUUUUGUGAAAACUGCACCUUAGGUAAGCAGCAUAGGCUGCAUUUUAACACAGGAAAACAUAGAACCACUUCUAUCCUUGAGUAUAUACAUACUGAUUUGUGGGGACCUUCAUCCACUAUUACUCAAGGAGGAAAUAGAUAUUUCUUGUCCUUAAUUGAUGACUAUUCUAGGAAGGUUUGGAUUUAUUUGAUGAAACACAAAUCUGAAACCUUUGAGAAAUUCAGAACUUGGAAGAUUCUAGUUGAAAAUGAGAUUGGAAAGAAAAUUAAGAUCCUUAGGACGGACAAUGGCCUUGAGUUUUGCAAUGCUGAAUUUGAUCAAUUGUGCAAAGAAUCUGGUAUUAAAAGGCAUAAAACAGUACCUUAUACACCUCAGCAGAAUGGAGUGGCUGAGAGGAUGAAUAGAACCUUGCUAGAUAAGGUUAGGUGCAUGUUGAUAGGCUCAGGUGUCCCUAAGGUGUUAUGGGGUGAAGCUGUAAUGACAGCUUCAUAUAUUGUUAAUAGAAUCCCCUCAAGUGCUCUAGGUGAUAAAACCCCAGAAGAGCUAUGGACAUGACAUGUUCCUGAUUAUUCUCAUUUAAGAAUUUUUGGUUGUGCAGCCUAUACCCAUCAGAGUAUAGGAAAACUUGAACCUAGGGCCCAGAAAUGUGUUUUCUUGGGAUAUCCCGAUGGGGUUAAAGGUUAUAGGCUUUAGAGUAAAGAGGUAAAAGGUUUUAAAAUCAUCACCAGCAGAGAUGUGACCUUUGAUGAGUAAAAAUGCCUUGUUUAGAAAAUAAAGAGCCAAAGGGUUUAUCUGGUGAUGAAAGGGGUGAUAAUACCAAGCUGCAGGUGGAGCUUGGCUUACCUACUGAACCUAUUGGUGAUGAACAGGUGGAUGAAGAAGCUGAAAUAGCUUCUGGUCCUCUAGAAAAUGAAGAGGAAGAUGUUCAAGAAAAUCUGGAAAGUCAGCCUGAUGAAUUAGGAGAUUACCAGUUGGCUAGAGAUUGGACUAGGAGAGAAGUUAGAGAGCCUGUUAGGUAUGGGGAUUACCUUUCACUUGCUAUUUUGUCCUAUCAAGACUUAGUGUUUAAAGAACCAAAAUCUUAUGAAGAGGCAAUGAGCAGCAAGCAAUCUGAGAAAUGGCAUGCUGCUAUGAUAGAUGAGAUAGACUCCUUAAUGAAAAAUGAGACUUGGACUUUAGUCCCUAAACCUGUAGGUAAGACCCUUGUUGAUUGCAAGUGGAUCUUUAGCGCUACGGAGGGAAAUUCUGAAAAGAUGCCCAUAAGAUUUAAAGCUAGACUUGUAGCGAAAGGAUUUACACAAAAAGAGGGCAUAGACUAUAAUGAGAUAUUUUCACCUGUGAUAAAGUACACAACCAUUAGAGUUAUGCUUGCUCUUGUUGCUCAUUAUGAUCUUGAACUUGAGCAAAUGGACGUGAAAACUGCUUUCUUGCAUGGUGACCUUGAUGAAGUGAUUUAUAUGAGGCAGCCACCUGGUUUUAUUGAGGAAACUAAUUCUGAUCAUGUGUGUUUGUUAAAAAGAUCAUUAUAUGGUUUAAAGCAAUCUCCACGACAAUGGUACAAAAGGUUUGAUAAUUUUGUAUCCGCUAUUAGUUUCAAAAGAAGUGAAUAUGAUCAUUGUCUUUAUUUUAAAAGAAAUGAUGAAAAUGCUAUUGUUGCUUUUAUACUUCUUUAUGUGGAUGAUAUGUUGCUGAUUGGUCAGAAUAUGCAUGUUAUUAAUUAGAUAAAACGGUCUUUAAGUGUUGAAUUUGAAAUGAAAGACCUAGGACAUGCAAAGAGAAUUCUAUGAAUGGAAAUCACUAGGAAAAGGCAUCAUAGGUUACUGUACUUGAAGCAAACUGCAUAUAUUGAAAAAAUGUUGAUUAAGUUUGCCAUGCAUAACUCUAAAUCUGUUUCACUUCCAUUGGCCAGUCAUUUUAAACUUAGUAAGGAGCAAUGUCCCGUAGAUGAAUCUGACAUUAGACAAAUGGAAAAUGUACCCUAUGCUAAUGCCGUAGGUUCUGUUAUGUACACUAUGGUAUGUACUAGGCCGAUGUAGCUCAUUCCAUUAGCACACUUAGUAGAUUUAUGGCCAAUCCAGGACCUGACCAUUGGGUUGCUUUAAAAUGGCUGUUGAGAUACUUGAAAGGAUCUUCACAUGUUGGAUUGAUUUUUAGUGCCUGUAAUGAAGGUGUUGUACUUAAGGGUUUUGUAGAUUCAGAUUUUGCCGGAGAUAGAGACAAUAGGAAAUCUACUACUUCUUAUAUGUUUACUUUGUGUAAUACAUGUAUUAGUUGGAAAUCUCAACUUCAACCUAUUGUUGCUUUAUCUACUACUGAAGCUGAGUAUGUUGCUACAACUGAAGCAAUAAAAGAAGGCUUAUGGCUUAAGGGUUUGUUAUCCGAAAUAAAUGAAUUAAGUAACCCUGUUGUUUUAUAUUCAGAUAGUCAAAGUGCAAUUCACCUAUGUAAAGACCCUAUUUUUCAUGAAAGAACCAAACACAUUGAUAUUAAGUUGCAUUUUAUUAGAGAUGUUGUUUCUAAAUAACUAAUUUUACUUGAGAAAAUUGCAACCCAGUUUAAUCCAGCUGAUGUAGGUACUAAGGUAAUACCUUUAAACAAGUUUAAGUCUUGUUUACAAAUUUUGAACAUUGAUGUUGGUUAAGUGUUUUGUUCUGUACAGGUGCUAAGGUUGAUGCUUGUUGAGAAUACGGGGAAGCUGUCUUUUUGAGAAGGACAUUUAAAUUGUGUUUUACAUUUAUUAGGCUUCUUGUAUGAUCACUGGCAUCAAGGUGAAGAUUUGUUGGGCUGUGAUGCCAUUUGAUCAGUCCAACUAAUAGGCAGUGAUGAAAUAAGGCCCAAUAUGGAAUCAAUAGAUGGUCCAUUUAUUAAAACCUAGAAGGCCCAAUUAAAUCGAGCCCAAUAUCCAGCCCUUUUAACCCUAGUCGUUCUUGGACCGUUGGAUUAACCCACUCAAUCUAACGGUGGAUUGGUUUACUAUAUAUACAUUAUUUAUCCUCUUGUUUGGGAGAGAGACGGUCAUUUUUCUUGUUCUCUGUGUAUUCUGGAACCUUCAAUGACUUUCGUCUUUGUGACAUUUUCUUCUUCUCUGUGUGAGAACUUCUGUUGAUUAUCUUUGUGAUAAUCAUGUCAUUGUGUUAGUCUCCUUUGUGUGAGUAAACUGUUGGAAGUGGUUUGUCCAUUUUCGGUUCCAGUGAAACGACUUGGUGCUUUGGGGUUGUGAGGGCUCGUGUGUUGAGUUCGGUGCCUAUGUGAUGGUUAGAAAAGGGCGUAUGGUCUGAGCCUAUGAAUAGAUCUAAACCUUGAUCCAAUGGCUUAGGUUUUCUGUAAAUCUGCUGCGUAUAUAUAUAUAUAUAUAUAUAUAUUCUGAUUUGUAUAGUUUGAACAAAUUCUGGAUUAAUAGAAUGGAGGUUUGCAAGAGUAUAUAUUGUAAUUUUAGCUUCCAUGAAGAGCCGUAGAAAGCUCAUUUUCUAGUUGUCAGAUGUCUCCGGUGAUUGAGUGUUAUUGGACUGAACUGAUAGAUUCAUGUUUGAACUGGACUCAUUGAGUCUUAUUUGAUUUGUGUUUAUGCAUCGAAAAGACAAAAAAAGAUUUUUAUCUUUUUAUAAGAAUUGUAUCUUUCUGAUAAAACUUAGUCACGAAACUUUAGUUAUAGGACCACAAAAACUCUUGUACCUCGAGAUAUUUUUAGUUUAUUUUGAACAUAAACAAGUAGCUCUCAUUCUAUCAAAUCGUCGAGAACGUACAAAGAAAUAAGUGAAGCAAUCAAAAUCAACCCAUUGAUGAGAAAUUGCAUGAUUAGCGAGACAAUGGGCCACAAAUUGAUUCCAUAAUCGUAUCCCAAGAAAAUGCGAGUUGCAAGCGAUAUUAUAAUAAAAGGGUAAAAUGGUCAUUUAAUCAUGAUUAAUUAUUCGAUGUCCGACAGGUAUAAACAAGUAGCUCUCAUUCUAUCAAAUCGUCGAGAACGUACAAAGAAAUAAGUGAAGCAAUCAAAAUCAACCCAUUGAUGAGAAAUUGCAUGAUUAGCGAGACAAUGGGCCACAAAUUGAUUCCAUAAUCGUAUCCCAAGAAAAUGCGAGUUGCAAGCGAUAUUAUAAUAAAAGGGUAAAAUGGUCAUUUAAUCAUGAUUAAUUAUUCGAUGUCCGACAGGUAUACUCGUCGUCCAAUACACAUAAAGAGAUCGCUUUUUAUUGUUUGAUUCCUCAACUUGAUUCUUGAUUUGGCUUUCAGGUUUCCACUCAUUAAUGGCUGUUCAUACUUCUGGAGAAUACCAAAGAAGAUAUGGGGUUGAAAGCUGGAAGAUUGAAUAUCAAUAUUUAAAGAAAAAAAUUGGAGCAGCUUCUAAAGAAUUCAGAUCUAAUCACACUUCAAGUGUGAUUCCACAAUCCUUUAUCUGAUUAAUUCAACAUGUUAUAAAACGAAUUUAACCAUAUAUUCUUGGAUCAAAACUUAUUAAGAAAAAAAAUUUAUUGCACAUGUUUUUACUUAUUGUCUAACAUUAGUCUUAUAUUUUCACUUUGGAUUUGUGAACACAUCUUUUCAGUUCAGUGUUUAUGAGUUAAGUUUGUAUCUAAUAACGCUAAAAGAUAAGGUUCUUUAAUACAUUUAUCAUUGUUCAUGUACUAUAAGAAGCCUCCUUGUGUAUAAAGAAAUAUACAACUUUAUUAUGGAUCUUUCCUAUAUUUUAUGUAUUUUAUAUAUUAAGUUUUAAUUGGAUAUUUAAAGAAAGUUCACCUUGACCUGCUAUUUAGAGUGCACACUAAGCAGUGGUCUAUCGGUUGUUGAAUUUUGGAAACUGAUCGCUUAGACUCUAUUGCACCGAAUUACAUAUUCCGAGGGGACAACUAUUUAUUGUUCUUCAAGCUACCAUUUUCAGGCUAAUUUUCAUUGUUGAUUCUUAAAGUUAUCUUAUAAUGUGUGGACAUUUGAAAUAGAUUAUUUAUCUUUAGCUUCAUCUUUUGUGUAUAUUACAAUUUUCCUAACAAUCUUAAAUUCAUUUUGGAUAAAACCUCUUUGCCAGGGCCACAUGUGCCCUGGUAUUGGCGCCCCCUAUAGGUGGGGUGCCUUGGUAAUGCCUCACAUUUCACCAAGCCAACUUUGACUCAAGUCGUGCUUCUAAAGUUCAUAUUUGGUGUUGGUACAAGAUUUGAUGUGUUCUCUAAACUUGGCUCAUUCAUUGAAGCCCCACCUAUAGGGGCGCCAAUACCAAGACACAUGUGGCUCUGGUAACCAAGCAUGGUUCAUUGAUUUUAUACAUAUUGGGUAUGCCUCACAUUUCACCAAGCCAACUUUGACUCAAGUCAUGCUUCUAAAGUUUGUAUUCGAUUUUGGUACAGGAUUUGAUGGGGUCUCUACACUGGGCUCAGUCUGGGUUGCUGGACACAGUAAAUUGGUACUUUCAUUUGAAAGGGGCUAAUCUCAUUUCUCACACACAUUGUGCUCGUUUUCCUUUCUUUAGACAUUUUUUAUGUGUUCUAAAGAAAUCUGAGUGAUUUCUUCAAACAUUUUACUGAAUUUGUUCUUGAUUUUCAUUCUAAAAUGAAAGCCAUAUCUACUUUGAUAGAUGCUCAAUGGGCGAAUAAUGUUGGAGCACAUGAACAUUCGGAUCCAUUAGUGGACGAAAAAUUCUUGUGUUAGAAUUUCUUUAAUUUUUUACACAUUUAUUUCAAUCUUUUAGGGUUAAAACAUAUAUUUAGGACUAACAAGUUGCAUCAGAGUCAGAACCUUAAUUUUGAUAUGGUUUCUGGCUUUAAAAUGGAAACCUAGUCCGUUCUUUUUGAAAAAUCUUUGUACCAUACUAGCUGUCGAUCUAGAAUUUUUUGUGGAAACCAACUUAUUUCCAAAUCCCUGUGACUUGAUGUAUCUUCGAUUCAACAUUUGGCUGAAUUUUUUGAUGAACUCUUUUGGGUUUCUAGUGAUUCUUGAUGGCUCGUUUGUAUUCCUUGUUGGGUUGUGAUGACUUUACACAGUUUCUGGCAAUUCUCGGUGACUCCUUAUUUUAUGUUGAGUUGAGGUGACUCAUUCAAUCUACUACCGAUUCUUUGUGUUUCAGUUGGCAUUCUGGGAUAAGUUUUAGUAGAGCAAAGUUUAAAUAUAGAAAUUAAUUUGUUUUAUAAUGAAGACACAAACUGAACAUUAGACAAUUUAAAAGUUCUAAUGACACAGGAAGGAUGUUAGAACUAUUAGGUAGAGAAGAGGGUGAUAGAUUGUGCUAGCCAUGAAUAUGAUGUAUAUUAAGAGCUUUGUGGGAAACAUUGACAAGAUGGUACCAAAGGAUGGUUUGGCUUCGAAGUGUUGGAGAUUAGCCUCAAAGCUUAUUUGUUUCUUAUGGGGCUUAUCGAAGGUAAUAGGUAUAUCGCGAGCACUAACAACAGAUGAUAUGUCCUUAUGGUCACCAGGUAGGCCAUCAAGAAUUUUUAGAGUCAGAUCUUCAUAGUGGAUGGGAUAGUCCUUGAUAGCAAGUUCGACAAUCUUGCUUUUCUAAGAUUCUAGAAACUCGAUAAUAGUUAAAGAUCCUAUAGUAANNNNNNNNNNNNNNNNNNNNNNNNNNNNNNNNNNNNNNNNNNNNNNNNNNNNNNNNNNNNNNNNNNNNNNNNNNNNNNNNNNNNNNNNNNNNNNNNNNNNNNNNNNNNNNNNNNNNNNNNNNNNNNNNNNNNNNNNNNNNNNNNNNNNNNNNNNNNNNNNNNNNNNNNNNNNNNNNNNNNNNNNNNNNNNNNNNNNNNNNNNNNNNNNNNNNNNNNNNNNNNNNNNNNNNNNNNNNNNNNNNNNNNNNNNNNNNNNNNNNNNNNNNNNNNNNNNNNNNNNNNNNNNNNNNNNNNNNNNNNNNNNNNNNNNNNNNNNNNNNNNNNNNNNNNNNNNNNNNNNNNNNNNNNNNNNNNNNNNNNNNNNNNNNNNNNNNNNNNNNNNNNNNNNNNNNNNNNNNNNNNNNNNNNNNNNNNNNNNNNNNNNNNNNNNNNNNNNNNNNNNNNNNNNNNNNNNNNNNNNNNNNNNNNNNNNNNNNNNNNNNNNNNNNNNNNNNNNNNNNNNNNNNNNNNNNNNNNNNNNNNNNNNNNNNNNNNNNNNNNNNNNNNNNNNNNNNNNNNNNNNNNNNNNNNNNNNNNNNNNNNNNNNNNNNNNNNNNNNNNNNNNNNNNNNNNNNNNNNNNNNNNNNNNNNNNNNNNNNNNNNNNNNNNNNNNNNNNNNNNNNNNNNNNNNNNNNNNNNNNNNNNNNNNNNNNNNNNNNNNNNNNNNNNNNNNNNNNNNNNNNNNNNNNNNNNNNNNNNNNNNNNNNNNNNNNNNNNNNNNNNNNNNNNNNNNNNNNNNNNNNNNNNNNNNNNNNNNNNNNNNNNNNNNNNNNNNNNNNNNNNNNNNNNNNNNNNNNNNNNNNNNNNNNNNNNNNNNNNNNNNNNNNNNNNNNNNNNNNNNNNNNNNNNNNNNNNNNNNNNNNNNNNNNNNNNNNNNNNNNNNNNNNNNNNNNNNNNNNNNNNNNNNNNNNNNNNNNNNNNNNNNNNNNNNNNNNNNNNNNNNNNNNNNNNNNNNNNNNNNNNNNNNNNNNNNNNNNNNNNNNNNNNNNNNNNNNNNNNNNNNNNNNNNNNNNNNNNNNNNNNNNNNNNNNNNNNNNNNNNNNNNNNNNNNNNNNNNNNNNNNNNNNNNNNNNNNNNNNNNNNNNNNNNNNNNNNNNNNNNNNNNNNNNNNNNNNNNNNNNNNNNNNNNNNNNNNNNNNNNNNNNNNNNNNNNNNNNNNNNNNNNNNNNNNNNNNNNNNNNNNNNNNNNNNNNNNNNNNNNNNNNNNNNNNNNNNNNNNNNNNNNNNNNNNNNNNNNNNNNNNNNNNNNNNNNNNNNNNNNNNNNNNNNNNNNNNNNNNNNNNNNNNNNNNNNNNNNNNNNCAGGUAUAUAUAUAUAUAUAUAUAUAUAUAUAUAUAUAUAUAUAUAUAUAUAUUGAUGAUAAGUCAGAAGAAUAUAAAUUAACCCCCUGCAAAUAGGGCUAGUUUUUGAUUGGCAUGAUUGCAGUGGCGGAUCUAGGUGGUGGUGAGAUCCGUUGGAAGCCAUUUUUUUUGGUUGACAAUAGAUUAAGGUUUUAGAUUAUGUUACUGAUAAUUCUUUCUUCUUCUGAAUUUUCCUUCUAGUUGAAGUGGUUAUAUAUUUACAUUUUGCAAGUCCUGGUUUCGAUUCUCUUCCCAACCAAUUCAUUGUGCAAUUUUUUUAGUUUACAACAACUAUCAAAAUUAAUGCAAUAGGAAAGAGUUGGAUGAGAUUCAAACCUUGAAACCCUAUUAUAACCAUUGAAAGCCUGACCACUGUGGCAUCUAUUGGUUUUGGCACUUAAUUCAAUAAAGUAAUAUAUAUUAUAUUUAUUGGGUUUAAGAUUCCAAAUCAUGUUCUUCCUUUAAAUUAUACGAUACUUGACAACAAUGUCAUUUGGUGAAUAUACGAUUUAUUCUUAUAACAGAAUUAUAUAUGUUCAAUAUGAACAAAUUUUAGGCAUUGUUUUAUUGUCAUUUUUUUUUCAAAAUACAUUUUUAUCUAUCUUAUUUUUAACCAUAUAUUUUUCAAUAAAAAAUAAUAUUACACGCAAAUUCAAAAUAUUUUUCUUAUUUUUUACCUCACUUUCUCCAUGAAAUCAUUAUUUCAAAAUGCAUUUUUUGUUUAAAAAAAAAAAAGACAUCAAACGGGCUCUUAAUACUUUAUUGCAGCUGACGGUCGACAAUCAACGACUAUCCGUGCUGACUCAAAAUCCUAGAUUCGCCACUGCAUGAUUGGAUGUAAUUAUUGUAGUUUCAAUUAUUUAAGUCCGAUUGGAUCCUUUUGAUAGCUUCAGUAAAAGUUUUGAGCUUUAUUACAUUAUUAAUAAAAUUUCUUAGACCACUUUGAAAAUAGUCCAAAAUAGAACUUGCAGUUUAGUGAAAUUAGGGAACAAAGUCCUAAACUUACUUGAAGGGUUAAGGGGAUGCCCAUGGCAUAAGUGAAUGCCCUCGUCGUCCAAUACACAUAAAGAGAUCGCUUUUUAUUGUUUGAUUCCUCAACUUGAUUCUUGAUUUGGCUUUCAGGUUUCCACUCAUUAAUUGCUGUUCAUACUUCUGGAGAAUACCAAAGAAGAUAUGGGGUUGAAGCUUGAAGAUUGAAUAUCAAUAUUUAAAGAAAAGAAUUGGAGCAGCUUCUAAAGAAUUCAGAUCUAAUCACACUUCAACUAUGAUUCCACAAUCCUUUAUAUGAUUAAUUCAACAUGUUAUAACACGAAUUUAAGUAUAUAUUCUUGGGUCAAAACUUAUUAAGAAAAAAAAUUUAUUGCACAUGUUUUUACUUAUUGUCUAACAUUAGUCUUAUCUUUUCACUUUGGAUUUGUGAACACAUCUUUUCAGUUCAGUGUUUAUGAGUUAAGUUUGUAUCUAAUAACGCUAAAAAAUAGGGUUCUUUAAUACAUUAACAUUGUUCAUGUAAUAUAAAAAGCCUCCUUGUGUAUAAAGAAAUAUACAACUCUAUUAUGGAUCUUUCCUAUAUUUUAUGUACUUUAUAUAUUCAGUUUUAAUUGGAUAUUUAAAGAAAGUUCACCUUGACCUGCUAUUUAGAGUGCACACUAAGCAAUGGUCUAUCGGUUGUCGAAUUUUGGAGAUUGAUCGCUUAGACUCUGUUGCACUGGAUUACAUAUCUCGAGGGGGCAACUAUUUAUGGUACUUCAAACUAACAUUUUUAAGCUAAUUUUCAUUGUUGAUUCCUAAAGUUAUCUUAUAAUGUGUGGGCACAUGAAAUAAAUGACUUAUCUUUAGUUUCAUCUUUCGUGCAUAUUACAACUUUCCUAACAAUCUUAAAUUCAUUUUGGAUAAAACCUCUUUACCAGGGCCACAUGUGCCCUGGUAUUGAUACGCCCUAUAGGUGGGGCCUCGAUAGGUGCCCCACCUAUAGGGGGCGCCAACCAUGGCACAUGCGGCCCUGGUAACCAAGCACGGUUCAUUGAUUUUAUACAUAUUGGAUAUGCCUCACAUUUCACCAAGCCAACAUUGACUUAAGUCGUGCUUCUAAAGUUCGUAUUCAAUUUUGGUACAAGAUUUGAUGGGGUCUAUACACUUGGCUCAUUCAUUGAGGCCCCACCUAUAGUGGGUGCCAAUAUCAGGGCACAUGUGGCCCUGGUAACCAAGCACGGUUCAUUGACUUUGUACAUAUUGGAUCUGCCUCACAUUUCACCAAGUCAACUUUGACUCAAGUCGUGCUUCUAAAGUUUGUAUUCGAUUUUGGUACAAGAUUUGAUGUGGUCUCUACACUUGGCUCAUUCUGGGUUGCUGGACAGAGAGUAAAUUGGUUCUUUCAUCUAAAAGGGGCUAAUCUCAUUUCUCACACACAGAGUGCUCUUUUUCCUUUCUUUAGACAUUUUUUAUGUGUUCUAAAGAAAUUUAAGUGAUUUCUUGAAACAUUUUACUGAAUUUGUUCUUGAUUUUCAUUCUAAUAUGAAAGCCAUAUCUACUUUGGUAGAUGCUCAAUGGGUGAAUAAUGUUAGAGCACAUGAACAUUCGGAUCAAUUAGUGGAUGAAAAUUCUUGUGUUCGAAUUUCUUUAAUUUUUUACACAUUUAUUUCAAUCUUUUAGGGUUAAAACAUAUAUUUAGGACUAACAAGUGGCAUCAGAGUGAGAAACUUAAUUUUGAUAUGGUUUCUGGCUUUAAAAUGGAAACCUAAUUUGUUCUUUUUGAAAAAUCUUUGUACUAUACUAGCUCUCGAUCUAGAAUUUUUUGUGGAAACCAACUUAUUUCCAAAUCUCUAUGACUUGAUGUAUCUUCAAUUCAACGUUUGGUUGAAUUUUUUGAUGAACUCGUUUUGGUUUCUAGCGAUUCUUGAUGGCUCGUUCGUAUUCGUUGUUGGGGUGUGAUGACUUUACGCAGUUUCUAGCAAUUCUCGGUGACUCCUUAUUAUUUGUUGAGUUGAGGUGCCUCAUUCAAUCUACUACUGACUCUUGGUGUUUUACUUGGCAUUCUGGGGUAAAUUUUAGUAGAGCAGAGUUUAAAUAUAGAAACUAAUUUGUUUUGUAUUGAAGACACAAACUGAACAUUAGACAAUUUAAAAGUUCUAAUGACACAGGAAAAGAUGUUAGAACUAUUAGGUAGAGAAGAGGAUGGUGGAUUGUGCUAGCCAUGAAUAUGAUGUAUAUUAAGAGCUUUGUGGGGAACAUUGGCAGAGAUGGUACCAGAGGAUGGUUUGGCUUCGAAGUGUUGGAGAUUAGCCUCAAAGCUUAUUUGUUUCUUAUGGAGCUUAUUGAAGGUAAUGGGUAUAUCGCGAGCACUAACAACAGAUGAGAUGUCCUUAUGGUCACCGAGUAGGCCUUCAAGAAUUUUUAGUGUCAGAUUUUCAUAGUGGAUGGGAUAGUCCUUGAUAGCAAGUUCGACAAUCUUGAUUUUCUAAGAUUCUAGAAACUCGAUAAUAGUUAAAGAUCCUAUAGUAACGUUGGGAAGUCGACUUUUUCAUUGUAUAAUGCAACCUCCUGAGGGUUUGUCAUAUAUUGCAAAAAUAUUGUUCCACACAUUAUGAGAUGUUUUGAAAGAAGCGAUGUAUGGUAUAAUAGUGGAAGAACGGAUCCGAUAAUUGCAUUUAAUAGUAGUUGGUUAUGUUCGAUACCAUAAGCAAAUGAUUGAUUUAGUAAGUAUUGACAUUUUUUAUAAUAUGUAGCUCAUAUGGAGUAAAACACAUGUACACUAGAAAAGCACGUUGACGCCAACGUGGAGCAAGGGGAGCGCACCUAACAGAAUGGUACAAGGAUAUUUUUGGAUUUCUAUAAUAUCUUGUACGGGCUAGGUUAGUAUAUAUAUUAUAACUCUAUUAUUUUCAUAUUGUGAAAAUUAUAGCCGCUUCACUCUCGUAGAUGUAGGCUACUGUCAAACCACUCUCUCUAUUGAAUUUGUACUAUUCAUCAUUAUCAUUAUUGUCGUACAUAACACAACACCAUUGAUAUAAGCUAGUCAUAAACCCAUGAGAUCAUACCUUAUGAGUAUUGUAUUAUAUUGCAAUUUCUAUGAGGACUAAUUUCCUACGAGCAAGAUACUCUAGUGUCUAGCGCUUCGACCUUCUUCCUCCCGCUCGAAUAAGCCCUAGUUUCGCUUGAAUGAUCAAUGACGACACUUCUACAAUGUCAUCUAGUCAUCUUGUCCUACUCUUGUGCCGUAUAUUUCCUCAUUGUUCCCAAUCACGACCUAAGUGCCUCUAUAGCUCUACCCACUUCACACGCUCAGUUCUCACCCUAUGAAAACCCAUGACAAAGAUCAUAUUCCAAAGCCAAUUCAAAAACUAAAUAUCACCCCUUGAUCUUGAUUCCAUUAUUCUACAGUCUUUUGCCACAAUCCUUAAACGUCCACUUUGAUUCUAAUCCAUGUGUGAGGAGUUUGAUGGCCUAUUAGGUAAUGAAUUUAAAAGACCUCCUCUCCCUUCUAAUUCCAAAUUAUUUUCAUUUGUAAAUGGGCUUUUCAUGUUAAACGGAAACCUAAUGGUUACAUUCAUUGUGCAUGACGAAUGUUUUUCAUCAACGCUCGUGGUAGACUACAAUGAGAAUUUUAACCUAGUUGUCAAUUCCACCACCAUCCAUCUCAUUUUAAUCUUACCUUGGCACAGCAUUGGUCUCUACGUUGUUCAAUGUUAGUAAUACAUUUCUUCGGGAUUCACUAAUGAAAAUUAUUUACAUGUCUCAUCUUCAACAAUUUGUCGAUAUAGAAACUUCCAUUAUGAUUGUCCAUUUCAUAAAGGUAUCUGUAAUCUCAAACAAGCUCAUCGAGCUUAGUACAAUGAAUUACGAAACUUCUUGCUUGCCAGUGGGAUUACCAAUUCCAAAUCUAACACGUACGUCUAUAUUCAACUGCAACUCCAACCAGUGUUGAAUCUUAGUUUUGGUUUAUGCUAAAGACAUCAUUGUCACGAGAAACUCAAGUUUUUAAUAUCUUUGUUACUCAUUUGGUACCAUUUUUUCUAGAGAUGUCAAAAAUCCUAACCGAACCUAAUCCCCAUAGGGACAUAUCCCAAAGUGGACAAGAGUUUCUGGCUUUAAUCGAGUUUGCAUCCAUUUAUAUUUUAACAAUAUUAAUAAAAAAAAAUGCCCAAUUUGUAUUAUAAAAAUUUUUUAAAAAAAUGAAUAAAUAAAUUUACCUAUCAUGCAAUCCAAUCUAACAUCGCGUUCCAUUCAAGAAAAAAGAAAAAGAAGGAGAAAAAAUAGAAAAUUGAUUAAAAAAAGCAAAAUAAAAUAUAACGGUGCUAUAAAGUGGAUCCCACUUUAUUGUCAUCCCUAGAUUUGGAUACUUUUUUCCUGGGGAUAUAAGUUAUUUUUCUCUACAAGGCCUUUUUCUCUCACAACAUUAGUUUGUAUCUCAGUAAUCUUCUGCACAACAUAAGUUGCAUGAGUGUGAGUCAGUGUCAAUUUCUAUGUACAUGACAACUACCUUGAGCUUAAUUGAUGUCACUACUUUUCAUGAUGCUUUUAAAUAUAGGCAAGUUCUUGGCAACUUGCAAUAUUCUUUACUCACUCGCCAGGGCAUUGUUAUUUAGUAAACCAUCUGUAUCAAUAUAUCGCUGAUCCAUUUCUCACACUUGGAUCGCUGUUAAACUUAUGUUUCUCGACUUUUUUGGCACUUUGGGCUCUUUCUUUGUCGCCAUUCUCCUGUCUUGUUACAUGCCUUCUCUAAAUCUGAUUGAGAAGAAAAUGGUAAUGAUUCCACAUCCAUCCAUGCCAAUCUAGUGAUUCUUGAAUGGAACCUAAUUGUUGCUCAUUUUUUUUUAUUGAAAUCGACUAUCAUAUGGCUUAAAUAUUUAGUACUUGAAUUCAGCGAACCAAUUUCCACCAAUCGAGUAAUCUAAUUUCAUACUAUUAGCACCACAUACUUAAUGACCUAACACUAUUUCUCACCUCGAAUGGAAUACAUUAAGAUUCAUGUGCACUUUGUUCAUGACAAGAUUUAGACCGGUGAACUCUGGAUUUCUUGUGUUGUCUUGUCCAAUCAAUUUGUUAAUGUUCAAACUAAACAUUAAUCAUAUGCGUCCGCAUCUACUCCUAUCUGAUAUAGGUGUCACUAAUAAGACUGCUUUCUUGUGCGGGGCAUAUUAUAGAUAUUAAAGUAAUUAGAGAUAGCAUAGUACGAUAAUUAGAGCUUGAUCUUGUGAAAUAAUAUUAAAGUAGUUAUAGAUAGUGUUACACAAUAGUUAGAACUUGUCAUUACUCAACGUGCAUCAUAUAUUUCUGUUACAGAAUGUAUACAUAUAUAUAGCACAUACCAGGAGAUAUUCUAGACUAUGCACUAAUUUAGGCUAUGAUUGAGAUUGACCCUCAUUGUAUGUGGAGUCAGAUGACAAACUAUACUUCCCUAUAAUUAUUGAAUAAUGUUAUUUAAUAUUAGUAGAAUUAGAGUGCCAGUCUAAGUUGACAUACUUGAUAAGUUCAAUUAAAUUAAUAUUGUGGUAUUGCAUUUAAAUGAAUUUAUUGUUUAGUGUCAUGAAAUUAGGGUGGCAACAGUUCGGUUCAGGUUCGGUUUGGCCAAAACCAUCACCGAAUCACCAAUUUUUUUGUCAUACCAUAACCACGUAAGUUGGUUCGGUUCGGCUUAGUUAGGACGAUUAAGAACAACGAAAAUAAAUUAUUUUUUAUAAGUUCAGCUAUCAAAUUGGAAAAAAAAAUUAUGAAAAAAAAGGUCAAUGAAAACAAAAACACAAUACCAAGUCAAUUUAACAAACAAUAUCCCAAUUUCCAAAGGCAAAAUCCGAAUUUAACAAACAAUAUCCAUAAAUGUUUAAUAUUUGUGUAGUAGGGUGUAGGGUUAUUGGGUUCAGUUAGUUGGACUUAAUGGGUUGGUAAUGGGCCAAAAAUUUGAACUGAACAGAAUCAUAGAAAGACUAAUGGAAAGCCUAAUUGUCCAAUUAGUUUUUUUUUAACAGGUAAUCGGUUCGGAGUUGGACGACGGUGUAAAUAUCAUACUCGUCCCGCUCCAAAUCGGGGCAUUAAAAUCAAAUACCAUAUCCACCCCAUUGCGCCAUUGGUUCGGUUAAUCGCGAUUUUCGAUUUUGAUAGUUCGAAUUGCCAUCCUUACAUGAAAUUGCAUCUCAACUAAAGUUUAACACUAAUGGUGCUAAAGUGCAUUACUCAUAAUUAUUAUAUGAGUAAUGCCAUUUAGCACUAUUAGUUAAGCACUGUUUAGGUGGCAUGCAAUAAUCAUUAAUUGAAAGACUGCCUUAAAAGUAGAAAAAUGAGUCACAUUUAAAAUGUUCUAUCACUUGCAUGCCAUCUAAGUUGGUGCUAUGUAACAUUAUUCUUAUUACUUUUCUUGAUUGACAACUUGCACCAAUAGUCAUCUUGCAACUUAUUGAUAUACUAAAAUCAAUGUGAGAUAGAGUUUAUGUAUUUGAGUUGGAGUCGAUCAAGUUUUUAUAGAACCUAAAUAAUCUUCAAAUGAAUCAUAGUUACUCAAGUUGUUUCUUACCGCUCUAAGCAUCAAUCCAAACACAUUCUUAUGUCAAUCAAUAUGUCAAUUUUUACAUGAAUCAAUUCAUCCUUUGCUGUUAGAGUUACUUUAGUUAGCUACUUUAGCAGAGAUGAUCAAGUUAUACAAAAGCUCAUUAGAAACAUCAAAGUUAGAUAUAAACUGUAAGGCUUAAUUACAGUUUUGUGUACUGUUACAGAAACAUUCAAAGUUUUUCGAGUAAUAUAGAUCAUUUCACUAAUCCUUUUUAUUUUUAUUUUUUUUAUAUACCAUUGUAUGAUUAAAUAAAAUUAGUAUAAAACAUCAAUACUUCAUCUACAAUGUACAUAGUUUAUCAACAAUGUUAAUAGCAUUGAGUUUAUAUUUCAUCAUAAUUCUCCAGACCAAUUAGAAAUAUUAGGAAGUUUCUAGUAUUUGAUCUUGUCUUCCCAUUUCUUUUAAUCAAUACAUAUAAUUAAUCAAGCAACCAAAAUAAAAUUUUUAACACCAUAAUACCAAUAUAAAAGUUACAAAUCUAGAAUAAAUCACUAUUACUCAUAGGAGUCACUUUGUAGAGCCCAUAUAGAAAACCUUGAAGGCAUGUCAAUUAAUACAUGUACUAUGCUGUUUCAAUUAUAAGUUAAUGUACCUCAUUUUCUUUCUUACACCAUAUAAAUACUUUAUCAACUAGGCCAACACUCAUCAUAAUUUAGCAAAUAAGACUUAGAAAAUGCACCGUUUUUUAUCCAUAACUCUUCGACUUAAAUCUAAGAUGAUAUCGUCAUGCCAUUAUAGAAGCAAAGAGAAUCUGACCUAUAUAAUUAUUAAUAGGGUAAGGAUGCUUUAGCAGAUUUCGUCUAAUCUGCAAUUUAGGAAAAAUUGCAUCAUACAACCAUUUGUUAAGGGGAUGCCCAUGGCAUAAGUGAAUGCCCUAGUCGUCCAAUACACAUAAAGAGAUCGCUUUUAAUUGUUUGAUUUCUCAACUUGAUUCUUGAUUUGGCUUUCAGGUUUCCACUCAUUAAUUGAUGUUCAUACUUCUGGAGAAUACCAAAGAAGAUAGGGGUUGAAAGCUUGAAGAUUGAAUAUCCAUAUUUAAAGAAAAGAAUUGGAGCAGCUUCUAAAGAAUUCAGAUCUAAUCACACUUCAACUGUGAUUCCACAAUCCUUUAUAUGAUUAAUUCAACAUGUUAUAAUACGAAUUUAACUAUAUAUUAUUGGGUCAAAACUUAUUAAGAACAAAAUUUAUUGCCUAUGUUUUUACUUAUUGUCUAACAUUAUUCUUAUCUUUACUUUGGCUUUGUGAACAUACAUUUUCAGUUCAGUGGUUAUGAGUUAACUUUGUAUCUAAUAACGCUAAAAGAUAAGGUUCUUUAAUACAUUAACAUUGUUCAUGUACCAUAAAAAGCCUCCUUGUGCAUAAAGAAAUAUACAACUCUAUUAUGGGUCUUUCCUAUAUUUUAUGUACUUUAUAUAAUAAGUACUUAGAGUGGGAGAAGAAGAUUGAGUUGAUAUUCGAUUGUCACAAUUACUCGGGGCAGAAAAAGGUGAAAAUUGCGGUUCUUGAGUUUUUCAACUAUGCAAUAACUUGAUGGGAUCAAGUGGCGACGACGAGGUGGAGGAUUGGGGCACAACCUUUAAAUACUUGGGAGGAGUUGAAGAUGUUAAUGCGAAAAUAGUUUGUACCUAAUCACUAUUACCGGAAGCUUCAUCAAUGGUUACAAAAUCUAUAUCAAGGCACUAGGAGCAUAGAGGAUUACCAUAAGGAGAUGGAGAUGCUUAUGAUUAGGGCGAACGUGGAAGAGGAUAGGGAAGCCACUAUGGCACGAUUUUUGAGGGGGUUGAAUAGGGACAUUGCCAAUGAAGUGGAAUUGCAACAUUAGGUGGAGAUUGAAGACAUGCUACAUGUGGCAUGAAGGUGGAAAAGCAAUUGAAGCGAAAGGGGACAGCAAGGUACUAAGGUGGAUUUUCGAUUUCUAAUCCUUCUUGGAAGCCGAGGUAGGAAAAUAAUAAAGGAGAUGGAGCUAAUAGAAGAGAAAGACCGGAGGCAUCGAGAGGAAAGGAGGAAGGAGCUAGCAAGACUACACCAAAGGUAGAAUCCCAGCCUUCAAGGAAUCUGGAGUCAAGUGUUUUCGUUGCUUGGGAGUUGGACACAUUGCUUCACAAUGUCCAAAUAAAAGAACCAUGAUUUUGCAAGACAGCGAGGAAGUGGAGAUCGAGAGUGAAGGUGAUUAUGAAGACAUGCCGGAGUUGGAGGACAUUGACGAGGAAAACACCACAGAGUAUGCAGUUGGGGAGUUGUUGGUCACAAGGCGAGCACUUAGUGCUCAAAUCAAGGCGGUUGACUUGGAGCAGCAGUGGAAAAAUAUAUUCCACACAUGGUGUCACGUCAACGGGAAGGUAUGCAGUGUAAUAACUGAUGGUGGAAGUUGUACAAACGUAGCUAGCACUAAUGUAGUGGGAAAAUUGGGAUUAACACUAUUAAAAUAUCCUAAACCCUAUAGGUUGCGAUGGUUAAAUUAAUGUGGGGAGGUUGAUGUGACAAAAAAGGUGUUGAUUAAUUUUUCCAUUGGGAAGUAUUAUGAUGAGGUGUUAUGUGAUGUUGUACCUAAGCACGCGGGGCAUAUUUUGUUGGGGCGACCUUGGUAAUAUGAUAGGAAAACAAUGCAUGAUGGGUAUAAAAAUAAAUAUAGUUUUGUGAAAGAGGGAAAGUCUAUCACUCUUGCACCAUUAAGUGUAUGACGACCAAAUCAAAUUGAAAAAUGAGGAAGAAAAGAGAGUGAGAGAGUUAGAGAAAAAGAGAGAAAAUAGUAAGAUUGCCGAUGAGGAAGAAAAAAGAGUGGGGCCACAUGAGAGAAAGAAAGAGAGUUUUCCGAGAGGAGAGAAAAGCCAAAAGUGAAUUUCUUUGCAAAAGGGAGUGAAAUGAAAAAGGCAAUAGUGGAGAGACAAUCAAUGAUUCUUUUGGUAUUUACUCCUCAAUUUUGAGGAGUCUAACACAUCCCUCCCUAGUUUGACUACUUCUUUAUUGCAGGAACUUGUCGAUGUGUUUCCGGAAGAUGUGCCUAGUGGAUUACCACCCAUUAGGGGGAUCGAACAUUAAAUUGAUUUCAUACCUGGAGCUGUCAUUCCAAACCGACCAGUUUAUCGAAGUAAUCCAAAGGAGACAAAGGAGUUUCAAAGGUAAGUGGAGGAGUUGAUGAGCAAGGGUUAUGUAAGGGAGAGCAUGAGUCCAUGUGCCGUACCUGUAUUGUUGGUGCCAAAGAAAGAUGGAACUUGGAGGAUGUGCGUGGAUUGCCGAUCUAUCAAUAACAUUACGGUAAAGUAUGGUCACCCAAUUCCUAGGUUAGAUGACAAGUUAGAUGAAUUAUAUAGUGCUUGCAUCUUUUCUAAAAUUGACCUUAAGAGCGGGUAUCAUGAAAUUCGUAUGCGGGAGGGUGAUGAAUGGAAAACAACAUUUAAAACGAAAUAUGAGUUGUAUGAAUGGCUAGUUAUACCCUUUGGACUCACAAAUGCACCAAGCACGUUUAUGCGAUUAAUGAAUCAUGUUUUGCAUGCUUUCAUUGAAAAAUUUGUUGUAGUUUAAUUUGAUGACAUUCUAAUCUAUAGCAAGGACCUAGUAGAGCAUUUAGAACAUCUUAAAUGUGUGCUUGUGGUUUUAAGAAAUGAACGACUUUAUGCUAAUUUCAAGAAGUACACAUUUUGCAUGGAUAGAAUCAUAUUUCUAGGAUUUGUGGUGAGUGCUAAUGGGGUUGAAGUUGAUGAAGAAAAUGUAAAAGCUAUUAAGGAUUGGCCAACACCUAAAAACAUAACCGAGGUUAGGAGUUUUCAUGGGUUAGCUAGUUUUUAUAGGCGAUUUGUUAGGGAUUUUAGCACACUUGCCACACCACUUACAAAAAUUGUCAAAAAGAGUGUUGGGUUUCAAUGGGGUGUAGAAUAAGAAUAUGCAUUUAACACCAUCAAAGAAUUUUUAUGUAAAGCACCUGUUUUAGCGCUUCCUAAUUUUGACAAAACUUUCGAGAUUGUGUGUGAUGCAUUAGGAAUAGGUAUUAGAGCUGUUUUGACGCAGGAAAAGAGGUCGAUAGCAUACUUUAGCGAGAAACUAAGUGGGGCAGCUCUUAACUAUCCUACUUAUGGCAGGAGCUUUAUUCUCUAGUUCGAGCCUUGGAGACAUGGCAACACUACCUAUGGCCAAAGGAGUUUGUUAUUCACAUUGACCAUGAAUCAUUGAAACAUUUGCGAGGUCAAGGUGAUUUGAACAAACGACAUGCACAUUGGAUGGAAUUCAUAGAGACUUUUCCAUAUGUCAUUCGAUAAAAACAAGGUAAGGAAAACAUAGUAGCCGUUGCAUUGUCGCGAAGGUAUGUGCUUCUCACUUCUUUAACUGCAAAAUUACUUGGUUUUGAGUAUGUUAAGGACAUGUGUAAAAACGAUCUUGAUUUUUCUAACAUCUAUAAUUCAUGUACUGAGAGGGCUAUUGACAAGUUCUUUAAAUAUGAGGGAUAUUUGUUUUGAGAAAAUAAAUUAUGUGUUCCUAAUUGCUCAAUGCGUGAAUUGUUGGUUAGGGAGGCACAUAGUGGGGGUUUAAUAGGUCACUUUGGGUUAGCAAAGAGUUUAGACAUGUUAAAUGAACACUUUUAUUGGCCUAAAAUGAAGAUUGACAUAGAACGAUUUUGUAGUCGUUGCAUAACUUUUAAAAAGACUAAAUCAAAAGUUUUAUCCCAUAGACUUUAUACACCUUUAUCGAUACCUAGCGAACCUUGGGUUGACAUUUCAAUGGAUUUUGUGUUAGGUUUGCCUAGGACUAAAAAGAGGCGUGAUUCAAUUUUUGUUUUUGGUGAAUAGGUUUAGUAAAAUGGUACACUUUAUACCAUGUCACAAAAUCGAAGAUGUCACUAACAUUGCAGGAGUUGUUUUUCAAAGAAUUAGUGUGUUUGCAUGGUGUUCCCAAAAGUAUUGUGUCCGAUAGGGAUGUUAAGUUUCUUAGUCACUUUUGGCGGGUCUUGUGGAAUAAGUUAGGCACGAAAUUAUUGUUUUCUACAACUCGUCACCUAUAAAUCGAUGGUCAAACUGAAGUAGUGAAUAGAACAAUGACACAACUAUUGCGCACUGUGGUUAAUAAAAAUCUAAAGAAUUGGAAAGAAUGUUUGCCUUUCAUUGAGUUUGCAUAUAAUAGAGCCACGUAUUCUACUACGUCGUUUUCACCAUUUGAAAUUGUUUAUGGUUUUAAUCCUUUAACAUCUAUGGAUUUAGGACCUUUGCGUGUGAAUGAACGAGGUAGUUUGGAUCGAAAAAAGAAAGCCUAAUUGGUAAAGACACUCCGUGAAAAGGUAAGGGAGCAAAUAGAGAAGAAGAACAAUCAACGAACAACACAAGCAAACAAAGGCCGAAAAUAUGCCACUUUCGAACCGGGAGAUUGGGUUUGGGUGCAUUUCACGAAAAAGCGAUUCCCAGAGCAAAGAAAAUCAAAGUUAUUGCCACGAGGAGAUGGAUCGUUCCAAGUGAUUGAGAAGAUCAACGACAACGCUUAUAAGAUAGAUCUUCCAGGUGAGUAUAGUGUUUCUGCAACUUGCAAUGUUUCUGACUUAUCUCUUUUCGAUGCAGGUACAGAUUUGAGGUCAAAUCCUUUCGAAGAGAGAGGGGAUGAUGUGAUCCAGAAAGCACAAGUACCAAAGUCAAGUUUAGAGUCGAGCCCGAGGAAAGAUCUGUUGAUAGUCGAGGGGACGAUGACGCGAUCGAGGGCCAAGCACGUGAAAGAGGCGAUGGGAUUGCUCGUCAAAACAACGGUUGAUGAAACAAUGUUCGGGAUACAAAAUGGAGUAAGUUUCAUGUUUGGGACGAAGGCCGAAGACUAUUGGAUCAACGUGUUUAAAGUUGAAGAAAAUGGAGCUGGAGUAUUAAACCAUGCGGCCGUAUAGGUCUAAAGUCCUGCAGUCGCAUACACUCAGUAGAAGUCCCAAAGUCGCGGACCAAUUGCACUAUGCGACCGCAUGCUCUAAAGCUAUGCGGCUGCACCGAGGCGAAUUUUUUCAAAUUUCGCAUUUUCCUUAUUUUAAUAGAAUUUCAUUAUUAGUAGAUUUUUAGCUAUUGUGGACGAAUUUUGCAUUAUUCUUAGAUUUUUUCCUAGUUUACUUAGGUUCUCUAAAAUAGUAUAAAUACUUUAUUCCUUAUUGUAAAACAUUACAACUCUCAUAUUAUUGAAUAUUAUUCGUGAGGCAUUAAUUGCUUUCUCUAGUUUUUCAUUGAACAGCUUGUGAACUUACCAAGAUUAAUCUUGUGGUAUUCAAAUUAAUCGGGUGAGAUUCAUUUAAAUUUCGUAAUCAAAAGGUCCGCAUAUUGUCGGAGAUUCGGAUUGCUUGGUUCCAAUUUAUUGGGUUUAAUAAAAAAUCUUGUCUUUGGCUUUCUUGGGUUUGAUUCUCAAUUUGUUAUGGGUUUGGUAGCGAUCGCGCUACACGGGUUCGCAUCAGAUUUCUUCGAACAUUUUACUGAAUUUGUUCUUGAUUUUCAUUCUAAAAUGAAAGUCAUAUCUACUUUGAUAGAUGCUCAAUGGAAGAAUAAUGUUGGAGCACGUGAACAUUCAGAUCCAUUAGUGGAUGAAAAUUCUUAUGUUAGAAUUUCUUUAAUUUUUUACACAUUUAUUUCAAUAUUUUAGGGUUAAAACAUAUAUUUAGGACUAACAAGUGGCAUCAGAGUCGGAACCUUAAAUUUUAUAUGGUUUCUGGCUUUAAAAUGGAAACCUACUUUGUUCUUUUUGAAAAAUCUUUGUACUAUACCAGUUCUUGAUCUACAAUAUUUUUAUUUUUAUUUUUAUUUUUUGGAAACCAACUUAUUUCCAAGUCUCUGUGACAAAUAUGUAUCUUCGAUUCAACAUUUGGUUGAAUUUUUUGAUGAACUCGUUUUGGUUUCUAGCGAUUCUUGAUGGCUCGUUCGUAUUCCUUGUUGGGGUGUGAUGACUUUACGCAGUUUCUGGCAAUCCUCGGUGACUCAUUAUUUGUUGAGUUGAGGUGACUCAUUCAAUCUACUACUGAUUCUUGGUGUUUCAGUUGGCAUUCUGGGAUAAAUUUUAUUAGAGCAGAGUUUAAAUAUAGAAAUUAAUUUGUUUUGUAUUGAAGACGCAAACUGAACAUUAGACAAUUUAAAAGUUCAAUGACACAGGAAAGGAUGUUAGGACUAUUAGGUAGAGAAGAGGGUGGUGGAUUGUUCUAGCCAUGAAUAUGAUGUAUAUUAAGAGCUUUGUGGGGAACAUUGGCAGAGAUGGUACCAGAGGUUGGUUUGGCUUCAAAGUGUCGGAGCUUAUUUGUUUCAUAUAGAGCUUAUCGAAGGUAAUGGGAUAUCGCGAGCACUAACAACAGAUGAGAUGUCCUUAUGGUCACUACGUAGGCCUUCGAGAAUUUUUAGAGUCAGAUCUUCAUGGUGGAUGGGAUAGUCCUUGACAGCAAGUUUGACAAUCAUGCUUUUCUAAGAUUGUAGAAACUCGAUAAUAGUUAUAGAUCCUAUAGUAAGUUUGGGAAGUCGACUUCUUCAUUGUAUAACGCAUCCUCCUGAGGGUUCGUCAUAUAUUGCAAAAAUAUUGUUCCACACAUUAUGAGAUCUUUGAAAAGAAGCGAUGCAUGGAAUAAUAGUGGAAGAUCGGAUCCGAGAAUUGCACUUAAUAGUAGUUGGUUUUGUCCGAUACCUUAAGCAAAUGAUCGAUUUAGUAAAUCAUUGGCAUUGUUUAUAAUAUGUAGCUCAUAGAGUAAAGCACAUGUAUGCUAGAAAGCAGGUUGAUGCCGACGUGGAGCAAGGGGAGCACACCUAAGAGAAUGGUACUAGUAUAUUUUUGGAUUUUUACAAUAUCUUGUACGAGCUACGUUAGUAAAUACGUCGUAACUCUAUUAUUUUCACAUUGUGAAAAUUAUAGCUGCUUCACUCUCGUAGAUGUAAGCUAUUGUCAAACCACAUAAAUCUCUCUCUCUCUCUCUCUCUCUAUUGAAUUUGUACUAUUCAUCAUUAUCAUUAUUGUCGCACAUAACACAACACUAUUGAUAUAAGCUGGUCGUAAACCCAUGAGAUCAUACCUUAUGAGUAGGGUAUUAAAUUGUGAUUUCUAUAAGGACUAAUUUCCUACGUGCAAGAUACUCCAACGUCCAGAGCUUCGGCCUUCUUCCUCCUGCUCGAGUGAGCCCUUCUUUCGUUUAAAUGAUCAAUGGCGACACUUCUACAAUGUCAUCUAGUCAUCUUGUCCUACUCUCUCGCCUUCUCAUUGAUCCCGAUCAUGACCUAACUGCCUCUACCUCCACCUUACACGCUUAGUUCUCGCCCUAUGAAAACCCAUGACGAAGAUCAUAUUCCAAAACUAAAUCUUAGCCCUUGAUCUUGAUUCCAUUAUUCUACACUCUUUAGCCACAAGCCUUAAACAUCCACUUUGGUUCUAAUCCAUGUGUGAGGAUUUUGAUGGCCUAUUAGGUGAUGCAUUUAGAAGAUAGCCUCUCCGUUCCAAUUCCAAAUUAUUUUCAUUUGUAAAUGGGCUUUUUGUGUUAAACGGAAACCUAAUGUUUACAUUCAUCAUGCCCGACCAAUGGUUUUCAUCAACGGUCACGGUAGACUACAAUGAGAAUUUUAGCCUAGUUGUCAAUCCCACCACCAUCCGUCUCAUCCUUAAUCUUGCAUUGGUACGGCAUUCGUCUUUACGUUGUUCAAUGUUAGUAAUGCAUUUCCUCGGGAUGCACUAAUGAAAACUAUUUACAUGUCUCAUCUUCAAGAAUUUGUCAAUAUAGAAACUUCCAUUAUGAUUGUCCAAUUGCCAGUGGGUUUACCAAUUCCAAAUCUAACACGUAAGUCUAUAUUCAAUUGCAACUCUAACCAGUGUCGAAUCUUAGUUCUGGUUUAUGCUAACGACAUCAUUGUCACGAGAAACUCAAGUUUUAAUAUCUUUGUUACUCAUUUGGCACCAUUUUUUUCUAGAGAUGUCAAAAAUCCUAACUGAACUAGUCCCCAUAGCGACAUAUCCCAAAGAGAACGAGAAUUUCUGGCUUUAAUCGAGUUUGCAUUCAUUUAUAUUUUAACAAUAUUAAUAAAAAAUUGCCCAAUUUCUAUUAUAAAAAUUUUAAAAAAUGAAUAAAUAAAUUUACCUAUAUAAAAAAAAUGAAUAAAUGAAAAAUGAAUAAAUAGAAAAUUGAUUAAAAUAAAAUAGAAUGGCACUGUAAAGUGGAUCCCGCUUUAUUGUCAUCCCCAGAUUUGGAUACUUUAUACUUGUUUCUUGGGGAUUAAGUUAUUUUUCUCUACAAGGCCUUUUUCUCUCACAACAUUAGUUUGUAUUUCAAUAAUCUUCUACACAACAUAAUUUGCAUAAGUACGAGUCAGUGUCUAUUUCUAUGUACAUGACAACUACCUUUAGCUUGAUUGAUGUCACUACUCUUCAUGAUGCUUCUAAAUAUAGGCAAGUUCUUGGCAACUUGCAAUAUUCUUUACUCACUCGCCAGGACAUUGUUAUUCAGUUAACCAUCUGUACCAAUAUAUCACCGAUCCAUUUCUUACCCUUGGAUGGCCGUUAAGCUUAUGUUUCUCGACUUUUUUGGCACUCUGCACUUUGGGCUCUUUCUUCAUCGCCAUUUUCUUGGCUUGUUGCAUGCCUUCUCUAAAUCUGAUUGAGAAGAAAAUGGUAAUGAUCCCACAUCCAUCCGUGCCGAUCUAGUGAUUCUUGAAUGGAACCUAAUUGUUGCUUUUUUUUUUUUUUUUUUUUUUAAAUCAAGUAUCAUAUGGCUUAAAUAUUUAGUACUUGAAUUCAGCGAAUCAAUUUCCACCAAUCGAGUAAUCUAAUUUCAUACUAUUAGCACCACAUACUUGAUGACCUAACACUAUUUCUCAGCUCGAAUGAAAUACAUGAAGGCUAUGUUUGAUUGGUUCAAAUUCCAUGGAAAAUGGAAUUCUAAUUCCACUUUCUUCCAAUUUUGGUUGUUUGAUAGGUUUUGAAUUCCAUGGAAUUUGGUUUCUUGAUUUUCUUGGAACUUGAAAUUUUCUUGAUUUUCCUUGAAAACCAAUUCCCACCAACAUGGUGGGAACUGGCUUUCUAGUUCCCUGUUACGUAUUUUUUUUUAUUUUAUAUAUAUUUUUUAAGGUAAUGGAAACAAAUUCUAAGAAAUAUUGCACAAAAAUAUUUCAUUUUAAUUGGCAAUUUUUAUGUAAAACAAAGUCAAACGAACACCAAAAGAUAGAUGAUUUUCUUGAUCUUUUUAUUUUUAUUUUUUUUGUUGGCAAUGGAAACAAAUUUCAUUCCCAAUACCAGUAAAAUCUAUCCUUUUAAUUGAUAAUUUUCAUGUAAAAUAAAGCCAAAUGAACACCAAAAAUACUUUUAUUUUAAUAUUUUUCACAAGAAAAAUUAUACCAAUCAAAUACAAUAAUUUACAAUUCUCAAGAAAAUAAUUUAUAGGCAAUUCAAUUAUCUAGAAUUCGUUUUCAAUUUAAUUCAAUUCCAUCUUUGCAAUCUUGUGAAAUAAUAUUAGAGUAGUUAUAGAUAGUGUUACACAAUAGUUAGAACUUGUCAUUACUGAACGUGUAUCAUAUAUUUCUGUUACAGAAUGUAUACAUAUAUAUAGCACAUACAAGGAGAUAUUCUAGUCUAUGCACUAAUUUUAGGCUAUGAUUGAGAUUGACCCACAAUAUAUGUGGAGUCAGAUGACGAACUAUAGUUCCUUAUAAUUAUUAAAUAAUGCUGUUUAGCAUUUGUGGAAUUAGAGUACCAGAUCAAAGUUGACAUACUUGAUAGGUUCAAUUAAAUUAAUCAUGUGACAUUGCAUUUAAGUGGAUUUAUCGUUUAAUGUCUUGAAAUUGCAUCUAAUAUGAUGUUUAACACUUAUGGUGCUACAGUGUAUUACACAUAAUUAUUACAUGAGUAAUGCAAUUUAACACUAUUAGUUAAGCACCAUUUAGGUGGCAUGCAAAGACCAUCUUAAAAGGAGGGAAAUGAGCCACAUUUAAUUUCUUCUAUCACUUGCAUGCCAUCUAAGUUAAUGCUAUGUAAAAUAUAUUACAUUUUAUUUUUGACUGACAACUUGCACCCAUAGUCAUCUCUUAACUUAUUGAUAUACUAAAAUCAAUGUGAGCUAGAGUUUAUGAAUUUGAGUUGGAGUCGAUCAAGUUUUUAUGGAACCUGAAUAAUCUUCAAAUGAAUCAUAAUAACUCAGGUUGUUUCUUACCGCUCUAAGCGUUAAUCUAAGCACAAUCUUAUGUCAAUCGAUUAGUCAAUUUUUACAUGUAUCAAGUCAUCCUUUGCAGUUAGAGAUACUUUAGUUAGCUAUGAUGCCCGGUCAUUGCAUAAACUAAAACAAAGCAUUAAAAGCCUAACAUAUUAAGAAGGAAAUGAAUUUUAUAAAAAAAUGAAAAAAAAAAAAUAAAAAUAAAAAUCCAACUAUUCGAUUUUCCCACUAUAAUAUUACUUAGUCCUUGUGGGGGUGGUCCAUCGUUUUUGUGGUGAAAAUAAGGUCCAACAUUUUAACUUUCCGUCGAAGUUAACUUUUAGACCAACUCAAUAGAAAUUUAGGAGUGAUUGUUGGAAUUGCCAGAAUUUCAGAAAAUUAAAGAAUAAUUUCACUAAUUAAAGUUUGAAAUGUUUUGGAGUGAAUAUAGUUAGUUCGAUCUCAGGAGGAGAGAAUUUGUUCCUAUUCUAGACCAAAAGAUCAAGCCACUUGCCUGCUCAACGUCAUUUUAGUCAGAGUACUGACCUAAAGUUUGUGCCAUCGUGUCCAAGAUGUUGUACUCCUGAUUGGUUGUUGAGAUCGGCCAUACAGGUCAUCAUGGCUCCUAGGUUGCAGCUGUGGCUUAGGCAAUGAUUACUUGAUUUUCGUGAUCAUUGCUAGCUUAUGAUUAAUUGAAAAUAAGGUGCUAACGUCGCAGAUGUCACAUGUCUUUCUAGGAGAGGUGGAUUGAUAGGUGAGGACCGAUUGUCAAUAAUUGUGAAUCACAAUGUUUCUUCAAAUUACGAUAGCCAUUUCUCGAAAUGUGCUCAUACUUCGAGAAUCUAACCUAUCAGUAGUAUAGAAAUCGUAUUUUAACCUAUUUUUUACUUUACGUGCAAAAUAUUUUAUUGUGUGGAUGUAUGAUCAAAAAUGUGUAUGAAAAAUAAAGAGAUUUAACACAGAGAGUCGAAUAGGGGCUAAGAUCUCAAUCUCGCCUGCACGCAAUAUAUGUAUAAGCUAAAAUAUAGUCAUAAAAGACAUUAUUAUACCUAUAUGUACUUGUUCUAAGUUAUUUGUAUGAAUGUUAGAAUUGAAAUAAGAAAAAUGUCCGUCUCAUUACAAUAAUUUGUUCUAUUAAAUACUCUUACCGUUUCAUAAAGAUAAACUUAUUUUUCAUUCUCGCACAUGUUAAGAAAAUAUAAUUUUCGCUUAUUUUUUCUGGUACAACCAAUGUUUGAAAAAUCGAACUUGUCCAAUCAGUUCAAUUGGGAAUCAGGAUCGAAAUCGGUCCAAUUAGGCUUAUAAAACCCCCAAUUAAAAACCCGUCCCAAAGUCAAGUAAAUCGUUUAAUUUUUGGAAAAAUCGUGGCCCUUUGUCUAUUUAACCGAUUCAAUCUAUGUAAAUAUACAUUUUUUGAAAUUUUUAAACGUAUGUGUGCAUACAAGUUUCGUAAAAUGUAUAUUUUUAAUUCUAAAAAAUCACGGUUAGAUCUCGGUUCAACUUUUUGACCUUGGUUAGAUCUCGGUUCAACUUAAAAAUCCUUUUCUUGUCCGAGUCGAUGAUCGGGUCAUUUUUUAAAAACAUUGGAUACGACCCCAUGUUAAUAAUCAUUUAAAUAGGAAUAGUUCAUAUUCAUUAAUAACAAAUUAUAUGAAAUCAUGGUAUAUUAAAAAAAUUAAAAAUCAACUAUACUCUCAACAAAGAAAAUAACCUAUAAUUUGGAACAUAUGAAAAAGGAAAGCUAAGAUACUUUUCAAGAAAUAGAGAGAUCAAACUUGCCCUUAUUUAAAGCAAUUUCUCAAUAAAUUUUACUUUUUAAUGACACAUUCUCUACAAAAUUAUUAUUACAAAACAAUAUUUUUUACAAAUAUGGAAUCAAACAGAUCCUAACAUCAACAGUUCUAUAUGUACAGGCUCAGUAAUAUAAAUACUUUUGCAAACAACACGGGGCGACAUUUGAUUGGAAGUUGCCAAAAAAAAAAAGAUCAUAUAGUGUAGCACCUAUAAAAGAUGUGCAUUAUUCUCUCGAUUGUGUUACAUGUACAUAAUUGAUUUACAUAAUGAUUUCCAUAGACAUAACGUAAUGAGAUAUGAUUAUGUCAGAAUUUAAUUAUUUUUUAAUUACAUAUUCUCUUAAUAAAAUAAUUUUAUAAGUAAAUAUAAAAUAUUUUCUUACCUUUUAAUCACAUUUUUCAAAAAAAAAAAAAUCACUAUCAUAAAAUAUCUUUUUUUUUUUUCAAAAAAUGGGGCUCAAAUAUAGUUCACCAUCAUCUUUUAUGUUAGUUGCAUAUUAACAUAACUUACAUUCAUAUUUUGUAACAUGAUUAAAUUGUAAAAGCUUUUCCAAAGGGCAAGCUAAAAUUCAGAGAAAAAAAAUGCGCACACAAAAAGGGAAAAAAAAAUACCAAUAAAGCGUAUCUUCGGUACUCCAAAAAAAAAAAAAUGCGCACACGAAAAAAAAAAAAAAAUUACUAAUAAAGCGUAUCUUCGGUACUCCAAGAUCUCAAUUUUGAUCGAGACUUGAACAAUUCAGAAAAUUUCAAUACAUUCUUUAAUUUUGUAGAACACUAUUCAGUAUUUGGUGUUGUUAAAAAUUAUAUUUUUAAUAGAUUUUGAUAAAAAAUUAAUGAAAUAUAUAAUUGAAUUUAUCAUUAAUUGUUGAAUUUAAUUUAAAUUUUUUUUUAUCAACUUUUAAAGGUGAAUACUGAAAAGAAAUUAUAAAUAACAGUGCACAAAAUUUUGUCCUUUAAAUGGCCCCCUUAACAUAUAUUUUCACCAUUUGCAUGAUCAGUCAGUCAGAAGUUCAAUUAUUCUUCACUUGUUCGAGUCUCUGAGUUCUGACCACUUCACAAUGAGAAAACGAUACAAAAGACAGAACCCAUUACCUCAAUUAUUAUUUCACUUGUUAUUUGCAAAUCGGCAACGGAAGAAAGGCCAGAGACUGAACUAAUAUCAAUACCUGCCACCCCACGUGCGUCGACGCCGGAGAUACAGACGCCGUCCUGUCAAAGGUCGCCGAGGAAGGAAUCCAGCACAGCCAAGUCAUGGACUCCAACUUCGUUCAUUUCGCCGAGGUUUUUGAGCCCCAUUGGGACACCCAUGAAGAGGUUUUUGACUAAUAUGAAGGGGUAUUUGGAGGAGGUGGGGCAUUUGACGAAGCUGAAACUUCAAGAUGCUUGGCUUCCCAUUACAGAAUCACGAAAUGGGAAUGCCAAUUAUGCAGCUUUUCAUAAUCUGAAUGCUGGUGUGGUUCCAGGGAGAACGUUGGUGGGAAAUGCAGCUUUUAUUUUUUAUUUUUUUUAAAUAUCAAAUUGGUAUGAACGUUGGUGGAAAUAUCAGCUAGACGUGAAGAAGAGAAUAACUUACACCAUUCGGACACUGGGAGAAACACGUGUCAAAAAAAAAAAAAAAAAACUAAAUUUUAUGUGACAUACCCAUACUUCUUAUAUUCAUAUGUCGAGUAAAGUAUACAUCUUUCCAUCUUAUAGUCCCUUUCAAACACAUUGCAUGAAGGAAAUUGAAUAAAUUUACUAUGGUACGUAAGUUCGGAGAAUUUUUAGCUUUCAAUAAUCCCUACUUUACUUGGUCCUCAUCCAAAUACAAAAGGUGUCAAACUUGGGUUUUCCAAGUUUCCCUCAUCAUCUUAUUGCCAACUUUUCAUCAACAUUGGAAUAUUAUUUUCAUGUGUUAGGAGAACACAAAUUUAAAUAAACGCACUCCGUAACUGAAUUAGACUUGCAUUGUACAUAAUGACAGAAUUAUGAUAUAUUUAACAUCGCGCACCCAGACACACACAUGAACUGCCGGUAAGUAUUAUAAAGCAUGCAAUAGUACGAUCAUUUAGCUUAGACAAAAGAAAAUUGUAUUAUAAUUAAGGAGGGUAUCAUGACGAAAUUAAGUUCAAUUUGAUUCAAAUUCUUUAAAACUCAGUUUUAAACAUAUUCUCUCGAUAAAAUAAUUUUGUAUGUAAACUCAUAAAUUUUAAUCUACUUUUUAAUUACACACUCUUCAAAAAUAUCAUUUUUGAAAAAUUUAUUCUCAAAAAAUCUAAACUUGAAGAAUGUUUAAUUUAAAAUAAAGAAGUAAUUGUACUUGAUCCCCAUCCUAUUCUUUGUGAAGUAAGUUGGUACUCAUUCUUUGAGAACGAGACGUUGUCCUCGUCCUUCCACUCAAAUUGCCCAUAAUAAUAAUAAUAAUAAUAAUAAUAAUAAUAAUAAUAAUAAUAAUAAUAAACUUGUCAUCUUUGUUUCUGCAACUUCCAUAGAUUUGAUUUGUCAAUAUAUAGAAUCAUUUGUCAUCUUAAUGCUUUCUAUAAUUGCUUCUACUUUUUUUUUUUUUUUUGGGUUACUACGAUUUGACAAUAUAAUGACUAAAAUUUAAUUUAUUGAUCAUUUCUAUUCCAACUUAACAUACUUUAAAAGUAUAAUUACUAUAUGCGUUGUUCAGAAUAUAGUAGAAAUUCUUGUGUACUUCACGAGUUUCCUAGUAUAGUUAGACCUUUUUGUAUAUACUCAUGUUUAAAAAAAGGUUGAACCCCAACCUUAAGGGCCCCCACCAACCCUGCCCUGGGCCAUCGUGGAGGAGAUAAAUCGCAGGAUGUGCCUCCCAGGAGCCAGGGUGGAGAGCACAUGGAUAGGCCAAGGCUGUUAACCCAUAUGAUAACUCCCGCUUGCAACAAAGCCAAUUCCACCUUGCGGGGAAUCGAACUCUGCACACUGCCGCUCUAAGUCCUAUUCGCCCUCCCCUUUGCCACUGGGAGAUAUGCCCUGGGGGCGUAUAUACUCAUAUUUAAUUAUAUGUUUGGCAAACAAUAUUAGAUAAUAUAAAAUAAUUUGAAAUGUAAGAUAAAAAAAAACUAAAAUUUUAAUCUUUAACAAUUUCCUUCAUUACCUAGAUAACUUAUUGACAGCUGAAAAUUGAAAUUCCAAACUCUAGUUGCAUGUACCAUACACCAUGUCAUAUAAACAUAAAUAGCACAGUGAAUAAAAUUUUAUCUUUCUUCUUCAAUAAUGUUGUCCAUUUCACCGAACAAGUCCGAAGACAUUUUCCAGGAUCAUAAUAUCUUUGUCUUUGGAGCAUAUUUUAUGGAUCUCUAUUUCCUGUCUGAACUCUUUUCAUCUUUUAAAAUCAAGAAUUAUUUUUUUUUUUUUUUUUGAGGGUUUUUAAUUUGUUUCUGCAACUUCCAUGAAUUUCAUAGGUCCUUGUACUGUUGUACAUAAUAGUAUAAAUUAAUACCAUUUAUUAUCUUCUGGGAGUAAGUUAUGCUCGAAUAUAUACUGUGCAUAUUUAAUUUGACUGACUACCAUAAUGAACAAUUUCGUUUUUCCCAUUUCUUAUCCUACAGAACGCUAAAAAGGUUCAAUAUAUGCAUGUUUCGGUAUAUUAAUAAAUGAUCAGAUAAUUACUAUUUGACUAAGCAUAGAUGUUCAUUUAUAGGUUUCCUGUUAUCACAAUUCGUUACCUAUUAUCACCUUAUAGUCUUCACUAAAACUUGAUCAUUUUUCUUUUGCAUAUAGUUGUAAAUCUUGAAAUUCGUGAAUUUGUUCAUUUAUAGGUUUCCUGUCCAUCGUCGUUACACUAAGAAUUACUACGACAAAAGACGUAACUAAGAUACAUAAAUUUGUUAAUAUAUAUACACGCCCAAAAAGUUUAAAAUGUUAAAGAGUUGCCAUAUUUAUUUAUUAUUAGUGCCUUAAUGUUUAAGAAAAAUGAAUUGGACAGAGUUGAAGUAUCAAUUUUCUUGUACAUUGACAUCGUAGUUUGGCCAUACGUUCGCAAGCCUCUAGACGAUUUUGGUUAUUCAAGUACCGGCGAACUCUCUUGGUCUAACUUCAAGCCAUACUGAGAUUGAGGCUUGACAAAGUUGAGGAAUCGAUCAAUAAAAUCAUGGUUGGGCUUCGUUGUCAACUCAAGAUCGGUGUAAUUAGGUUGACGAUUCGACCAGUAGACUCAUGGCUAGACGCAGUUGUCAACUCAACAUUCAUAUUCGGUGCAGUGUGGCCGGUGCCGUUAGCCUUUGGUGGUUCAUUUGUCACUUGUAAAGAUUUCAAAAUUUCUCUUUCAAGGUGAAACAUCUUUCUGAGUGUACAACCAAAUCCAGAAACGAGCACAACCCACUUUUUACAAGUUUAUCUUCACAGCAAUAAUACACACAAUCUCCCUUUUAAAUUACAGACAGUGGAAAUCCCUACAUGUUGUGUUGAAUAUAUUGUCAAUUUUCUCAUGUAGUGGAGACCUUAUCAAACAUAUCAUGACAAGCUACAUUUCACCACAAGUUCUCAUAAAAAUAUCCUGGUGACAUAAAUACAGUGUUUUAGAUAACUUCACACAAUUUUAAAUUUAUGGCUAAAUUUUAUUGCAAUUCCAUUUGAAUUUUAGAUUUCUAUCUUAAGAGAUUAAUUUUAUCAAAAGGAGUAAAAGAUCUUAUCUAGUUAUUAUUGAUAUUUUUAAGCUUUGAAACGUUACUCUUAUAUACCAUGACUUUCAAACUAUGAUAUUUGUUUCACAAAACUGAUCUUACAAUGAGAUAAUUACUCAUUUAGCCAUUGUUUGAACUCCAUUCUUUUAAAAAUUCAUAUUUCAAAAUUCAUUUUCAACUACAUAUUCUUCAAUAUAAUAAUAAUACGCGCAAAUCCAAUAAUUUUCCUUAAUUUGUUUGACAAAACUGAUCUUACAAUGAGAUAAAUACUCAUUUGGCCAUUGUUUGAGCUCCAUCUUCUAAAAAUUUAUUUUCAACCACAUAUUCUUCAAUAAAAUAAUAAUACACACAAAUCCAAAACUUUUCCUUAAUUUUUAACAAGACAUUCCCAUCAAUUUACUAUUUAAAAUAGAUUAUUUUCCCUAAAAUGGGCUCAAACAAGGGCUUAAGCUUUAAAAAAAUUGAAUUGUUUGUUUAAACCUCUUUUUUCUUUGAACUCCAGUAUAUCGAGUUUAGAACUUCAUAUUAAGCCCUUGUUUGAGCCUCAUUCUUUAAAAAAAUGUAUUUUUCAACAGUGUUUUGAUAUCAUUUUAACCACACGUUCUUCAAUAAAAUAAUAUUAUACUAAAUCAAAAAAAUUUUGUUUUUUUUUUUUAACCUCACCUUUCCUAUCAAUACACUAUUCAAAAAUUCAUUUUUCCCUCAAAAUGGAGCUCAAACAAGGGCUAAAUUGUCAAUUUUAUUAAAAAGAGUUACUAAAAUUCUCAUAUACUAUUACACCAAAUUUUGUAACUAUAUCCUUUUUUUUAUAUAUAAAUUAAAGUUAUUUAAAUAGUGAUAUCGUUGUGCUGUCCUUGUAAUGACCAUAGUAAUGACGUUAAGACCAUCGUUAUUAAUACAAAAUAAGAAUCCUUUAUCUUAAAACAUUAGCCCUAUUUAUAAUAAAAAGUUUAACUAUAGAAUUUUCAUUUUCCCUUAUUAUUUUUAUGGUUUCACAUAGAUAAUAUGUGUAAAUUAAAUACUCUUUGCUCUCAUAUCUGAGACAUUUUCAUGAUAUUUUAACUUGCACAUUGUCGUCAUUUUUAUACACAUUUGUUUACACAUCUCUAUGUGUCUAAAAUCUCUUCAUUGAUUAAAAAAAAUAUCGUUAAAAUUAAUGCACCAAAAUCUGUCAAGUCACAUGAGUGUAAAUCAAGAUGUCAACUUUGAUAUACUUACGAUAUGAUUGUAAGAAUAAACUCAAGUUGACAAAAAUAUUAAACGUGUUGAGUUCGUAUGCAGUCCGACUCAAUUGAUGAUUGCUACUACUUGGACAAAACAACACGGCAAAUAUACCAUGAUUACUCAUAGUAUUCAUGUAUACACCAUUCCUUACAUUGAUUGGGAGACAUUUCUAAAUUAGGGCAAGCAUAAUUUAAAUAUUAGGAUGCGUUUCCAAAUUAGGACAAGCAUAAUUUAAAUAUUGGACAUUCAUAUAAUAUUAAAAAUUUUAAGAAUGUGAAAAAGGUGGGGAUUGAAAAAGUAAAAUUACAUGGACAAGUACCCAAUUUCACUCUCUUUUUAUCAACUCUCUCCUUUUUUUUUCAAUUUUAAUUUUUAAAUAUCAAAUUGGUAUGAACAUUGGUGGAAAUAUUAGUUAGACGUGUAGAAGAGAAUAACUUAUCAAAUCGGUAGGAACGUUGGUGGAAAUAUCAGCUAGACGUGCAGGAGAGAAUAACUUACCCCAUUCGGAGACAGGGAGAAACACGUGUCAAGAAAAAAAUAAAAAAAAACUAAAUUUUAUGUGAGCUAGCCAUACUUCUCAUGAUCAUUUGUCGAGAAAGGUAUACAUCUUUCCAUCUUAUAGUCCCUUUCAAACUCAUUGUAUGAAGGAAAUUGAGUAAAUUUCCUAUGGUACGUAAGUUCGGAGAAUUUUUAGCUUUCAAUAAUCCCUACUUUACUUGGUCCUCAUCCAAAUACAAAAGGUGACAAACUUGGGUUUUUCCAAGUUCCCCUCAUCAUUAUCUUACGGCCAACUUUUCAUCACCAUAUAUAUAUAUAUAUAUAUAUAUAUAUAUAUAUAUAUAUAUAUAUAAAGUAGUAUGAUCAUUUAGCUUAGACAAAAGAAAUUUGUAUUAUAAUUAAGGAGGGUAUCAUAACGAAAUUAAGUUCGAUUUGGUACAAAUUCUUUAAAAUUCAUUUUUAACCAUAUUCUCUCUAUAAAAUAAUUUUGUAUGUAAAUUCAUAAUUUUUUUCUACCUUUUAAUCACACAUUCUUCAAAAAUAUCAUUUUCGAAAAAUUUAUUCUCAAAAAAUCUAAAUUUGAAGAAUGUUUAAUUUAAAAUAAAGAAGUAAUUGUACUUCAUCCCCAACCUAUUCUUUGUUAAGCAUAAUAUAUAUAUAUAUUAUUAAACUAGCCUAUCAAGAAUAAUUUGGCUCCUUCCAAACUGGAGGGAUAAAACAACAAUAAUGUGUUUCUCGUAAAAGGAGUGCUACUUGGGCAGGAAGUUGUCCAAGAAGAAAAAUUCUUCUCGUAUAUGAAGUUACUGGAAAUGGACCACUGGGAAAACGACAAGUGUCAUCCAGCUGGCUCAGAUUGCGAAAACAAUCGUUUAUAUUCAAAAUGGCAUAAUAAUAAUUGAAAAUGGGUCCAUGAUUAUGAGCAUGAAGUUUUACAAACUAAAUGAAGGGUCUUCAAUAAAGGUUUUACAAACUUAAAAACUAUUAGGAAUAUAUUUCAAUAGCUUGUGAAAUUACAAUAAGUUUCCCUAAGAAAAAGGUAAUCUGUAUAAUAUGUAAUAAAUUUUAAAUUAUACAGAAAUUGUCUUUUUAACUUUUUCUGUAUCCACCUUUCUGAUUCUAUAUAAACGGGCAGACCUCCAUUUCUCAGCGACUCAAUUAUCAACACAGAAUACGAAGGCAUUGAGAGAGAGAGAGAGAGAGAGAGAGGAUGGAGAAGAUUAUUGCAUUCUUUGUGCCUGUUUUUACCUUUCCGUUUACUGUAUUUUUAUAUGUAAUUUCACUGAAAAUGAAAAGAAAACAUUCAGAGAGGAAAACUAAGCUCCCUCCAGGCUCCAUGGGGUCGCCUUAUAUUGGAGAAACUCUUCAGCUCUACUCCCAAGAUCCAAAUAUCUUUUUUUCUGACAAAGUAAAAAGGUUUCUUGCUUUCAUUCUCAAUUACUUACCGUCCAAUUCUGUCUAAUACUAAAUACCUGACAUUCCCUGAUAGAAUUUUUCUAACAAUAAUUCUAAACGGGGCAGGCACCCUGCUGGCUGCCAAUAGGGGGACACUUGUCCCCCCGGACAAACAGGGCCCUGUUUGCCAAGCAAAUCUCUUUUUCUAAACUGUAUGUUCUUAUGCAGGUAUGGAGAAAUCUUCAAGACUCAUGUACUUGGUUGCCCUUGUAUAAUGUUGGCCAGCCCAGAAGCAGCCCGAAUCGUGCUAGUCACUCAGGCACAUUUGUUCAAGCCGACGUAUCCAAAGAGCAAGGAAAACUUCAUCGGCCAGUCUGCGCUGUUUUUUCACCAGGGAGAGUACCAUAUGCGGCUUAGGAAGCUCGUCCUUGGCGCGUUAUACCCGGACGCAAUCCAAAACCUAGUGGCAGAUAUUGAAGCCAUAGCAGUGUCUGCAAUGGAUUCGUGGGCCGGUGGCCGUGUCAUCAACAUUUUCCAUGAGAUGAAAAAUGUUCGUCUCUUUGAAUUCAUGCUAACACCCAUUUAAAAAAAUUGUGCACCUAUCACUUCUUUAAUGAAAAAUGUCGUUGGCAUGCACACGGGAAGCGUUGAAAACCUAGAUUUAAAUGAACAAAUCUGUCUCUUUUAAGAUUUUACAUGAGAAAGCUAAUUUGUCAUUUACCAUUGAUUACCUGCAGUUCUCAUUUGAAGUAGGUAUACUCUCCAUUUUUGGUCAUUUGGAGUCCCAUUAUAAAGAAGAAUUAAAGAAGAACUAUAGCAUACUCGAUAGAGGGUACAAUUCUUUUCCAACAAACUUGCCUGGAACUCCAUACCAAAAGGCAAGGAAGGUAAAAUAGCGAUAAUUAUACUUUGUUACAUGGCACUAUAAACGAGAUUUAACUUCUUCAUUUUUUAUUUUUAUUUUUGUGUCUACCGGCUUAAUACACACGGGUUGAAAAUGGACUCUUAUUUUGACUAAUCAUAUUUACCAUUUUAAUGUAUGAAGGCAAGGAAGAGGUUGGGUGAAAUAUUAAGUAACAUUAUGAGAGAAAGAAAGGAAAAGAGGUUUACGGAGAAGGACCUGUUGAGUUGUCUGCUAGUUUCGAAAGAUGAGAAUGGUGUAACUCUAAAUGAGGAUCAGAUUGCUGACAACAUCAUCGGAGUACUUUUCGCAGCACAAGACACGACUGCGAGUGCCAUGACAUGGAUUCUCAAGUACCUUCAUGACUACCCAAAAAUUCUCGAGGCCGUCAAGGUAAAAUCUAGAAGGCAUUUUGCAGUUGUUCUGGAAGACUGGAUUAAUACAAGGUUCUCUAAGAAAAACGUAGCUCUAUUUUCUAUUUGUGGGGUCAAAUCAAUACAUUCUAAGAUUCUCGUGUCUCUAGAUCAUUCUCAUUUCUUGACCUUAUUCUUAAAUUUGCUUUGUAAACGUCGUAGAUAAUAUGUUUCUGAUUUGCAUGCAGGCUGAACAGAAGGCAAUAUACAAAUCAAAUCGAAAUGAAAAUAGUCAUUUAACAUGGAAUCAAACAAGAAAUAUGCCAUUUACUUACAAGGUAUUUGACUACCAUAAAUAAUAUAUUUGGUAUAUUUCGUUUAAAUUAGGUCGGUAAUGUUAACACCAAAUUCAUUUUUUUUUACAAAAUCAUUUACAAGUAGUAUCAUUCACUUUCAUUCUCUACGUCUAACUUGCUUCCAUCAUCCUCACGUAAUAUUUUGACCUGUACUCUUUUUAGGUGAUUUUAGAGAGUUUAAGAAUGGCAAGCAUUAUAUCAUUCACAUUUCGAGAGGCAGUGACAGAUGUGGAAUAUAAAGGUAAGCUUUCUUGUAAGGGAAAUGUACCCUUUUCGAGGGUGUCCUAAGCCUGGUAAUAUUACCAAAUAAUCCACUAAAUUUUGCUAUUUAUACGCUGGCGUUCACACGCCCCUCACAUGAGGUAGGGGCCCAUGCCCAAUAAAAGAAGCGUGAGCCCCCCUUGUGUGAGUGACGUGUACAUCGGCGUGCCCAUGGACAGGUUGCACAAUUGUAAUCCACUUUUUUGAAAUAAAUGUUUUUGGGUCACUGAAACUUUGGUAUGAUUUUGGUGCCAGGGCACCUAAUUCCGAAGGGAUGGAAGGUCAUGCCUUUAUUCAGGAAUAUUCACCACAAUCCUGAUUUCUUUGUUGAUCCUCAGAAGUUUUUUCCUUCCAGAUUUGAGGUACGAGUUAAUAUUAUUCUUUUAAUGGUUGACAUUAAGUGCAUAUUUAGCCCCUAUCUUACAAUCAUUAUCCUAAUUUUCUUUUUCUACGUGCUGAUUUUAACCACACAUUCACACAAUAAAAUAUUCUGCACGUAAAUUCAAAAUUUUUUCAUACUUUUUAACCACAUAUCUUCUAAAAAUUCACUAUUCAAAAGUUUAGUUUUGCCAAAUAAUGGCCGUCAAGUAGGGCCUUAGUGCUUGUUUGAUACUUUUCAACUUAUCAAACUUUUUGCUACAAAUUGGAUCCACAACUUUUUAUCAAUUUUUUUCAUCAAAAGUUUUGUUAAACAAUCCCAUGGUACUUAGAACUAAAUCUAACAAUAGUUUCUUAGGGCAUAUGAAAAUAGAUUAAAUAUUAAUGCCAACCAAUUAAACUUCAUUUUCACCAAAUAUUGACCUAAAUAAAAAAUUGAGUUCGACUAAAAAUUUAAUGACCACCAUGACUUUUAAUCCGAUGAAAGUAUGGUACGACAAAUCUUUUUUUCCUCAAAAUAUAAAGAUUAAAGAGACUUAUUAAGGAGAAAAAAAUUGUAGGAUGAAGCAACGAAUAUUAAUUUAUGGUUUCUUGUAGGAUGUGUUGAAACCCAAUACGUUUAUGCCAUUUAGCAGUGGAGUACAUGCCUGCCCCGGUAACGAACUUGCGAAGCUAGAGAUGCUCGUUAUGAUCCACCAUCUAAGUUCUCAGUUCAGGUACUUUAUCAAACUACAACAAGUAUUUUUGGAAAUGCGUUUUUUAGAUAAAUUAAAUCAUAAAUAACCAAUUCUAGUUUAUACUACUCGGUUCCUCGUAUGUUCAGUUGAAUUCACCAAACAUGUCAUAUAUGUAUUUUUUACUCCAUAUAUCACAAGUUUUGAUUAAAAUAAUAUUAUCUUUUUCUUUCCCCCUCAAUUCUGUCUUAUACUAUUAAGUUUAUCUUACUAACUACGAGACGACGUUGGUGAGUGGUCUGUGAUAUUAGGUAUUAUUUGACAAUUGUGUUUGCAGGUAUGAAGUGGUGGGAUGCCAAAGUGGGAUUGAACAUGCGCCAUUCCCCAUCCCUUUCCAUGGACUCCCUGCCAGAUUUUGGAAACAAGAACCAACCAAUUAAGUAGGACAUACCAAGACAAUUGUUUCUUAACCAAUUUUCACUUUUCCUCUCUGUUCCCAUAAUCCAAUUUCCUCUCCAAACUAAUAUGGGGAUGGCUUUUUUUCCUCAAAAUGAAUUAAUAUAGGUUCAUAAUCAAUGAACUAAUAAUCAAUGAAGAAUUGUAUUCAUAUAUCUCAUCGGUUAAAUAUAGAAAAAUACGUACUAUUUUUAUUGUAGGGUUGGUAUUGAAAUUGACUUGAUUCAAUUGAAUUAUCUUGUUUCUUGGCUUUGUUGACUUGAAAAAUCAUUUUAUUUUCUUGACUGUUAUUGAAAAUCAAUUAUUACUUUUUCUCGAGAAAUUUGCUUGAAAGAGAUCAUAUGUAGCGAGAAAAUGGAAAAUAGUCACUUUUUAUUUUCAUUAAAAUCAUGGGUAGAAGUUAAGGCUUCGAUUGUAAGUGAGCAGUCUUUGAGAGGCACAGUCUGAAAUUAAUUAAAUAAAAAAAGAAGAGAGAAAGAGAAAAAGGAAAAGGAUUACGUCAACAAUUUUUAUUAAUUCCAUUCUUUCAUUUCAAUUCCAACAUCUCUGCCCUUAUGUUUUUGUUUAUGAUAUUUGUGAUGCCACUGGUAGUUUACUUAAUGAAAUGUUGAACUAUUGCAAUGUUUAAAAUUGUUUAUCAUUUUUUUUUUUAUAAACUAGUCGAGUACAAUUCAAUCAUUUGGUCAAAAUGAUCGAUUUAAGUUCCUAGUUGGUUCUAUAUUGGAGGAAUCGAGUUUGGGAACUUCUAAUUUAUGUAGAAUUAAAUUAUCACGCAAUUUGCAUCCGCUUUUCACAAAUUUUCCCUCGAGUAAUGCAAUUCAACAUUACUGAUAGCAAGCACUAAUUUAAGAGGCAACUUCAUAACAUUAAAUAAUUGAUUCAAAUAAAUGUAAUGUCAUAUGAUUCAUAUAAUUAAAUCUAUUAAAUGUGACCAUCUAAAUUGGUAUUUCAGCAUAGUUGGUGCUUGAUAACAUUAUUCGAUGUGAAAUGUGAUGUUGGGUGAUAUUUGUUGAUACCACGUUUUUGAAUGUUUCAUAAAGUUCUAGUUGUGAUGAGAGGCCAUAGCCAGAUGGUAAGUAUAUGAUUGGUCAAGUGAAGGUGGGUUUGGUCCAUAAGAGCAAUCUCUAAAAGAAUACUACUGCUUUUGUCGACUACAUUUGACGCUACAUUUCACAAUACGUAGUGAAUUAUUUCAUUUCAUAACAUAUUUUAGUGGAAUUGUAUUUUUUUAUGAAUGAGAGCUCUCUUAAUGAAUAAUGAUAUAUGACGGGUAUAUUUAAAUCAGUCUAAAUAACAAUGUAUGAUAUUUAAAAAUAAGCUCAAUAUAUGACAAUAUUAAAAAUGAGAAUGAAAAAUAUAGUCGUUAUGAGUCUCACACAAGAGAUAGAAAGUCAAAUAUAAUGGCUUGAUGUGAUGGAUAACGGUCAUAUUUUUCAUUUUAAUAAGCAAAUAAUGAGAAACAAACGGGGCUUAUUAUUGAACUUAUCAUGCAUGGCUACAGAAAUUAAUUUUAAAACAUCAACUAGAAUAUAUAGCAUUACCUUUCUUAAAAUAUUAUUUAACUAUGUAAGUCAUCGUUACUAUAAUUUUUUUUUUUUUUUUCAAUUAGUGCUAUGUUGACAUAUUUUAAUGUAUCAUAUUAUCGAAAAAUUAGCUUAAAUGGUCUUAAGCCUAUGCUCAUCUUGCAUUUCUUGGUCCCAAAACUUUAAACCUUGACAAUCAAGUCACAAACCUAUGCUUUUUGGCAUAGUUAAUCCUUUUAGAAGGUUUCCGUUUAAAAUGGCAGUUAAUUUUGUGUGUAGAUUGUAAUUUUCUUAUUUUAUUUUUAUCUGAAGGGGCAUAUUUUUCCAAUCAAUAACAACUUAAGUAAAAAAAUGAAAUUUAAAAAGAAAAAAAUUUUAAAGAAAAAAAUAUAAUAAUAUUCUUCUUCCACCCACCCUAUAUUUCGUACGUACAUAGACAUAGGAACAGGAAGUAUGACGAGCAGAGUAAUGAUUCGCCUGUACAAGCCACAUGAAAAAUGUCAUUUCAAUAAUAAUAAAAAUGUUGACAUGCCACGAGUAGCUCAAAUUCUCCCACUUAAUUAAUUAUAUGUAGGUCAAAGAUCUAUAUAAUUUGAUCACAAAUUAACAAUUUAAUUAGUCACUUAUUAUUUUUUUAUCACAAAUUAAAAAUUUUAUGUAAUUAAUUAUUUUACGAUCAUAAUUCAAAAAAUUUAUAAGUCACAAAUUAAAAAAUGUAUAAGUCACGAUUUAUUUAUUGAUCACAAAUCACAAAUAUUAGAAGUCACAACUAUUAUACAGUCACAAAUUAUCAAAUUAUCGGUCACCAAUUAACAAAUUUUUAAGUUACAUUAUUUUUUGGUCACAAUUUAUAUUUUUUAUUGGUCACAUUGUUUAUUGGUCACAAUUUAGCCAAUUUAAUGGUCACAAUCAACAAAAUUUGUGACCACCACUAACACUUGUGAUCACCAUCUCACCACUUCUUUGAGCACUACCACCACUACCAUCGUCCACAAAACCACCACCUCCACCUCAAACAAAUCAACCGAUCGUAGAAAAUACAACCGCAUCGUCGACACCAUAUCCACCACCAAGAAAAAAAUUAUUACAUUAAUCGCCACCGUCACGACCAUAGACCGGACCCAAAUUUCCUAAAUCUCCUGUCAUCCACCACCACCUGCACUACCUAGAUUGUGACUACUAUCACCAAUGCUAAGUUGUGACUACCAAAAACUAUCGCUACUUUACCACCACUUCACCACCACUGUGACAGUACUACAAAAUAAAUCCAAAAUCAGAGCCGUAAUGGAGGUGAAAACCACUGCCACAACCACCACCAAAGCCAACAUCACAAUCGCCACAUCCAUAGUAUCAUAGUAGCAUCACCGCCACCGCCACCCAAAGCAUCACAAUUUUCAUUUACCUCUACACUUACAUAUUGUAUAUAGGAGUACCAAAUAGUACACCAUAAAAUACAUGUCUUUAAAAUAGUUAUGAUUAAUUGUCAUAAUUGUAAUAUACAAAUUCUUAUAUUUAUAUUUGAAUAUGAGAUUUACAAAUACUAUCAAGAUAGAUACAAUUAUAUAUUAUAUACGGGAGUACCAAAUAGUACAAAAACUAAGAUAAGAUUAAAAAUGAUUGAAUCUUUACAAAGAUAUGAAUACGGUGUUAAAAAUUUUAUUUUACACUAUAUUAUUUGUCAUCAUUAAUUAUGAAAGUUGGAAAUCAUAAUAAUGAAAACAUAGAUAAUAAUGAUGAGAUCUGUGAACAAAUUGAAUCACAAGGAAAUUUCUCAAGAGAAAUUUUAAUAUUUGACAAAAAAUUGGCUAAAAUAUGUAAGACAAAACUUACAAUAGAACCUAAAGAAAUCUUUUCUCAAUCAGGUUUCUUAGAAAAAUUUAUGAACAGAAAUAUACAUGUAUAUUAUAGUGUAUCUCAGCAGGAUUUUGGAUUCUUUCAUCAAUCAAACUCAUUGAAAUGGGUUGAUCAAUUUAUUUGAAUAAAACUUUAUGUUUUAACCAUGCCUUCAUACACUUUUAUUUCUAUAUACAAACUCAUGUACGGAUCUUUAAAGAAUCAAUGGGACUAAGAAGUACCUCCAGACAGGAGGCCAUUAGGGAAGAAGCCACACCCACAGUAUCAUAGUAGCAUCACCGCCACCACCACACCCAAAGCAUCACAGUUUUCAUUUACCUCUACACCAUAACCACACCGUUUUCCCUCUCUAUGGUAGCGUAAAAUGCAGAGGAAAUUUUAUAUUGCUGUGAAUUAAGAUGCCUACUUUUACAGUUAUUGCCUUGGAGAAUUUGUUGGAUCCUCGAGUCCGAGAUUCCUGCAAAAGCCCCCCAAGCCUAACCAGGGAGUGUCAAACAAUGAUGGCGAAGCAACUGAACGGAUAGAGGACUCGAGCACGAAUCUGAGAGUUGGUGGCUCCAGGAAUAUAUAUAUCGCUAACUCUAUACCUGACGCCGGGACCCACUAUGAUUUAGAGAAUUCUUCCUCGAAUUCGUCCUCGCCUUCGCCGUAUGUCAUCAAUUAAAAGAGAUCUAAACCCCGAAAAGGACGGAAAUGAUUUGAAUUUAGAGGACAGUUGGUGGGCGAUUUUGUAAAUGAAGGUGAGAUAUAGAGAGAGAAUGAAAAGGGAUGAAGACAACUAUGGAAGUGAAAUAUAGAGAAAGAAAAUGAAAGUGAUGAAUGAAGAUAAAUUUAGGGUUUGGUAGGAUGAAUAUGUAUAUUUAAUUUUGUAAUAUAAUUAUUAAUAUUUAAACUAUAGUAAUUAAUUAAUAAAAUAUUUGAUUUUUCAAAUAGUAAACUUUACCUAUGAUUCAUGAAAUGAGAUCUCUAAAUCUAUUAGAUUGUGUAAUUUCCACUAAAAUAUGGAAAAAUUAGGCCUUAUACAGCCCCAAUGCAAAGAAGUUGAAAAAUACUUCCUCCAAGUUGAAAAUUUGAAAUUUACGUCAUUCCAUAUAAUUUUCUUUGCGGGUCAAAGGGUAAAAUUAUUUGACAAGACCUUCUCUAUUUUUGGCGAUUAGGAUUCAAUUUUCAGCUUCACUUCGUAGUUCUGCGAUUUUGGGUGAACUAUGUUCAAUAAUUGUUUUCCCCCCUUAUAAAAUUGAAGUGUCAAUUUUAAGCUUCACUUCAUAACUCUGCAAUUUUGGGUGAAUUAUGUUCUAUAUAUAUAUAUAUAUAUAUUUGCCAUUAUAUAAUCAAAUAUAUGGUGUUGCAUUAAAGUGUCAAAUUCAAGUUUAAUAUUUAUGAUUAAUUAGCUAGCAAAUCAUCUGAAUAUAUGUUAAGUAGCAUGUCGGUUUCAUUGAAGUGUCGAAUAUAAAUGAAUUUACGUAGCAUGUUAAUUUCACACAUUUUUAGUGUUUGUCAUCUUUUUUGAGUCUAUGUCACUUUUUUAUAUAACUUUUUUGGAUCUAUGUAACUUUAAUUUAAUUUGUGUCCCUUUUUUUUAUUUAAAUUUCUGUCACUUUUUUGAAUUUUUUCAUUUUUUUUAGUAAUUAUCAUUUUCUUUCAAAUUUUGUCAUUUUUUUAGUGUUUGUCACUUUUUUCUAUCGUCUUGGAAAUUUAUAGCACUUUAUUUUUAGUAACAAACAUCACUUUUUAAUAAAAGUGACAUUGAUGUAAUUUUUUAAUCAAAAAGUUAUACUAAAAUUUUAAAAGUGACAUUGUGUCACUUUUUAAUUUUACACAGUAUUUUUUUAGUUCCAAAAAACGUUUCAUAUGAUUUUUCAAAACACACCUAAUUUUAAGGGUAUUUUUGUAAGUUGCCCAUAAAAUAUUGUCCAUCUCAAACCUUAAAUCCAUUUGCAAUUUCUUAUCUUCUUUCUAUAAGGAAUUUUUAAAUGAAUGUGUGAGCUUAAAUUAUUGUGUAUUAAAUUAAAAGCUAUCAAAUUCGAUUAAACCCAAUUAAAAUGAUCUAAUAAGUUCUGGUAUUUUGGGUUUUAAUGCAUCCAAUUAAAGUGUGAGUAUUUUAUGUAUAGAGACUGGACCCAAGUUCCUAAUUCUAUGAUGGGCUAAAUUAAGUCAAAUGGCGUCAAUAUAUAUAAAUACACUUAUGAUCUCCAGAUCACAUGUGCAUUGCUCAUUCUGUUGUGCCUCCCAUCACCAGAUAGAACUAAGGGCUACGUGUUGAUUUAGAAUACUAAACCGCAAGAUUCAACUAUUGCAUUAACCAUGUCUCAUCAAAUCAUGGAAUAUGACUGCGAAAUUUUGUCAUUGGGUUGCGCAUUGUGGAUAUUAUAGAAAGACUGAUCAAGUUUUUUGUGACAAUAAAUCAGCAGUGCUGUAUUCCAAUAACAGGAGCUCGAUGAAGUCGAAACACGGAGAGAUCAAGUUCCUGACUAUUAAAAAAAGAGUUUAGAAUGGACAAGUGUCAAUAGAGCAUAUCAGGACAAACUCCACGGUUGUAGAUUCACUUACUAAAUGAUUGAUACCCAAGGUCUCAUGCACAUUGCUUAUAUGGGUGUAAUUUGAAGCUUGUAUUUUUUGCUUUUUAUAUUGGACACAUGUUUGGAUAUAGUUUGUGGUUAAAGUUAUUUUCAGUUUUAAAAUUUUGGUUUACUAUCUCUGAACUUGCUUGAAAGGAUCUCACUAAGGUGUUAAGGUGGACCAAUUUAAAAUAGACGUGUUACAGAUCACUUUACAUGUAAUUUUCAUGCUACACAUCUAUGCUUGAUCUAUUUCAUUCAAUUAUAUCGAUAUGUGUAACCAUUGAUGAGUUUAGUUAUGAUGAAAGUUGCAAAAGCCGCUUUGAUCCUAUAUUAAUAUGAUUGAUGGAUAGGAUUGUUUAAAGAUGCAUUCAGUAAUGAUAGCAAAAUUCUGAGUACUGAUAAGAUUAUGUUUAAUGCACAAUUAUAAGAUGACACAUAGCCCAAAUAGGAGAUUGUAAGGAAUUUUUUUAAACAAUCUUGUGAGCUUAUAUUUGUAAAUUAUUGUGUAUUAAAUUAAAGGUUGUCAAAUUUGGUCAAACCUAGUUAAAUUAAUCUAAUAAAUUUUCAGUGUUUUAGGCUUUAAUGCAUCCAAUUAAAGUAUAGGUAUUUUAUGUGUAGAGAUCGAGCCCAGGUUUCUAAUUUUAUGAUGGGCUAAAUUAGGUCUAAGGGCGUCAAUAUAUAUAAAUACGGUUAUGUUACCUAAAUCACACGUGCAUUGGUCAUUCUGUUCUGCCUCCCAUCACCAGAGAGAAUUAAGGGCUGCAUUUUGAUUUGAAAAACUAAACCGUGAGAUUCAACUAUUGCAUUAACUAUGUCUGAUUCAGAAAUGCUUCUACUUUGAUUCUUAAAUUUCUCAAUGAUCCAACAUGAAAGAUCCGAUGAUUUUUUGGCAACAAUUUUUCCUACACUUUCUACUCUCUUCGUGAAUUUCGUUCUCAUCUAUCUUAAAUUUGGUUGUCUAUCUUCAACAACGUAGAUGUUUCCUAUAUUAUUACGAAUAAUUCUCCUCAAACAGGACCAUAAGCAAACUGCCAAUAGGGAGGACAUGUGUCCCUCUUGAAAAAAUAGGGCCAUGUGGCCCUAUUUAUAUAGCACGCCCCGUUAUGAAUAAUUCUAUAGGUUUAACAAUGUUACCUUUAAUAGUGUGCUAUUUAUUGGUCGAUAAUUUGUGGUUUUUAUUUGUCAAAUACAAGUAUUUCCAUUACUUUUUUGAUUUGGAAUAAAAUUGCAUUUUUUAUGUCAUAAAAGUAUUACAUAUCUUGCACUAUCUUUUUCGGUAGAAAUUUAUACAUAAAGGCCCUAAAUUUCGUUUGAUAAUUUUGUUAACAUUUUAAAGAUUUGGUAUAAUUUUUUUUUUUUUAAUCAGUGAAUGGAGCAUAUGACUUCUGAUUUAUUCUUAUAUUAACAUAAAACAAUGAUGGUAGUGUCCUUAAUUUGAAGAAACUUGCAAUUUUAUUUUACUCUUUGCACGAAUACCACUGUAAGACGAAUUUCGUGUCUUAAAAUACAAAAAACGUUACAAUUUUUUAUUUUUGAGAAAUACAAGUGAUGUUGACCUUCUUGUGAUUGCAUAAUUGUAGAAAUCCACAUAUUAAUGAUCUAAAUAUUUGAAAACGAGGAGUCACGUGCUUGAAUCCUGGUUUUCGAGAAUUUGUUGAAAAUUUAAUUUGUUGAUACUUGAUUUAAUCGGUACUUAAGUUACGGGGAUGAACUUGGACUUGAAUUUGAUUCGGUUUGAAGAAGACUUUGAUCUUCUUGAACUUGACGUGGACCUGUUCGAUUAGAAGAAAAUUUUGAUCUUCCUGGGAUUCACGAGAUUUAGGUUUGAGAGGAUUUCUUCUCUUUCUCCGACUUUGAAAUUUCUUCAACACUUCAUGAUUGUCUUCUCUGCUUUCACUUCUUGUUCCUUUCUUAUAGACAAUUGAUUCUAUUUAUAGGAGAAAAUUUGUGCUGAUUUUGGUAAUCACUCAAUUAUAUUCAAUUAAAAAUGAAUAAUUGAGCAAUUAUAAUUUUUAAUUAUUUGUUUAUUUAUUUAAAAGUGAUAUAGGCCUUUGAGUUUAUGGAUCUUAGUAGACUUUAAUAUAAUUGGGCUAAUGAUUUAAAUCGACUCAAUUCAUUUCCUUUAUUUUUUUUAAUUUUUAUGUCUAUAAAUGACCCCUCAAGAUUUAUUUAUUUGUUAUUAAAUUAAUAAAUCUUGAUUUUUGAUUUUGUUUUUCAAUUUUGGAUUUGGUUUUUACUCAAACUUCCCAUUAAUAAAUUAUUACAAACGAAAAAUUUGAGAAUAAUAUAUGAAUUUGAUAAAAAAAAAAAAAAUUAUCCUUCAAAUUUGAGACUAAGAAUUUUUUAUGUUAUUUGAUUAUUUAUUUUAUACAAUCUAAAAAAAUUGAAUUUGAACAGGCUUUUUGUGCUUUAUGGUAAAUUGGGUUUAAGUGAAGUCCGAUAUCUGCUUAUUUAUAUGAAUGAAUUAUGAGAUUUGAAAACAAGUCUGUUAAGCCCCUGUUUGAUUAACAUUAAAUUAAAUUACAUUACAUUCCAUUUUUCUCUCUCCUUUUUUCAACUAUACAAUCUUCUAUAAAAUAAUAUUACACGUAAAUCGAAAACUUUACCUUCUUUUUCAACCACUCAUUUUUCUAAAAAAUACUAUUCCUCCCAUUACCAUUUUCAGGUAAUGGGGGCCAAACAGGGUGUAAAUCUUGCAAACGAAGGUAAAUAAUUCUCUCUCUUUGUGUGUGUGUUUUUUAUUCAUAUUUUCUUUUCUUAGUUUCCGCCACCCAAGGAGACAAAGAAUUGGUUUCUUGGAAUUGGUGCAAUGGAAUUAGUAAAUUGCACCAAUUCCAAUUGUUUCCUCGGUUUUUGCCAAUGGCAUAAACCUUUAUGUAUUUAUUUGUUUGUUUCUUUGUUUCUUUCUCUCUUUUUUUCUCGUUAUUUUAUUUUAUUUUGGAUUUUCGUCGACGGCGGAAAACAAAACAAAGCAAAUUCUAUCUUAAACCAAUUUGGAAACAAAUUCCAAUGGAAUUGUUGGAACUUUCACCAAUUCCAAUUUGGAAUUAAUCGAUAGAAAUCUAACAAUUUUUUUUUAACUAAUAUUUCUUGGUUUUUAUGUUGGACCUCCUUUUUUUUGCCAAUCGUAGAUCUUUGGUUUUCACGGAAACCAAAGUGACCAAUUGGUUUCUACCGUGCAUUUAAUUAUUUUUUUUGACACAUGACACUUUUUUUUUUAUUAAUUUCUUCUUCCUUUCUCUUUCUUCUUGUUGACUAUUCUAGUGAGGUUGUUCUAACAAAAUUGAAACUAACAUUCUUUAUUUUUUUAUGUAGGUAUUCAAAUUUUUGGAGCAAAUCAAGGAUUUUGAGGUUUGAGAUUUUCUUUGUAUAGAGGUUAAAUUUUGUGCCACAAUUAUUUUGUAAGUUUAGAAAAUAUAUGCUUAUAGAAAGACUCAAAAUUGCAAGCAUUUUCGCGCACAUUGAGAACCAAAGACUGGUACUUUUCAGCAUCCAGUGUACUUUUUUUUAGACUAAUGACAUGUUCCUUCAACUGUCCAAGACACUUUAUGUUUGGGACCAAGGACUGACAUUUUUGACUGUCCAUGGCACUUUGUAUUAAAGAUCAUGGACUUGUUCCUUCGACCGUCCAAGACGCUUUAUGUUUGGGACCAAGUACUGGCUCCUUUGACUAUCCAAGACACUUUGAGUUAAGGACCCAUUACACGUUCCUUCGACCGUUCAAAGCACUUUGUAUUUGGGACCAAGGAUUGACUUCUUUAACUAUCCAAGGCACUUUAUGUUAAGGACCAAGGACUGGCUCCUUCGAUUGUCCAAGACACUUUGUGUACUGGUCAUUUACAUAUUUGGGAAACUCAUAAUUUUAGACGACAAUCGAAUUUAAAAGAUCUAUUCUCCCAUUUUUUACUAAUUUGUUUAGGCAUGGCUGGACCAAGUUCUAGCGAUAAAGUAUACUCUAACAUACAUGAAAUUGUUGAGCUUAAAAAUUAAGACAAAAGUUAGCUACGGUUCAAAGAUACUGAUGCGAAGUACCACGCCCAGACUGGCCUAUAAGGUGAACUUAAAUUUAGCGUCCAUAUGUCAACGAUAGGUCAUUCUCCUGACCCUCUGGGGCUAUUGACGGAGUUGUAUAUGUCUACUAUUAGUGAAUGUCAUGAUAGUUUGGAUACUGGCAAGUCCAAUCGCUUUAGCAAUCAUCUUCCCUUUCUGUGUCCUUCUCCUUAUCAUUCCUAGAGCAUGGAUAGAGCAUGGAGUGCAACCCAAAGACCGUAAUUUGUGAGAGGAUUGACAAUAAAAAAAUACGAUGGGGAAGGGCACUGACCAGUCGAUGAGAGAUUUUGUUUCUUCCAAAAUUUCGAGAGGGGUCUUUAUGGAUCCAAAAACUUCUGCUUAAGAGGAAUCUUUGCGAGUUAGCUUUCGCAGUCGAUUCUGCUACAAAAGAUUACCAUCGCUUAAACUCUAUCUAUAGUGUUCUGUGAGGUUGGUGUCUAGAGACCAACACCUUUUGUGACUGCCAAUGGUAAAAUUGGCAUUUCUAUUUGGGACAUCUGCAAGAUAAGUGGGCUUUCGAUCUUGACCGUACCUCUUUAAUGUUUUCAUAUUGAUAGCCAAUGUGAAUGAAUCUAAUUGGGUUACUUAUAAAAAUUGGAUUAAUUUUUGGUUUCAAGAGAAUGGUUGUGUCCAGAAUCCUCGACAACACAAAAAUUAUAAGAAUGCUAUAAAUUUAAAUCCAUUCAAGAGGUGUCAUCAAAGAGUAUCAAAGGAAAUACGAAGACCCACAGUGGUAGACAAGCCGAGAGAUAUUUCUUGUUCGGAUCUGCAUCAUUGGAGUAAUUUGUCAGUAUCUCUGUCUAUAGAAAAAGAAAAGAAAUUAGAGAUAACAUCUUAUCUCUCAUGUGGCUUUGUCGUUUUGUUCUUUCAUCUGGGGUCAAAUAUAUAAGAGUUGGGACUUUUAAAGCAUUUUCUAGGAUAAUAGGCGGGUAUACUUACAGUAUGGUUCUAUCCAUAUUAGCAAGGAUUUGUAGAGGACUUACACGAACAUCGAACCAUCAGACAAACCCAGACUUUCGCUCGAUUUCACAUUCAUUUCCUGGACAUUUUCUUUAAGCUUGGGCUACAAUUUAUUUUGUCAGAGGUGUUUAUGAUCAUGUGGAAAAGAGUUAUUCUAGUCCUACAAUCUGAAGAUAUGUUGACACUCUGAAUACUUUCUAGUCUUAGGAAAAAAAUGUUAUUGAUUGUUGGGACCUUAUUUGUGGAAUGAUGGACGCUAAUGACUUUUGCUAGAAUCCAUUACACUUAUCGUCUCAUCUUGAUGUACAUGUGGAUGACCAACUGAGGUCAGCAAAUACUUCAAAAUUCAUGAUGAGUAUUCAUUUUGAAUUUGUUUCUUAUCGCCGAGGAAAUUCACCUUUCAUUCUUAAGGCGUAUAAUCCUCACAGGUUUGCGAGACAACUUGACUUUAGACAGAAACUUCCCUGUUCACCAAGAAAGUUGGACACUGUCCCUAAUGUAGGCAAAUGUAUAGCGUUUGGUUGUCAUUGACUUGAACGAAAACUGGGUGUGUAUUUCACAUUCCAUAGUAUGUGAGGGAUACUCAUCAAAAUGUUGAUGUUGAGUACGAGGCUUGGUGGAAUAGCCAAGUAUUGCCAAUGUUGACUGGGGUCCAAGUACAGGUUUUAUUUUCUAGCGAGAGCUGUGACUUCGUUCUUGGCCUAACUCCGAACAAGGUCAUAGCUAGAGGGUUAAACCCUCCAAAUGUUGUUCCUGAAGAGACUUCUUGAAAGAGGAAACCAAACCAUCAAAAUGAAAGAGGUAUUAAGAGAAUUAAAAUUAUAGUUUCCUCAGCAAAGAUUGUUGUCACCUCUAAGCGUACUGAUAAGGUGCCAGAAGCGAUUUUGAUUCCAGAUCACAGUGGUCCUAAGGUACCGAGAAAAACUUUAACCCUAGAAGAUGAAAGUUCUAGAUUUAACUUUAAAAAAUUUUCAUUGAUAGGCUCGAUUUGUAGUACAUCUUUGUCGACGAUUUUGUAAGCUUCAUUAUUGAAUGUAUGAGUAACAAGAAACAGACCAUCCUAUAUAGGCUGAAACUUGCUUCCUAUUUUUCUUGUAAUUAUGAUAAGCUUGCGUACGGAAAGUACCAGAUCUCCAACUUGAAAUGAUCUUAGUCACACUUUUUUGUUGAAAAAUUUUACCAUUCGAGUUUGAUAGCACUCUAAGAGCAUUUCCACUUCUAAGCAAUUUUCAUCCAAAACUUCUAACUCUUCCAAUUGAAGGCGGGUAUUUUCUAUUGUUGUCAAACCUUCUUGGAUGGAAAUUAGAAGUGACAGGCUUUAACACUUCAAAUUAUGUAUAACUUCCACUCCAUACACUACAGCGUAAGGGGUGGCUUGUGUUGGAGUCCAACAAGUAGUUUGAUAAGCCCAUAAGACUUCACCAAUUCUCACAUGCCAAUCUCUUUUUGAUUUGGAGACAACCGUUUUUAGUAGACUACAUAAUAUUUUGUUAAACGCCUCUGCCAAUCCAUUAGCUGCUGCAUUGUAUGUGGAUAAGUUGUAUUGUUUAAACCCAAACUUUGCACAUAAAUUGUUUAUGUGGCUAUUGCAGAAUGGCUUGCCAUUAUUAGUUAUAAUGUUUCAUGGGAUCCCAUAUCGAUAAAUGAUCUGGAUACAGAUAUCUGCAACAUUUUCUUUCUUUACUUCCUUCAAUGUUAAGACUUCAGCCCACUCCAAGAAGUAGUCAGUCCCUGUGAGAACGUAUACAUGCUUGAUUGAAGACUUUGGAGUUAUAGGUCUAAUUACAUCAAGACCCAUGCAUCAAACAAUCAUGAAGCUUCUAUUGGAUGUAAAGGUUCCAGAAGUUGAUGGAUGAAAUUCUCAUGGACUUGGCAAGUUUUACAUUUUUUUGACAUAAUCCAUGGAGUCUUGUACCAUAGUUCGCCAGUAAUACCCUAUCCUCUUUAUUAGGAAAUGGAGUUUAGGACCAGAGUGAUAAGCACCACAAAUUCCCGAGUAGGCUUCUUACGACAUGUGUUGCUUCAUCAUUACUUAAGCAUCGAAUGAAAACUCCAUCAAAUGAUCAUCGAUAUAGAGUUCCCUUAUAAAAGACGAAGCGGGAAGCACGCCUCUUGAUUUUCAUUUUUUACUGUGGAUUAUCUGGUAGCUUUUGAUGUUGAAGAAAAUCGAUUAUUGAGUGUCUCCAAUCUUCUCUUUCCUCAUCUUCAACUACUUCAACACUUUUGUUCUCUUCCAAAUUGCUAGGUAGCAAUGAUGGAAGCACCCAUCUUUGAGCAAUUGUUAUGAAGUGGGAGAAAUCUUCAUCUGACCCAGUUAAAAUAGUGGCCAAAUUAGCUAAGGCAUCAACUUCCCUAUUUUUACUUUUCGGGAUGAAUUUGAUUUUUACCAAAUCAAAUUGUCUCAUAAGCAUUGACGCAUUUUCAUGGGUUCAAGUCUAAAUUACGGACUUCAUACUCAGCUAAAAGUUUGUUGAUUAUCAAUUUAAAAUCUCCAAAGACUUUCAGCUGGUAGAUAUUCAUAUCUAACGUUGUCUCGAAGUUAAGGAUAAGGACUUGAUAUUCCACCAUGUUGUUUGAACAUUUCUCUAUUAAGGCAAAAGAGUAGGGCAUGACGAGAUCAUGAAGAGUGACAAAGACUACUCCUGCUUCAACACCAUAACUUUUGUCUACCCCAUCGAAGUAUAGCCUCCAUAAUGGUAUGACUUUGGGGAAUAAGACUUCUUCAUCGGAAAGGUCUUCCUGAAGUUCCCAUUCGGCUGGAAUUGGAUGGAUAGUAAGGAAAUCUGCCAAAACUUGUUCUUUAAUGGCCUUUUGUGGAAUGAAUUUGAUAUCGAACUCAAAUAACAGCAUUGUCUAUUUUUCAAUUCGUCCAGAAAGAAUUAGCCUGGACAUUAUGUACUUCAAUAGAUCAAUCUUCGAAACAAGAUUAAUUUCGUGUGAUAACAUAUAAUACCUCAACUUUUAGCUACGAAGAUUAACGUAAGAGAUAUUUUUUCAAUAGGUGAAUACUUUAUUUCGGCGCCUACCAGUGUCUAGCUUAAGUAAUAGAGUGCUUGCUCUUUUCCUUCAUUUUUGAUUUGGAUAAGAAGUACUCCUAGAGAAUAUUCUUGUGAUACAACAUAAAGAUUCAGUGGCUUCCCAAAACUAUGAGUACCAGUGAACGAGAUAAAUAUUAUUUAAUGCUUUGAAAAGCAUUUCGACAAGCAUCGUCCCACUCAAAUGGUACAUCUUUCUUUACCAAUUUGUUGAAUGGAUGACAAUGUCCAGCAAGGUUAGAGACGAAUCUUCGAAUGUAUACAAUUUUCCAUGAAGACUUUUCAACUCACGUAUAUUUCUUAGCGUUGAAAUGUUGAUUAUAGUGUCAAUUUUUGAUUGAUCUAUUUCAAUGCCCUGGUAUCGAAUAACGAAGCUGAGAAAUUUUUUAGAGGUGACACCAAAUGCACAUUUCAAUGAAUUCAUCUUCAGUUGAUAUCUUCGAAUUUUUUUGAAAACAUCCCAUAAAUCUUGUAAAUGAUCGUCACGUCGUUUUGUUUUAACAACAAGAUCAUCUACAUAGCAUUCCAUGUUCUUAUGCAACAUUUUAUCGAAGAAAUUUUGCAUUGCUCACUGGUAGGUUGCCCCCGCAUUUUUUAAUUCAAAAGGCAUAACUUUGUAAUAAUAUAAGCCUUAAGGAAUACGAAAUGAUAUAAGUUCCUCAUCUUUCGGAUUCAUCCGUAUCUGGUUGUAUCCAAAAAAUUCGUCCAUAAAGGACAAACUUUAUACUUGAUAGUUGCAUCCACCAUCAACUCCGUUAUUCGAAGUGAAAAACAAUCUUUCGGAUAUGCUUGAUUCAAAUCCCAAAAGUCAGUGCAAAUUUGUAAUUGCCCAUUUUUCUUCUUGACAGGAAUAAUGUUUGCGAUCCACAUUAGGUAUUUCAUUUCACGUAUAAAUCCAGCUUCAAUAAGUUUGUUGACUUCUACUUCAAUUUGUGGAUUAGUUCUGGUUGAAAUCUUCUUUGUAGUUGCUAGAUCGGUCAAACUCCAUGUCUUACUGUAAGGUAAUGCACUGCAACCUUAGGAUCUAACCCCGACAAAUUCUUGUAAGACCAUGCAAACACAUCUUUGUAUUCCUAAAGCAAACGAAUGUACUUAGAUUCCUCUUUUUGACUGAGGAGGGUACUUACAAAUACUGGUUUUGGGUCUUUUUUGGUCCCCAAGUUCAAUUGUUUCAAGUUAUCCACAGUAGCUUGUCUUUGGUCUUCAAAUGUGGGUGGGGCUGGGUUAAGUUCAUCAUUUGUGGUAGGACUUUCAGGCUCGGAUUCUGAGUUAGAGCUUCUUCAAAAACUAUGUGACUGACAGAGUCUUCUUUCUUAUCUUCAUUGCCCUUUAAGGAUAGGCGAACUUUUUGAUGUCUUCUUGACUGUUGAGAUUUCGAACUUGGAUCAGAAGUUUUAAUUCCAAGUCGAGAAAAAGCAUAUUAUCUUUAGGAUGACAUCUAGGGAGCUUGUACAUUCCUAUCAAUUUGGGUGGAAGAAGAAGGACCUUCACUUUACCUUUAGAAGAUAGAGGCUUUACCUUUUAUGUCGACUACUGGGGAUGGUUCUCCUUUUAAUCUUUUAAACACCGAAACUCUAGCUUUCUCAUUUUCAACACUGAAGGUCUCGACUAUUCUGAUUUUUCUUCUGCAACUUUGUAAUUUUGAAUCAUGAUGGGGUUUGAGGAAACCUUCACGAUCUUAAUCUUUCUAGGUAGAUUGAGAUCAUAUCCCAAACCAUACCUAGGUCGAGACACCAGGUCUCUAUUAGAAUUAGAAGGUACACACCCUCCUGAAAUGCCAGCAUCAAGGUCACCUAAUUUUCGAGGCUCUUAUUUUCUAAACUUGACAUUUUCAAACAACUUUUUGACUUGAGAAUUGUAACAUCCUUUGAAUUUCUGUUUUGAUUCAAGAGCUGCUUCUUGUUUGGACGAGCUAGAAGCACCAAGCUUUGAUAUGUCUGGAAUGGAUGUCGAAGCUUCUGAUAUAGGUUUGUGUUCUCCCAAAACCACCGUAAGUUGAUGGGGUAGAAGCAAUUUCGAAAUACUAACUAUUGUAAGAGUUAUCUCUUUUCUCAAUAUCUCAAUAUCGGUGGAUUCUAUUUGAGGUUUUUUACCUCUAGAGAAUCCUUCAGAUGUAAAUUUUGACUUAUCUUUGGUAAGUUGAUGAGAUUGAGCAGCACUAGAUGUAUCAUGAUCAUCUAUAUCUUCAUUGAUUUUGAAUCCAAACAUGGUCAACCCUACAGAGUUACACUCUUCAUCUUCAUUGUAAAAUUUGGUAUCAGCAAAGAGAUUCUUCUUCUAGAAAGGUUUGGACUCAGCUACCACACGUUUGAUUUCUCUGUCCCUACUAUAUUUGAAGCAUGGUGCCAAGUCAAAGGUAUUACUCUAAUUUUAUGCAGUCAAACACGUCCAAGGAAUAACUUGUAUGAUGUUUUAGCAUCAAUGACAUAGAAGAGAGUUGAGGAGAUUAACUCUCCUAUUUGCAGCUUUAGGUGAAUCAUGCCAAUGGCUCCUGACUUUUUUGAUUGAAUCCUUGAAUCAUGAUUUUCCUUCUAGAUAGAUAACCAACAUUAAUUCCAAAAUUUUUCAUUAUUUUGACCGACAUAAUAUUUACAGUAGAUCCACAAUCGAUUAUUAUGCUACUUAUCCUACAUUGUCGAAUAUAAUCACUAAUAUACAGUAGUCUAUUAUGUAAACGAAAACCCAAUUGUAAAUCAUUAUCAUCGAAUGUUAUGGCAACCAUACAAUCUUGUUGGAUUAUGCAUCCAAUAUGUUCUGAGACUUUGCCUUCAUAUUCUUCCCAAUCGAUUAAUGCCAUGAACAAAGCCAUUCGAUCAUCGAAAUGAAGACUAAUAGACUCUGCUAAACUCGUGUUGACUGGGCUAUUGUUGAGUCGUGAGAUAGUAUUAUUCUAUUUUGAAUCCAAACAUGGUCAACCCUGCAGAGUUACACUCUUCAUCUCAUUUUUUUUUAUCCACAUUGAUAACAUUGGAGGUAAAACAUUACUUGUCAAAGAAACCCUUGGGAAAAUAAUCUCCCAAGGUUGGUAAUCUAGGAGGAAUAUGUGAAGUAGCUUCUAACAUCAUUGAUUUAGUAAAUACUCUUGGCUUAGCUUUAGACCUUCUUCUUUGGUUGUUCCUUGGUCUUGAUUUUUUGUUAUAAACACUAGAAUUUGGGAGUUGUGGAGCCUUUUAACAACGUCUUUUCACAAGAGUCCAUGGCCUUGAUCUUCUUCUAGUGCUUCUUAUUUAUUAGGUUGAAUUUUUGUACCCAAUUUUCCCAUCUUUGGUCCUGUAAGAGGCGUAGGAGGUGACAUUUUAUUCGUUUUGUUUAACAUUCUUUAUUUCUCUUUCUUGCUUAUAAAGGUAGACCAGCCAUCACCGAUCUUGUCUUCAGACUCCAAGCAGAAUCCCAAACAUCUAAGUCACUUGUCAUAAUUUCGUAAAAGGUUGGACGAUUGGAUGCACUUGGUCCAUCUAUCCCCGGAUAGAUGUAAUUAAUAUUGAUUUCUCCGUCUACCUCAAAUUCUACUGGGAUGGCUCCUUUUGAAAGUUGAGGUCCAAACUCUUCAAUCGAGGAUUUACAGGCAUCGUGUACAUUAGGUGUCUUCCCUAUAAUGAAAAUUGGAUCAAAUGAUCCAGACAAAACCAUCGAGCAGACGGUUGUUGGAUUCUCUUCGAUAUCAAGUUUGAUCUUAUUUUCUUUAUCCAGGCGAACAAUAAAAUCUUUCAAGACGGAAGCAUUUUUCCAUUGGGUAGUUAAUGAUUCCAUAAAAUUUAUAGUAUUUAGGAUGAUUGAACUUACAAGCUUUCUAGGGUCUUUUUGGUACUGAAAGUUUGAUUAUCUUCUAUUCAAGAAGUUGAUCUAGGAAUUUAGAAUCUGAGAAUGGGUACUUCUUUCCUUCAUGUUCUUUCAAAGUCACGUGACCUCCACUUUGGACUUGUGCUUUGCUAGGUCUAAACUCUGGCUUCAGUUUUAGGUUCGAGCUUAACCCCUUGAAGGCUAUCUUUGCUGGAACAGUAGAAAUCACCACAGCUUCUUUGGAUUUACUUUCCUUGAUGUCCUUCUUUAUUUCCUUCUUAGAAUCUUUCUUGUCAAGUGGAUCACUUGAUAAGUAACUCCCAUGCCUUGCAAUUUAGAGCUUCAAGUCAUGAAUACGUGUCACCAAUUCUUCGAAUGAGUGAGGCAUAUUUGCUUGGAGAUUAUAGAGUAAUCCCCAAUGCAUGUUUUGGUCGCACAUAUACAUGGAAGAUGCUUCACUUAUUCAUUCUUUAUAAUUAAGAAUGAGGUUCAUCCAGCGUUCGAUGUACUCUACAAUAGUUUCUUCCUUGCUCUGCUUCAUUCGACCAAGUUCUGGAAGGCUGGCAGUUCGUUGGGUGUUGUAGAAGCGUGUUAGAAAUUCUCGAUCGAGUUGAUCCCAACUAUCAAUUGACCCAGUUGGUAAAUCUGUGGGCCAUUCAAACGUGUCACCUUUAAGAGAACAUACAAAUUGCUUCACCAUGGUGUCAUUGUAUGCGCUUAUAUUGUUGUGUGUCUCAAUGAAAUGAGCAACAUGCUAUUUUUGGUUGUUCUUUCUAUCAAAGCAUUGAAAUUUUGAAGGUUGCUAACUGAGUGGCAUCUUUAUUUCGUCGAUUUGACAACUAUAGAGCUUGGCAUAUACCUUUGAAGAUUGCAAUGAACCAUCAUACUGAGUACGAAUGAUGUCUGCAAUCAUAUGUUGAAGUUGUUGAAUGGAUAGAGAGCCAACAGAGAGUUGAGUGGUAUCACACAAAAUGUUUGGACCAAUUGGCGCACUUGGACUUCUAACUUUUUGGCCUUGGAAAAUCCUGAAUUUUUAUGAUCUUUUUUAAUCGGCAGAUUUUGCAACUCUAGCCCAUGCAUGAGCGCAGCAAUCUAUACAUCUUUAUCUUCUAGUGACUUUGUUAAUUUUUCAAUGGCUAAAGUCAUUUGUUGAAUUCAAUCAUCUGAGCCUGAUGCCGUUUCUAUGACCAUCACUAGCUCAAGUGAUUCUUCAAAUGAAGAAUCAUCUUCUACCUUUGCUGAGAAGUGGCAUGAGAGGAUCCAAAGAAUGAUCUAUCAUUGGAGAUGGAGCCCGAACGAGAGCUUUUCGCCGAACUCAUAGUCUUUUUUGUUGAAUGAGAGUUUGAAUUUUUAAAGGCAAUUUUAAUUUUGCCUUUGUUGGAAAAUUUCAUCAGUGAUGGGACCAGUUGAGUUUUCCCAGUUUUGUUUGGGCCUUGAUCGCGUGGAAGAGUUUGGGAAGUGUCUCUUCAAGAUGAGUUAUAGUUGGUUUUGCCUUUUCGCUUACCAUUGCUGAUAUAGUGACUGAAAGUUGAAGAUUCUGAUAUCAAAAGAUGAGAGGACAAGAAGGUCCCACCGAGUAUGCUAAGAAAUUUAUACGAUGAAUUUUAUGUAUUGAAAUACAGAAAUCCUUACAAAUUGCAUUUUUUAGAAAUACAAGUGAUUUUGACCUUCUUGUGAUUGAAAAAUGGCGAAAAUCCUCUUAUUAAUGAUCUGAAUAUUUUGAAGACGAGGUGUCACAUGACUUGAAUUCUGGUCUUCGAAAAUAUGUUGAAAUUUUGAUUUGUUGAUACUUGACUUAUCCAGCACUUGAGUUUUGGGACUUGGACUCGUGCUUGAAUUUGAUUUGAUUUAACGAAGACUUUGGUCUUCUUGAAUUUGGCGUGGACCUGUUAGAUUCGAAGAAGGUUUUGAUCUUUUUGGGAUUUACCGAAUUUAGGUUUGAGAGGAUUUCUUCUCCUCCUUCGACUUUGAAAUUUUUUCAGCACUUCAUAAUUGCCUUCUUUGCUUUCACUUAUUGUUCUUUUCUUAUGGACGAUUGGUCCUAUUUAUUGGAGAAAAUUUGAGCUAAUUUUGGUAGUCACUCAAUUAUAUUUAGUUAAAAAUGAAUAAUUGAGUAAUUAUGAUUUUUAUUUGUUUACUUAUUUAAACGUGAGAUGGGCUUUCGGGUUUAUGGACCUUAGUCGACUUUAAUUUAAUUGAACUAAUAAUUUAAAUCGACCCAACCCAUUUUCUUUAUUAUUAUUAUUAUUUUUUAUGCCUAUAAAUGCCCCCUCAAGAUUAAUUUAUUUAUUAUGAAAUAAAUAAAUUAAUAAAUCUUGAUUUUUGAUUUUAUUUUUUUUUCAAUUUUGGAUUUGAUUUUAACUCAAACUUCCCAUUAGUAAAUUAUUAUAAAUGAAAAAAUCGAGAUAAAAUGGGAAUUUGAUAAAAAAAAAAAAAAAAUUAUCCUUCAAAUUUGAGAAUAAGAAUUUUUUUUAUGUUAUUUGAUUUUUUUAUUUAUUUUAUACAAUCUAAAAAAUUUUGAAUUUGAAUAGGCCAUUUGCGCUUUAUGGUAAAUUAGGCUUAAGUGAAAUAUGAUAUCUGUCUAUUUAUAUGAAUAAACUAUGAGAUUUGGAAACAAGUCUGUUAAAUCUUGCAAACAAAGGCAAAUAAUUCUUUUUUUCUUUUUUCUUUUUUUAACUCUCUCUCUCUCUCUCUCUAUUUUUUCCCUUAUUUUCUCUCUUUUUUCUCAUAUUUUCUUUUCUCGGUUUCCGCCACCCAAGGAGACAAAGAAUUUGAUGCGAACCCCGUAGCAAUGGAAACUACGAAACCCACAACGAGAUUGAUGCGGAACCCAAGAACGCCAAUACUAACCCGAUUUUGAAUCUUGAACCUCAAGAAUUGAACCAAGAAAUCCUAGAUUAGCGAAAAAACUAAAACCCCUUGAUUACAAUUAAAAGAACCCACAAUCCGAUUGUUUAGAAUGACAUAAGAAACUAAAUCUUGAUAAGUUCCAAGAUUGUUCAAGAAGAACAAGAAAUUGAAAGAACAAUUCUCUCUCUAUAAUAUUAAGCAAAAGUCAAAAGUUCUUACAAUGAAAAAUAUUCUCCUAUUUAUACUAAUGAAUAAAAACGUCCAAAACCAUCAAAUUAUGGUAAUAAUUUGAUUUCAUAAGAAUUCUAUUGAAACUAGGAAAUUCGGCCAAAAUUAGAAAAUUCGCCAAUUUUUUGGCUUGUGCGGCCGCAUGGUGUAUUUCCAUGCGGUCGCAUGGUUCAACAAGAAUUGGUCUUUUGGUUUUCGGUAUGCAUGUGUGCGCCACAUAUUGUUUUGCCUGUGCGGCCGCACAUACUUGUUUUCAGUCUCCGCUUUCGUUGCUUGAUAACAAAUUGAUCCAAGUUGAUUCGGCCUUCGACCCGAACAUGAAAGUUGCUCCAUCUGGAGUCCUGAACAUGGUUCCAUCAAUGGUUUCUUGAACAAGCAAUCCCAUCGUUUGUUUCACUUGCUUUGCCCUUGAUCGCGUCAUUGGUCCGCCAUCGACUAUCAACGGGUCUCAUCUCGCACUUGCCUUCGUUGGGCUCGACUCCUGGAUCAUAUCAUUCCCUCCCUCUUCAAAAGGAUUCGUCUUCGAAUUUGAACCUGCAUCAAACAGAGAGAGAUCAGAUACAUUAAAAGUAGCUGAAACAUUAUACUCACUAGGUAAAAUCACUUUGUAUGCAUUGUCAUUGAUCCUCUCAAUGAUUUGAAACGGUCCAUCGCCUCGUGGUUGCAAUUUUGACUUCCUCUGUUUUGGAAAACGUUCUUUUCUGAAAUGCACCCAGACCCAAUCUCCAGGCUCAAAUGUAACGCGUCUUCUUUCUUUAUUUGCUUUUGAUGCAAUCAGCUUUCCUUUCUCUUUGAUCUGCAUUCUGACCUUUUCAUGGAGUGUUUUCACCAUCUUGGCUUUUCGUUUCCCAUCCAAGCUACCUCGUUCAUGCACAGGUAAAGGCAUUAAAUCCAUAGGUGUUAGUAAAUUAAAACCAUAAACAAUUUCAAAAGUAGAAAACGAAGUAGUAGAAUGUGUAGCUCGAUUAUAUGCAAACUCUAUAAACGGUAAACACUCUUCCCAUGAUUUCAGAUUUUUAUUGAUUACUGUCCUAAGUAGUUGAGUCAUAGUUCGAUUAACUACCUCAGUUUGUCCAUCUGUUUGUGGGUGACAAGUUGUAGAAAAUAAUAACUUAGUUCCUAACUUACUCCACAGAACACGCCAAAAAAUUACUCAAAAACUUCACGUCCUUAUCAGACACUAUACUUUUAGGUACUCCAUGUAAACGUACUAUUUCCCUAAAGAAUAAGUCUACAAUAUUAGUAGUAUCGUCAGUUUUAUGACAUGGUAUGAAGUACGCCAUCUUACUAAACCUAUCGACCACUACAAAUAUUGAAUCCCGACUCCUUUUUGUCCUAGGCAAACUUAACACAAAGUCCAUAGAUAUGUCUACCCAAGGUUCACUAGGUACAGGCAAAGGAGUAUACAAACCGUGGGAUUGAACCUUAGACUUAGCCUUUUUAAAAGUUAUGCACUUUCCACAUAUUUGUUCUACUCCAUGUCGCAUUUUAGGCCAAUAAAAAUGUUCCCCUAACAUGUCUAAAGUCUUUUGAACCCCGAAGUGUCCCAUUAAACCACCCCCAUAUGCUUCCCUUACCAAUAAUUCACGCAAAGAACAAUUAGGAAUGCACAACUUAUCUUCCCUAAACAAAUAUCAUUCAUCCCUAUAGAAUUUAUCAAAUGCACCUUUGUCACAUGAAGCAUAAAAACUAGAAAAAUCACAAUUAGAUUCAUACAUGCGCUUAAUAUGCUCGAAACCAAGUAAUUUAGUACUUAAUGAAUUUAAAAGCACGUACCGUCGAGACAACACAUCAGCAGCUAUAUUUUCGUUACCUUGUUUUUACUUGAUGACGUAGGAAAAUGUCUCGAUAAACUCCACCCAUCUCGCAUGUCUUUUGUUCAACUUACCUUGACCUCGCAAAUGCUUUAAAGAUUCAUGACCGAUGUAUAUCACGAAUUCCUUUGACCAUAAGUAGUGCUGCCAAGUCUCCAAUGCUCGAACAACUGAAUACAGCUCCUUGUCAUAUGUCGGAUAAUUCAAUGUUGCCCCACUCAACUUUUCGCUGAAGCAAGCAAUAGGUCUCCUUUCCUGCAUUAACACUGCUCCCAUACCUAUUCCUGAUGCAUCACACUCAACCUCGAAUGUUUUAUCAAAAUUUGGUAAUGCCAAAACAGGUGCUUUACAUAGCUUAUCCCUAAUUGUGUUAAAUGCAAUUUCUUGAGAUUCUCCCCAAUGGAAACCUAUACUCUUCUUUACUAUUUCAAUCAACGAUGUGGUGAUGGUGCUAAAAUUUGUUACAAAUCGCCUAUAAAAACUAGCCAAUCCAUGAAAACUCCUAAUUUCAAUUAUAGUCUUAGGUGUUGGCCAUUCUUUAAUAGCUUUUAUCUUUUCUUCAUCGACUUCCACCCCGUUAGCACUAACCACAAAUCCUAAGAAAACAACUCUAUCCAUGCAAAAUGUGCACUUUUUGAAAUUAGCAUAUAGUUGUUCCUUUCACAACACAACAAGCACACAAUUUAAAUGUUCUAAAUGCUCAUUUAGGUUCUUGCUAUAGAUUAAGAUGUCAUCAAACUAAAUUACAGCAAAUUUCCCAAUAAAAGCAUGCAAAACAUGGUUCAUUAAAUGCAUAAAAGUGAUCGGUGCAUUAGUGAGUCCAAAUGGCAUAACUAACCAUUCAUACAAUCCAUACUUAGUCUUAAACGCCGUUUUCCAUUCAUCACCCUCUCGCAUGCGAAUUUGAUGAUACCCACUCUUAAGAUCAAUCUUACUAAAAAUGCAAGCACCAUACAACUCAUCAAACAUAUUAUCUAGCCUAGGUAUUGGGUGACGAUACUUUACCGUGAUAUUGUUGAUAGCUCGGUAAUCCACGCACAUUCUCCAAAUCCCGUCCUUCUUAGGCACCAACAAGACAGGUACAGCACAUGGACUCAUGCUCUCCCUGACAUAACCUUUGCUCAUCAACUCCUCCACUUGAUUUUGAAGCUCCUUCGUCUCCUCGGGAUUGCUUCGGUAAGCUGGUCGAUUCAGUAUGACAGCUCUGGGUACAAAGUCAAUCUGGUACUCAAUGCCUCUGAUUGGUGGCAAUCUACUUGGCAUCUCCUCAGGGAACACAUCGUCGAACUCCUGCAAUAAAGACUUAACCAAACUAGGGAGGGAUGUGUUAGAAUCCUCAAAAUUGAGGAGGGAUUCCUUGUACACUAACAAUAUCAUUUGCCUAUUAUCACUCAUAGCCUUUUUCAACUCACUCUCUUUUGCAUAAAAGUUGACCUUUGGCUUUUCUCUCCGCUCAGCUGACUCUUUUUCUCUCCUCUCAUCUGACUCCUUUUCUCUCCGCUCAUGUGGCUUCUCUCUCUUUUCUCCACUCUCAGCCACCUCACUAUUUUCUCUCUUAUUGAUGGUUUCACUAUUGCCUCUCCUUUUUCCUGACUCUCUUAUUCUCUCGUCUUCCUCACUUUUCAGCUUGAUUUAAUCUCCAUACACUUGUGCCGAUGUUAAUGGCGCAAGAGUAAUAGUCUUCCCAUCCUUGACAAAGCUAUAACGAUUCCUAUAUCCAUCAUGUGUGACCCUUCUAUCAUAUUGCCAUGGUCUUCCUAACAAGAUAUGACCCACAUGCAUAGGCACCACAUCACAUACUACUUUGUCACUAUAACUCCCAAUUGAGAAAUUAAUUAAAACUCUUUUAUUCACGCUAACUUCCCCACUUUUAUUCAACCAUUGCAACUUAUAAGGCCUAGGUUGUCUUAACAAUGCUAGUCCUAUUUUCUCAACUAAAAUUGUGCUAGCUAUAUUCGUGCAACUCCCACCAUCAAUAAUCAUACUAUAUACCUUAUCGUUGACGUAACAACAUGUGUGGAAUAUAUUUUCUCGCUGCUGCUCCGAAUUAUCCACUUUGACUUGAGUGUUAAGAGCUCUCCUUGACACCAACGAUUCCCCAAUAGCAAACUCCAAUUUUUCUUCUUCUUCAACGUCCUCCAAUGCAGGCAUGUCCUCAAACUCUCCUUCACUUUCACUCACCACCUCUCCAUUAUCCAACAACACCAUUACCCGUUUAUUUGGGUAUUGAGAAGCAAUGUGCCCUAACCCCAAGCAUCUGAAACACUUGAUGUCUCAAUUCCUUGAUGGUUGUGAAUUUGUUUUGGGUGCUGUUUUGCUAGCACUUUCUUCUUUCCCUUUCUGCCACUCAUUCCUACCUUUAGGUACAGCUUUAUCACUUUUGUUGUUGUUGUUCCACCCUGGCUUCCAAGAUGGAUUAACACUCAAAGUUCCUAACGGCUGCCUAGCUAUCCCUUUUCUCUUCAAUUGUCUCUCUACCUUCAUAGCCACAUGCAACAUGUCUUCCAACUCCACAUAAUGUUGCAACUCCACUACAUUGGCAAUUUCCCUAUUCAACCCAUUCAAGAAUCAUGCCACGGUAGCCUCCCGAUCCUCCACCACAUUGGCCCUAAUCAUGAGUAUUUCCAUCUCCAUAUGAUAGCCCUCUACACUUUUCGAUCCUUGAUAUAGACUUUACAGUUUUUGAUGGAUCUGUUAGUAAUAGUGGCUAGGAACAAACCUCUUUCUCAUCAAUGACUUCAAUUCCUCCCAAGUGUUGAUUGCUCUUCCCCCACUCCUACGUUGUGAAGUAAUCACUUGAUCCCACCAUGACAUUGCAUAGUCACUGAACUCCAAAACUGCUAACUUCACAUUUUUCUCCUCCGAGUAGUUAUAACACUCGAAGAUCAUUUCAACCUUCCUUUCCCACUCCAGGUAUGCCUCGGGAUCACUCCUUCCUUUGAAUGAAGAAACUGUCAUUUUUAUAUUUCCCAAAUUUCCAUCAAAUUCCUCCCCGCGAUCAUUCCGACCCCGUCUGUCGAACCUAUUGCCUCUAUUCCUCAUCCUUCCCAUAUCAACACCGUGAAAUUCAUCUUCGCCCAUGUCACUCCAAUAUCCAUACUACUCUCGCCUUUCCCUCCUAGGCUCCCAUCUAUGCGGUCUUGUGGCAUUGGAUACAUCCACUCGAUGCCCCCGACUAAGAUUAGCCACCGAUGUAUCUAAUCUAUUCAUCCAAGCCUCCUGCUUCUCCAACCUAUCUCUCACAUCUCCAAAUGCUCUCUCAAACCUCUGCACCAAAUCCUCCGAUGCAUUGCUAUUAUUGCCUUGUCGGCUUGAAUUUGAUUCUGCCAUUUCUGACAUCCUAACACUAAAAUUUUUUAUUUUACUGCCUCACCAAAAGUCACUCGAAAACACACAAGGGCUUUUACCCUCUAUUAAGCUCACCUCCCUGCCUUUAGCCACUCAGUUCUUUCAACAAUUGCCUCUAGGAACAAUCAAUGAACUCAAUCAAUCAAUCAAUUCGUGUAGAAUUCCCCAAACCGGAUGUGACUCAAUAAUUGUAAUAAAGGACUCAAAGAAAACUUUUAAAAUUUGACUUGAAUUGAAGGAAUGUAAUGAUUCAAUGUGUCCAAGUAAUUUAGAAACGAUAUUGAAUAAUAAAAGUUGGUAUUUGAAGGAUCAAUAAUAUUUAAUAAUUUUUUUUUAUAUCCAAAAAUCAAUAACAAAACCAACAAAGAAAAUGAAAACUGAUUUGGGCAAAAAUUGAGCCCAGAAACGGAAUUUGAAGAUUUUUGAUGAAACUUUUGGAUCAAAGGAUCAAGAAAACCUUUUGGACACAAGAACACAAGGAAUUGAAAAAAAAUAGAAAACAAAGGAUAUAGCCUGAUUAAAUUGGAGCCAAAGCUCUGAUACCAACUGAUACGAACCCCGUAGCAAUGAAAACUACGAAACCCACAACGAGAUUGAUACGGAACCCAAGAAUGCCAAUACUAACCCGGUUUUGGAUCUUAACCCCAAGAAUUGAACCAAGAAACCCUAGAUUAGCGAAGAACCUAAAACCCCUUGAUUACAAUUAAAAGAACCCACAAUCCGAUUGUUUAGAACGCCACAGGAAAUUGAAUCUUGAUAAGUUCCAAGAUUGUUCAAGAAGAAAAAGAAAUUGAAAGAACAAUUCUCUCUCUAUAAUAUUAAGCAAAAGUCAGAAGUUCUUACAAUGAAAAAUAUUAUUUUAUUUAUACUAAUGAAUAAAAACGUCCAAAACCAUCAAAUUAUGGUAAUAAUUUGAUUUCAUAAGAAUUCUAUCAAAACUAGGAAAUUCGGCCAAAAUUAAAAAAUUCACCAAUUUUUUGGCUUGUUGGCCGCAUGGUGUAUUUCCAUGCGGUCGCAUGGUUCAACAAGAAUUGGCCUUUUGGUUUUCGGUAUGCAUGUGUGCGGCCACAUGUUGUUUUGCCUGUGCAGCCGCACAGACUUGUUUUCAACCUCCGCUUUCGUCGCUUGGUAACAAAUUGACCCAAGUUGAUUCGGCCUUCGAUCAGAACAUGAAAGUUACUCCAUUUUGAGUCCUGAACAUGGUUCCAUCAAUGUUUUCUUGAACGAGCAAUCCCAUCACUUGUUUCACUUGCUUUGCCCUUGAUCGCGUCAUUAGUCAGCCAUCGACUAUCAACGGGUCUCGUCUCGCACUUGCCUUCGUCGGGCUCGACUCCUAGAUCAUAUCAGAAUUGGUUUCUUGGAAUUGAUACAGUGAAAUUGGUGAAUUGCAUCAAUUCCAACUGUUUCCUUGGUAUUUGCCAAUGGCAGAAACCUUUAUAUAUUUAUUUUUAUUUAUUUAUUUAUAUUUUUUCGUUUCUUUCUCUUUUUUCUUCUCGUUAUUUUUUUUUAAUUUUGGAUUUCCAUCGAUGGUAGAAAAUAAAACAAAUUUUGUUUGAACCCAAUUUGAAACUGGUAAAAACCAAUUCCAAUGGAAUUAUUGGAACUUUCACCAAUUCCAAUUCGGAAUUGGUCGAAAAACCAAAAAUAUAUUUGGUUUUAUGGAAAACCAAAGUGACCAAUUGGUUUCUACCGAGCAUUUAAUUGUUUUUGCUCCUUUUUUUUAUUCGUUUCAUCUUCCUUUCUCUUUCUUCUUGUUAACUAUUUUAGUGAGGCUAUUUUAACAAAAUUGAAACUAACAUUUUUCAUUUUUUUAUGCAAGGAUUCAAAUAUUUGGUGCAAAUGAAGGAUUUUGAGGUUCGAGAUUUUCUUUGUGUGGAGGUUAAAUUUUGUUCCGCAAUUAAUUUUUAAGUUCAGGAAAUAUAUGCUUAUAGACAGACUCAAAAUUACAAACCUUUUAGGGCACAUUGAGGACCAAAGACUGCUACUAUUCACCAUCCAAUGCACUUUUUGUUGGAAACCAAUGACAUGUUCAUUCGAUCGUCUUGACCAAGGACUCGCUCCUUUGACUAUCUAAUGCACUUUGUGUUUGGGACCAAGGACUGGUUGAUUCGAUUGUCCAAGGCACUUUGUGCUUGGGACCAAAAACUGGCUCCUUCGACUCUCCAAGACACUUUGUAAUAAGGACCAAUGACCUGUUUCUUCGACCGUCCAAGGUACUUUGUGUUUGGAACCAAGGACUGGCUCCUUCGACUAUCCAAUGCACUUGUGUUAAGGACCAAGGACAUGUUCCUUCGAUCGCCCAAACACUUCGUGUUUGAAGCCAAGGACUGGUUUCUUCAACUGUCCAAGACACUUUGUAGUAAGGACUAAUAACCUAUUUCUUCGAUGGUCCAAGGCACUUUGUGUUUGGAACCAAAGACUGGCUCCUUCGACUGUCCAAUGCACUUGUGUUAAGGACCAAGGACAUGUUCCUUCGACCGUUCAAACACUUUGUGUUUGAAGCUAAGGACUGGUUUCUUCAACUGUCCAAGACACUUUGUGUUAAGGACCAAGGAUUAGCUCAUUCGACUGUUCAAGACACUUUGUGUUGAGGCCAUUUACAUAUUUGGGAGGCUCGUAAUUUUAGACUAUAAACAAAUUUAAAAGAUCUACUCCUCCUUUUUAUUGCUAAUUUUUCAGGCAUGGUUGUAACAAGUUCUAAUGAUAAAGUAUACUUUGUUAUACAUGAAAUUUUUUAUCUUAAAAAUCUAGGCAAAAGUUAUCUACAUUACAAAGAUACUGAUGUGAAGUACCACGCCAGACUAGUCUACAAGGUGGACUUAAAUUUAGCAUCCAUAAGUCAACGAUAGAUCCUUCUCCCAACCUUCUAGAGCCAUUGUCAGAGUUGUAUAUGCCCACCAUUAGUGAAUAUCACGAGAGUUUGGAUACUGGCAAAUCCAACAACUCUAGCAAUCAUCUUUCCUUUCUGUAUCCUUUGCCUCAUCAUUUUCGAAGUAUGGAGUGCAUCCGAAAGGCCGUAAUUUGUGAGAGGAUUGACAAUAAAGAAAUACGAUGGGGAAGCACACUGACCAGUCGAGGAGAGAUUUUUUUUUCCAAAAUUUUAGGAGUGGUCUUUAUGAGUCCAAAAACUUCUACUAAAGAAGAAUCUCGCGAGUUAGCUUCCGCAGUCAAUUCUGCUACAAAAGAUUACCAUCGCCCAAACUCUAUCUAUAGAGCUCUUUGCGAGGUUUGGUGUCCAGAGACCAACACUUUUGUGAUUGCCAAUGUUGAAAUUGGCAUUUCUCCUUGGGACAUCGGCGAGAUAAGUGGGCUACCAUAGGUCAUUACUAUGAGGAUGUAGUCCCAAGCGUUUCAGAGUUGACGGGUCAUUUUUCCAAGUCUUAUCUGUACCUCUUUAAUGUUUUCGUAUUGGUCGCCAAUGCGAAUGAAUCUGAUUGGUUACUCAUGAAAAUUGGAUUGAUUUUUCAUUUCGCGAGAAUUGUUAUGUCCAUAAUCCUCGACAACACAAAAAUUAUAAGAAUGCUAUGAAUUUAAAUCCAUUCAAGAGGCGUCAUGACAGAGCAUCGAAGGAAAAAUGGAGGCCCGUGGUGGUAGUUAAACCGAGAGAUAUUUCUUGUAGGGAUCUACGUCAUUGGAGUAAUUUGCUAGUAUUUUUGCCUCUUGAAGAAGAGGAAUUAGAGUAUCACUUUAUCUCUCCCUGUGGGUUUGUCGCUUCGUUCUUCUAUCUAGAAACGAAUGUAUAAGAGUUGGGAAUUUUAAAGCAUCUUCUAGGAUGGAAGGUGAGUACAUUUAUAGCCUGGUUCCAUUAUAUUAGCGAGCAUUUAUAGAGGAAUUACACGAACAUCUAAUCAUUAGACAAACUCAUACCUUGGCUCGAUUUCAUAUUCAUUUCUUGGACAUUUUCUUUAUGCUUGGGCUGCAACUUAUUUUCUCCAAGGUGUUUAUACCAUAUGGACAAAAGUUAUUCACGUCUACAAUCCGAAGAUAUGCUAGCACUCUAAAUGCUAUUCAAUCUUAGGAGAAAAAUGUUGUUGAUUGUUGAGACAUUAUUCGUAGAACGAUGGAUGCCAAUGACUUUUGUUGGAAUCCAUUACCCUCAUCGUCUCAUCCUAAUGUGCGUGUGGAUGACCAAUCAAGGUCUGCAGAUACUUCAGAAUUCAUGAUGAGUAUUCGAUUUGGAUUUUUUUCUUAUCGCCGAGGAAAUUCACCAAGAAAGUUGGACAUUCCUCCAAUGGCGACAUGUAUCUCGUUUGGUUGUCUUUGACUCGGAUGAAAAGUGGGCUUGUAUUUCACAUUCCAGAGUACGUGAGGGAUACUCAUCAAAAUGUUGAUGUUGAGUACUAUGCUUGGUAGAAUAGCCUAGAGUUGCCAAUCUUGAUCAAGAUCCAAGUACAGGUCUUAUCUUCUAGCAGAGGAAUAAAAUAAAAGUGAAGAAAAUAUGUGGAAAGAUUAGCAGGGGAAUUGAAUUGAUUAAAGUAAAGAAAUUGAAGAGAGGUUCGCAGAGGAAUUAAUAUUUUAUUAAAGACGAUAUGUGGAGAAAAUACAAGAAUUCAGCAAUUAAACUUCACCUAAACUAAAUGAAAAGCUACAUGUUUAUACGGAUACACCAAACCCUAGAAAUAUCAUAGAGAUAGAAAUAACAUAAAAAAUAAUGUGGAAUAAAGUAAAUAAUAUUUUUCCAACAAAAUCACGUGAAAAAUAAGGAAUCUAUAUUUCCAAUAAAAUCACGUGAAAAUAAGGAAACAAUAUUUUUCAAAAAAUCGAGCCUAAUUUGGGGUGCAAAAUCUAAUAAUAUAAAGAAUAAUGACAAUGUCCUUAAUUUUAAGAAGUUUACAAUUUUAUUUUAUUUUAUUUUUUUGCACGGAUGCCACUUUUUUUUUUUUUUUUUUUUUUUUUCCUUUUCCACGGAAAGUUAAUUCAUUAAUGAAAUUAAAACUUAAAAAAUAUGAUAUUUGGUAGUUUUCUUGGUUAUGGUUGGUACUCCUCCAGCCAGCCUUACACAGAAAACAUAAAAUUCUCAAUAAAAUCAUUUUCAAUUUAGUUUGACCUAUCCCACUUGAUAAAAAAGUUGUUUAGCUUAUUUCACUGCAAGUCAUUUUCUAGCAAGUUGGUGCUUAAUUUUAACUUUUUAUCCAAACAUGUUUAUUCUCACAAUCUAACUUAUUCAUUGGACAAGAUAUACGGUAGAUGACUUUACCCAAGUAGUUUCAAUCUUGCUGAUUGCUACUUGUGCUUUUAAUCACACUCAUGCUAAACGCUGACUCAUAAGCAACAAGUGCUUGCCAUGCUCGUAUCCAUGUGCUAUAGGGAUAUAUCAGGGUAAAGUCAAAUGUUUACUUAGUGAUCUGCCGUAUAUCAAGUCCAAUGAACAAGUUAGAUUGUAAGAAUAUACGUAUUUGGUUAAAAAAUUAAAAUUAAUUAUCGACUUACAAGUAAACUACUUGCAAUGAAAUAAGCUAAACAACUUUUAAUUAAGUGAGAUAGACCAAACCAAAUUGAACAGGUUUUAAUUGAAAUUUUUAAAAUUUCUAUGUGUAAGUCUGGCCGGUGGAAAGCCAACCAUUUUAGUCCAGUUAUGUUUUCUCUAAAGUAUGUGGCUUGCUUCAAAAGAAAAAAUAAAAGUGCCAUUCGUUAAAAAAAAAAAGAAAAAAGAAAAAAAGAAAAAGAAAAACUGCAAGUUUCUUCAAAGGGUAAUUGGUGCAAAACGUCCAUACCUUUCAAGAUUAUUGUGGAAAACGUCCAUAACUUUUAUUUUUUGGCAUUUUGUCUAUAAUUUCAACCUUCCGUUGCGCUGAAGAUCCUUUUCAUUGUUUUGGAAUGUAAAAUGACAAUUAUACCUUCUUAUUUAAAACAAAAAAAAAAUAAAAAAAGAGGAAAAUUUAGAAUAAGUUGCAACCCUACCCCUAAACUUUUAAAAAAGUGCAAAUGAGUCCCCAAUACUUAAAAUAUUGAAAAUAACAAAAAAAAAAACACUUUCUCUUCUCUUCCUCCUCGGUCCCCUGCCUCCUUUCAAGCCAAAAAAUUCCGGCCAACCACUGGAUCUCCAUACCAUCGGAAAGCCCUCACUCCCCUCUACACAUACUACCCAAUAGUCUUCCAUUAAUUUCAUUCUAAUGGCACAAAUUUUCCUUCGCGCUGGUUAGGUUUCAUUUCUCAGUUUCUGAAUGAAUAACCAUGUCCAGCGACAAUAGGGAAGACGCAUAUGCUCAUUGGAUGCUCCAUGAGGUGUAGGUACCUCAGGUGGUGGUUCGUGAUCAUGGGUCCCACCACCAGCAUAAAAAAAAUCGCCUGAAAAUUGCACAGCGACUGUGUUCGAAGCUCACCCGACUGGGUUUGAUUGUGUGCAUUAAAGGAUGUUUGAGGACCAUGGACAGGGACGUUUUAUUGUAUAGAAUCGAUCUGGAGGUUGUGUAGGGCAUGGGUGUCGUCGGAAAGAUUCCAGCCAUUGUUUGUUGCGUGAGUAACCUGUUUUGGCUUGAAUUUUCAGGCAAAUUAAUUGGAGUUAUGGCCGGAUCUUGGGUGGGUUGCGAAGAGGGAAGUGAGGGCUGUAAGAUGGGAUAUUAGUCCGGCAAAAAUGGUGGUUGUGUAGGGCAUGGGUAUCAUCGGAAUUGAAGAUUCCAACCACUGUUUGUUGCGUGGGUAACCUAUUUUGGCUUGAAUUUUUGGCCAAAUUGAUUGGAGUUAUGGCUGGAUCUUGGGUAGGUUACGAAGAGUGAAGUGUGGGCUUCAAGAUGGUAUAUUGGACUUGUGCCCAAGAUGGCCAGAGGGUGGAGUUUUGGUGGUCCAUAAGUGGUGGUUCUAAAAUUUUAGUUGUGAUGGAUUAAGGGAGUAUUGGAGACUCAAUUGCACUUUUUUAAAAAUUUAGGGAUAGGGUUGCAAUUUGUUCUAAAUUUCUCUCUCUCUCUCUCUCUCUCUCUCUCUCUCUCUCUCUUUUGGUUUUUUUGUUUUAAAUAAGAGGGUAUAAUUGCCAUUUUACGUUCCAAAACAGUGAAAAGAACUUUCAGCGCAACGAAAGGUUGAAAUAAGGGCAAAAAAGCCAAAAAAAAUGAAAGGUAUGGACAUUUUUCACAAUAAUCUCGAAAGAUAGUCAAUUACCCUUUCUUAAAAGUAAGGACACUGUCAUCAUUGUUUCUAUGUUAAUAAAAGACUCUAAAUCCAAAGUCCUAUAUCUCGUUCACUAAUAAAAAAUAAUAAUUAUUAUACCAGAUCUCUAAGAUGUAAACACAAUUAUCAUCGAAAUUUUGGGACCUUUAUGUAUUAAUUUCUUUUGUACAAUUCCUAUGGGAAAAUGAUAACUGCACAAUAUACAAUAUGAGGUCUAUAUGAUAUAAAAAAUGCACCUUUAUUCCAAAUCAAAAAGGACAACUAAGGAAAUGCUUCUGUUUGACAAUUAGAAACAAAGAGCCUAUUGACCUACAGAAUAGCACAAUUGUUUCCUGUUUUAUCAGAGUUAUAAAAAUUACAUGUUUUUAUGAAUUGAUAGUAAGAUAGUGACAAUAAUAAAAUAAGCAAGACCAAAAUAAGAACACUAACUUUAUGUGGAAACCCAAGUAGGAAAAAACCAUAGGUAGAGGAGGAAAAAUCUACUAUAAUCAAUGGUAGUUGUGUUUACAACAAGAUCUCAAUGCUCUCAACUAAGAUCUAAAACUCUCAAGAUAUCGCAUGAAUGUUAUGAGAAUAAUACGAACCAUAACUUUAUUUAUAUAUAUAUAUAUAUAUAUAGAAACACAUCAAAACGCAAAAUGAGCCUGGGCUGGAUAACCCUAUCGCUUGAGCAACAGGUGAGCGAUAACCCCACCGCUCGAGAGCUAGGUAGGAAAUCUCUAUAGAAAAUAUAUAGGUGCCACUCAAGCAGGCAACUAACGGAAGGUAGCAAAAAUGCAGCGACUUUUCUUCCCAGUCUAUAAUUUUGAUUUCUUCAAGAUCACUUCAAUUAGGGCUCCAAUACCACUAGAAUUUGGGUCACAUUACUACAAAUCUACAUGCACACCUUGAACAAAAUUCAAAAAACACAUUUUCAAAGUGAACAACACUCUUCCUUUUCCAAACAAGCCCUAAUGGGCUAGAUCAAUAAUAAACACCAACUAAGUUUAAGCAUUGCUCAACUUAACACUGAGAAGUGGUUUUGUCAUAAUAUCAGGAGGAUUAUCCUUGGUAUCAACCUUGCUCACUACAAUAUCACCUAGAGCAAUCACUUUACGCAAAAAAUGAGACCUCACAUCAAUAUGUUUAUUCCUCUUGAAACAUCUGAUCCUUAGUUAGAAAAAACACUCUGACUAUCACAAUACACUGUAAAAAUCUGCAAGUCUUCAUUGAUUUCACCAAUCAAUCCUCUUAACUACAUAGCCUCCUUAUAUGCCUCUGUAAUGACCACAUACCGGCCUCUAUUUUAAACAAAACUAUUGUAUUCUACAAAAUAGCUUUUCAACUGAUAACACAAUAUCCAAUGGUGAACACAUACCCUGUAAGUGAUCUCAUCUUAUCAAGAUUCCCUACAUAAUUUAAGGGCCUGUUUGGGAGCGAUUUUUUCACCCAAAAAGUUGAUUUUUUGACCGUUAUUUCACUAUUUCAUCCAUCAUAUUUGACUUCUUCUCUCACAGGUGGACCCCACUUUUAUCCUAACGGUCAAAAAAUCAAUUCUCAAAAUCACUCCCAAACAGGCUUUAAAUCAACAUAUCCAAUGACUCCAUCUACAUAUCUACCAAAAUGCACGCAAACAUUAGUAGAGACGUUUAGGUAUUUGAAUAUCCAUUGCAUUGUUUUCAAAUGUUCCUUGUUAGAAUUUUCCAUGUACCUACUAAUUGCAUUGAUUGCAUGUGCCAAUUUUGGUUUUGUACAAAUAAUAGUAUACAUAAGUGAACCAACUACUCUGGAAUAAGUAACUUGAGACAUAUAUCGAUGUUUUUAUCUAAUUGAGGACACAAUGCAGAUAAUAAUUUAAAGCGGACAGUUAACGGAAUACUAAUAGCCUUAACAUUCAGCAUAUUGAACAUUUGAAGCAUUUUUUUAAUGUAUCAUUUCUGACUCAAAUAUAAUCUGUUAGCCUUUUUAACCCUCAAAAUUUUCAUGCCAAGAAUUUUCUUUGUUGCACCUAAAUCUUUCAUCUCAAACUGCUUACUAAGUUGAACUUUCACCUUUCUGACCUCUACUUUGUCUUUGGCUGUAAUGAGCAUGUCAUCAACAUAUAAUAGCAAAUAUGUGAUGAUCUACCAUCUUCCUUUCUAAAGUACACACAACUAUCAUAAUUACUAUUAAUAAAACUAUGAGAAUUCAUGAAUGAACCGAACCUUUUAUACCACUACCUUGGUGACUGCUUUAAUCCAUACAAAAACUUUUUCAAUAAGCAUACAUUGUCUUCCUUUCCAGAAACUAUAAAACUCUCUAGUUGUUAAAUGUAAAUGUUCUCCUCAAAUUCUCCAUGCAAGAAUGCUGUCUUGACAUUUUUUUCUACUCAAACUCCAAAACAUUCUUGGCCACUAUACAAAGUAAAGUCCGAAUUGAGCUUUGUUUUACAAUCGAUAAAAACACAUCUGUCAAAUCAACAUUUGAAAUCUGACUAUAACGCUUUGCUACCUAUCUGGCCUUAUACUUAGUAUCUUCAAUCCCUAAUGUCCCUUCCUUUUUUUGAACACCCACUUGCGGUGAACAAAUCUUUUUUCUAUAGGUAGUUUCACCAAGUCUUAAGUAUUGUUUUUAUUCAAUGAUUCUAUCUCCUCCUAUAUACCAAUCAACAAUUCGCUAGAAUUACUGCAACUGACUACUUUGAAUAUGUAAAAGGUUUCUCAUUAGAGUCAAUAUCUUCAGCCACAUUCAAUGCAUAAGCUACCAAAUCUACCUCUCCAUACCUUAAUGGAGGUCUAAUCUAUCUGCGAGAUCUAUCCUUAACAAUUGAAUACUAUGGUGUUAACAUUGAUGUAGGCAAAGUAUGUAACAUAUUACUAUCUGUCAAUUAUGGACUAAAUUGCUUUGUAGUAGAUUGUUUUGAAACAUCUGAUUGUUCCUAUGGACCAAUUUCCAACCCCAUUUGAGUUGAAUGAUUCUAUUCAUCUGUUUUAUUAGAAUCCCCACGAGGUGGACCAUGAAACGUAGUAAGUUUAUCAAAUGCUACAUCUGUAUUAAUUACCACCUUUCUUGUUUCAAGACACAACAAUUUAUACCCCUUCAUACCUAAUUUAUACCCAAAAAUGAUAUACUUUCUAGAUCUAGGCUCCAACUUCCCAUUAUCCACAUGAACAUAAGGAAAAUACCCAAAAAUGUUCAAAUCAGAAUAACAAGAAUGUUUACCGGACCAUCUUUUUCAAUGACAGUUGAGGAUGAGCGAAUAAUAAGAAAACAAGUUGUGGCAGUAGCAUCAGCCCAAAAAGUCUUAAGCAACCAUCAGAAUUUGAAAGCAUACAACAAACAUUUUUCCAUCAAAGUUCUACUCAUCUAGUCUACUACACCAUUCUAUUGAGUUCAUCUGAACAAAACUCCAACCUAUUAUCUGUGAGUAAAUGUUUAACCUACAUUCCAGUCUGCUUUUCUAUCAUUAUUUUCCACUCUUUGAAUUUUCCCAAAUAUAUUACUCUUCUGUUUCAAGAAGAGUACACAAACUUUCUCGGAGAAAUCAUUAAUCACUGUCAACAGAUAAUAAGUACCUCUUCUUGAAGGCACCAUAGCCGGUCCCCAAAGAUUUGAAUGGAUAUAUUCAAGUAUUCCCUUCGUGUUGUGUCUUCCUAUAGUGAAUCUGAUUCUUCUCUAUUUACCAAAGACACAAAACUUAUAAAAUUUCAUCUUACCGGUCUUUUACCCAUCAUGAAGUCCCCUCCUACUCAAUUAUGCCAUACCAUUCUUACUUAUAUACCUAAGUCAUAUAUGCCAAAAUUUAUCAAUUUCCUCAUCAGUCAAAGAAAAAGUAAAAAUUGUUAUAUUUCCUGUAAUUGUAAAACCCUACAAAAUGUACAACCAUGUAGAGUUUUUUUAUCCUUUUAUGAUAGUAAGAGAACCUUGACAUACUUUCAAAAGUCUACAUUCACCAGUGUAUUUAUGACAUUUUGAGUCAAGUGAAUUCAAAGAUAUGAGAUUUCCUUCAGUUCUGGAACGUGCUUGAUUUCUGUAAAUAUUCUGAUAGCACCAACAAAUAUUCUAAUUUUGACUAUAUAAAUUCUAUCAAUUUGGCAAGGCAAGUUGCUUUCCAUAAUCACUAUAUCUCUCGGAACUCUUUUAGAUAUAGUAAACCAAUUCUAUUGGGACACAUAUAGAAAGUAGAUAUCGAGUCAAGAACCCAUUCCUCACAAAGUUGUAAAUCUAUUCAAAAAUCACAAGAUGUCCUCCUUUAUUUUGCCCAUUUUCCACAACAUCAGCCUUAGCAGUGUUAACAGGUUGUUUUCCCUUUUUAGUAGCACCAGCAUCAUUAUUUCUGUUUUCAACGAAUAACAAUCAACUUUGAUAUGUCCAUUCUUCUUACAGUAAUGACAUACUUUCUUUGGAUGUCUAAAUUUCGAUCUGCCCCUCAUAUUUUUACUAAGAUUCCUAUCUUGAUUAUUCACAAUAACAAUCAGGCCUUCAACCUAACUCCCAAAUCCUCUAGAAAGAUGUCUCUUCUUCUCUAUAGAUAGUAAAGUAUCAUAGACCUCUUCCACAGUAAGAGUAUCCCAACUAUAGAGAAUAGUUCCUCUAAACAUCACAUAUAAUGGUGACAACGAGCACAACAACAUCAAAGCCAAGUCCUUCUCAUCAUACUUAACCUCUAAUGUCUCCAAUUGGACACAAUUUCUUGGAACAUAAAUAAGUGAUCAUCCAAUGAUGCUUAUUCGGACAUCUGGUGAGAAUACAAAUGUUGUUUUAAGUGUAACUUGCUGAUUAAGCUCUUUGUCAUACAAAGUUGCUCCAACUUCAACCAUAACAUAGCGGCACUUUCUCUAUUCGAACAUUUGGAGGGAUUUGAUUUUAUAGAUGUAGCUGAAUUUUGGAUUGGGCUUUCUGAUCCCUACAUCGUUGUUCAUCCUGCAUCCAGGUUGAAUGCAUUUUAUCAAAGCCAAGCAAGAAUUUCUCCAAAUCUAUUUGUGCGAGAACUCAUCUCAUCUUUACUUGUCGUAAAGUAAAUUUCGUGUUCUAAUCCAAUAACAAAAUAUCAUAUUUCAUCAUUGCCAUGCGAACUAAUCAACCUUGCUCUGAUACCAUUUGUUAUGAAUUGAUUGCAAGAUAAUAACAAUUAUGAAAUAAGCAAGAAUAAAAUUAGAACACCAACAUUUAUGUAGAAACUCAAGAUGUGGAAAAAUCACAGGCAGAUGAGAAGAAAUCUACUAUAAUCAAUAGUAAUUAUGUUUACAACAAGAUCUCAAUACUCUCAACUAAGAUUUACAGCUCUCAAUAUGUGUAUAAAUGUUAUGGGAAAAAUAUGAGUCGUAACUUAUAUAUAUGAAAUCCUAGAAGUCAAGUUAUAGAUGAGAAUAGAAGUCCAAAAAUGCAUCAAAAUGAGAAAUGAACCUAGGCCGGAUAACCCUAUCGCUCCAGUGACAGGCGGGCGGUAGCCCUGCCACUCAAGCUUCAAGUGAGCAACAAGUCUCUGUAGAAAAUAUGUAGGUACCGUUUGAUAAGUAAGCUAGUAAAAAUGCAGUGACUUUUCUUCACAGUCCAUAAUUUUGAUCUCUUCAAAACCACUUCAACUAAGAUUCCAAUACCUACUAGAAUUUAACUCAUGUGUUGUCCGAGACAAAAACCGAUCGACAUCUUAAGGUCAAUGAGAAGGAAAAUAAAAAAGAACAUAGGAAGAAGAGAUGAAAUUGCAAGUGGAUUUACGGUUUGAAACAAGCAAUGUUUUAUAUUCUCAUUUUUAAUCUUGGGUCCAGGCCUAAAUUGAUUUUUGGCUAGGUAAACUUAUUUGGGCAGGGUAUAUUAAAAAUAGGUCAGAGGCUUUUAGGAUUUUUUUUUUUCAAUUAGACUGAAUUGGGAAAUCUAUUUAUUGUUUAAGUUAGUAAAUUUUCUAAUUUUUUCAAUCUAUAAAUUAUAGAAAAUAGGUCUGGUUCAAGAGUUCCAGAUCCAAUUAAAUUUUCUAUUGUUCCGAUUAAAUUAUCUACCUCUAAUUACUAUGGAAAUUGUUACAAAAGGCUAGAGGCUAUUGUUGCUACUCGAAUUUCAAUAAUAACUAAGUCCCUACAACUUACUCAUAGCCCAAUAAAGAUCAACCAAUACCACCAAGGGGAUCAUUGUUGUGCAAUUAAUUCUUUUCGGUAAAAAUCACAAUGUCUCUACAAGAUCUUAUGGGUUUGUUGCACAAAUUUUAUUAAAAUUAUUUUUCUCUGAAAACCAUUUUCAACCACAUAUUCGGUGAUAUUCACAAUUUCUUUUUUCACUUUUCGACCACACAUUUUCAUUUAGAAAAUUCAUGUCAAAUUUAGAAAUAAUUCUCAGUGACGGGAAAAUCCAACUGCAACCACAUAUAAUAUAGACAAUUCUACAAUUUUUAGAUAAAAUUGAAGAAACUAAAUACAAGCCUUUUAGCAAUUUUGAAUUAUGCUAGACAUUUUAGUAAACAUUUAGGAGAGGAAGUAGAAUCACUGUAUAGUAGAUUGUCUAGCAAAGGACAAAGAUAUUUUAAUCAAUCAAAUGUAGAGCUAGUUAAAAAGAUAACAGAGGAAGUUAGAAAUUUACUGCCAUUAGAAUUACUUUUUGAUAAUAAAUAUAAAAUAAUAGAAACAGAUAGAUGUGAAUUAGGAUUGGGAGGAAUUUUAUAUUCCAAACCAAAUAAAUAUAGCGAUAAAAAAGAAGAAAAGAUUUAUAGAUAUGCCAAUGGAAAAUAUAAAAUAAAAGGAAAACACUUCACUAGUUUAGAUAAUGAAAUAAUGACCACCAUCUAUAGUAUAGAAAGCUUUAAUUAUUCUUAAAUACUGAAUUUAAAAUUAGGACGGAUUGUGAAGUUAUAGUAACAUUUAUUAAAAAGACAAAUUUUGAUAAAAUAAGACAUAAAAGAUGAUUAAAAUUAUAUGAGAUAUUGAAUAGCUAUAAAAUCAAUAUUAAACGCAUAUACAGGAAAAAUUAUAUAUUGAUAGAUAAUUUAAGUAGACAAGUUAUUAAUUUACUAACCCAUUAUUUUCAUGGUGCAAAAGGACCAGAUGAUGAUGAACUUUGAGGAUGUCACUCUAAGAGAGACCCCACAAGGAUCUGAUAUCUAAUUCAAAGGAAAUAAUUUAGAAAGACUUCCAAAAAGGGAGCGUUGUCUACUAGAUAAUCUUUGGAUGACACAUAACUCUAAGCAAAAAUUAGAUUGCAAUAAUGCCCUAACUAAUUAUUUUAGAUAGCUUCAUAAUCAAGUAAAAAGAAAAAAAAUUUAGUUUCAUUGCAGUAAUUAAGGAUAAAAAUCUAGGCAUAAAUAAUUAUUGGCCAAAAGUAUUUCAAUAAGUAGAAAGAUUUCCAAAACCCUUUUUCAAAGGAUUUUACAAAUUAGAAGAAGUUUUAAAUUUCUGUAGAAAAAUGAUAGGAUUUAAUUUUUAUAAAUUUGUAAGAGUUAGACAGGGUAUGACCAUACAAAACGUUACUUCCCAACCAUCAUCUUCAUCUUUAUCAAUGCAACUUUUUGAUAUUUGUGAAACUAUGACCAAGGUGGUUAAAAUUUUGAAUCCUAGAAAGCAUUCAUUAGAAAAAAAAUGCUACAAAUCCUUCAAGAUGAAGUCUCUUCAUCUCAACGGGCCAUUUGUAAAUAUCAAAACAAAAUUUUUUACCGACAAAAUAGCUUAAAAAGACUAAGUUCUAAGAAUAUUUAUGAAAGACCCAUUUCCAAAGAUAUUGCUUCUAUAAGUAGAAAUUACUCUUAUAAAAUAGAAAAACUUAUUGAAUUAACUGACUCUACAACAGAAGGGACAAGAAAAGACUUUAUAUGAGUUAUAACAGAAAAUUGACAUUGUGCCAACAUUGUUCGAGAUUAUAUAAAGAAAUCAAUCGUACGUAAGAUAAUUGAUUUUUCUUAAUUCUGAGCUACUAUCACAACGAAAAUCGAUAUUUUCUUAAACAUGGCCCCAAAUAUGAUUCAUCUACUAAAAAUUCAACUUUUUUUAGACACAAUUAUGCUACAAUUUCCUUUGACUAUGCAAUCUUUGAAGAUGACGACUUUUUUUAUCGAGCCUUAUGGUUUGGCAUGACAGACACUAUAUAGUUUUAAAUAUAUCUUUCGUAUUUUUUCCACCUAGACUUAAACAGAUUCUUGAUCAGCUAAAAAAUCACCCUUUGAUGAUCCAAUUCAUUUCCAGACCACCUCUUGUAAAUAAUGGUAUAGUAAUUACAGUUUAUCAUUAUAUUUUAAUAUACGAAUGAGCUAAAAGAUUUAGACAUUAUUCGAAGACAAAUACUAAAGUAAAAAUUAGACAAAUUGAUUAUAAAAGACAAAUCUUAGAAAUCAUGACGAUGAUAGAAGUUCAAAAUAAUAAUUCAAGAGCUAAUUGUAGCUCCAGAGCAAAAUAAUGAAUAUAAAAAGCAUUCGGAUUCUCUUUCAAAAGAAGUGCAUUGAGAGCAUUGUACUCACCUCAUAUAUUACUUGCCCUAUCAUAACCUUGACCUCUAAACUAAAUAUACUUAAGUUAAAUCUAGAGAAUAAGUGAUUAAUAGAAUCCUUAAGUGAGAGAGAGAUGUGGUACUAUAGAUAGUUAAACUCAAAUAAAACGUUCCAUUAUUUGUCCUUUCUGAUUCACAUAACGUAGAACAAUUGACAUUUGCUCCUUCAUUGAUACAUUAUGAGAUUCAUCAACAAGAAUGAAAAAUAACCCAUUACCAAUAUCCUUCACAAUAAAAUUAAGUGUUUCAAAUGCAAUAGCAUUUACAAUAUCUUUUUGAAUUUUAGGUGAUAUUAACUGAAGAUUUUCGUGAGCAUUCCUCAAAGAGACAUCCUUAAUAUCAUUAUUAUAAUCACAUAACCACUGUAAUAGUUCAAGAAAAUUUCUUUGAUUUCUUGAAUCUCCAAAUUUGUUAUGUCCACGAAAUGAAAGCCCUUGUCAUAGAAACAAUCGGACACAGCCAUUUGACGCAUUCAAAAGAAUUUGAUACUCAUCUUUUGUUCAUUUUGACUUCUUAAAGAGAACACAAUCAAUAUUUUGUUCCUAAUUCACAAAGGCCUCAUACUUAAUCCGCGCUCGGUUAUGUGCACUACAAUUUUCCCAACAGCAGUUUGAAGCCUUCCUUUCUUUUUCUAGUUGGAGAAUCCUCCAUCAACAAAAGAAUCACACCCACCAUGUUCUUCACUAUUUGGGUUGAAAAGAUAACAAUAAAAGAAAAAAUAUGACAUCUUUUGCUAUAAUGUAUUCCAACCAAUCAGGACAGUUAUUAAACCAAGAAGUUUUUAAUCACCGUAACAACAAAUCUCCAAAUUCUUUCCAUGGACACAAGUGAUUCCAAGCUAACAUGGACCCCUUUGUACGUAUACUCUUCAAAUUUCAUCCUAAACACUAACAUUAUAAUUCCCAAUUUGAGUUCUUAAUCUAAGAUCCGAAGGCAAAUGUGCUAAAUAAAUUUUAUCUCGAACAUUUCUUUGACUCCUAGUCUCUGAUUCUUCUGAACAUCUUUUUUUUUUUUUUUUGAACACUCGUUUCGACAAUAAUUUGGUCUCCGCUUGAACAUACGGAUUUUUGUUUAAAAUAUUUCUCCAUGACUGUUAAAAAAAAAUCAAUACAUAGAUAAAUAAAUAUCAUAUUUCAUUUUUCAUCAAAACAUAACAUUAAAUUCAUAAUAAAGAGCAAUUAAUUUCAUAAACAAUUUUAAAUCACCAAGUUAGAGAAAGCCAAUACUUACUUGGAAUUGGAAUUGAGAUUUGUAAUGCCCUGAACUCUUUUUCAUUAUUAUUGUUAUUUUUAAAUAAAAAUGAAAAAGAGUUCGGGGCGUUACAGAAUGGUAUCAGAGCACGACUUUAGCCGAUUCUAUAGACUUGUCAUUUAUUUAGAAAAAAUAGCAUAUAUUUUUUUUAAUCUUGUUAUGUGCUUUAUGUGUAUAACUUUUUUUUUUCCUUAGAAUGAUAAUUUAUUUUAUUUUGAAGACAUAGUGGUCUGUGUGUUAAAAAAAAUGAUGCUGCCAUUUUUUUUUCGAACCAAUAGUUAGUAAAUUUUCGAAAAAGACGAGGAAAACUUUUGUUGAUUUUUUUCUGUGUCAACGAAGCCAAGGUUUCUGCAGUUGGAUUCUAAAUAAUUUUCCUUUCCUUGCUCAAUAUUUUGGCUAUUGGUUUGGUCAAUUGGUCUAGAGUUUUUAUGCUAUUCUGCCGUCGAUAUAAAAUCCGAUAAUAAGACCAACGAAGAUAAAAGAUUCUGCAGCAUUAUUGAGCUAUUUACCAAAUUUACAUGCACUAAUUAAUUAAUGGUUUGUGUUUAACCAAUGUGGCAGUGAUUUAUAUGUUAAAGUCAUCAUUCAUUCAAUUUCUAUCCUGUCAUUUGCGUUUAUCAUUAGUAAAGUAUGCCUAGAUCCAUGGAAGCAUGCCUCUGUUGCAAACUUAAAGUAGUUAAUAUGACAGCCAUUCACGUUUAAAUGAAGUAAACUGAAAAUAUGCCAGGACAUCGAAAGACUUUUAUAUUGAGUAAAUUCUUGCUAAAAAAAAUGAUGGUAUUAGCAUGAACACCGUUGCACUUUGUUACAAGCAUGGAUUACGGUUUCAUAGUUUUAAAGGAAAUGAUUAUUAAUAUUUUAUUAGUUACCUGCCAAUAAGUGUCUACUUGCUAUUUUAUUAUAUUUUAUACAUCAUGAGAUUUUUAUUAAACAAGUAUUGAAGUAAGAUCCAGGCUCGUGGCAUUAGCGCUCGUCAAUCUACUACCGUCCGAUGAAUCCAAGGUAUGAACGAAAUGUUAUGUUUAAGCUUAAUUUCAAGCAUGAUUUAUUAAUCAUUUAAGCUUGAUACGAUGAAAUGCUUAUAAUGUUAGAAAGAAAUGUAUUACGCAAGUUAUUAUUUUUGUACAUAAAGAUACGAUGGUUAGUCAUUUUAUUUAAAAUUACAAGAGCAGAAUGCAUAAGUUGAUUUAUAAAGAUAGAGCAUAAUUGAAUGUUUAUGUGAUAUACAUGGAUAGAACUUAUCAAGACACUAGAAAGAAGAGAAAUAGAAGUCACGUAUCGAGAGCUUUUGGAUUAAAUAAGAUAAUUUCGAGGACGAAAUUAAUUUAAGGGAGAAGGGAUGUAACACCCCUCAUUUUUUUACUAUGUGAACCUGAACUUAUUAUUUAGCAAAUGAAAAUGUGAAGAUUUGUCAUUACAUUAGAAGUCCAAAGUUGAAGUGGUAGACUUGACUCACGUAUUCGUAUAAAUAAUUUAUUUGCUUACGAGUUAUGAGCACUUUUAGAAAAUUAUUUGAAUAAAAUAUUUAAGUAUUUUUAAAGUUGAUGAAAAUAUACUGAUAUUAUACUCAUUUUGUAGCUCGUGUUAAACAAUAUAAUUUGAGCUUCAGAAAAAAUAAUUUCGAGAUAGUUAUGCCCAAGUUAUUCUAAUAGAAAGAAAAUUAUCAUUCUCAAAUAUUAUAUUAAUACAUUUAUAAUAUAAAAUAAUAACCAAAUGAAUAGUUUCAUUGUAUGGUUACGUAAUGUCAUCCACUCUAAUUGAUUUAGAAAUUUAUAAUACAUUCCAUAACCAUGACAUUAACUCUAAUUAAACGUGGAGGUGUCCUUUCAAAUUUAUAACCGUAACCAUCCCGUUCACUUUAAUUGAUUUUCAAUUAAAUCAUAGUUGUUUAAUUACAUUAAUCCUCAAUUAAUGAUCAGGUGGCUUUUCAAUUUGUAACCGUAAUCAUAAACGUCCACUUAUGGUGGUUUAACUCCAUUAUCCUUCCAUUAACUUGAAAUGCCUUUUGAUGUUAAGUAAGUUACGUGUGUGGAAUAUAUAAAUAGGUGUAUUUGAGAUGAAAAUUAUAUUCUACAACAAUAGUAUAUUGUACACUCCACACCACUAAUAUUUUUAGAAUUUAAUAGAGUAUAAUAUUUAUAUCUUUUCACAAAGUCAGUUUCAAGUAAAUUCGUGGAUAUCAAAUUGGGGUAAGAAUACAUGGUGCAAGUGGUAAAUUCUUAAUCCUUGAUAUAUAUGUAAAUUUUGGCAUGAGAUACUUUAAGGCCUUCGGGUCGAAUGCUAUGUUAAAUCCUUCGGGAUAGACCGUUAGGUCAAAGAGAAGAAGUUAAAUCCUUCGGGAUAGACCUUCAGGUCAAAGAAAAAAAAUUAAAUCCUAUGGGAUAUGGGGAUUCUUAAGAAAUUCCUAAGAAAUGUCGGUAUGUUAUGCUAUUUUUAUAUUUAUAUCAUGUGUAAAAGGAUGUGCACGUAUUCUUAUUGAGUGUUUUCAAAAUACUCACUCUUACAACAUUUUCAGAUAAGAACGGGUCAUGAGGACGCGUGGAAGAUUGACGGAGCGAUGCUAAUGUGGUCGUCAAGUAAAAUUUCUAGAAAAGACAAUCGUCAAUUUAUAUAAAGAAUAUCUUUGUGUUAAUAUUUAUGCACAAUAUUUAUUAUGUUGUUUAAUAAUUUGAAAUUGAAUAUUUUCGAUAUAUUUCCGCUUAAAUUAGAUAGAGAAAAGUUUUGGUAGCACCUUGAGCUCAUUUUUAUUUAAAAAUAACAAUAAUAAUGGAAAAGAGUUCGGGGCGUUACAAGAUUUGACUUUCGAGAAUGGUUCUAAUAUUUCCAGCUCUGUAGUUGUAGCUCUUGUAUCUUGUAUUUGUUUUGUUGAAUAAUUAUUUUUAGUCAUCCACUACAUUGAAACUAUAAUUUAAACAGUUGAUUGUUCCUAAUUUCAAAUAUUAGACUUCACAAUAUUUUAAAAUUUAAACAAUUGAUCGUUCCCAAAUUGUAAAAAAUCAGUUCCAUACUUCCAUUAUUUCAUACCAAAUCAGUGAAUAUUUUCAUCCAACAUUUUCAAUUCAUCAAUUUUAGACAUGCAAAUCCAAACCCUACAUAAAUUUUUCACUGUAGUCGAGUAGCAGUAAGCUACUAACCUAUAGGCUAUAACAGGGACUGGAGAACGGCUGGGUGGAAGGGGUUUUACUUUUAUUUGAUUUGUGUACUGUAAGUAAUAAGGAUGAUGUGUCGAUGGCGAAGAGAAAACUGGCAAAGACGAGAGCUAGAGAAGAGAGACGACUGAUGAGUCACGUUUGGCGGUACGGGAAAAUGGGAUUUGGCCAUUUGGGAAUAUUAGAACCCAUAUAAGUUGGAUUGGAUAAAUCAUUAAAUGGAUUACGGUUAUGGAUAUAUGGAAUACGGAUAUAGUGAAUGGAUUUGGGCUUGUCAGCUACUAUUGGAAAAUUGAGUCUGGCUGUCUGGUAGUUGUUAGGUUAUUAAAAAAAUCCCAAAUUUGUGGGGUCAUUUGACCCCACAUGACCCUAUGUGGGUCCAUCCCUACAAAUAAUGUCUAUUUAUCUAAAAAUAUCAUAUUUUCUAUUUCAUAAAUUGGGAAUGAUUCAUGCAAAUCAUGAUCAGCUUCAAUUUUGUUGUUGAAUAUUCGUCCUUCAUUGAUCCGAUGUUCAAUCUUCAAUCAAUUUACAAGAUUCUCAAAAUUGUAAGAGUUAAAAAAAAAAUAGAUAAAUCAUGUGUCCCGUAGGCUCACAGCUUUGAAUCUAAUUGAAAAGAUAAUUAAAUUAAAUGAUGGAGUCGUAAUCCACCUAUCUUUUUAUAGACAUGAAAUUACAAAAUACAUCAAGAACUAGUCACAAAUAAUUAGAUCACAGUUUAAAAUAAGUCAAUCAUUACAUAAUUAAAUAUUUGUAGAUAUCGCUCGGCUAGAACAUUCAAUCAAGAUUCAAAAAUAAUAAGCACGUGGACGACAAAAUUGCUUCGAUACCAGUUGUGAGAAUGCAGAAGCCAAAUUACUCAGAAAUUUAAAAAAAAUUAAAUUCAAUAAACAAGAUCGUCUAGAUGUUCACGUGUACGUUAUUCAAGAAUAAAUGAUUCGAAUCGUUUCCUAAAUUCGAUUGGUAAUUUUUGAAUUAAUUUUAAAUCACAAACUUCCAUACUUUUGGAUUACGGGCUUCCAGUUUUUAUUUGCAAGAACUCGAUGUUUCAAAUCUCCAAGUCUUUUAUGGUGUUCUCCAAAGUCAAUACUACACAAUUGGCGGGCACAUUAUUUUAAUAAAAUCAAGAGAUUAAUUCUUGGACGGGAUAAAUUGAACAAAAUAAGAACAUAAUUAUUUUCUCUUUCCAGAUUUGAAUACUUUGGAAUUAUGCAUUUUGAUUGCUGUAUUCUAUAGGAUAUCUAGGUUCCAUUAAUCUCUAUUUAUAGAGAAUAAAAUAUUUUCAAUCCUUUGUACAAUAAUAAUUCAACAUUUAAAUAUAAGUCCUAAUUAAUAUCUAAAUAGGAGUUUUAAUUAAAGUUCACAUCCAAUUAAUUUACAUUUAAUUACUUGUAUAGUCAUAGAACUUCAAUUGCAAUUAUAAUUAAGUUUUCAACUUUUACAGCAAUAGUGGAUUUGUUUCUGCCUUUUGUUGAAUCUUUUCCAUGGCUCUGCUUUUACUUGAGAGGGGGCGGGGUGUGCUCUUGGCAUAGAGAAUAUCACUUAUUCUAGUGUUCUAAUCCUUAAAAUCAGGUACAAAAUUGAUUGGUGGUAGAGUCGUGAAAACUUUUAUUUCUUCCAUAUUUUAGACCUUAGCUCGACAUUCACUAUUAAGAUGAGAUAUCAUUAUCUCUAUCUCACACUAAAGGGAAAUUAACAACAAAUAUUAAGUCCAAAAUUAUUAUAAUUAUAGUAAUUAAGACCCAAUACUUUACAGAGCUACCACCGGGAUCUGAUGGGACAUAUAUUAUCCAAGUCCAAUAAUUAGAUCCUGUCUAGUCGGCCGUAGACCACUCAUUCUAAUUAUUAUUCUUUCUUUUUUCACUAGAGGUAAAAGAUUGAACUCUUGGGAAAUAUAAGAUUAAAAAAAUCAAUAAAUCUUUAAUACUUUCCUUUAUCAAUAAAUAUAGAUUUAAUAAUUAGAUACGAACAUAAAUGACCAUUUUGCUGUUCUAAUUAUUCUCAACAACUAAGUAUCAUUUUCUUCAGUUGUUAUGUGCACAAUUCAUAGAUGUCGAAGUUUAGUUAUCACUAAGCACUGAACUAAGAUUUUAAUUUUUCAAUAGAAAAUAAUUAAGUAGUUACUCUAUCCAUUUUUCAAGGGCGAUGGUUCUCGAUAUCAAUUCAUAUUCUCUACUUCGCUCAUUUUGAACUCCCAACUUACCGAGAUAUUUGAUCAAUCAAAUUGAUCUCACCUAUUGAUAAGGCAAAGAAUCAUUAAAAUCACAAAAAGAUAUAGGUAACCUUAUCAAAGUAUCCAGUGAAAUACACAGCGAUCAAAAGAAAUUUAGUUCUCUGUACCGUUAUGCCAAAGAAUUAAACUCGACACAUGGUCCAUUAAAUAUACUUCAAGUGUACUAGUGUCACCUUUAACUAUAUCUAUGAUAAGAACAAAUUGCAAAUCCGAAUAGUGAAUUGGUCAAUAUCACAAUCUUUUAAUACAAGAUGUCAACCCUUAUACAUUGACUGUGAAUAAAUUAUUUAUGAUCAAAAUUUAAGUUGUGCUACACUGUAUUUCUCAACACAAGUAUCCAACUUAUAUUAUAUCAAGUGAUUAGAUGCACUUUAAUUCUCAUGCUCAAUAAUAAAUAAAUGCAAUAAAAAAAUAAAAUCACUUUAUUAUGAAUUAUUAUUUUAUCAUAAUAAAAUAUACUAUAUGGACACACAAUCCAACAGCUGCCUAUGUCCCACAACUUUUAACGACUUGCCAAUAUUCUUUGAACCUCAAGAAAUUCUCCAUGUGAGUGCUCCAAUGAUCAUAAUGACUAUCAAAGCGUGCAGUUGCAAGUUGAACAAAAUUUUCAGAGGCAAUUUGGAAACGACUGCUGCAAAGAAAGAAAAAAUUUAUUGCCACAGCACACUUUCUUUCUCACAUUUCCAUAACUAGGCUCUGUACCACUAUUAUAAAUUGAAAAUUAAAUACGAAAUGUGAAUGGAGAAAAAAAAAAACUUUCAUACUAUUGGCUUAUUCAAUUAACAAAAUGGCCCUUUAAAUAGACAAUACAUCAUUAAAAAUAAGCUGAAAAAUCGCAACUGACGCUCUAUGAUGUGAUAUAAAACUAGCAAAAAUGACUAUAACUAGGACAACAUAACACAAUAUAACAAACCACGUGAAAGACAAAUUUGACAAUCCAUAACAAAUACGAAUUAUAAUCCACUGAAGCCCCUUUGUUGGAAAAUAAAAAUGUCAUAUAAUUAAGACCAGGUACCAUAUGCAUUAUUGUUUUAUUGAUUAAUAAUAAUGUACUUUGAAACGGUUCCGUCCAUACCCACCACAAAUAAAUAAAGGACCUUAAUCAUUUGGUACCAUCAAUGUUCCAACUUUCAAAGCCUUAAUUUUUUGCGUUAUAUUUGAUCUUCGAACCUAAAAUUCGACAAGAUUAAAGAAGAAAGAGACUUAAGAUUGCUUGUCAAUUGUUUUAUUUAUGCAGGGCAACUCGUGUGAAUUAAUAAAUUAAAUUAUAAACUCAAACGAUCUUCUAAUUUUAUCUUUGUUUAUAAGAUUUACGAGAAAAUUAAGCUUGAGAACCCUCAAUUCAAAAGAAUGUCAAAAGCAAAAAUGUUGAGAGGCUCAAAUUUAUUCAAUAAUCCAAGAUUGAGUCGACCCUAGUGGACAUCAUUUAUAUAGUUCAAAAUUUAGUCUUCAUGAGGGCUAGGGACCUUGCUUGGGUGAAGCUCAGAUUUUGUUAGAAAAAUAUGGUUCUUUGUCGAAAUCCAACUCUGUUUAACUAGCACUUAGCUGUUGAUCUAAAACCGAAUAAGAAUUUGUUUUAAACUUAAAAUGUUCUCUAGAUUAGUAGAAGGCAUAUCCAACUGAAGUGUGCACACGUAAAAUAAGAAGAAUAGGUUUUUUAGAAUAGUUAUGCUUGUGAGCAUUGAAAGUAACACUCCAUCAAUGCUCUACAUGGUUUUCCAUUAAUUUUUGUAGACGGGUCUCGAGAUGGUCCCAAGUUUCUUUGAGGUUCACGUGUGGUCUUACUUGGGAUGUUUCGUUAUUCAUCUAUUGUUCUUUUUUGAGGAUGGGGACGGAGUUGGAAUGUUCUUUGGUAGUUUUCAAAAGUAAAUUAUGUAUAUUUUUAAAUUACUUAUAUUAUCAAAAAUAAUUUUUCAAGUUGUUCUAUGUGCUAAAAAAAAGUUAUUGUUUUAAGGGAAAUUUUCAACAUUGAUACAAGUGAAUCUAGAGACUCCAAAAAUAAAGUGAAAAAGCUAUUAUAAAUGUACUCCAUGGGAAACUAUAUGUUCAGAGUUCCUUCCAUUUAUAUUUCCUAUCCUGGAAUUGUGCACUAUGCGUAGUUGAAAGACAUGAAAUGUUGUGAUUUACAUCCAUUAAUUCUUGCACUUUUACGAUUAAUUAACACAUAAAUGUGCUAAGUACCCUUAUAUUGUGAUUUAGGUUGCAUUUGGAUGAUCAUGAAAUAAAAUAGAAGAAAAGAGAGAAAAAGGACUUAAAUGGAAGAAAUUGAAAGUUCAAGGACCAAUUUGCAAAUAAUCUCUAGAUGAGACGAGCAAUGGAAUGAAGAUUAAAGAUGGUGCGGGAUCAAUUGGAUGCAAUUAGAAGUUGAAGGGUUGAAAUUGCAAGAAGAAUGAUUUAAAAGAAUCAAAAAUGGAAUUCGAGAUUAAAAUACAACUUUUAGAAGAAAUUUUGCCUGGGCAACAGCCCAGUUAUAAAGUUCGAGCUACUGUCCAACACUAAAAAUCAAUUACUGAAGCCAAAAGCCAUGCCUGAACGACUGCCCGAGUUUUGCAUGAGCGACAGCCCAAGUCAAUUGUGACGAGAAAAAUUUGGUUUCCUUUUCUGAUUGAAAUUUUUAUGGAAACAAAUCUUGUACAUGAUAUACCCAAAAUCUCGUCCAAAACCUAGAGAAUGCCCCUAGCCCUAUUUUUUUUCUCUCUCUUUGUGCUCAAGAUCCAUGAUGUGCAACUAAUUUCUUUUGCUUGAUCGAAGGAGACGGAAGCCUUGGACCAAUUAUAACUGUGAGAUCCAUUUGAUUUUUAUUGAUUAAUUCAUAUAUUUAGUGUUAAAUCUUCUUUUGCACUUACUUCUAUGAUUGUUGUGUUUAAUUUCUAGAGUGCACGCAAGUUUAUUAGUUUCAAUAAUCUAUAGCUAAGUUAAAUAUCAAAUUCGUAAUUAUUUGAUUAAUUUAACUUAUGAAGCAACUAACAUUAGUAAUUUGCUGCUUUAGAAAAUUAUUAGAUCUUAGGGAGAAGUUUUAUGUAGGUUAAAUGCAAACUCUUGGCUUGGGUUAUCUAGUUCAUUGAUUUCUCUAAUUCGCAAAGCCAUUAUGAAAUUAAAUUCUCGCACUUGUCUAGGAUUGUUUGAUAAUGAGGAUUAAUUAGAUUGCUUGUUUCUAAUUAAUUAAAACUAAGGAAAAAUAGGAAAAUUGUUUCGAAUGAGAAAUUUAUUUUUCACAAUGAAGGCUACAAUUAUGAAUUGAUGAUUAUUGGUAGAUCAAUGACCGGUUAUUAAUUUCCAACGGUGUAUAUGACGUAGAUCAAGGUUUGUUUUAUUGCUUAUAUUUAAUUAGGUGAUUUGUAUUAUUUCAAGAAAAUCAAAAUCCCCUAUUUUAGUUAAUAUUGCAUCAAAAAGUAAAUUAACCACUCUUCGUGGGAUCGACCCUUACUUCCACUACUACAUUAAUUUUAAGAAGUAUAUGCUUUAAUUUGGAGUGCCUACGACAGCACGCAUCAUUAGUGUGCUCCCAAAUUUGACUUAAGGUCGCAUUUCAAGAAAUGUGACUUUGCAAAUGGAGGCCUUUUAUGAGAUUUUGACACUUGGCACAAUCCUGACCAUUUGAUGACGAUUUAGGAUGGUUUUAGGGUUUGUCUAUAUGUACAUUGGGGUUGACAUGUACCAACCCCUUAGAAGAGGGAGGCCACGAUUUUUUUAUUUGUCGUGGGGCCCCCUAUUGUGAGGGGGUCUGUGCACCAGGGUAUUAACAUCGGUAUACAAAUAGAAAAACCUGUAGUUUUAUUGCCUUUACUCUCUGUUGUUUCACUUGAAAUACUUCAUUCUACCUUUUCAGAUUUCUGCAAAGAGAGAGUUUACGCUCGUUUGGUAAGGGUUUCAUCUUGAAUCAUUUUCUCUCUUGAAAAUCUCAUUCGCAAUUGAGAUCAAUGUUUUACUUCCUUUGAUUCUUGUAUUUUCUGAGUGGUUCCUAUAUUGUGUUGUUCAAAGUAUUGUUUUGAGGCUUCUUUUAUGAUUCCUUGAGUAGAUUUUCAGUUUCAUCUUUGAGAAGAUAACUAUUGUGACUUUAUCUUGUAUUGGUUCAACGUUUAUAAGCUUUGUUUUCUUUCAAAGUUAAAUAGUGCAAUCGAGCAUUAUCCAUUUUAUAUGGAUAAUCAAUAGGGGAUUAGGUAUUAGAAGCAAUCAUCGAACCCUCGGAGCUUCAGCCGAAACAAUUCUUUGUGUUGAUUUUCAUUUCUUGCAAGCUUAUUUUCUACACUUAGUUUUAAGUUUGACAAAUAAGUUAUACCUUGUUGUUUUUGGGCAUUUGAGUAGUAUUAGAGCUUGGAUCUUGAAUUGCAAAACCAGCUCUUCAAGGAAACUAAAGAUCUUAAAGGGACCUCAAAUUUUUGUGCACCGUUUUGAAGGAAUCUGAGUUUUCUUAUAAAACUCACUUGAUAAGAUUUUUUAAAAUUAUGCAACCUGCAAUUUUAAAAAAUUAGGGUUUCUUGCUUUUUUCCUUAAUUUACAAUACCAUUACAAAAUAUCCCCUGGAUACUAUUAUUUGCCCAAAGUCUCUUAUGAGGUUUUGGAAAUCUGAGAUUAAUCUAGUACUGGUGUAUAACGGGAGGAAUAAAAAUUUGCGAUCUAUAUUUGUGAUUCUUGUGAUAUUUUUUGUUGCCUGUCCACUGUUAAGUACAUAUUCUUUGACUAAGUAAAAACUCUUGUAUGUAACUCGAAAUAUUAUACCAUUACGUGCACUAUUGUGAUCUUAAACUGAUCUUGUUUAAGUGUUGGUUCUUUACCGUGUGUCUUUCCCUAUCUCUAGUUAAACUUGCUUGUCAGUUUCUUAUUUGUGAUGGCCAUUGCUAAGUUCGAAAUGAGUCAGUAUGAUGGGAGGGGGAUUUUAAUAUGUGGAGUCAGAAAAAGAAAGGUAUCUUGAUGCAAAUGAGAUAUGCUAAGGCCUUAGAUAAUACUUGGCCUACUAGUAUGAUCCCUGCUAAAAAGAAAACAUUGCUUAGAGUACUAUGUUUUGUACCUUUCUAAAAUGUGAUUAGAACCAUUGGUGAAACUAAAACUGUUAUUGAACUUUGGACCAAUUGCAGGCUCAGUAUAUUACCAAAACUGUUCCAAAUAAGUGCUAUUUGUUGACAAAGUUCCUUUUUUUUUUUAAAUGGAUCCUCUAUUGACUUGGAUUAAAACUUGAAUAGAUUUAUAAAACUUACCAAGACGUAGCUUUUUGUGAUGAAAAACUUUCAAAAGAUCAAUUGGUUAUGGUCUUAUCAAACUCCAUUAGUGACAAUCACAGAGACCUCAAUAAUAUCCUUAAAUAUGGUACGGAUGAAAUCACUAUUGAUAUUAUAAUCAGUGCCCUUAGAAAUAGAAUUCUUGAAAUAAAAUCUAAAUUUAAAGAUCGUCAAAAUGGAGAAAAUUUAUUGGUUAAGGGUAGGAGCAUUGGUAAAUCUAAUUAUCACUCUAAAGGCAACAAUGAGUGUAAAAAGAAAUGGAGUGAUGAGAAUAAACUCUAAAUAUGUUUGACAUGUAUGACUGUAAACUUGUAACUUUCCCAUUAAUCAAUCAUUUUAAAAUUUCCUCCAAUUGCUGCCCUAAAACUGAGGAAGUGUAUGAUAGAAUGUCUAAAAUUCCUUAUGCAGAUGUUAUUGGGUCUAUCAUAUACUUGAUGAUAUACACUAGACCUGAUCUUGUUUAUAGCGUUAGUGUACCUGGCAAAUUUAUAAGUAACCCAAGGGAAGAACAUUGGGAUGCAUUAAAAUAGCUUUUGAAAUAUCUGAAAAGAACUUUGAUUUAGGAUUUAUGUUUAAAAUGAGGAGGUAACUUCAAAAGGUUGUACUAAUUUUGACUUUAUUGGAGAUAGGGAUAAUAGGAGAUUAACUUCAUCCUAUUUAUUGCGUGGAAGUUUCAAGAGAUCUUGAAUUCAAGCUCAGAAAAACCACUAAACGAAUACCACCCGACCUCGGCUCAACCAACACCCUUCUUUCACUUGGACUGGUUCAAGAUUUCUUACCCACAAAGGAUGAUGGUCGUGGUGACUACAAUAUAAAGCAAAGAAUGAAGCAACAGUGGUUGAGUUUCUCAAAACUCACGCCAAAAGUGUAUGUUGAUGUUCAUUUAAUGGUUUCUUGAGCCAAGAUUAAAGAUUUCUCAAAGUUUCUAAUAAUAAAUGGUAUCAGAGCUUAUGUUAUUGAGAAAUUUGUGAUUUUUUGGGUCAAAGAUCGACUGUAAAGGGCUAAAAAUGAAGCUGGAACAUGGUAGAAAGUAGGGAAAAAAAUCUAGAUACAUUGAAAAUCAUCUCUGUCGGAAUUUUUUUAUUUUUUGCAUUUCUCGGCCAGACAACUCAUCGUUUGGAGAAACCAACGCCAUAUGAAGACUGCGCAAGUGGAGGAGCACCUGGGAGACUGGCCUGUGAAGCUCUGGCAUGACGAUAGUUAGGCCACCUGCAAAGACAGAAGUCUCAUGUAGUGAAAGUCUGGCAGAGUUUGGUAACAACACUUGAAGACAAAAUAUUGCUGACAACGAGGUAGACCUUGCGAUGGUGCUUAUUUUCUGUUUGGUCAAAAUAGUUAAAUCUAGACGAUUUUGCCCUUGGACAUUGGGGUGUCGAUGCUUUUUUUGUUUGCUGUAGUUUCUGGAGGCUUUAAAGCGAAUGGUGGUGGCCCUAAAGUGAUGAAUUUUGUAUAUUUCUUUGUUUACAAACAAGCAAAUAUUGUCCACUCGGUAUCAUGUUCUUUCCCUUUUUUAUUACAAUUACGGCUAUCAUGGGGGUAGCCACCUACUUUUCACAUUAGAAGCCAAUGUGUGGGGUAACAUUAGGUUUGAGGCUACCGUGUGGGAAUAACCAUUGUCUGUUGCUAAACCUAAGAAUUAUUUUUUAAUUAUUUACCUUAAAUUCUUUGUGAAUUUAUUACUAAAUGUUUGUACACUGCUAGAAUUUCAUGUGACCUUAGAGAAGUUUGUUUGAUUAUUCGGUGUGAAUUGUGUCGUUACUUUGCUUGUGGUCAUAUUUGGUGUUGAUGGCAAAUGUAUGUCUAAGACAAUUGCAAAAAGUAAUGCAUUUUUGAACAUCAAUAUUUCGGACAUGUUGAAAGAGAUUGUCGUAGGAAGGAUAAUAGAAGGAAAAAUAAAGAGAGAGGUGAGGUAAAUGUUGCCACUGGGUUUGGCUAUGAUCCAAGUGAGGUUUAUUAAGAGUAAACUUGAAUAUUGUAUGUUCAUUUGUGUACAAUCCUUUCUCAUGUAUGGCCGCUUAAUUUUAUUAAGAUGUUAUAUGUUACAUUUUCAAUCUGUUUGACAUGUUUAAUUGCAUGAAUAAAGAGUAAUCUUAAUGCGUUUGUAUACAUAGCGUGUUGACGUCUAUGUCAUACUCUUUUUGCUCUAUGGUUGGUACAGGAAAGUGUGGUAGUGAAAAGAAAAAGGGGCCGCUACUUUCUCCUUUACAUUUGUGAGUCUAUGUCAUUUGUGAUAUUAUAUAGGGUAGCCAGGUGUAGGUUAUCCUCUUUCUCUUUAUGAGCCUUUUUAGUAAUGCAAUAAAGAACUAACUAUUUCUUAUAUUUUCUUUGUGAGUGCCACAUACACCCUUCUCUCUGUGAACUUCUUGAGAUUUAAUGAGGAAGAAAUCUUUUGGUACGUUGGUCAAUUUAAACUGAGCCCUAACCUUUGUGGUCACCAAAGGUGUCAAUUUUGUUGUAGUGGUGCUAACAGUAAGCGGGCUGUGUUUCAUUUGGUAAUGUGAAGUAUAGAUACCUGAGGCUGCAUUGGCGAUAUACACGGAUAUGUGGAGAGUGAAAUUUGGAUCACGAGUAAAAAUGUGAUAUAAUGUCCGGAAUCCUCUAUCUAUGAAAGACCUUGUACAAGUAAAGUGUGAAAGAGACACUUUUAUCACUUCUGUUAAGUAGAGACACAUUAUCCACUUAGGUUGAGACAAAUGAGGUAGUGACAGAAGAUUAUCUUGUGGAUUUAAAAUCUAUUGUGGUUUAACAAUUAGACAUGAAUUUAGUGAUCAAUCUAGUGAGCAUGGUGGACAGUGAGAGAAGAUAUAUGUUCUCGAGGUACAAGCAAUACGAAAUGAGAUAGGAUAAGUGUAGUGAGAUCUUUUCAUGGGGUUAUUUAUGCACUUGUUGCAUAUGUGUUAGUCGUUUGAUUGAUUAACUUGAUAUUAGUUUACUAUUUUGUUUAAACAUAUUUGAAAGGACUUGUAUGUUAUCCUAUUUUAUAUCUUCAUCACAUGUUUAAAUGCUUUUAAUUGAUUACUAUGAUUACUUGCUCCUAUUUGGGUAUUUUUUGAAAUCGGCCCUGAUUAGUGCAUUGAACAGGUAUGGUACGUCUUUCGGGUCGAAAACAUGAGUUAAGGUCUGUGAUUUCGACGAUGGUGUGAUUUAAUCGUUGUGUGGAAGCUUCGAAAAAUCUUUAAUACGGUCUCAGAAAAACCACCAAACGUAUCACCUGAGCUUUGCUCGACCCACAACUUUACACUUGGUUGUCUUCUUUCCAACACCCACAAAGGAUAGAACUUUGGUAAUUAAUGUGUACCCACAAAGGAAAAAGAGAAUAAAUGAAGGAAUGGUUAAACUCAAAUUUUACCUAAGUUGGUUACUGCACGUUUUCUCUUCACAAUUGCACAUUAACUCACGGCUGCAAAAAAUGAAGAGAUAAUGGAUGUAUACAGCAUUAGGUUAGAUUCCAAACUUGGGCCAAAUACUUUCAAUGGGCUAAGACAGAUAACAACUAGGAAAAAUUCAUAAAUAAGAUGUUAACUAUCACAUAUUUCAAAAUUAAGAACAAAAGUUUCAAAUUUAAAAAAUCAAAUAUUUAUUACAAUUUAUUUAUUAUUUAUUUAAUUAAUUAUAUAUUUAAUUAAUUAAAUAUAUAAAAGUCACCGAUGUAUGCAAUUUGGUCACAAAUUCACAAAUUUAGUUAUUUACAUAUUAUUUUUCGAUCACAGAUCAAAAUUUUAAUAUGUCAAAAAUUAUUUUAUGAUCACAAUUCAAAAAUUUUAUACGCCAUAAUUCGUUCAUCAAUCACAAAUCACGAAUAUUAUAAGUCACAACUUAUUGCACAACUUAUUGGAAAGUCACAAAUUAACAAUUUUUUAAGUCACACAUUAUUUCUUGGUCAUAGUUCAUCUCUUUCAUUAAUCACAUAUCAUUUAUUGAUCACAGAUUAAUUUAAUGGUCACGGUCAACCGAAUGAUUUGUGACUACCAUUAAUGCUUGUGACAACCAACUCACCACUGCCUCCAACAGCAUCACCAUAACCGUCGUCGUCGCAGCCUGAACCUCCAUCACCUACUACAACAAAUCUAACACAUUGCCAAAAAAAAAAAAAAAAAAAAAAAAAAAAAAAAAAUUAAUUUGUGACUACCAUUAAUGCUUGUGACAACCAACUCACCACUGCCUCCAACAGCAUCACCAUAACCGUCGUCGUCGCAGCCUGAACCUCCAUCACCUACUACAACAAAUCUAACACAUUGCCAAAAAAAAAAAAAAAACAAAACAAAACAAAACAAUUCAUUGCACCAAAUCCAUCGCUACCUUACCGCCACAACCACCGACAAACAACCAUUUUCAACUACAAAACCACCACCCAUCAACACAUCUAUGCCAGAUUCACUAACACCACCACCUCCAUCAACAAAACCACCAAUCCACCACCGAUCUAACACCACCAAACCCAAAUAAUUAGUCACAACCCACCUCUAGAACCACAACCUGGCUACUACAGCACCCGCAAAACGACCACACCAUCAUCGUACAUAUAGCACACAGCCAUUGCCAUCGUUAUAUCCAUCUCUUCUAUCUCAGUCAACACAACAACACUUCCACGCCCCAAACAAAAAAUCCACAAACUUACCGCUACCAUUGCACAUAAUACCACCUACGCCACUGUAGGCAAAAACACCACAAAACUAACGUAAUAAGAUAAAAGGAAUAGCCCGAACUCCAUCUUUGGUUGCCACACUACAGAAACAGUAAGUGGUGCUGUAAUCUUGACAUAGAAGUGAGGCAAAUGGCGUCCAAAUCUCAGGCAAAUGGCAUCCAGAGCAUGAGGGGUUGCUGCCCAUCGCUCACACAACAUCGAUAGCGUCGUGUGAGUGCAGCACCGCCAAUGUGAGGAUAAAGACAGAAAAGGAGAGAAACGAGAUAUAGAGAGAUAAAUGAUGUGAAAAUCAAUUAGGUUUUGGGAUGAAAAUUGUAUAUUUCAUAUUUAAAUAUGAAAUAUCUGAUUUGUAAAAUAUGAAACGUCCCACUUACUUUUAGAACAUAGAUCUUUAAAAGCAAAGUGGGGUAUGAUUUCCUCUAACCCUCUAACAACCAACCAAUUAGUUGGGUUAACACACAUAUCACUCUCCAAACCUAAACAACAAAUGGGAUAACUCACAAAUGGGUUGUCCUGAAUGAAUUGGUAGUUUUUGAGCCAAGCCAAGCACUAUGGUGUCGAUGAAUUAUCCAACAUAUAUUUUAAAUCAUAGCCAAAAAUUUAUUUGGUAUAAAAAAUCCAACACUAUUUUUAUACAGUUUGUGGUACUAUUAUAAUUUGGAAAUCACAACUUCAAAUGGUUGUGUCUCUAUCUUCAACAAAGGCAGAAUAUAUUGUUUCCAUCGAUGCCAUUAAAGAAGGUAUUUGGUUAAGUGAUUUGUUAGGUGAACUUGAUUUUGUUGAUGAAAAUACAAUACUAUUUUUAAAUGACCAAAUUGUCAUACAUUUGAGAAUAAAAUCCCAUGUUUUAUGAUAAAACUAAGCACAUGGAUAUUAAAUAUUGCUUCAUAAAAGACUUCAUUUCAAAAGGGAUACUUAAAUGGUAAAUUGUUACUCAAUUUAAUCCUUCAGAUAUAGGUACCAAAGUAAUACCUUUAAGUAAGUUUCAAAAUUGCUUGAAGUUAUAUGAAAUAUAAAUUUGAAAAAUCGAGAGAGUGCUUAUGUUGUUUCAUUCAAAGUGUUGGUUUGAGGGUUAUUUUGUGAUUUCUUGAGUAAAUCUACAGUUUCAUCUUUGACAAGAUUAGUAUUGUGACUUUAUCUUGUAUUAGUUGAAUUAUUGUAACCUUCAUUGCCGUUUUUGGGUAAAUAGUACAAUCGAGUAUUAUCCAUUUCAUAUGGACGUUCAACAAAGAUUAGGUGUUAGAAGUGGUUACUGACUUUGGGACUUCGACUGAAACAAUUCUUUAUGUUAAUUUUCAUUUCAUGCAACUUUAUUUUCUGUACUUAGUUUUGAGUUUGACAAAUCGCUUAUAGUUUGUGUCUUUGGGCAUUUCAUCCUCUAACAUGCAUUGACUGUAUACUUUGGAUUCGCUUAUCAUAUCCAAAAAAGGAAAGAAAUAUGCAUGUAUACAUUUGGUACGCUUCACUAUGAAGAAAGAAAGAAAUAACAAUCCCCCCUCAUGAUGUGGCCGAGUUGGUGUGAGCGCGGCGGCUUUUAGUCACAAGUUCGAUUCCCCCUAUCAACACUUUCUCGAUCAAAUUUGUCGCAUCGGGCUUGUCUAGUUCAAUUUACCUAGCUCGCUAUUACGUCAGCUCGAGGGCUUAACCAGUACGCACCCGAAAAGUAGCAGCUGUGAGUUCCCCGUCAUAAAAAUAAAAAAAAUAAUAAAUAAUAAUAAAGAAAUAACAAUCAAAAAGUGUAUAGACACUGAAGAGGAUGUUGUCAUCCAUCCCGUCUAUCUCGUUUCUAGAAUGGAUUGACGAACUAAAAUAUUGCUCUAUUGAAAUUCUAUUAUAAUUGUCAAUUAUCCCGUCCAACCCACCUAGGAUGAUCGAGCACAAAAAUGUAAAAUUUGAUAAACUUAACCUGGAACUUAUUGUCUGAACUUGACAGCUCUGAGAUGAAUCAUCAACAUAUAUAUUUGUUCAUACUUUCUACAUUGUACAAUGGAAUUUUAAAAUCAACAUAAAUAUGUUGGUUGAGUCAAAUAUACAAUAUAUCAAGCAUGCCUAUAGAAGUAGAAGUGAAAUUACUAAAAAUAUGAAUCUCCAAACUUAUUCAAGGGAUUUUAUUUUCUCACCCAUGGCAAUGGAUUUCUUGCAAUGAGCAAUCGCUGCUUGAAUUGCACUCUGCAACUCUUCCUUAGUACUGUCACAUGCUGCGGUAGGAGUAAGAGUUCCAUUUGCUACUAAUAGACCAUUGUUUGUUGGAGAUAUUCUCACUGAACUUGGUUCUGAAAACUCCCCCCUUCUUCCUCUCAACUUUGGCUUCCCCCUAAUGAGUAAAUUUCAGGAAAAUGAAUAGGAUUGCCUGUGUAAUUUAUUCCCUCUUCUAAAGAUCAGACGGGGUCGAGCCAUUCUCGCGUAUCUCUUCAAAAACCGACUUACAUUGAAUUUUAACUUCUUUUUCUGCCUUUCUUUACAUUCCUUUUCUCCUUUUCGCCAUUUCAAUAAGCUAAACAAAGAAAAAGGCUUGGAAUUUGCUCUUCCUUUAGCAUCAAGCUGGGAUCAAUAUCGUUGUCAGUACUGUUGAUUGUCUGAAUGGAUUCUAAUUCUUUUAUGGAUAGGGUAAAACUAUCCAAAGAGUUGUUCAAAGAACGAGGGGAUACCGGAAGGUGGGAGAGUAGAUGGAGAGGAAGCAAAUGGCCAUGGAAAAAUAUAUCAUCUGCUGGAGAUAAAUCUACGGCGAAUGAAGAAGUGUUCUUAUUAUUUUCUGAGGUUUUUGCAGGGGCUGAAGGAUGAAGAGAAAUGGUGAAGGAGAAUUCAUGAGAAGGAGAUGAAGAAGCUGAAGGUGGCAAGGUUGCUGCAAUUGGUUGCAGCUGAUUACUCUCUCUCUCUCUGCUGAUUUUCUUCAUGCUUCUCUCUCAUCUUAUGAUGAUGUUUGUCUAUGCUUCAAUGCUAAAAGAUAUGUCGGAUCUGAAGUUUUUCUUGACUUGCUUUGAUAUGAUAUUCUCUGGUUAGAAAUGUGAGGAAAUAUUUUUGAAGGGAUAAAGAUGUUAGGAAGUAAUAUAGUUCGUGUGUGAGUAUCAAGAGGAUAUGUAGGGCUAACGGGUAGGCGUUGGAUGUGGGUAUGGGGUUACGGAGUGGGACAGGGUUUCAUUUGUUUUUUGAAGGGAAGGGGACUGUUCUCGGCAGGUUUGUUAAAUGAAAUCCGUAUUUAAUAGUGCGUUUCAUAUGGACUCGAUGGGACAUAAUAAUAAUAAUAAUAAUAAUAAUAAUAAUAAUAAUAAUAAUAAUAAUAAUAAUAAUAUUGAAAGUGCUUAUGAACAGUCUAAAUUAUAAAUUAAUUAAAAUAUUGAUAAAUAAGUGGAUAAUUUUUAUAAAUCUUAUAAAAUUGUAGAAUAAGGAGAAAUUUGACCAACUAUAAUCAUUAUCCAAGCAUGAGUUCAAAAAUUUACAGAUAAUUAAAAUUUUAUAUUGUCGUAAAAUAUCCGAUAAUAAUGACUGAUUAGUUGAUAUUAUUAUGCCCAUGUUUGGUUUCACUAAAAAUUUAGAUUAAAAUUAAAGUUAAAGUCAACAAUUAAUUUUAACUACACAUUUUAUAAGACUCAUAACUUUUCAUCCAAAAAUCCCAUUAUCUUUUACCAAAAUUUUCAAAAAAAUCUGAUUUUAUCUAAACUAAACAAGGGCCAGAAGGAUAGAUAACUUUCCUACCUUAGAAGAAUGUUUUCUAUUCAAAUUGUCACUCAUUGAAACCUUAUAUAUAACAGUCAGUGUUAUGAUGAAAUUCACACGAGUUUUGAUACCCUUAUUUUCUUCUAUUGUUCUUGCUUUUCUUCUUAAUUUAAUAGCAUGUUAUCAGCACGAGUUCUAGUGAAUUUAACUAGGAAAAAAAAAUUCCCCUGCAAAAGACAAGUUAAGAAUCCGGUAUGAUAAAUUUGAUUAUGCAAUCUUAAUAUGAAAAUUAGUUACGAAAAAUUUAAGAUAUGCAUUUUGUCAUUACUUGUGAAAAAGAAUGAUCUAAUAUUCAAUUAAAUUUUUUUUUUUAUUUUGUGGCCUAAUAUUCAAUUAGAAUUUGUGGGGGUGGAUAUUGCAUUGUUGCUCCUGUAGACCACAAACUUAAAUAUCAAUAUCUAUAAAAUAUAUUAUAUGGCUCAAAAAUAUAUACACAUAUAUUUCAAAAGAAUAUGGUGUCGUUCAUGAAAAACAUAAAACUUAUUUCAUUGUGUUUAUGGAGAAGUACAAACUAAACGAUUAAGUAUAGUGGUAUAGUGUUGUAAUUCUUGAAGAAAACACUUUAUUAUUUUAUAAUAUUUAUAUGGUACAUUAUGUUAAUACUUCGGAGGAAGUAUAGUUUUCCUGCAAUAUUGUGAAAUAAUAUUUUGUUUUUAAUCUUGAUGAAACAGGAGUUUAUAUUGUAUUAUUGCUCCAGAAGAAAAAUAGAUUUCUUAUUUAUCAAUAUUUUUUAAAAACAUAGUGAUAUUCUUGAAUAAUAAAUUUUAUACAAACUAAUAUCCUACAUAAUUUGAAAUUUUAAAAUUUUCAUAAAAAGCUCUAGAAGGGCCAAAAGUUUAUCAUAUGGGUGAACAAAAUGUAAUACUACAUUAAUUUUCUCCCCAUUUCAAAUGAAUAAUGAUAUUAAAAAUUCACAUAAAUAUUAAUUAAAGAACCAAAAAAUUCUUUCAAUGAAUUCCUUGUGUUUUUAUUCUCAUGAUAUAAUGUUGUAAUGUGACCCAAAUUCUUGUGGUUAUUGGUGUUUUAGUUGAAGUGGUCUUGUAGAAAUCAAAAUUAUAGACAAUGAAGAAAAGUUGUUGUAUUUUCGCUAGCCUAACACUAGUUGGCAGCUCGGGCUGCACCAACAUAUUUUGAAUAGAAAUUUUUCACCCUUUUGGUGCUCAAACGAUGGGGCUGUCACCAUCUUUCGCCCCCCGUAGCUUGAGCGAUGGGGUCAUUAGUGCAGCCCCUCUUUCCAAGUUUUAAUGUCUUUUGGACUCUUGUUUAUCUUCAACUCAGUUUCUAGGGUUUUAUAUAAAUAAGCCACUACUUAUAUUGUUCAGAUAACACUCAUACAACAUCUUGAGAGCUUUAGAUCUUAAUUGAGAGCAUUGAAAUUUUGUUGUAAACAAAUUGCUAUUGCCAAUAGUGGAUUUCUCCUCCUCAACCCAUGGUUUUUUGCCAUGUUAAGUUUUCACGUAAAUCUUGCUGUUAUUUAUUUUGUUCUUGUUUAUUUCAUUACUGUCAUAAACUUUCGAUCAAAUUCGCAACAAGUGGUAUCAAAGUGAUUUUGGUAACUUGUUUGUUCAUAUCAAGUGAUAUCAGAGCCAGGUUGAUUAUCUAGCAUGGCAAUGAUGAAGUAUGAUAUUCCAUAAUUGGAUCGAAACACAAGAUUUACUUUAUGGAAAGUGAAGACGCGAGCAAUUCUCACACGGAUGGACUUGAAAGAAGCCUUGGUUUUGAUAAGAUGCCUUCAACCUGGAUAUAGAAAAAAAGCAACGUAGGGAUCGAAAAGCCCAAUCCCAAAUUUAUCUACAUCUAUCAAAUUAAAUUCUUUAAGAUAUUCUCAAGGACAAGAGUGCCUCGUAUUAUGGUUAAAGUAAGAGCAGCUUUGUAUGAAAAAGACAUUGACCAGCAAGCUUCACUUGAAACAGUACUUGUAUUUUCACAGGAUGUUCGAAGAUACAUCAUUGGAUGAUCACUUAACUAUGUUCAAAGAAAUCAUGGCCAAUUUGGAGACAUUGGAGGUUAAGUAUGAUGAGGAGGACUUGGCAUAGAUGUUGUUCUGUUCACUGUCCCCAUCAUAUGUGACUUUUAGAGAUACUAUCUUCUAUAAUCGAGAUAUUCUCACCGUGGAAGAGAUCUAUGAUGAUUUGCUAUCUAAGAAGAAAAUGAGGCAUCUUGUUCGAGGAUCUUGGAGUCAAGCUGAAGGCCUGGUCAUUCGUGGAAGAAGUCAGGAUCAAAAUCUUGGUAAAAAUAUGAAGGCCAGAUCGAAAUCGAGACGUACAGAAAAGUUAUGUCAUUACUCUACGAAGAAGGGACGUAUCAUGGUUGAUUGCUAUUCUUUUGAAAAAUGGGAAUAAGGUUGUCGAUCCCAUUGAAAGGGAAAAAUAACAUGUUAACACAACGAAAGCUGAUGUUGUGGAAGACACACAAAGUGAAUGAGAGCUUCUUGUAAUGUUUAACAUAGAUUCUAAACCUUGUGAGGAAUGGAUUCUUGACUCAACUUCUACUUUCCACAUGUGUCCUAAUAGGAUUGGUUUACAACAUAUGAAAGAGCUUCGAGAGCUGCAAUGAUAAUGGGAAACAAUGCGCAUUGUAAGAUUGUCGGAGUUGGUAAAGUCAGAAUCAAAAUGUUAGAUGAUGUUAUCAGAACACUUUUAGAUGUCAUGCAUGUUCCAAAAUCAAAGUGAAAUCUAAUAAGUUCGAGUACAUCUGACUCAAAAGGUCAUAAAUACACUGGUGAAUGUGGAGUUUUGAAGGUGAGUUGGGGUGCUCUUACUGUCAUGAAGGGAUAAAAAACUCUACAUAACUAUAUGUUUUGCAAAGUUACAGGAGAUACAACAGUCUCUACUUCUUCUUUGACUGAUAAAGAAGUUCCAAAACUUUGGCAUAUGUGACUUGUCAUAUGAGUGAAAAUGGUAUAGCAGAGUUUAGUAGGAGGAGAGGGAAUACUUGAAUAUAUACAUUCAGCUCUUUGUGGACCGGUCAGGGUACCUUCAAAAGGAAGUACUUAUUAUCUAUUAAAAGUGUUUGAUGAUUUAUCCAAGAAAGUUUGGGUAUUUUUCCUAAAACAGAAGAUUGAUGUAUUUGGAACCUUCAAGGAAUGGAAAACAAUGAUAGAAAAGUAGAUUAAGUGUCUACGCACAGAUAAUGGGUUGGAGUUUUGUUAAAAUGAUUUCAUUAGCUUCUACAGAGCUGAAGGCAUAUUGAGACACUUGAUAGUGCCCAGAACUCCUCAACAGAAUGGUAGGCAGAACAAAUGAAUAGAACUUUGAUGGAAAGUAUUCAUUGUAUGUUUUCAAACUCUGUGUUGCCUAAGAUUUUUUAGGCUGAAGCUACUACCACAAAUUGUUUUCCGAUUAAUUGCUCACCCACAAUUGUCACUGAGAAAAAGGCACUAAAAGAGGUAUGGUCUGAGAAACCUUCUUGUUAUACUGAUUUAAAGAUUUUUGGGUAUCUCACUUAUGCUCUAUAUAUAAUGGGAAGUUGAAGCCUAAUUCAAGGAGAUAUGUCUUUCUUGGGUAUAAAUCAGGUAUGAAGGGAUAUAAAUUAUGGUGACCUGAGACAAGAAAGGUGGUGGUUAGUAGAGAUAUAGCAUUUGAUGAACUGACUAUGGUUCAUAAUUCAUCUCGUAUGGAUUCUGAUAAAAAUGAAGAACAGAAUCAUUCAACUCAGAUGGAAUUGAAAAUUGGUCCAAUGAAUAAUUAAAGGUUUUAGAAAAGUCUAGUUCAAAAUUGAUAGACAGUAAUACUUUGCCUACACCACCAGCAACACUACAGUAUUCAAUUGUUAAGGGCAAACCUCACAGAUAGAUUAGACUUCCACAGAACAAUGGAGAAGUAGACUUGGUAGCAUAUGCUUUGAAUGUGGCCGAAGAAAUUGAUUCCACUGAGGAACCUGUUACAUAUAUAGAUAUCAUCAGCAGUAGUGAUUCAUGCAAAUGGUUUAUUGCUAUGCGAGAGGAGAUUGAGCCAUUGAAUAAAAAUUGUACUUGAGACUUGGUGAAACUACCUAAGGAUAAAAAUGUUGUUCGCUACAAGUGGGUAUUCAAAAGGAAAUAAAGGACAUUAUGGAUUGAAGAUACUAGGUAUAAGGUCUGAUUGGUAACGAAGGUUUAUAAUCAAAUUCUAGGUGUUGACUUCACAGAUGUGUUCUCUUUGAUUAUAAAGCAUAGUUGAUUGUAAAACAUGGUUCAAUUCAAGCUUUACUUGAGAUAGUGGAAAAAAGAGUGACUUAGAACUUGAGCAAAUGGAUGUCAAUACAUCAUUUUUGCAUGAAAAACUUGAAUAAAACAUUUACUUGCAACAAUCAAAGGUUUUAAUGUUUCUGGGAAGGAAGACUCUAUGUGCUUGUUGAAGAAGUCCUUAUAUGGACAAAGCAGUCAUCGAGGUAGUGGAACAAAAUGUUCGAUUCAUUCAUGACUGCUCAUACUUUCAGCAGAAACAAUUACGAUAGUUUUGUGUACUUCAAAAAGGAAGAUGGUGGAGCGAUAAAAUAUUUGCUAUUAUAUAUUGAUGAUAUGUUCAUUGUACCCAAGGAUAAAGUAGAGGCCACAAAUUUGAAAUCUCAACUUAGUAAGCAGUUUGAGAUGAAGGAUUUGGAUGUAGCAAAGAAAAUUCUUAGUAGGAAAUCUUGAGGGAUGGAAAGUCUUUCAAAUUGUAUUUGAGUCAUAAUGGGUACAUUAAGAAGGUGUUUCAAAGGUUCAAUAUGUUGAAUGCUAAGGUUGUCAACACUCCCUUGGCUAUCCACUUCAAAUUAUCAUCUGGAUUGUGUCCUCAAUUAGAUGAAGACAUUGAUUAUAUGUCUCUGGUCCCUUAUUCAAGUGCAGUUGGUUCGUUAAUGUAUACUAUAGUUUGUACAAGACCGGAUUUGGUACAUGCAGACAAUACAAUUAGUAGAUACAUGGCAAAUAUUGGCAAAGAACAUGGGAAAACAAUGAAAUGGAUAUUCAGAUACUUGAAGGACUCAAUUAAUGCUUGCUUGUAUUUUGGUAAAAAUAAAGCUAGAUUUAUUGGAUAUGUCGAUUCAGAUUAUGCAGGAGAUCUUGAUAAAAGGAGAUCACUUAUAAGAUAUGUAAACACCCUUGGAGGUUGUGCUAUUAGCUGGAAAGCUAUUUUGCAAAAUAAAAUAGCUUUUUCUACAAUAGAGACAUAUAAGAAGGAUAUGCGGUUAAGUUGUUUGAUUGUUGAAAUCAGUGAUGGCUUGCAGAUUUCUACAGUAUAUGUGAUAAUUAGAGUGCUAUUUUCUGAUUAAGGAUCAAAUAUUCCAUGAGAAAACUAAGCACAUUGGUGUGAAGUAUCAUUUUGUACAUGAAGUGAUUGCUCAUGGUAAUAUUGUAGUGGACAAGGUUAAUACAAAAGAUAAUAAUGCUGAUAUGAUGACAAAUCUACUUUAUAUUGCUAAGUUUAAGCAUUACUUGAAUUUAGUUAGUGUUUAUCAUUAAUUUAGUCCAUUGGGUCUUGUUUAGAAGAGAAUGAAUGUUGUUUGCUUUAAAGAUGUGUUUUUGGAAUUUCUUGUAUUGAAAUUUGGUUCAAGGUGGAGAUUUGUUAUAAUGUGACCCAUGUUCUAGUGGGUAUAGAAGUCUUAGUUAAAGUAGUCUUGAAGAGCUCAAAAUUAUGGACCAAAAAGAAAACUUAUCACAUUUUUGCUAGCCUAACGCUAGUUGGCCGCUUGAGCGACACCAACAUGGCAGGGCCCUCUCUCCCUAUCACUCAAGUGACAGGAUUAUUCGGCCCAGUCUGUUUUAAUGCAUUUUGGACUCCUAUUUAUUUUCAACUUGAUUUCUAGGGUUUUAUAUAUAUGAGUUACAACUUCUAUUGUUUACAUAACAUUCAUACAAUAUCUUGGGAGCUCUAGAUCUUAGUUGAGAGCAUUGAGAUCUUAUUGUAAACACAACUAGUAUUGAUUAUAAUGUAUUUUGCCUCCUCUGCUAGUAGUUUUUUCCCAUCUUGGUUUCCACGUAAAUAUUGGUGUUCUUUAUUUUGUUCUUAUUUAUUUUAUUAUUGUCAUAAUCUUUCGAUCAAAUUCGCAACAGGUGGUAUCAAAGCGAUUCUGGCAUCUUGUCUAUUCAUAUCAAUAUAUACACUAGUUGGCUUUCACUAGCUAAAAUCGAGAUUGAAUUCCUUGUAUUUCUAAAAAUUAAUUAGGGUGAUUUAUGAGAUUCUUUCUAUUCACGUUGACUACCUAAAUAUUAUUUGUAUCUAACAAAUACAUCUCCUAUAUAAUUGUAUGUUAUUAUUUUGGCUAUGUUUGAGUCCCUUUUGUGUAAAAAGUGAGUUUUCUAAUAGUGAUUUUUAUGAAUAAUGUGUAAUUAAAAAGUAGAAAAAAAAUUUAAGUUUACGUGCAAAUUAUUCAUUUGAAGAAUAAUGGUUAAAAUUAAGCUUGAAGAAAAAUGAAUUUUUAGAAAAUGCAGCUCAAACAUGGGUUAUAUAUUCAUAACCUGACAUUUGCAAGAUUAAUUGCUCAAAAUUUUAAUUAUGAGAAUGAUUUUCAAGUUAUAUAAUAAGAAAGCUAGUGAGCAUAAAUUUCAAACUUUUAAUAAAUAUUAGUUAGGAUAAAAAAAAAAUGGUUUAACACUAUUAUUUAUUAAAUAUCUCCAAUUAAUUUUUGAACCAUUACUAUUUAAAAAAAGGGUUUUCCAUUUUAUGUCUAAUGAUACUAUUUUUCGUGGACAACGCUUCUACACAUUAUGUCAACAUCAAAGUUCUCCCUAUAUAGUUAGUUAGCUUAUGGUCAAAGCUUAAUAUUUCACAUCUACGAUUUUAAAAUAUUCAAUAUAUAUACAAUUGUUCCAACAUAGAGCACUAAGAUAGACAUUAAACCGUGAUACUAAUUAAAUUAUAAAGAUUUGUCGACUUCAUUUUGAUUACACAAUUUUCUUAGUAUUGGGAGGAGGUACUAAGAAGUUGAAAAUAAUAAACAUAAACAUAAGGAGGAGGUAUUAAGAAAUUAAAAAUUACAAACAUAAAGCAUCAUUUUAUUAUUUAGAUCAUUAUACAAGAUAAUGUGAAUUAAGAAUUUGAAAAGAUAAUUCAUUUAAGUGCAGUUACUCAUAAAAGAAUUUGACAAUAUAUUAAACAUUAUAUUUACAUGCUCCAACUCAAGUUGACGUCAUGGAGUAAGAAUCCAUUUACAUUAUACUUGAUAAAUCAAUGGCACGCUGAUGCGUGAUAAUAUUUGAUUCCAAGAUAAAAAUCUAAAAACAAAAUAAAAUAAAAAAAAUAGAGCGAAUAGUAAAGAUUUUCCCAUUAAGAUAUAUAUACUCUUGGUGAGUGUAUAACCACAUCAAUUUGUAAAACCGAAUAGAGGUUCAUGUAGAUGAGGUAUUGAAAAUUGAGAUAUCUCAAUAAAUUUUAUUAUUAUGAAUGGAAGAAACGAAAUUGAAAAGAAAAAGUUGCUAAAAACACUUUUGUAGAUGAUGCGGCAUGUUAUAUUAUGAACAAUAUAGAGAAUGUCAAAAAAAAAUUCAUCGAAAAAUACGGAAGUAGAAAUGAAUGGCUAAAAUAACAUGACAUAAUUCAGGCAAAAUUGAACGUAAUAGAGAUAUCUAAAGUUUUUGGACAUGCAGUUCAAACACCUAAACGUGUAAAGUUAAUUUUACAUAUGCGAAUAUCAAGUGAGAAACUGAAGUCACAAAAUAUAAUGCAUGACUCUUAACAUAAUAAAUUUUGGAAAAAAAUCGUAUAGAUAAAUUUUCAUGUGGAGGAUGAAAUCACAAAUAUAUAUCUUGUUAACCUAAUAUGCAUAAUAUCUAAUAAAUGUGGUUAUAAUUAACCCAUCGACAAGAUUAUUAAUACUAUUUUUUUAAAUAUGUUAAUUAUUCAAUAUGCUUAUAAUUCAAGUGAUAUUGUCAUAGGGAAGUAUAUAUAAUUUGUACACUUCUUAGUCUUCCCCUUUUUCUUUUUUUUUUUCUUUUACCAAGAUUGUAUCUCGUUGUUCUUCUCAAAAAUGCUCUUUUUUCCUCAUUAGAAUACUUUAGAAAGGUUCUUCCUAGUGAAAUUUUCACGAUGUAUAUUAUGUGUAAUGAAUAAUAAUAACAUACGUGACAUUUACUCUCAAUAUAACUUUAUGAUUUUACUCUCGUAUACUAUAAAUUGUAUAUUAGACUUCCGAAGGAAGAAUAAUAAAAUUUAUUUUUCAAUGGACCAUCAUACGGAAUGAAGUAAAAAAAUAAAUAAAUAAAUAUUAAUAUCUUUUAUGAAGACGAGUUUGCUUAAUACUAUAGCAAGACAAUAUUGAACAUAAUUCAUCAAAAUUAUAAUAUAAAUUUUUGGAAGAUGGUACAUUGAAACAUUGGCACAUAAUGAAAGACUCAAUAUAAGAAUUUUCAUUAGUACUUGUCACGAUACCGUACACUUACAGUUUAAGUGAACAAUAAUUCUAGGCAAUUUUUUUUAUAUAGAGGAACAAUUCUCUCAUUUAGUAGUCAGAGAAUUAAAGUCAUUCAUGAACUAUUUCUCUCCCAUUGAAAAGAGCGAUUGGCAUUUGCAAGAACUUUCAACAAAAAUAAAAAAAGAUGAGUACCCCCCCCCCUUCUUGCUACCACCAUCAACACCAUUUUUCGCUUUGAAUGGACCAAAACCAAAAAUAUUAUGAAUAGAAUGAAAGGAGAUAAGCUAGAAAGAAAGUUUAGUUGAAACUCAGAAAAAGAUACGUAGCUUGAACAAUAUUGAAAUUCAAUUUAGAAAAUAUAAAUAAUGAAAAUACACAAAAUCAAAGAUCACUCCAAAAACAAAAUCUCCACCCGUGAAUUAUUAUCAUGAUAAAUGAAUUCUUAAGUCCACAUAAACAAAGAUACGAUUUGAUGUUUUGUAUAAUUAAUGUGUAUAUAAAAUGCAAAUAAAAAUGAUUCUUUUUUCUUUUUUUGGUCUAGAAAAGAACAUAUUGUCCCUACCAUGAAUGAUUUUCAUUAAACAGAAACUUCAACUGUUUUUCGGCGGACUCUCACUUCACCAUUCAGUGUAAAAAAUAAAUUAGGAAUUCUUUAGUCAAUAAAUUUGCCAAAAAAUAAAAAAAGGAUUAUGAUGAAGGCAUCUUGACUAGUCAGCUGUUGAUUUGAUAGCUUAUAUUGAUGAAAUAGCUAUGUCGAUCUCUGUUUUAUAUUUUAGCUUAUAAAUUAUUAAGUCAUAUGAAUAUUUUAUAUGCAGUAAUAGAGAUGAUUGCUUAAAUGUGAAUUUAAGGGGGCAAAAAAAAAAUCAUCGAGAAAAUUGUAUUCAAUAAUUUAACAAUGGGAAUAAUGGUUGUAUGAAAAGGCGGAAAAGAUAUUAAGGCCUUGUUUGAGCUCCAUUUUGGGAGAAAAAAUAAAUUUUUGAAUAGUGUAUCAAUGGAAAAUGCAUAAUUAAAAAAUAAGGAAAAGUUUUGAAUUUGAGUGUAAUAUUAUUUUAUUAAAAAUGUGUGAUUGAUAUAAUAUCAAAAUACUGUUUAAGAAUGUAUCCCAAAAAAAAAAAGACUCAAACAAGGGUUAAAGUUUGAUAAAGAUGGGUAGGGACACACGAGUGUACUAAGUGCUCCAUUAGUCCAUUUCAGAGUUUGGUCGCUUAUUUAAGGUCAAAUUCUAAAUCUUGGAUGCAUUCUUUGGGUGGACAGGCUUAUCUUCCCCCACUUAGCACUCAAAAUUAUUGUGUGUGUGUGUAUAUAUAUUCGUUGCACUCAAACCCCAUAAAACAUUUAUUUAAAAAUGACGCGAGUAAUUAGAUGAGCAAAUUACAUUAGAAAAUAAAAUAAAUAAGAAACAUCUAUGAAAAUGUGCGUAACUUUCGAAUCGAGUUUCAGAUUUAUGCAAGCAAGUAAAAUUCAAAACACUUUUUUUCAAUUUUGCACAAUUUUUUGGGACAAUGUUGGCCGAAAGUCAAACUUUCGGGCUCAAAUUUUGUCGUUUAGAUGUCCAUUUUAGGAAUUUUCUAAUUUUAGUCCAUUAAAGGGCAUUUUCAUCACUUUACGCCUUAUUUUAGUUUUAUUUAGAUUUGUGUGUUGAAUUAGAAUUUCUCUUUGAUUAGGAUUUGUUUUGACUAGUUAAAUAUUUGUUAAGAGUUUGAAAAUUCUAUAUUCAUUUUUUAUUAAUAAUAAUUUAGUCUUCAGUUGCCUCGUUAUUUGAUGGAUUCUAAUAUAUCUCAAGUUUGUUCAAGUGCAAGUCGAACAAUAGUCGUUCAUGUGUGUUAGAUGGCAGUUCAGUCUCCAAAUAAAUAUUUCUCAUUAACUAGGACAUGGGUGCUGUUCAGGGACACCCAGUGAAAUUUAUCCUAUGAAUUGUAAAGUUGAUGUUUUGUACCAUGUUGAUUGACUUGUCAUUCUUUAGAGAAAAGAACAAGAUAUUGAAGCCGCUAAUGGGAAAAGUAGAAAAGAGAAUGUUUUCCCACUAAGUAUGUUUUGUGGGAUGACUUUGAAAUCACUGUUUCAUGCCAAAGAUAUUGGUCCCACAUCCAAGUAUCAAUAUUUUUAAACCAAUCUUUCUGAAUGUACAUAAUAAUUUAUAUUCUGAUUUACCGAAUUUAUACUUGGCAUAAUCUUACAACAUUUUUCACAUCUUACACAUUUAAUUCAACCAUCACAAUCUUACCACAUUACUCAUCUAUCAAUAAAGAUGUCAAUGUUAAUGUACAAAUAGCUAAUUGUCUUUCAACCUUACCCCUCAACACAAGUAUUGAGCAGAGAAAAAGAUAAAAGGAUAAAAAGAUUUAGCUCUUAUUUGGUCCUUAUUUCUGAGCAUUUAUUUUUUAAAAUUAUUUUUUAAUUAUAUAUUUUUUAUUAAAUUCAUUGUUAUCAAUUAAAAUGGAGAGAAUAAAAGCGAGUCCAUGUCCCAACUAGGUGAACCAUACCAAAGCAAGCUAAACCAUCUGCGAGCCAAAUCACAUACAAACUCGAAAUAACAUUAGCAAGCCUAUAUCGAUUUCACCAACUUUUCCACAUUAGCAAAAGUCAUUAUCAUAGUGCACGUGAACAAGCAUGGCAAGCAUGAUUUCACAUCCAAUGAAUAAAGAACAAGAAAGAUAACAUAUAACAAUUUCAUUUAUAAAUUAACUAAUCAAAGGUUGCGACAUGGCAUUAACCAAAAGAUGUAUUUACACCCCGCCCGAGGCUUUGAUAAGAAUCUAUAAGUAAGCGCCAAUUGAAAAAGAAAAGGAUAUGCAAAUUUGAAUAGCUUCCUCCCAAUUAAUCAUUUCUCCUCUUUCUCUUUAUUGAACAUAAGAUUAAUGAGUUUAGCAAGGAAAAACCUUGAUUAGGUAAGAGGAAUUUAUUAAUCAUCAUUUAGAGGUCAACAUCCACAAUUUUUAUUAACUAUUCAAGAAUACAUUUCAUCAACUUUUGUCAAUAUAUACUAAAAAUCUAAUUUUUAUUCAAAUGGUCAAGUGCUUAAUCAAAUUCGUAAAUCGGAGACUAAAAAUUAAGCCCCUAUACGGUCUGGCCAAAAAUCAAAUUUUUAAUUACUUUUGAUAAAAGUUAAUGGCAUAUAGAGUUAAAAAUUAAUAAAAGAUGUGAAACCAAUGAAAUGUAUGAUUAAAAAUAAAUUUGAAACAAAAAAUGAGUUAUAUAAAUUUGGAACAGCUAUAUUCAGAAUUCUAUACAUGUGUGUACCAUAAUUGUUUUCAACAAGUUUUAUCUUUUCCCAAUAUAAGACAAAGUUACAUCAAAACGAAAUGUUAAUGUUCCAUCAUGUUAAAAAUAUUCAUAGUAAAAUAUAUAUAUCAAGACUCAAUCGCACUUUGCAAGUGGAAAUACUGAUUAUAUUACUGCUCCAUCAUGUUAAAUUCGUGAUAUAGGCAACUAAAAAAGUAAGCUUGCUGCUCUUCAAUACCACCAACUAAAAAAAAAAGAAUCCAUUUCCGAUUGUUAGCUUCUAAAUUUUUUGGGCAUCCAUCUCAAUGUCAUUCCUGAUGCUCAUCAUGGUCCUAGCCAUUCAGACAAAGUGUAAAACUGAAGAUAAGUGGGCAGAAAUCGAAGAAGUUUUUGGAAUUUACUGUUAAAUGUGGCAUUAAUUUGUAAUCUUAGGAAAUAAGGUUACAUGCACUUGAAGAAAAUGUAUCAGGAAAAUACAUGAUGCACUUGAAGAAAAUGUAUCAGGAAAAUACAUGAUGCAAAUUCAUGAAUUAUUAGGUGUCCAUUUAUAUUCCCAUGUCUCUAGAGUUAUCCAUGUGGUCCUAUAAAUAGAGGUCAUUCUUGUAGUCUCAUUGUAAGAAAAAAAAAAAGAAAACAUUAUUGAGUGUGCUGUAGCAACUCAAAAACUAUCAAUAAAAAUUCAAGUUUUUCUUCAACACUUCGUUUCCGCACUAACAAAUUUGGUAUCAGAGCCAUAACUUGUAAUUGCAUUUUUUCAUGGCUUUAAUACAAACAGCUUCGUUGUUUACAUAUUCUUCCAGUCAAGUCCCAAUCUUCGAAGGCGAGCAUUAUGAAUACUGGAGCAUCCAAAUGCAAACUUUCUUCAUCUCCUUAGAUCUUUGGGAUGUCAUUGACGAUGAGGAGUACGAAGAACCAUCCGAAGACAAUGAAGAUUACGAAAAAUUGCAAAAAGAAUUUAAAAGAAAAGAUGCAAUGGCUCUCCGCUAUAUUCAACAAGGAGUCGGGAAAUCAAUUUUCCCUCGUAUCUUUGGUGUUAAUAAAGCCAAAGAUGCUUGGGAAAUAUUGAUGCAAGAAUUUCAAGGAACGGAGAAAACGAUCACCUUGAAACUUCAAUCCUUAUGGAGAGACUUUGAUAAUCUCCAAAUGGAAGAACGAGAAUCGGUUUGUGUUUUUUCUUCACGAGUAGCCGAGACAGUAAAUCAAAUCAAAAGCUGUGGUGACACAAUUACAGAUAAAAGAGUCGUGGAGAAAAUGUUAAGAUGCCUUCCUCCAAAGUUUGACCAUGUUGCAGCCGCAAUUGAAGAAUCGAAAGACUUGUCCAAAAUGACCAUUUAUGAGUUAACCGGGUCACUUCUUGCCCAUGAGCAAAGGAUCAAUCAUUCGAGUAACCAAUCUACUACCGAACAAGCUUUCCAAUCAAAGCAAACAUCAAAAAGAAGAAAAUAUUAUUGAGUGUGCUGUAGCAACUCAAAAACUAUCAAUAAAAAUUCAAGUUUUUCUUCNNNNNNNNNNNNNNNNNNNNNNNNNNNNNNNNNNNNNNNNNNNNNNNNNNNNNNNNNNNNNNNNNNNNNNNNNNNNNNNNNNNNNNNNNNNNNNNNNNNNNNNNNNNNNNNNNNNNNNNNNNNNNNNNNNNNNNNNNNNNNNNNNNNNNNNNNNNNNNNNNNNNNNNNNNNNNNNNNNNNNNNNNNNNNNNNNNNNNNNNNNNNNNNNNNNNNNNNNNNNNNNNNNNNNNNNNNNNNNNNNNNNNNNNNNNNNNNNNNNNNNNNNNNNNNNNNNNNNNNNNNNNNNNNNNNNNNNNNNNNNNNNNNNNNNNNNNNNNNNNNNNNNNNNNNNNNNNNNNNNNNNNNNNNNNNNNNNNNNNNNNNNNNNNNNNNNNNNNNNNNNNNNNNNNNNNNNNNNNNNNNNNNNNNNNNNNNNNNNNNNNNNNNNNNNNNNNNNNNNNNNNNNNNNNNNNNNNNNNNNNNNNNNNNNNNNNNNNNNNNNNNNNNNNNNNNNNNNNNNNNNNNNNNNNNNNNNNNNNNNNNNNNNNNNNNNNNNNNNNNNNNNNNNNNNNNNNNNNNNNNNNNNNNNNNNNNNNNNNNNNNNNNNNNNNNNNNNNNNNNNNNNNNNNNNNNNNNNNNNNNNNNNNNNNNNNNNNNNNNNNNNNNNNNNNNNNNNNNNNNNNNNNNNNNNNNNNNNNNNNNNNNNNNNNNNNNNNNNNNNNNNNNNNNNNNNNNNNNNNNNNNNNNNNNNNNNNNNNNNNNNNNNNNNNNNNNNNNNNNNNNNNNNNNNNNNNNNNNNNNNNNNNNNNNNNNNNNNNNNNNNNNNNNNNNNNNNNNNNNNNNNNNNNNNNNNNNNNNNNNNNNNNNNNNNNNNNNNNNNNNNNNNNNNNNNNNNNNNNNNNNNNNNNNNNNNNNNNAUGGAGAACGAAAGCACUACUUGAGCUUGUGCACUCGGAUAUUUGUGGGUUAAUGCAAACUCCCACUUUUGGAAACAAGAGAUAUUUUAUUCUCUUUGUUGAUGACUUCACAAGAAUGAUAUGGGUUUUCUUCUUCAGUCAAAAAUCUGAGGCAUAUUCCACAUUUCUUCAAUUCAAAGCUCAAGCAGAAAGGCAAAGUGGUUUUUUGAUAAAAACUUUAAGGAUAGAUCGUGGAGGUGAAUAUCUCUAUAAUCCUUUCAUGGAAUAUUGCAGAAAAAAUGGCAUCAAAAGACAAUUAACUGUGAGUCGAACUCCGCAACAAAACGGCGUGGCCGAAAGGAAAAAUCGCACAAUUGUUGAAAUGGCAAGAAGCAUGCUAAAAGGCAAAGGACUUCCAAAUCUGUAUUGGGCAGAAGCUGUAAACACGGCAGUAUACAUUCUCAAUCGGUCUCCAACAAAGGCUGUACGGAAUAAAACUCCAUACGAAGCUUGGAACAAAAAGAAGCCAAUGGUUGAUCACUUCAAAAUAUUUGGCAGCAUUUCUUAUGCUCUUAUCCCUUCUCAAAAUCGGGAGAAAUUUGACGAGAAAGGACAAAAACUUGUCUUUGUUGGAUACAAUGAUGAAUCUAAAGGAUAUCGGUUAUUAGAUCCAACUACAAACAAAAUUACAAUUUCACGAGACGUUGUUUUUGAUGAAGCUGCAUCUUGGGAUUGGAAAGGAAAAGAAGUUGUGGACCAGACACCAUACCAUUUUGUUGAUCCAUUAACAUUUAAAGCAGGUCCGUCACAAGUUGGAAAUUUAGAGCAUAAUCCAAACCCUACUCCAAGAAGUGAGGAAGAAUCUGAUCCAGAAAGCCCUCCAAGAAAGACACGUUCACUACAAGACAUAUAUGAGUCAUGUGAACUUGGGUUGUUCUCUAGGGAACCACAAUCAUUUGAAGAAGCCUCAAAAGAAGUAUGUUGGACAAAAGCCAUGAAUGAAGAAAUGUCCACAAUCGAGAAAAACAAAAUUUGGAAGCUUGUUGCCUUGCCAGAAGGGAAGAAAAUCAUUGGACUCAAGUGGGUCUAUAAAAUAAAAUACAAUGAAGAUGGGUCGAUCCAAAAGCACAUUGUUGCAAAAGGGUAUUCUCAACAGCCCGAAAUUGAUUACACUGAAACAUAUGCUCCGGUUGCAAGAAUGGAGACAAUUUGUACUGUUUUGGCACUGGCAGCUCAAUUGGAGGUAUGUGUUUAUCAACUUGAUGUAAAAUCGGCAUUCUUAAAUGGUGAAAUUCAAGAAGAAGUUUAUGUCGAGCAACCCGAAGGAUUUGAAAUCAAAGGACAAGAAGGAAAAGUCUAUCGUUUAUACAAGGCACUUUAUGGUUUAAAGCAAGCACCGCGAGCAUGGAAUAGCAAAAUCAAUAGCUAUUUCAUCCAAAAUGGAUUCAAUCGAAGCACNNNNNNNNNNNNNNNNNNNNNNNNNNNNNNNNNNNNNNNNNNNNNNNNNNNNNNNNNNNNNNNNNNNNNNNNNNNNNNNNNNNNNNNNNNNNNNNNNNNNNNNNNNNNNNNNNNNNNNNNNNNNNNNNNNNNNNNNNNNNNNNNNNNNNNNNNNNNNNNNNNNNNNNNNNNNNNNNNNNNNNNNNNNNNNNNNNNNNNNNNNNNNNNNNNNNNNNNNNNNNNNNNNNNNNNNNNNNNNNNNNNNNNNNNNNNNNNNNNNNNNNNNNNNNNNNNNNNNNNNNNNNNNNNNNNNNNNNNNNNNNNNNNNNNNNNNNNNNNNNNNNNNNNNNNNNNNNNNNNNNNNNNNNNNNNNNNNNNNNNNNNNNNNNNNNNNNNNNNNNNNNNNNNNNNNNNNNNNNNNNNNNNNNNNNNNNNNNNNNNNNNNNNNNNNNNNNNCAGUUUUUCAUGCCAGAUCGAAGCAUAUUGAACUACGUCAUCACUUCAUUCGAGAUUUGGUAAGUCGAGAAGAAAUUUGCAUGGAAUUUAUCAACACAAAUGAUCAGCCAGCAGACAUUUUAACAAAGACAGUCACAUUUGACAAGUUCGAAAAGAUCAAGAAAAAACUCAAGAUUACAAAUUAAGAGGGGGUGUUAAAUGUGGCAUUAAUUUGUAAUCUUAGGAAAUAAUGUUACAUGCACUUGAAGAAAAUGUAUCAGGAAAAUACAUGAUGCACUUGAAGAAAAUGUAUCAGGAAAAUACAUGAUGCAAAUUCAUGAAUUAUUAGGUGUCCAUUUAUAUUCCCAUGUCUCUAGAGUUAUCCAUGUGGUCCUAUAAAUAGAGGUCAUUCUUGUAGUCUCAUUGUAAGAAAAAAAAAAGAAAACAUUAUUGAGUGUGCUAUAGCAACUCAAAAACUAUCAAUAAAAAUUCAAGUUUUUCUUCAACACUUCGUUUCCGCACUAACAUUUACAAGGUCCAUUAGGUCCUUCUCAUCUAAAAUAGAUGACCAGGCAUUUUCUGCAGUAAUUUUGAACCAUGAUGAUAGAGAGCUCCUGCAAACAAGCUAGGUGGUACUAAAAUCUAGUCAAAAGAAGAAAAGAAAACUAGACUAGCGGUCGAGACCGGCAGGACCAUGCCAGGCCUUACUGCUUCAUCCUGCCUGGUUCAUCCUCUACCUGCCUCUAUCUGCAAAGACAUUACCAAAAAAUCUCUCCCAAGCAGCGUAUUACAACCCAUGAAUUAACAUGUUUGGACAAGGUUAAUUCCAAGGCCAAAAACAGGAGCGCCACAUGGCGGACAGCAGCCCUUUCAAUAGGGUGGCGCCCAUGUUGUUGGCCCUGGAAUUCACCCUGGCUGUCUAGCAGGGUUGAAAACCCAUUGAGGAGGGCCUUAGCCAAGGAAGGAGAGAGUGGCCAAGUGGUCAAAAGUGACAGACUCUAAAUCUGCCCAAGUCUACAGAACAAUCACCCAGAUACAUGAAAAACUCAUGUGCCUACAUUAUAGAGAUGUCAAACGGGCAAGGUCGCUGCCCUUCAAAGCAUGCUAAAAACACAAGGCCCAGUACAGCCCAUCUUGACACCUCUAUACGUGCAAUGUAAAAAAAUUUCCUUGGUACAGAAUUUUGAAAAACAAGUUCAUUGGGACCCAUCAAAAAAUGCAAUAUAUACAAUGAGAAAUGCUAUAACACAAUUGACAGAUUAACUAUAUCUUAUGAAUAAACAACCUUCACUUGGAAAUUUGUGCUUUUAUCAUGGUUACGUAACUAUUGCGUGCAAAUAUCACGGGGAAUUUCUGCGAGAUGCUUUUAGUUCUACAUUUAGUGCAAGGCUCAAGUAAGAAAAAAGAAGGAUUAGGUCAGAUUCUUAUUUGACAUCAGCUAUCUACAAUCAUAAGUUACAGUUGGCCGAUAAGAUACAUGUACAUUUGGCGUCAGUUGAAAGGCAAUAAGAUUCCAGAUAAUGUCGCUACCCCAGAAAACAUGUACAAAUCAUAGUGUCUACUUUCUGGUUAAUCUAGAGCAGUCUUCAUGAGAAAGUGAAGUCCUUGUGUCAUUUAUAAUCUUGAAUGACAAAUGCAUUUAGCGCCCGCUUGGUCCCCAUUUUAUUCUCAUUUUUCCAACUUUUGUCAACAAUAGUGGGCCCCCAAUCAAAAAAUCAAACGGCUCCCUGACAAAAAUUUGAGGCAGCAGCUUUUCAGACAUUUUGUUGAAUUUAGAAUUUUUGUCUUUCCACCUCUGCCCUCCAUCUGAAAUUUUAUUCCUUCAUUGUAGCACUUGUUGUCAACUGGAAUUUUAUUUUUUAAUUGAGGGCAAAAUGGUAAGAGAAAUUCAACGGCAUGGUACCUUGUUCUUUCAUUUCUGACGAUUUCUUCAAUGCUGUCGCCAUCAUCUACCACAAAAACUGUAGAAAAAUGAGAUAAGAUAGAAAAAUUGACAAGAACGAGCAUCAAACAGGGGCUUAAUAGGAUUCAACGGUGAAUUCCUUCGUGUAGAGACAGGCGGUACCCUUCUCAAGGACGGGGAUUAUUUUAGAUCCCAAUCUUCCACAUUCUUCGGUACAGAAACGUCAAAGAGGAAUUGACCAAGAACCCCACAAGCACUUAUGCUUGGUGGGCUAGAUAGACUUAUGUAAGGCUCUUUACGUUCAUCCUGCAAAGAUCCAAAAUCUCUACCCUCGUGAUAUUCUAUGGAAUUUGGAACAUAUAAGAAGUCAUUUAAGUCAAGGACAAUCCUCUGGAAACUCUGACUUGAUCUCUCUACGGCUUUUUUUAGAUUGGUCCAGAGAUCUCAUCAUGUGUGCCCUCGAAGCCUAUCUUCUCACCAUCAAGUUGCCGUAAUCUUCUAGAAUAAAUUACAGAAGCUUUUCCAAGCAGCUCAGUCACCGCAGCCUUUUAUUCGAUUGGAUAAUGCCGAAAAUGACCUGCACUACAAACAUAACAUGCAAAAUACAAUAUCAACAAAUAUGAAUUUUUCUAAGAUGCAAUAACAAAAACGUUACACGCCAAUGGUAGUUAGGAAAUCCUCCAAAGAAAAUCUUGCAUUACAGAUUUCAAAUUACUAGUGAUUUACUUAAAAGAAUUAUAUUCCAGUAAGUCAGCUGAUUGUCGGGGACCUAAUUUCGUUGCACCCAAUAAUUAGAACCAUGCAACCUUAACGUUCAAUAAUUUUCGCCCCUCACGAGAAAACGUUAAGUCAGUCUUACAACGCUCACAAAUAAUUUAACCAAUGAGGUUAAAUUAUAACUAUUUUGAGUAGAGAAUUUGUAGGAAAUAUAAGGAAAACAAGGUUGGGAGAACUCUCUUUAUAUAUAGCCCCCAUUUGGUUCUAAUUUUUCACCCAAAAAAAUCAAUUUUUUAACCGUUACUUUCCUAAGUCAACCGUUAUUUUAAAUUUCUUUACUCACAAGUAAAACCCACUUUUUCUCGCUAACAGUCAAAAAAUUAAUUCUCAAAAUCACUACCAAACAAACCCAUAAAUGAAAGGAAAACUUUACAAUUCUCUGAAGUAUUCAAACAAUUCGUUGCAAAUGAUUUACAAAUGAGACUACAUCUCUAUUUAUAGGCAAAACUUUGCAAGUUGUCUUGAAAUCAAUGGCCAAAAUUAAUUUUGAUUCAAGAGUCCUCAUUUGUUGCAAGUUACAUUAACCUCCUUUAAUCAAGUGGUAAUUCUAUACACUUUCCAAUCCAAGAUGCAUGUUACUUUCCAAUCUUAUGUUAGUUGACAUCAAAUGGCAUAUCUCUACAAUUCACAUGCAAUUGAAUAAGUCAUUUUCACAGUAGCCAAAUUGAACUUUAUUUCCUCCUUGACAUUAUCUUGCAAGUGGCACAAGUGGAUAAGUGGCACAAGUUGGCCAAGUUGUCCACUUGUGUCCCAAAACCAUUCGGCCGUAGCCCAUUGUAUUUCUCCUUCCCAAAAUAGUAGUUUUCAACUUAGAGAAAAAGAAAACACCCCUCCAUCUCAUCACUCAAUCAGCCAAAAUGGAUUCAACAUCUUUCUCAAAAGAUUUUGAGACAAUGAGAGGUGCCCUUUGUAAUUUGUUUCUCCCAAGAUCUUCCAAGUCCAACCUAUAUGGCUUCAACAUGCUUACAUGAAAAACUGGAUAAAUCUUCAAAGUACCCAAAAGCUAGUCAGUGGAAACUCUUCCAACUUUAGCCAUCAUGGGAAAAGAACCUUCUAACCGAGCCUUUAUUAACUUUGCGAUAGGCUUUGAAUUAUUGAGGCAACACUUUUACAAGUUCUUGAUCUCCAAUGUUGAACUCCAAUAGUCUCCGUUCAGAUCGACCCACUUUUUCAUACGUUUUCAAGCUUUCUCCAAGCAAGAUCUAGCUAAGUCCGCAUGAUCUCUCCAUGACUUAGCCAUUUUUUGUUACUCCGGGACUUCGAUCUACAUCACCAACCAUAUGCAAGGUAUGAGGCGUUGUGGGCUGUCACCCCGUUGCAAGUUCAAAAAGACUAUGUCCUAUGGAUUCACUUUUCUGCAAGUUGUAGGAAAACUGAGCUAUGUCUAUCAACUUCACCCAAUCCCACUGCUUAGCAUUAACAAAGCGCUGAAGAUAACACUCCAACGGUGCAUUCGCCCAUUCCAUCUACCCAUCCGUUUGUGGGUAGAAAUUGCUAGAAAAGUGCAAACCCGAUCUAAGGAGCUUAAACACCUCCAUCCACAAUUUUCCCAUAAAACUGGGAUAUUGAUCACUUAUAAUAUUCUAAGGCAACCCCCAAUACUUCACAACAUUUUUGAAAUAUAACCUUGCCGUCUCCUCCGCGGUGCAAUCUUUAAGGGCCGAAAUGAAAGUUGUAUUCUUUGAAAAUCAAUCAACAACAACAAUUAUUAAUUCGAGCCCUUCGGACUUUGGCAAGGUACUAAUGAAAUCAAUGACAACCACGUAUCAUGGUUGAUCAAGAACAGGAAGAGGAUCAAGAAGCCAACCGAUAAUGCAAGUAGACUUAGUCUAGGGACGCAGAUAGCCUGUUUUGGUAGAACGCAGGCUGGGGUACGGAGGAAGUUUUCCCAACACAAAAAUGAGGUUUCUCUAAGUUAAAAAAUUGCUAUUUUGGGAAGGAGAAAUACAAUAGACUGCGGUCGGAUGUUUUGGAGACACAAAUGGGCAACUUGUACAAUUUGUGCCAAUUGUCCACUUGUAUCACUUGCAAGAUAAUGCCAAGAAGGAAGCAAAGUUAAAUUUGGUUGCUAUGAAAGUGACUUGUCCACUUACAUGUAAAUUGUAGAGAUAUGCCGCUUGAUGCCAACUAGCAUGAGGUUAGAAGGUGACAUGUAACUUGCAUUGGAAAGUGUAGAGAAUUACUACUUGAUCAAAGGAAGUUAAUGCAACUAGCAACCAAUGAAGACCUUUGGAUCAAAAUUAAUCUUCGCCAUUGAUUCCAAGACAACUUGUAAGGUUUUGUCUAUAAAUGGAAAUGUCUCAUUUGUAAAUCAUAUGGAGUGAAGUGAGAUGAAUACUGGAGAGAGAUUGUAAAGUUUUCCAUUCAUUUAUAUAUAAAGAGAGUUCUCACAAGCUUACUUGUUUUCCUUAUAUUUCCUACUUCAAAUCCUCUACUCAAAGUUGUUAUAAUUUAGCUUCACUGGUUAAAUUAUUUGUGAGCGUUGAAAAGCUAACUUAACGUUUUCUCAUGAGGGAAAAGAAUUAUUGAACAUUAAGGCUGCACGGUUCUAGUUGUUUGGCUGUCCGUGACAUGAUGCUUACCAACUGAGAAAUGAAUUUAGUUAACAAGGUGCAGCGAGCCAUCUGAUUGCAUAUAACAAAGAAGGAAGGUUCAAAAACACGACUAUAUUUUAUUUCCAUGUAUUCUCAGAUAUGAAGCUUUAAUUUAUAUCCUAAGUAGCCAGGUUGAGAAGUAGAUGCACUAGCAACUGCAAUAAUGAAAGCAGUAGAGUGCAGAACAUGACUGAGAAUUCAAGGCAAUAGAGUGUCUCUAGGGCAAAUUUGUAGCAUUACAAAACAUUAAUAAGUUAAAUGCAUCAUACUUCAUCUAAACUAAUUCAAGGCAAUAGAAUGUCUCUAGGGCAAAUUUGUAGCAUUACAAAACAUUAAUAAGUUUUAUACAUCAUACUUCAUCUAAACUCAUAUUUUAUAAAUUAAAACAAUAUCAUUUCUAAUAGUUUAUUAAUAUUAGAUAAAAAAAUAAAAUAAAAUAAAAAAAGAGAAGGGAUUAAAAUCUCUAUGUAAGCUAUUCAUUUAGCAGGAGAAAUGUCAAAUAUAACAGUCUGCAAUAUACACAGAUAUUAUUACUUGGACCAGCAGUUCCUGCUUCAUUUGUCAAACCUAUAACCUGGGACAGGUUAUGGCAAAUGAAAAUAUGAAAUAAGAAUCUGACUUCAUCAUUGUUGCUCUGGCAAAAAUUGCACAGAGGCAUACUUGUGUUUGUAAGGUGCUGAAAAUUUGUAAAUUGGAAACCUCGUGUUAAAUUGCACGCCCUGAGUACAUAUGCCCUAUGAAGUGAAUUUUGUGUCCUUAGGUCAGACCUUUCACUGAGCCACUGAAAUACUGCAUCCAGUGGCCAAUACUGCUCCAUUUAAGCUAACACAAUUUCGUUCGCUCUUAUGAGCACUUAUUUCAGUCAACUGUGCAUAAAUAUAGCCUAAACAUCUCUUCAAAUUUUAUCUGCAUUAAGCCCAUCCCAAGAAAAUCUGACUGUAUAAUACGUUUAUAAGCAUACCUACGUGAGAUGAGUUAUUCCAUUUCCAUCAGCCCUGAGGUCUCUAAGCCUUUGGGUCAAAAUGCAAAUUAUCUGACAUGGAGCGAGAUCAUCAUCUCUUCAAAACAUCUCUUCAAAUUUUAUUUGCAUUAAGCUAACCCAAGAAAAUCUGACUGUAUAAGACGUUUAUAAGUAUACCUACAUGAGAUGAGUUAUUCCAUUUCCAUCAGCCCCGAGGUCUUUAAGCCGUCGGGCAAAAAUGCAAAUUAUCUGACAUGGAGCGAGAUCAUUUCUGGGAAAAAAAAUUAGGUACGAUGCCCCCCAUGCUCUGCAUAAAGAUAAUAAUUAAUCACUGAACAAUCAGUAGAAAGCAACUUGCCAUGGCAUUCCGUGUUUGGCACUUUGGCUAAUCUAAAGAAAUAGUUACCUUCUCCAUUCAUGUUUGCAUACUUACCUUAAGUGGAAAAGAAGUCACUUCUAUUUAAUUAACUCUCACCUUAUUGUCAAAUGAGUAACUUUUUCCAUCUUUGACCAUUAAAAUUUUAUUUAUAUUAAAACUUUUGACUUUACUUAUCAGUAAACUUAUUAAGAUUAACAAAACAUGCUGUAAAUUUAAUGGAUGCUUACUGCAGAGGAGUAAAGAUUCUGCCAAUACUCUGCACGUUGCGCUUCAAAUCUGCCAAGGAAGAAGGCAUCCAGACUGGACGAAAUGCCAUUUGCAAUCCAUGAUGCUAGGAAUGGGGCAGAGGACAUAUCGAGAACAGAUGGAUGAAGAAUAAAGCAAGUGGCCAAGUCACUUGUUAAAAUCCACUGGAGUAGAAUAAAAAAUGUGGCCAGAAACACAGUCUUUAACCGGUCGUAGUCGUCCUUCAGAUGAAACACGCCAUUAGAUAAGCCAUCACUUGUAUCAAGGUUCUUCAUCGAACAAUAUAGUAGAUAACCAUUACUAUUUCUUCUAAAAUGAGAAUAUAUGAUGAGUCAAUGACUAUGGUAUCCGAUUUUUGUUUGUUAUGGAGAAUGGUUAGAGCUCUAUGAUAUUAAUUGUUCAUUUUAUUGUCUAAUCAUGUCCAAUAUUGUGUAUGAGUGCUAAACUUUGGCCAUUAAGCAUCACGGAUGUUUUGACCAACAUCGGUAAGGAGAAACAUAUGCAUAAGCCAUCAACGGAAUGAGAAGAGUAUGUAGAAAGCUACAGAAACAUAUGUUACUUUUAGAAGAAAUGGAAGUAUGUGUUCACAAUUAUAUAAAUAAACAAGAUGUCGAGAUGAAUCAUUAUGAGAUAAAGCAUACCAUAUUGACCUGCUCUGGACACUUUCCUUCAAUUAUCUGCAACCAAAAGUAAAACAGGUUGCGUGUCAACUAUAGCUUCACAUGAAACAUUCAACAUCUGUGGUCUCUAAAAUGAUGAGUGUGAAUAAAUAUAAAAAAUUUACAAAUAUUUUAAGUUCCAGUUGUUGACUACGAGAAUGGCAUUUACCUGGUGAACCUUGUACGUGCUAGCUUUUGGGCCACCAGAAAAAGGCGCAAAGACAACUGGACAUGGCCUGAUUUUUAGCUCAUUUAAAUCAAAUCGAAAUAAAUAUGAGGAAAAGUUAAAACAACAACAUAUAUAGCAAAUUUAAAAUAUUUAGCCCCCGUUUGAGCCACAUUAUUGUAAAAAUGAGAAUGAAAAAUAUAGCUAUUAUGAGCCCUACACAAGAGAUAAAAAGUCAAAUGUGGUGGCUUGAUGUGAUGGAUAACGGUCAUAUUUUUCAUUUUAAUGAGGAAAUAAUGGGGCUCAAACAGGGCCUUAAUAACUAAGUCUAUUGUCAUUGUCAAAUCCCCAUCCCCAGGAUUACUUCGAAUAGUUUCUUUAAUGUAACAAAGAUACGACUCCAAGAGCAAGUCCACCAUUAUAGAUUAAAUAGCAAAAUGAACCACUCAACAAUUCAUGCUUUAUGGUAUGGCUGGGCAUUUGAACUAGAACUGUCGGUUUCAUUCAGGUUCCACAAAAAAAAAAAAAAAAAUUAGGAACUAGAACCUAGUACCAAAAAAUCAAUCAAAUAUAGGAUGGUUCUUAGUUCUUGAAUCAAAACCAUAUGUACGUGACUUUACAAUCGAAUUUAUCUAUUUAUAUAAGUUUUUUCAUUUUACAAUUUAUUCAACUUGACCUAAUGACCUGAUAGGAUGCAGAGGAAACGACGUGAUGGGAAAAAAGUUAGACCAAUGUUGAUUAUCAUGUUUUCAAAGGAAUGAAUUUUUUUUUUUUCUUUUUUGUUCAUCAUUUGUAGAAUCUAUUAAUUCCUUAUUGUUGGUUUCUAAUUUUAGGUUUGUUCUUUGGCUACGUGAUUUCUUUAUGCUCUGUUAGAUAUCAGAUGCUAUUUGAUGACAUAUUUUGUUAGUUAUUGGAUGUUAUUUUGUUGCAUAAUUGCAGUGGACUAAGAAAUCGUCGAAAUAUGUAUUUUGAUGCAUAUUUUAUUUUUUCUAUUUCAUCUAGAUAUUAGAAAGAUAAUUUGUAUUGUCGGUUCACGAUUUUAAAAAAAGAUACAUAUAUUAUAGGUAGAACCUUAUCCAAACCCAAAUAGACGGUUUGGGAUCAAGUCUGGUUUCUGUAACUAAGUGUACCCAAAUGGUUCUAUUUACAAAAUAUCCGAAGUAUAAUGGAUAGUUUUGAGUAUUAAACUACCCGUGCCAACCCAGUAGAUGUCCAUAACUAUUUUAUAAUUUUGAGCGUUGGGCUAUUAAAGGUAUGUCUAUAAGACGAAAGCGAAAAUGAAGAUGCUAAGAUUUGUUUGUAAUUAUACUAAAAUGGAUCUCAUAAAAAAAUGAGAAUAUACAGUAGUAACUGGCGGUGACACCGAUUGAUGAUAAAUUGAAGGAAGCACGACUUAGGUUGCAGGGUCAUGCUUUGAGUCUAUUUAAAAAGGCUAUAUUCAUAAGAACUGACGUUAUCUCAGUGGAGCAAAUUAAAAGAGAAGGUGGUAAACCAAAAUUAACAUGGUCAGUUGUAGUUGUAAAAGGAUCGAAUUGCUUUAGAUCCCCAAUAGUUCUCACAAUGAAUAACCAACUCUACAUUUAUCAGGUAAAAGGCUUAGUUCGUUGUUGUGUUUGCUUGUUUGCUGGAAGACCAUUUGCUGUCAAAUUUAUAACAGCUCUACAUUUCCAAACUUGGAAAGCUUUUAUAACCUCAAAGAAGUUCAGCAGAUUGCUUUGAUGCAGAGCUACUCAAAUACAGAUGGUGAAUACAGAUAAAGAUACUCCUUUAAAAAACUUCUUAUACAAGAUGCAGUUGAAUUUUAUAUGACUGACCUGGACAAAAUUGUUUAUAAUUUCUAGUGCCAACGAUGCUGCUUUGUCGGGAAAGAAUCGGCAACCAUACGAAAAUGAGAAUUGUAAACCGAAUAUUUGUAAAAGAAAAAAGAAAGCUAAAGGAUAGAGUAUGCUUUAUGUAAAUUAUUUAUCAUUCUGCAUGCACCAAGUUCAAGUACCAGCGGUCUAGACAGCAUUUAUAACCGAGAUAUUCAACCAUCCCUACCUAAGAUAUAAAUAUAGAUAUUUCUGAAGAUCCACUAAUGACAAAUUUUCCACUACUAAGACGACUAUGAUUAAUUACAUAUUCUUCAUAACAUAACAACUUCAUGCACAAUCGCUUGAAAUCUCGUUAAAGCCGUCUCUUCUACGAAGAAGGUAUUUUGUGUUCGAAAAUGAGACCCAUAUAUAAGAACAUUGCCAGAGAUGGCCCAUUGAAUUGGUCGCACCUAAGAACUGGAUUAUCAAUGCCUUAAGCGCUUUACAGAUUUGAGUUCUUGAUGAAUUUUCUCUCUCUAACUGUUGGUCGUUCACGUCUUUAUGAUUGAUGAGGACAUGUCAUUUGGGCCUAAGGUUUCUUAAAUUCUAUAAACCAAGAGAAAAGUUUCAUUUUAAAGAAACUAUAUUCUUCACAUUCAAUUUCCCCCCUGUAAAAAGCACUCUGAAAGAUGCUAUAACUUCCCAAACAGCCGUUCAUAUCUAUCAAAAUAUUUUUCUUUCCUUUGGAUACCAAAAAAAUAUUAGAACGCCGUCCAAGAACGAUAGACAACACAUGGUGGCCAAGUUACAUUAACUUACGGACAAACAAAAAAUCACUUUACAGCUCAUGCAACUUUUUACUCAAUUCUGCUAAAGAAGUAGGGCAAUCUAUUCUCCCAUCGCUGUUACAAGAUACCAAGUUGGUUAGGACAACAUCAAUCAAGACAAAAGUUGCAUGACAAUACCAAAAGUCCAGAUUCCUAUUAUUCAGACCCUCACUUGUUAAGGAAAAGUUAUAACCUAUAGAUAAUAUUAUUACUUCAAACAGCAAUUGCUCCAGUUGCACUAUUCCUCUUUCCUCCAGAAUACAAUUCAUCAAAUAUCCCAAUUGUAAUACUAUAUAAUAUCAAGCAUGAAUUCAAGCCCCUGACAAGAGUAUCCUGCAUAUUAACGUAAUCUUUUAUUACUACCUCAACCCACACAAAAAGAACAUCACAUCUAUAUGUGUUUAUCCAUUCCAUGGCCCUCAGCCAGCAUUUUGCAUUUUUUUCAGUCAAGAGUUUCAUUCAAAGUAAUGGUUCCUCCAAAAAAAUUGGAUAAAAUUUUAUAAACUCCAUCAGCUCCAAUCACCUUAUACAUCACUCGGUUCAAACUCAUAAUUUAAAUUAAAGUCAACCAAUAUUCACUAAAUCCCAUGUAAAUCCAAUCCAGCAGAAACAUAUCCCAAAAUUAUAUUAGUGUUUUAAAAAUCACUCUACUAAUUUAAACCUCCCAACAAAAAUCGAAAAACAAAUUCAUAUUGUGCAGCAUAAUCAAGAAACUCGGAAAAAGAAGAUAACACAAUCAAGAAACCAUAGGUCCAAAAAAAUAAAAAUAAAAGUAAAAUAUCACAAACUCACAAAAUGUUGGAAGAUUCAGAUCAGAAUCAGAUUCUAAAUCGUGAAAUUACCAAAAAAAAAAAAAUGGAUGAUGGGAGGGGAGGAGAGAGGUUAAUCUUAGAUUAUAGACUGAGGAAUUGGGAGUGGCAAAUGAUGGAAUUCCAACCAAGAGGGGAAAAUAGAUCAACAUAAUUCUUCAAGUGCUUAUCCUGACUUGAUAUCCAUGAAAAUACUACAAUUAUGCCUUCCACUUUCCCUAUUUCUUCUCCACCAAUAAUACCUUCCUCCAAACCCCCCACAUCUUUUCAAUUUCCUCGAGGAGAAAAAAAACAAUUUCCUAGCACAAUUUUCUGACAAUAAAGAAACAAAUCCCUUUGAACAAAAAGGUAUUUAGCUUUUAAUUGUUUAUUUGUUCAUGUGGAAUAGAUUUUUUCAAGAACUCAUCCGAAAUUCUAAUUGGGGUGUGCCCAUUUCUGCUUCUUAUGGUCUUUCUUGAAAAUUAUAAAGAAUGGAUACUUGUUUUAUGAGAAUUUAUGUGAUGGUUUUAAAUAACAAAAAUGCUACCUAUAUAGCCUAUGCUGUACAUUUUGUUUGACAGGUAUCUCAUAAAAUGUAGAAGUCGUGAUUAUUUUAAUCGUGGGAACUCGUGAUUAUUUUGAUCGUGGCCCCACUUCCUCAUGUGAGAAGGCUAUCAACAAUGCUGUGAAAGAAGUUGUAAUUGUAGCACAAUUUUAUAUAUAAUAACUUGGCUGUGUCGACUUGCAGUUGUUUGAGUUGUAAGGAUUGUAACGAGCAAAGCUUUUUGUAGAACUCAUAUGACCCCUUUGUUAUUUUUGUAGUAUUUUCGAUUGGUGAUAUUCUUUCAAUUUGAGGCCUUGUUACAAGGGACACUUUUUCAAUUCCAUGCUAUUCAUGCCCUCUCAAUCUGAGAUAAUUUUAUAAUUUUUAUUAAGAUUGUUCUUUCAAUCCAGUGUGUGUGUGUGUAUCUUAAUUUAGACCUCUUGUCAACUAGGUGUUGGUAGGAGACGAGACUCUUGCCUCACCCGAGUACUGGUACGAUCCUCUAUAGCUUGAUCUUUCGAGAUUCACAGCAUUUGCAUUGGUCCCACAAUAGUGGUGUCACUCCCAAGGAGACCUUUUAGCCAUUUUUCUUGGCAUCUAAAUCGUCCCUCUAUUUAUUUGGUCGUGAAUUUGCUUCGAGUUCACUUGCCUUAUCAUUUCCUAAUAGUGGAUCUCCUCUUUGAUCAAAUCUACAAAUUCAUCGUACAUUUUGGGUGCUUGAUUGCGAACAUCUCUUCAGAAAGGGAUAGUCACGUCUAAAUCGAACAUCAAAGCCUGAAAAGUUGUAUCUUGUCGAAUGCUUUUUACAUCAAAAUGAAACGGUUGAGACAGCAUAGCAAAGGUUCAUCAAGAUCCUGCCUAACAUCAUGGAUCUUCCCAAUCGGGGUCAAACAUUUUCAUGGUGAACAUAUAGACGAAUUGGUCUUUAGGUAAGGGAACUAUCGAUGCUACCUAGUGAAAGCUUAUUAUACUAUUUUCUAGCUCCUAUUGAGAGUGUAACAUGGAAGUCUUGUAAUUUGUAUAUUGAGCUUGCCCUUAAGAAGUUUAUGUACAUGUUAUAUUCCCAGACAUGGUUUGAGGGAAAUUUUCUAGAUUUUCAGCAUGGCAAAUUUUGGGAAGGCUCUUUAACGCUUUGAUUAGCUUGGUAAAAGAGAUACAUGUCAUAGCUCAUCGCCUUUGGCCAAAACUGCUUGCUCCCCACCCCCUUUUUCGAGAGCACAUAGAGAAGGUUGGUCCUUUUAUUUGAUGAACUUAUUGGGUUAAUCUUGCCCAACUCUUUUACCACAUCCUCUAAGGACCUCGUCCUAGAUGACAUUGAUGCCUUCCAGCCUAAGAUACUACCAGGCUUUGAAGAUCUAUGCUCUCACUCAUGAUAAGAUGCUUGAUUUCCCAAAAGUGGUGCGUAGGUUGCUUGAUUGGAGGAAUUUGAUGUGUAUUCUCUAUGCAUAGAGCCCUCUACGUUGCUCUCACAUUCAUUCUCUUGGAGAGGCGGAAUACCUUUUCUUGAUGCAUCAAGAGUUGCCUUAUAGUAACAUUUUCUUUAGCAAAAUGUUAAAUGUUGGCCGCCAUGUUGCUAUAGCUCGAGUUAGCUUAGCCACGGUUCUUUAUGGAUUUGGGUUUCUUCUCAAAGUAUUUCUUGUUGAAACAACAUGACUUUCAUUCUAGCUCCCCUCGGGUUCUCAUCGCUGUUUGAUCCACUUUACUCUUCUUCUUUUUUUUUUACUUUUCUUGCUUCUCGCAUAUUCUCUUCUGGAGCUCAGCAUUCUUACAUCUUUGUUUAGAAUCUACUUCUUAGUAAAAGAUAAAAUUUUGUGGAUAUCAUUUGCAUGCAAAUAAUUAUCGAUGCCGAGUUCCUAAAUUCAUCAUCACUGAUAUUGGAAAACUCUUUUACAAUAGUCAUAUAAAUAAUCUUUGCGCCAAGUUUGGGCUCAAAAAAUACAACCCAUACAUGUACAAUGCGAAAACUACUUUGUUGAAAAAUAUUGUUUCCAAUUUAUUAGGAACUGGCAUGAAAAAAAUUGAGAAAGUCUUUGGGUUUGUCACACUACUUACUGGACUCAACAAAAGUUACUCCUUAUAUCCUUGUGUAUGGAGUGGAACAUUUCCUUAUAAUGUCAAAUUUCGUAAUUGUAUUAGCCAUCCAAGAAGUUUUGUUGAUGAACGAGAAUGUUCCUUUUUUGACUUGAGGAGUUUGCAUCUUUGAUUGAAAAGCGAUUAGAGGCAUAAAUGCUUCGAGAAUGUUAUCAAGCUCGGAGGGCAAAGGGCUUCAACAAAAAUGUGUAGCCAAAAUAAUUCUAAGUUGAAAAUAAUUAACUCCGAGAGAAAUUCAAACUUCAAGAAGAAAAAGAAGCUUGGAGAUUGAACACAAGAAAAUUUCUCCAGUGCAAGGUCAAAAGUUUCAAGAAUAAAGUCUUCUUCAAAUCAAAAUCAAAACAAACCCCCCAAGUCCCGAAAAUUCAAGUCAAGCCCAAAUCCUGAAGAUUCAAGCAAAUCAAGUUUCCAAUAGACAUCAAAGUCUAAGAUUCAAGCCAAAUGAUCCCGUAGUCUUCAAUACACUACUCACUAAUUAGAGGAUUGUGAAUUUUGUAGUCAUAAGAAAAUUAUACACUUAGUAAUUUUCCAAAAUCAAUUUGCAAUAUUUUUUAUAUCUUGUAUAUGAAAAUUGUUGUACAUGGCCUAUUUCGAUAAAUAAGAUUUGUGUGCGGACUUGGGCAAAACAAAUGUUACAUAUGUGCAGUUGAAUAAUAAUGAUUUGUCACUUAAUUUGUACUACAGAAGUUUGAUCUUCUACAACCAAUGGAAAAAAUAAAAACUUUUCACUGCUGAAACGUGAGAUCGAUUUCAUUGUUUUACAUGCAUAAUUGACGCAUGCAACAGUCAAUACAUGAAGUCAUCAUGCUCAUAUUGCAAUCCAUGAAUGGUACAAGUCUCUAUCGAUGUAAAGUAAAGACAUAAUAUGUUAUACAAAGGCAUUCGAAAGCUUGUAAUGUGAAACUUUUGUAUGUGUGUCAUCAUUUAUAAGGACACGGCCUACUCCAGAAAUUGACAAUUAAUUGCCAUGAAUAAUGUUAUUUGCAUUUGCUCACUACUGCAAUUAACAUACAUGUAACGGUUAGUGAUUUAUUGUACAAAGUAAUAAAAGACCACCACAUUGAUGUAUCAAAUCACUAACCACCAUAUAUACGCCACAUAGAACGAUUACGACAGUGAAUGACUGCAUAUAGCAUUACGCAAUUGCCAUAUAUCAUCUUAGUUGAAAGUUGGAACAACCCGAAAGCAAACUAUAUAAUUACGCAUUGAACUGUGUAAAACUAUAACUAUUAUAUUAAAUUAAAAUUCCAUCAAAUUAAGAGGUAAACAUUUAAUGAUAUUUCGACCUAAAAAAUUGAUAAGCUUCGGGAGAAAACAUGAUAUUAAUAAUAUUAAUUAAGAGGAAAUUACAAAAAAAAUGUCUAUUUUGAAAUAAUCGUUUAUAAAAAUGUCCAAAAUUUUUCAAUAUCUACUUUUGCAAUUAUUUGGAUGAGAGUAUCACUAAGUACCUUCCAUGAAAAACUACAUUAAAAUGAUGUUCUCGAUAUUUCAAAUGUUGUUCUCGAUAUUUGAAUCUGUUUAUAUUUCAAAAGUACACAUAUUAAAUCAAAAUAUUAAAUGUUCUCGAUAUUUCAAAUGUUGUUCUUAACAUAUUAAAUAUCUAGAAUGACAUUUCAUUCCAAAUAUGACAUUUCUCUCCAUUUUAAAUGUUGUUCUCAACAUUUCUGUGUCUAGUAUUAAUUGUGAUUUGACAUGUGCAAUAUGAAAUUAUUUAUUCUUCAUUAAGGGUAAAAUAGAGAAUUUGGUGUCAAAUUUAGCCAUUUUUGUAAAGAUUAUCAAAAAUGAACAUUUUUAAAUUGACAUAUGUGAAAUUGGACAUUUUUACAAAUGUCCCAUUUAUUAAUUGGUCAAACUUCAUGAUCAUCACGUAACGAAAACUAUCUAUUGUCUAACCAAGGAUGACAGAAAAUAAAAAUUGUCUCGUUUAAUAAACUUCUAGCUGGUGAAUGUAUCACUUGAUUAUAAUUAAUGUUAUAUUAAAUAAUAAAAAAAUUCUAGUAAGACCAAAUGUUCACGUAGGACAUGACUAUUCUCCAAUAGUUUUUUUUUUUUAAUUUAAAAGAAAAAAAAAUGUUAAACAUGCUACGUUGAGUACCAGAAAUGAUUAACAAUUAUUAUAGUGUGCUUAAGGGCCCAUAAUUAUUCUAACUUUUGUCACUUGCUGAUGCUUUUGACCUCUGCGAAUCAUUUUUUGAACAAUGAAAUCCAUAACAUAAAGGUGAUUAAGUGAGAUGGAGCCUUAAACGAAUCCCGGUGAGCAGUUGCAUUAAUUAAACACGUGUGUGUGCAGAUAGCUGUACAUUUGUCCUUAAUCUAUUUAUUGAAUAGCAAGUUUUUAUUUUUUAUUUAUUUUUUAUUUUUUAUUUUUAAUGAAGUUGCACAUCAACGACAAAAAUUGUCCAAAUCUUCAUUAAACCACACAUGAUCCUCACAUUUCUAAAUUUUAACUUCGUAUAAUUGAAUUGUGUUUUGCAAAUUGGACCAAUAUUUAAAUGGGACAUGUUUGUUAUUGGAGUUUUUCAUGAUAUUUGUACUUGAUUUUAAUUUGUUAAAUUAUACGGAAGUCAACGUAUAGUUGACUAUCUUGGUAACUAUGGCUUAUGCUCAUCCAUUACAUAUAACGUUUUGUGAUGAUAUUAGGCAUUUAACACAUUUGGCCCCAAAAAGAAACACAACUUUUUUUACAUUUAGAUGUUCAAUAUUUAAUAAAAUAAUUAUAUAUUUUGUAGGUAAAUGGACACCUUGAUAAUUUUGUAAUUAAUUUUAUUAUUAUCGUUUGAUGUUGAGACUUCAUAUUAAAUAAAGAGGAAAUUUCACAAAAUGUCCAUUUUUACUUAGUCAUUUGCAAAAAUGUCCAUAAUUGCAAAAAUGUCUAAUUUGGAAGAAUUUAGACCAAAAUACCCUUAGUAACAAUUUAUAAUUCCACACUAAGACAAAAAAGGGACAUUUUUGCAAUAUUGUUAUUGGUCAGUAAAAUUUUGACACAUAACCUGUCAUAUUUAUUUCAAAAAGUAUACAUAUCAAAUUACAAUAAAUGCUAUAUUUUUCAUUGAUUCAGAAAUGUAGAGAAACGCCAUGUUCAAAAUGAAAUGUCAUUCUAGACAAAUGAAACGGUGUUCAAAUGUCGAGAAUGACAUAUGAAAUGUCUAGAAAUAUUAUUUUAAUGUAACUUCUCAUAGAAGCUACUUCUCAAAAUUCGUGACAAAUUGAUAAAAAAAUCAAAUGUCGAGAACGACAUUUAAAAUGUCGAAAAUACAAUUUCAAAAUGUAGCUUUUCAUUAAGGGCAUAAUAGACAAGUUGGCACUAAAUUCGAAUGAGUGGACACUUUUCAACUCAUACCUUUAAAAUUUGACAUUUUUAAAAAUGCCCCUUAAAUACAUGUUUCUAAAAUUUAUUUUCCAGCAGCACAAUAAAUAGUCACAUUGCUCACAAUUAGAAUGGUCAAUAAAUGUAGUAGCGUAAUGCACUUUAAUUCUUCACAGAGAAAUUUUACUAAAUAUAAAUUAAUAUAUAGUUUCAUCAAGAAUAAUAUUCUUACCAUAUGCAUCGUGUCUUACUCACACUUAAAAAAUAAAAAAUUGGGAGGUGUAGUUUGGUGAGCCAAUCACGCUUAUGGAUUAAUACCACUUUAUAAGUUUUGAAAAGAAGUCAAACCAUUCUCUAUCUCAUAUAUGAAGUUGAGAUUCUCACUCACACUUAAAAAAUAAAAAAUAAAAAAUUGGGAGGUGUAGUUUGGUGUGCCGAUCACGCUUAUGAAUUAAUACCGCUUUAUAAGUCUUGAAAAGAAGUCAAACCAUUCUCUAUCUACUAUAUGAAGUUGAGAUUUGACAGAAAAUGGAAGAUAUGCAAGUAAAAUUUGUUAUUCGGCUCGAUCCUCAACCUCCAUUUAACUUGGUCUUUGUGCAAUCAUGUCGUCAUCUUAUUAUGUUCAUCAAUUAUGCUUACACAUUUUUGGUAGAGCUCCACAUCAUUAAUGGAAGUAAAGAUUUUAUUUUAUAAGUUUUGUGAGGCCUAUGAUCAAGUACCAACAUGGUGAAGUGAUAGAAUAUGAUCCUAAUAAUUGAAUUUGUAAUCUGACUAUGAAAACCCUCAUCCGCAUGAAUACUUUCUUUAAUGUAAAUUCGAUUUGUGUUUAAAAUGUUCAAUUUUCAAUAAUAUAUUAUAGUCUUUCGAACGCUACGCCAUGGCCAAGUGAGGGAAUGCAUUAAGCACAUGAUAGUGCCUGCUUCAGCGAGGAAAGAAUCCAUUUUAUUUUUAUUUUUUUGGCUUGUUUAACAUAACUUUUUGUUUUUACUUUUAUUUCUGCUUCCUUUAGAAGAGUGAGGUUUUUGUUUUUGUUUUUGUUUUUUGAAAUUACCUUAAUUUUCAGUGGUGAAACAAAUUUAUGAUUAUGAUCAUCUUCAAAUGCUUUAACAAUCUAAUAGCCACCUUCAAUGUCGUUUGAGAUUCGCAUGUUAGCCUUACAUCUACCUCUAACCGUUGAGCAACUUUUUCCUUUUGUAGAACCCUAUAUCUGACAAUUCUCUAUUUCACUUAAUCCUUCAAAAAUCUUCCUACUAUAAUAUUUUCUUUCAUGUGAGCACACAAAUUUAAUAAGUGUAAAUUCAUUUAUACGUGGGUGUUACUUAACUACUGUUUGAGUACGAAUCCAUAAACCAUUUUGUCGUCCAUAGUCUUCGUGUUAUGCCCUUGCUUCCUUUGCCGUCUUAAAUUUCAUCCCAAUGUAAGGCGCUUUGCCUUGUAUUGACGAUAACCCAAUCUCAUCAAAUUGAUACGCAUGUACAUAAUUACCACAAUUGGUUGCACCCAUCUACAAAACAAUUUUGAAAGAAUCAAUCAAUGAUAUUGAUUGCAUAGAAUUACCGAUAAUCAAAUUCAUUGUUGAAUAACUCGUACAUAUAUUUUCUUAAACAAAUUGUAGCAUACUUAAUUUUUAAAGUAUUCCCUGUUGAAGUAUAUAAUAACAUUUAUUAACCAUUUUAUUAACACUUCAAGCUAGUGAUAGCAACGGGGCGGGGUUAACAUUUAUUAAUCAUUUUACUAACACUUCAAGCUAGUGAUGGCAACGGGACGGAUUCGGGGCAGGGGGCUCCCACCCAGUCUUGCCCCGCCCCAACCCCACCCGCUCCGUUUAGGCGUGGUUGGGUUCGGGGUAGUUUUUUGCCCCAUUUACUACCCCAUUUAACUUUUUUUUUUUUUACACAUUUUCAAAAUUUAGAGUUAUAUUAUUAAAUUAUUAAAUACAAAUUCAAAAUUUAAAAAUUCAAAACAAAUAAUGCUCAAAUUAAAAUCAAUAUUCAAAGAAACACUUGAAAAAACAAUAUCCAAUAUAUUCACAGGGAGGGUUCGGGGCGGGGCAGUCUCAACCUAUCGGGGCGGGUUUUUUUGCCCCAUUCAGGACCGGGGCAUGGCGGGCGGGGUAAAUUGUCAUCUCUACUUCAAGCAAAUUAAAACUCAAUUAUAACCUUUAAAUCACAGAUGAAUCAAGCAUUAUGCUGAAAUUGAUGCAACACUACUCAAACUGCAUGAUACAUUAUGUGGAAAUCAAAAGAAAAUAAACACGGAUCCUUUUCCCACCAUUCAUGAUAAAUCAGAUUUGGAUAUUAGAGGAAAAUCAGAUUCAAGAACAUGAUAUAACACAGUUUUGUAGAAUGAUCAAAAUAACAAAAUCGAAACCUCACGUGAGAUUUUGGUUGAAAAACAGUUAACCGCUUACAGAAUCAUACCUAAAAAAAUUACUUCAGUUCUUAUUCUGCUUUCUCCUAAAUAAAUGAUUUGAUGACACAAUAGGAAUCCUCUAAAAAUUUAUACAUGGGCAAAGAAAUUCUUUACAUGCAGUGAUGAUUUGAAGAUUCAAUUUUGUGAGGGAGAUGAUGAAUUUCGGUGGUGAUGGAGAAUGCAUAAGAUGAUAGAAAAUCAUGAUGUUGUUGAGAGAUUUUAGGGAUUAAUAUAAGGUAAUUAGGGGUGUUUGGAAGUAAGAUUAUGAAUUCUUUCAUGUUUUAAUAUAUAAACUCCUAGCAUUGGAUUGAUUUUAAUUAAAGAUCACGAUUAUUUGUCAUAAAUACUUGUCAAAUUAAUGGGUAGACUUCCCUAUGCUCAUCAGAUAUGAGCCGCUGGUGAAUUUGUCGGAUAGACAGAUCUUUGUGAAAUUGAAUCAAUUGCUUAGGUGAUUGCCCUUUAGCCCUUUGUUUGACCAAAAAGACUCCCAUGAGUUGGAUGGGCUAAUGCUUAAAGAUAAAUUUCAAGAGAUUCCCUAUUUUAAUUUUUGAAAAUAGAGAGUGGGUAAAUAUACGAAGAAAUUAAUAAAUAUUUCUUGAGAAAAGUAAAAGAAGAAGACAAAAUAGAAAGUAUUAUUGCAGAGAAUAAAAUUUAGACUCUCUAUAUAAUGCAUAAAAAAAUUUUUACAAAUAAAAAGUUUGUUGAAGUUGAUCUAAUGAUGGUAUAAAUGAAAGAUUUGGAUAAAAUUUGUAAAAAAAAUAAAAAUAAAAUAAAUAAAUAUGUUGUAAAUGGAAAGUCCAUUAAAGUUUAUUGGUGAAUGACAUUUGUACCCCUGUAACCCUAGAAAUUAUUACCAUUGUAUCCCUAAUUCUUACCUAUAAAUAUAGGGCUUUGAUUUUCAAUAAUAUACACAAAAAGUUUAUUGAAUUUUCUCUAUUCUCUUUGAGUUUUCUCUAUUCUCUUUUCCUCUCAUUUUAUAACACGUUAUCAGCAUGAAACUCUUAGAAGAUAGUAAUUUUUUUUUUCAUAAUCAUCUAUCACGUAUAUCAAAAUUAAUUUGAUAAUACGUGAAUUUUACAUAUACAUAUGUUGAAUCUGCAAUACGUGAUCUCAUCUUUCUCGAUCAUUAUGUUUUCUUUGUACCUCUCUUUGAAUUAAUUAAUUUUUUUUCCUUUACAUCAAUCCACGUGCAUUUUUAUGGAGAUAUAUUUAUGUUAAGUCAAUUGAUAUGUAUUAAUUCAUGUUCCUAUACCCUCCUUGUAUUUAGAUUAGUCCUUUACAUUCUACACAUGCUUAUAAUUUUUUUUGGUUUAAUUGGUCAAUGUUCUUUGUAAGCAAGCUUCAAUUCCAGAUCUCUAUUUUGGCUUAUUCCAUAUAUAUAUAAUAUACAAUUAACAAAUAACUGUACCCAACUCAUCUUUUCUCUCAAAUCCAUUGGUUUCUGCAAAUUUCAUGCUUUAAUUGGUUAAUACUAAUUCAAUUCUUUUAAUUGCACAUAAUUAGAAUUUCAUGCCAUAAUAUGUGAAUAGGUGUCUACAUGUCACCAAUUUUUUUUUUGUGUUUCACUCGACUCACGUUAUUAAUUGAAAAUAAUAUUUUACAUGUGUUUGUAUAUUAAUUAAUGGUGAGCAAUUGGAUGUAUUAUCAUUUUUUUUAUGUUUAGUUAUGAAACAUUACAUUAAAUUUAUUUUUAAUUGUUGUUACUCCUGAAGUAGCACAACAUUAUAAUUAAUAUUCUAGAAGAAUAUUAAUCAUAAAUCUAUUCGUUGUUGCUCCAGAAGUAGCACAACAUUAUAAGAAUAUUAUUUACUCCUGAAGAGUAUAAAUUAUAACUCUCAAUAUUCCAGAAAAAUAUUGACAUAUUGCACUUGAAGAAAUAAUAGCAAAAUAUAAUGUACUUCAGAAGUAGCAUAUGUUUCGAAGAACAUAUUAUUUCAAAUUAGUGUUUAUCCCUAGAAGAAAACACGUAAUUUAAAGUCAUGUUGAUAUUGACUAUUUGAUUAACUUGUGAUGAUUAAUCAUAUUCUUCGAAACUAAUUAUAUUUUUUUAUUGUGUAGUUAAAUAAAUGGCAAACAUUACGAAACUUGAGUUUGCUGCACUUGACAUAUCUGGUAAAAAUUAUCUGUCAUGUAUACUGGAUGCUAAUAUCCAUCUCGUCUCAAAGGGUCUGGGAGAGACAAUAAAAGAAGGAAACAACGAAUCCUUGCAGGAUCGUGUAAAAGCACUCAUUUUCCUUCGUCACCAUCUUCACGAUAGAUUAAAAAUUGAGUAUCUCACUGAGAAAGAUCUACAAGUUCUUUGGAAAAAGUUAACUGAAAGAUUUGAUCAUCAAAGGACUAUAGUCCUCCCCAAAGCCCGUUAUGAGUGGAUGUACCUUUGUUUGCAAGUCUUUAAAACGGUUAGAGAGUACAAUUCUGAAUUGUUCAGAAUAUGUUCAAAGUUGACUUUGUGUGGAGAAAAAUCACUAAUGAAGAUAUGUUGAAAAAAACUUUCUCCACCUUUCAUGCCUCGAAUGUGCUCCUGUAGCAGCAAUAUCGUGAGCGUGGCUUCAAAAAGUACUCAAAACUUAUAUCUUGCCUAUUAGUUGCUGAACACAAUAAUGAAUUGUUGAUGAAAAAUCAUGGAUUACGUCCAACUAGUUCUGUACCAUUGCCUGAAGCAAAUGGUACUACAUUGUCUGAAGCAAAUACAAUAUCAAGACAAGGACGUGGAUACGAAUUUGGAGGUGGACACAAACACGGACGUGUACGUGGAAUAAAUCAUGGAAGAAAUAAUCAACAAAAUUAUCAACAACAAGGUAAUAAAUUCAAAAGGCACAAAGCAAACGAGAGUGACAAAUCUAAAAAAGAGCAUGAAGAAAGUUGCUUCAAAUGUGGAAUGAAAGGGCAUUGGGCACGUAUGUGUCGUACCUCAAAAUAUCUUGUGGAUCUCUACUAGAGAUCAAUCAAGGGAAAAGAAAAAUUAGAGACUAAUUUUGCUGAUUAUGAUGGUCCAAUUGAUGUGACUCAUUUGGAUGUCUCCGAUUUCUUUACUGAUCCAAAUGAAAAUAUUGACCAUUUGGUUGGGGUGGUGUGAUAGAAGAUAUAAAUUAAUUUACUAGUAUUUCUUUCGUUUUAGAAAUUCAGUCUGAAAUAUGUUUUUACUUUUUUGCACAAAAAAAAUAAAUAAAUAAAACUCUAUUAUGCAAUGUUUAUUUCAUGAUAUUAAGUAAUGUUUACUUCUUUAAAUCUAAAUUCAAGUUUUUUUUUAAAAAAUUUGUUUAUUUUGUUAUAUUUAUAUAUUCAUGAUGAAUAGUCAAGACAGCUGCUUAAUUGAUAGUACAACUACACAUACUAUUCUUCAAGAUAAAAAAUACUUUUUGGACUUAAUAUUAGCCGAAAAUAAUGUUAACACGAUAUCGGGUGCGUCGAAUAUCGAUGAAGGCUCCGGAAGAGCUUGUAUUAUUUUACCAAAUAAUACAAAAUUAUAUAUUGACGAUACACUUUAUUCUAACAAAUUCAGAAGAAAUUUGCUUAGUUUUAAAGAUUUCGCUGCAAUGAAUAUCACAUUGAGACAAUGCAAGAAAAUAAUGUUGAAUAUCUUUGCAUCACUUCUUUUGUAUUUGGCAAGAAGCAGAUAAAAGAAAAAUUUCAUGCACUUCCGUCUGGGAUGUAUUUUACAUUUAUAAAAAUGGUCGAAUCAAAUAAUGUUACGAAUCAGAAGUUCAUUGAUUCAAAAAGUUUUAUACUUUGGCAUGAUCGACUUGGACAUCCAGGAGCCAUAAUGAUGCGUCGAAUAAUAAACAACUCACAUGGACAUCUUUUAAAGAACCAAAAAAAUUCUUUUUUCUAAUGAUUAUCCAUGUGUAGCUUGUUUGCAAGGAAAGUUAGUCAUUAAACCUUCAACUACAAACGUCAAUAUUGAAUCUCCAACUUUCUUGAAAAGAAUACAUGGAGAUAUAUGUGGGCCAAUACACCCACCAUAUGGACCAUUUCGUUACUUUAUGGUAUUAAUUGAUUCUUCUACAAGAUGGUCACAUGUUUGCCUACUUUCAACUAGGAAUGUAGCAUUUGCUAGACUACUUGCUCAAAUCAUAAAAUUGCGUGCACAAUUCCCCGAUUACUCAAUCAAGACUAUUCGUCUUGACAAUGCUGGUGAAUUUAGAUCACAAGCAUUUGAUGAUUAUUGUAUGUCGAUUGGGAUUGAAAUUGAACAUUCAGUUGCACAUGUUCAUAUACAUAAUGGUUUAGCAAAAUCGUUUAUUAAACGUCUACAACUUAUUGCUAGACCAUUACUUAUGAAAACAAAACUCCCAGCUUCUGUUUGGGGUCAUGCCAUAUUACAUGCUGCAUCAUUGGUUCGUAUAAGACCAACUGCCUAUCAUCAAUAUUCACCUUUGCAACUUGCAUUUGGUCAUGAACCUGAUAUUUCUCACCUACGGAUUUUUGAUUGUACUGUCCAAGUUCCUAUUUCACCCCCCACAACGUACUAAAAUGGGUCCCCAACAAAGAUUUGGGAUUUAUGUGGGUUUUGAUUCACCAUCUAUUAUUAGAUAUCUUGAACCUUUAACGGGUGACUUAUUUACAGCACGUUUUGUAGAUUGUCAUUUUGAUGAAAUGACUUUCACAACUUUGGAAGGAGAAAAACUACAUUCUGAAAAACAAGAUAGAAUUUCUUGAAAUGAGACAACUCUAUCUCACUUUGAUCCCCGCAGCAAUCAAUAUGAACAAGAGGUUGAAAAAAUCAUUCAUUUACAAAGAGUUACAAUUCUACUACCUGAUAUAUUUGUUGACAUGAAAAAAGUGACAAAGUCAUUUAUUCCAGCAGAAAAUAUUUCAGCAAAAAUUAAUGUCCCUACAGGACAAUCUACUGUGGCAAAUGAAUCUCAAAUACGCCAGAAGCGUGGUCGACCAGUUGGUUCAAAAGACUCUGUACCUAGAAAAGAAGAGUACAGAAGAAAAACCAACCAAAAAUUUCAGAAAAAAUCACAUUAGAAAAGAUUGAUCAAUUAAAUAUUGAAUGUACGGUUCCUGAAGAACCAGAGGUGUCUGAAAAUAAUGAGAUUUCAAUAAAUUAUAUGAUAUCUCAUAAAUUAUGAGAACGGAAUAAUAUUGUUAUAGACAAUAUUUUCGCCUUUAACAUGGCUCUUGAUAUUAUACAAAAUGAGGAUCCUGAACUACAGUCUGUUAAUGACUGUUGAAAUAGAAAUGAUUGGCCAAAAUGGAAAGAAGCCAUACAGGCAGAAUUAAAUUCUUUGGAGAAACGAAAAGUGUUUGAACUAGUAGUUUGAACACUUGAAAAUGUAAUUUCUGUUGGAUACAAAUGGGUUUUCGUACGAAAGAGAAAUGAGAAUAAUGAAAUUACAAGAUACAAAGCCCGACUAGUGGCUCAAGGUUUCUCCCAAAGACCGGGAAUUGAUUAUGAGGAAACAUACUCUCCCAUAAUGGAUACCAUCACUUUUAGGUUCUUAAUUAGUUUGACCGUGUCAUAAGGGCUCGAUAUGCGCCUUAUGGAUGUUGUAACUGCCUACCUAUAUGGUUCACUUGAUAGUGACAUAUAUAUGAAAGUCUUUGAAGGAUUUAAGGUGCCAGGAAUAAAUUAUACAUAUCCGAGAACUAUGUUCUCAAUUAAAUUGCAAAAAUCAUUAUAUGGAUUGAAACAAUCCGGACGCAUGUGGCAUAAUUGCCUUUGCGAAUAUUUGUUGAAAGCGGGUUAUAAAAAUGACAAUAUCUGCUCAUGUGUUUUCAUAAAGAAAACAAAUAUUGGAUUUACAAUUUGGCAGUUUAUGUUGAUGAUUUAAAUUUAAUUGGAACUCCUGAAGAGCUCAACAAAAAUGCAGAUUAUUUGAGAAAUGAAUUUGAGAUGAAAGAUUUGGGGAAAACCAAAUCUUGUCUUGGAUUACAAAUUGAACAUUUUCCAGAGGGAUUAUUUGUUCAUCAAUCUACUUAUACAGAAAAAGUCUUGAAGCGCUUUUAUAUGGAUAAUGCACAUCCAUUGCCAUCACCUAUGGUUGUUCGAUCACUUGAUGUGAAAAAAGAUCCAUUUCGUCCACUUGAAGAUGGAGAAAAGAUUCUUGGUCUUGAAGUGCCAUACCUUAGUGCAAUUGGAGCAUUAACUUAUCUUGUAAAUUGCACUCGACCUGACAUAGCUUUUUCUGUAAAUCUCCUUGCAAGACAUAGCUCUACGCCAACUCAAAGGCAUUGGAAUGGUGUUAAACAUAAUUUUCGUUACCUAAAAGGUACUAUUGAUAUGAGACUAUUUUAUUCUCAAAAGUCAGGAUCUGCUUUAGUGGGAUAUGCAGAUGCAGGUUAUCUCUCCGAUCCACAUAAAGCUAAAUCACAAACAGGAUAUGUGUUUACACGUGGAGGAACAGCUAUAUCAUGGAGAUCUGUGAAGCAAUCCUUGACAGCAACAUUCUUACAUCAUUCUGAGAUUAUUGCAAUCCAUGAAGCAGGGCGAGAAUGUGUAUGGUUGAGGAAUAUGACCCAUCAUAUCCAAUCAUCAUGUGGAUUGACUUCAAUAAAAGAUAGUCCAACAAUUUUGUUUGAAGAUAAUGCAGCUUGUAUCGCACAACUCAAGGGAGGCUAUAUCAAAGGCGACAGGACGAAGCAUAUUUCUCCAAAAUUCUUUCAUACACAUGAACUUCAGAAGAAUGGUGACAUUGAUAUUCAACAAAUUUACUUAAGUGACAAUGUGAUUGAUCUAUUCACAAAAACGCUGUCAACAUCUACAUUCAAGAAAUUAGUUCAUGAGAUUGGAAUGCGUCGACUCAAAGAUUUUCAGUGAUCAAUAUUAGGAGGAGUAGCUGUACUCUUUUUCCUUCGCUUAGGUUUUGUCCCAUUGGGUUUUCCUAGCAAGGUUUUAAUGAGGCAGCAUUUAAUUUUAAUACUCCAAAAUAACUGUACUCUUUUUCCUUCAUUUAAUUUUUUUUCCCCAUUGGAUUUUUAUCAAACAAGGUUUUAACGAGGUAGAUAUUUUGUAAUAUGUCAUUCAACGAAGAGUGUUGUAAAUGGAAAGUCCGUUAAAGUUUAUUGGUGAAUGACAUUUGUACCCCUGUAGCCCUAGAAAUUAUUACCAUUGUAUCCCUGAUUCUUACCUAUAAAUAUAGGGCUUUGAUUUUCAAUAAUAUACACAAAAAGUUUAUUGAGUUUUUUCUAUUCUCUUUUCCUCUCAUUUUAUAACAAAAUAGUAAUAAUAAAUGAAAGAUUUGGAAUUACAACUGUAUUAUUCCUACGAUGGUUAUGUUGCCACCAUAAUUUCUAUUUGUCACACCACAAUUUAAUUGUAGUUAAACUCCCAAAUCCAUGCUCAUUGUAAUAAUUAUUUCCUUUAUUUUCGUUGAAUUUUUAUCUUCAACUUUCAUUAAUUAGUACAUCACGUCCUGACGAUAAUUUAUGUUAAAAUAUUUUGUGUACAUGCUCUACAUUAAGGGAAAAUAAAAUUUUUUUAAUUUUUAUAUAUGAUAAAAAAUAAGUUGUUGUAAGCUGUUUUUUUUUAACAUAAAUUGUUAUCAAAUACAAAAUAUAUUUGUAGUGGUCCAAAUUAUCCGUUGGGCUCUUGACCCAAUCCAUGUAUAUUGAAUGUUCCUAGCCCAAACUAAUGUAUGCCAAUCAUGCUCAUCCUUGACCCACUAAUGAUUUAUCAGUCUUACUUUGUGUCCGACCUAUCACACGGUGUCACGUAGAGUCUAAAGGAUAAACUUCUCAACAAGCAAAUCAGUUCAACUCACCAUCUUUUCUAUAAGAGUCGUGAGCUAAGGGUAAGACCAUGUCUUACGAGGUGUUCAAAUGGUUAUGGUAACUCUACCCAAAGUUGGUCGAGUUUUUCGAAACUCGGAAAAUAUCAUCCUAAUUAAUCAAUCCAUCUGGUGUCCACAUGCUCCACUAUUUGUGGAUCAAACAAUUUUGCUGGUUCUCUUAUAAAUAUGAGGGCCAACUAUUCAAGGGGAGAAAAAAAAAUUAUUGAGCCUACACAGCUUCCUCAAUAUUUAUCCAAUUUAGAUAUCUUAUUGCCAUUACUAUCACUUUUAUUUGUCACCUCUCACAAUCAUAUCAUCCAACCACUUCGCUACUAUCACUAUUUCAUCAUGCCAAUCAUAAAUAUCAUCAAUGCCUACUUUUAGAAUCAACUAUAGAUUCGAACAUCUACAAUUUGGCGCCCACCCCGUGGGCCCCAGUGAUUUUCAACACAAAAAAUAUUCCACUAACAGUAAACAUUUUGAUCGCAAUGACGGAAUCCCUAUUAUUGUCAAAGCUAGCAGCCAUGCUUGUUCAAUUUACUUCUCAAAUGGCUGAAACCAACCAAAAGUUCUAGCAGCUAGAAGUAUAAAAUGUACAACUUAAGCAGACAAUUAGAGAGCUCUCUACACUCUCAACGUUAGCUGGGACCAAGAGCCACAUUCAAUUUCACACUGUAGUGAGAACCAUAUAGUUACUUGACAUGCCAAAGCGUGACAUGCUAGGUAUAUGAAGAACUAAUGUCAAUACUAACAAUGUCAAUACAGGCCACGAGACAGACAUGGAGGACGAGGUACUGCUUGACGACCUACCCAUUGUAAAGGAGCUGGUACCACAGGUCAUUAAUACAAAUUACCAAAACACGGACUCUUCACGCAACGAAGGCACUAGCCCAAAUCCGAUAUCGAUCAACGUUUCGCCAUGACAGAGGCCAUGAUCAACCAUAUCCUGAGUGUACCUAUACCGAUCAAGAAAAAUAGGCAAAGCUUUGCGGACUCACCAUUUGUCUAUUCGAUAGCUCUAGUUAAAAUGUCAAUAAAUUUCAAUUUUUCCAAUAUGAAGAUGUAUGAUGGCACCACCGACCCAAAUGCCCAUAUUGCCCAAUGUAAACAAAGAAUGUUCACAGUAACCAGGCCCGGUUCUGGGGCCAGGCGAAUAAGGCCUACGCCUCAGGCCCAGAUUCCAAGGGGGCCUCAUUUUUAGCCCAGAAUUUUAUUUUAUUUUAUUAUUUUUUUCGGUUGAACCAAACUAGUAAUGAAGAAGAGUACCUCACAACUUCAAGCCCAAAUCCAAUACCCUUAGUCUUAAUCCAUUUAUCCAACUUAUACAUCCAUAAAUCAUAAUCUAUUAUCUGUCAUUUACCCAAAAUUCCCAAUUUCCCAAUCCCCAAUCAAAAACCCCUUUCUCCCAAACGCUCGUCUGAGUAGUCCGUCCCCUUCGUAGCGUCGCCGAUCGCCUCUGUCUCUCUUCUCGACUUCCUCAUUCCGACUUCCAGAUUUCCUCUUCCUUGAGUCAUCAGUUACGGUCCAUGGAGUCGGACACCAUCGUAGUUCACACCAAUUCCCUUCCGUUGCGGAGCACAGUUCGCUGUUCACCCCUGUUAGCAAGCAAGUGCUUGGCAGUUGACUAUUAGUUUAGUAUGUUAAGAUUAUUAAUUCCUUUUGAGUUAUAUGAUUACAUUUACACUAAGUAUUCAACUAUUCAUUCAUGACUUUUACCUUUUACUUAUUAUAAUUUUGAUUACAUGACUUUAACUAAUAAAUGCUCUUUUUCUAUGUUACUGUUAAAUACUUUAAUAUUAAUGGGUUAACUGUUAUCUAGUCUAGGAUGGAGUCGAGGACUUGAAAAUGCUACAACUAUGUUUAAUGAUUAUUGAUUAAUAUAUAAUUUGUUGUACAAGUUUGAGACGAAGAACUCUCAAAUCUCAAGUAAUGACUAAUGUGUGAAAUAGUUUAUAGUUAAUUUCAAUAACUUAGUUUGAUAGGUCUUUGUGAGAAUAUAUAGUUGAGAACUUGAGAUAUUAUUUUGUUAAUGAACUUAAGAAAAGAUAUCUUCAGUUUUUACAACCAGUAUACUAAUUUGAAUUAAUUUAUUUUGUUGAUGAAACUAUUUUAACGGUGAUUAGCUCUUAUUAAAUGUGUUAUUUCCCUAAGCUUGACUAAAUGUGCGCCUAUUUUUAAGUAUUGGUGUUUGAUGUUAAAUUUUUGUUUCAGGUUCGUAAGUUAUGACGAUGAAAUUCGCAAGGGUGUGAUUCCAUAGUUUUUGUCGCAAUUCUGCUUAUCAAGUAAGCAGUGGUUUUCCCUAACUUGUUAUUUAAGAGAUUAGAAAUGUUUGGAGCCUUGUCGGCUUAUAUAAUUGCAGCUUGGUUGGCUUAUAUGAUUGAUUAUUGUACGAUCAACUAUUUCAGAAGAAAGAUAGAAUGGAUUGACUAUGUUGUCAAUAGAGAAAGAAAUAGUUGAAUAGCUAAACUAUUCAAAUUUUAUUAAUGUUUUUGCCUUUUAGACGAAUAAUAUUUAACUAAUUACUUGAAAUAUUUUGGUUUUGUUAUUUGAUAAUAUAAAUUUUUUAUAUAAUAUAUCUGUUUGUUGUUUUAACUAAAUUUUAAGUUAGCAAUAAGUUGCAUAAUAUACCAUUGCAUUUACGUUGAUUUCGGGAGGGGGCCUAAUUUAUAUGCUUUGCCUUGAACCCUGACAAUCACAGGACCGACCUUGAUAGUAGCAAACCCACAUGAUCUCUAAGAAGCAUACAGGUGCAAAGGAUUCGGCUCUAGUCUUAUAGGGCUAGCUUUAUAGUGGUACACCAAUUUAACUAACAACUCAAUAUCAUCUUUUGUACAAUUAAAUGAUAUUUUUGUAGAGCAAUUCGCAAGUAGCAGAAAAUUAAUUAUUCGAACAUCCUCUAUAAAAUUGUACAAUGCACAGAAAUCUCUACUUUCAAAAAAAGAUUUAAACCUGACUCAGACCUCUACAAGGAAUUGACUAAGUACGCUUACUACACAAUGAAAGAUGUGUUGGUAGAGGCCUAGGCUCAAAUCAAGAGGGAAGAUGACGAGGCUAAUGCAUUUCGCAACCUACUCUUCAAGAUCAAAGAACCUAAAGGUAUCCAGAGGAUACAAAGACGACAAACUGACCCAUAUCCAAAAUUGAUUGUAGAAUCUUGUGAAGAACGGACAACUAGAAACUAUUGAGUGCCUUCACCAUUCUUACGAUAGACCAAGGAUACCCGAGUACAACCUUAGCAUUUUAUCAGUUGAAGUUGUAGCCAUAAUAAAAGGGAAGGAAAAUACCAUCAAAUUGAUAGGAAAAAUGAGAAGUCAUCUAGGCAACAGGCGUGAUACAUCCAAACCGUGUGCAUUUUAUGGUGAUCACGAACACAAAAUUCAUGAUUGUAUUGGUUUGUGAUUGGAAGUUGCUAAUCUACUCAAAUGUAGGCACUCACCAAUCUCCUAACAAAGAAAGGAAAAAAUACAUUGUUUCUCGGCAACCAAUGCUACAAUGAACCACACAAUCUAUGAAUUUCCAAGCACAUCCAAAGCUCGGUCGAGCAAUAACUUCAUCACCAAAGGAUCGAAGGUUAGCGGGAUCACUUAUUCUGUUGUACAAUGAUGCAUUCAAAUAAUUGGAUAGGUGGCGUGGAACGAAUCUCGAAAGCUUUCAAUAAGCUGAGAAGGCCAUCCCACUACGCUUAACUUUACAAGUAACGAGGCAUCAAACCUCCAAAACCUUCAUUGCGAUGCUUUGGUUAUUUCGUUAUGUAUUGCUAGCUAUCUUAUGAAAAGAAUUUCUAUCGACAAUGUGAGUUCUACUAAUAUAUUUUUCCUUGAGACAUUAAGAGAGAUGUAGGUCCCAGAGUCCAGCAUUAUAUGCAAUAUUACCACACUCAUAUGAUUCAAUUGAGAACACAAAACUACACUAUGAGAGAUGAUGCUCUUGGUCUAUGAUGAAGAAGUAAAUCUUCAUACCAAGUUCCUUGUCAUCGAGUGCCCAUUGGCCUACAACGUUAUCAUAGAAAGACAUUGGAUAUAUGCAAUGAAAGAUAACCUUCAAGCUAUCACAAGGUCAUGGGCUUUCCCAUUUCCUGGAGAGUUAAAAAAAUAUGAGGAGAAUCAAAGAGUCUCACGCAACUGCUAUAUGAAUGCUUUCAAACCCUGACCAGAAUGAGUGCACUAGAUCCAACAAAAAGUAAGCGAAUCGCUUGAGCCAGAUAUGGAGGACAUCAACAAAGUCCAAUUAUAUCUAGACAUUUCAAAGCAUACAGUGUAGAUUUGAGAUUAAUUCCCAUCAGACAUCUGAGAUGUAAUAAUUGAAUUUCUAGCUUGACAUCAAGAUCGCUUUGCAUGGUCGCACAUGAAUAUGACAUGUAUUGAUCCUUCAAUAGUAACCUAUAAAUUAAAGGUCAAUCCCACUACUAACUAGUUAGACAGAAGAGACACAAAUUCGCUCCAAAAACGAUAAAAAUUAUUAACGACAAAAUACAAAAGCUCAUUGACAUCGGCUCAGUACGUGAAGUCUAAUAUCCAAAUUGGUUGGCCAAAGUCGUCAUCAUUGAAAGGAAAAAUGGCAAAUGAUGGAUCUGCAUAGACUUCAUAGAUUUAAUAAUCGUGCCCAAAAAAUUCCUUCCCUCUAUCACAUAUCGACACUUUGGUGGUCUCCACAGCAAGGUAUAAGUUACUUAGCUGUAUGGAUGCAUUCUCAAUAUACAACCAAAUCUUAAUGCAUCCAAGUGAUCAAGAGAAAAUGGCUUUAAUAACGGGAGGAGAUGUUCUAUUACUAAGUCAUGAUAUUCGACCUAAAAAAUGCAGAAGCAACAUACCUGAUACGACCCAUCCCAAAUCACUAUAAUGAACCCGACACGUGUCGUGCGCCAAUGAAUGAUACCAGCUAAAUGCCAGACCUACCACCAAAUCAACUAUGAUUUGCUUUGACUGUCACAUAAUUAUAUAAAAAUUUGACAGAGUUUCCUCUAAGAUAUGGACUAAAAUAACCUGAAAGUUUAUCAACUUUCUCAAAUCAAUACAUAUAAUUUAAAACAAGGUACAUCAGCCCUUCCAAACACAACUAUUCAAAAUAAAGUACGAUUGAAUGGAAUUUACACUUCUUUACAAACCAGAGGACUCCAAAUACAUUACUUAUACAAAUUAUGUAGUGAGGCCAUGAUAUAAAUUGACAAAAGAUGCAUCUACCCCAAAAAAUUAUGAACUGUAUAAAUUGACAAAAAGAAACAUACAAAUAACAACUGAGGGGCUCAAUUUGGUAAUUCAACAGGCUCCGAUGUGGCUUAACACAGCUACCGUCUGAUAAGAAAAAGGGAGAUGAAAUAUAUGAGUUUGUAACUCAAUGAGUGGAUAAUUUUGUAAACAAAUAUACUUUUUCCAUUUAUGCUAACUUUCUAAAAACUGGUUUAUAAUAGAAAUAUCAUUACAUAGUACUUUAAGCUAAAUUCUGUAUUCUGAAAUUUGAUAAGUUGUAUAAUACUGAAAAAUCACACUAAAAAGGUACCCGGAAUAACUAUACUUAUGUAUCGAUUAGCAUCGAUAGACAUGGCAAAGAUAUCCAAUUCUGAAAUUCUGUAAUUCUAAAAUUUUGGUCAUACGAUGCACAGCUUUCUGGUCAUACACCAUGGAAACACAUUAACAAUAGUGCAAAGUAGGUAAAAUCACCAUAAUUAGUCAUACACUGUGGAAACACAUUCACACUAGUGCAAAGCGGGUAAAAUCACCUGGGUACUUUCUAGUGAUUUUUAGAAAAUAACUUUAAAUAUGCUGAACUAUUUAAUACUGAAAUAAUGUGCCAAUGAAAUGCUUUAACUGAACUGAAUUUAACUUCAAAACACAACUGUUAAUAAAUCAACUUUUUUCUGAAAAUCGUGUUUUCAAAUCAACUGUAUGAAUUAAUAAAUUUUCUAAUUUAAUAUAAAUUUUAUAAAUACUAAUUUCUUAAAAAUAAGUUUAUAUCCACUCACACAAUACGAGCUACACACUAGGCCACUUGGUAAGCUUUUCCAAUUUCUUUGUCACCACAUGAAAUACGUUACAAAAUAACUAAUUUAACUACUAUUAAAAUCAAGAAACCUUUUAUCUCUAAUGAUAAAAUAAUUAAACUAAAUUUUCCAAGACUUGCGAAAUUUUUUUAAAUUUCCUUUAUUCAAUUGGAGUUAAUUUUAAUUUCUAAUAAUACCUUCACACAUGGGUACUUUACCCAAAUUUACUUUCAUCCCAUUCAUAAAAAUAAUUAUACUUUCUGAUCUAAUGCAAACUAGUAACCAUAAUUCCACCUAUUUAAACUUUCAUCUUGUUUCUCAACUUCAUGCUUUCAUAUGAGUAUUCCAUCAAUAUAAUCAUUUCCAUGAAAUAUCCUUACUUAAGAAUCCAAUUAAAAAUUCUAGGGUUUGCCAAAUUUUUUUUGAUAUUUCUUACCUUAAUUCAAACGGAGACUAACCAAUCAAGAAGCUUGAGCUAGAGAUCAUAAUCCUUUCUCUAAAUCUGAAAUUUCGAACCAAAUUAAAACCCUAGAAAUUUAACAUAAAAUUUAUCUACCUCUUGAAGAAAAUAAAGAGAAAGGAAAAAUGAAAAUAAACCUUGAACUACAUCUUUCCCUUCUUCUUCCUCUUUUUCUUUUCCUUUUUCUCCUUCUUUUUCUUCACUUUUUUUCCUUUCUUCCUUCCUUCCGCCGAUUUUUCUCCUUCUCUGCCGGUUUCAAGAUUUUUCCUAUUUGUGUGGCUGAGUGAUAUAUAAAAAAAUGGGCUAGUUGUUGUACAAUUGCCACAUGCCCUCCAUAACAUCAACUUUUGCAAAUUAUGUCCUCAUUAAUAUACUUAGGAUCCGUUUGAUUGCAAAUGUGGAAUUUGGGUGAAAAGAAAACGAAUUUCAGGGAAUUGAAUUGAUGAGAAAUUGUUUUACUGGGAGUUGUAAAUUAUUGUGUUUGAUUGAUAUAAUUUUUUACGUGAAAAUUGUUUAAAUUAAAUUUUUUUUGAUGUCUGUUUGGUUUUGUUUUACAUGAAAAAUGUCAAUUAAAGGGAUAGAAUUUACUGGUAUUUGGAAUGAAAUUUGUUUUCAUUGCCAAAAUAAAAAAAAAUUCAAGAAAAUCAUCGAUUUUUGGGUGUUCGUUUGAUUUUGUUUUACAUGAAAAUUGUCAAUUAAAGGAAAAUAUUUUUUUACAAUAAUUUUUAGAAUUUAUUUUCAUUGCUAACACAAAAAAAGAAGGAAAAAAAAAUUGAAAACCUGGAAUUCACUUUCCUACCGUAUAGGUGGAAAAACCAAUUCCUUGAAAUGAAGGAAAAUAGGCGCGUGUGAGGCUUGCAUGGAAAGUGAAUUCCAAGGAAAUGUUUUGCCAUCAAACACUAGAAUUUGGAAAAGAUGGAAAUUAAUUUUCACUUUCUAGGGAAUUCAUGGGCAAUCAAACGGUACCUUAGAAUCAUUUACUUCCCAAAAAUAGAAAAAUAAAUCCCUAACUUUUCCACCUUAAACCUUCCGAUUAUUUCUCAGUAUAAAUUAAACUCCAAUAAUUAAUUUAUUUUAUUUUAGUCUCUAUUUGACUUUGACUUUGACGAGUCAAUCUUUGAAUUUUGACUAAACAAAAAUCGGUUGUAACAUCUUACUUCCUUAAAAGAAUUUCAUUCUCGAAAUUCCACUGGCAUCUGAUUAGGUAACGAAUAGAUGAGGAUACUGAAUACGCAUCUGAUCCUCAUGCUCCCAGGUUGCCUCUUCUACCGUCUGAUUCUGCUAAAGCACCUUUACAAGUAAAAUUGUCUUGUUCCGCUGAAUUUGCACCUUUCUGUAUAGAAUUCUCACUGGCUCCUCUGUAUAAGUCAAAUUCUCCUUCAAGUGAACUAGAUGAGACUCUAGAACAUGAGAAGGAUCUGUAAUGUACUUUGGAGCAUGGAGACAUAAAAAACAUCAUGGAUCCUAGAUAAUUCAGUUGGCAAAUCUAAUCGAUAUGCAACUAGACCAAUUCGCUCAGUAAUCUCAUAUGGUCCAAUGUAUCGUGGACUCAAUUUUCCUCGCUUGCCAAAUUUUAAAACUCCCUUCCAAAGCGACAAUUUUAGAAAUAUUUUAUCUCCAACUAUGAAUUUCAGAUCUUUUCUGUGCCUAUCUGCAUAACUUUGCUAUCUAUCUUAUGUUGGUUUUUCAACUUUUCUCUGAUCAAUUUCACAUUUACUGAAGUCAUUUGAACCAAUUCAGGGCCUACUAACUUCCUCUUACCAGCUUUAUCCCAGCAAACUGAUAUUCUGCACUUUCUACCAUAUAAAGUUUCAAGAAGAGCCAUUUCUAUACUGGAGUGGUAACUGUUAUUGUAAGCAAACUCCAUCAAUGACAAAUGUGAAUCCCAGCUACCCUGAACUCUAAAACACAAGCCCUCAACAUAUCCUCAAGAGUCUGUAUGGUCCUCUCUGACUGACUAUCUGUCUGAGUAUGAAAAGCUGUACUGGGCCAAAAUUUAGAUGUAAAAUGAGGGUCUCUGUCAGACAUAAUAUAUAAUGGAGUACCAUAUAAGCUCACUAUCUCGUCCACAUACAACUUUGCUAACUUAUUUAAAGUAUAAGUGGUUUUGAUUGGCAAAAACCUUGCAGACUUGGUCAAACGAUCCACAAUAAUAACCCAAAGAUCAUUAUGACCAUUCUGGGUACGAGAAAGACCAAAUAAAAAGUCCAUAGUAAUGUGCUCCCAUUUCUAUUCUAGAAUAGGCAAUGGCUAUAAUAGUCUUGUUGUUUUCUAACGAAUUGGUUUUACCUACUGACAGAUAAGACGUUUGGAUACAAAAAUAUGUUAUCUCUCUCUUCCACAAGUAAUGUUCUUUCAACGUAUCAUACUUUCAAUGUAUGAUACAUUUUAAUACAUUUUGAUAGAGUCUUCUUUAAAAGAUGGACUAAAAUCACCUGAAAGUUUAUCAACUUUCUCAAACCAAUACAUAUAAUUUAAAACAAGGUACAUCAGCUCUUCCAAAAACAACUAUUCAAAAUAAAGUACGUUGGAAUGGAAUUUACACUUCUUUACAAACCAGAGGACUCCAAAUACAUUACUUAUACAAAAUUAUGUAGUGAGCUCAUGAUAUAAACUGACAAAAGAUGCAUCUACCCCAAAAAUUAUGAACUAUAUAACUGACAAAAAGAAACAUACAAAUAAUGACUGAAUGACUCAAUUUGGUAAUUCAACAGGCUCCGAUGCGACUCAACACAACUAUUGUUUGAUAAAAAAAAGGAGAUGAAAUAUAUGAGCUUGUAACUCAGUGAGUGGAUAAUUUUGUAAACAAAUAUACCUUUUCCAUUUAUGCUCACUUUUCAAAAACUGGUUUAUAAUAAAAAUAUCAUUACGCAGUAUUUUAAGCUAAAAUCUUUAUUCUUUAAACUGAAUAAGCUAAAUUCUGUAUUCUGAAAUCUAAUAAGCUGUAUUAUACUGAAAAAUCACACCAAAAAGGUACCCGGAAUAACUAUACUCAUGUCUCGGUUAACACCGAUAAACAUGACAAAGCUAUCCAAUUCUGUAAUUCUGGUCAUACGCACGCAGAGCUAUCUGGUCAUAAACUAUGGAAACACAUUCACAAUAGUGUAGAGCGGGUAAAAUCACCUAGGUACUUUCUGGUGGUUUUUAGAAAAUAACUUUAAAUAAACUGAACUAUUUAAUAUUGAAAUAAUAUGCCAAUGAAAUGAUUUAAUUGAACUGAAUUUAACUUUAAAAAUAACUGUUAAUAAAUCAACUUUAUUCUGAAAAUCGUGCUAUCAAAUCAACUGUAUGAAUUAACAAAUUUUCUGAUUUAAUAUAGAUUUUAUAAAUACUAAAUUCUGAAAAGUAAAUUUAUAUCCACUCACUCAAUACGAGCUACAGACUAAGUCGGUCGGUAAGCUUUUCCAAUUUCUUCGUCACCACUUGAAAUACGUUACAAAAUAACUAAUUUAACCACUAUUAAAAUCAAGAAACCUUUUAUCUCUAAUGAUAAAAUAAUUAAACUAAAUUUUUCAAGACUUGCAAAAUUUUCCUAAAUUUCCUUUAAUCAAUUGAAGUUAAUUUUAAUUUCUAAUAAUACAUUCACACGUGGGUACUAUACCCAAAUUUACUUUCAUCCCAUUCAUAAAAAUAAUUAUACUUUCCAAUCUAAUGCAAACUAGUAAUCAUAAUUCCACCCAUUUAAACUUUCGUAUUGUUUCUCAACUUCAUGCUUUGAUAUGAGUACUUCAUCGAUAUAAUCAUUUCCAUGAAAUAUCCUUACUUAAGAAUCCAAUUAAAAAUUCUAGGGUUUGCCAAAAAAAAUUUGAUAUUUCUUACCUUAAUUCAAAUGGAGACUAACCAAUCAAAAAGCUUGAGCUAAAGAUCAUAAUCCUUUCGCUAAAUCUGAAAUUUCGAACCAAAUUAAAACCCUAGAAAUUUAAUAUAAAAUUUAUCUACCUCUUGAAGAAAAUAAAGAGAAGGGAAAAAUGAAAAUAAAUCUUGAACUACAUUUUUCCCUUCUUCUUCCUCUUUUUCUCCUUCUUUUUCUCCUUCUUUUUCUUCCCUUUUUUCCUUUCUUCUUUCUUUCUGCCCAUUUUUUUCUCCUUUUCUGCCAAUUUCCAGAUUUUUCCUAUUUGUGUGGUUGGGUUGUGCUUCAUAGCCCACGAGCUUGACAAAGGGGUUGACACCCCACACACACAUGGGGAGAUCGGUAUUAUUUUAUUCAAUGGGACCCACCUCGGCAUGUGAGAGGGUGGUCAGCCGUGGUGUCAACCCCGCGGGUCGUUUAGCAUUUUUCUUGUGUGGUUUGAGUGGUAUAUAAAAAAAAUGGGCUAAUUGUUGUAUAAUUGUCACAUGCCCGCCAUAACACCAACUUUUGCAAAUUAAGUCCUUCAACAUUAAUAUAUCUUAGAAUUAAAUCUUUUACUUCCCAAAAAUAUAAAAAUAAAUCCUUAACUUUAAAUUUUAUCCACCUUAAACGUUCCAAUUAUUUUUCAAUAUAAAUUAAACCCCAAUAAAUAAUUUAUUUUAUUUUAGUCUCCAUUUGACUUUGAUUUUGACGAGUCAAUCUUUGAAUUUUGACUAAACAAAAAUGGGUUGUGGCUCAUCAAUUCAAUGUUUACCAAAUUGCUCGAAAAAGUGAUGAGUGCCUACAUAAACGAUAUGCUCAUCAAAUCAUUUGUAGUGACUGACCACAUCAGGUACCCGGGUAGUCUUUCUAAGUCCUCAAAACGUAUAAUAUGAAACUCAAUAAUUAUAAAUGUUCAUUUGGUGACUCUUUUGAAAAAUUUGCAGGUUAAUAAGCAAGGGAUAGAAUUAAAUUCAGACCAAGUAUGAUCAAUCAUCAACAUCCUGUCUCCUAGACACAUCAAAGACAUUUAGAAGUUGACUAGACGAUUAGCUGCGAUCAACCAGUUUAUAUCAAAAUAUUAGAAGAAAAAUUGCAUUUUCUUUAACACAUUGCGAAAGAACGAAGAGUUCAUUUCGACUCCGAAUGUAAGAAAGCUCUACAAAAAUUAAAGAAUUAUUUGACAAGUCCACCGCUCCUAUCCAAGCCAAAAGACAGCGAGAUGCUCUACCUUUACUUAGCAAUAUCUUUGUCUGCAGAAAACGUCAUACUUGUCCAGGAGGAGGAUAGAAAGCAGCAUGUGGUGUGCUACAUUAGUAGAUUCUUGCUCAACUCUGAAUAUCGGUACAGAAGCUGAAAAAGCUUGCACUCGUCCUCGUAAUCAAGGGAAGGAAGCUAAGGCCCAUACUUCCAGCACACCUAUAACGGUGCUUUUGACCUUCCUAUAAAAGAUGAUCCUCCAUAAACCAGAAUUGUCGAGCCGACUAGUGAAAUGGCAGUAGAACUUAACGAAUAUGACUUGACUUACCAACUACGGUCCGCGGACCACUAUCAAAUCACAUGUGCUUGCUGACUUUAUUGUUGAUUUUUCAACCGACAAACAUGUCCUGUCCAAGAAAGAAAUUUUUGCAGUAACGGAGAGCUUAAUUUCGAAAGAAUUGACCUAGCGUUGGAUGGAUCAAGCAACUCUAAUGAAAGUGGACUGGGCAUAAUCUUAACCUCAUCCGAAGCCAACAUAAUCGAACGAGCAAUACAAUGCUGAUUCAAAGCAACGAAGCUGAAUAUGAAGCUCUAAUUGGGGAUCUAUCACUUGUAAAAGACACGGGUAUGAAGAAAAUCAAAUUGUCGAACGAUUGACAAAUAGUCACCCACCAAAUCUAAGGCAACUACUCAAAGAACAAAAAUGGCGACAUAUCUCAAAAUCGCAAAAGAGCUUCAGUCUUUCUUCCAGGAUUUUGACAUAAUCUAAAUCGUUAGAGAAGAUAAUAAUAAUCAUGCUAACGCACUUAGAAAUUGCAAUACUUUAUUAUACUAAUUGUAUCAUGUUUUAUAUUCUAACAAAAAAUUAUAUUUUAUUUUUCUUUUUGAAAUUUAUUAGAAAAUUAUGUUAAUCUUCAAAGUUCUAAUGUUAAAUUUAUAUAAUAAAUAAAAAAAAAUCAAUAAAACUAUUUGUACAUCCAAGAUUGACACCCCGGAUGACACUCCCCUUACAAGAGAGGGGGGUCCACACGUAAUAAAAUAAUUGUGAGCUCCCCUCUUGUGAAGGGAGUGUCAUCCGGGGUUAACACUUCGGAUGUACAAAUAGCAAAGUCCAAAAAAUAUAUAAUAAUCACUUACAAAACAUAUACAUGCACGUUGGAAAAAGGAAGGAUCGCUUAUAUAUUGAUAGGUGUGCAUGGCAUAUGGCUAAUUGUAAUUGGAACCUGAAUUUCAAGAAAGGAAAAAAAAAAUGAAUGGGGAUUCUAGUGCCACAAGUGAUAUAAUUUUAGAAAACUUCCCACAAUCGAAUUGUUAAUCAAAAAUGAAUAUUUCUACUCAAACAGGGGCCGUGACAGCCUUAAUAGGCGCCCCCUCCAAUAGGGGGACGCCCAUGUCACAGUAACAAGCCCCAUCAAAAAUAGCAUAGACAAUUGUAGAAGAGGUGAACUUGAGACAGAAGGUUAAUUGAAGGUUUAAUUCUGAUUUUCUUAUUUCUUUUUUAAUUUUAAAAGUUUCUUGAUUUGGCUACUUGUGCUUCUUUGGAAGUGAUAAUGACCUGCUAAAUUUCGUUUAUCUUCUUCUACGUUUCUGAUUAUUUUCUUCUACAUUUUGUGCCCAAGCCUUUAUUCUAUAACUAAUUUUCAAUGCUACAAAAGGGUGAGUAGCAUUUUAUGAACUCUUUGAACCUUUUUUAAGUACUUUUUUCCUCUUGAACAAUCUGGAUUAUGUUUUUGAAGUUUUAGAUGUAUACAAGUAUGGACGGAGACAAAAUAUUAUAAUAUAUUUUUAAAACUCUUACUUUCAAUAUUUAGUUGUCACCAUAUUUCUAAUUUUGUUGGUAACAAAUGAGGCAUCUUUGACAUUUUUAGUUCACUUCCCAUAAAUAAACGAUGAAGAUUGAUUCUAUUUUAUGAUUCAUAUUUUUUCUAGAUUAUUUUUGUUGACGCAUAAAAAUUCAGCCCAAAUCGAACAGCCCAAGGAGUGAAGCCUAAUUGGAUGAUCCCCAAAUCAAAUAGUCCAAAGAAUGAAGCCCAAUCGAACAAAUCAAGAUGAAGGCCCAAAUAAGGAGGCCCAAGAACGCGGUAACGCCAUCGCCCAAGUUUGCAAGUCGCCCAGAAUCUGAGCGAAUGGAGUGUCAUACAAUCGCCCAGAGCUGUUACUCUAUUCACGCCCAAACCUUCAAGUCGCCCAAGGUCUUAACAAACAUAAAGCGUAGUGGUUAUCAAGAAGUGCAGUUAUCAAAGCAGUUAUUAAAGCAGCCCUAUCACGUUCCACGAUUCAAGGAAUUCAAUCGAAAGCGGUUGAACGAUGAAGAGUAAUGGCAGCAGUUAAAAAAUACAGUUUUCAUGACAAGUUGGCCAUUACAAAGAAAGUGGGCAGUUAUAGGACGAUCAAGCAGUUUUUAGGACGGUUGAUCACAAAGAGAUCGUCCAUGAAGUAUAAAAGGGAGAAAGAACAUAGAAGCAAAGGACCGAAUCAAAAACUCUCGAACAGAGAACAUGUAAUUUUCAUUUCCUUAGCUUAGACUUAAACGCUUUUCUUCCAGUAACUCGUGUGCUUGCGCCCAUUGGAGGCACAUUGUUUUUAAUUUCCAAUUGUAAAAUCAUCGCCAAUAAAAGAACACCCCUUUUUGGGACUUUGUCUCAAGAGGUUUGUCCCUUACACAAUCGUCUGAUCAUUUUUAAUUGUUAGAGACUAACCCACGCGAAACAAUUUGGCACGCCCAGUGGGACAGUGGUGUUAGGUGUUGAAAGUACAAAAGGUGAAACAAUAUGCCUCAGAGAUCCGAUAAGGAAGUAGCAAGUCAGGGAGGAAUCCAGUCUGUGAUCGAGCGAUAUGAGGAGCAGCAUGCCUCUCCACGAACAGAUGGACAGAAUCAGAGCAGUAACGGUCGUUAUGAACCAAUGACAGAGUUGAGUCCUCGAACCAUGCGUACAUUACUUGGAGAACUUACGCAAGACGUCAUUAAACAGGUAAAUCUUCGAAUUAUUCAUAAUAUGGAAAGAUUUACGCAAAAUGGGAAUGUACACUAUGACAACAUGGCCAAACAAUUAAAGACGUUGAACGAAACAAUGAAUAAGUUAGUAGGCCAAAUCUGUCAACCGGCUAUACCUCUUACAAACCACUUUCAAACUAGGACAAUUGUGGGACAUAAUCCCUCGGUCCUAAAUCCGAAUCAAGGGGUAGAACCGCUUUCUGGUCCCUCUACUUCAAACCAAGGGGGUACUACAGUGCCAAAUCAGAACAAUGGUAGUGGUAUGCCUAACAUGGGGGGUAAUCCAAAUGUGAGAGAUAAUGUCCUAAACAAUGGACAGAAUAUUCCACGUGUUAAUGAGGGAAUAGAUGUUCGGGCUAAUGGUAAUGGCCCUAAUCAUGGUAAUUUUGUUGCCAAUCAAGGACCAAACAUUAGGCCUCAUGCAAAUCAACCGGUUAGCCAACCUGUAGGAAUACCAUAUGACCCCAACGUCAUGUUGAGGAACCAGAUUAUGGAAAUCGUACAGGAUCAGAUGGCUUUUGGGGUGCGUCCCGUCAUUAGGCCGACGUACAUAAAGCCAUAUCCUGAUUGGAUAGACCAAGCAUAUCCAUGGCCUAGAGGGUACAAAGUGCCAGAAUUCUCACUGUUUACCGGUUUAGGAGAGGUGUCUACUCUAGAACACAUAGGGCGAUUCACAUUGCAAAGUGGUGAUGUAACCGAUUACCAUAAAAUGAGACUUUUCCCUAGUUCGUUAACAGGAGUAGCUUUCUCCUGGUUCAUCAACUUGCCAGCGAACUCUGUUCAAAUAUGGCUACAAUUAGAACAGUUGUUUCACACUCAGUUUUAUAAAACUGAGUCUGAAGUUACUUUGGCUGAUUUGGCGAAUCUACGUCAAAUGCCAAACGAAUGGGCAGAAAGUUUUCUCCAAAGGUUCAAGACAGCAAGAAGCAAGUGUUUUGUACCUCUGGUCGAAAAAGAAUUUGUCAAAAUCGCUUAGGGCUGCUUGAGCUUUGAUUUAAAAAAGAAGUUCCAGGACAAGAAAUUUCCUGACCUUUUCCAGUUGAGUGCGAAUGUGAUUAGGUAUGAGCGAUUGAUAAGAGAGGAAGAACAAAUGAAAAAUUUCAGUAAAGGGACUUAUUACAAAGACCCAAAUUUUGACGUUCAUACCAUCGACGACGAGUCAUACGAUCAGGCCGAAAUGUGUUUGGCAGAAUUGGUCAAAGGAGAUACAUAUACUUGUCCUAUAAUAGCCAAGCCUAGACCAUCGGGCAAAGAUGAGCCCAUAAAAGAUGGAAACAUAAAGGCUAGAACGUUCUCGUUCGACGUAACCAAAGCUGACCUUAUAUUCGAUAAAUUAUAUAGGGAUAAGCAGAUAAAAUUGAGCGAUAAGCACAAAUUGCCAAACCCUGAACAAAUUAAGGGUAAAAAAUAUUGUAAGUGGCAUAAUGCAUGGUCACAUUUGACUAACCAUUGCUUGGUUUUCCGCCAUGUAUUGCAGGAUGCCAUUGAAUUAGGGCGAAUUACGUUCGAUGAUAAGAAAAAGAUGGCAGUGGACGAGAAUCCUUUCCCACAGCCACUUGGAGUAAACAUGGUAACAUCUGGAUUCAAAAACAAGUUGCCAAAAUUCAAGUUGGUCGUAAACGAUGGAGAAGAGGAUCCUAGACCACAUCCCAGCGUCUUUGAACGAAUCAAGAGGAAAGAACCAAAAAAGGACGAAGACGUCCUGUGUGCAAGGUGUAAAAGAGAAGUGAAUGGAAAUACGGAGAAACCAGGGAUAUGACAGCAUCCUCAUCACCCUACCUUCUUCCCAAACACUCAACUUGGUAGAGGGCGAGGUACAUCAUUCUUAGAGGACCGCCUUUUGAGAGGCAGUUCAGGCCAGUAGAUAAUGGAAGAACAUUCAGGCCGCAACCUCACCGGCCAAAUGUAUGGCAUUCAUUCUAGUACAAUGCAGGAAGAGCAAUACCCUUCGAUGAGAUGACUAGGACCCAACAAAGGCAUUUUCAACGAAACUACGGACGGAUGAUGAGGCAGCAACAGGGGAUGCCACAUCCUAAAGCGCCUAAACUACUUAAGGUAGCCAAUCAAAACUUCCUCAAAAAUAAUGAAGAGACCGGUACAGAUGAAUCAAUGAAGAAACUGCUAGAAACUUCUUCUGGGAGAUCAAGGUUUGAGCGAGACAGAAGGGAUGAAGAAGAUCUAGAUCAGCCCCUCACUAUCCAACUCGGUACGUUGCCUCCUGUCGUGGCCAAUAAUUACUUACUGGCCAAUGAAUUCAAGAACAAAGAAAAAGAAGAAGAGAGGGAGGACAACGAAGGAGAAGCCUGCGUGCUGGUAUGUGAAGAAGGCCAGACUUCUAGAGAGGCCUACAACGAUGAAGAGGACAACGGGAUGACAGACAUUGAAGAAGAAAUCGACCUAGAAGCAGAGAGAAGAAAAAGAAGAGUAUCGCGCAAUACUCUGUUAAAGCAACUACAUCGAGAGGGAGUUCACGAAGUAGACUUGUUGGGGGAACCAUCUGGGCGCCCUUUCGAUUUCUACGUACUGUACGGGACACCCAAAAGGAAGAAGAGAGUACCUCUCUCUGAAAAGUAUGGAUCACCUCCAAGAAUAAUGUCCCCUCCCACAGGUUAGGUAACUGAUGAGGAAGCAUUAGAAAGAAGUAGGAAGGAAGUUCAGGAGACAGAGGAUCAGCGCGAUGUACUGCACGUCGACUUAUCACAGGGGGAUAAUUCGACAGAAAACAAGCAGGAAGUAGAAAUAGAGGCUGCCAAAAAAGUUAUUUUUAAACGGCCAGCCAUGAAAUUGACUAAACACUUGAGGCCAUUAUACGUUAAAAAUCUAGUUAACGGCGUCCCAGUGGCAAAAGUGCUUGUCGACAAUGGAGCAGCUAUAAACACCAUUCCAUCUAGGAUGAUGAGGAAGUUCAUAAAGAUAGAGGGUGACAUGAUUCCUACAGAAGUCAUCCUCACUAGCUUCAAUGGAGGAGCGAUUUCAGCUAAGGGAGUUAUGCCAUUGGACAUAACUAUAGGGACGACUACUAGGACCACUGUCUUUUUUGUAAUAGAUGGUCCUACUAGUUACAAUGUGCUAUUAGGAAGAGAUUGGAUACACGGAAGUCGCUGUAUACCCUCAUCACUCCAUCAAUGCCUGAUCUUCUGGAAUGACAAAGGCGAAGCUGAGGUGGUACAGGCCGAUCAUAGGCCUUUUGUCGCAGAAGCAAACUCGGUGAAAAAGUUCAUGUACGAAGGAAACUAUGGACCUGUCAGGGUAGUACAAGACGGGGAAGAAACUCAGGUUGUCGCGCAAAGCGAAGAACCAUUCUCAGUGGACGCACUCACUGAGAUGUUUAAACAGAUGAGGCCAAAUAUAGUAGCCCUAGAAGAGCCAGUAAUUGGCAAAAGAAUAAUUAAGGAGUCUUGAAUGGACUUUAAGUUAUGAAAGCAAAUGGCCGACGUUCAGGACUUCAAAGCCAGACUGAUGGCUUUCAAUAAGGAAUGCAAUGACAAGGCGAAAGAAGAGACAGCCCUAAAAGCGCUGAAGGAUAAGUUGGCAGUAUUUGAGUUAGAGCAAAGCAUUGGCCGAGAAGUCAACAAGGUGGACUAUUUAGAAGAGAAAGUACUUACAAGGGAACUAAACGACGAAGUAAUGCGGAUCGCCAAACCUGGAUACGCUCAAGCACAAGACCCUCUGAUCAAAGUAAAUAUUGGCAAUGAAGGAGAAGAUCGUCCAACAUUCAUCAGCCAAAUGCUCGACCAAGAGGUUAGUAACAAGUUAAUAGCUUUGCUAAAAGAGUACAAAGAUUGUUUUGUUUGGGAAUAUGAACAAAUGCCUAGUUUAGAUAGAGACUUGGUGGAACAUAGGUUACCAACUAAGCCUAACUUUAAAUCUCAUAGGCGGCCUCCUAGACGUUUUGCUCCCAAUGUACUCCCUGAAAUCAAGAAAGAGAUAGAGCAAUUAUUGAAAGCAGGUUUUAUUAGAACAGCCAGAUAUGUCGAAUGGUUGUCAAAUGUCGUGCCAGUACUAAAAAAGAAUGGUAAACUAAGGGUGUGUAUAGACUUUAAAAAUUUAAACAUAGCUACACCCAAAGAUGAGUAUCCAAUACCCACGGUGGAUUUUUUAGUAGAUUCAACUGCCGGACAUGUCAUGUAUUCUUUCAUGGAUGGGUAUUCAGGGUACAAUCAAAUUUAUAUAGCUGAAGAAGACAUACACAAAAUUACUUUUAGAUGCCCAGGGUCUCUAGGAUGUUUUGAAUGGGUGGUUAUGCCUUUCGGUCUAAAAAAUGCAAGGGCAACUUAUCAAAGGGCAAUGAAUUUAAUCUUUCAUGAUAUGAUAGGCAAGUUUGUUGAAGUGUAUGUGGAUGACAUAGUAGUCAAGUCCAUUAAAGAAGAAGACCAUUUCGAACAGUUAAGAUAUUCGUUUGAGCGAAUGAAGCAAUAUAAGCUAAAGUUGAAUCCCUUGAAGUGUGCAUUCAGUGUUAAUGCAGGGAAUUUUCUUGGUUUCUUAGUACACAAGAGAGGGAUUGAACUUGAUAAAAAUAAAGCGAAGGCGAUUUUAGAGGCCAAACCACCUAGCAACAAAAAAGAAUUGCAAAGGUUUCUAGGCCAAGUAAUUUUUUUAAGACGCUUUAUUUCUAACUGUGCAGGGCGAACUAAAGUCUUUUCGCCGCUUUUAAAGCUGAAAAAUCAGGACGAAUUCGUCUGGAAAGAAGAACAUCAAAAGGCUUUUGAAAGCCUGAAGACAUAUCUAUCAAGUCCACCAGUGUUGGUGUCACCAAUUCAAGGACGGCUAAUGAAAGUGUAUGUAUCGGCUGAAAAAGAAUCAAUAGCUGGAAUGGUCGCACAGGAAGACCAAUUUGGUGAAGAAAGGGCAAUUUACUACUUAAAUAGACGGUUAACGAAAUGUGAAUGUAAUUACUCUGCUAUCGAAAAAUUAUGUCUUACAUUGUAUUUCACAUGUACAAAAUUAAGAGCUUAUUUACGGCCCGUAACCGUUUAUUUUAUUUCUAAAGUAAAUUUAGUCAAGUAUAUGUUCUCGCGCCCUAUUUUACACCAAAGGGUAGGCCUUUGGACACUAGCUUUAUCAGAAUUCGAAAUACAAUAUAUACCUCAAAAGGCAGUCAAAAAGCAGGCUUUGGCUAACUUUCUAGCCGAUCAUCCAUGCCUUGAUAUGCUUGAAGAGAUCGAACUAGAAAUCAAUUCAUUCGAGUUAAAACCUUGGGUGUUGUAUUUCGAUGGGUCAAAAACUUCUAAAGGUGCAGGAGUAGGAAUAGUAUUGAUUAAUCCUUUAGGGAUUUGCUACAAGUUCGCAUUCACUUUAGAUAGAAUGUGCACCAACAAUCAAGCCGAAUAUGAAGCCUUAAUUGUAGGCCUAGAACUAAUGAUAGAUAUGGGAGUAAGAAGUGUGAUCGUUAGGGGCGAUUCUCAAUUGGUGAUCCAUCAAUUGAUCAGUGAUUUUAAAUGACAAAGUGAUUCCAUUAUAAGUCAAUACGAGAUCGCCUAAGAAUUAUUAGAAGAAUUCGAUCAAGUAGAACUCCAAUGCGUUAAUAGGAUAUAUAACGACGUGGCAAAUGAGUUAGCCCAAAUGGCAUCAAGGUACUCAAAGGUUUUGAAUUGGAAGUCUACUUGUGAGUAUGGAAUCAUAUUGCCCGUGACUUAAAGAAGGGCGAGAAAGAUUGAACUCCACUGCAUACAAGAUGGAGAUGCAAUGGAUUGGAGAACAGAGAUUAAAAGGUUCCUUAAAGAACCAAUGGAGGGAUUAGUAGGAAAAUGAAGCUGUGUUUGCUGAACUAUAUACUAAUAGAUGAAGAGUUGUUUAAGAAACGCUCUUAUGGUGUAUUAUAAAAGUGUGUAAGUUUGCAAAAAGUCAAGACGAUCAUGGCUGAGGUGCACGAAGGGAUAUGUGGAGCUCAUCAAGCUGGCCAAAGGAUGAGAUGGUUAAUUAUUAGGAAUGGAUAUUUUUGGCCAAAGAUGGGAGAACUAUGCCUUCAGUAUGCAAAGAGUUGCUUAGCAUGCCAAAAGCAUGGUCCAAUACAAAGGGCGCCAGCACGAGAAAUGGCACCUAUUAUUAAACCUUAGCCGUUCAAGGGUUGGGAGAUAGACCUGAUAGGGAAGAUUUAUCCCCCAUCGUCCAAGCAACAUACUUUUGUUAUAGUUGCAAUCGACUAUUUCACCAAAUGGGUAGAAGCAAUACCUUUGAAAGAGAUCACCCAAAAAAAUGUUAUAGAGUUUAUCCGUGAUCACAUUAUUUAUAGGUUUGGAAUUCCACAAACGAUAAUGGUAGAUCACGGAACAUCUUUGAAUGGGGAUCAAGUGAACAAAUUUUUGAGCGAGUUUGGGGUUAAAUUAGUAAACUCCACACCAUACUACGUUCAAUCCAAUGGACAAGCGGAAUCUUCUAAUAAGAUUCUAAAAAAUAUCAUUAGAAAGAUGAUAGAUAAAAAUGUCAGAAAUUGGCACGAAUGUCUGAAUAAGGCUUUAUGGGCUUAUAGGACAUCACCUCGGUCAAGUACCAAGAUUACUCCUUUCCAACUUGCUUAUGGACAGGAGGCUGUUUUGCCUAUGGAAAUCAACGUGCAAUCGAUCAGAGUGUGCUUACAGCAUAAGUUGAAUGAUGAUGAGUAUGCCGAAUCACUAGUUCAAAAUUUAUUGGGGUUAGACGAAUUAAAGUUGGACGUCUUAGAUAGAUUACAAGAGCAAAAAAAAAGAAUGACUAAGUUUUAUAAUAAAAAAGUCAUAGCCAAGUCGUUCAGCCUGGGUGAACUAGUUUGGAAGACGAUACUCCCUUUGGAUAGCAAAGAUCCCAAGUACGGGAAGUGGUCGCCCAAUUGAGAAGGACCAUACAAAAUAAAUAGUAUAUUGCCCAAUGGAGCGUAUCACUUGGAGGAUUUAGACGACACCAAGCACGUAAGAUUCAUUAAUGGUAAAUAUUUGAAAAAAUAUGUUCCUUCUUUAUGGGAAUGUGAACAGAUAAAAUCAUAAUCAAAUAUGGUGAACGAUUAAAGGAUAAAGAGGUCAGAGCGAAAUACGUUCAAGUGAAGUCCUUUAUUAUCAAACGUUCAUUACAAGAAUACAAAAAUACAAAUAAUGGUUGUUCUAGGAAAUAUAAUUAAAAGUAAGCUAAUCUCCCGGUUGAUCGCUGAGUAAGCCUCACGCCGCCUUCCUAAAUGCAUCACUGCAAUGGUGGGAUCGCCGAGUAAGAGGGUGUACUGGCCUCACCGCCUUCCUAAAUGCAUCGCUGCAAUGGUGGGAUCGCCGAGUAAGAGGGUGUACUGGCCUCACCACCUUCCUAAAUGCAUCGCUGCAAUGGCGAGCAAAGAGGCUGAGAAGCACUCCCAGCAAGCAAGCUGAGAAGCACUCUCAGCAAGCAAAGUGGCGCACAAGCAGCCCAAAAAUUGCCUUCUAUCAUUGACUCCUUGUAAAGGACAAAGAGACGAUGGGAAGAACUUUGAAGGUAAAAACUUCGCUGCUGGCCAGAAAAUAUUUCCUAUACCUCCCACACCAAAGGUGACAUCAAGGUAAAUUGUAAAAUGGACUGACUAAACUGUCCAUUUUUGGUCAGAUUGAUUGUCAGAAUGCCAAGCAAUGGCAGUAAAUUAGUUUCGAAGAAGAAAAUAAAGAUGAAGAUAGAAGAUGGAAAAUGCGAAGCAUUUAUAGGAGGUGGAGACGAAGAGACAGAAUAUGAACAGCUACAUUUCUGCCUAAUAAACGGAAUUAAAUAGCCCAAAAUCUUGGGAAAAGUGGUGGAAAUAUCAAAAGAAAAUGGACAAGAUUUUUUAGCACAAAGCAGUCAAAUGCUUAAAGAAUUGACGACUAAAAAACAAACGUCAAAUAAAUGCACAAAAAGUUAAUGUUCAUUAAUGAUGAACAAAGCUACAAGAGGAAAAAUCAAAUUACAAAAGAAAAAAGACAUCGUAUGUCUUAAUUACAGUCCACCCCAUACUGAACGAAUUCGUUCCCUAAGUUUUUUCCAAUCCUCGUUCUGCCGAGAGGAAGUGAUGUUCAAUUCAGCCACGACAUCAUCAUCAACUUCCAACUUCUUGUACUGCUCGACCAAGGACUUAGUUCGCUCAAUUCCUUGGGAGGCGUUGCACUUUUCAGCAGCCAUUCUCGCCCUGUAGUCGUCCAUUUUGGCUUGAAGUUCCUUCAUCUGAGCAUGCAAAUUAACCAUCAAAGAGUCUUCAACCAUGACUUCGGAAGAGAUUUCUUUCAACUCGUCCUCAGCCUUGUUAAUCUCCAUACGCAAAGACUCUUUCUCAGCAACGGCUUGAAGAUAUUGAGUACGUUUGGCCUUUAGUUCAGCAUUCUUGGCCAGCAAAGAAAGGACCUCGGAGUGAAUAACCUUCAACGUCGCUUUAAAAUCGGCAGAAAGAUUGAGCGACGGAAGCAUCAAUGCUUGCUCCAACUUUGCACUCAAGUGCUCAAGUUUAUCCUUGUGUCUGGUGGCACUGGCCCUUCCAAUAUCCAUAUCCAUGAAGGAUACGUACUCAAGUAUCGACUCCUUGAGGACCUUCAAAUCUUCCUCUGAAGAAGCAGCAGGAUGAUCAGAUGGAGCAGGGCAAGACGUCUGGAGUUGCCCCUAGGAAGCGAACAAGUCUUGGAUAGAACGCACAAUUUUGUCAGCAUCCUGCAAAGAAAAUUGCCAAUAUUAAAGAUCCUCACUACAACGAACAAGAUAGAAAUAGAAGUAAAGCAAAGACUACCUCAUCAACAAUCGUAGAAGAUGGCAUGUCCUCAGCCAAGCUUGCCGCCAACGACUCCUCCAUUCGUGAGGACUUCCCCUUAUCUGAGCGAGAAGAUGUUGCCACAACGGGCGGACUCAUAGGAGUAUUUGCAAAACUCAAGAGCAACAAAUCAGAAACCAACAGCACAAGCAAAGGUAAGACAUCAAAAGACUAAAUUACCUUCUGCUUCAAUGUUUGGGGGGUUGACACCCUGGUAAGAAGGUGGUUCAUCCAUGGGUUGUGAUGAGAACUCUGGGACUGAAGAUGUCUCUUUAAGCGUAGCCUCCUCAUCAACCGGUUUAGAUGAAGUAGCCUCAGCAGAGGAUGAUGGAGUAGGAGCUGUCGAUGCCAAAGCCUUUGAAGGAGAGGCUGAGCUUUUCUGAGAAGUGCAAAAGAUCAUCAGCACACAGAAAAGUUUCAAGUGUGGAAAAGUAUACUUGUGAGUAAACCAAUUUAAUUACCUUCCUCCUGACGAUAAGAGGGGCAUCAUCAUCAUCAACAUCAUCCUCCAGAAUGGGAGAUACUGAGGCUGGCCGUUUACGGCUUGGGGUACUCUUGGCCGUAGUAGGCUUGGCAGGGAGAGAAGAAGAUGGAUGAACAGACUGUUUAGUGCGAUGAGAAGGAGAAGGACUACGAAUGGACAAGGGAGUGACUAAAAUAGGAGGAGGGGAAGAAAUGCUCGGUUGGUCUAAUGAAUGAAAGGCACGAUUGGCGUCAAUCGCAAAUAAUCUGCGCUUCACUGACGGCCAGAGCUGUUCAAAAAGAGGGUGAAUUGCGUGGCUAGAAUUGAAAGGGGCUAAUGAAAAAUGGCUAGUUAAAAGAAGAAUACGAGCAUCUAUAGCCUCUGCCUCUGCCUUAGUAAUGGUAUAAAAACGGUCAACUAAGUUCCUUGAAUAGCAAGGAGGAACAGGCCAAGUUUGGCCAAAACCAAGCUGACGAGCAAAAAAUUGGGGAGCAUAAAUCUCUACCCUCGCUUUGGCAUUGGUCCCAGUUAGAAUAUCAUGAAAUAGCUCCCUCCCGCUUAAAAACUGGAUCCAAAUGAGCAGGGAGGUGCUCGCGCUAUCUAUAGUGGAAGGGGGAUGUACAUAGUUUGGAGUCAAAAAAGGAGAAAAAGGAAAAAAGGAAGGGAUUGAAUCCAAAGAAUAAAAGAAUGAAAAAAUGUCCCUUCUAGACAUAUUUACAGGAGCUAAGGGCUCCAUGGCUAGCCCAUAACAGCUAGCAGAGGAGCGAGAGAUGGAUGGAGCACCAAGCAAUGGAAAAUAGGAUCUCAACCACAGUUGAGUGAACCAAAGAGGUCCAUUACCAGUGGGAGAUGCACCAUUCUUCAAUUGAGCUUGAAGAGAGGCCAUGCUUCUAUAAAGGGCAGCCAAAAACAAAGAACAUAAAUUCAAAGGCCUGCCACGCGCCAAUUCGUGCGCUAUAGGUAAAUAACUCAGGGAGGGCUUUAUGCUUGGCACGCACAAAACAUAUUUACAAAGCCAAACUAAAAGGAAGGCCACUCGCUCAGUAUGGGAAGGCUCAGCGCUCGAAUGAUUGUGAAGGGUUUGCAGGCUUGAAUAAGAAUCGGUGUAGUUUUUACCAAACUUUGGAGCGCCACCAGAAACCAAGAUACUAGGAAAAAUGGUAUCGCCCAAAGGUGGUAGAUUCACUAGGGCCCCAACAUCCCUUAAGGUAAUAGACAUGGGGCCAAGAGGGAAAAUAAAGGUAUUAUACUCAGGAGACCAAAAACUCAAAGCAAUCGAAAAGAGUGCUGAAUCAAAAGUAGGGGGACGAAUAGAGAUUUCUAACAAAUCAGAAAUCCUAGCGCUAUCAAAAAGUGCCUUAGUAGGACCAUGACCCACAUGGCGAGCAUGCCACCUACGAAAAGCUACAUCAGAUUUAGGCCAAGUGCGAAUACCUCUUUCGCGAAGUGGCCCCAGCGGCAGAGAGUUUAGAAAAGGAGGGCCAUGAGUGUAAGGAAACAGCUGACCCGCCGCCGCCUGUUCAACUGCCUCUGCAUUGUUGAAAAAAGGACCCAAGUAGAACUCAUUACGUUCGACAUCGACGGGCGCGAGAAAACUUGGAGUUAUGUAUGGGCGACUCAGAAGUUUUUGAAAGUCAUCAAAACUAAAGGAGUCGCCAGCUUGAGAUUGUGAAGCAGCCAUUUGAAAAGGAACGAAGUUUUUCAGGGUUACGUAGCAGGGAAGCAAGAGAUGAACAGUAAAUCGUGAGAGAGACGCAAAAAAUUUGAGGCGUGGUUUAAUAGUGCAGUGAAAUGGCGUGUUUGAGGUUUAUAAGGGUUUGCAAAACGACGCACCUUUUCAAGUUAUAGAAGAAAACAAUGAUUGAAAUUCUUGAGAAUUUCGAAUGUUGCUGGAAACACAAAGUGAAUAUGGCAAAAUUUAUUAAUUAUUAUUAAUUCUGCCAUAUUGGGGGGUAAUUGUUAACACAUAAAAAUUCAGCCCAAGGAGUGAAGCCCAAUUGGAGGAUCCCCAAAUUAGAUAGCCCAAAGAACGAAGCCCAAUCGAACAAAUCAAGAUGAAAGCCCAAAUAAGGAGGCCCAAGAACGCGGUAACGCCAUCGCCCAAGUUUGCAAGUCGCCCAAAAUCUGAGCGAAUGGAGUGCCAUACAGUCGCCCAGAGCUGUUACUCUAUUCUCGCCCAAACCUUCAAGUCGCCCAAGGUCUUAACAAACAUAAAGCGUUGUGGUUGUCAAGAAGUGCAGUUAUCAAAGCAGUUAUUAAAGCAGCCCUAUCACGUUCCACGAUUCAAGGAAUUCAAUCGAAAGCAGUUGAAUGAUGAAGAGUAAUGGCAGCAGUUAAAGAAGACAGUUUUCAUGACAAGUUGGCCAUUACACAGAAAGUGGGCAAUUAUAGGACGAUCAAGCAGUUUUUAGGGUGGUUGAUCACAAAGAGAUUGUCCAUGAAGUAUAAAAGGGAGAAAGAACAUAGAAGUAAAGGACCGAAUCAAAAACUCUCGAACAGAGAACAUGUAAUUUUCAUUUCCUUAGCUUAGACUUAAACAUUUUUCUUUCAGUAACUCGUGUGCUUGCGCCCCUUGGAGGCACAUUGUUUUUAAUUUCCAAUUGUAAAAUCAUCGCCAAUAAAAGAACACCCAUUUUUGGGACUUUGUCUCAAGAGGUUUGUCCCUUACACAAUCGCUGAUCCUUUUUAAUUGUUAGCGACUAACCCGCGCGAAAUAAUUUUUUGUAGAUAUGAUUCUAUUAAUUUUUAUUCAACUAUUACGAGUUUCUCAUAUCUUUUUAAAUAUGACAUCUAGUUACGACGUCAUUUUGAUCUAUCUUCUUUAUUCUAAAAUGCUCAAAACAAAUUCUCUACUAUAUUUCUGAAGUCUUUUGCAAGUCUCUUCAAUGUUCUACAAAAUAUAUAUGUCGAGCACAUAUAUUGUUAGCUAGUUUUAAACUUUGACUCAUUUGCAUCUCAUGCACAUGGACGUCCCUCGCUUAGUCCUAAUUUAUUCUUAACAAGCGUUGACUGCAUUUAUAGGUUUUUAGUUAUGUCAAAAUCAGAGUAUAACACACUUAUUCCAUAUUCAAAACUGUAAAUACUCUUGAAUAUCUCUAACCCUUAUAGUAUAUCUUGAAAGAAAAAGUUUGAGAAAUAUAAUGUUACAAUGUUGAUUGAUUGGAAGGCACAGUUCUUUAAAUUAAAAAAAAAAUAAAAAUAGGCUACAUAUACGAGACAACAAUUUAUAUUACCUUUUAAAUUAAUUUUUUCAAUUUAAAUGUAACCAAACAGUUAUUAUCAUAAACAAAUACACCAGUUCACAAAUUAUUUAAAUACUAAUGUCUAUGGAAAAUUACGAUAGUUUAUUUUCAUAAAUAUUCAACAAUUACAUAUCAAAUUUAAAUAAUUAAAUAUUUAACAAUUUACUUUUUUAUGAAAUUAACAUAAAGAUUGAAUGAGAGAAUAUGGAUAGAAUUGAUCAGAAAUUUUUAAAUUAAGGAUGAAAUUACAGACUUGUGCAAAAUUGAUGAAGAUUGGUCACCUAAUUUUAACUUGUUCACAUCCAUAUAUUUCCUCUUCCUAGUUCUUGUCGUGGAAUAGAGAGGACAAAAUCCCGUUCAACCCACUACUCGCCGCCUCACCCGAGUGGUGUGGGGAUUACCUGCCUAAUUCAGUAAACGUGUGGGGGGCGGAAUGGGGUUUGUUGCCUCAAAGAACGUAUGAAAAACAUGAUCGCCCCGCUACCCAUCACGUUUAACGUUAAUUUUAAAUAUAAAUUUUAUCAAACAAAAAGAAGAAAUUUAUCAUUAUUUUUAAAGAGAACAUGAGUUGUUCUUAACAAAUUUAAAAAAUAAUAAUUAUAUUCACUGACUAAAGAUAUAAAAAAGUAAAAACAAAAAAAAUAAAAUAAAUGGGACAAUAAACCCCCGCCUCGUCCCAAUCUCGCUCUGAACCCAACUCGUCUUGUUUUAAUUGGAUAUAGAAGCAGGGCAAUUAUAAUAAAAAUACCCAAUGCAAUUGGGGGACAGAAAUAGCUGACCCGCCCCCACAACCAUCGCUACUAUGGAGAGUGGUGUUCUCUUGCAUCAAAUCUGUGGUGUUACUAUCUCAUCUUCAAUAUUUUAUUUUUCUACAAAUCUCAGCUUUUCAAAAUCCACCCCCUCCCCCCGGGUCAAAACUCUAGUCUCUGAGUGGAAACUUUGUACAAAGUUUAGUUAACAUUUGGAUAAUUCACUCUUAUAUUUCAUUUUUUAUUACCUACGCUGGUCCUUCUUUUUUUUUUUUUUUCAAAUAAAUAGAUGUUAAAAUAUGUUGUUCGGAUUUACAUAAUUGUGGUCAAUUUACUCAUAAUGUUUAUGAUAAAGCAUAUUUUGGUUAAUUUGGAAUACAACUUGUGCAUGAUAUUAGAUGUCGAAUCAUAUUGAAAUGGAUAUUUAUAAGGAAAAAUUUGAUAAAUCCUAUCAUUAAUGUUAAAUUUUGAGAAAUGAGAAGCAUUUCACGAAAAUCAGGUCACUCUAAAAUAAUUAAAAAUAUAUUAUUUAAAAUAUUGUGAACCAAUGUGGUAGGUUCCCUCUAUUAGAAGAUUCUUAAAAAAAAAAAAAAAAACCGAUGACAUUAUCAAAAUAAAAUUCUGCAAAUUCUGGAAUGAUAUUUAGUUAAAAGAAACAUUAAAGGUAUGUUAUGACUUGGGACAUAUGACUCCUACUAUGUGAUCUUGGAUGACUAUUAACAAAAAGCAAUUAUAUGACUUAUUAUGUAUCUUAUUAUUACAGUCCAUACAUAUGGAAUGAGUUGACAUGAGAUGUAACAAACAAUUGUGACUUUGACUUUGACUACUUCUAUUUGAUAAAAUUACGACAACAUCGUGUGACGGUUGUUCAUGUAGAAAUGGUUGUCAAAUGCAACAACUAUGACAUUUGAUGGGAUAUUUAGCAACAUGUAUUUAUAGCUCAUAUGAGUCGUAACCAUUUAAAGUUGUGAUAUUGAAUUUAUUGACCUUCUAAUUAUGUUAGUGAAGAAAUAAUGACUAUUUUAUAGUACAAAUCAGGUGAUUGAUCCACUUGCACUCUAUAUAUUGCAAUAAAAAAGAGACCAUACCGUUAAAAUUAUCUUAAUUUUGGGAACAAUAUUAGAAACGUAAAAAAAUAAAUAAAUUAUACACGAAAAUUCUGAAAUUUUUGAAUUAAUUAAAUUAAUGAAUGUGAUUUAACAAUUUUUUUUUAUUAAUAACUUAAUUUGUCAAAAGUAAAAGCUUUUUUUAUUUUUUUUUAUGGGAAAAUUUCAUAACUAAGAAAUUAAUUAUGGCACAUUUCACAAAACAAGAAAACAAGUUUCAAAUUUCUAAAAUCAGAUUUUUAUUAAAAAUUAUUUAUAAUUUAAUUAGUUAAUUAAUUAUUUUAUUAACUAAAUAUAUUUAGGUCACGGAUCUAUACAAUUUGAUCACUAAUUAACAAUAUAAUUAGUUACUUAUUAUUUUUUGGUCACAAAUCAAAAAUUUUAUGUCACAAAUUUUUUUACAAUCACAAUUCAAAAAUUUUGUAAGUCACAAUUUGUUUAUUGGUCACAAAUCCAAAAAUAAUUAGUUACGGAUUAAUUUUUAGUCACGACUUAUCAUAUUAUUGGUCACAACUUAUUUUUCGGUCACAAACACAAAUUUUAUAGGUCACAUAUUAUUUUUCGAUCACGAAUCAAAAAUUUUAUAGGUCACAGAUUAAUUUUUCGGUCACAACUCAAUAAAUUAUAAGUCACAAAUACAAAUUUUAUAGGUCACAUAUUAUUUUUCGAUCACGAAUCAAAAAUUUUAUAGGUCACAGAUUAAUUUUUCAGUCACAACUCAAUAAAUUAUAAGUCACAAACACAAUUUUUAGGUCACGUAUUAUUUAUGAAAUAAAAAAAUGGAAAAAUUAAUUUGUAAGAGUUUAUUUAUAGCCUACUUCAAAAUUAAGAGAAGAAGGUUUGCAAUUUCAAGUUUCAGAUACUAUUAAAAUUUAUUAAUGAAAUAAUUGAUUAAAAAUUUAUAUAUUUGGUCACAACUUAUCAAGUUAAUUGGUCACAAAUUAUUUAUAAGUCACAAAUUCAAAAUUCUACAGGUCACAAAUUAUUGGUCGGUCACAGAUCAAAAAUUUCAUAGGUCACAAUUCAUUGAUCGGUCACAAAUCAAAAUUUUUAUUGGUCACAACUCAUUUGUCGGUCACAAAUCAAAAAUUUCAUAGGUCAUAAUUCAUUGAUUGGUCACAGAAUCAAAUUUUUUAUUGGCCACAUUUAAUUUGUUAGUCACUAAUCAAAAAUUUUAUAGGUCACAAUUCAUUGAUCGUUCACAAAAUCAAAUUUUUUACGGUCACAAAUCAAAAAUUUCAUAAGUCACAAUUUAUUGAUUGAUUACAAAAUCAAAAUUUUUAUUGGUCACAACUUAAUAAAUUAUAGUCACAAUUGCAUUUUUUAGGUUACAUGUUAUUAUUAGACACAAAUUACUGGUCACAAACACCCCCUACAUCCCAUCUACCCCGACCACCACCCCCCAUGACAACCGUCACAGUAACCACACCACCACCACACGCCAAACUCUGAAACCAACAACCUCCACUGUCGCCAAAAACCACCACAACCACCGCCACCAAACACACUAACAAUGUUCAAUUCACAACCUCACCAACACCACCCAAGCGUAAUUUUUCAGCUAGUUCCACCCACCAGAACCAUCACCACCUCAACACAUCGCAGAACACCAACGUGCCACAAUCACCACGACCACCAUCGUUGAUCAUCACCGCCAACGCCAAAAUAUGUAAGCAGCCACCACCACCACCACCACCCAAAUAUCACCUAAAAAUACCAUAGAUAACAACUCAAUCCAAAGCCAUUCCCACCUCCACCACUACAGUGAACAUCACCACCACCGUAGCUACUACCACCACCAUAUGAUCGUAGCCACCACCACAACCCACGACACAGCAAUAAACACCGUAGCCACUACCACCACCAUAUGAUCGUAGCCACCACCACAACCCACGACACAGCAAUAAACCACGGUCUCAUCUCAAAAGAUCUCCUUCUCUUCUUGUAGAUCUUACAGAUAUGCUUCAUGAAUCACGAGGUACAUCACGGCACCACCACCACCACUUCAUCAUCACGACAAACCAGCUAUAGAACUCUACAAAUUCACCACACCGCAACAACAAAUCCACCACGGCACCAUAGCCAUUACAACUGUCACAGUCGAUCCAUAGCUAUAACCAUCGGUGACGGCGACAGAUCGCUGUGAUGCAUGGUGGUGCAUUCCAGAUCGCUGCCGAAGUAGAUGAGCCAAUAGAUCUCUGCUAGUCGCUGAUGGGAACGCCGUGCCGCGCCUCAACUCCACCGAUUAGAAGGGUGGUCGCGCCUCCGAUGCCGAAAUUGUGCUUCCGGGAAAGGUUGAGAGAGAGAAGGAGACGGCGAUUUUCUUUUUAAUCAGGGAGGCGACGGGUGUUUUAGGGUAGAAUGGAGAAAUGUGAGAGAGAGAGAGUUAGGGUUUGUGAGUAAUGAUAUUUAUUUUAUAGAAAUAUUAAUUAAAAUAAAAUUUUUGAUUUUUGAAAUAUUAAACUUUCCCCCUGAUUUUAGAAUUUAAGAUUUUAAUGAUAUGAUUUUGUGUAAUUUCCACUUUUUUUAUUACUCGCUUGCUUGAGGCCCAUCUGAAAAAAAGCCCAAAUUAAAGGCAGAGAUAUCCAACUCUUACCCAGCCUGUUUACAGUUUAUGUAUAGAGCAAAGGGGACGAUCGGAUCUCUUCCUCGGUUUACGCUAAAAUUCGGGAACAAUUCAUCGCCCCUGGGCACCAAUUUAUCUCGUGGUGCUGUGCUUUCUACUCAACUUCUGCAUCACCAAACUUGGGAGGUAGUAUCGGAUUUUAUUAGUGUAAAAAUGGCUUUAUAUGAUGAAAUCGCAUUCUAUUUGAAUGUUGUGUGAAUGAUUUAAUUUUAUCUCAACUCCUUAUAAUUUGUUCCAAAACUGUUGAUUCUUGAUGAUAAUUUUCCUCUAGCAACAUUGAUUUUUUCGACCACACUUCUCUUGAAUUUUUGAUGCGGUUGUUCACUGUUUUCUCCUAGCUUUGAAAACUUGCUGCCCCUCAAGUGUAAUACGUGAAAUACCCAGGACCAAAAUCCAGUGGGGGCAGUUAAUAUACCCCAGGUCCGGCUCCGGCCCUGUACACAUUUGAGUUAAAAUUCAUCAAAUAUGAAAAUUUUGUGUUUGUGCUCUUUGUUAUGAUGUGUAGGGUCAUACUAAAAACGGUAUGCCUAAUCAUUUUUCAUGACCAUUUACUUGUUUGGGCUUAAUUUUUCGUUAUUGAUGUUUGGUUUUUGAUAUUGCAUUAUUUAAUAUUGCUGAUGGGGAAAUUUUGAUGAGUCUACAUAUUAUUGGAGUGGUAGAAGCUUCUGGUAGUACUAUGGCUUGGAAUGUUACUUCACAUCUUAUUGAUUCGCGAACCCUCACAAAUGAAGCUGAAAUUAAAAGGAAAAGGGGGUUCUGAUUUUUUAUCUGAUGAUCUGUUUCUACAAAAUAUUAUGUGGUUUGACUGUCAUUCUAAUUGGUGUAAAGUUAUCUAACAAUUAAAAGUAUAAAAUAUAAAAAUGUUUACUUUUCUUGUGUACAACAAUUUUAUUGUGAGCUUGCUUGAUACUGUCUGUUACCAUUGAUGGAUGCUAUUUAUUCCCAUGAAAUGAAAAUAUUAAAUAUUAAAAUGUUAGAAUGAUAAGAACAAAAAAAGAAAAAAACUGAGAUGUGUUGAUAUAGGAAAAUGAGAUGUUGUAUUUAACAAGUGACAAAACUUUGUAUUUAGUUAGCCCCUAUUGGUUAAAAAUGGUUGCAAACUUCAUACAAUAUAGGCCCACUAUAGGAUUUUAGAAUAAAAAGUUACUUUCUUACGGAAUUAAAUGAAAGCCGACUUUGGGGUGAUAUGUUGUUUCUUUGGCAUGUUUGUGGAUCUCUAUUUCAAAAUAAUGGUAUAGACUGAACUAAGCACUUUGUCAGAAUGCUCUCCGGAAGACGAAAGCUGCCAACUUAUUAUCAAUAACUUGAGUCACCUUAAUUUGGGUAAAAAGCUGACUUUCCCUUGCCAUUCUGGUUGUUCAAGUAAAAACAAGGAGAAAACUUGUGGCUACCUAAAAAAUACGAUAAUUGGGCUGCUUUUGGGAUUGGAUGUGCAAACAUGGUAAACUUUUUGGUUUAUUCUUCUAUUUUGUGGCUUAGUCUGAUGAUUAUGCUCAUAUGUUGGUCAACACGUUACAGAAGUACAUUUGUUAGUGCCCAAACGGAAGAAGUUGUUUUAUGAAUUAAGCUCCUAGAUAUUACUGUAAGAUGCACAUAAUAGAUAGAUCCUGGAAGAUGUACAGCUGGAAGGGCCUAUUUCCCUGAUAGGAUUAUGAGGACUGUAUAAUCUGAUUCAAAUGCCAUGAUGGAAUAACAGGAAACUUUGGUUUCUACUAAUUGCAGGAUUUGGGAAUUAUUUUAAUCAAUAGUUGGUGUAGUCUUUUGCCUCUUGUUUGGUCCUCGACUUUGCAAUCUAGGUUUUCUUACAGCAUCUUUGGCUAAGCUUACAAAAAAAAAUAAAGUUAAUUUUUAAGGGAGUGUUUGAUAGAGAUUUUUAUGUAAAAAUACAUUUUAGAAUAGUAAAUUGAUGUGAACUGUGUGGUUGAAAAAUAAGGAAAAGUUUUUGAUUUACGUGUAAUAUUAUUUUAAUAAAGAAUGUGUGGUUGAAAAGAAAAAAGAGAAAAACGUAUUUUGAAAAAAAUAACUACCAUACGGGGCCUAAGUAACUUUUUGUCUUUAGAUAACUUACUUUUAAUAAAAAGUUAUUUUUUCUCAAAGUAAUACCUUAGUGUCAAAAUAAAUAAUUCAUUACCUUCUUUGAUCAAUAAAUUUUUUCUUUUUGAAAGAACUUAUUUACCUGUUAGAAAACCUUUUAAGCAUAGCCAAACUUGUAGCCUGCUAUACAUUUGAUGCUCUUGUAAUGGAUCUUUUGAUACGUGCAGUGUUCAAUCAUGAUUGAGAGUGGAAAUUUAAUCCUCAAAUCUCAUUAUGAGAUCCUCGAUGUGAAGGAAGAUGCUAGCUCUGACGAAAUUCGUACAUGCUACCGAACUGCCAUUCUGAGUUAUCAUCCAGAUAAAAUGCAAACGACAUCCCAAACAUCAAAUCCUGCAAACGAGUUGGGCGGAAGGUUUUUAGAGGUGCAGAGGGCUUGGGAAAUCCUCGGAGAUUCAAAAUCUCGUGCACUUUAUGAUAACGAGCUGCAAUCUUCGAGGCAAGAUUCUGCAACUGCUGAAGAUAUCAGAUUAGAGGAUCUGUCAAUCGAAGAGGUUGGUGAUAUUUUUGAGCUUUCGUACGGCUGCAGAUGUGGCGAUUACUUCCUAAUCGAUUCUUUGGAGUUGUCAGAUAUGGGAUAUCCACUGUUGAAAAAUGGGAGUAAAAUUGUUUUGCAAGCGCCUAGAUCUCCACCUGCAUCUGUUGUUCUUCCUUGUGGGUCAUGCUCGCUUAAAGUACGGUUAUUGAUUAAUUCUGAUAGUAAGCUUCAAACUGAGUUGAGUAAUUGAUAAUAGUUUUUCCAUUAAUCUGCAAUUUUGGUCUGAGCAAGUGAUUUAAGAUUAUCUAUAAUUUUGUGGAAUGUAACAGAGAAUUGGAAAAAUGACAGGUCAUUUUGAUUAAAAUUUGUAAUGUGUACUGAUUCAAUUGUUCAUGCAAUUGUUGUGGCCUGUGGUGCCAUUAUUUGAAUAGCAAAGGAUUUGAACUCGCAAGAGAUCUAUUGCAUAGUUUUUAUUAAGGUUAGACAAAACUCUCGAAUCAAAUGAGGCCGAAUUGGACCCGAUUCGAACUAAAUCGAAUCGAGCAGUUCUUCUUAAAUUAAAUAUUUGAAUGGGUGUUUGAAUCGAGAACCGACGGGUUCGAUUCGAUUUUCGGAUCUAGAUCAUGAAUUGAAGAAUUGAAUAAGAACUAAAUCUCUAUAAUUUUUUUAAUUUAUUUAUUUUAAAUAAGUCAAAUUAUUUUAUUUUUUUUUAAAUAAAUUUGUUAAUUAAUUAAUUUAGCUCAAAUCCAAAAAUAUGAUUUUCAUAUUUCUAAUUUUCAAUCUGAGUCCAACUUAAUCAAACUGUUCUAAGUUUUAUCCAAAUAUGUUAUUCUAUCGUAGUGUUAUUUUUACCGUUUUGGAGAAAUUGAAUUAAAGUUGGACAGCAGCUCUCUUAAUUAUUGUAAGCUUGCUAUCGUCCUCUUCCUGUGAUUAUAACAAUCAAAUCUAUGAAAAACUCACCAAAGAGAAAUGCAAAAGACAUAUAAGAUUGGAUUACGUUAUUUCGUAAGAGUUAAGAUUAAACAUGUCAUUAAUUGAAUUAAUUUAGUUUUAUAAAUAUUAAAAAAAUUAAUUAUAGUAUAGAACCUGGGAGCCGAAUCCGAACGGUUCCAUAAUUAACUUGGGAUCCGACGGUACUAUUUAUUAAAUACCUGAAAAUUUCAGGUUCGAUUCGGUUCUAAUGAGAAUCCAACUAAAUCGAACCAUGUCCACCCUUAAUUGUCGGCAGACCAUUUUAUCAUCUUGUAAUAUUAAGGAAGAAAAAAGUAGGUGAAUUCUUGUUGGUUGUGCUGUUUAAACCCAACAAAGCUGUGUGUAGAAAUGCCACAGGCAACACACAAUUGGGUGAGGGGAAGAGUGGGGGAUUUUUUUGGUAUCCUUUAUCACGACUUGGGAUUCACAAAUUAUGGGUAUCUGGUGGAAUUUUGUGAGUCCUUUUUUUGUACGAAUGACUUUCUUAGUUUAAACCAUACUAAACAUGCUACAGUGACAAAAAUAUCAAUUGCAGACCCUUGACAUUCUGUUCUCUGAAUAUCAUAAACAAAUCAAUAAAGAGAUCCCUAAACUAUAUCGAGUUUUGUUAAAAAAAUAAAAAAUAAAAAAAAAAUAAGGAAAAGAAAAAAUCAACAUAAAUAUUAGUGUGCCACAUUGCUUGGAGUUGUAUGACGCAUGUAGGGUUGAUAAAACCCAACUCAACCCAAUUGAUAAGUGUAUUUUUAUAUGCUUAUGUGGUUAUUAAAUGAAAGCAGCUAUUGUUAAUUUGAAUGAAUUAGAGCUUAAUUAUGUUUUAAGUAAAACUCGUGACAAAUUGGGUGAAUUGGAAGAAAGAAGCGAAAAAUGGACUGAAAAAGAAGAAUACGAAGUUCGUGAUAAAAUUGCAAAUAUCCAAUAAUUGAUUCAGACAAAAAAAAAAUGUAUAAUUGAAGAUUAUUAAGAGUCAAUUGAAUGUAAUUAGAAGUCAAAAAACAGUGAAAUUCAAUAAAAAAAUUCUAACAAAUCAAUUUUCAACUGUACAAGUAAUGUUCCUGAAAUUUAGUCGGAGAUUGAAACCCAUUUUGACAUAGUAGUCGCUCUAAUAGAAAAAUUGCUACUUUUUUUUAUUAGUUGUAGCCCUUCGAAUUAACUUUUUAACACAUUUUGAAUCUUCUUAAUCAAAUAUUGAAAUAGAAAGUUAUGACAAAAAAUUAACGACCGAGUAAAGAUAUAAUCAUGUUUGUGCGAAGACAACUUUCCUUAUUUAAUUGACACUCUUUUGGAACCCAAACUUAAACGUAUUUUUUUGACCUAAUUUCACCUUAUAUAAUAGAAUACAUGGACAACCAUUGAAGGAUCUCUCCCACCUCUCAAAUCACUUCCAUGUCAUAAAAUCAUUCAAGAACGAGAAUCAAAUUCAUCAUAAGUUGGAGAGGAGAACAAAUCUAACAUGUAGAUAAAUCAAGAAACAUCAAGAACUUGAAAAAUCAAAGCUUGGGGUUGAACACUAAGAAUAAAAAUUAGACCGUGACAUCUCUUUCUUAUAUUUAUAAAUUUAGGUGAUGUUUUUCUAUUCUUCUUCUUGUUUGAUCAUUUGACAUAUGUUUAGCUAGAUUCUUUGUAUUUGAUGAGGAUGAACCAUAUUAUUUAUUUAUUUUAAUUCAAACUAAUAGUUUAGUAAUUCUUGUUUUCUUGAUUAAUUUUAUAUUCUCAUUGCAUUAUAUAAUUAUUUUGCCAUCAAUUAGAUAAUUAGUUGUUUGUUGCAGUGUCAGAAGACUCACAAUAAGUUUAGAAUGUAAUAAAAUUAACAUAUGUGUAAUAGAUGUUAUGAAUAAUAUUUAUUUCAUGUGCAAUCAUGUAAAUAAUAUAUAGUUUAUGUAUUCUAAUGAUUCGAAUUUAGGUUAAGGAUAGACUUGGGUUGUGGUUAGAAUAGAUUUAUUUUGUCUUAGAAAAGAAAGUUAAAUAUAUUAAUUUUAUUGAACGUUAAGAACAUAUGAAUGGAACUAGAUUACAAAUUAAGACUUAAAAUAGGUAACAAUAGAUGAAUUCGAAAUUCAAUAACAGCUUUCUUAGGUUAAUAUAGACUAAUCAACAUUAAAAACUCUUUCGUUUACACACUUCAGAUUACAUAUAAAUUAGUAAAUUUGAAUUAAAAUUUAUUACUUGUGGGACGUAAGCUCUCAAUUCACUCAAAUCGAUUACUUAUCCAUGAUCUCGUAUGCUUGCGGGAUUUAGUGAUCGAGUUUUUGGCGUCGUUGUCGGGAAUAAAGUAUUUAAUUUUAGUUUAUUAGUUUAUUUAGGAUUUGACUAUUAUUAUUAUUAUUAUUAUUAUUAUUAUUAUUAUUAUUAUUAUUAUUAUUAUUAUUAUUAUUAGUUUUUUUAAAUUUAGGCUUCUCACCAUAUCUCUCUUUUGUUUGGUUUUCUACCAAGUACUAUUCAAUAGCACAUGGAUGAUUCUUACAUUAACAAGAGAGCAAACCAUUUGCAAUAAUUAAUCUCAACGUGGAUGAUGAAGAUAUGCUUGUAGAAGACAUAUAUUGUUAAUUUUGUUACGGGUUGCAUUAUACUGGGCACGGCUUAUAAAGACGCACUGUUGAACCCCUAAGGUUCAAGCUUCUACAAUUUCAACAAUAUUUAAGUUAUCAAAAAUGAGCAAUUGAGAAAUUUAAUGAAAACUACAUACCGGCAAUCGAUUAUGUAUCAUUAGACAUGCUUGUGGGAGUUGGUUCCUUUCAUGUUGAAUGAAGAGAUAUUUGUAAAAUAUUAUAAUGAACUUGCUAAGUCAGAUGAAAACAAAUGCAUAUGGAGAUGGCAUAUCUUGGGACAAAUUUAAAUGAUGGGGAUAUAAUCCACUUGAAAAGAUUGAAAGGAAAUAAGUGACAUUGCCAAUGAAUUUAGAUAGUGAACCGACCAUUUAACUCGAAGAAAUAUCAAUUAUUGAAGAAGAGCAUAAAGACGAUGACAAACUAAUUAUAAAGGAACCAAGCAAAAAUGUGACAAUUAAUGAUGAUGAAAUUUACUCAUAUUCUUUUGACUUCAUCGAUUGUCCAACAAUUGAAUUUAUGAUUAAGUCAAAGAAGGAAGAAGUCUACAUAAUUAGCUUGGAAUAAGAUGGAAUAAACGAAUCAUAUCACAUAGAAUGAGGUAAUGUUAAGGUUUGAAAAAUUAACGAAAGUGGACCAAAGUCAAAAGAAACAAAUUAAGCAUGGCAUCAAAAGCUUUCUCCAGAAUUUCAUGGUGCAGAACAUGAAAGUCAAGCUAAUGACUAUAAAUAAGCACUUAUUGGAAUGCAAUUCAAUUUCUUCUCUUUUAUUUAUUUUUACUUUCUAAAAUAUAGGAUUAGUAAAUUUCAUUUUUUUAGUAGUUUUGUAUAUUUUAUUGCUUUUAGUAAUUUAGAGUAUCCUUAUUUUCAUAUUUUCCUUUAAGAAGCUUUAGAGCUUGUUUAACUAUGCUCCAUGGUAUAAUUGAAUUUUAUUUAUUUAUUUAUUUAUCUUGAAGAAACAACAUGACAUCUAAGUACAUUGGAUAAGGUAAAAUACAUAACAAGUGAUCCAACACUCUUAUGCCAGUCUAUCUACCACCUUCAGAUAUAUAUAUCAGGGGAAUACUUAGUUCUCUUAUUUAUCCUUAGUUUUUCUAUAUUACUUGUUAUAUUUUUAGACAUUAAGGGCAAUAUCUAUUAUAAAUUUGGGGAUUAAAAAAUAUCUAGUUUUUAUCUAUUUUUACUAUUUGGUACUUGCAAAAAAACUUCAAAAAUUAAAAAAAAAAAAUUAUCUUCAGUUUUAUUUUUGCUUUUAUAUACUUUUGUUGAUUAUAUAAAUUCGUCUACUAUGAUGCAUAUAUUUGGAACCAUCUGUAAGGUUAUAAAUAGUGAAAAAGUUGCAUGAUAGGUUGAUUUAUGCUUAUUAAUGUAAAAUUUGACAUUUUUGCACACAAGAUUAUUGUUUUGCAUCAUUAAGGAUUAAUUUGAUUCAAAUUUUGAAUAGUUUGAAAUAAAUUUAGUGGACCAUAGAUGCUAAAACUAGAUAAACACUAAAUUGUACAUCCUUAAACCUAUUUUCAUAUAAUUUGGGGGCGACUGAACUGUUGUAGGGAGAUAUUGAGAUAAAUAUAGAUUAUAUGCAUAUUCUGUUAAUUGUUUAAUGCAAAUAAGAAAAAAAUUAAGUGUAAAUUUUUGUGUCAAUUUUUGAGAAUGAGUGUUUAGUUAGGGGCAUUGUACUGGACAUUGCAUGGGAAAAUAAUUUCAAAGAAGAAAGAAACUCACAUUAUUAAACUUCUUUUUAUAGCCUUCAUGACUUAAGUUUAUAAAGCUUAAUUGAGAUAAGUUUGAACAUAAAAUGAAAAUGAAAAUAGAAAUAAAAAGAGAAAAAGCAAGUAACAAAAGGUGUACUACAUGCGUUGAUUAAACUCCAAAUACUUGUUUUAGAGAAUUAGACAUUUGACAAAGGAUUAUUGGCCUAGUUGAUUUUUGGAGGUUGAAGUAACCAAAAAUAAAGAGAACUCUCAUUUGUUGAUGUGUUAGCUGCAAUUAGUAAGAUCUAACCAAAGUAAAGGGGAUAAUGAUUAGUAUAAAAAAUCCAACUUUAGAUCACACUAUAGGAAAAGAGUUUUAAAAAAAAAUUAGUUUGAAUGUGAACCUUAUGCGAGAAUGAAGUAAAUAUUUGACCAAUUAGGGCCGGGACAUAAGUCACCUAAUGAGAACUUGUUUGAGCCCCAUUUUGAGGGGAAAGAAUGCAUUUUUAAAUAGUGAUUGAUGGAGAAUGUGUAGUUAAAAAUUAAGGAAAAGUUUUGGGUUGUGUAUAAUAUUAUUUUAUUGAAAAAUAUAUGGUUGAAAAUGGAUUUUAAAAUUUUUUUUUUUUAAAAGAAUGAGGCUCAAACAAGGGCUGGAUUUAUGAUGUUUAACAUGAAUUUUCACACACGGGCGUCGAUUUUGCAUUAGAUAAGUAGAAAUUAAUUUUAACAUUGUGAUUUUGAAGUAGCUCAUAACGUUAACACAUAAAUUUCAAUCCUAAGACCAAUGACAAAUUAUCUAAUCAUGUUUGUUUAAAAAAGUUUUGGUUAAGUUAAGCUAUAUUUUGUUAGAGGCUAAAUAAUUGUUCAAGUUUGGAGGUAUUUGAUAAGUUCAUUUCUAUAUACUUAUUUGGUUAUUAAAUGAGAGCCAUUAUUGUUAAUUUGAAUGAAUUAGCGCUUAUUUAUAUUUUAAUUUUAUUUGUUAGGUAAAAAUCGAGAUAAAUUGGGUGAAUUAGAAGAAAGAAAUGAAAAAUGGGUGAAAAAAAUGAAAUAUAAAGUUAGGGAUCAAAUUGUAAAUAUCUAAUAGUUGAUUUGAACCACAAAAUGAUAAUUGAAGAUUACAAGGAGCCAAUUGUAUGCAAUUAGAAGUCAAAAAGGAGUGAAUUACAAUCAAAGGAUUCUUACAAAUCAAUUUUCAUCCGUACAACUUAUAUUCCAGAUUUUUAGUCGGAGAUGGAGACCCAUUUUAAUUUAGUAAUCGUUCUAAUAGAAGAAUGGCUACUUAUUCAUUAAUUGUAACACUUUGAGUUAGCAUUCUAAUCAUUUUGAAUAAAUUCAAUCGAGUAUUAGGAGAGAAAUUUAUGACCAAAUUAUUGAUGAGUGUGCAAAGAGAUAAUCAUGCACGUGUGAAGGUAUCUUUUCUUAUUUGAUUGAAACAUUUUAGGAACCUAACUUGAACGCAUUUUUUAAGCUAAUUUUGCCUUAUCUCUAUCUAAUAUAAUCAUCCAUGGAAGAUCUCUAUCUCACCUCUCAAAUCACUUCCAUAGCAUAAAAUCAUUCAAGAACGAGGGAAAAAUUCAUCAUAAUUUGGUGGGGAGAACAAAUCUAGCACAUGGACCGAAUAAAAAAUAAAUCAAGAACUUGAAUAAUCAAAGCUUGAGGUUGAGAAACAAGAUCAAGAAUUAGACCGUGCAUCUCUUUCUUAUAUUUAUAAAUUUCGAGUGAUAUUCUUCUUGUUGUUUUAUCAUUAGAAACAUGUUUAACUAGAAAUUCUUUGUAUUGGAUGAAGAUAAAUUCUUUUUUUUAAUUAUUUUAAUUUAAACUAGUAGUUUAUUAAUUUUCCUUUUCUUGAUUAAUUUUACAUUCUCAUUGCAUUAUUUAAUUAUUUUGCCAUCAAUUAUAUAAUUAGUUGCUUAUUGUAUAGUUAGAAGACUCACAAUAAGUUUAAAACGCUACAAAUUAAUAUGUGCACAAUAGAUGUUAGGAUUAAUAUUUAUCACUUAUGCAAUCAAGUAGAUAACCUAAAAUUUAAUGCAUUCUAGUCAAUCGAAUUUAAGCUAGGAAUAGACUUAUAUGUGAUUAGAAUAAAUUUAAUUUGUCUUGAAAAAUGAAGUUAAAUAAUUAGCUUUAUUGAUUGUCAAAAAAGCAUGAAAUGAAUUAUAUUACAAAUCAAGAAUUGAAAUAGAUAAUAAUAGGCGGAUUCACAGUCUAUUAUAAUCAUCCAUAAUUUAAUAAAAACCAAAUUUUUAUGACUUAUUAGAUUUAGAAUAAUCAACACCAAAAACUCUUUUGUUUACAUAAUUCGAAUUCCAUAUAUAACUAGUGAACUUGAAUUGGUAUUAACUCACUCAAAUUUAUUACUUGUGAAUGAUCCCUUACACUUACUAGAUUUUAUCAAACACUGAUCAAUUAAAAAAUUAAUGCCUAAAAUAAAAAAAAAAUCCAAAUAGAUACAAUAGUGGAGAUAAGAGAAAGACUUAGAAUGUACAAACGUCCUUUAUUUACAUAGACUGAUUGACACUAUUUACAAAUGCAAAGUUAUUUGAUGGUGAACUAAAAUUAAAUAUGGAAUGAUGAAGUGAAUGAAUUCAAAAAUUGUUGUAAAAAAAGCUCCAUAAUUUCAAAUUUACACAUUAUUUUUUAAAAAGAAUUUCUUAUAUAGAUUAAAAACAAUAGAUGUUUUCAAGUGAUUUUAAACCGUAAAAAAUUGUCCAAAUUUAACAAAAAAUAAUAAUCAAAUCCAACUUGAAUUGAGCCCAAGCCCCAACCCUAAAAUUGAUUGGUUUGGGUUGGGUUGGAUUGAGUUUAAAACAACAAUUGGGUUGAGUUGGAUUGCGGGGGAGCACUUUAAAAAAUUACGUUUCUCACUUUUCUUUGUUUUCUUUGAACCUUAAAGAGUUACUUUGCAAACAUUUUUUUUCCUUCCUCCCAAUGGCAGAUCUAGGUAGUGGCGAGCUUGGGCGGCCGCCCUAGCUGGAUCCGCCAGAGUCUUUACUAGCCGCCGGGUGGAAGAUUGGAAGUUGCAGAGCCGCGACUGAACUGAAAAAGGGAGGAUCGGAGGAGGAAGAUGAAAUUUUGAAUUUGGGUCUUUUUUUUUAUUAUUUUAGUUUAGGCCUUUUUCUUUGGGCUGAUGAGUUGGGCCUCUUUGUUGGAAAAAAAAAAUUAGACCCAAUCCAUGGAUGAUGAUUGAUGGAAAUACACACAUAACUGCAACCACACCUCCAAAUCAGAGGUAAUAAUCGUAGCAAACCCUUCUGUAACUGCUCUCCUUCUCCCUGCUGUUGGCCGCAGAUGUUAUUACUUAUUUCGGUGGUCAAAACCUCAAUUGGUGGCAUUAGAAAUAGGACGCCUAUGUCCUGGUGAGAAACUUCUAAGUUCUAAUGGCUCAUUUUUUCGAUUUCCAUGUGUCUGCCUUGGAUUAAUGCAAAUUAUGCAAACCUGUAUACUUACUUUUUUGUUUAAUAUCUUUUUCAGGAAAUAAGAAUGGGAUACUCUUGCCUCACACAGAGUUCGCCUGAGUGCUGCUCACGCAUGUGACUUGUGAGCCCUCUCUUCUCUUUCACUUUUUUGUUUGUUUGUUUGUUUGUUUUGUUUUUGUUUUUUGUCCUUUUAAUUCAUUUUUUUAUUUAUCUUUUAUUUUUGAGCUAUGAAUCUAUGACUUGUGUUUUACUAGUUAUGAUUUAUGUUUUAUGAGUUAUGACUAUGAUUUGUGAUAAAUAAUUCAAGAUGAAAUCCCUACCUUCUAGUUCUAGUUCGUGUUAGGUUGUUGCUAGUUCAUUAGAUUUGGAAGAUUAUAAAUAAUUUGAACUUUGUUAAUAUAGCAAAUUAAUAAUACUUGUUAAUUAACUUUAAUUAUAAACUGAAUAUUGGCAUUUUGUUAAUAUAUUUUGCCUAUUUAAUUGAAAAAUAAAUUAAGGCAAUUUUGCAGAUUAUGGAACUAUUUUUUCAUUCGAAAUGAAAGUUUGUACAUAGUUUCAGUUCUAGUGGUGCAUCUAGUUCUAGUCCGUACGGUUUUUUGAAUACUAUUUAAUUAAAUAUUAAUAAACGAUUCACCUAUCAUGGAUGCUGACAGUUGACAGUUAACAUUCAACGUUUACGGUCCGUCCUAGCUGAACUAAGACCCUGGAUUCGCCCCUACUUCCUUCCACCUAUUUUUUCCUCCCUCCAUUUCAUAACUACGAAAGAAUAUCACUAACACUAUCAAUACAUAUAAAAAUUCUAGUCAAUGAAUUGUUGAUCAGUUAAUUGAUGUCGUUUCAAGUUUUUGUGUUCGUUCUAUAUAUGACAAAGUUGUCGAUAAUCCUUACAGUUCUCACAUGGCCCUGUUGAGAAGAAACGAAUUGCCACUUGCUAGGGAACUUUCUAAGGUAGCUAGGAUGCUGUGGCUGUUUCAAACUCGGAUCCAGCUUCCAUUCUUUUGGAACCUGCAUAGCCACAUUUACAAUGACACUCAGAUUCGACGUGAAAGGUUGGAAAUACGAUUAACGACGACCAAUUUUCUAAAAUCGAUUCAGGUCAGUCACCUUCUCGUGUCAAGGUUCAAAGGAUACAAUUGGAGUUUAACUAGAUAAUAUUCGUCACAUAGCAUGAGAUAUGUCAAGGCUCAAAUUGCUCCUUAACCCAAAGUUCUUAUUUUCAGUUAAAAAAAGCUGAAAAACUUCUAGGUUUCCUCCCAUCUCUUUAAUAUGGUUUUUAAGGUAUAACAAUACGUUACAGGUUAAUUCAUCGUUUUAUCUCUCGAACCAGUCAGGAUAGUCUGGUUAUCAAAACACUAAAGAAAACAAGAUGAGAAAAAUAGAAGAUCUUGAUAUUUUUUGCAAGUCACCUUUCAAACAUUAUUCACUUUUGUUCGUGAGAAACCUACAACCGUAUCGUUGACAAGUAAUAGAAUUAACAAGUUUAAAGUUACUGUCCCACAGGAAAUAAACUCAAUUGAAAUUUACCAAUUUUAUAUGGAAUUCGAAUUACAUAACACAAAAGAGAUUUUUAAAUUGAUAUUUGAUAAAUUAAUUUAUGAAAUAUUUAAAAGUUUGGUUUUUAUAAUUUAUGGAUGAUUGUAUUAAAUUUACGCUCUUCUAUUGUUAUCUAUUUCAAUUUUCAGUUAUGUAAUCUAGUCUUAUUAAUGCAUUUUUGACAGCCGAUAUAGUUAAUGUAUUUAACUUUUUUUUCAAGAUAAAUUAAUUCUAUUAUAGUCACGACUCGAAUCUAUUUCUAGUUUGAAUUUGAAGAAUGGAAUACAUUAAAUUUCAGAUUAUUUAUAUGAUUGCACACAUGAUAAACGUCAUUUUUAACAUCUAUUGUACAUAUGCUAAUUAUACUGCAAUCUAAACUUAUUGUGAAUCUCUCAAUACUACUACAAGUAACUGAUUAUCUAAUUGGUGGUCAAACAUUUAAAUAAUAUAAUAAGUGUACAAAAUUAAUCAAGAAAUGUAAGAAAUACUAAAUUACUAGUCAUGAAUUAAAAUAAAUAAACAAUAUGGUUCAUCUUUAUCCAAUACAAAAAUAGAUCUAACAUGGCAUGCUUUUAAAUAAAUUAUAAGAAGAAUAAUAGGAAAAUAUCACCCGGAUCAUGAAAAUAAUGCAAGAAAUCUUGAUCUUCAAUAUCAAGAUUGAGUUCUUCCAAAUCUUGAUGUAACUGGCUUCAAUUCCUUGCUAGGGUUUGCUCCCUUCUCUCAAAUAUAGCAAUUGACCACUUGUUCUUGAUAAAUUUUAAGAUAUUACUGUGUAUCUAGAAGCUAGAAAGAGUUCAUUUCCAUGUUUAGAUGUUGUUUUGUAUUUAUAGGAAUUGAAAAUUCGGGUUAAAAUCAUGUAUAAAUUCAAAUUAGGAAGAGUUUUAUGUCAAACAGAUUUUAUGUCAAGGAAUUUACAAGGUUUUUUCAAAUGAAUGAUUUAACUUGGGAGUAAUUAGUGGUUUUGCAAUGGAGUGUUUCAGCAAAGAACCUCGGAUGGAGAUGCGCUUCGGCCAGAGAGAUCAACCCUUUUCAUUGAUUUCUUCAUGUUGUCCUUGUUGACUUUUAGAUGUAUUGCCUCCACGCAACUUCGACUUGGCUUCCACUGGAAGCUUUGGAUACAAAGCGAAAUUUAAUAUUUAAUAUCUAUUCCAUAUGGAUUAAAAUCUCUAAAUCAAAGCAAACAAUUAAUUUUCAUCACAUAUUUCGUGGAUUCUACAAUGGAUAAAUAGCCAAAACCCCAUGUUUGAAACAUUUUUGUGCAAGCCCCACCGUCAUCAAGAAUUAUCAAAUUGAUCGUUAAAAACACUAAAAAAAUGUCAAAAUUAAAAAGGAAUAAAUGCAAUUUCAGUAUCUAAACUUUUAUUUUUUUUUACAAAUUAAAUCCAAAUUUUUUAUAUGUACCACCUACAAUCCAAAUAUUUAAAACUUUAUUUUCCACGCCACCCUCUUCAUCUUCUUCCCCAAAAUAUUCUUUUCUAGGUUUUCCUUCACCAAAAUCUAUGAUUUCAUUCCUAUUUACUAGUCGAUGCCACGUGCGUUGUACGAUUAUUGUAUUUAAUAUGUCUUUAUUAGCGUGAUGUAGAGAUUUUAGUUUUCUUGUCAUAAUCGUAACAUGCUUUUGAAGUUUGAAUUAAUUUUUUUUGGCAUGAAUUUUCUCUGACAAUUAGUAAAAAUUAGAUUUAAAAUUGUAGGGGAUAUAAGUAAAAGAUAAUUUAUAAUUUUAUGAGAGUCCUGCACGCGACCGUGCAGAGUCAGCACCAAUUCCAUGCGAGGAAGUCCCCGCACAGAUGCGGAUUUCCUGCACAAUUCGUGCGGAGUCCUCACACAGUUUGUGCGAGGACUCCACACCAAUUCCUUCGAGGAAGUCCCGCACAGUUUGUGCGGGCACUCCGCACCAAGAUUGCUACAAAAAGCCAUAUUUCACGAGUUCUAGGUGUUUGCAUUCUCAAAGUGAUUAAGAGAACUAAUAUCACCAAAAUUCAGCAAAAAUAAAAAUGAGAAUAUUUAUUUAUAUAAGCAAGGGAUGAAAAGUGGAAAUAACUUCCUAAAAAAUGAAAUGUACUGCAUUCAACAUUGAGAAAAAAACACGUAACAUGUAAUCAUAUUGUGCUGCUGGCUCAUUUUCAAUUAAUUACUACCAAAAAGUUUUGCAACGAGAAUUCUACAGUUAUAAAUAGAGAUUCAAAUGGCCUAUCCAAUCACCUUACUAUGCUCUGCUUAAACUUAUAGCUAAAAACUUAACAGAAACAAUUUGCAACUAUUAACUAAAAUAACAAAACCCCUUAUACUUAGAGCAAUUCAAUUAUUUUCACCAAACUUAUAUGCUUCACCUAAUCAUUCAUCGAUUUCUUGCUAAUUUCUUUAGUCCUACAUUUUCCUACUUCAGGUGCCAAACCAUGGCCUAAAAAAUUAAUCUAUACUUCUUUUUUUUUCCUCUCUAUAAUCUGUUGUUCUUAUGGCCAAAAAUUCAGUUUAAAAAGACUUAUACAAACUGAAAAUACACACAUUCUUAAUAUGCAUAAAGUAUGAAUAAACCCAUAUCAAGAGUCCCAACAAAAAAAAAAUUGAAAAUAAGUAAAAAGGCAGAUUUUUUCCCUAGUUGACUUUAAAAAAAAAAUUAAAAUUCAAGACUUCUUUUCUGCAGCACAUAUCAAAAGUCUAUUCACGGCAUCAUCGGAACAAUCAUCAACAAACAAAACCCAUACACCCAAAAUUAAUGAAAUGACGAAAACUCAAACAUCUAACACAUAAAUUUAGGGAUUAAGAUAAGAUAAGCCCAUACCUUCAAAAUUAUUAGUGUUAAAACCCAAAAAGUCCCCGCACAGUCUAUGCGGGGACUCCGCACCCAGAUUACUACAAGAAGCCAUACUUCACGAUUUCUGCCAAGAUUGCUAAUGCAUGAGAUACACAAGAGACCUAAAUGAAUUAACAAGCCAAUAAGCAUUUUAAUUUACAUUAAACCAAGAAUAUACCUCUCUAUUCACACAAAAACCCAAAAUUGUGAAUUGAAUGAACAAAAUUAUAAUUAUCAAAUAAAAUCGAGGAUAUACCUCUCUAUUCACUCGAAAUAAAAAAUUUUGCACGUAGAAUCUUGAAUAAACAAAAUCAUAAUUUGAGAAAAAUGGCAUGCCAGGAAUUUACCUCUCUAUUCAUGAGAAUUUUGCACGAAAUUAAUCACAGAAAAACGAGAGAAGAAUUGAAGAAGAAGUGAGAGAAGAAAAUGAUGAUGAUGAUGAUGAUGAAAGCUUGUGUCUGGGUUUGCGUGGGGAAAUGGCUUCACCGUCCUUUUGAGUAAGAAAAAAUGGGUAUGAUUGAUAUCUACAGUAAAAUCACUGUUUAGCUAAAGUAGAAGUCCCGAAUACUAUUGCAAUUAUAGUAUAUUUUAUUCAUCUUUCUAUAAUAAGUAGUUAGAUUUAAAAAAAAAAACUGCAAAUGUGGUGUUUUGCAAUUACAGUGAAUUUUAUUCAUCUUUCUAUAAUAAGUAGUUAGAUUUAAAAAAAAAAAAAAAAACUGCAAAUGUGGUGUUUCUACAUGAGUUAACUUAUGCGUGUUUUAUAUAAAUCUCCUUGUUCUGUUUGUUAGUGAAGAUCAUGAAUUGGCCAGCUCUAAAAACAAGAUUCAGUAACAUUUAUAGAAUAAUAUAUUAAAUUGGAUAGCUUAAGGAGGUCGCCAGAAUUUGGGGUGGCCAUAUUGCUCAACCCCAGACGGUGUUCAAGUAUCUGUCUAUUCAUUUUCUGUGUAUAAUCGUAUCCAAGAAUGAGUCAUGUAUUCUAGCGAGAAAUUAAUAUCAAGAUUCCAGUUCUUGACAUCUUGUUUAUCCAAAAUUUUUCCUUUAUCUUGGUGUAAUCUAUGGUCAUAGGUAGUGUUUUUGUGGAAUCAGAUCUUUGUUUCUCAUUUUUUAAGUUGGAUUUCAAAUCUUGAUAUUUGGACUUUUGAUUCUCGAAGUGUUCAAUAAUUUAACUGUAAUUUUCAAGAAAAUAGGGGGAUGGACUUACUAUAUGUUCUUGGAACCAGAAAGAGAGGUGAAUUCUAAUUACAUAAUUAAUUCAUUAUUUAAACAUCCCAUUCUGAGACUUGGGGAAAUGGACUUCUUGUAUUUUCGUGGAUCGAAGAAAAUGAAUUGGGGUGGGGGUUGGAAAAUAAAGUUCUAGAGAUUUGGGAUUGUAGGUGGCAUAUAUAAAAAUUUGGAUUUAAUUUGUAAAAAAUAAUAAUAAUAAAUAACAAAAUAAAAAAAAUUGGGUAUUGAAAUUACAAUUAUUCCUUUUUAACGACAAAUUGAUGGAUCUUGACGGUAGGGAAAUUUGGGAUGAGAUCAAUGCACUAACUGAUGCCCACCCUUGUACUUGUGAUGCUCGCAAAAAAGUCGAAGACACAGCCAAUACCGAACGACUCUUUCAAUUUCUUAUGGGCCUCAAUGACUCAUUCUCCAACAUUCGAAGCCAAAUUCUCACCAUGGACCCCCUGCCCACAAUCUCCAGAGCAUAUGCCACCAUACAUCAAAAAGAGACACAACGCCUCCUACAAAUUCCAUUGUUACCCAAUCCCGAAAAUUCGGCCAUGGCUGUCUCACACACCAAUUCUUCGGUCAAUCACGGUUUUUGUUCUCGCAACAGUAGAAAAUGCACAAAGUGUGGGAAAGAUGGACAUCAAGAAGCCUCCUGCUUUGAAAUCAUUGGCUAUCCUUCCCAUUGGAACACCAAUAAGCCGAAGCAGCCCCUGCGGUCCACACCUGUCAAAAAUCGGCCACAGGAUUCAGGCAGUAAUCGGCUACCCACAGCGAACAUGGUGUCUCGUACCUCAGCCCCUUCCACAUCGAGUGCAAUCCCUGGCUUAUCUGACGAGCACUACUGGCAAUUGAUGGAAAUGUUGGAUCCUAGCACCAUUACACACUCGGCCUUCUCUGGUAUCUCUCUAUCACCUCUCCAAAUCGCCCUAGGUCCUUGGAUUAUAGAUAGUGGGGCUUCAGCCCACAUUUCUUGUGUUUCUAACUUACCCAAAGCCUCACAUAUUUGGGCCCAUAGUCAAUCCCUUACAUUACCUACAGGCUUCAAGGCCCACGUCACACAUAUGGGCCACAUCCAUAUUUCUCCCCAUUUAUGUCUACAUAAUGUUCUUUUUGUUCCCGAUUUUAAAUACAAUUUAAUCUCAGUAAGUCAACUCACAAAAUUGUCUAAUUGUGUUACCAUAUUUUCCUCUUCUAUUUGUUUAUUUCAGGACCUAUGUAUGAGAAAGCUGAUUAGGAUGGGUGAAGAACAUGGAGGCCUCUACCAUUUUAAACCAUUUAAUCAUGUUGCAUUUCAACUCAUAGCGAAUCCUGCUGCUACACCGGAUGUAUAGCAUCUUCAUUUAGGUCAUCCUUCAAAUUCUUGUAUUCCAAAAAUUUUAUGUGAUUCAAAUAAAGUUAGAAAUUGUGAUAGUUGUGUUCGCGGUAAACAUACGCGCCUUCCCUUCAAAUUGGUCGAAAAUAAAAGUACUUUUACCUUUAACCGAAUUUAUUGUGAUAUUUGGGACGGAUAUUCCACACCCUCUACAAUUGGUGCACACUAUUUUCUCACAAUUGUUGACGAUUUUUCACGUGUUACUUGGGUAUACCUCAUGCGUUUUAAAUCUAAUACAUUUACUUACCUAACCACAUUCAUUAAAAUGAUCCACACGCAGUUUAAUUGCCCUAUCAAACAUAUUAGGUCCGACAAUGGUCAAGAAUUUCUUUCUCAUCGUAUGCAACAAUUCUUCCUUGACCAUGGGAUCAUUCAUGAGCGCACUUGUGUUGAACCACCCCAAAAAAAUGGUGUAGUAGAAUGAAAAUAUCGUCACCUACUAAAUGUAGCUCGAUGUCUUCGCUUUCAUACACAUUUACCUAUUUCUUUUUGGGGUGAGUGCAUACUUACUGCAUCCUAUCUGAUUAACCGCGUAUCAACUCCCACGCUUGGUCACAAAGCGCCUUAUGAACUCCUUUUCAACAAACCUCCUACCUAUGAUCACCUCCGUGUCUUUAGAUGUCUUUGCUAUGCACACACUUUAAGUGUCCAUCGGGACAAGUUCUCUCCUCGUAGCACACCAUGCAUAUUCCUAGGCUACUCUCAAAUUCCACAUACUUAUCGUGUUCAUAACUUGCAAACCAAGAAAAUUUUCUUCUCUUGUGAUGUCUACUUUGUAGAAUCUAUCUUUCCCUUCGCUCCUACGAUGCAACCUUCACACAUAUCAUCAGAUACCAAUCAGCCCCUCGAUGUCCCUUACAGUACCCCACUUCCAACCAACGUUUCACAUGACACCCCUAGCCCAUCUCCUUCAUCCACGCAGACAUGGAACCAACUAUACCAACACCACAAGUUGUUGAUGGACCUACCAACUCCCUAGAAAUCGUCACCAGCUCACCCCCACUCAACUCAUCCCCACCAACUAGACCUCGAUGCACGAUUACUCGUCUUACAUAUCUUCAAGACUACAUUUGUUCAGAUUUACCUCCAGAGGGACCACGUUCAUCAUCUCAUUGCCAGUCUUUCUCAGGUACAGUUCACUCUCUACCUAAUUUUCUUUCUUGUCGUUUCUUUAGUCCAAAACAUUUUGCUUUCCUCUCUUCUAUCUCCAAAAAUGUUCAAGACCCCGUUCUUUACUCUCAAGCUAUUCUUGAGCCGUAUUGGCAAUAGGCAAUGGCUUUUGAAAUUCAAGCCCUUGAAGUCAAUCACUCAUGGACCCUUGAACAUCUUCCCCCUGGUAAGAAGGUAAUUGGUUGCAAAUGGGUUUAUAAAACAAAAUUGCAUGCCGAUGGUUCCAUUGAACGCCAUAAAGCUUGUUUUGUUGCCAAGGGUUUCACUCAGGUUGAAGGUCUUGACUAUAAUGACACUUUUGCUCCUGUGGCUAAACUUGUUACUGUUCGAUGUCUCCUUACUAUAGCUACAGCUAAACACUGGAUUCUUCAAAAAUUGGAUGUUCACAAUGCUUUCCUCAAUGGUGAUCUUGAUGAGGAAGUGUAUAUGCGACCACCACCAGGAUAUUGUCGUAAAGGGGAGACUCGCGUUUGCCAUCUCCACAAAUCAUCAUAUGGUCUCAAACAAGCCUCACGUCAGUGGUAUUCAAAAUUAUCCCAUGUUCUCAUCCUUACAAGUUUUGAUCAAUCUGCUGCUGAUCAUAGUCUCUUCAUCAAAACCAAGGGUACAACCUUUACUGCCGCUCUUGUCUAUGUUCAUGAUAUCAUUGUUGCUGGUAAUGACAGCUCUGCCGUUAGUUCUAUCAAACGCCAUCUUGCAUAGACCUUCAAAAUUAAAGACCUUGGCGAUCUCAAAUAUUUCCUAGGGAUUGAAGUUGCUCGAUCUCCUAAAGGCAUAUUUAUCAAUCAAAUGAAAUAUACCUUGGACAUUCUUACUGAUUCAGGUGAACUUGGCUCUCGCUCGGCAUAUUUUCCCAUGGAACGACAUUGCAAACUUAAUGACUCAGAUGGUGAUCUUAUGGACGAUCCUAGCUCAUAUCGACACUUGAUUGGUCAUUUGAUCCUAUAAUGCUCGGACUCGGGUACGGGUAUCGGGUACGGGUACUUAUCUAAGUAUCAAAUCUUUUAUUUUUUAAAAUAUAGGAUACGGGGACAUGGUUAAAAAGAAUCCAAAUUUCGGACACGGGUACGUGGGUACGUCUUUCAAGCUUCAAUUUUUUUAUAUUAACCCAAGAUGUCAUUUUGAAUAGACUAAAAUCAAUAGUUCAUAAAAAGGAAAUGAGUAUUAAAUAAGAUGUUAAGACUAAUAAAAUACAAUUUUGGGGUUUAGUUUUCAAUUAUAGGAAACGGGAAAGAAAAUGAAAAGAAAAAAGAAGAAGUAAAAAAAAGGGCGAAAUGUCCGAUUUAAAUUUGGAGGAUUCUACACAUAUCCCAUACGCAUACCCUUGUCGUGUCGUGUCCGACACGGGUAUUUCAACCAUUUCGAAGAGUCCGAGCAUCAAAGGUUUGAUCUAUUUGACCAUCUCUCAUCUGGAUAUUACCUUUGCAGUCAACAUUUUGAGUCAGUUUAAGCACACUCCUCGCAAGCCUCAUCUACAUGCUGCUAUACGCUGGCUCCGCUAUCUGAAAACAACACCUGGUUAUGGAUUCUUCUUUCCAUCCAACUGCAACCUUCAGAUAUCUGCUUUUUGUUACUCUGAUUGGGCAAGUUGUCCACUCACACGACGUUCCACAACUGGUUUCAUCAUCAAAUUGGGCGAUAGCCCCAUCUCUUGGCGCACCGAGAAACAAACAAUUGUUUCUUGCUCUUCUGCUGAAGCUGAAUAUCGUGCGAUGGCCACUACAACUUGUGAACUUGUUUGGCUUCGCCUCCUUCUACAGGAACUUACUGUGUUGCAUCCACAACCUAUUCUGCUUCAUUGUGACAAUCAAGCAGCAAUCUACAUUGCACAUAAUCCGGUCUUCCAUGAACGCACCAAACACAUUGAAUUAGAUUGCCAUCUUGUUUGUGAAAAAAUCAAAUCUGGUCUUAUUACUCCCUCCUAUGUUUCAAGCUCUGAACAUGUAGUUGAUCUUUUUACUAAACCAUUGGGACGUGAAUUAUUUGUCUUCUUUUGGUCCAAGUUGGACAAUACGGGCCUCCAUGCUCCAACUUGAGGGGGAGUAUUAUAGCCAGCUCAUCAACAACAAUCAACGACAAUCAACACAAAGAAUUUUCUUUUAUAGUUAUUUCCAUAUCACAGUUUUUACCAUGUAUAGAUUGGAUUCUCACCUAUAAAUUUAUACAAAAUCAUUUUAACAUAUAUGGAGGAAAUAAUAUAAUCUUCAAUUCUUUCCUCAAUCAUACCUGUGUAUGUCGAGAUUUGUUAUUUAUAUAGAGUAAUUUUAUUUUGAUACUUGUUAUUAAUUUUUCUUAUUGAAAUUUUUUAAAUAUGAAUAUUUCUUUAUUAUUUAAUAAUAAAUUUGAAUUAAAAAUAUACGAUAUUUUUGAUAAAGAAAGAAAAAUUACCACUAGUGUGUUUGAGAAGUAUCGGUAUUCGACAUGUAUCGGAUGUUACUCACAAUAUUGCUAAUGAUAUAUUUCAACUAUGGUCUACGAGAAUAAGAUAUCGUAUGGAACACGUAAUAUCAGCUAAUGAAAGAUAGAAUAAUAGUUGUUUUUAGUACGGCAUGGUAUGCUACAUGAAUAUAUUGUCAACUCUAAAUAUUUUUUCAAUUACCCACAACGUUGCCGAUUAAAAUAAAUUUAUCAAUAGCAGUAAGAGUAGAACAAAUAAUUUAAAAUUGUAGAAAGUGAUAAAAGAGCAAAUGAACUUUCAAUCGAAGUCUAAAUAAACACAGUUUCUUUAAAACAAAUUGGCCUCCUCACUCUACGUGCUUGAGGCUUAGUUUGAGCAUCUGUUUCCUAGGAUACAACGAAAAAUAAGUAGAGUCUAAGCACUGCAUAUACUACUCCGGUGAACUGACUUAGUAUCCGAACAAUAUCACCAAAAUUGAAAAGAAAUUUUUUUUCGACCAAAUAGAGAGCUGUAAAACUAUGUAGCAUGCAGACAAAGUAUUGAUUCUUGUGUGGGAUAUGGAAAACGAGUUCCAUAUAGACUUAACCCCAUGAAUGGUGAGUUAAAUCUGUCUAUAAGUGUAUUAUCUCAUCCAUAACUCUUGGAGUUUCAAUAGUUUUAGAAGUUAAAAGGUCAGUUGGAGGAAAAAAUUGACAAAACGUAGGCCUUCCUAAGGGCUCAAUUUUGGUCCCUUCGGUCUGACAUAUGUGUGUACAGGUUGAGCCCACACACAAGUUCAAGGUUCGAAACCUAUUUCGGUCUAUGAUUUGUACCUCUUACGUGCGCACGUGAUGAGAGCCUCUAUGCUAUAUAUGAUCACACCCUUCAAAGUGUAAUCCUAUAUGAGGUGGUAUUUGCCUUCAUUAUUUUUCUAUGUGGAACAAACCUUAAUUGGUGUCCUUCAAACACAUAAACUCCUUUCAAUUGGCACACUUUGAGCUCCAAUUUUUCAUUCACCCAAGCAUCAUAUUUGACAAGUAAAUAUAUGAUUUCAAUAUUCUCACGACGAACACAAAUCAAUCUUGAUCUUCCAAAAUAAACAACCAGGUCCCACUCAAAAUUUAUGCCAAAGUAAGCCAUUCAACUCAUUUAUUCAAUGAUGUGCCAUCCUAGAUGAAGUGUCCGUGCAACAGAGGUAUUAGGUGUUCGUAAAGUGUUCUUUGAUGGUCAUCCAUUUCUUUUGAUGACUCAAGUUUUCGAGCUUCGCUCUACUAAUCUGAGGAGCAGCGGCCUUCCCCACUAAUCAUCCAUUGUUUAUACCUAUGGAAAUGGUGCCAGUAGCAUAUGGAAAUGUUUAUACCCCUGAUCAUUUAUGGAAAAUCGUACGAGGCCCAAGGCAUGGUAAUGAUUUCAGAGUGGAUUUAGAAGAUACUAUCUGUGCGUUGAAAAUUCUAAAUUGGUUUUAGAUAAUCGUCAAGUUGGCUAUGACACCAAGAAUAAAGUAGCGAAAGGAAGGAUACCUUGCAUAUGAAGUGAUUGGCUAAGGGUUUAUGAGUGGAGUUCUGCAUAUUACGUGUAGUAUAUGAUUUUAUUUCAACAUUUAUUCAUUGGGCUAUUUGUGGCACCAAGAAUAGUGGUGGCUAAAGGAAGGACACAUGCUUAUGAGUGGACCUCUACAUAUUAUGCAUAGUAUUUGAAUUUUUUUUCCUUUUUUUUUUGGCAGAAAGAACUGAAUAAAUAUUGAAGUUAAUGGGCUUUGUGUAACGCUCCGACCCCUGGUGGACCAGAACGCUACUUACUUUAAUUAGCUUAACCGGUGGUUUAGUAACAAGUGUAUACGUUUUAACGGAAUCUUACAUCUUCGGAUAAUAAUUUAAAUAACAAUACUUCAAAUACUUUAAACACAAACACUGAAUCAUUUUUCAAAACAACAAAAUAUAAUUUAUUUGAAGAAAACAUAACUUGUUCUCGCAUUCUGCGUUAUUCAAAACUUUAAAGAAAUAACAUUGGAAAACAUUUCAUAAAAAUAAAUCCAAAUCACUUAUUCACCGGAUUUCCAUGGGCUCGUUGCAUCAUUCUCCAUCUUCUCCUCCAUCCAUGCCCGAGGUAGAAUUCCUUCAAUUUGUAGAGAUGAGAUUAAACCCAUGAGUUGAAAAACUCAAUAGGUGUCAUAAGUGCAUUCGUGAUCAAGCUAUACAUUUCAAAACAUUAACUUUAUAACUCUUCAUACAUGCCGUACCCGGAGGCACCAUUUGAUAUGAAGGGGCAUGCCGUACCCCAGGGCACCAUUUGACAUACGAACAUUUCUUCAACAUAAAGGGGUAUGCCGUACCGGAGUACCAUUUGACAUACAACCAUUAACAUAUAGGGAUAUGCCAUACCAGAUUACUAUUUGACAUACAAACAUUAACAGGAAUCGAAACUUAUAACUUAACACGAUUAAACACAUUGCACCUCUACCUACUUUGAUUGAUGUUUUUGAAACUUUGAAAACUUGGAUUGAAAAUUUCGAUGAAACUUGGACGUUGAAAGAAAUGCACUCCUUGGAUGUUUGAAAACCGUUGAGAAUUGAUGCUUGAAGACACUUUUUAAACUUCUAAGAAAAAUAGUUUUCCUCCCUCUCUUUUUCUCUCUUGGAAACUCUUUCUUUAGUAUGUAAAAACUCUUGCUUUUGUGUGAGAAAAAAUGAGUGAAAUGAGGUCUCUAUUUAUAGGUAAAUAUUCCAUAACUUAAAGCAAAUGAAGGGUCAAAUUUCAUUUAAGAGAGAAAACAUAGUUUCCAUUUAAGUUUGAGGUUAAAUGCUUCAAUUUAGUGGGGGGUUUUUAUUGCCAAAAACGUGGGUGGCCCUUUGAGAAAAUAAUUGAUGAAAAUAAAUAUUUAAAUUCUAGAGAAAAACGAGAAUUUUCAUUUCAGGCAGCUUCGGUCGACCGGUUGUAGUCCGGUUGACACUGCAUAACUUUCAGUGUUUCUAUCAUAACUUUUUUUCCCGAUAUCCGAUUGAGGUAAUCCAAAGUGCGUUGGAAAGCUAACUCAAAAAGCUACAACUUUUAUUUAGAUAUCAUUUUCCAAAUUGAAUGUUUCCUAUGUUGAAAAUGGGUCUCAAAAGAGACUAAAAAUCUGAAGUAUACUUUAGUCAUUCAAUAUUCAUGUCUUAGUGCCACUAAGGUGUCUAGAAUUAUUUGGGGUUCUACAUCCCCCACACCUUAAUUAAAAUUUCAUCCUCAAAAUUUACCUUCUGAUUGGGCGAAUAGUAUUGGAUACUUAUCUUUGGCUUCUUCUUCUUUUUCCCAAGUGGCUCUUCUACGCCGUGAUAAUUCCACUGUAUCUUAACCAACUGAAUCUCUUUAUUCCUUAGUUUAUACACUUUUUGAUCCAAUAUCUUGAUCGGUAGUUCCUCGUACGACAAAUCUUUCUGUACCUCCAAGGUUUGAUAACUAACUACAUGAUUAGGAUCAUGUACAUACUUCUUUAUCAUCGAUAUACGGAACACAUUGUGCACUGCCGAUAAUUCAGGUGGCAAAGCUAGUCGGUAAGCCACAUUUCCGACUCUAUCCAAGGUCCGAUAUACCGGGGUCAUAGCUUGCCUUUCUUUCCAAAUCUAAGUACACCUUUCAUCGAUGCUACUUUCAGAAACGCUUUAUCCCCAACUUGGAAUUCUAAAUCCUUCAUCCUUGUAUCUGCAUAGCUCUUUUGUCGAUCAUGUGCUGCCUUUAUUCUUGCACAGAUCUUAUCGAUUACCUCGACUGUCCUUUCAACUAUUUCUUGUCCUAAAACUCUCUUCUCUUCGACUUUGACUUCAUCCCAAUGAAUAGGGGAUCUACAUCUUCUACCAUAGAGAGCUUCGUAUGGUACCAUUCCAAUAGUUGCUUGGAGGUAAGUAUGACUCCCAAUUACCUCCUAGAUCCAAAACACAUGUUUUCAGCAUGUCUUCCAAAGUUUGGAUGGUCCUUUCAGACUGACCAUCGGACUGAGGGUGAUAUGCUGUACUAAAGUUCAGCUUCGUUCCCAUAGUUCCUUGUAUACUUUUCUAAAAUUUGGACGUGAACCUUGGGUCUCUGUCAGAUAAAAUGGAUACAGGUACACCGUGUAAUCUCACAACCUCUUUAAUAUACAACUGUGCCAAUUGGUCCAAACUGAAUGUCGUUUUCACUGGAAGAAAAUGAGCUGACUUCGUUAGUCGAUCCACUACUACCCAUAUAGCAUUAUUUCCUCUUGCUGAAUUUGGGAAUCCAACCACAAAGUCCAUCGUGAUAUUUUCCCAUUUCCAUUCAGGUAUAUCUAGUGGAUUUAACAAUCCAGUUGGUUUUGGGUGUUCUACCUUAACCUAUUGACAUACUAUGUACUUCUGCACGUAUAGCCCUAUACUUCUUUUCAUAUUUCUCCACCAAAAUGUAUCUCGAAGAUCUCGAUACAUUUUUGUACCACUGGGAUGUGCGGUGUACGGGGUGGAAUGAGCUUCUUUCAAUAUCUUAUUUCUUAAGGCUUCAUCCUUAGGCACGCAAAUUCUUCCUCUAAAUAUCAAUGCCUGAUCCUCAGCUACUCCAAAGUCCUUUUUCUUAUCAGUACCAAUUUCAUUCUUAAUCUUCUGCAAAAAUGAGUCUUUAUUUUGUGCUUCUAUAAUUCGAUCUCUAAGAGUAGGUCGAAUUAUUAAAGCUGCUAGACGAGCAGUGACUUGUCCUGGUGUGAUAACCACUUCGAUCUGCAACUUUUCCAAGUCCUUAACUAACUCCACUUGAGAGGUGGGUAGUGACGUCAAUUGUCCCAUUGAUUUUCUACUUAGAGCGUCGGCCACAACAUUAGCCUUACCCGGAUGGUAGUGAAUAGUGCAGUCGUAAUCGUUCACCAAUUCCAACCAUCGUCUUUGUCGCAUAUUCAAUUCCUUCUAUGUGAAGAAAUACUUGAGACUUUUGUGAUCUGUGUAGAUAUCACACUUCCGUCCAUACAAGUAGUGUCGCCAUAUCUUCAAAGCGUGUACUACCGCUGCAAGUUCUAAAUCAUGCGUCGGGUAGUUCUGCUCAUGUUUCUUCAAUUGUCUUGAAGCAUAGGCUAUCACUUUUCCAUUCUGCAUUAGUACACAUCCCAAUCCUCGCUUGGAUGCGUCGCUGUAUAUAACAAACCCUUUCGUAUCUUGAGGUAUUGUUAAUAUAGGUGUUGAUAUCAACUUCUGCUUAAGUUCUUGGAAACUUUGUUCGCAUUUUUCUGUCUAUUGAAAUUUUACUCCCUUCCUUGUAAGCUGCGUCAUUGGUUCAGCUAUUUUGGAAAAUCCUUCUAUGAAUUUCCUAUAAAAUCCAGCCAAUCCUAGAAAACUCCGUACUUCGCCAACAUUUGUUGGUGCUUUCCAGUUGGUUACUGCUUCUACUUUUGCUGGAUCUACUUCAAUCCCUUGGGCAGUAACUACAUGUCCAAGAAAUCCAACUCGUUCAAGCCAAAACUCGCACUUCUUGAAUUUGGCAUACAACUUCUCCUUGCGUAAUACCUCUAAGACUAUUCUCAAGUGCUCUUCAUGUUGCUCCUUACUCUUGGAAUAUAUCAGAAUGUCAUCGAUGAAGACUAUAACAAACUUAUCCAAGUAUUGAUGAAACACUCAAUUCGUCAUGUCCAUGAACACUACAGGUGCAUUGGUUAGCCCAAACGGCAUCACCGUAAACUCGUAGUGUCCAUAUCGAGUUCUAAAAGUUGUCUUAGGUAUAUCCUUUGUCUCUACUUUCAGUUGAUGGUAUCCCGAUCGUAAAUCGAUCUUGGAAAAUACCUUAGCUCCUUUCAGUUGAUCUAACAGAUCCUCGAUCCUCGGGAGUGGGUACUUAUUCUUGAUGGUUAAUCGAUUUAUCUCCCUCUAAUCGAUGCACAUCCUCAUGCUUCCAUCUUUCUUCCUUACAAACAACACUGGCGCACCCCAUGGAGAUACGCUUGGUCCUAUGAAGCCCAUAUCUAGGAGUUCUUGCAACUGCUUCUUUAAUUCUUGUAGCUCCUUUGGGGCCAUUCGAUAUGGGGCCUUAGAUACUGGUACCACCCCGGGAAUUAGGUCUAUGGUGAAUUCCACUUGUCUAUCGGGUUGAAUGCCAGAUAGAUCUUCUAGAAACACAUCUACGAAUUUCCGUACUACUGGUACAUCUUCAACCCUUAUUGUCUCUUGUUUCCCUCUUGCGAUACUUACUAGAUAUCCUUGACAUGUGUUCUUUUCUCAACAUCUUCUCAAGUUGUAAAGCCGAUACUAGUCGAAUAAGGGGUUUCGUCUUCAUUCCAAGGAACGAAAAUGGUUCCUCUCCUGGUUUCUAAAAUGAUACUUCCAUUUCCUUAUAUCGGAUGGUGGCGUAAUUACAACCUAACCAAUCCAUGCCUAGUAUUACAUCAAAAUCCUUCAUUUCUAUCAUGUAUAGGUUCGUUUCCAUUAGUUUUCCCUCAACUUUGAUACUUACUGACUUGGCUAUCCUAUCAGUAUUCAAAGGGUUGUCCGAAGGAAUACUAACUUCUAAUGUACCUUCUUAUCUUCCGUAUCCACCAGAUGUGGAGCAUACUUUGAAAGUUGAUCAAACUUCCUCUCAUACUCAGUCAGGGACAUAGUCUUUUGCUUGAUUUGGAGGAAUUCACUUUCUUUGUGAUCCCUCAAAGACUGGGGAAAAUACUUGUCCAUUACUUCUCCUUUGAAUUGCUCCCAAGUCAAUUCUUCUUAUUGCUUAGGGGUCCUUGUCCUUGACAUUGAGACCCACCAGUGACUUGCAUUACCGGAGAACAUGAACUCAGCACGCUGAACUUUCUAAGCGUUUGUGCACCCUAUCAAUCGGAAUAUACGCUCCAACUUGUGAAGCCACUCCUCGGUUGCAAGUGGAUCAGCUGCUUUGUUGAAGGUAGGGGACUUGUGCCUUCGAAAUUGCUUGACCACUGAAGUAUGAUUUGGAACAUUAGGAGCUAGUGGUAGGGGUUGAGCUUGGUUCGGGUUUUGCCUGCCUAGGUCUUGAACCGCUCGGAGGAGGUCUCUUAUCAAGUUUUGGUUUGCGCGGGCCAUUUCUUUUAGACAAAGCAUAUGGUUCUUAUUAGUUUCAUUCUUCAAAUACUAAAGCAAAGAAGAUAGUAUUUUAUUUCUUGAUAUAAGGGAAGCUAUUACAAGGAUUUAAAUCUAAUCCCUAUAAGUUCUACGGAUCUUCUUUGGUGGAGCUUCAUCUUCGAGGAGUCUUCCGCAUCAGGUUUGGCUCUAUGUUCAUCUCAACUUGUGGCUCAGGCUCAGGAUCAUUCUCUAAAUCAUCCUCGAGUUCUUCUUCGAGAUCUUCUUCCUCGGCCAAAGCUUCCUCCUCAGGCUCCUCGUGGGUUACAUCAUCCCACAAAUCAAUCAGGGCAUGGCAAUACCUCUCAAACUCGAAUAGGUUUGGGUUGCUUGCUAACAUUUCAUCUCUAACCGUGACUCCCAUAUCUCCCCAUUGAGGUGGGAGGGAGUGUAUGAGGUUAUUUAUGGCCUCAAUAUGUGUGAUCUCCAUACCAGCAUUAACCGUCUUCAUGCAUCUCUCAUGGAUGUCAUACACAUGUUCGCUAAGCGAUCAGGUCAGAUCAGUUACAUAGUUUUCAUAGGAAUGGAUAGCAAUUCUACAGUUCAAUGCUUCUCUAUAUGCCCUAGCCGUUCUACGAGCCAUGUCUGUUGCAUUUUCACAUACAUCAUACUUUUUUUUGCUUAAAGAAAACAUGCAAAUAUUUAAACUUUCAUAUCAUGCAAUUUCCUUUAAACCCUUAACUUUUACCCAAGUUCAUUACAUAUCUUUAAAUAACACAUCUCUAAAUCAUAUCAAAACAUCAUAACAUAAACAUAAUCAUUAACUUUAAACAUAAACAUACCUAGGCCAUAGGAUGAGAUUGAUGGAUGGAUGCACGAUGCCAUGGAAUACCUUAACUUAAACUUUUCAUUUUCCUUUUGUUUUUUUAAAAAAAAAAUACUUGAUCUACAGAACAGGCUAAACCUUGCUUUGAUACCACGCUGUAACGUCCCGACCCCUAGUAGACCGGAACGCUACUUACUUUACUUAACUUAACCGGUGGUUUAGUAACAAGUGUAUACGUUUUAGUGGAAGCUUACAUCUUCGGAUAAUAAUUUAAAUAACAAUACUGCAAAUACUUUAAACAAAAACACUGAAUCAUUUUUCAAAAUAACAAAAUGUAAUUUAUUUGAAGAAAACAUAACUUGUUCUCGCAUUCUACGUUAUUCAAAACUUUAAAGAAAUAACAUUGGAAAACAUUUCAUAAAAAUAAAUCUAAAUCACUUAUUCACCGGAUUUCCAUGGGCUCGUUACAUCAUUCUCCAUCUUCUCCUCCAUUCAUGCCUAAGGUAGAAUUCCUUCAAUCUGUAGAGAUGGGAUUAAACCCGUGAGUUGAAAAACUCAAUAGGUGCCAUAGGUGCAUUCGUAAUCAAGCUAUACAUUUCAAAACAUUAACUUUAUAACUUUUCAUACAUGCCGUACUCGGAGGCACCAUUUAACAUGAAGGGGUAUGCCGUACCCGAGGGCACCAUUUGACAUACGAACAUUUCUUCAACAUAGAGGGGUAUGCCGUACCGGAGUACCAUUUGACAUACAAUCAUUAACAUAGAGGGAUAUGCCGUACCGGAGUACCAUUUAACAUACAAACAUUAACAUGAAUCGAAACUUAUGACUUAACACGAUUAAACACAUUGCACCUCUACCUACCUUGAUUGAUGCUUUUGAAACUUUGAAAACUUGGAUUGAAAACUUCGAUGAAACUUGGAUGUUGAAAGAAAUGCACUCCUUGGAUGUUUGAAAAUCGUUGAGAAUUGAUGCUUGAAGACACUUCUUAAACUUCUAGGAAAAAUAGUUUUCCUCUCUCUCUUUUUCUCUCUUGAAAACUCUUUCUUUUGUUUGUAAAAGCUCUUGCUUUUGGUGUGAGAAAAAAUGAGUGAAAUGAGGUCUCUAUUUAUAGGUAAAUAUUCCAUAACUUAAAGCAAAUGAAGGGUCAAAUUUCAUUUGAGAGAGAAAACAUGGGUGCCAUUUAAAUUUGAGGUUAAAUGCUUCAAUUUAGUGAGGUUUUUAUUGCAAAAAAUGUGGGUGGCCCUUUGAGAAAAUAAUUGAUGAAAAUAAAUAUUUAAAUUCUAGAGAAAAACGAGAAUUUUCAUUUCAGGCAGUUUCGGUCGACCGGUUGUAGUCCGGUUGACACUGCACAGCUUUCAGUGUUUCUAUUAUAACUUUUUCUCCCGAUAUCCGAUUGAGGUAAUUCAAAGUGAGUUGGAAAGCUAACUCAAAGAGCUACAACUUUUAUUCAGAUAUCAUUUUCCAAAUCAAAUGUUUCCUAUGUCGAAAAUAGGUCUCAAAUGAGACUAAAAAUCUAAAGUAUACUUUAGUCAACCAAUAUUUAUGUCUUAGUGCCACUAAGGUGUCUAGAAUUAUUUGGGAUUCUAUACUUUGUGACAUAGAGUGCAAUAAAACCAAAUAGUAGAAUUAUAGAAGAAGGGGGAGUGAAUAGAAAGAAGAGGGCAAAAGUGAAGAAUUGGGGGGAGGGGGUUGGUUAGAAGGAGAGAGAUAGAAAAGGAACAACAAUAGAUAGACGGAAGCAGAAUUUAGGAGAGAGGAAGAAGAGGGAGAAAAGGAAGAGGAAAACAAAUAAGAAGAAUAUUGAGAAAGAAAGGAUUUCUAUCAUUUCUCCCUAAUUGAAAGAACUCGACUCCAAUUCUAAGCAAAGAGGACUAUCUUUCUUUCUGACCAAAUAAUGAAAUUGAUUGCUUGAUGUCAAAUCCUAAAUUAGUUGGCUGAUUUUCUUCUUUUGAGUUGUGGUUGGGGAGAUUUUUGGGUGGUUGAAGAUGGCAAAGGAAGUGUGUGUAAAUUUUGAAUUUCAACAUGAAAUUUGUGUACAACGGAAAUGACUUGCUCUGCUAUCAAAUUGAUGUAUACUGCAAUAAAACCAAAUAGUAGAAUUAUAGAAGAAGGGAAAAUUGAUGUAUACUGCAAUAAAACCAAAUAGUAGGAUUAUAGAAGAAGGGAAAAGGGUAGAGAAUAAGAGAAAUGGGGGAAAAAGAGAAGAAGAGGGGGAAAGAGAAGGAGAUAUGUAGAAAGUGAAGAAGAGACAUUAGAAGCAGAUUUAAGAGAGAGGAAGAAGAGGGGGGAAAGGGAAAAGGAAAAUGAACAAGAAGAAUAUUGAGAAAGAAAGAAGAAAAGAGAGGAGAAAGAGAAGAAGAGGGAGAGAAAAAGAGAAUUUAGGGAGUGAAUAUCAAGUUUAUUUUAUGUCAAAUUUGUAUCUAUUACAAUGCACAAACCUCCUUCAUAUGGGGUUUUGAAAAACCUAUUCUAAAUAGGAAACAAUGAAUCAAAUACUAGAGAAUCUAGUAAAUAAAUAUAUAAUAAAAUCCUCGGAAAUCCAGUAAAUAAACCCUGAUAAUUUUUCCCAAAAUAAGAAUCUAAAUAUGGAAAAUAAUCAUAAUAAUCUAAUAGGAUUUACAUCAUUUUUUCGUGGUCCCGUGGGAAUGUGAGACAAUAUCAUUUAAGAUGUAUGAGUUUUAACUUGUCGCGACUCAUCAAAAUUUUCACUUGCGACCUGGAAAGAAAUCGAUUUGAAAAGUAAUUUUCCCCUUUUUUGAGUAAAGAUCAUGUCUUGGGCUUUAGUAGUGGCUCCACAGGUCUUUUAAUUCUUUUUAUGAUGAUUCACAUUCUUUUCACAUGGUUAAUCCUUUGAUGAUGCUAUUAUACUCUCAAGAUGCUAAUACAAAUUACUAUUGAUUUGAUGUGUAUUACCACCCUGUGUUUGCCUUCUUUUCAUUGUUAACUGUAACCUUGUGCUACAAUUUACUCUACCGUAAUACAGGCAAAACAUGGAAUUAACUGUCUUGAGCUUCCUCUCAUUCAGCACAAGAAGUUGCCUGAUUCUGAUAGACUUCCCUCUGUGUUGAGUGGUAAGUUUCUGACAUGAUUGAUGGUUAUAGGAGAUUGUUUUAGAUUAUCUGGAUGCAUUUGUUCACGUUACGUGCAUUUCAGAGACAGUUUUUUUUUUUUUUUUUUUAAUUUUUUUUAUUUUUAUUGUGAGGGUUUGUUUAGAACGUUUGCUUCAUCAGUUAAUCUGUGAUCCCUAUUGUGUUUUGUGUCAUUAUUGUUUUUAUCUUACAUCUUUAAAGACGAUUCAUAUGGGUGCACAUAAGAUGUUAAUGCACAGGUUGUCAAACUUGAUUCCUCAUUGACCGUAAAUAGUAAAUAUCUUGGCCACAUUUCAGUUAGAUUCGUGAAGAGAGACAGCUCCUCCUUUUGGGCUGUGAGGCACAAGGUACCAAGGUUAUCCAAUCACAGGUUGUAAAUUCACAUGGAUUAAAUUUCUCUAUGCACAUUGUUGUUAUUAUCUUUCUGACUUUGGUGUGAAUGCCAGAUCUUGUGUAUCUAGUCUCCCGCGGAAGUAAAUUGCUAAAUUGAAUGCUUGUUCUUAGUUGCUUUGAAAUGAAUGUUGUGAUCAGACAGAAAAUAAAACUCUCUCAAUCCCCCUUCCCCCUCUUACACAUGUUUCAUGACAGUUACUUCUAUUUAAAUUCACAAAUUCUACAAUGGAUGCACAUUAUGAUUUUUUCUUGCUUAUCUAUUGCUGCAGAUACUGCAUUUGAUUGGAUUGUCAUAACUUCACCUGAAGCCGCUCUAGUUUUUCUUGAUGCUUGGAAGUAAACUUCACAUGGAUGUUGGCACGUCAUUUAUUAUUCUAGAAUGGUCAUUAGUCAGUUAGAGGAAAACUCUAUAAAUAAGAUGGGAGAGGGGAAUUAGAGGGGAUUCAAUGAAUUGUUUAGAAAAAGUGGGGGAGAGAUCAAGGCCUCUCGAAUGCCUUUGAUUAUGUUUAAUUUCAUGACUUUCAUUCCAGUUAAUAUCAAUACAAUUCAUCUAUCUUUACAAUAUACUAUUCCAGUAACUCCAUGGACAUCUUGCAGUCACAUUACAAUUUCAGUGUUUUACCGGACAAAUUACUUCAUAACACUUCCCAGUUGGUCUAGCGGUUUUCUUCCAGUAGCAGUAGCAACAAACAAUAGCAGUAGCAGCAACUAAUCCUCUGCAUUAGCAUCCAGAAUCUGCAGUUUAUCAACCACAUUAGCUAGGAUCUUAUCAUAACCUUAAUUUUUCCCUUUACCUUUUGCUCUCCACGUGUGUCAACAUGAAGGAAGUUCCCUUUGGGUCAGGAUUGUUAUGAUGGAAAAUGCUGCUUAAACAAAUCAAAUGUCAAACUUAGAAGCUGUGGCAUCCUGAGGAUGUUCCUGAGAACAAUAUUUAGCUUGACUAUCUUAAUAUUUUAUAAUUCUUAUGUUGACUUGCUUGAAAAGGUUAAGAAUGUGACUUUUUGAAACAUAAACUGGAAAAAAUUCAUAUCUGAUUCUUUCAUGGGCAUAAACUGAUGACUAUCGGAUCUAUAGGCAGCAAUGAUUAGAAAAACCAAAAAUAAAAAAAGGAAGCCAAAGAUUAUUACAAGCUAUGAAUUUAUGAAAGUUGGUUUAUUGAAUUGGAAUAACUCCAAAAUACAUGGUGAAACACUAUGUAGAGCACCGGGAUAUCACAAUGAGUAUACUCAGAGUGGGUUGGUAAAGAAGUGUUUUAGCGCAGGUUUGAUGCAGUGGCGGACCCAUGACUGGGCCCUUCAUUUUUUACAUUUACAAAGUAGGCCCUUCUGUUGAGAAUCACACCAAAUCAAAUCAGUUUCCUGAUUUUUAGGGAAACUUGGCUGUAUAUUUCGUAAUUAUAGGGAUCCUAUUCAUUUUCAAAAAAUCAGUAUUGUAUAGCUGUAUAUUUCAGUUACAUAGUUGUAGCUUUAUUUUCUAUUUUAUUGACUGUAUUGUAUCUAAAAAAGGGUGACUAUGACUACUUUCCCAUUCAUUCGAUACAAUAUUCUUUUUCUACCCAAUCUAUAUGGUAUCAAAGCCGACAUAAUUGGCCUCUAUUUUUUUUUUUUUGGGUUCUUCCUACCCAUUACCACGUCAGAAAUCUCUAAAUCAACCCCUACCACUGGUGCCAAUAUCAACUCCUCUAAACCUCCAACUGAACCUCUCUCUCAUUCCGUCCAAAUCACCACGAUUCGACUCAAUGGGAACAAUUUUCUCAGGUGGAUCCAAUCCGUUCGAAUAUAUAUUAGAGUGAAGGGGGAAAUCAGUUACUUAAUUGAUGACAUUGUAGAGCCAGAAAAACUGAUGUUGGCCAUGCUGUUUAGGAUGCUGAAAACUCCAUGAUAAUGGCCUGGUUAGUGAAUUCUAUGGAGGAGGAAAUAAGUGCAAACCACAUGUAUUGUCCUAUUGCUAAAGCCCUGUGGGAUAAUGUCACCUUGAUGUAUUCAGUCCUUGGAAAUCAAUCCCAAACAUAUGAGUUACAACUCAAAUUGGGGGAAGUCCGUCAAGGUGAGAAUUUCGUCACUAAAUAUUUUAAUAUUCUCAAAGUUUCCUUGAUUUAUUCAAUGAUGACCAUGAGUGGAAGAACAUGGAUGGUUGCAAUUACUUUAAGAAAAAGGAGAUCUCACGAAUUUUCAAAUUUCUGGCUGGACUCAAUGUUAAUUUUGAUGAAGUAGGAGGCAGGAUUUGAGGUUGUAAACCUCUUCCUUCCCUCGGUGAAGUUUUUUUCUAAAGUUCGACGUGAAGAAAGCAGGAGAAAUGUCCUGCUUGGCAAGAAAAUCAUUGCUGGACUGGUGGAAAAUUCGACAUUAAUGGGGAUUGCUGUUGCUGCCAUCGUGCCCCUAGGGGUGAACCCACUAAGUACGAGGGCGGUCAGCCGCCCCCAUUGAUUUUUCAAAAACCUUCAAUUCGACCUUAUUAAAUUUAAAUUCUCAGAUUUUUUUUUUUUUGGUUUUUUCACAAUUUAUUUUAGCCAAUUUUCCAUCUCUUCCCCACUGAAAAAUAAUUUUAGAUCCACCCCUGUGUGUCCCUAAUACUUAGCGUCGUCAAGAUGACGAAUCGAAGGUUUGGUGUGAUUUUUGCAAUAAAUCACGACAUACUUACGAAACUUGCUAGAAACUGCAUGGAAAACUUGCUAAUUGGAAACCUGUAGAGUGGAAGAAUAAUAAAACUAAUUCGAAUCAUGCCCUAACCAAAGCACAUACUGUGAGACCACCUCUCUCAGUGAAGAACAAAUAGAACAACUCCUAAAGCUACUGAAAUCUGCUCCACCGACUCCCGGUACUCCUGUAGCAUCCUUGGUUCAAACAAGUAGAACUUUGUGUGCCUACUCUUCAUUAUCUACAUCUUGGAUCAUGAUUCAGGUGCCUCUCAUCACAUAACUAAUCUAUCCCAUUUGUUUAUAUCUUAUGAACUCUUUUCUGGAAAUAAAAAAGUACGUACUGCAGAUGGAAAUUUAUCUUCCAUUGCUGGCCAUGUUUCAUUCGUUUAUGAGAAAAAAAUAUUCUGAAAUCUGUUUUACAUGUCUCAAAACUCUCUUGUAACCUUUUGUCAGUAUGUCAUUUAUCUAAAGAUUCUAACUGUCGUGUUAUCUUUGGUGUCUCUUGUUGUGAAUUUAAGGAUUUAAAUGUGGGGAUGAUGAUUUGCAGUACUAGAAUGAUAGAUCUCUACUAUUUUAAUGACAACUGUGUUAGGAAUAAACAAGCUCAGGGUUUUAUUGGUGGUAUCCAAUUAAAUCUUGUUUAUGAUCAAAUAAUACUAUGGCAUAAUAGACUAGGACAUCCUAUUUUUUCCUAUUUAAAGUACUUAUUUCUAGAUUUAUUUAAAGGAGUGGAUUGUAACUCUUUGGUUUGUGAAACUUGUUUCCUGGCUAAAAGCCAUCGAAACUUUUAUAAAAUUAAACUUUUUUGUGCUUCAAAACAUUUUUAUCUAAUACAUAGUGAUGUUUGGGAUCCUUCUAAGAUUACCACUUCAACCUGAAAAAAAUGGUUUGUGACAUUCAUUGAUGUUCAUACACGCCUAUGCUGGCUUUAUUUAAUGAAUUCAAAAAAUGAAGUUGCAAAAUUUUUUAAAGAUUUUUUACUCUUUGGUCGAAAACCAAUUUCAAACUAAAAUAAGUGUUCUUCGAAGUGACAAUGGAAUAUAAUUUUUUAAUGAAUGUUUAGGAAAUUUUUGUACAAGAAAAAGGCAUUGUUCAUCAAUCUAUUUGUAGGGAUACUCAACAAAAUGGAAUUGCAGAACGUAAAAAUAGAUACUUAUUUGAAGUUGCUAGCGCUCUUAUGUUUCAUAAGAAUGUUUCUAAAUAUCUUUGGGGAAAUUCAAUCUUAACAAGUUGUUAUCUGAAUAAUAGAAUGCCCACUAGGGUUUUGAACUAUAAAACUCCUUUACGAACUCUUAAAAAAUCUUUUCCAAACACACGUCUCAUCAAUAAUCUCCCUUCAAAACUUUUUGGUUGUACGAUGUUCAUUCAUGUUCCAUCCCAUCUUCGAUCCAAAUUUGUCUACGAGCUGAAAAAUGUAUUUUUUAGGCUACUCUCCUAAUAAAAAAGGCUAUAAGUGUUUUAAUCCCGACACUAAAAAAUUUCAUAUUAGUAUGGAUGUUCAAUUUCUUGAAACAACUCCAUUUUAUACUAAAACCUUUCUUCAGGGGAAGAAUCUAAAUGAUGAUUAGUUUUGGCAACAAGAAGAACCAAAACUAGUUUCUUUUUUCCCUCAAAUAAAUUAGGAAAUGAAUACUUUACCUAGAGAAAAUAAGAAAAAUACUGAGCUAUAUAUGCCAAGUAAAAAUGUAUCACAAAAAGGGGAAAAACUUUACCACCUAUGCCCACUGAGCUACGUCUUUACACUAUAUGUAGGUUCAAUCCCAAUAUUUAGAAUCUUCCAAUCAAUUCUGAGCAUGGUCAAUCAUCAUCUCCUAGGUCUUCAAUUCCAGGUAAUCUUCCUAAAAAUCCUACUCCUUUACCUUUCUUUGAUCAUGACAUUCCUAUUACCAUUCAUAAAGGAAUUAGGAAUUGUACCAAACAUCCUAUUGCCAAAUAUCUGUCCUACCACAGACUUUCAGAAAAAUACAAAGCCUUCACAACAAAUGUUUCCCAUCUAUUUGUACCUAGAACUAUACAGAAAGCACUACAACACUCGGAGUGGAAGUGAGCAGUGUAUGAGGAGAUAAAAGCACUUCAAAAAAAUAGAACCUGGGAAAUUGUUGAUCUACCUAGGAAAAAGAAGAUAGUAGGGUGCAAGUGGAUUUUUACAAUCAAAUGUAAGUAUGAUGGGAGCAUUGAGAGAUACAAGGCAAGGCUGUUGCUAAAGGUUUUACACAAACUUAUCGAAUUGACUAUCAAGAAACCUUUGCACCUGUUGCAAAAAUCAAUUCCAUUCGAGUGUUACUUUCUCUUGCAGUACAUCUUAACUGGCCUUAGCAACAGUUAGAUGUAAAGAACACUUUCUUAAAUGGAGAGUUGGAGGAAGAAGUGUUUAUGGACUUACCACUAGGUUUCGAAGAAAACUUUGGAGAAAAGAAAGUUUGGCUAUUAAAAAAGUCAUUGUAUGGUCUUAAGCAAUAUCCUAGGGCCUGAUUUGACAGGUUCGGAAAAGUCAUCAAGCUUCAAAAGUAUUUGUAAAGCUAAGCCGAUCAUACAAUGUUCUAAAAACACUCAAGAGAAGGUAGAAUGGCAAUAUUAAUAGUUUACGUGGAUGACAUAAUUUUGAUUGGAGAUGAUAUUGUUGAGAUUGAUAGAUUGAAGAAAGCCCUAGCUCGUGAUUUCAAAAUCAAAGACUUUGGUCCUCUUAAAUACUUCCUUGGAAUGGAGUUUGCUAUAUCCAAGAAAGGUAUUUUUAUCUCUCAAAGAACGUACUUGAUCUACUAGAAGAAACAGGUUUACUCGGUUGCAAAGCAACAGAAACCCCUAUAGAACCAAAUCUGAAGCUUUAGCGUGCAAGUCUAGAAGAAAUGAUUGACAAAGAGAGAACCAACGCUUAGUUAGGAGACUAAUUUCUCUCUCCCAUAAACGUCCUCAUAUUGCAUUUGCAGUGAGCAUGCUAAGUUAAUUCAUGCACUCACCUAAUCAAGGACAUUUUGAUGUUGUGUACAGAAUUUUAAGGUACUUAAAGGGGACCAUGAAAAGGAAUUCUAUAUGAAAAUAGGGGACAUCUCCAAGUUGAAGUGUUUACAGACGCAGAUUGGACAGGAAUGUAAUAGACAGAUGAUCAACUUCGGGAUAUUGUACCUUUGUUGGGGGAAAUCUUGUAACUUGGCGUAGUAAAAAAUAAAAUGUGGUGGCUAGAAGUAGUAUUGAGGUGGGGGUGUAGGGCAGUGGCACAUGGUAUCUUUGAGGUUCUGUGGAUCAAACAUUUACUUGAAGAACUUAAAACUACCCGUUCCUUACCUAUAAAGGUAUUUUGUGAUAACAAAGAUGCUAUUGCAAUCGCACACAAUUCAGUGCUCCAUGAUUGAACUAAACAUGUUGAAGUUGACAAAAACUUUAUAAAGGAGAAAUUGGAGAAUGGUCUGAUUAUUAUACCCUACAUUCCCAGGUCUGAACAGGCAGCAGACAUUCUUACUAAAGGUCUACCAAAGAAGUAGUUUGAUACGUUGGUGAGCAAGCUAGCCAUGAACCACAUCUUCCAACCAGCUUGAGGGGGAGUGUUGAGAAUCACACCAGAUUAGGGCAAAUCAGUUUCCUGAUUUUUAGGGAAACUUGGCUGCAUAUUUCAUAUUUAUAGGGAUCCUAUUUAUUUCCUAAAAAUCAUUAUUGUAUAACUGUAUAUUUCAAUUCCAUAUUUGUAGCUUUAUUUUCUAUUUUAUUGACUGUAUUGUAUCAAUAAAAGGGUAAGUAUGACUACUUUUCCAUUAAUUCAAUACAAUAUUCUUUUUCUACCCAAUCUAUAUCUUCAUUUUUUUACAUUUACGAAGUAGUUCACAUAAUUUUAAGCCAUAAUUUUUACAUAAUUCUGUCUCGCCCCCACUAAAUUAUGUUCUUGGAUCCGUCCCUGCUUUGAUGGCCAUUAUUUGGGAAAAACAAUGUUUUGAAAAGUGUUUUUUAGGAGAAUGUGAGAUUAAAAAAUAAGAAAAUGUUUUGGAUUUACUUGCAGAAUAUUUUAUUGUGUUUAUGUUUGGUUGGAAAUGAGUUUGUAGAAAAAAGAGUUUUCAAAUAUUGGUUAUCGAACCCGGGCAUAAUGGUCCAUGAGAUUUGGAUGAACACAUUAAAGGUCAUAAGCAAAUGUUCUUGCUGCUGCUGCUUUUCCACUCCCCAUUCACCUGAAAAAUUCUUAAUAGAAUUUUAUUUAUUUCUCUUAUUUUUCCAUCCUAAUACUGCUUUUAGCUGUUAAAUAGACGUAUAAUGAUUAAAUCAAUACAGUAUGCUAAUCUUAAUCGCCAACUGUUCUAUAAUUCAAUUAUUAUGUUUCAAUAUGGAGUAAUUAAAAUUUAACAUCCACCGUUAAGAGAAGCCAAUUUUGCAAUUUAGUUAGACUGCCCAUUUUAACAAAUUAUCAAUCUUCGAAUUAAGCAAAGAUCUUAAAAUUUAUACAAUGCCUGUUGGAUCCUUUAGAUGAUGAAACAUGUAGGUUUUGCUUUGCAUUACUUUUGUACUCAUGCGAGCUGGUCUACUCAAGUAUGACUCAGCUUCACGAGAAUUCUUUUAUUAGAUCCUACUAUUUCAAACUUAUAAUUUUAUCUGUAAGGAAAUAUGAAACUGAUUUAACCUGCUAAUUGAAAUUGUCUGUUUCAGAAGAAGGCCUUGCCAAGCGUGGAUUCCAGGUUACUAGGCUCAAUACAUACACAACGGUAUGAUACUCUUGUAAUUUUGUAAAUGUUCUAAUAUCUCAACAAUUUCAUGUAAUUUAUAACUUUAAAUUUUAAUUUGCCUCCACAUAAUGCAACAGAAAAUUUAACAUUACAGUUACAGUCAUCAAUUGCAAGUGUUUAGAUGUCACUAAAUAUUGAUCAACAACAAAUACUCAUCUUGUUUCUGUUAAUUUGGUGGCCUCUGAUAAUUUCCUGUAGGAACCUGUUAGUCGUGUGGACCAAAAGUUCUUGAAUGGGCGGUUUCUGCUCCUGUUGUUUCUGUAGCAUCACCUUCUGCAGUUCGGUGUACUUUUCUGUUAUAGCAGUUCUGUUGAAAAUUAGUCUAUACUGUUGAGCCUGGACUAAUCUUCUGAAUAAAAAGUUUCUGAGUUGAAUUCAAACCUAAGCACAACUCACAUGGGUAUUUGUGUUCACAUAUUAAAUGGAUUGGGUGUACAGUGCUCUUUCUACAUGGUUUUAUGAAAGACAGGCUAUCAGAAAAUGUGAAAUAUGUUAACGGUCUAUUUGUGUUACAGGUGUUUUCGUGAAUAUUUUUAAGACUCAUUUUGAGUGUUUUUUUAUUGUGAAUCUUAGUUGAGGGGCUUAUGUUGUACCAAGUCCAACACUCUUCCCAAAAAUAUUUACCAUUUAAUCUUACCAAUUCACUUGCAGGAUCCUGUUCGUAUUACUGAAUAUGUUAAUUACAGUUUACUACUUGUGGACUUAUUGCCAUUGAAUGUGUUGGGAAAACACCUUCCAAAGAUAGCCCAAAGAUCAAACAAAGUUGACAAUGUGAAAAUUUCCAACCACUUCAAGAACAAGAAAAUGAGGAAGAAAUGAUUUUAAUGGAAUACAUGAAGAUCAAUGUAUUUGGAUUACUUGAACAAGCCUCAAGUUAAUCCCCAAAAAAGAAAAUAACUUUGAAUUUAUACCCAAGAUGAAUAACCUUCUAUCUUGUAAAAUUCUCUCCAAGUUUUCUCUCUUCUUUCUCUCUAAUUUUCGGGUGCAAGGGUUGUCUUAAUGAAAGGGGGGAAAAUGGCAAUAUAUAUAUCCUAUCGGGACGCCUAGGCGCCAGGUUCCUGGCUGUCUUCAUAUUCGGGGCACCUAGGCGCCAUGUGAGUGGCGCCUGGGCGCCCGGCAGAACCAGCAGAACCAACCCCCUUCCUCUCUUCCUUUCUCACAAUUCUCCAUCUCGUACAUCAUUUGAUAGACCUCAAAUUUUGGACGAACACAAGAAGAAGAAGCAAGCACCGACUCGGCUGCACCAUUCAAAUCAUGAUUGCCUACGUACCCAAAACUCGAGAUCAAGCCUCCGUAGUUCACCUCCACCUUCAUAAACACUCCACCUCAUUUCAACCCCGCCCCGAAGGGCCAUGCCCUCUCGGGCAUAUCAACACGGACUAAUGUGAAGCAAGUCCAAGCAAUGUUGAAACUUGCUACCCGUCACAACUUUGGUUAACAUGUCAGCUGGGUUCUCAUUUGUGUGUACCUUCGAGAGUGAAAUAUCACCUUCCUCUAUGACAUCACGCACAAAAUGAUACCUGACGUCGAUAUGCUUGGUUCGAGCAUGAUGAACCUGAUUCUUAGCCAAGUGAAUCGCACUCUGGCUAUCACACCACAAGUCCACACAAUCCUGCCCAAUCCCCAAAUCAUCUAGAAGACCCCAUAACCACAAUGCUUCCUUCACUCCCUCUACCAUGGCCAUAUACUCGGCCUCUGUAGUAGAAAGAGCAACUGUAGCCUGUAACAUCGAUCGCCAACUAACUGGGGCACCAUGUAUGCAGAACACAUAUCCAGUAGUAGAUCGUCGUCUAUCUAGAUCACCUGCAUAAUCCGAGUCCACAAACCCACUUAUAUGACAUGCAUCUCCACCAAAACAUAAACCCGUAUCCGCGAUACCUUUUAAGUACCUCAGGAUCCACUUCACAGCUUCCCAGUGUGCCUUCCCCGGAUUCGCCAUGAAUCUACUGACCACACUCACCGCCUGUGAAAUACCUGGGCGUGUACACACCAUGGCAUACAUCAAACUGCCAACAGCACUAGCAUAAGGUACACGAUUCAUGCGUACCUUUUCUUCCGCUGUAGUAGGAGACUGUUUACCAGAGAGCCUAAAAUGUGGAGCCAAUGGAGUCACCACCGACUUUGCACCUUGCAACCCGAACCUAGCAAUAACCCGCUCAAUGUAGCCUUUCUGACUCAAGAACAUUCGCCGGUUCGUCCUCUCUCUUCUAAUCUCCAUACCUAGUAUUUUCCCAGCAAUCCCCAUAUCCUUCAUCUCAAACUCUUUACCAAGUUGAGAUUUCAACUUAUCUAUCUCCACCUUACUUUUCGAAGCGAUAAGCAUGUCAUCCACAUAUAGAAGAAGAUAGAUAUAGUUACCUCCCCGAAGUUUUCGAAUAUAAACACAACAGUCAUACUCACUUCUGGAGAAACCAUGCUUUAGCAUGAAGGAGUCAAAUCGCUUGUACCACUGCCGAAGAGAUUGCUUCAAUCCAUAUAGUGAUUUUCUCAAGCGACAUACCUGACGUUCCUUAUCCUCAACCUUGUAGCCCUCAGGUUGAUGCAUAUAGAUCUCCUCAUCCAAGUCCCCGUGCAAGAAGGGGGUUUUGACAUCGAAUUGUUCCAACUCAAGAUCAUGAUGAGCAACAAUACUCAAUAGCACCCGAAUGGAAGUGUGCUUGACCACAGGAGAAAAGAUCUCAUUGUAGUCAACUCCCUCUCUUUGUGCAAACCCCUUAGCCACUAACCUCGCUUUGAAUCUUGUACCACCGAGUUUGGUAGGAUCCUCCUUCUUUUUAUAUAACCACUUGCAACCAAUAGCUUUCUUACCUAUGGGCAAUGGGACAACCUCCCAUGUUUGGUUCUUGUGGAGUGAUUCCAUCUCUUCUUCCAUUGCCGCCGACCAACUCUCGCUAUUGUUGUUUAAAAUAGCUUCCUUGAAAGUGGUAGGCUCAUCAUCCUCCACCGAGAGUGCAUACUCAACCAAAUUUGUCUGCCCAUAGUGCCUCAAAGGUUCAUCUGACUCCAACUUUAGAACUUGCUUGUAAGUACGGCAUGGCCUAGAGGAAGCCAAAUUAUCUGCAAGCUACUGUUGUUGCUGUGCCUGUACAUUCUCUUGCUGAACCGCCUCUUGUUCAAGUGCAUCAUCACUCUCAUCUUGAGUGUCUAUUUGAUGCUCCUCUUGAACAUGCCUAGAAUCAGGUUGAUCUCUAGGUUCUAUGUCAACAACUUGAGACAUUGUAGUCUCAACACCAUCACCACCGGGCACUGUAGCUUUCAACGACGCUACCAUGGAGUUCUCAUCAAAAGUAACAUCUUUGCUGAUUAUGAACUUAGAAUCCUCUACACACCAAAGGCGAUAGCCUUUAACACCUGCCGCAUACCCCAAGAAUAUAGCCUUCUUGGCCCUCGCAUCAAGCUUUCCCUCGUUGACAUGAUAGUAGGUUGUGCAUCCGAAUGUUCUGAGUUUCUCAUAAUCUGCAUGUUCUCCUGUCAAUACCCUAUAAGGUACAUCUCCAUCAAACCUUGAAUGUGGAGACCGGUUCACUAUGUAGCAAGCAUUUACAACCGACUCUGCCCACCAUUCUCUACCCAAACCAGCAUAGGAUCGCAUACACAUCGAUUUCUCUCGAAAUGUGCAAUUCAGUCUUUCCGUGACCCCAUUCUAUUGCGGUGUAUUUCUUACUGUCCAAUGUCUCACAAUGCCUUCCUUACCACAGAACUCCUUGAAAGCACCAUCUGUAUACUCAAUACUGUUAUCAGAUCUCAGUGUCUUCAAUUUCUUUCCAGUUCUAUUUUCAACCAUUACUUUCCACUUCUUGAAAGUGUCGAAUACCUCAUUCUUAUGCUUCAAAAAAUAAAUCCAAGCAUAGCUAGAAUAAUCAUCAACAAAUGUAACAAAAUACUUGGAACCGCCUUUGGAAGUGACAGAAGCCGAACCCCAUACAUCCGUGUGCACAUAGUCAAGAAUGCCUCUACUUCUAUGUUUGCUUGGCUGGAACUGAACUCGAUGUGAUUUACCGUACACGCAAUGCUCGCAAAAAUCCAUGCAAGACUUCUUCAAGUUCUUUAGCAAACCUUUCUUGACUAGCAAAUCUAGCCCCUUUUCAGACAUAUGCCCAAGCCUCCUAUGUCAUAGCCAAGUGCACUCACAUGGGUCUCCACCACUUCCACUUGUUCCAACUGCUACAUCUUCAGUAACUGUAGUACCCUGAAGAGCAUAGAGAUUACCUUCACGGAUACCCUUCAUCACAAUCAAAGAACCACGAACAACCUUCUUUACUCCAUUCCAUGUUACAAUCUUGCAACCACCGGAGUCUAAGGCACCAACAGAGAUAAGGUUCUUUCGCAAAUCAGGAACAUGUCUAACAUCCAUCAAUAUUCUAACCACUUCAUCAUGCAUCUUGAUUCUAAUUGAACCAAGCCCCACCGUUUUACAUGAAUGCUUAUUACCCAUCAACACGGUUCCACCAUCAGUGCUUCUAUAGGUAGUAAACUACUUCCUAUUUGGACACAUAUGGUAAGAGCAUCCAGAGUCAAGAAUUCACUUACCGGAGGUCUCUUCAUCACAAGAGAUGGUGUAGCACUCAUCGCUUUCCCCUCCUUUCGAGACAUAGCUUACCUUUUGCUUGACUUGCACCUUCCCACUGUUGUUGUUCUUAUUGUUCUUCUUCCAACCCUUUUUGUUUGGACAAUUCACCUUGAAAUGUCUAAGCUCGCCACAUUUGAAACAAGACCUUUCCGCAACAGGUCUAGAACUCGAUCUAGAUUUUUCUCCCUUGCCCUUUGGUCACACAUUGCUUCUACCCCUUACAAACAAUCCUUGAGCUUGCUCCUUGUUACCAAUGGUAGACAUGUCACUAGUUGCAAUCUUUCGAAGAUCAUCCGCUAGAAGUGACGUUCUAGUGUCCUCCAUCACAAGUUUAUCACCCACAAGCAUCAAUGUUUGUACUAGGUUCUCGUAAGACUUUGGCAAUAAAAGAAGUAGUAGAAGUGAUUGAUCCUCAUCAUCUACAUCCACAUCAAUGUCUUUCAAGUCCGAUAUGAUCUUAUCAAACUUGUUGAUGUACUCCCGGAUUGGUGUACCUUCAUCCAUCUUGCAAGUAUACAAUUUGGACUUCAAAUAGAUCCGAUUUGUUAAAGUCUUCGUCAUGAAGUUCGCCUCCAACUUUGUCCACACCUCCGCCGCCGUUACCUCACUAUCAACCAAGAAAGCAACAUCUCUUUCAAGGCAAAGAAUGAUAGACGCUCGUGCCUCAAGAUCUAGCUCUUCCCAAUCCUCGUCCGACAUAUCAACGUGCUUCUUCUCCUUUCCCGCCAAUGCCUUGUGCAACUUUUGAGAAAUCAACAAAUUUUUCAUUUGCAUUCUCCAAUAUGAAAAAUCAUUCUUCCCAUUGAAUUUCUCUAUCUCAUCCUUCCCAAUCUUCACCAUUCCUCUAGUAGACAUGAUUUAUCCACUUGUUUACCGAAAAUAAACCACAAAAGUUCACUUGGGAAUUUUCACAAACACCUUGUGCACAACAAAGUUCAAGCAACUCACCACAAAAUCGAAACUUAACCACCUUGAUUUAGGAUGUAGCUCUGAUACCAAAUUGUUGGGAAAACACCUUCCAAAGAUAGUCCAAAGAUCAAACAAAGUUGAUAAUGUGAAAAUUUCCAAACAACUUCAAGAACAAGAAAAUGAGGAAGAAAUGAUUUCAAUGGAAUAUAUGAAGAUCAAUGUAUUUGGAUUACUUGAACAAGCCUCAAGUUAAACCCCAAGAAAGAAAAUAACUUUAAAUUUAUACCCAAGAUGAAUAACCUUCUAUCUUGUAAAAUUCUCUCCAAGUUUUCUCUCUUCUUUCUCUCUAAUUUUCGGGUGCAAGGGUUGUCUUAAUGAAAGGGGGGGGGGGGGGGGGGGGGGAAAAANNNNNNNNNNNNNNNNNNNNUAAUGGCAAUACAUAUAUCCUAUCUGGGCGCCUAGGCGCCAGGUUCCUGGCUGUGUUCAUAUUCGGGGCGCCUAGGCGCCAUGUGAGUGGCGCCCAGGUGCCAUGUUUCUGCCGGGGAGGCAGAAACUGGGCGCCUGGGCGCCCGGCAGAACCAGCAGAACCAGCCCCCUUCCUCUCUUCCUUUCUCACAGAAUGCUUUUCUCGAAGCAUUUUCCUUUCUGCAGAUUUCUAUGAAUUUUGUUUACCUUCUCUUGUCUUUUUAUCCCUUAUUAUUUUAACGAAUGAUUGCAUAUCUUCCUUUACAGUGCUUGGAUAAAUCUAAUCCCAAAAUCACAACAGUGGAGCAAUUCUGUUGCAUGUAUUGGUGAGACAACUGCCUUAGCAGCUAAAAAUCUGGGUUUGAGGAAUGUGUAUUUCCCAACCAAUCCUGGCCUUGAAGGGUAAUCAAAUAUCCAUUUGGAACUUUUGGGAAAUCAUGCAUAUACUUGUUUCUGAUGCAAUUGUCUCUGUCUCUAUGCUCUAUGAGUGGUAAAAAGCACUAGCAGUUUUCCGUUCUCUUUACUUUCUGAGAUGUGCGUGAUAUAGUUGAAGAGUUCACUAUUUAGGUGAUAAUUUAGAAGAAAUACGAGGAUGUGACAUAAAUUUACGAUGCAGGGAGAUAUAUUUUAUUUGUAUAUGCCAUGUCUCAGUGCAUAAUUUUGUAUAGUAAUGGCAUGUUUAGAAAAGUGGAUUGCACAAUAGUAUUAAAGGAGAAAAAGAAGUUUAAAUAUUUUUAAUUGUAGUGUUCAUUGUUCAAUCCUGUUCAUUAGUGCAUAUCAAACAUGUUUUAAGUAUCACUGGGUUUAUCCUUCUGUUGCAGGUGGGUUAAUAGCAUUUUAGAAGCCUUGCAAGUCCAGGAACAAGUUCAGAAAGUCUAGGAGUCGUAUGUUGAUGCCCUUCUAAUUUCACCUGGUAAUUUCUAUAUACUGCUUACACUAAGUUGUUUCCCAGUGAAUAAAGAUGCUAUUGAAGAUUAAAUAUAAAUCAGUAAACGUCUCCUCUCUAACAACUUUAGCUUCUAAACGGCAUGGUUCAACACAGUAUCAAAGCACACGUGGAUCAUGAGUUCAAAUAUUGGGGGAUUAUUGGAGAACACUUCUUCCUAUUUCUUUCUCUUGAUAUCCGAUGAUCAUGGUGAUGCCCGUGAAUUCUUAUUUUUACGUAGCAAGUACUUAUUAAUUUGUCUCCUGGACUGGAUCUAUUAUGUCAGAUUUUCACGUACCCGUUGAUAUGCUAUUCCCAAGGACUAUAUCCUGGUAGUUUGUCGGUUAAAUUAAUAAGUGGGGNNNNNNNNNNNNNNNNNNNNNNNNNNNNNNNNNNNNNNNNNNNNNNNNNNNNNNNNNNNNNNNNNNNNNNNNNNNNNNNNNNNNNNNNNNNNNNNNNNNNNNNNNNNNNNNNNNNNNNNNNNNNNNNNNNNNNNNNNNNNNNNNNNNNNNNNNNNNNNNNNNNNNNNNNNNNNNNNNNNNNNNNNNNNNNNNNNNNNNNNNNNNNNNNNNNNNNNNNNNNNNNNNNNNNNNNNNNNNNNNNNNNNNNNNNNNNNNNNNNNNNNNNNNNNNNNNNNNNNNNNNNNNNNNNNNNNNNNNNNNCGAAGCACAUAGACGUUACUCAUUUUAGCGAAUAUACCUCAUCAGGAAAAUGAAACCUUUAGAUACGAGUAUAUAUCUAACAUUUGAAAUCGGCUUCUAGUAGAAGUGUGUUUCUAACAUUAUCUAUCAUCGUCUAUGAUUUUUAUCAGUGUAGGUGGCAGUGAAUGUCGUGAUUUACUGUUCAAUUAUUAAUGCAUCAAAUUACAUCAUAAUUUUAUUGAACAAUGAAUCAGAAGACCUUGUUGUCAAUUACAUCGCUGAUAAUCACCACUCCAUUGACACUCCAUAAAAAACAUGAAAAUGAUUCCAAAGCUGUGGUAUGACCAUGCAAAACCAAUGCUACAUGUUUAAAACUUUUAUCCAAUGAAUAUCCAUUCUUUUUUGUUCUUUAGGGAGAAAUUGAAAUAUUCGUCAGCAAGUCUGUCUCCAACUUUUUAAAUUGAGCAUUUGUUUGAUGCCAUUGAAAAGAGUUUUUUAAUUUUUUCCCCCUUUUGGGAAAAAUGAGUUUUGAAACAGUAAUCUUUUUAAUAGAAAUUUUGAGUUUAAAAAGUAAGAAAAUUUGUUGGAUUACGUGUAAACUAUUUUAUUGUGAGAAUAUUUGGUCGAAAAUGAGUUUUAGGAAAAAGGAGUUUUUGAAGAAUGGUGGACAAACGGGGAUUGAAUGAGUUAUGUCUUAUCCUUUGAUUGAGUUAAUAAUUAUACAGUUGCCUUUGAAAAUCGUUCAAAUCUCUAUUAAAGAUGUCCUGCUUCAAAUUUAUAUGCACUAACUUCAGUUGAAAAACAAAAUUAGUAUCAUAAAGUCGCACUGUGUAAAGGCCAUGACAGAAUGCUUCAUUAGACUGUUCAAGUAAUAAUAAGGCCCAAUGUAGCAAUGUUAUAGGUUUGAAAAAGUAGAAGAGAUUGGUAUUAACUAUAUUUCAAGUCUUGGGAGGCAUAUUACUUUUGAUCGUGGGUGGUCAUUGGCAUUUUCUUGGUUUCACGGUAAAGAUUGUCGAAGACGAUCUAGAAAAUCCAACAAAAUUGUUUACUAUAUGGAGCUUCGAUGGGAAGAUGGUGUACGAAAACAUCAUUGAAUCGACUGAGGGCUUCCGCUUUAGCCACUUUGUUGGGUGGGAGGAUGUGGCAGUGUUUUAGAGCUAAAUUGAAUGACCAGACUGUCGCUAUAAAGAAAUUACAUACACCAUGUAACGUCCCAAAAUUUCAUAUAAUAGAAUUAUUUGGGGAUAACGAUUUUGAUCUAGAUGCCUUUGGUGGACUCAUUCUGUAGUUCGUAUUUAAUGGCAUGUCAUGGACUCGAGAAAAGUUAAUUCAAAUAAGUUAGGUCCAAGUUAUUGAAGUUCCGAGAAAUUGUCUUUAAUUGGUAAUUAAUGAAGUUGGUUUAUGAUUUAAUUUCUAUGACAGCAUCACGUGUAGGACAAAUUUUAAUCCUAUUUUGAUAAUUGUUAAUUGUAAUCCUAUUUUGAUUUUGAUAAAUGUUAAAAAGGUUAAUUGUAAUUGUUACGAUCCAAAUUUUUCUAGUCAAAAAUAAAAUGUUGAAUUGUCAAAGUCAAAGUCAAAAGGGAUUAAAAUGAAAUAAAUUAUUUUAAUUGGGACUCAAUUUAUUAUGAAAAUUAUUUUGAAGGUCUAAGUUGGACAAUAUAAAAUUUUAGAGAUCUACUUAUAUAUUGCUAGAAGUUUAGAAUUUAAUGUUCUAUUAUAGAAAUGUUGGAGGACCUCCUUUGCAAUUUUGAGUUUGUAGCUACUUGAUAUAUUACAAUAAACCCAUUUCAAUUAUAAUUCAACACACACACACAAAUAAUAGGCAAAAACGGGAGAGCGCUGAGAGAGAAACCGAGAAGAAAGAGGAAGAAAAAGAGAAAGAAAGUGAGAAAAAGAAGAAAAGAAAGAAAGAAAGGAGAAGAAGAAGGGAAAGAGGUAGUUCAAGGUCUAUCUUCAUUUUUCCUUCUCUUUAUUUUCUUCAAGAGGUAGAUAAAUUUUAUGUUAAGUUGCUAGGGUUUAAUUUGUGGCUAAAAUUUCAUAUUUAUGCAAGAUGAGUACAAAUUGGAGUUCAAGUUUGUUGAUUAUUUAAUUUUCAAUUUCAUUAAGGUAAAAAUACCAAUUUUGGCAAAUCCUAGAUUUUUAUUUGGGAUUCUUAAUUAUGAAAUGUUAGUGGGAAUAAUUAUAUUGAUGGAAAACUCUCAUCAAACCAUGAAUUUGAGAAACAAGAUAAAAAUAAAAAUAGGUGGAAUCAUUGUUACUAGUUUUCUUUAGAUUGGAAGGUAUAAUUAUUUUUAUGGGUGGGAUGAAGGUAAAUUUGGAUGUAGUAUAUAUUUGUGAAGGUAUUAGAAAGUAGAAUUAGCGCUUAUUGAUUAACGGAAAAUUUGGAAAAAUCAUUCAAAGUAUCGAGAAGUCAAGUUUUAGUAUUCAACUAUUAAUAUUAAGAUAUACUUAGUAUGAGAUUUGUUAAAUUAGUUAUUUUACAUCGUAUUUCAGGUAGUGACGUGAAAGCUGGGCAAGACUGGUAAAUUUAACAAGAUUGCAAUACAUGGAUAUGUGAGUGGAGAACCUACUUUUCCAAUUAAAAAAAAAGGGGGGAAUUUCCUUUUUAAUUUUAUUUUAUAGAAGUAUAUUAAUUACCUGAAAUGUCUUAUUUUCAAGAAAUUAGUAAAUGAGCAAGAUUGUUUUGAAAUUUUCAAAAAAUAAUUGAUGUGAUUAUCUUACUCUAGUGCACUGAGGGGAUACGGCCGUGUACUAGAGUCAUGUAUUUAACUCUUAUACAUUGAGGGGUUGCAACCGUGUGUAAGGAUAACUCUUAUCCACUGAUGGGCUACGGCCGUGUGUAAGGGUACCUAUUAUACAUUGAGGGGCUACAAUCGUGUGUAAGGGUAACUCUUAUCUACUGAGGGGCUACGGCCGUGUGUAAGGAUACCUAUUAUAUACUGAGGGACUACAGUCGUGUAUAAGGAUGAUCAUGUUGUUUCCAUCUUAUACACUGAGGGGCUACGGUCGUGUACAGAGUGUUGAUCAGACGGUUUAUAUGCGUCUGACUUUGUAGCUUUUAGAUCAUCAGUAGAUGUUUACAUGGGGUAUAUUUUGAUGUGAAUUUUAUGUAUAUAGUGGUUUAUUAGCCUUCAACUUAUAUUUCCCCGUUUGCUAUUCAGCUUAUGGAAUUCAGAUUAUAGAAUUCAAUUCGUUCAAUUUUCAGAGUAAAGCUUCCAAUUUAUAGUAUUGAGCAACAAUAUUUCACAGAUUUUCAUAGAUUUCAGAUUAUUUAUAUUCACUAUAUUUUACAAUUAUUGAACUAGAAUGAAGAAUAAAGAAUUUUAUCAUCCAAUUAUGUCAGUUUUAAAAGUGUUACUAAAUUUUUGAAUUUCUCAAAGUUUUAGUAAAGCAAGAAUUAUACAUAUAUGAAAAAGUAUACUUAUUUUCAAUUUAUUCACUCACUGAGUUACAAACUCCAAUUUUUUUACCAUUCUCUUAGCAGAUAGCAUCUAUGUUGAGUAGCUUUGGAGCCUGUCGAUCCACCGAGAGUGCCAGACACACACAUUGUCAUUAGAUGUAUGAUUCAUUUCGUCAAUUUAUAUAGUUCAAAUUUCCUUUAGGAUACAUGUAUGUUUUGACAGAAUCGUUAAUUGGUAAUUUAUAGAUCCAUACCAUGGGCUCACUGCAUAUUUAAUAUUCUCAUUGCUUCUGGGGUCUUUUGUUUAUAAAGCAUGGUAAAUGUUUUGAAUUGUUUGUAUUUUAAAGGACUAGCGUGUUAUAUUUUAAAUUAUCUGUACAGUUUUGAUAAAUUUGAUAUUUGUUUAGGUGAUUUAGUCCAUAUUUUAAAGGAAAUUCUGUCAAAAUUUUUACACAUAUAUGUCAUAGUCAAAGUAGGUCAAAUCUGCUUUGGUGGUGCGUCCAACACUUAGUUGGUAUCUACCAUCGGCUCACAACACAUGUCAGGUCUAUUAGGGUGAUUCGGGACGGGUUGUGUCAGUAAUCCCAACUUAAUCCUUUUUACAGCAAAUGUACGAGAAAAUCAUCAGUGGAGUACAAUCCAAAUUCAACUUUUUGAAACUAUGUUUAAUUAAAAUAUUUAAAACACUUAUCAAGUUGGUAGCCACUUGUGUGCAGUGCAUUAGGAGUUAAUCUUUUUAUUUUUGGAUUAGAAGGAAAACUAAUUUUAAUCAUAAUUUUAUUAGAUUUUCAUUGAUUACUGGUUUAGUUCAAUUAAACAAGUAGAAUCCUACUUUCAAAAAGAAAUCUCAAAUCUCACCGAUUUAUACCCCCACAUUGAAGCAAAUCUGCAUUCGUAAGUUAUUACUUUCAAAGCAUACAUGCACCCAUUUGGUCACAGAAGCAGAGAGUUUAAGAAAGUUUUGAAAUGUACAAUCAUAUUUUUCUUUUCGAAAUUUUGUUUGAUACGAGGGAAGAUACAUAAAGCAUAAGUGGUUCGUCGAUACAUGCAUGAAUUGUUGGUUGACCUUUGGGUUCGACUUAAUAAAACAUGAACUUUUUUGGGUUCUUUAAAACGAAAUAUGAAAUAUCUCAAGAAUUCGAAAUGAGUACGUGAUGAGUGUCUCAUUUUAUCACCGAUAUACUCCAAAUAAAUUGUGGUAUGAGAUGUUUAUUUUAUUGUUAUAUAAUUGUAUAUGAAAACUGCAUGUAUCUUAUUAGGUACUAUCAAAUACUCAUUCUUAAAAUAAUUUACAAGUUAGUUGAGAUCGAUUGAAACUGUGGCAGAAUAGUGAUGUGGACUACCAAGAAGAUUUGAAGAACUAAAAACAUUAAAUUUUCGAUCUUUCAAUUGAUUAUUUAGUUUUAAAUUGUUCAAAAAUAAGUUUGUUCAAUAGUUAGGUAGUUAUAUCUAUUUUUUUAAGGAAAUACAAGUUACAUGCUUUAAAUUGAUAUUUAUUAUUGAAAAUAAAGAGAUUAAUUUUAUUAUUAUCGUUUUCCACAAUAUCGUGAAGGAAAUUGAAUUUUAGUAUCAUUCUAAGGUUUAUGAAUAUUGGGGUGUUAUAAUUUGAUAAUAAAGCACAUGUUUAUCUUUCUGUAUUCUUUUUAACAAAAUAGUUAUUUGUUUCAAAUAAAUGAAUUUUAAUAGGAAUUUACCAAUUAAAAAAUUUGUAUUUUAAGAGUUCCCACUUAUUAUUUGAGUUUUCUUGAUUUACGUAUUUGUAAAAUUGAAUGGUUUAGUCAAAACGACCUAAAUUGUUUAAAGAGAGUUUGAGAUUUAAGUGGUUCACUUAUAAUCUUCCUCCUCACCUGAAAGCCUUUUAGUUGCACGCUAUUCAAAUCAUAAAAAUGAAAAAUAACAUUUCAAACCAUUCCAUAUUUAAGAAAAUUUUAUUUUUAACAAAUUCUAUUUCAAGAGAAUUCCUUUUUAGGAAAUUUUUAUAUUGAAAAAAAAUAAAAAAAUAAAAGUAUUGUCAUAGGAUUUUGCCACUUUGACAGAAAAAUUGUAACAGAUGCGAUGAUAUAAUCCCAGUUGGAAAUAGAUGAUUUGAUGGGGAUGUUUAUUGUGUUUGAAAUUGUCCAAUAAUGGGAUGUCAUGUGAUAUUAUAUCAAAAAUUAUGUCAACUAUUAUGUUCCUGUAGCAUGAUUGAUUUUCAUAAGAAUUAUGAGUUUAAGGAGAAUAUUUUUGUAAAGUUUUUGUAAUGUCCCCAAAUUUUCAUAGAUUAGAAUUUAAUUUAUGUGUGCUAUAUUUUAAUAUUUUGGAAGUUUAGUGACUAAAGUGUAUAUAACGUAAAAUUUAAUCUUUUUGGGCUUAAAAUGUAAAUAUUGGCGGGUUAAUGAUUAAUAUAUGAAUAUUGGGCUUGUUGGAUAGAUCGUAAUUAAAGACACAGUUUAGGCUCGAGAAAAACUUUAUUUGGAUUAGUCGAGCCCAAGUUAUCGAAGCCAGAAGAUAUAACAUUAAAAUAUUAUUUUUAUUACUUUUGUUUUUGGAAGAAUUUACGUGGAGAGAGAGAUGAAAGUUGUUGAGAUAUUUUAUUGUUUUAUUAUUAAUAAUAAUAUUUUAUUAAGUGUUUUGAAUUGGGAGGUCUCACGUGAAGUACUAGGAUUCUAAGUAGGGGUAGGUAAGUGAUAAUCGAUUUGUUUAUUAAAUGAAAUAAAGUAGAGAGAGAGAGAGAGAAUUAUGGGGAGCCCCAACCACGUGAGUGAUUGUUGAGAAACCAAAUGGAUGUGUAGGGUAAUGUUUGGCUGUUGGGUGAUUGGUUAGUUGACAGUACAUGAUCUUAUAUUGAUAAGGUUUGGGUCUCCGAUUUUUUUCAAAAACAGUUUUUUUUUACUUUAUCUAAAUAUCCACUCUCCCACAUGUUUUCCUAUGAAUACUUCUACAUAUGUAUAUGGAAUGAACUGCACGAGAAUAAGGACACAAAAAAUAUAUUGGUACGUGCACACAUUGUCAAUAGAGGCAGAAAAAUAUAGAAGAAAAGAACGUGAUUUUAUUAUUUCUCUUCCGGAAAUUAAAUCAAGGUAGGAUUACGAGGUGCAAGUGGGUUGUCCCAUUUAAAUUAUUUCUUCAUAUUUGAUAAAUAUUAUACUUAUGAAAGUUAUGAUAUGUAUAAUGUAAUUAUGAUAUGUAUGUUAUGGUCAUCCGGUACCAAAGAUAUGAUACGAUAUGAACUCUUACCGAUUCUAAAGAUAUGAUAUGACGGUAUGAUAUUUUGACGCGUGAUUUAAUAUUUUAAUUGGGAUUGCACAAUUUCUCGUACCCUACUGAGUAUUCCCAUAUACUCACCAUUUUCCUACUCCUCACAGGUUAGACCGGGUCAUGUUGGAGCGUGGUGGUUCGAAGGUGUGGUUGUGUCUUGUUUCACCAAAUAAAGAUCUAAGUUAGCACGUAAUGUUUAUUUAUUUUCAGUUUAUUUCAAUAAACAUUUAUUUAUUUACGAAUAAAUUCUCGUUUAUGUUAGUUGCAGAUGAAUAUACGUAUUUUAUGAUUUUUAAAUAGAAGUUUGAACUAAAUGUUAUUUUCCUUCCUAUCGAUUUGCAAAUCUGUUCUUUCAUAUACGUUGGGAAGAAAGAAUUUAAUAGUUUGCAUGCCUAUAUUUGUACUUUACUUUGAUUUUCCCCAAAUUGAUGGAAAUUUAGGGUCAACACAAUGAUUCCCUGCCACCCCACACCUUCAUUUGUGUCCCAUCACAUCCAUAGCAUUAAUUAUGAUAUGAAUUUGAUAGUUUUUGCUUGUACGUGUUAGUCAUGAAUCAAUGUCUUGUUCGUAGUUUUUUUUUUGACAUAAAUGAAUUCUGUUUUGGAUUUUUUUUGUUUAAUUGCAGUAAAUAAACAUUCCGUGAGUUAUUUAAUUCCAUCCGUUGCCUUUGACUUAAUUAAGUAACUAAUUGAAAUUAUGCACUAAUUAGGGGGAAAUAUUGUGUUAUGAACCACUGUAUUAAUUAUGCCAGGAGUUAGCAAAUUCAUGUUUGUCUGCCACACCCGUGUCAAAUUCGUUUUAAUUCAUAAGUCUUAGAUAUAAAUUUAUUGGAUCUCCCGAAAUACAUAGGAAUAAGAUGUUAUUUUAAUUUGACUUGAGUGUUCAACACGUGAAGAUGAUUGAUAAUUGGAGAUUCAAUGAAAGCAAUAUUUUUUUAGAAUUCAUUAUAUAUAUAUAUAUAUAUAUAUAUAUAUCCAUGUGUUUUAUUUAUUUUAUAGAUGGAACUAGAAAGAUUUUCAUGUUGGAUGUUUAUUAUUUUAAUUAUUUAUGGAAUGAAAGGUUUGGUAACGAUUUCUAAAUCUAUAUAAGAUUUGGGUCGUUACAGUUUGGUAUCAGAGCAUAGGUUUAAAUUCCUGUAGACUCACAUGUAUUCUCAUAAUUCGGUUUUAAAAAAAAAAAAAAAUUAUUGUGAACAGUGACCGGACCGUUCACGUGAACAGUACUCGGUACUGUUCACUGUUCACGUGAAUAGUAUUGUACUGUUCACGUGAACAGUGUAGGAUAAAAAAAUAAAAAUAAAUAAAAAUUGUGUGAUGUUAUAUAUAUAUUGAAUUUUCUUUUUUGUUACAUGUUAUAAAAGGCUUAUUUGCUUAUUUAUUUUCCUAGAUAAUAUUUGUUUAAGGUUAAUAUUUAUUUAUUUAUUUAUGAAUUUAACGAUAAUAUUAAAUUAAAAGUUAUGAAAUAUGUGAAUGAUCUUUGGCACUCAACGACCACCAAUCGACCACCCUCCAACGACUCUAAGGUAUGUAAAAAGGGUAAGAAGAUAAAUGUACUUAAAGCUUUUUGCGAGAUUUAAAUGCUUUAAAUUUCCUAUCUUUAAAUGUUAAGACAUCCACGUUUAUUUUUCCCACUAAAUUAUGAUAUAUAUUGUCAUAGAUAAUUAUAACUUAUUAGACUUAGUACUAAGUGUGAUUGGUGACUUCAUAUUAAAUUUUAGGAAAUGGCACCACCUACUCAUACGAAUUUGAUGCGCGAUUUACUACGAGCGGUACAAGAGUUGAGCAGGCAAAAUCAAGCACCUCCACCACAAAAUGCACCGCCACAGCAGAAUGCACCGCAUUUUGCCCCUGGAGCUAUCUCAGUGGUUGAGCAGUUUCGUAGGUACAAGCCUUCCACUUUUGACGGUAAUUCUGAAUCACUGGUUGUCGAAGAGUGGAUAAGAGGCCUGGAGCGCAUAUUUCGACACAUUGCUUGUACGGAUGCACAGAAAGUAUUAUGUGCAGAAUUUAUGUUGAUUGGAGCAGCUGGUCACUGGUAGGAAUCUGUUUCACGUACAAGGACGGAAGAGCAGCACCGUAAUCUGACUUGGGAGCAGUUUAAAGAUGAAGUGAUGGCAAAAUAUUUCCCACAGGCUUUGAGAGAUUUCAAGGAAUUAGAAUUUUUGCAGCUCAGACAAGGGAGUAUGUCACUUACUGAUUAUGAAAGACAGUUUGAGCAGCUCUCAAGAUAUGCCCCGCACUUGGUGGAUACAGAAGUUAAGAAGAUUAGGAGGUUUGAGAAUGGACUGCGCCCUGAGAUCGGCAUGAUCAUUAUGUCCCAUCGUUUCACCUCAUAUCGUGAAAUGUUAGAGAGGGCUCAUGCUAUUUCCUAUCAGAGGACUACCUUUGAACAGUAUGCCCAGCAAAGCAAGGGGUCAUCGGGAAAAAGAAAGUGGAAUGAUCCAAACAAGGACAGACGUAAUUGGUAGAGUAAAAGGCCAAACACAGGAGUUCGUAUUGGGGGAGCGAGUGAGAAUAUUACACCGUGUCCUAAGUGUAAUAAACUCCACAGGGGUGAAUGCUUACUCGGGAAGAACAUGUGUUUCCGAUGUGGUAAGCCAGGGCACAUUGCUCUCAACUGUACAGAGCCACCAAAAAGGAAGGAUGAUGAUCAGGACAAGAACAAGAAAGGAAAGGCCCGAGUUUUCACACUAAAUCAGCAUGAGGCGGAGCAGGAUCCGAAUGUGAUAGCGGGUACUAAAUUAUUAAUAUUUUAACGCACUUGCUUAUGUUCUUUUCACAUAGGACUACACAUUGUUCCAUCUCCGUCCCUUAAAUGUUAUUCUAACACUAUAAAUUAUAAAAACAUGUAUUCUGUUAUUAUCUGAUGUGCCUGCUUAUGUACUUUUUGAUUCUGGGGCUACCAAUUCUUUUAUCUCUGCAUCCUUCGUCGUUAAGUCCAACUUUGCAUGUGUAAGAACGAAUAAUGAACUAGAGGUUAGCAUCCCUUCAGGAAGAACUCUUUGUACAAAUUAGAUGACUAAGGACAUAAAAUUAGAGAUUGACGGAAAAAUAUUAGAGGCAGACUUGUACCUUUUGGAGAUGAAAGAUUUCGAUGUUAUUUUAGGCAUGGAUUGGUUGGGAAUUAAUCAUGCAACCAUUCGAUGUUACGAGAAAGAAGUAUUGUUUCAUAGACCAGGAGAGGAAGAGUUUCGUUUCUUGGGAGCAAAGUUCAAGUCUUUACCGCUCCUAAUAUCAGCUAUGCAAGCAGAAAAGAUGUGAAGGAAGGAGUCAUGCCAGGGAUUCUUAGUUAACAUCAAUAGUUCUCAACAUACAGAAAUGACCGUUAAUGAUAUUAACAUCGUCCGAGACUUUGCAGAUGUAUUCCCAGAAGAUUUGCCAGGCAUUCCACCAGAUAGACAAAUGGAAUUUACAAUUGAUUUAGUUCCUGGAACGGCACCAAUAUCUAAGGCCCCAUACCGAAUGGCACCGAAAGAACUACAAGAAUUGAAGUUGCAAUUAGAGGAGUUACUGGAGAAAGGCUUCAUACGACCAAGUGUAUCUCCUUGGGGAGCACCUGUACUUUUUGUCAAGAAGAAGGAUGGGAGUAUGAAGAUGUAUAUUGACUAUCGGGAAUUGUACCAUCUGACCAUAAAAAAUAAGUACCCACUGCCAAGAAUAGAAGAUUUGUUUGACCAGUUAAUGGGUGCUGCAGUAUUUUCAAAGAUCGACUUGAGGUCAGGGUAUCACCAGCUAAAAAUCAGGGCAAGCGAUAUACCGAAAACUGCUUUCAGGACUCGUUAUGGGCAUUAUGAAUUCACUGUCAUGCCUUUUGGUUUGACCAAUGCUCCAGCUGUAUUUAUAGAUCUCAUGAAUAGAGUAUUCCAUCAGCAUUUAGAUCAGUUCGUCAUAGUGUUUAUUGACGACAUACUUGUGUACUCAAAAGACAAGAAGCAACAUAAGGAACAACUUCGAAUUGUACUUGAAACUUUGAGGAAUGAGAAAUUAUAUGCCAAAUUCAAAAAGUGUGAAUUUUGGCUUGACCGUGUAGUUUUUUAGGUCACGUUGUUACCACCCAAGGAAUCGAAGUAGACCCCGCUAAAGUGAAAGCAGUAACAAAUUGGCUAAGGCCGAGCGAUGUGGGUGAAGUCCGCAGUUUCUUGGGAUUGGCUGGUUAUUAUAGAAGAUUCAUUGAAGGCUUCUCAAAGAUAGCAGGGCCAAUGACUCAAUUGACAAGAAAGGGUAUAAAGUUUCGGUGGACAGAAAAAUGUGAAAAAUGCUUUGAAGAACUCAAGUAGAGACUAGUGUCAGCUCCUGUAUUGACGAUACCUGAAGGUUCAGAGGGAUUUGUGAUUUACAGCGAUGCCUCCAAGCAGGGCUUGGGUUGUGUACUGAUGUGGCAUGGAAAAGUGGUUGCUUAUGCCUCGAGACAGUUGAAACAGUAUGAACAAAACUAUCCAAUGCAUGACUUGGAGCUUGCAGCAGUUGUUCACGCCUUAAAGAUAUGGCGUCAUUAUCUUUAUGGUGGGAAGUGUGAAAUUUAUACGGACCACAAGAGUCUCAAAUACUUUUUCACACAGAAGGAACUAAACAUGAGACAGAGGAGAUGGUUGGAGUUAGUGAAGGAUUAUGACUGCACAAUUCAUUACCAUCCGGGUAAGACUAAUGUAGUUGCAGAUGCCCUAAGCAGAAAGACAGGAACACAGUUAGCAGUUUUACCCACAGUACAGGAACACUUGAUAAGGGAGUUUGAUAAAUUGAGAUUGGAAGUUAUCACGCCGCCAACUCAGAUUUCAGGGAGAAUAAGAGCAUUCAUGAUUCAACCUACACUUCGAGAUCGAAUUAAGGAGGCACAGGAUAAAGAUCCAUUUUUAUAGAAGAUAAAGGCCAAGAUUGGUACAGAUAAACAUAUAGGGUUUGCAGUAUCUGCAGAUAAUGCGCUAACUUUCAAAGGAAGACUGUGUGUACCUAAGGAUGAAAGUAUAAGAAAUGAGAUAUUAGAAGAGGCUCAUUCAACCCCUUAUUCUGCUCAUCCAGGUGGUACGAAAAUGUACCGAGAUCUCCGGGAUGUAUUUUGGUGGAGAAAUAUGAAGAGAGGAAUUGGUCUGUUCGUGGAGAGAUGUAUUAUCUGUCAACAGGUUAGGGCAGAACAUCAAAGGCCAUCAGGAUUACUGAAAUCGUUGGAUAUUCCAGAAUGGAAAUGGGAACACAUAACGAUGGACUUUGUGGUAGGCCUCCCGAGAUCAGCAAAAGGUCACAAUGCUAUCUGGGUAGUGGUGGAUCGUCUGACGAAGUCAGCCCAUUUUCUUCCAAUUAAAGUAAACUUUAAUUUGGAACAGCUGGUACACUUAUACAUCAGGGAGAUAGUCAGGUUGCAUGGAGUCCCAGUCACCAUUGUUUCAGAUAGAGACCCGAGGUUCACAUCUAAAUUUUGGAAAAGUUUGCAGACAGCCAUGGGAACAAAACUGAAGUUUACCACAACUUAUCAUCCUCAGACGGAUGGACAAUCAGAAAGAACCAUCCAAACUUUGGAAGAUAUGCUAAGGGCAUGUGUUUUGGAUCUUGGAGGUAGUUGGGAGACACACCUGCCGUUAGUGGAGUUUGCUUACAACAAUAGUUUUCAGGCCACUAUAGGAAUGGCCCCGUAUGAAGCUCUUUAUGGUAGAAAGUGCAGAUCCCCUAUCCAUUGGGAUGAAGUCGGGGAAAACAGAAUUUUGGGUCCAGAAAUCAUUGAACGAACAGUUGAGGCAGUGGAUAAUAUUAGAGCAAGAAUAAAGGCCGCACAAGAUCGACAGAAAAGUUAUGCUGACAGUAGAAGAAAGGAUUUAAAAUUUCAAAGAGGUGACAAAGUCUUUCUAAAGGUAGCACCAAUGAAAGGUGUAUUGAGAUUUGGAAAGAAAGGAAAGUUGAGGCCGCGGUUCGUCGGACCUUUCGAAAUUCUUGAAAGGAUUGGUAGUUUGGCUUACAGACUUGCCUUGCCACCUGAACUAACAGCAGUGCAUAAUGUGUUCCAUGUUUCGAUGCUCAGAAAAUAUGUUCAUGAUCCCAAUCAUGUAGUAAGCUAUCAGACGUUGGAUGUACCAAAAGAUCUAUCAUAUGAAGAAAUUCCGACGGUAAUUUUGGAAAGAAAGGUACAUCAACUUAGGAAGAAAGGAGUUCCACUGGUCAAGGUGCAAUAGCGAAAUCAUGGACGAGAGGAAUCAACUUGGGAGAAAGAAGAAGAGCUUAGAACCAAGUAUCCAGAACUUUUCAAUUAACCAAGGUAAAUUUUCGAGGACUUAAAUAUUUAAGGAGGGGAGAUUGUAAUGUCCCCAAAUUUUCAUAGAUUAGAAUUUAAUUUAUGUGUGCUAUAUUUUAAUAUUUUGGAAGUUUAGUGACUAAAGUGUAUAUAAAGUAAAAUUUAAUCUUUUUGGGCUUAAAAUGUAAAUAUUGGCAGGUUAAUGAUUAAUAUAUGGAUAUUGGGCUCGUUGGAUAGAUCGUAAUUAAAGACGCAGUUUAGGCUCGAGAAAAAAUUUAUUUGGAUUAGUCGAGCGCAAGUUAUCGAAUCCGGAAGAUAUAACAUUAAAAUAUUAUUUUUAUUACUUUUGUUUUUGGAAGAAUUUACGUGGAGAGAGAGAUGAAAGUUGUUGAGAUAUUUUAUUGUUUUAUUAAUAAUAAUAAUAUUUUAUUAAGUGUUUUGAAUUGGGAGGUCUCACGUGAAGUACUAGGAUUCUAAGUAGGUGGUAGGUAAGUGAUAAUUGAUUUGUUUAUUAAAUGAAAUAAAGUAGAGAGAGAGAGAGAGAAUUAUGGGGAGCCCCAACCACGUGAGUGGUUGUUUGGAAACCAAAUGGACGUGUAGGGUAAUGUUUGGCUGUUGGGUGAUUGGUUAGUUGACAGUACAUGAUCCUAUAUUGAUAAGGUUUGGGUCUCCUAUUUUGUUUCAAAAACAGUUUUUUUUUUUUACUUUAUCUAAAUAUCCACUCUCCCACACGUUUUCCUAUGAAUACUACUGCAUAUGUAUAUGGAAUGAACUGCACGAGAAUAAGGACACAAAAAAUAUAUUGGUACGCGCACACAGUGUCAAUAGAGGCAGAAAAAUAUAGAAGAAAAGAACGUGAUUUUAUUAUUUGACUUCCGGAAAUUAAAUCAAGGUAGGAUUACGAGGUGCAAGUGGGUUGUCCCAUUUAAAUUAUUUUCUUCAUGUUUGAUAAAUAUUAUACUUAUGAAAGUUAUGAUAUGUAUAAUGUAAUUAUGAUAUAUAUGUUAUGGCCAUCCGGUACCAAAGAUAUAAUAUGAUAUGAGCUCUUAUCGGUUUUAAAGAUAUGAUAUGACGGUAUGAUAUUUUGACGCGUGAUUUAAUAUUUUAAUUGGGAUUGCACAAUUUCUCGUACCCUACUGAGUAUUCUCAUAUACUCACCAUUUUCCUAUUCCUCACAGGUUAGAUUGGGUCGUGUUGGAGCGUGGUGGUUCGAAGGUGUGGUUGUGUCUUGUUUCGCCAAAUAAAAAUCUAAGUUAGCACGUAAUGUUUAUUUAUUUUCAAUUUAUUUCAAUAAACAUUUAUUUAUUUACGAAUAAAUUCUCGUUCUUGUUAGUUGCAGAUGAAUAUACGUAUUUUAUGAUUUUCAAAUAGAAGUUUGAACUAAAUGUUAUUUUCCUUCCUAUCGAUUUGCAAAUCUGUACUUUCGUAUACGUUGGGAAGAAAGAAUUUAAUAGUUUGCAUGCCUAUGUUUGUACUUUACUUUGAUUUUCCCCAAAUUGAUGGAAAUUUAAGGUCAACACAAUGAUUCCCUGCCACCCCCACCCCCUCAUUUGUGUCCCAUCACAUCCAUAGCAUUAAUUAUGAUAUGAAUUUGAUAGUUUUUGCUUGUACGUGUUAGUCAUGAAUCAAUGUCUUGUUCGUAGCAUUUUUUUUGACAUAAAUGAAUUUUGUUUUGGAUUUUUUUUCUUUAAUUGCAGUAAAUAAACAUUCUGUGGGUUAUUUAAUUCCAUCCGUUGCCUUUGACUUAAUUAAGUAACUAAUUGAAAUUAUGCACUAAUUAGGGGGAAAUAUUGUGUUAUGAACCACUGUAUUAAUUAUGCCAGGAGUUAGAAAAUUCAUGUUUGUCUGCCACACCCGUGUCAAAUUCGUUUUAAUUCAUAAGUCUUAGAUAUAAAUUUAUUGGAUCUCCCGAAAUACAUAGGAAUAAGAUGUUAUUUUAAUUUGACUUGAGUGUUCAACACGUGAAGAUGAUCGAUAAUUGGAGAUUCAAUGAAAGCAAUAUUUUUUUAGAAUUCAUUAUACAUGAUUAAAUACAUAUAUAUCUAAUAAUUUGUUUUUAAGUUCUUCCAUGCGUUUUAUUUAUUUUAUAGGUGGAACUAGAAAGAUUUUCAUGUUGGAUGUUUAUUAUUUUAAUUAUUUAUGGAAUGAAAGGUUUGGUAACGAUUUCUAAAUCUAUAUAAGAUUUGGGUCGUUACAGUUUUAACCAGGUAAUAACAUGAAAAAUCCUUGGGGACGUUCACUGUUUGACCACUCUCCAAUUGAUUCUAGGUAUGAAUUGAAUGUUAUUCUUUUAUCAUAAUUACGAGUCAUCUUGCUUCAUGUUAUGAAAUGUAUAAGCAUGUUUACCUCUCGUAGUUUAUUAGUUGAACUAUUUUACAUUUUAUAUGAAUAUUGUUUAUGUUGGGAAUCUACUUAUACAUGCACAGUGGAAAAUUAAAAUUAUUUUGAUUCCCACCGAGAAUCCCUUUGUGUUUAGAUAGAAAUCGUGAUAAGAUUGUACCUUUUCAAAUCUGAAAAUUUCUUUACUAUUAUUUUCGUUCCAACAAUCUUGAUUCGCCACCUACAGCUGUCCAAUUGUCCAGCCUCCAACGGUGAUCCACACAAAGAAUAAGAUUGCAGCUAAUAGGGUUUUCUCUCUUGUGCCAGCAAGAAUAAUGAAAAUCAUAUAGACCUCAAACCCUAACCAUGUAUUUAUAUACACCCAAAUGGGCUCGGCCCGAUCCGGUCCAAUAUUUAAUUAAUCCAUUUAAUUAAACCCGAUCUGUGAAUUAAUUAAUCCAAUUUAUUAAUUUAUACAAUGAUGUUAAAUUAACUAAUUGACAAUUUUCAAUCUUCCAAUUCUUUUUUGUGUGUGACCCAUUAGGUUCCCGACCACGAUGUCUAACGACGUGAAAUAUUAUUUUGAUCUAAUCAAAAUUGAUAAAUUAAAACACUCUUUUAAUUUAUCGUCAAUUCACACUCGCCGUCCCUGAUUGACAUCUAGCAAUGUGUCAGGGCAAUACAUGUGACGAAAAAUGUCACGUGGUAUGACAAAAUCAAAUUCGUUCGUUUACCGUGAAACUAUAAUCCCUUCGUCAAUAUGAUCCGAUCAAUUACGAGAUAUGGAAGUGUGUCAAUCUCGAUCAUCGAUCAUAUCUUUCACUCCACUAUUAAGUCAAUAUAAGUCGAAAACUCAUUUUCGACUUAUGAAUACACCUUGGCCAAGGAUUUCAUCAUCGACUUAAUUGAAUGAAACACAGAUCAUAAUCUCCUACAAUCUAAGAGUGACAAAUCCUUUAUUGAUUAAUCACAACCUUCAUACGAUUCUUGACGUACCCGAACGAUAUCGUAUUAGCGGCCUUUUUCAGAGCAACAUCCAACACUGUCAAAGUAUGACUAUCCUCAUGUAAGGUACCAUGACGACAUCAAGUCAAAGGACCAAUUCCAUUACCGAACGUUAGAGAUUAACCACUGACACUUAGAUAGUUAUCCAUGUGGAAUCUCUUGGCGGGUCUCCAAAGUUUUGUUCUAUAACAAAACAUCCACGUGUUCAUUUAAGUGUCACCACACUUUAGCUUGCGAGAUCAGCUACUUACUUUACAAGUAAGAAAUGUCACACGUAAUGAUCUAUCCAUAAUAACGAUAUCCGUAUCUCGUUAUUACUUACGACCACGGAUGAUUUAAGAUUCAAUCAGAUGUAAUUUAUAUCUCACAAUCACAACUCCUUGAUUAACAAAUUACGAAUAUUUGAAUCUACGGACUCUAUUAUUUAUUUAAUUGCCUAUUAAUUAAAUAAUAGAUCUGUCAUUAAAUUGCAUUAAUUAUAUAUCAAAAGUAUUUAUGUCCAAAGUUGAUUGGACUUAGGGCAUAAUACUUACAGUUUAUUCGAGCAUAGAAUGAAAUAAAUUGUCAUUGAAAAAUUAAGCAUAAUUAAAUUUAUACAUUUCACACAUGGUUAAGACUAGACAAAUAUAGUUGAACGAAUAGAAUGGCUAGAAAGAAUAUGAUUUACACAAGUACCUUAGGACCUAUGAUUGUAGCUAUUUGAGAGUAUGAGUACUUUGUGUCAAAUAUGGCCAUGACAAGUUAAAUGCAAAAUUUAAUACAAGGAAUUGAGAAUGGACCAAGAAAAAUCGGAAGGAAUAUUUAAUUAUUUUCAUUCAACCGAUGUAGUAGAGGUUUGCAAUUCAUUGAGUUUCAUUCAAUCAAUGUAGAAGAGAGAUUGUUGUGUUUAAUAUUUCUAAGACAAAAUUUUGUUUUGUAUAAAGAAAAUUUCGAAACAACAAAAUCAAGUUACAAUCAUCAGUGAUCUGUUAAGAGUUGUAUAGGAUCUUGAUAGACAAUAAGCACAGACUGACCUUCAAAUUGCAUCGAUCAAUGCUAACAACACAACUCAAUUGUUGAACAGUUCCACCGUUAUGAGCCCUCAGUUUCCGAUGGCAAAGUAGACUCACUGGCAACUGAAGAAUGGAUAAUCUUCAACAUCUCUCAUCCAAUGAUGCUCUGAAAGUAUCAUGUAAAGUGUUCACGUUGGUUGAUGUAGUGGGCUAUUGGUUGGAAUUUGGCUCAAGCACUAGAACUAAGGCAUGCAACAAGUUUUGACUAGGAUACAAUUCAAAGAAGUGAUAGAAAAAUACUUUCUACAAGCCCUAAAAGAUCAAAAGGAGGUAGAGUUUCUAAAACUUAACAAGGAAAAGUGAAGCUUGAGGAAUAUGAGAGAAAGUUCGAAUAGCUCUCUAGGCACGCACUGCACCUGGUAGAUACCAAGGCAAAAAGCGAGGAUGUUCGAACUAGGAUUGCAUCCAAAGAUUGGUAGAAUAAUGACCUCCCACCAAUUAACCACAUACAAUUAGGUUUUGCAAACUGCUCAAGCAAUCUCAAAUAAAUUAGAGAUUGACCAAACUUUUCAACAAGAGUUUUGAAGAAAGUGAAAAUGAAAUGGGUCCAACAAAGAGAAAAGGGAUGGACAAAACAAGAAAUUCAACAUAGUAUGGAGUUCAUAACAAGUUGUUACACUCUGUCCUAGUGCAAUAAGAUGCAUAGGAGUGAGUGUAUAUGGGAGUAAUAUGUGUUACCGAUGCGACGAAGCAGGCCAUGUUGCUAAAAACUGUAAAGAAGCCCCCUCGAAGAGAAAUGAUGAGCAAGGCAAGAAAGCGAAAGCUAGAGUUUUUGCCUUAACUCAAGACAAGGCAAUGGAGGAUUUGAACAUGAUGGCAGACAUUUUUUUUAUACGUGGAAUUCCUGCUUAUGUUCUUUUAGGCUAUGGAGCCACUCUUCCAUUCACUUUUGCUGCCUUUAUUAAUAAGUCACUUAUUACAUGUGAAGAAUUCGAUAGUGUUCUAAAAGUUACUAUCUCAUUGGACAAACCUUUGAAUACCAAUAAGAAAACUAAAGCGAUUAAAGGACUGGGUGUUCAAAGUCGUUUAUCUUAUGAGAAGGCUCUAACAGCUAUUUUUGCAAGGAAGAUACACAAAUCGAGAAAUAAAGAAAUUGUAUUAGUUAAGGUCCAAUGGUAGAAUUCUGGAAUAAAAUAGUCUACUUAGGAGAGAGAAGAUAUCAAGGUCAAGUACAUGGAAACCUUCAACUAGUUAAUGUAAUUUCUAGGACGAAUUCAUUUGAAGAAUGAGAGAUUGUAAUGCUCCAAAAUUUUAUAAAAUGAAAUUAUUUGGUGCUAAUGAUUUUGAUCUAGAUUCCCUUUUUAUAAUUUUGGGAAAUUGAACGAUUAAAGUGAAAUAGUAUUAAAUUCAAUUUUAUUUGGGGCAAAUAAUUAAAUAUUGAUGGCGAAGAUAAGUAUAUCAAUACUUGGCUUGUCUUGUAGUUCGUAUUAAAAAACGCGUCGUGGACUCGAGAAGAGUUAAUUCGGAUAAGUUAAGCCCUAGUUAUUGAAGUUUAAAGAAAUUAUCAUCAGCUAAUAAUUAAUUAAGUUGGUUUAUGAUUUAAUUUUUAUCGCAGUCUCGGUUCAAUUGUAGAAUAAAUUGUAUUACUAAUUUGAUAAAUGUUAUUUAAUUAAGUUUAGUUAAUGACUUAUCAAGUUGGAAGCCACGUGUGAGUAGAUUAUUAGAGUAUUUUUUUUUUCCUUUUUUAGAUUGGGAGGAAAACUAAUUCUAAUCCUAAUUUUAUUAGAUUUUCAUUGAUUACUGGUUUAGUUCAAUUAAAAAACUGGAAUCCUACUUUCAAAAAAAAAUCUCAAAUUUUACCUAUUUAUACCCCCCAACAUUGAACCCAAUUUGCAUUACUUAGAUAUUAUUUUCAAAGCAUACAUGCACCCAUUUAUUUACAGAAGCAGAGAGUUUGAGAAAAAGUUUUGGAAUGUGCAAUCAUAUAUUUUUUUUUUCAAAAAUUCGUUUGAUCUAUCCAGGUAAGAUACAUAACAUGUAAGUGGUUUGAUUCCUUAUAACUUUAUUUGUGUAUAUAUAUAUAUAUAUAUAUAUAUAUAUAUAUUAUUAGUGGACCUUCGAAUUCGACCUAAAAAUGCCUUUUUAGUUCUUUAUAACGAAAUGUGAAAUCUUUCCAGAAUUCAAAAUUACUAUGUGAUGAGUGUCACGUUUGAUCACCGAGUUACGUUAAAUGAAAUUUGGUAUGAAGUGUCUAUUUUAUUGUUAUAUAAUUGUUUAUAAAAACUGCAUCUUAUUGGGUAUUGUCAAAUACUCAUGUAACAACCCGGUCUUUAUGCCAAAUCCGUUAACUUAUGUACUGUACAAUUUGUGAGAGCUUGAAUUUAUCUUACCUCUUACGAAUUUCUGUCGAGUCCCCAAAAUUCAAACAUAUGACAAUCACCUUAUGAGAGAUUUUAAUUUGAAUUAUAGUACCAAUUGAGCAAGUUGUUUAAUAAGUACCUGGAUUCAACUUAAAUUUCUCAUAAGGUGGAGGUAUUGGGUUCAAAAUUUGACGAUAGAAAGUCAAGAGGGAUAAGAUGGAUUUAGCUCUCCCAAAGCGAACAGUAUGUAAGUUAAUGAUUUAGAUACAGUGAGAGAUUGAAAAUAAGUUUGGAGGUAUGCAUUCAACAAGAAAAUGAGACAGUUGUCCAUUAAGGGUAAAAAAUAAUCAACCUAAAUGAUUAUAGUGAUUGAAUUGACUAUGAACACACACAUCGAUCGAGUAUUAAAUAAGUAUAAAUUUAUUUUGGUGGCAUUGCUUAUGAGACUUAUUUGAAUUGUCAAACAAUUUCAGUACUUAGGACGAAUACAACAUGCUAUCUAAUACUUUGACGUUUAUGUUUCAUUGCUUAUAUGCUCGCGAUGGAUAAGAGUUUAAGUUUGGGAUAUUUCAUAGGCAUAUUUUAUAAACGUCUUUAGUCUUUUAAACUCAAUUAUGGAUAAUUGAAAGGAUGUCUAUCUAAUUUAGUAAAUAUAUUAAUUUUAGGUAAAAUUUGACAUGAAUACAAUUAAUGCAAGAAAGGCAAUUUUUAACUUAAAUGGAGUUGAUUUGGAGCAAUUAAAGUAAUCGAAUUGCACGUGAUCAAUUAUAAGUAUUAAGAGGCAAUCCUAAGAAACUCAUAAGUUUUGUGAGUAAAGUUUGACAUUUGAAAAGUUUGGGAACUCUAUUGUAAACUUUCAAUACUUUUAACGGAUCAAUUAUGAAAGAGAAAUGAUGAUGAUGAUGAUGAUCAAAGUAUAAAGAUUUAAAGAUGAAGGAUCCAUGAUGAAUAAAGAAUGACUCGAGCAUUACCAAGAGGAAGAUUCAGGGAACAAUUUGAAAGAAAGGCAAACAUUGAUCUUGCAAACGCAAGAUUGAUGGAUGCGAUCGCAAGGCUGCUUAAAUUAAUUCAAACAAGUAAAAAUGAAAUAAUGUACGAUCAAAAUGGUUAAUACCAUCAAUCACAUGGAAUUAACAGACUAGGAUUUUUUUUUUUUUUUUCGAAUUUCAUUUAACCUCAUUUUGGAAAGCAAUUAGGAUAGAAUUUACACCUAAUUCCUGGGGCAAUAUAGACAACCUUUCAUCUGUUGUAAAAAGAAGAGGCUUUUGGGAUACAACAAACAUAUAUCUUACAAAGAAGAAGCCUUACAGAUAGAACAUAGAUAUUUCUCGCAUACUUUGAGUGAACUUUUUAUACAAAACACAUAUUUCAUACAUCUUCACUUGGGUUUGAAGAAGAAGAAGAAGAAGAAGAAGAAGAAGAAGAAGAAGAAGAAGAAGAAGAAGAAGAAGAAGAAUAUAUUCAAGGAGAUUGAUCAAGAACCAUUGAAAGGAUUCAAAAUUGUUUUCCAUCUUUCUUCUACCUUUAAUUUCGGGAAAUGAUGUAAUGAUUCAAUUCAUAUUUUUGUAUUACUAUGAUGCUCAGUUAAAUGUAUAGAUGAUAUGAUAAUGAUAAACCCUAUAUUUUGAUACAUUUAUAUUGAAAUCGAAAAUCCAUGAUUUGAAUUGAUGUCAUUUCAUUGAUUCCUUCUAAAUUGCGUUGGAUUUCACUUGACUGUCUAUGGUUCCAUUGUUUGUGCUCGAGGUAAAAGUUUUGUAUAAAUAUAUCACCAUGCUAUUAAGUAUUUUGAUUUAAGAUCUUUUAUUUCUAAGAGGUGGAAUAGAAUAACCCGGUGACCGAGAGAUAACUAUCGAGUAUUUGGACUAUCCGGACACAAACUUCGGGAAAUGGUUCAUGCGUGUUAAGUUUCAAAUAUUGACAUUUAAAUGUUUGUAUGGUUUUGAACGCUUCUUAUUGUCUUCAUGCUUUUUCAAUUACAAGGCCAUGAAUUGAAUUAAUAUAAUUUCUAUUGUCAUUUGAAAGAAGGAAAAUACAGCACAUGGUAACAAUCAUUGUAAAGUCCUAUAGACUUUUCCUAUGCUUUGUAUGAUCUCAUUGAUGUUCUUGUAAUUGAUUGUAUGAUCUCAUUGAAUAUUUUUUUGAUUGAAUGUAUCUUCAUAUAUUCGCGUCCAAGAUAUGAAUAUUUCAUGUCAUGUAUGAGAUAGAUUUAAUUUUUAUCAGGAGAGGUUAUUGAAUAAAAUAUGAGCACUGAUAUACGAGUCCAAAUAAAUGUUAACCAAUUAUGAGAUUGAUAUUAAGAUGGAAGGAUAUACGAGGAUUUGAUGUCCCGGUGACUUAUUGUUUAAUUGAGCCCCCGGUGGCACAGUAUGCCUUCGAUAUUAAGAUGGAAGGAUAUACGAGGAUUCGAUGUCCCGGUGGCUUAUUGUUAAUUGAGUUUAUACGCGCUUCCCAUUUAGUUAAUUAGAUCAAUUAGUUAAUUUUAGGUAUGAUCGGUAAAUAUAAUCAAUCUCAUCUUAAUUGUGAUAUUCGAUUAAAGUUCUCAUUAAUUGGAAUUUAAUUAAAUACUUAGUACUCGUGGAAUUAAUAUGUGAACCAAGAUCGACUUUAAUGUUUGUUUAUGACAUUGUUCAUAGUGGUAUUUUAGCACAGCAAACACAAUUAUUAGUUUAAUCUUUUGGAGAUAAAACAUCUUAAAAUAUAAGGCUAAUUUAGGGAGCCUUUAAAACAUUUCCUCUCCCUCUCUCUCACACACACGCAUAGGUGACUAUAUGCAAAUCUACAUGGGCUGUACUUGCUGUACAUGCAGUUCGAGCUAGACUGUACAAGCAGCUCAACCCAAUCUAUAAAUACAUUUUUUGCUCACUCUAACAAAAAUUGAUAGGCACCAAGAUUAUUAGACUAAGAAAAAUGAUUAGGAUGGUUGAUAGUACGAUGAUUAAGUCAACUAUUAGUAAAAGCUAUAUGGAGAAUUGUGUGUGGGAGAAAUAAAUAGGGAGAGAUUUGGCUAGAAUUCAAAGAAUGUGUAACUUUUUCUUUACACGUCCAUGAAUAUUUAUAGGGACAGAGUUAUAAUGGAAUUAGGUUAAAAUAUUGCAACCCCUAAUUCUACAUGGUGUGUUGUGAUUGAGCAUAGAGUUUUGAAUGAAGUAUGGUAUGUUUCCUUUGUCGGGUUUACUUCCUUGUAAGGCUAAGUUUCCUUAUAGAGAUUGAUUUUCCAUGAUCUUUUCUAAUUCCUCGGCAUCCUCUCCUUAUUUUAACAGAUUGACAAGGCUAUAAAUUUUAGAAUCGAUAAAAUUGUCUCAUUCCAAGAUUUAUCCCAAUAUUGAUUUUAUCUCCAUGUUUCAUGGAUCCUUUGACAUCAACAAGGUAUGGGUCUCAUCCAAAGGCAAUAGGUCACUAGGCCCAUUAGAGCCACAUCCUCCCAUCUCGACACGAGGGGUUCAAUUCGAAGACUAUCACCACUAUCCAUUACUAUGAAUAUUGUAAGAGCUGAUGGGAUAUUUCAUACGAGGCUUGUGACUUGAUUCUUUUGUGCAGGCGAAGACCAUAGGAAAACAUGUAGCAUGUUGGCUCUUGCUCAUGUGGUGUUCGUAAGUCCUCUUGACUUCCAAGUGUACCCAGGAUGUAACAGUGGUCUCUCAAGUUCAAUUUUGUUAUUUAUACUAGGCUUGUGGCUUAUUAGUUUGCUUGUGUUACGAAAAUUUGAAAGUGAAAGGCUUGUGAUGCAGUUGGGCCUCGUUGCUCUUUGGCUAAGAUUGAAUUUAUGCCCAAAAGAAUUUCACUGGCCUUUGCUUACCAUGAUGGUGGUGUGGCGAAGAUGUCUUGACAAAUGCCUCUUGGCCAAGCUAUAACAUCGAAGUAUAACAACUUCGUUUUGAAUACCGUUGUAGAUUUUCCUAUUCCGAUAUAUAAUGUUCAUUUUGAUAUUUAAACCUCUUGUUAUAGUAAAUUCAUUAUUGUCGUUAUAGUGAAAGAUUUACGCAAUUGUCAAACUCUAUUUCUCGCACAUUUUAUUUAUUUCUAAAUUUACUAUGACAUAUUGAGAUUAAUGACUUUUUUACAAAGAUCGGUAGUCUAAUCUUAAUGACACAAAAGAUAGAAAAGAAAUUUCCUUUUUCUUAAAAUCCACCAAUCCAAUAUAACUAGAUCAACCCUUCAAGUUCGCAUUAUUUGAAAAUAGUGCCACAAAGUUACUUUUUUCAAUUGUACUCGAGGAAAAUAAAAAAUAAUAAAAUAAUGAUAUUUAUUUAUUCAUUUGACUCUUUAAUUGCAUAUGCAAAAUUAAUUAAAGUUAAUCUUGUUUCCCAAGCUUUUGGUAAUUCAUUCUUUCUUCACAAUUGUCAUUGUCUUAGAAUAAUCUUUCCCUACGAACCGUCAAACCAAGCACGUAUUCCCUGAUCUCACGGAUUUCUUCGGGUAACACUUUACAGCCUCAUAUUUAGACUUUUCGUCGGCUAUAUAUUAUUAAUAACUACAGAUUACAUUUACAAUUUUUAAUUAUAAUUAUUAUACGUUUUUUUUCUUCAGAAGGCUGCUAAAAAAUACAUAAUAGUGGGUACAAGUAAUAUAUUGAGGUUUCAAAUGAUUUUAGGCCACCGUCAACGCAGAAUGAACUAAUUCUUAACCAGCAAUUCGAAAUUAAACUGAAUGGAAAUUUUACUUUCGAAAAAUCUUGGUGAAAAUCAAAGAGAAUUAUGUUCAUUUUUCUCUCGUCUCUUGCUCUUUUAAAAUAUUUUGUCAAGAUCGAAUGAUUAUUAUAAAUUGAAAUAUUGUAAGGUCAAUGUAUAAGAAUCUCAAUAAUAUAAACGAUCUUUUUUUUCCCUUAUCUAAUAUAAUACGAUUAUAUAUCCGUGAAAAAUUAUCCAACAAAUUUUUUAUGCGAAAAAAAUAUAAUUUUAUUAAUUGACUUGUUGAAAUGAAUUACGCAUGCAUAUAUCUAUCUUGUGCUUGAAGGAAAAGUCGCGCAUUUGCGUGUAAACUACUUAUUUUGUUAUUAAAAGUACAAUCUAACAUAAACUACGUCAGCAGAAACUUUGAGAAAAAAAAUCAGAAAUAUUUACAACAAAGGCUCCAAAUCUAUAGGAUAGCAACAUGUUGAUCCCCAACCUAGAAAUGAGCAAUAUAAUCCUCAAACUUUCAAAAUAAGUGCAAACCUAGUCCUAACAUAUAGAAAAAAUAAUAAUAAUAUUCAUCUAGAAUCCAGAUAAUCAUCUGUCAUUUUUAGAUAAUUCUAUGCAUGGGACAAUGCAGUAGUAGUUUCACUAUAAAUGAAUAUUUCUAGUCUCUUCAAGAAUACUCUUACUCAUAUGGAAAUAAUGUAUCUUAUUUAGGAUUAACAAUGCGAUAAGUCGAGCUCGUUGACCAAGGGACUACACUUCGCUUGGCCCAUGGGCCUUGCCUAUGAUGAGCCGUGCCAACCUACAAGCUUUUUGAUUUUCUUGGUUCAUUAAUCUAAUUUAUUUAACUUAAAUGUGAGUUAAAAAAAAAAGGAAACUCUAACAUAAUUAAAUAACAAUGCAAGGAAAAUAUGACACAAUCGCAAAGUUCAUGUACCCAAUGCUUUACUUGCAAACGUCGACUCGACUCAUUUACUUGUUGUAGAACAAGACUAGCAGAACAGUUGAGCAGUCGAUUUUCUUUUGGUUAUGGACUUUCCGGUUGUAGGGUGAAGGUAUGACAAGGGAAUUCCAUGCUUUUAAGAAGCUUUGUUCUAAGCCUCGGGAUGAAAUUCGAAUCUCACUCAAAUAGGGCAGGUGAAGGAAAAAGAUCUCUUAUACGACCACGCUCUAAGCUAAGUUUAUCAUUGGAUCACUCUUGAUAUACGAAUUUACUAGAGAUAUCAUCCAAUUCGAUUGAAGUAAGGAAAAUACAAAUAGAAAUAGAAAUCAAAAGAAUUAGAAUUAGUUUUGUGAAAAGUGAAUCCAAACAAUUGUGAACCACUCAUUGCCAACCUAAUCCUGUUUUUAAUUGUUCACGAUAAGACAAAAGGGGGCAGUUAUCAUGCCUCGAUAUGCACCUAUUCAAAAAGGUUGAGGACUAUAGUCCCACUACCGCUAUUUAUACGGAUCCAUUUAUGCAAUUUUCUUGAAAAAAUCAGAAAAUUUGUGAAGUGUCAUCAGUAGCGGCAGGUUUGCCAACAAUAAAUCCUGUCUACCAUUUCUUCUCUCCUCUCUAUAAAUAUAACACCCUACAUAUCUGCUUUCCUUUGUCCAUUAGAAUAUACAGAAACUAAACUCAAUGGAAAUGGAAGUGAUUAUCUCUGUAAACAAAAUGGAUUUUGACUUUAACAGUCCACAUGUCAGUGCACCUUCGACGCCCAAGCGUUUUGGGGAAUUCUAUUGCAGCGCUCCGACAAGUCCGACGCAUUUGGCGCAGUUUUAUCGUGAUUUUGAUGAUUUCUCGAACAGAGCCAGCGGAGUCACAUCGAGGGUGCCGUUUGGUUCCCCUAAGAAUGAAGGUGAUUUUGCUUUUGAUAUUGGUGAGGAGUCAUCGGAAAAGGAGUCUCUUUCGGCGGAGGAACUGUUUGACGGCGGCGUAAUUAAGCACCUAAAGACCCCAUCGCGGCUGCAAGCUUCCACCGGAGCAAGAAUUAAGGGUGAUUACUCACCAAGGCAUAAGAAAGAGGACGACCCUUUUGCAAUCUCUUCUCAAAGCGCCACGGCGGAGCACAGUCACAGAAGAGGAAGAGAGAGAGCUCCUGCAGCAGGUUUAUCUUCAUCAAGCCGAAGAGCAACGCGUUCACUUUCUCCUGCGAGAGAUUCUGAUCAAAAUUCACGGGAUCAAGAAGAGAAAAAACAGCACAAUACAAAGAUUUUGUGCUCAUCUUCAUCCUCAAAAUGUCACAGAAAAUGGAGAUUGAAGGACUUUUUCUUGUUCCGAAGUGCAUCUGAAGGACGAGCAGCAGAUAAAGAUCCUUUAAGGAAAUACACAGCAGGGUUCAGAAAAUCAUAUGAAGAUGCUAAGAAUCCGAAUUUCCGGAGAAUGGAUAGCCAGGAUUCUGGAUCAAAUUCAAGUAGAAGAGGAAAAGUUUCAGCUCAUGAAUUGCAUUACACAACAAAUCGUGCAGUUUCUGAAGAUUUGAAGAAGAAAACCUUCUUGCCAUACAAGCAAGGCAUUCUGGGGCGCCUUUCAUUUAAUCCUGCCGCCCAUGCACUGGCUAAUGGUUUCGGGUUUUCUCGUAAAUGAAUAUUCGUCCGGUACAGUUGAGGACGGCAUUGUGAGAAGGAAUAAUUCUCUGCUAAUUAUAAUCUUUUUUUAUUUUUUUUUAAUGUUUUGGAUAGGUAUUUUUUUUCAGAUUUUGGUCAUGAGAUGUAUAAAAAUAAAAUUUACACAUUGAAGCAUCAUAUCUUAUUGUGGAAUUAUUUAUCAAUGUACUAAAUUUUAUUGAUCCUAAAAAAUUUAGGGUCUACUAGAUAAAAUCUUGUUUCAUUACUUCUUUUAGCUAAUUGCUAUGUAGCUGUUCAAAAACAACUAUUCAACGGAAUAUAUUCUACGUUAUGGAUGAUUUCUAUUCUUUGUUUGAUGAAAGACGGAAAAAGACAUCGAUCAUAGAAGGUGACAAUUCAAAAGUUUGAGACAAGCAAUUCGAGACGACUCUUCUUUCUGAACAACGUCUGAGUUAUGGGGAUAUUUAUUGAUAUUUUAAUAUUUAAAACCUUUAAGAAACGUAUUACGAAUUCCGGAAAAUAAACCCAUGGACAAAAAUGAAGAGAGAGAGAGAGAGAGACUAGCGUGCAUUGUGGACUAUCAAUUUCUUUAAUCUAGAAGACAAUUUUUAGGGCGGUCCAUUUGUCGCAUUUUACUCUUUGGUGAAAUCAGAAAUGAAAUGGAAUAUAAACAACAAUUCAUGCAUGAUAUAAAGUUCGACAUUUUUCUAUGUGGCAGUAAGAUAUACCUUGAUUUUAAACAUAUCCAUCCCAUUGCUAGCCAAAUUUUCUCCAUUGACAGGAUAUCAUGUAGGAAAAUUUGUUACCUUUUUAAUCACAAGAUCUUUCGUGUUGAAUAAUCAAGAAUAUAUAAACUACUAUAAAACCUGAAUUAGAAAUGAUUAAUACAAUAGUUGAAUCUUGCGGUUUAUUCUUCCAAAUCAACACACAGACCUUAAUUCUUUAUAAUGAUGGGAGGCAGAACAGAAUGAGCAAUUCACAUGUGAUUUGAAAACCAUAACUGUAUUUAUAUAUAUUGUCGCCAUUUGACCUAAUUCGACCUAUCAUAGAAUUAGGAACCUGACUCAGUUUUUACCCAUAAAAUAUCCACCCUUUAAUUGGAUGUAUUAAAAUUCAAAAUACUGGAAACUUAUUAGAUCACUUUAACUAGGCUUAACCAAAUUUUAUAGCCUUUAAUUUGAUGCACAAUAAUUUACAUAUAUAAACCCACACGGUCAUUUAAAAUUCCUUACAUAUCAAACUUGUUUUCAACCAAAAAUAUACAUCUAAUUUUAUUUUAUAAAUACGAAAAGAACUAGAGAAUUGAAAUGAAACAUAAGCUAUUGUUUGACAAACAUUAUUUAAAAACUUCUUUUUUUUUUUGUACAUAUUCAUUUUUAAUUACACAUUUACAUUAUAAAAUAUUAUGCAUGUAAACUCAAUAUUUUUUCAUACUUUCUAACUGCACAUUCUCCUAAAAAUUAUUUUUUUCCAAAUGAUGAUUGUCAAAUAGAAGACUAAUUAAAUUGUUCCUUGUACAUGACCAAAAUGGAAUUAUAACUUGCUUUUUGUAUAAAUAAACCAUCAACUUUAUUUUUGAAUUGGAAAUGUUAAAUACCUAUGUUGAUGUAAUUUCCACUUCUUUACUCUUCUUUUUUUCUUUCUUUCUUUUCCCCUUUUUCAAAAAAAUAAUUUGGUUGCCCAAUUCUUUGUGCAGAACUGUUUCUCCUACUUAUAAAUUUGAUACACUUAUUUAUUAAAUAAUCGUGACAUUUAAUUUAAGUAAAUUCAACGCUCAAUAUUUUAUGGAUCUCAAACAGUUAUAACAAACUCUCCCAUGAUUUUAGUGAAAUACAUAUUAAGUGUUGGAUUGAUUUAUAUUAAAGGUCAUGAUUAUUUGUUAAAUAAGUGUGUCAAAUUUAUGACUAUUAGGAAUUUGGAAUGUUCUCGUUCUUUGUGCUCUCUUUGUCCGUGUAAUUUGCAACCCAUGUAUCAUAAAUAAUUCUCAUAUACGAAUCAUAAUUGAUUGCCUAUUUGCGUUAUAUGUCCCCUAAUUACUAGCAUUCGUUUUCUUUCUUAAUUUAUAUAAAGAUUCAUUUCCCUAAUAAAUCAAUAAAAAAAAUGAAAUCUUUUACAUUAUUGCAUCAUUUCAUCGCUAAACAGUAGUUCCUUUUCCUUUUCCUAAUAGGACUUUUCUAUUUCACAUAUUUGGGUCGAAUCCAACAAUUUCCAGUUGAUCCAAAACCUCCCAAUCACAGCAUACAUUGACAUUGAUUAUACCACCAAUUUACCACUGUUCUUCAAAUAAUUGUAGUAGACGAGAAAAUUCAUCAAACUGUUAUAAAUUAGAGAAAAAAGAGAAAAAAAAGUAGAAGUUAAUUGACUUGUGUAUUUUAUUAAGAACCAAAAUCACAUAUAUCUAGAGAGAAUAAUUAGGAACACAAUGGUAAUAAAAACUAGGGCUACAAGGGUCUAAUUUUCAUCCACUAAUAAUCAUAUUAUUUAUAACACCCCCUUUCAUUGUUACAUUACAAAAUAUUUGCAUCGUCAAAACAUUGUCAAAAAAAUCUAGUGGGACAAAAUUUGAUCGAAGGAAAAAGAGUACAAUUACUCCCAUUGAUUUCAAUUCUUGUAUCAAUUCAUUAUUGUCUUAUAAAUCAGUAUUUUUAAAAUUGCAAAUUUUGGUUAAAUAUAUCUCAUGUUGUCUUGUAGGUAUUCAAACAAUAUCGUCUACGUACAAGAUAUUUAUAAAAAUUUUGUGACCAUAGUAACAUGAUGAUUGAAAAAUAGAUUUUGUUGAUCUUUUUGCGAGUUUCAUACAUAUAAAAGCAUUAUUUUGAGGGUAAAUGUCUUUAUACGUAAUUGGAUAUUCAUUAAAUAAAAAAUAUGCCUCAUUAAAACCUUAUUCGAAAAAAUCUGUAGAAAAAUCCUAAUUAAGGAAAAGAGUACAUUAUUCUUUUGAAUAGGGAUAAAAGUUGUCUCAUUAAAAAUCUUAUGAGGAAAAUCCAAUGGGACAAAACUUUAUUAAAGGGAAAAAGAGUAUAGCGUGUAUUUACUCCUCCCUCAUAAUAAUAUCUCUUAAAUUAUGUAUCAGGCACAUUAAAUCUGUCAGUGAUAAUAUUAAUAGUCAUGCCAUAUGAAUUGAUUGUAACCGUAUUUCAAGUUUCACGCAUUGUUAUGAUAACAAGAUACAAACAAUGAUUUCAUCCACCACGAAAUUCAGUAUGUUAAGAGUCGUUCAUUCAUAUUGCGACAUUAUUUUUCUAAUUUCUUUUUCACACAAGUGUACACAUUUUGAUUUUUGGGCUGCAAGUCCAGAAACUCCAAAUUUCCUAAUAAAUUCGAAUUUAAUAAGAUUGUGUCCUUUUAUUUGGCCAAUUAUAUUUUCGAUCGAUAUGCGUCAACGAAUUUAUUUCGAUAUCCUCGAAUUCAUAAAUAAGUUGAAAUAUCUCUCGAUUGAGUUUUAACUAUUGGUAAGGCGUAGAGAUAUCAACGAGCCGAGCCAGCUUGUGAAUCGAAACUCCUGACUCGGACUCGGCUUGGCUUUUUUAAGACGGACUUUUUUCGGCCCUAGCCGAGCAAAAGCUUGGUCAAAAAAUUAAGGCUCGACAUGCGCUUUCAGCUCAGGCCUUAUCGAGCGAGCUUGAUUUUUCUUUUUUCUUUUUUUUCCUCUCUCCCUCUUAGCUGCCUAUUUGGCAGCUAUUUGCUACCUCAAUUGACAAUAAAUUGAGUUUCUUUCUCUUUUUUUAAUAACGGACCGAAUCGACUAGAGCCGACUCUCUGAAAUAGGGCUCGGUUUGGGCCUUAGCUCGAUGCCUCCGAGCCAUGGGUGACCCAAGGCUCGAUGCCUUCGAGCUACGGGAGACCCUAGCCGAUGAGCUUGAUUGUCAUUCUUAAUAAGACGGUCAUAUUUCUUUUAACUAAACUAGAACUUGAUUUAGUGGCUCUAUCCAAUAGGUGUGCAACAAUUUUUUCUCUUCGAUUCUUUUUUUCGUAGUGACAUAAAUUAUUGAAAUAUCUCAAUUUUCAACAUAUCAAGAACCUGAAGGUCUUCUGGAGUUUUAUGAUUUGUUAUGUCUAAAUAUUCGUCAAGAGAAUGGAGCCAUCUUUGUUAAUUUCUCCAUUUUUGUUUGAAAAUUUUUAUAUUAGAAUCAAAUAUCAUAACAUUUCAAGCAUGCCAUAAAUUCAAAUAUAAUAUUACCAAGACAUUAAUUCGAGUUAGAGCAUUCAAAGUUCGUAUAUGAGAUAUUGUUGAUCUCUUUGGUCAGUAAAUGCAUUUAAAUAUCUUUCGAACUUUUGAUUCCAAUUAUUUUUGUGAGAAUUUAAAUAAUGAUGCAUUUGUACAUUAUUUUAGUUUCUUAAUUCUUCUUCCUCAUACUGAGAAAAUUGUCUAUUCAAAUUGAUAAUUGCAAACCAUAUUAUAAAAUAUCAUCAGUCUGAAAUAAAAAGUUCGAACAACUCAUUUAUUCUCUAAAUUAUUUACUUUCCAUGUCAAUGCAUUGUGGUGGAUCAAUUUUACAUAUACUACAUUAUCAAAAUUAUUUGAUGAAAAAAUUAGGCUCGGACCAUAUGCCUAGUUAUAGUAGGGAUAACUAUGAUGAUAUGACACGUAAUAGCCUUUCCUAAAUAGAAAUGGAAAGUACUUCGUUUUCAAUUAAAUUAAUUGGAGGUGUAUAACAAUCAAUAAUGUUGAAUCAUUUAUCAACAUUUCAUCUAGUACAUAUUAAAAUGUUGAGAUUUACAAUUACUAGAUUAAGAGGUUACACCGUCUUAACUGUAUAAUCUGAAAAUUCUACUCAUAAUUUAAAAUUUGAGAAGUAAUUUCGCAAACUAUAAGUUAUAAACAUCAUGCAACCAUCGAGCAUACAUGUUAAAUCUAUUAGAUACAAAUAAUAUUUAGAUGGUCUACGUCGAGGAUAAUGAAGCCCCAUUUAUCACCCUGAUUAAUUUUCAGAAAUAUAAUGAAUUCGAUCCCUAUUUUUAACUAGCGAUGAUCAAUUUUCGAUAAAAAAAACAAAUAACGUAUAGGAAUUUAUUGGAUUGAAGAUUCAGGUUCUUUGUUGAAUGUCCAUUUAAAUUUUUUAUUUCAUAUCAUUAUUGAUCCAAUAUGAUCCAACUGGUCAUGCCGAACAAUAAUACAUUCAUUAAUUAAAAUUUUGAGUUAAUAUAUUAUUCGUUCUAAUUAUACUACACAUUUUAGAAACUUAUCACAUUUCACUUUAAUUUAGAGGGGAAUAAAUUAUUAUCAAUAGUAAAAUUUAUUCUCUCACAUAACGCAAUACUAACCCUUCUAUAGUAUCAAAACAUAUUCUUCUAAAAUAUUGCUAUAUACUUGGUUAUGAUUACUCGCAAGUAAUAAAACAAUAUUUUUCAGGAAUAUUGAUAUAUUAAAUUAAUCAUAAUAUUUUUCUAAAAAUAUUAAUAUGCAUAUAUUUGUGCUUCUUCACAAACACAAUAUGGUAUUCUUCAAAAGAAUAUUAAUAUAUAUUAUUUUUGCUUCUUCUGAAGCAAUAUAUCAAUAUUUUUCUGAAAUAUUGAAAUUUUAAUGACAUGGUCUUCAGGAGCAAAUAAUUCUAUCUAGAACAUUCACAUAAGGUAUGUGUUAUGAUUUUCCUAGAAUAUCAACACCAUAUUUCUUUAGUAUAAAUGUAAUUUCUAGUUGUGCUUCUUCAAGAGCACAAGAUAAAUCAAAAUAUUUAAUUAAUCUAAUAAUUCACAAGUAUAAUAUAUAGCAGUAUAGAAAGACUUUUAAAUAAUUUUCAUCCUUGAAUUUGAAAACUUUAGAAAGCGUUAAAUAGUUGAAAAUUUUAUAUUCUUCAAAGAUAUAAAUUUGAAUUUUUUUAUAAAACUUAAAAUUUGCUACUGUCCCACAAAUAAGCCGUUAGAUUUUGAUAAGAAUAGAUUGAUUUAAAAUACAAUGAGCUAUAAACAUCUUGUCCAAAUUUCAUUACGAUCAAACCACGAAUGUUGAGUUAUCAACGUUUUUAUCACAGUUGCUCAGACUGUCCAAAUUCUACAAAUUUUUGCACUGUUGAUUCCAAUAUAAUAAUACAAUCAUUCAAUAUUAUAUAGAAUCACUAUAGGGUCAAUGAACUUUGAGUUUGUGACAUUAUUUGACUCAAUCAUUUUCACUAAUGUACGUAUAGUAGAUGCGAGAAUAGAAUGUCAAAAGUUUUUCUUUUGUUUACUUCGGGUCAAAUAUAAAAAAAGUUAUGUAUAGAUAUUCUAUAUUUUUUCUUGCACAUUCUCCAUGUGAUAUUCAUUGCAUUGACUAUCUUUAAAACUAAUCAAUUUUUUAUUUUAAUUUUUUUUUAAAUUUGCUUGCAUAAAGUGUAUUAUUAAUAUAUAAUUUUGUAUUAUUAGAUAAAAUAAAACAGGUUCUUCGGACCCUUCAAUGAUAUUUGAUGCAUCUAAUAUUGUAUCAAUAUUAUUUUUUGUUAAUGUUAAUUAUAAGUACUUUUUAUUUUAAAGAAUUUUUUGCAUAGUUACACUAUCUUCUAAACAGAUAUCUUAAUAAUCCAUCUUAAUCUUUUUAACAUUCCAAGAUUUAUACUUUUUCAAAAAGAAAUAAUAGAAUAUUCUCUGAGAAUAUUCAAAAACUAAAUAUUAUGCUUUUUCGGAGCAAUAAACUAAUAUCUUCUUGAAUAUUAAUAAAAUAAAAUAAAAUAAAAUACUUUUUUUUUAAUUACAACACAAUAUUGAGUAAUUUAAUUUAUGUUUCCUAGGGAGCACAAUGAAAUAUAUAUUCUUCUAGAACCGUGCCACUUCGAUAACACAUUAUAUUUUAUUACUAUUUCUUCAAAAGUAAUAUAUCAAUAUUCUUGUGGAAUAUUGAAAACUAUAAUUUAAUGCUCUUCAGGAGCAAUAACAUAUUAUUGUUUAGAACAAUAAAUUAUGUAAGAAUUUACUCUUUAAGAUUACAAAAAUAAUUUAUGUUAGAUCUAUUUUAUUAUUCUCUUUGAGAGCAAGUAAAAUUUAAUUAGAAUACUAACGAUUGUGAACCAAUGCUACAAGUCUUUGUAUAAGCUUUUGAGAUCAAGGUUGACAAAGCUGAAGAGCAGUAGCAUUCCACUGACCUGCAUCACCAAAUAAUGCCUUUACAGGCAUGGAAACGUGUCUACUUUAGGAGCAACAAUAUGAUACGGUUUAAAUUUAUUGAAAAAAUAAAAAAAAUUAAUCAAUUUAUAGUAGAAUAAUUUUUUUUUGAACAAAAGUAUAAAAUUCACAAAUUAAAUAUAUUAGACAAUUGCAUAAAAAUAUGCUAUUAUAUUAAUCUAAUCAUGCAAAUUAUAUUAAUGUAAUCAUGCUACUAAAUUGGGAGAACAUUCAAACGGCACGGAGAUGGAUGUGUGCCUUCAUUAAUUACAUAUUAUAAUAAUCAAAUUGUUUGUUAUAAUAAGAGUUUUGCUAUAUGGACAGGGCCACAUAGGCGCAGACAACUGACCAAUAAGAGGAUGCCACAUCGCCGCCAUUUGGAUAAGGCCUACGUGGCCUUGUCCAAGAAGAAUUAUUCAUUAUAAUAAUUCUCUCAUUUUUCUCCUCUAGACAAUUUCUAGUCAGAUUUUUGUUCAAGAUUUGUCAGUGCAAAUUCAAUGAUUGCCAUUGCAAAUUGAUUACAAGGCACCCUCUUUCGCUAGCACUGAAUGGAAUCAAUUGGAAAUAUAUUCCUCUGAAGUCUAUAGAGGAAUUCAAGAAUCACUCGAGCUAAAAUUAGAGACCAAAAGCAAGUUGAGCUUUAAAUUAAAAAAAUUUGUGCUGAUAACAUGUUAUAAAAAUAGAGAAAAGAAUAGGACAAUGAAGAAGUCAAUAGAAUUGUAUAUUAUUAUUAAAAACCAAAGUCUUAUAUUUAUAUUGAAGAAUUAGGGAUAAAAUCAUAAUAAAAAUUAGGAUUGUAUGGAUUUAAUUUUCAUUUACUCAUAAUCAUAUUAUUUACAAUACAAACUUGUUUUCGUAAUUUGCUUCUUCAAUCUAUAAUCUUCAAUUUUCAUUUUUAGUGUCACAUAACUCAUAUUGGCGACUUCGCAAUCUUUUGCAAUAGCAGAAGGCUUUCCUUGAAGCGACUCUAAUGUGACAACUCCAAACUUUCUAUGAGUAGCGUAUACAAAUUACCAACCUUUUUACCUCAUUAAUGCGAUAUAAUUAAUCUUCACAUCAAUUCUCCCAAUGCAUGCUGAAUAUUUAUAUGUCAACGUGUCCAGUGCUCCCAACAGUGUCAAACUUUUUCUCAAUCUUGAGACCUAUUAAUAACCGCUCUGCUACAUCAAAAAUCUUCACACUUAAAAUACUUGAACCUUUAACUUCAAGUUUAUGAUUAUUAGUCAUGACGACAUCAUGAGCAUCUAAUAGCUUAUAAUCCUCAAAGCAGUCCUUGUGUGGGCAUAUAUGAUUACACAUCCAAAAUCCAAGAGUUACUUGAAGAGUCGUAAUUUGUGACACAAUAAUCACUAUCAAUAUCAUCAUCAACCAUGAUCGUAGAAUCAGAGGCCUCUUUAGACUCUAGACUCUUCUUUACUUUAAGAUGAUAUGUCAACUUCUCACAUUUUGCCUUAAUGUGUCCUUUCUUGUGGCGGUAUUAACACUUGGCAUUUCUCCUAUAAUGACAUUGAGAAUGAUCCCUCCGGACAUUAUUUCUUCCUCGCGAUUUACCACACCUCAUUUCAGACUUUGUCUAGAGUACUUGAUUUAAAACCUUCUUCACUAUCGAAGUAGAUUUACCAACUAGUAACGUGGUGACCAAUGUCUCAUCUGACUUAGGUAAGGAAGACAGCAAAAUUAUUAUCUUAUCUUUUUCCUCAAUUUUUGACAUCAAUAUUAAACAACUCAGUUCACACUUAUUCAAAUGAUUCCUAAGAUCAGUGUCCUCAUCUAUCUUCAAAUCAUAUAAUUAUUUUCUCAGAUAUAAACAUAAAUUAAAACAUAUCAGGAUCUUUUAGCAUUUUGAAUAACUUAAAAUGCAAAUUUCUUAUUCAAAACACUAUAAUUUACCUAAGCAAUCAUGCUACGUGGUCAAAGUUAAUGACUAAAAAGUAUUUCCAAAUUACACUUGACAAUUUUUCAUUGAAUAAAGGGUAAAAAAACAUCAUAAAAAUACUCAAUUAUUAGCUGCCACAUCAGUCUAUUUUUUUAUUCCCUAUUUGUUCAGCAUUAUUCUUACCUAAGUACAAGCCAAUCUAAUGGUGUUGACUGUCUCCAGUUUCAAUUCUUCCAACUCCGCUUCUUCAUGCCUUGUGACAUCUUACCUUACAAAUCUUUGUAAAGUCCCUAUUGCAAGAGAAUAACUUCAACUGUACUUCACAAAAUAUUUAAAUUAUUUUUCUCGCCAAAUCGUUUACCCUCAAACUUUGCACAUGCCAUCAUCUUCGAGGCAGUAUCCCGAGUUUGAAUUUUGAGCUCCGAAACCAGUAGACUUCGCAGGAUGAAAUUGGCAGAAAAUGAACAAGAACCAAUGAGAGGUUGAUUAGGGACGAGAAAAACGAAUUGCAGAGAACGAGUCACAUGAACCACCAAAAUCAAACCAAUAAAAUGAAAUAGAGAUAUCAAAUUAAACACAAAUAAAUAUGUAAUCGUUAAAUUCAAUUUUACCACGUCAAUCUGCAGAAAUUUUCGGUGCUCGCAGGCGACAGAGAUAGGUGGAAGAAAGGGAUUCUAUGGGGGCUCAAGAGAGAGACUGUAGAAGUGAUUGCUUUUCUCUCUGUGCUAUUUUAUUAGAGAGAUAUUUAUGAAAAGGAGUUAACCAGUUAGUGAAUAGUGAAUAGUGAAUAGUGAAUAGUGAAUAGUGAAUAUCCGGUUAGUGUAUGAAAUGGGACACCAUAGAAAUGAACAGUGAAGGCUGGUUCCCUCUUUUAUAUAAGUGCAAUGAUUUUAGCAAGUUUUAAAACUUCAAGUCAUAAUAUUUUGGGUUCUAUGGAUAUAUUCACAUUAUACUUUUAGAAAUUGUGUUUCAUUAGGCCAAAAUUAUGUACUGAAUAGUACAUAAGAGAAAUAAAGAAAAAAAAUUACUAGAUUUUUGUGUCACACAGAAAUUUCUCAAUGUCACCCUCUAGGGUAUGCAUUUUGAGAGAGAUGUAAAAUUCAAUCGAACAAAUAUUAAUUUCAAAAAACUGUGAGGCCAUAUGGCUAACACUUGUAGAGAUUGUUAGUUUAAUGUCCCUUUUUUCAGUAGUAUUUUGAAAAACGACAUUCUGAAUUGACAUGCUACAAUUUGAAAUGAUUAUCUAAGGUUCCAUGAACAUAUAGAACGUCACAAAUUAUAUACUCAAUAGUUUAGGUAUAGUAAGAUGCAAUUCAAGAUGUGAUCAAAAUAUGUCGUUUACAAUCUCAGUACAUGAAGUUGGACACUUUAUGUUUAUAAAAUUACAUUGUUCUUAUUAAGAUUUGUCUAUAUUUGGCAAUAAGAACAAUAAUGUGUUUUGUGAUGCACAUUAAACGGGAACCGCAUAGAUAACUCAUUUGUGAUCGUUCGAAAUGAGACUCUAUCAAACAAUUCAACUAAAUCCUGAGUGAGUAAUAUACUUUUGAUUGCUAGUUCAAAUUUUUUGAAGUAACAAUGAGUGAAAUCUUAAUUAGAAGAUUGAUCUUGGUGCUUUGGGAAUCAGGUCGAAACAAUUAGAGAUCAUAUACUUGUGAUAGUGAAAUCCAUUAAUCAUUAAGAUGAGACGAUCAUCACUCUAAGGUAUUUUAGAUAGACAAUUGAACCUGUGCUCAGUAGCUUGAUGAUGAGAUCGUUGGACUCUAUAUUGUUAUUUGAUCACAACUAAUUCAUCUUAUGAAAAUGGAACUUAGAGGGUAAUAAUGUUCAAGGACAAAACGGUUAUUUUAUCAUUUUCAACUUAUUAAUGGUCCAAUGGGGGUUGACUUGUGGAACAAUAAUCGGAGCAUAUUUUCAUCGAAUCAUAAUUUACUUCUAUAACUAUCACUCGACUCGACAAUGGAAUCUCGAUUUUUGGUACAAUGAGCCGAGAUUAAUAGAUGUAUCUCAAUUGGUUAAGAGUUGACCCAAUUAGAAACUUCUAUUGUAGCUUAAGUCUUGUUGGUCUGAUUAGGUCCCUUUCUUGACUACAAUAAAUGUGUGACUUAAUUGGUCUACUACAAUUAAGUCCAAGAAAAUUUGUGCAAUUAUAAAAUCCUAAUUGAGUAUUAUAAAUAUGUCCUUUAUGGACACAUUUUCACUUAGUUUUUAGGGUAAGCCAUAUUUUUAUUUCCCAAAGAGGGAGGCACCUAAAGAACACAAGGGAUAAGAUAUAAGGGAAAAAGCACUUGGCUAGGCCACUAAAAUCUCCUUCAAGGUUAUCAUUUUCCUUUUAUGUGGAAGAAUUUAAGACAUCCAAUGAUCUCAAGGUGAUCGUAGAUCUUUUAUUUAUUUACAUUUAAUCUUCAAAGGGAAAUUAAUUUCCUAUUUUGAUGAUUAAAUUCAAUAACCAACAAAUGGAAUCAAAGCCAAGGUUACUAAGAGCCUUGAGUAGGAUUAAGUGCUUCGAAUCCUAGUAUAAAAUGCAUUUUUAGUAUGGGCGGUGUUAGGUUAUUUAAUUUGACAUGUUUACUACUUUAUAUGCUUAAAGUAGAUGUUUAUACAUAAUCACUUUUGGCCCUGGGAUUUUUUUUUACUUCCCAUUCUAAUUCAUUCCAUUUGUCUUUCUUUUCUCUAGAAAAAUUGUAAGCCAUGCGUCAUUAGGGUUUUGUACAUAUUUUUCAUACUUCUACACUUGUGUAUUAAAAGAAGAUGAAGUUUUUUGGGCUUCAUGCAUUUUUCGUUUCUGAUUCUUGUUAGAGAAAUGGAAGGAGAUAGAAAUAGGACAAACAAAAUGCAAAAACCAUUGUAGAAUUACAAGUGGCGGCAAUAACAACUAUCGCGACCGGAGUGGCUACAGUCGCUGCGUCCAAAUGCAACAGUUGCUCCAAGUUGUGAUAGCUGCUUCUGUUGCCUGUCAUGACAACCAUAGCUACUGCAAAUGUAGCAGCGGCGCUUGCUAUUACUGUUUGCAGUCGCCAUUGCCACUCGACGGCUGCAGCUAUGGUGGCCUCUUUUGGUGUUGCUACUGUCGAUGUCAUUGUAGGAGAUGGAUGGUGGAUGUGAUACAUGGCGAAUUUUCCAGGAUUUGUGAAAUUAGGUUAUUUUUGAGUUUUUGUGCUUUUCUUUAUGACUUGGGCAAAUAUUUUUGGCUAAGGGCUUUUGAUUUAAGGAUUGCGAAAAAAUUAAAUGGACUCAAUUUUUGAAUAUUGAAUGGGUUAGAUUACAAGGAAAUUGAAGAAUUGGGGCGAAAAUUGCUUUAUGGAUGAUGAAUGAAUGUAUGAUUAUCACAUGUCAUGUAGAUUAAAUUGAACACCACCCAAUGCACUAAACAUAUGCAUUGGUAUUGGAUUUUUUUUAUCACUCUAAAUUAAUUAGAUGUGGUUAAAAAAUUAUAUUUAACAAUUUAGUGCCAUUAUAAUUGUUUAUAUUUGGCACAUUAAUUAUAAAAUCAAAAUCCAAUGGUUCAAAAUAAUAAGUGGGGGAAGGUUUAUAGCGUGUAUAAACUUGCGGCCUCCUCCUUCAUCCAAUUUAUUAUUAAAAUACGUAUGUCUGGUGUCAAAUUACAUCGGUCUCCCUAAAGGAAGACUACGUUAUUCUAAAUUAACUGAAAUUGAAUCUUAUAAUAGAAAGUUUUAAAAAUUGGAUAAUCGGCUGAUUAUCCUAUAGAUAACAUCUCAUAUAUUUUGGAUAAUUUAAAAAUUAUUUGCAGAGGUUAUUACACUUAUAUAUGACUUUAUUUUUGGAGGACUUCCAGUAGAAGGUUCCAACAAAAUAUUUAUAAGUCAAAUGAUAAUAAAUCCUCAUUUUUAUUGUGGCACGAGAUGCCUAACUCCAUCAAAUGAGUGGGAGUGUUCCAACUUUGUGAUGAGGACAAAUCAAAAAUCUAAUUAGUGAAUAAAUCAACGCUACAAUCUUCCCGUAUAAAGUGGCAACUCUAAUUUAUUGGUUGUGAACAAAAUAUUUGUAAUCAAAAUAUAAGUUAUGUCACACUACACUUCUCAGUACAAGUACCCAACUUAUAUUGUCACAGGUAAUUAUAAUUACUUUAAUUCAUAUGCUCACAUACUCAAUAAUAAAUAAAUACAUUAAAUGGAUAAAAUCACAAUUUGUUUAUUAUAAAUUAUUAUUUAUUAUAACAAAAUAUACUAUAUGGACACACAACCCCACAGUCUCCACUUCCUACGUACUUUGUUUAUAUUUUUUAUUAUUUUAACCCCAAACCUUAGAUCUCUCUCUUUUAUUUGCACACGCAAACACAUAUUGAAAGCACAGGUCAGCAGCUACAGAAACUACCUAAGAGCCACUAACUUAGGUUGUACACGCCGCAAGAAGAUAAGUAGAAGAAGCCGAAACAAAGAGAACCAAUGCUAAAAGGAACUCAUAAAUAAGGAAUGGGUGGAGAAGACACGACUUCCAAAUAAAAGAGACGAGAUUGGGAGUAUCCCUAUGCUGCAGGCCAGUGGCGGCAUCACGAAAUUGAUACCCAUCAAUGUCGACAGCUCGGGGUUGCUCCAUCGAGGUGCUAAGAGAUUUGGGGAUUUAGAAAUUCCAAAAUGUCUAUCCAGUGUUUAUUGGGUUGAUUACAAGAGGAAUGGAUCUGGUUAUUAUCAAAAAAUGAUUUUUAAUAUGAGAUCAUAAGAAAUUAAAAAAGCGAUUCAAUAAGAGAGGGCAAACGACUAAUGAAUUCAAUGUAGUGAAGUAGUUCUUUUAUUCAAUGUCUCAAGAUGGGUUUCAAUGCCCAAUAACGUUAAAUUAAUUUUUCUUCCAAUUAACUAAGGUUAUUGAGGCUGAGUUUGAGGCGGGGACUUUAUUUCUCAUCCCCUACUCGUGAUAAGGACUUUUUUUCCAACUGUGCUAUGUGUACAAUCGGGAUUGACAAACCCAUUUGACAAUUGGACACUUAGGAGGGGGGCUCACACUGAAUAGAAAAAUCGUGAGCCCCCCUCCUAUGAGUGCAUUGUCAACAUGGAUUGUACAAGAAGAAUAAUUUCUUUUUUCCUAACCCCCACCCCAAUUCAUUGAUUAAUCUAGAAUCCCCCGCUAGUUUGGGCAGGCCAUAUGGGGGACUAGAACAAUUGAGGAUAAUUGCUCCCCCGAAUAUCAUUUUUGAAUGUGUAAUGGUUCGUGCGACUCACAAAGACACUAUACAAAUGUUAUAUAUAUACGUAAUAUAUAUUAUAUUGCACACCCAUGAUAUAUAUUUUGUACGCUCACACGAUCUGUGAUUUGAAAUCGAUCUAGCAAAUUUAUUCAUAAUUUGAUUAAUCUCUCGAAAUAAGUUGGUCGUAUUUUACGUUUAUUGUGGUUAAUGUUUAUGCAUAUAAUAUUUCUACGGAUGUGUUUUAUUUUUUGGUCCAUAUUACGUAUGAUUUAUUUAGAAUUGACAGGAGUUUAAUAGCGUUACGUACGAGAAUUUAACAUCAUCUAAGUUCGGUUUAAUUUUCAAGUCUCUCUCUAUAAUUAUGAUUUUUUUUUGGGUAUAAAAAUACAUAUAUAAAUUCAUUAUUCAAGCACAUUUAUUGAUAUUUAUUCUCAUCCCUUUAUAUCUUUUCUUCUAGAUGAUUGAUGAUUCGAGGCGGUUGGCACGAAUAUGGCUUAUGGUGGCAAAAGUUCCGAUAAUAGAUUAUUUUGUUAUCUUUAAAAUAUUUCUUUUUUCAAGUUAAAUUAUCAAAAUCACUGGAUCAUUUGAAUUAUUAUAUAUGUUUAAUAAUUUAUAUAAUAGUGUUGAAUAUUCCUUAAAUUAUUUUAAUUUAGGAGUUAGUGGCACUCGAGUCGUUAAGGAUUCAGGUUGUCAUAGUUGUCCAAUUAGUAUCAGGAUUAAUUUAAGUCUCUCUUAUGGUAAAGAUCAUGAGUUCGAAUUCUUGGGACGCAAUAGAAAUCUAUUAGAGAUAGGAUGAAUUUAGGUUCUUCCAGAACGAACAAUACAUAAAUUAACGACUUUGGCAUAAAGAUCAGAUCGUCACAUAAUAUUGGGAUCCGAAACCACAUUAAUUGAAAGAUUAUCGAGAACAACCCUAAAUUUUCUCAUAUUGAACAAAAAUCCAUGUGUCCAUGUAUAAACAAAACAAUUGCAAAAGAACAAUUAAGAAAAUAUAAAGAAUAUUGCAAAAUCAUCUAAGGGUCACUACCUCCAAGUACCUUGGCCACCAGUGACUGGGUUUGGAGUAUAUUUUCCUUUUAUGCUUUCUGAUAAGUGUGUUUUUGCACACUUAUUGGGCACUUAAUUUGAUAUAAUUAUUGACGAAAAGAAUAGAAUUCUACUCAUAGUUAAGUAAUAUUCACUUUUGUAGGUAAAAAUCACCUAAAGAAAAGAGAACAAGGCAAAAGGAAGAAAAAUGAGGAAAAAGGACUAAAAUUGUACAAAAUUGUGAAGUUGGAGGCCAAGGAAAACAAGUCAAAAAGUGGAGGAUUUGAGAUGCAAUUUAUGGAGGGCAAAAUCGAAUUGGAAGUCAAAAUUCGAGGACCAAAUUGUACAAAAUUAAAGUUGAGGGACUAGCAUGCAAAUAUUUGAAACUUGGCUUCAAAAAGAAAACCAUUUUCAUGGUUUUGGACAGAGAACCAGGCACCGAGGCGCCCAUUUUAAAAGAAAAAAUGAGUUGGGGACCUUUUUGUUCACUUUUGAAACUUCAGGGACCAAGGCUGCAAUUUUCCUAGGUUUUAAUAUAAAACCAGCAGCUGAGUUUUCAUUUGCAGUUCUUCAGUUCGAUCUUCUGCUGGGUUCUGUUUUCUGCUGGGUUCUUUCUUUUUUUUCAUUUUGCUUUCAUUUUCUUUUCUUUUUCUUGGUUAUUUUGGAGAUAUAACAUAGAGUAACAGGGAGAUAACAUCAAGGAUUUGGCAAAGCAUUUGGGGAAAAUCAUAGUCAAUCUACAAAAAAGGGUUUUAUCUAUAUCUUUGUAUUUUCUUCAUCAUUUAGCCUUAUUUGUAAUACAUUUGAUGAAUAUUCUCCUUGAUUAUCAUUUAUUUAACAUGGGCUAAGUAUUUUGUUGGGAUUUAUGGUAGUAGCUUGACAUAGGUUUAAUUGAUUUUCAAUAUUUGCUAUUUGAUAUUAAAUUGCCCAUUUCCAUGUGUUUCUAUUAUUAUAUUUAUUGCAUUUUCAUUUAUGUGGCCAAUGAAUGAAUAUGUUUCGUGAAGUGUACAUAGUUCGAGAGAAGAUUGUGUAUUUUAGACCAAAUGGUAGAAACUCUAGGUUUGUAUAGAGGAUAGAUAUAUAUCUUUAGCCCUAUGUGACCCAAUGAGCUAUUUUCAUAACAAUUUAAUGCUGUUAUUUAGUUGUAAUCGACAUAGAGAUAUAAUAGGUUAAACCAAUCAAUUAUGGUUAAUUUCACUCGAGAGAGGUAAUUAGCUAAAAUUGAAGAAUCGGAUCUAACAUCGUAAAUGAGUAAUUCGUUAAUUGGCAUAUGGAGAAAUUAAUUAGGCGACGGCUAAGCGAAACCAUGAAUCUCAAUCACGUUUUCCUCCAAAAUUCCCAAGAUUUCCAUAUUUUCCUAUUUUGUAUUUUUUUUUCUUUAGUUUCUAAAAUCAACUCUUUGUUGUGUAUUUGUUUAUUUUCAUUGUUAGAAUUAAAUUGAUUAAAGUUGUGUAAUUUAAAUUAAACAUUCCUCGAGGGAUCGACAACUCGGACUUCAAAUGUCCACUUUAUUACUUGAACGCGACCCGUGCACUUGCAGUAUGAUUUUAGCGAACAAGUUUUUGGCGCCGUUGCUGGUGAAUGUUUUAUUUCAAUUAUCAUCUUUUGUUGAUUCUAAUUUUUACAAGUUUCGUUCUUUUUUUCUUUUGCAUAGCUUUUAUAUAUUUAUUGUGUAAUUAACUUUUAACCUUAGGUCUUUGGUGGUGCAUGCUUCGUUCGAGAAGUUUUGAUCUUUUCGAGCUUGAUCCGGAUAUUGAAAAACCUUUCCAAAGAAGGCGACGGGAACAAAGGGAAUUGAGAAGGCAACAAUUGAUUGAGAUGACACACCAAGGGAGUAAUUUGGAACAUAAUGCUCAACCGGAAAAUGUUCCUCGAGGCGGCAUUCCACCGGGUUUUGGUAACCAAGCGGGUAGAGUUCAAGAGCCUAUUGUAAAUGAGGAAGAUAUACUGUUUGGGAACUUCAUGAACCCACCCGUAGUAGAGAAUGAAUCAAGUAUUGUUUACCCUCCAUAUUGACAUCCAAACUUUCAACUUCGUCCGGAUGUUAUUAGUUUGUUCUCCAAUACCAUUCCAUUCUAUGGAAGGAUUGAUGAGAACCCUCACUCACAUGUUGCACGAUUCAUAGAGAAUGUUGAAAAUUUUAAAUAUGAAGGCGUAAAUGUGGAGACGAUCCGGAUGAGGUUAUUUGUUCACACAUUGAAGGAUAAGGCAAGGGAAUGGCUUGAGACUCUACCGCCCAGAAGUAUAAAUAGUUGGUUGGAAUUUAUUCAAAAAUUCACAGCCAAAUUCUUUCCACCCGCCUGAGUAGCCAAACUCAAGCAUGACAUAACCACUUUCCAACAAUCCGAAUUUGAGAGCUUUCACGAGGCUUGAGAAAGGUUCAAGGAUAUGCUUCGAAAAUGUCCAAAUCAUGGAAUCACAAUGGGGCAACAAGUGAAUCAUUUUUAUGCCGGGUUGACUCCUUCUUGCCGUUCAAAUGUGGAUUCAUCAUCUAAUGGCUCAAUCAAGAAGAAGAAUAUUCGGGAAGCAUAUGAUCUAUUUAAGGUCAUGAGUGAACAAAGUGCUAUGUGGCCGGAUAGAGGUUCACAAAGAGGGGUUGGUGGAGUUCGAGAUGGUGAAGCUUUCUCAAUGGUUCUAGCAAAGAUCGACUCACUAGCAAAGAAGGUAGAAGGACUUUCUUCAUCUACCUCGAGCUCUCAUUCCGCUCAUAUGGUACAAUCUCCACCUAUUUGUGAUAUUUGUGAACCAAAUCACCGAAGCCCGAGUUGUCCAUUGAUAGGUAGUGGUUCAGCAUCUACCGAGCAAGUGGUAUAUACUCAAAACUUUCAACGCCAAGGAUACAAUCCUUAUUCGCAAACUUAUAACCCCAGUUGGUGAAAUCAUCCGAACUUUUCUUAUGGAAAUAAUCAAAAUGUGCUCAACUCGAAGCCACAAGAGAAAAAAAAGGUUGGGAAGAGGCUAUUGCUAAGUUGGCAAACCAUCAAUUAUAAUAUUAAGAAAGCAAUGAUGCCUCUUUGAAAAACUUGGAAUGUCAAGUGGGUCAAAUUGCCAAGCUUAUCUUCGAAAGGCAAUAGCGGGCAUUGCCUAGCAACACCGAAACAAAUCCAAGGGAGAAUGUACAAGCUAUUACCACUAGAAGUGGGGUGCAAUUGCCCGAAAUCACGGUGACACGCCCUAAGGGUCAAACCGACAAGACACCCAUUGAAGAAGAAAGGAUUAUGCAAGAACCUAGUCCAAAGGACGAGACACUAAUUGAAGAAGAAUCGGAGCCAUCAACAUCAAAGGCUCCAAUACCGGUCAAAGCCUAUGUGCCUCAUAUUCCCUUCCCACAAAGGCUUCACAAACAGAAAUUGGAUGCUCAAUUUGGAAACUUUUUGGAGAUAUUCAAGAAGCUACACAUAAACAUUCCAUUUGCCGAUGCAUUAGCUCAAAUGCCGAAUUAUGCCAAAUUUAUGAAGGACAUUCUUUCAAACAAAAGGAAACUAGAAGAACAUGAGACAGUAAUGCUAACGGAAGAGUGUAGUGCUAUCCUUCAGAAGAAGCUACCACCGAAAAUCAAAGAUCCAGGGAGUUUUACUAUUCCAUGCACUAUUGGAGAUUUAAAUUUUAGUAAAGCUUUAUGUGAGCUUGGUGCCAGUAUUAGUUUGAUGCCUUUGUCUAUUUUCAAGAAGCUGGGAUUGGGAGAAGCUAAGGCCACCACUGUAUCAUUACAAUUGGCUGAUUGAUCAAUUAAAUAUCCUCGGGGUGUCAUUGAGGAUGUAUUGGUCAAGGUGGACAAAUUCAUAUUUCCAGCUGAUUUCAUAAUUCUUGACAUGGAAGAGGAUCAUGACAUCCCUAUCAUUUUAAGACGACCAUUUCUUGCCACCGGUCGAGCUUUGAUUGAUGUGCAAAAGGGGCAGCUCGUUCUAAGAGUCCAAGAUGAAAAAGUUACAUUCAAUAUCUUGAAGGCCAUCAAGUAUCCAUCGGAAUCUGAUUCAUGCCUUCGAGUGGAUGUUGUUGAUCAUGUGGUUGCCGAGUCUUUUUACAGGCUUUCUAAGGAUCCUCUAGAAGCAUGUCUUGUUUAUCCUUUGGCUAUCAAAGAGGAAGACCCUAAAGUUGAGCAUAUGGUACACUAUUUGGAGGCUACACCUUCUCGGUCUUAUAAGAGAGCACCAAAUUAUGAGGACUUGGAAAAGAGCUCUUCACCACCACUGCCAUUUCUUCAGCAGACACCUAUACUUGAUUUGAAGCCUCUUCCAUCUCAUUUGAGGUAUGCUUAUUUGGGAGAGUCAUCUAUGCUUCCGGUUAUCAUUGCUAAUUUCUUAAAUGAAUUGGAUGAAGAGAAGUAACUCGGGUGUUAAGGGAGUACAAGGGAGCCAUUGGUUGGACUAUUACAGACAUUAAGGGAAUUAGUCCUUCACUAUGCAUGCAAAAAAUCCUUAUGGAGGAUGAUUUCAAAUCAUCAGUGGAGCAUCAAAGGCAAUUGAACCCCAACAUGAAAGAAGUGGUAAAGUAGCUUGAUGCGGGCAUUAUUUAUCCGAUUUCAGAUAGUACAUGGGUGAGCCCCGUUCAAGAGGUGCCAAAGAAAGGAGGUGUCACGGUUGUGGAAAAUGAGGAUAAUGUACUUAUACCUACUAGACCCGUGAUCGGUUGGAGGGUAUACAUAGAUUACCGCAAGCUUAACAAGACUACAGGGAAUGAUCACUUUCCUCUUCCUUUUAUUGAUCAAAUGCUUGAGCGGUUAGCGGGGUAUUCUCAUUAUUGUUUUUUGGAUGGGUAUUCAGGCUAUAAUCAAAUUCCUAUAGCCCCAGAGGAUUAAGAGAAAACCACCUUCACAUGCUCAUAUGAUAUAUUUGCAUAUAGAAAGAUGCCCUUUGACCUUUGCAACGCACCCGCCACUUUCUAAAGGUGUAUGAUGGCUAUAUUCUCCGACAUGGUGGAGAAAUUUACUGAGGUUUUUAUGGAUGACUUCUCGGUAUGUGGGGCCUCAUUUGAUGGAUGUUUGAGCAAUUUAGAGAUAGUGUUGAAAAGAUGUGAGGAGACAAAUUUAGUACUUAAUUGAGAAAAAUAUCAUUUCAUGGUCCAGGAAGGCAUAGUUUUCGGCCAUCGGAUUUCACGUAAAGGGAUAGAGGUUUACAAGGCAAAAAUCCAAGUCAUUGAGAAAUUACCUCUACAUACCUUGGUGAAAGGGAUAAGGAGUUUUUUGGGGCAUGCCGAAUUUUAUAGGAGGUUUAUCAUGGACUUUUUGAAGAUCACAAAUCCACUUUGCUCCUUACUUGAGAAGAACACUCCAUUUGAUUUCUCUCAAGAGUGCCUCCAUGCUUUUAACACUCUUAAAGAGAAACUCAUCACGGCUCCUAUCAUUGUAGCUCCGGAUUGGAAUUUACCAUUUGAGCUUAUGUGCGAUGCAAGCGAUUAUGCCGUUGGAGCAGUUUUAGGGCAAAGGAGAAAUAAAAUCUUGCAUGUUAUUUACUAUGCUAGCCGGACUUUGACUGAUGCUCAACUGAACUAUGCCGUUACUGAAAAAGAGAUGCUCGCAGUGGUAUUUGCAUUUGAUAAAUUUCGAUCUUACCUCAUUGGAUCGAAAGUGAUUGUUUACAGGGACCACUCAGCCCUCAAGUAUUUGCUAGCAAAGAAAGAUGCCAAACCUCGGUUAAUUAGAUGGGUCCUUCUUCUACAAGAGUUUGACUUGGAAAUUCACGAUAAAAAAGGGACCGAAAAUGUUGUUGCCGAUCAUCUGUCUCGACUUGAGAAAACCAAAGAGGUAGUGGAUAGGGAGAUAAAUGAGGUAUUUCCCGAUGAACAACUCUUGCAAAUUAUGCAUCUUCUACAAGCCACCCAUAUACCAUGGUAUGCGGACCAUGUGAACUUUCUUGCUAGUGGCAUCAUUCCCUCGGAUCUCUCUUACCAACAAAGGAAGAAGUUCUUUGCCGAUAUCAAGCAUUAUUUUUGGAACGAUCCAUUGUUGUUCAAACAGAGCCCGGAUCAAAUUAUACGGAGAUGUGUGCGGAAGAUGAAAUGGAGCAAAUCCUUGAACAAUGUCAUUCCUCACCCUAUGUUGGUCACUUUGAGGCCCUGAAAAUCGCAUCAAAGGUACUUCAAUUCGAUUUUUAUUGGCCUACAUUAUUCAAAGAUGCUCAUAUUCUUGUCUCCAAGUGCGACAAAUGCCAACGCAGUGGUAAUAUUUCCAACCGAAAUGAAAUGCCUUUGAAUUUUAUAUUAGAGGUGGAAAUUUUUUAUGUAUGGGGUAUUGAUUUUAUGGGACCUUUUCCUCCUUCAUUCUCAAAUCAAUACAUAUUGGUAGCGGUUGAUUAUGUGUCAAAGUGGGUAGAAGCGGUGACUUUGCCCACUAAUAACGCUCGGGUAGUAGUAAACUUUUUAAAGAAAAAUAUUUUCUCUCGCUAUGGCACCCCCCGAGCUAUCAUUAUGGAGGUAAAAAUUUUUGUAAUCGCCUCUUCGACUCAGUAUUGACCAAAUAUGGAGUAAAGUAUCGUGUAGCCACUCCCUAUCAUCCCCAAACUAGUGGCCAAGUUGAAAUUUCGAAUCGGGAGUUGAAGAGGAUUCUUGAAUUGACGGUGAGUGCCUCUAGAAAAGAUUGGUCCAAGAAAUUGGAUGAUGCAUUAUGGGCUUAUUGUACCGCGUUCAAAAUGCCCAUUGGUAUGUCUCCCUAUCGUCUUUUGUUUGGAAAAGCUUGCCACCUCCCAGUAGAACUUGAGCAUCAAGCUUAUUGGACAGUGAAAGCUUUGAAUUUUGAUGUGAAAUUGGCCGAUGAGAAAAGAUUGCUCCAAUUGAAUGAACUGGAUGAAGUCCGCCUUGACUCUUAUGAGAAUGCUCAAAUUUACAAAGAAGAGACAAAGAAAUGGCAUGAUAAACACAUUGUGAAAUGCGAGUUCUUUGUUGGGCAACAAGUUCUUCUCUACAAUUCUCGACUCCGAUUGUUUCCCGGAAAGCUCCGCUCAAGAUGGUCUGGUCCUUUUACCAUUGCUAAGAUUUUUCGACAUGGAGCAAUUGAACUUCAUCAUGAGGAAAAGGGAAAUUUCAAGGUUAACGGGCAACGAUUGAAACCAUACUUUGAAGGUGAUUUUUCUAAGGAGAAGUCCUCCAUUCCUCUUGCCAAUUUGGAGUGAACAAGGCCUAUAGUCGAGCUAGGGACUAUAACCAAGCGCUUUUUGGGAUGCAACCCAACUUUCUUAUCCUUAUACUUUUGUUAUUACAUUUUGAAUUAAUACAAUUCUUUUGUAGGUCAAAAUUUUUGUAGUCCUAGCCACCCAUAGAUCUCAACAAAUUUGGGGGUGCCUGGUCCCCAAAGUCAUAAACAAAAAAUUCAUCUACAACAUCCUUCAAAAAAAUCUAAUCGGCGAAGUUUCGUUAUCCCUCUCCUCUUUAUCUUGUUUUUUACACAUUGAGGACAAUGUGUGGUUUAAGUUUGGAGGUGAUUGUGCUUGAAUUGGUGAUAUUAUGUUGAUGUGCUAGAUAGCCUUGCCGGCUUUGCAUGGUUUUGAUGUUUGAAAUUGUUAUUGAUUCAUGAGUUAUGCAUAUAUGACCAAAUAUGCUAUUUGUGCGUAAUUUUUUCCCAAAAAAAAUAAAAAUUGCUUAUCUAUUGUGAGAUUUUGAAUUACUUUGGGCACAAUAGUCAUGAUUAAUUGUUAUCUAGAUGUGGAAAAUUUUUGAUUGAAGGAUAUAUUUUUGAAUUGCUUGAACUAGGUUGUGACUUGUAAGUUGUUUGGAAAUUUUUAUCAAUCUGUAUUCUCUUUUCUUUCACUUUAUCAUAUUAUGAGAUAAGUUUGGAGGUGGUCGAGCCGGUGAAGAAGAUUAUCUAGAAGUGUGUGAUUUCGUGCAUGUUGAAAAUAUUUGUGUAGAGUGUCUGUUACCGAGUAUAAGCUAGGUAAUGACCAUAUGCUAGGGAUCUAAGCCCCAUUUUUGUUGUGUUAAAAAAAAAUGGAGUUAUUGUACUUGUUGAAUCUUGGGCCUCACUUUGUAGCCUUUUUGACUUGAGUUAUUAAGUGCGUAGGGGUAUUUUGUAACCCGGUACCCUUUGGCCUAAACAACCGGAGAGUUAUCGACCUAAAGCUCGCUACAAGGGUCAAAAAAAAAGUUUAAGGGAGUGAGGUAAAACAUGGGAUUCGGCUAAAAAGGAAAAAAAAAAAAAAAAAAAGAGAAAAAAAUGUUAUUGAUAUUUGGGCUUAGAUAACUAGUGAGUUUGAAUUGCUUAGUAUAAACUUGAAUGUGAAAGCACUCAUUAGUAGAGAAUCAUCACAUAACUAGAGAUUGAUAUUACUAGUUAGACCCAAUCGAACUAGAGCGGGAAAAGAAAUGAGUGACUUGAGAGCAGCCUUAUAUUUACACCUCGGGGAAAGAAAUGAAUAUCUAUUUGAGGAGUGUAAAUUCCACGAGUGGGAAAGGAAAUAUUUGACUACAAAGGGUUGGGUUGGAGAGAAUCUGAAGAUUUUUCCGUCUUGACAAAUUUUUCCUAAUUUAGAUGAUAAUUGAAAGUGAUUUUACACAUAUACACCGAUCGAACAUUGGAUAAACUCAAAUUAUUUUUGUUAGCAUUAUUUGGAGCAUAUUUGUGAAUUGAUUAUACAAUUUUACACUCAUUGAUAUUUUUGGCAAGCUAUUUAGUGUGUUGACCAUGAUCACUUUUGCUUGAUUGUGUGGUAGAUAAUCUUGCUCGGGACGAGCAAGAGUUUAAGUUUGAGGGUGUGAUAAGUGUGUUUUUGCACACUUAUUGGGCACUUAAUUUGAUAUAAUUAUUGGUAAAAAGAAUGAAAUUCUACUCAUAGUUAAAUAAUAUUUGCUUUUGUAGGUAAAAAUCACCCAAAGAAAAGAGAACAAGGCAAAAGGAGGAAAAAUGACUAAAAUUGUACAAAAUUGUGAAGUUGGAGGCUAAGGCAAAGAAGUCAAAAAGUGGAGGAUUUGGGAUGCAAUUUAUGGAGGGCAAAAUCGAAAUGGAAGUCAAAAUCCGAGGACCAAAUUGUACAAAAUCAAAGUAGAGGAACUAGCAUGCAAUGUUUGAAACUUGGCUGCAAAAAGAAAACCAUUUUCAUGCUUUUGGACAGAGAACCAGGCGCCGCGGCACCCAUUUUAAAAGAAAAAAUGAGUUGGGGGACCUUUUUGUUAACUUUAGAAACUUCAGGGACCAAGGCUGCAAUUUUCCUAGUUUCUAAUAUAAAACCAGCAGCUGAGUUUUUAUUUGCAGCUCUUCAGUUUGGUCUUCUGCUGGGUUUUUUUUUUUUUUUUUUUUUUUUUUUUUUUUUUUUUUUUUUUUUUUUUUUUUUUUUUUUUUUUUUUUUUUUUUUUUUGGUAUUAAAAAAAAAAAAAAAAAAAAAGGGAUUGAAGUUGGAUGAAUUCUUGAAUUCAGGGACCAAUGUAUUGAGUUUGAAAGUAGAAGAGCCUAACAUGCAAUAUUAAAGGACUUGUGACUAAAUUACACAAACCUGUAAAAAGUCGACCCUUGCGAUCACAAGGGUAUAUUUAGUUGCGGUCGCAAAGACUUUUGCAGAAUUGCUUGUGAGAUAUAGUAGGUUAAAUCAAUCAAUUAGGGUUUAUUUCACUCGAGAGAGAUAAUUAGUUAAAAUUGAAAAAUCGGGUCUAACAUCGUAAAUGAGUAAUUCGUUAAUUGACAUAUGAAGAAAUUAAUUAGGCGACGGUUAAGCGAAACCAUGAAUCCCAACCACGUUUUCCUCCAAAAUUCCCAAGAUUUCCAUAUUUUCCUAGUUUGCGUUUUUUUCUUAGUUUCUAAAAUCAACUCUUUAUUGUGUGUUUGUUUAUUUUCAUUGUUAGAAUUAAAUUGAUUAAAAUUGUCUAAUAUAAAGUAAACAUUUCUCGAGGAUCGACAACCCGAACUUCAAAGGUCCACUUUAUUACUUGAACGCGACCCGUGCAUUUGCGGUAUUAUUUUAGCAAACACUUUCCUUUUAUUUUCUUGAUUUUAUGUUUCUCUUUUUUAGCGGACUUAAUAGCCAUUUUGCACGGAUUUGUUAGUGAGGAGUAUUUCCAAAAUAAAAAUGAAGGGUCGAAGACUGUGAUGCAAAUAAAUGAAGUUUGAGGAUAUAAAUGCAUAAGGAGUUGAAGAUUGAGAAUGUGGCUUAAAUUUUCCAAUAUUAAAAAGAAAAUGUUUUGCCCAAGUCAUUUUCUUGACUACUGUCAAGGAAAAAAAAAUAAAUAAAUCUUUUUGCGUUGAAAUUUGACUCCACAUUGUAGGAACUGUAUGGUCCACCCAUGUGAAAUCCAUUGAGUGCCAAAUCAGAGUUCCCGACAAAUUGUCGUAUGCCCAACAUGAUACAUGAUCUACAAUGUGUUACAAAUUGCCCCUGUAGACAUGUAUGUUUAAUCAAUAAAAAAAAAAGUCUGAAAUUUCCUCAAAUUCAAUAAUGAAUUCUUAAAUCAAAUCUGAAUAAUGAAUUUUCAAUCUUUUGAAUUACAAAAUUCGAAUUUUGAUCUCUAGAACUUGAUGAUUUUAACUUGCCAUUUCUAUAUAGUAUUACGUGUCAAACAUGCAAUGAUUUCAUACUUAUUCGUCCUUAUACUACAUCCUCAACUCUCUCCAUCAAAUUCUUCAUCUAUUCUUGCAAAAUAUAUUGUAGCUUAAAGUUAAACCGGUUUCAAGCAUAAUUUAUCGCUCGGGAAUUAUUCACUCAUAAAUAGAAUAUCUGCAAAUCUUGUAUUUUUGUGAAUUUAGUUAUUUUGUUAAUUGAGAAUAAGAUGAAUGAUAAUCUUCUUGGGAGAUCAUUCUUAUGUGAAAUUCAUACAAAUGUCUUGAGUGCUAUUUUCACCUUCACUCAUUUAUUAAAUAUUACAAGUUCUAGCUUUCAUAGGAAAAUAUAUUUUACUUGGUGUGCUGAAGAUAUUCUUCAACCUUCAGUAAAGUGGGGUUCUAGGUUCUCGACCCAAUUAAAUUUGGAAAUUACAUAAAUUGUUAACGUGAACGUCAAAACUGGACAUGACUUAAAAUUGAAUGUAAAGUGGUUUGAUGCUUUGCUCUCCAACUUUAAAUUACAUAAAAGUCAAGCAAUUCUAAUUUUCACAAUGACGAGUUUUUGCCACAUGGCGAUCCAAAUUCACAUAUUUAAAUACGUUGGGUACCCACGAUAGGGAUGACAACGGGAGAGAUGAGACGGGAUGGGAAGCCGCUAGGGAUUCGUCACGCCCUGUCCAAACCUUGAUCCCAGCUUAAGGUGGGGCGGUUGCAGGGGAUAGGGCAAUAUGGAUGGGAUGCCUCCUCUAUGCACAUAUUGUCCGUUUAAUUUUAUUUAAAUCAUAAGCCUUAGAUAUCUCUUUUUAAUUUUCACGCACUAACACAUACUAAAUGCCCACGUCAAUGGCUGCAAAAAUAGGGUCGGCCCUAAUAUUUUGGGGGCCUUAUGUCAAUUUCAAAUUGGGGCCCUAUAUUUUGAAUUUUCUUAUAUAGAGUUUUAGCCCCUGUUUGAUGAAGAUUAAGCCAUUGUUUGAGACUCAUUUUUUUCAUAAAAAUAUAUUUUUCAACAAUGAUUUGACACCACCAUGUCAACAUAUAUUUUUCAAUAAAAUAAUAUUACAUGCAAAUUCAAAAAUUUUCCUUAUUUUUUAAUCACACAUUCUCCAUCGUAUCACUUUCUCAAAAUGCAAUUUUUUUGGAGAAAAAUGAGGCUCAAAGGCUCAAACAACCCCUAAAAUAGAAUUUUCAUUUUUUUUUUCAAAAUGCAUUAUUAUUUUCUUAUGUUUGCAUAUGAUACUUCUAUACUACAGAAUUUCAUAAAUAUAAUUUUCAUUUUUUUUUCAACCAACAAAUUAACUUUACAUAAUUUGGGCCUCACUUAGGUGAUCGCCUAUUUCGUCUAUACUUAGGGCCACCACUGUGCAAAAACAACACAAGCCACCAAAUUUUGUGGUAAACACUGCAAGAAGAGGAGAACCCUAAACAAAGAGAGGUAAUGCUAAGAGGAACUCAUAAAUACGGAAUGGGGUGGAGAAGACAUGGCUGCUAGUUAAAGGAGAUGUGAUUGUGAGUCUCCAUCCUGUGCAACGAAGUCAUGACAUUGAUACCCAUCAACGUCGAUAGCUAGGGGCUGCUACAACGUGGUGCUAAGAAAUUGGGGGGGGGGGGUUUGGAAAUUUUGAAAUGUCUACGCUUUGUGUAAUGCACGUGCUUAUUUUUUGUGAUUAUCAUGUUUAUCUAAAUUAGUUGCGUUUAUGUUACAUUUACUAUUAAAUUAUUAUAAUUAUCAUAGUCGUGAUUAAUUAUGUUGAUAUAGUGGAAUGUGCCUUGGAUCAAAGUCGUGAUUAAUUAUGUUGAUACAGUGGAAUGUGCCUUGGACACUCUAUGCGAUCGACAUGCCUAUAGCUCCAAACUUAAAAUACAUAUGACUCUAUUUAAAUAUGCAAUUUAAUAUAAUUUGACGCCGUAUCACAUUCCUAUUAAUUUAAUUGUAUUGUCUAUAAUUAAUUUUAUUUAGUUAGAUUAAAUUAUAUAACGUAUUUAUCCUAUUAUGUACAAUCUCUUUUUUAGAUUGAACCUAGACAUUGAGUUGGAAGAUUUCUUUUUAUAAGUAAAUAAAUAAAUAAAAAUAAUAAUGAUAUAUAGUUAAUAAUUGAAUUAAUUUUCUAAUAGGAUCAAUUUAAGGUUAAGGAAGUUAAUAUAGAUAAAUAAGGAGGCGUAAUUUGUUAGAUUAGUACAAAUUAAACUAAAUAAACGCCAGUAGGUUUAGGAGUCUACAUAGUUGCCUUAUUUCACAUCUUUUUAAAAUUAAGUAGAAACUCUUUUUCCUGCCAAAAGUUUAAUUUCAAUUUCUUAUUUUGGGACUAGUAUGCUCUUGCAAUAAGGUAUGGUUCAUAAUUUAUUCAUGAUAUAAUCUAUCGGUUAACCUAUGUGUUUAAUUCUCUCUCUCUCUCUCUCUCUCUCUCUCUACACUACCAUAAAAGAGAGAAUGAGGGUUUACUGUUUAUUUUUGUCACACUCGUUUUCACACUUAACCGGUUUGGGAACUGGUUUGACAACAAGAAAAAUUCUAUUAAAAAAUACUAUAGGAAUUUUGUCAGGAAAAAUUCUAUUCAAAAUACUGUAGGAAUUUUGUCACACACCAUUGUCUACUGUAAUAUUUCUCCCUUGCUUUGAAUCUGACACACCAUGCUCUUUCUCCUAAUUCUCAAGCUAUAAACUACAAACUAUAUCUUAUAUAUUUAAAUUUUUUAAAUUAUAUUAAUAAACAAAAUUAUUGUAAAUAAACUAUAAAAAAAAUAUAUUCACUCUGUGCAUGGAGAAAAAAAUUUACGUCAUACUACAUAAUUUUUUUUGAGCAAAAUGAUGUAUUGAGAAAAUUGUUGGGAAAAAAUAAUAAAUAGUAAUAAAAUAAUUGAUUUUUUUAAAAGAAAAAUGACUUAUACGCAUUUUUUAACACAUACGUUUAAUGUCCGUUUAACUAUUUUCGAUAUUCAUUUAGAUCAUUCGAUGUGUCUAUGAUAUAGUUCUUGAAAUGAGUUUCGAGAGAAUGUAAAAUAUUUAUCGAUUCGACUAUCGUGCAAUCGUCAAUGAAUUUUUAAAGUUAACUCAUUAUCGAAAAUUUCGAAAUAUAGUUUGAAAAUGCCUAUUUUGACGUCCCGUAACAUUUGCUACGAUUAGCCGUUUCACGCAUCGUUAACGACAUGCAAUACUAUGCCGCAAGUACUUCAAAAUGAUAUUAAGAAUGUAAUAUUUCAAUUUCGUUUGAUAUCCCGUAAUGAGCCUGAGAUGAAUACAAAAACAUAAAUUAAAAAAAAAAAUUAGCAAACCUCCGUGCACGGAGGUUAAACCUCCAUACACGAAGGUUUAUGCGUGCGGGGAGUCCCCGCACAAAUAUGCAAUUUUUUUUUUUACUUUUAUUUGUAGUACAUUUUUUUAUUAAUAUUUAAUUUAAAAAAAUUAAAUAUAUCUAAAUAUUUACUUAAAAAUGUUGAAAUUAAUAUUUUUUACGUAUAAGUAACUUUUACAAUUAUAAUUUUUUUUAUUACUUUUAAAUAACUUGAAGUGAUUUGUUUAUUUAUAAAUAACUUUUUACAUUCUCGAUAGUUUAAUCUUUUUAUUAAUAUUUAAUUUUAAAAACUAAAUAUAUCUAAAUAUUUGUACUUAAAAAAUUCACAUUUUUUUAUAUAAGUAGCUUUUGCAAUUAUAAGAGAAUGAGGGAUUAAUAUUUUUUUAUCUUUUAGAUAGUGUAAUCUCUUUUUUUACUUUUAAAUAACUUAACCGAUUUGGGAACUGGUUUGGUAACAGGAAAAAUUCUAUUCAAAAAUACUGUAGAAAUUUGUCACAUGCCAUUUGAGUGCAAUGUCACAUCCACUGCAAUAUUUCUCUCUUACUUUGAAUCUGACACACCAUGCUCUUUCUCUUAAUUCUCACGUUAUUAACUAUUAAUCAUAUCCUAUAUAUUUAAUUUUUUAAAAUUAUAUUAAUAGAAAAACUUAUUGUAAAUAAAAUGUAAAAAAAAAAAUAUAUAUAUAUAUAUAUUCACUCCGUGCAUGAAGAAAUUUUUUUACGUCAUACCACAUAAGUUUUCUUAAGCAAAAUGAUGUAUUGAGAAAAUUAUUGCGAAAAAAUAAUAAAUAGUAAUAAAAUAAUUGAUUUUUUUUGAAGAAAAACGAUUUAUACGCAUUUUUUAACACAUAUGUUUAAUGUGCGUUUAACUAUUUUUGAUAUUAAUUUACAUCAUUUGAUGUGUUUAUGAUAUAUUUCUCGAAAUGAGUUUCGAGAGAAUGUAAAACAUUUAUUGAUUUGACUAUCGUAUAGUGGUAGAUGAAUUUUUAAAGUUAGCUUAUUAUCGAAAAUUUCGAAAUACAGUUUGAAAAUGUCUAUUUUGACGUCCCGUGACAUUUGCUACGAUUAGCCGUUUCACGCACCGCUAAUGACGUGCAAUACUAUAUCGCAAGUACUUUAAUAUGAUAUUAAGAAUAUAAUAUUUUAAUUUCGUUUGAUAUCCCCUAAUGAGUCUAAAAAUGAACAUAAAAACAUAAGCUAAAAAAAAAUGAAGCAACAUGUAUUAAACCUCCUCAUGUCCUCGGUGCACGCACCAAUCCGAUUUUUGGUUACCCAUUUUCUCCACCACUUAACCCUAAUUGUUCUCUCUCUCUCUCUCUCUCGAUCGGCACCAUUGUAGCAAGAAAUUCUGGAAAACCUGAAGCAACUGAGACAUAUACUUGUAAGUCUAAUCAUCACUGCUUCGACUUCUUUCUCUUCUCUUCUGUAUAUUGCUUCUAAUUUGUCGAGUUGUAUUGUUCAAUAUAUUCUUAGUUUUCAAUUUUUUUUUUUUUUUUUUGUUUUUUGAAGAGUUCAAGCCCAAAUACGUAAAGUCAUGUUUCAAGGGGGGGUUAGGUUUGGGUUGUUGUGUAUAUGUUUUUCAAUUUAUAUAGCUGUGGUAUUGAAUAUGAGAUUUCUUGUCCAAUUUGCUUUUUUUUUUGUUCCCCGUUUUCCUUCUUCUGAGAGGUCGAACCCAAAAUACCUAAAGUCUAUUAUUUUCAUGUUGUUAUUAUUUUUUUCUAUUAUUAUUUUCAUGUUAUUAUUAUUAUUUUUUUUUGUUCAAUUUCUUCGUGUUGUGUAUAAGUUUUUUUUUAUUUCUGCAGCCGUCAUGUUGAAUAUGAGAUUUUUUGUUCAAUCUGUGUUUUUUUCCUCAUUUUUUGUAAGAAACUGAACUGAAAAGACAUAUAAUUUGUUCUUCCCAUGUUUGGCUCUUUGAUUAUAUUUAACUUUAAGAAGGAGAACAAAAUGUUUCAAGUCGGAUAAUUCAUUAAAUACCCAAAUGCAAAUUCCGAAAAAGGUUAUCAUUGCUUUUCACUUGCUGCAAUUGAUACACAUGAGUGCUUAAUUUGAUGUUUGUGAUUGACAGAUUUUGAUGAAUACUGUACUACCANNNNNNNNNNNNNNNNNNNNNNNNNNNNNNNNNNNNNNNNNNNNNNNNNNNNNNNNNNNNNNNNNNNNNNNNNNNNNNNNNNNNNNNNNNNNNNNNNNNNNNNNNNNNNNNNNNNNNNNNNNNNNNNNNNNNNNNNNNNNNNNNNNNNNNNNNNNNNNNNNNNNNNNNNNNNNNNNNNNNNNNNNNNNNNNNNNNNNNNNNNNNNNNNNNNNNNNNNNNNNNNNNNNNNNNNNNNNNNNNNNNNNNNNNNNNNNNNNNNNNNNNNNNNNNNNNNNNNNNNNNNNNNNNNNNNNNNNNNNNNNNNNNNNNNNNNNNNNNNNNNNNNNNNNNNNNNNNNNNNNNNNNNNNNNNNNNNNNNNNNNNNNNNNNNNNNNNNNNNNNNNNNNNNNNNNNNNNNNNNNNNNNNNNNNNNNNNNNNNNNNNNNNNNNNNNNNNNNNNNNNNNNNNNNNNNNNNNNNNNNNNNNNNNNNNNNNNNNNNNNNNNNNNNNNNNNNNNNNNNNNNNNNNNNNNNNNNNNNNNNNNNNNNNNNNNNNNNNNNNNNNNNNNNNNNNNNNNNNNNNNNNNNNNNNNNNNNNNNNNNNNNNNNNNNNNNNNNNNNNNNNNNNNNNNNNNNNNNNNNNNNNNNNNNNNNNNNNNNNNNNNNNNNNNNNNNNNNNNNNNNNNNNNNNNNNNNNNNNNNNNNNNNNNNNNNNNNNNNNNNNNNNNNNNNNNNNNNNNNNNNNNNNNNNNNNNNNNNNNNNNNNNNNNNNNNNNNNNNNNNNNNNNNNNNNNNNNNNNNNNNNNNNNNNNNNNNNNNNNNNNNNNNNNNNNNNNNNNNNNNNNNNNNNNNNNNNNNNNNNNNNNNNNNNNNNNNNNNNNNNNNNNNNNNNNNNNNNNNNNNNNNNNNNNNNNNNNNNNNNNNNNNNNNNNNNNNNNNNNNNNNNNNNNNNNNNNNNNNNNNNNNNNNNNNNNNNNNNNNNNNNNNNNNNNNNNNNNNNNNNNNNNNNNNNNNNNNNNNNNNNNNNNNNNNNNNNNNNNNNNNNNNNNNNNNNNNNNNNNNNNNNNNNNNNNNNNNNNNNNNNNNNNNNNNNNNNNNNNNNNNNNNNNNNNNNNNNNNNNNNNNNNNNNNNNNNNNNNNNNNNNNNNNNNNNNNNNNNNNNNNNNNNNNNNNNNNNNNNNNNNNNNNNNNNNNNNNNNNNNNNNNNNNNNNNNNNNNNNNNNNNNNNNNNNNNNNNNNNNNNNNNNNNNNNNNNNNNNNNNNNNNNNNNNNNNNNNNNNNNNNNNNNNNNNNNNNNNNNNNNNNNNNNNNNNNNNNNNNNNNNNNNNNNNNNNNNNNNNNNNNNNNNNNNNNNNNNNNNNNNNNNNNNNNNNNNNNNNNNNNNNNNNNNNNNNNNNNNNNNNNNNNNNNNNNNNNNNNNNNNNNNNNNNNNNNNNNNNNNNNNNNNNNNNNNNNNNNNNNNNNNNNNNNNNNNNNNNNNNNNNNNNNNNNNNNNNNNNNNNNNNNNNNNNNNNNNNNNNNNNNNNNNNNNNNNNNNNNNNNNNNNNNNNNNNNNNNNNNNNNNNNNNNNNNNNNNNNNNNNNNNNNNNNNNNNNNNNNNNNNNNNNNNNNNNNNNNNNNNNNNNNNNNNNNNNNNNNNNNNNNNNNNNNNNNNNNNNNNNNNNNNNNNNNNNNNNNNNNNNNNNNNNNNNNNNNNNNNNNNNNNNNNNNNNNNNNNNNNNNNNNNNNNNNNNNNNNNNNNNNNNNNNNNNNNNNNNNNNNNNNNNNNNNNNNNNNNNNNNNNNNNNNNNNNNNNNNNNNNNNNNNNNNNNNNNNNNNNNNNNNNNNNNNNNNNNNNNNNNNNNNNNNNNNNNNNNNNNNNNNNNNNNNNNNNNNNNNNNNNNNNNNNNNNNNNNNNNNNNNNNNNNNNNNNNNNNNNNNNNNNNNNNNNNNNNNNNNNNNNNNNNNNNNNNNNNNNNNNNNNNNNNNNNNNNNNNNNNNNNNNNNNNNNNNNNNNNNNNNNNNNNNNNNNNNNNNNNNNNNNNNNNNNNNNNNNNNNNNNNNNNNNNNNNNNNNNNNNNNNNNNNNNNNNNNNNNNNNNNNNNNNNNNNNNNNNNNNNNNNNNNNNNNNNNNNNNNNNNNNNNNNNNNNNNNNNNNNNNNNNNNNNNNNNNNNNNNNNNNNNNNNNNNNNNNNNNNNNNNNNNNNNNNNNNNNNNNNNNNNNNNNNNNNNNNNNNNNNNNNNNNNNNNNNNNNNNNNNNNNNNNNNNNNNNNNNNNNNNNNNNNNNNNNNNNNNNNNNNNNNNNNNNNNNNNNNNNNNNNNNNNNNNNNNNNNNNNNNNNNNNNNNNNNNNNNNNNNNNNNNNNNNNNNNNNNNNNNNNNNNNNNNNNNNNNNNNNNNNNNNNNNNNNNNNNNNNNNNNNNNNNNNNNNNNNNNNNNNNNNNNNNNNNNNNNNNNNNNNNNNNNNNNNNNNNNNNNNNNNNNNNNNNNNNNNNNNNNNNNNNNNNNNNNNNNNNNNNNNNNNNNNNNNNNNNNNNNNNNNNNNNNNNNNNNNNNNNNNNNNNNNNNNNNNNNNNNNNNNNNNNNNNNNNNNNNNNNNNNGAUUGAGCUGGUGUGACUGCAAUGGUAUAAUUAUUGCAUGUUUAAUUAUUGUACAUGCAUGUAUUAGCCAAUAAUUUUUGCUUCCCCAGAAAAUUCAACUGAUGGGGAUAAAUUGGAAAAACUUUCUCGUUGUCAUUUGCAUCAUCUGCAAUCAAGCGUUAGCAAGCGCAAUCGUGCUUGGUGUACAAUCAUUUUUACAAUAUUGUUGAUAACAUGCCAUGGGUCAUGUUGUCAUUGGAUAAUUUAAAAAACAAUUUAUAUUUCCUACUAACACUUUUAUGACAUAUACAACAUCGUCAACAAUGUUGUCAAAAAUCAUUGUACAAAUGGCAUUAUCCUAGCAAGAAACACAAGGCAUACGGUGAUGCAAAUAAUGGGCAUAAGCCAUUAGCAUACGGAGAAAAGCCAAGGAAGGCAGCAAACGUUCCUUUUGAUAUUUCCUUACUUGAUAAGUUGCUGUCAGCUUUCUUCCCUUCAUUUUUCUUCCUAAAAAAUAAUUUGUUAUUUGUACUCCUCAUACAUGUGGAAUUCAUGGAUCUUAGGAUAAUCCCAACGCCUAAAAUAUUCGUUGAUGACUUUUGCAUUCCCUAGGCUAAAUUUCACUGGUUUUGUUGAAGAUAUCUAUAUAUAUGUAGAUGAAUAAUACUAUUUUUUCGAGUGUAGAUGAUUUCCUUACGAUAGUAGAAUUUGUUGCUCAAUUCUACACUAAUGGUCAUUAGUUGCUUUCUUUGCCAUUUAUGCUUGUUUUCUUAUUAUAUUUCAUUUCGGGUUUAAUUUUAAUUUAGUGAUAUUAUGGUACAUGGUGUUUGUUAUACUGUGGCUAAGUUCUCAUUUUUAGGUACAUUUGGAUUCAUUAACAUUCUUUUACAUGGCUGUUCUUUAAAACUUAGCCAAAGAUGAUGUUGCAUGGUUGAAGUGGCAAGGUUUUCAUAUUUAGGUAGAAUCAUUUUUGUAUCUAAUACUAAGAGUUGUAACCAAAAUGGUUAAAGUAGGACAAAAGCUUUUACUUAGUGUUUCAUUAUGAUACAUGGAUUGAAAUUUAGAUCUAUCCUAUAACCUCUAUAACUGCAGAUAAUGUAUGUAUUAGAUAGUUUUCUCUUAUAAUUAAAUAUAUAUUAAAUUCUUUUGUCAAAGCAAUUAGUUACAAGGUGUAAGAAAUAUUAAUUUUGUAACAUAGAAUGGAGUUAAUUCGUGAAGUUUAUCAGUUAUUAAGUACUAUUAUUUUACAACAUGUUCAUUUUAAGAGAAUUGAUGUUACUUGAGAAAUUGAAGGAAUGCAUUUGUUGCGCCAAAAGGGGAUAAAGACUGAAUAGACAUAGGUAUUCUUUGACCUAACGAAAGAACUGAAAAAUACCAUGCAUGGUGUUUGAUUAAUAAAGUGCUUUCUCUGUGUUGUGGUAUAUCUUAUUGUCUGAUGCAGGCAAUAAGAUCACUAGGGAAAUGAGAGCUUUCCAAAAUACCAUAGAAUCUUGAAGGAAAUUCAAGUUUGAUUACUUCAGGUAUGUUAGUUUCUAUUUUUUGUUGUCAAUCUUCAAAUUGUUUGUUUUCUCUUUUCAGAAAAUUUAACAAACCGUUCCCAAAAUACCAGAAAAUUUCGACAAAAAUUGGACUCCGAGGACCUCGAGUAUCUUCCUUUAUUAUUUUUCUGUGUAUUUUUUGUUGAAUUAUCUUCAUAUCUACUCUGAAGUUUUCGUUCUUUUCCGUCUAUGUUUGAAGUUCUUUGCAAGGAAAGAAAAGAUUCACGUACAAAUUGAAGAGUAUCAAAAUAAGGUAUGUCGAUUUCAUAUUUGCCUUUAAUAAGGUAUGUCGAUUUCAUAUUUGCCUUUUUUUUUCUUUUUUUCAAAUAAAUCAUUCUCACUAUUUGUUAUCUGUUUGUAUUUUAUUUGAUUUCUCUAUUUCAUUUUAUUGCUUUUUGUUGGUUGUUUAACCUAUUCGGCGUUCGUCGCAACUUGUACAAAUAAACCAUGACAAGAAUAUUGUACUUGUAAAUAGGUAAUAUUAUUUCAUUUUUUAGAUAGUAAUUAUGAAUAGGGAGAGGAGAAAGCGAUUAAACUAUUCACAUUCUCCUCUGUGAUUCCUAACAACAAAGGACUGAUGACUCUAUCGAGAAACAAAAGUAGCAACUUCAGAAGGAAAGAAUUGAAUCAAAUUGCCAUUAAUUUUUUUUGGUAAUAAAUGAAUUAAAUUUCGGUUAUUUUGUUAAUUAAUUUAGUGUUGAUUGAUUUUUUUUUUUUACCGUAUUUUAUCUUUAAAUACAUAUGCAAUCAUUUGUGCCAAAAGACAAAAGUGAAAAUUGAUGGGGUUUUAUUUUUUUUUUUUUUAUUUUUUAAAUGGGUUUGCAUUGUGUUAGAAAUGGGAAGGAUUUUGACACCAAACCGUCUGAUUAUGGAGAAAAGAUAAUAAGUUAAGAAAGAACGGGAAGUUAUUUAAAAAAUUUCAAGUUUUUUCAUAUUAUGUAGGAGAUGGGAUUUCUAUUUUUCUGGCAGAAUUUUCAUCAAUUGUCCAAAUUCAUUUGUCAAUGAGGUAAUUGCUAUUCCAUUAUGCCACAUACAAAGGAUAGAUUUUUGAAUCAAUUUUCGUCUAAGGAUUUGGUUCUAUGGUGUCUCAAAUCCAUGCAUUCGCUGCAUAGUUCUAGCCAGUAGUUCUUAGCCAAAGAGAAUAAACAUUCUAUAACUAUUUAUGAUAAAUAUGAAAUUCACUCAUUUGCUUAUGAGCUGCAUUAUUUAGAAAUAGAUUUUUUUUCCCUCUCUCAUUUUCCCUUCAAAACUCCAUUUUCUCCCCUCUUUUCCUUUUUUUGGAUGGAAAUUUUUUUAAUGGAAUUAUCCUUUUCAGACUUAGAAUCUGAUAUAAUCAUUUUCUUAUAUCUUCGAAAGACAAUCAGGUAUGACUUUUAGAUUUCCUUUUGUAAAAAUCUUAUGUUGCAAUGCUAUUGGAAUUUCAAUGAAAGAGAAUUUUUCUAAUACCCUUUUUUUCUUUUUUUAUGGAGAUUGUAUAUUCACCCAAUGGCUAUUAUUUCGAUUAUUUGUUUAAAUUUUUUUGUGUUAAGGUUGCAAUUUUUUUUGCCUUUUGGAAAUCACUUAAUGGGGUUGUCAGUCUCUUUUCUUGAUUUAAAUAUCUCUCAGGACUUAAUUUGAAGGCAUGCAUUAUGUGAGAACAUGUGAAGGAAGUGAUAAUAUUUUAAUGUAGGGUUUUGAAGAAGUUCAAAGACAAGAUAUCUGAGUUCCAGGUAAAUUAGAUACACAAUAUAAUGGAAAGGUUUGAAUUUCUUCCAAUUCUUCUUUCCAUUUCUCAUUAUCUCUUAAUAAUAAUUUUCUAUAGGCUUUAAGACAAAACAUCCAUCGAGAGUAUCGUGAAAGUUGUCAAGAGGCGUGUAUUCACAGGUUUAACCCUUAUUAUAUGAAAUGAACUUGUGUAACUCUGUGUAAUAGGUUCCUUUCUCUUUAUUCAAUUAACAAUUUCCUUUUUCAUGAACCUCAGUGACAGAAAGUCAAGCUAAUGAAGAGGUAAAACUUGCAACCACGUUUUUAUUCUAAUAAUUAGAAUGUCAUGGACAGGUUUCUCAUUGCUCAAAUGUUUUGCCGCAGACAAUUGAUAAUUGACCAGGACUGGGGAUAGUGAACAAAUCCUUAUGACAUUGUUGUUAUGUGUUAAUUGUCUCAAUGGCAUAUUUCUAUUUACAUAUCUAUAUUAAGGAAGUUAGGACUAUUGGAAUGCUACAUGUUGCAACUUAUAAGCUCAAAUUAAUAAGCAAGUAUGAAAAUAAAGCUUAAUAUCUCAUGGCUGAAAAUAAUCGUUUAUUAGAUUCACGUAUUAUAAUUUUCUGGAUGUAUUCAUCUGUUGUUUUGGUUCCAUUAAGCAUGUGACUUCGGGAUUGCCUCCUCUAAAAUUUGUUCACAUCAAAGAGCAUUCCAUGUUUUAUUGUUAUUUAUUUUUGAAACUUUAACUAAUUCAACUAUGUAAUUAUGGCCCCAUUUGAUCUAUGUACAAGGUUCUGAGAAAUUAUAUAAUUGCAACUGUUGGAUUGUCAAAAGCUUCCACAUGUUGAGCUCGUUUUAAUUUUUCAGUAGAAUUUGAAUUGUAUAAAUGUUGUCUUUAGCAUUCCUCUCAAAACGUUUGUUUUUUUAUGUUUCAUGUAUUGCUUUUUCUUAAGAGUUAUUUAGUUUUACUAGCUUCUUUUUUAAUACAUUGGUCCUAAAAUGGUUUUCUACAAUUUCCUUUGUAACAGGCAAGCUUAGUUACUAGCACCACAAGUUACCAUGUUCCACCACAAAAGUAAUUGUCAAAGUGAUUAGGCGAGUGAUGACCUGAGCAUGAACACGUGGAUAGUUAGGAACAUCUCCCAUUGUCAUUCAAAAACCAUAUUACUAGGAUUCAAGGUAAGUAUACCUCACAUUGUCUUCAUGUGCAUAUUUAAUUAUUAAAUGUAUAAAUGUGUUACUUAAAUUUGUUAUUAUGUGAUCUUGAUAUUUAAUUAUUUCGUUUUAUGUCAUUAAUGCUUCUUUAUGACAUAUUCAUACACAUCAAUGCAUCCAUAAGCAUACAAGAAGUUCCAAGAAAAAAUGAAAGUUUCCAAAUGUUAAUGAAGCAAGGAAUGUUUUUAAAGAUAUAUAUCUCGAAUAUUUUCUUACGAGGUGUAUAUCUAUGUCAUGAAGGGUGUGAGUGGGGAACCGGCACACCCGACUAAUGUUCAAUGAUAAUGUUAAUGUUAUUCGUUUUGUGGACCUAUUGGUAGGACUCGAUCGUGUUCCAAAUAAUAAAUGUACACUGCAUUUUGAUUGGCUAGGUGAUACAUCAAGUGAGCUCACGACGUCAAUAUUAAAUUUUUUUUUUUUUUUAAAAAUGAAUGAAAGAGGAUACAUAUUGAGGAAUGAUUUUAUCUUAAAAUAAUUCAUGUGCAUAUCAUAAGCAUAUAUCAUAUGCAUGAGAUUUGCUUCCUAAGCGUUCGCUCAUUUCACGUUAUUCCUCCCAAUUUUUAGAUAAUGAAGGCAACAAUUCAAGACGAUUACUUGUGGUGCAAUGGAUUGAGUACUAAUAUAUUCAAAAAUUGACUCCUUUUAGAAUAUAAAGUUAACAUUUAAUUUUAUUGUUUUUUAAAUUUAAGUGUAAAAGUUUUCUACAAGUUACGCUCAUAAACGAAGUUAAUAAUGUUCAUUAUAUCAAAGAAAAAUUUCGUUGCUUCCGCAUUUAUAAUUUUAAUAGAAAACCUUUAGCACCAUAUCUUAAGACAUCGAGGAUGUCUAGGAUCCAGGCCCCCCCCCCCCCCCCCCCCCCUUCCCCCCANNNNNNNNNNNNNNNNNNNNNNNNNNNNNNNNNNNNNNNNNNNNNNNNNNNNNNNNNNNNNNNNNNNNNNNNNNNNNNNNNNNNNNNNNNNNNNNNNNNNNNNNNNNNNNNNNNNNNNNNNNNNNNNNNNNNNNNNNNNNNNNNNNNNNNNNNNNNNNNNNNNNNNNNNNNNNNNNNNNNNNNNNNNNNNNNNNNNNNNNNNNNNNNNNNNNNNNNNNNNNNNNNNNNNNNNNNNNNNNNNNNNNNNNNNNNNNNNNNNNNNNNNNNNNNNNNNNNNNNNNNNNNNNNNNNNNNNNNNNNNNNNNNNNNNNNNNNNNNNNNNNNNNNNNUUUUUUUUUUUUUUCAAUUAGGGGCAAAAAACGACGCCGUUUGCUUGAUAUAUAUUUUAUUUUAUUGUACACUACCUCCAAAUUUACUGCAACAUGCAAUUUUCAUUCUUCGCCUACUUCGAUAUAGAUAUAUAUAGUAGAGAUAUAAGAAAAAUACCACUUUUAUAUUAAAAAAAAAAUAAAAAAAGAUAGAGAUAAUAUAGGACUGAAUUUUUUUUACAACAUAUUACUUGUAAGUAAAAAAAUUGAAGAGAAACGAAUUAAAGAGAAUUUUAAAUUGAAAAAAAAAUUAUAACGUAAAAACUACACAGCAAAAAAAAAAAGUAAGUAAUCUCUUCGUGCAUGGAGCAAAAGCUCCCGUGCAUGGAGACAUUAGUCAUUUUUUAUUUUCCAUUUUGUUUAUGUCAAACAAAUGUUCUUCUACACAUCAUGUCAUUAGCAUUAAAAAAUAAUAAUAAUUUUAGUAAAUAUAAAUUACCACGAGCAAAAAAAAAAAACUCCUCUCCACACAAUGCGGAGAGAUGGCAAACCAUGUGCGUAGAGUUGACAAACUCUCUGUACAGUGAGAAGUUAAAAAAAAAUUUAUAAAUUUUUUUUUAUUACAAUUAACAUAAAAAAAUCAUUUUUAUCUUCAACAAAAAAACACAUUUAAAAAUUAGCAAUUUCAUAAUCACUUUUUUUUUAUUCCCGAAAAUACAAUUAUAAAAAAGAAAAUAAUAUUGAAUUAUAAAAACCAAUAUCUGCGAAAUACGGUAUCUAAAGACAAUAUGUGCAAAUACGGUAUGAUGUAAAUACAGUAUGAUGCAAAUAUGAUAUACUGUAUAUAUAGUAUGAUACAAAUACGAUAUGUUGUAAAUACGAUAUGAUGCAAAUAUGGUACGCUGUAAAUACGGUGUGCUGCAUAUACGGUAUAAUGCAAAUACAGUAUGAUGCAAAUACGGUAUGCUGUAAAUACGGUGUGCUGCAUAUACGGUAUGAUGCAAAUAUAAUAUGCUGCAUAUACGGUACGUUGUAAAUAUGGUAUGCGUAAAUACGGUAUAUUACAUGUAUGAUAUAUAUAAUGCAUAUGCGGUAUGAAUAAAUCCGGUUUCAUCCACUACAAUAAAUUUCAAUACCAUAUAUGCUGUCUUUCGUAUUUGCAGUUUACCAUAUAUGCAGCCUACCGUAUUUGCAGGCAACUUACCGUAUAUGCUACCUACUUUAUGUGCAGCUUAUCGUAUAUACCAUUUUUGCACUUACAAAUACCGAGAGUGCAGAACACCAUACAUUCACUUAUCAAACGAAUGUCAGAAAAAAAUUUCAGAUUUUUACUUUUCAACAUAAGCAUAAAAUAAAUAUUAAAAUAUAUGAAAGACAAAAUAUAAAACGCAUAUAAAUAUGCAAGUUGAUUUAUAAUUAUGCAGUGGCACAUAUUAUACAUUUAAAAUUUCUUAUGUCGGUGCAAAAUAACUUUGAAGUCAUUCUAGAGCAAAUUAAACCACUGCAAUGUCUAUUCUAGAAAUACAAUUGUGCAAAUUAAUAUGAAUUAAAUCUACAUUACAUUGGACUUGGAUUUAUUUAUAACAAAUAUUGGUGAUUAGUCUAAAGACAAUAUGUGCAAAUACGGUAUGCUAUAUACUAUAUGUUAUAGUUAAGAUAUAACAUACUAUACGUAUAUGUUAUAAUACAAUGUUUAGCAUAAUAUAAUGAGAAAUUAUUGUUGUACAAUUUUUUUUUGUUAUAUUACAGCAAAAUGCAUAUUACAACAUAUAACUUACCGUAUGUGCUCUAAUACAAUCUGUGCGGCGACUUUCUAUUUUUUUUAAAAUUUAAUCAUGUAACCUAAUAUUUGUUUAGUUUGUUAUUUUAUUAAUUAAAAAUAUGUAUUAAAUCUAAUAACAAAAUAUAAUUACAAGAAUAAGUUUAAUUUCAAUAUAAUAAAAAAAAUUUCGAGGAAAUAAUCAUUGCUAACAACAAAAGAAUCUAAAAAAAUGAAGAAGACAAAAACGAAAAAAGUAAAAUUUGUGAAAAGAAGAAAAUGAAAACAUGAUACCAAAAAAUUUGGCAUUAUUGUUUGAAUGAGAAAUGUUUUAUUGAUACACAAAAGACUUUUGCAGUCACCAGGUUAAAAGUAUAGAUUUAUUGUGUUGUGAAUUUUUUUUAAAUAAUCGUAGUAAAUCUUCUUGUUACGAUAAUAAAAUUACAAUAAUUUUUUUUUUACAAAUAGCAUAAAAAAAUCAUUUUUAUCUUCAACAAAAAACACAUGUAAAAAUUUUCAAUUUCAUAAUCACCUUUUUUUUUAAAUUCCCCAAAAUAAAAUUAUAAAAAAGAAAACAAUAUUGAAUUACAAAAACCAAUAUCUGCCAAAUACGGUAUCUAAAGACAAUAUGUGCAAAUAUGGUAUGCUGUAAAUAUGGUAUGAUGCAAAUACAGUAUGCUGUAAAUACGAUCUGAUUCAAAUACGGUAUGCUGUAAAUACGAUAUGCUGCAUAUAUGGUAAGCUGCAAAUACGGUAUGCGUAAAUACGGUAUGUGGCAUAUAUGAUAUGUAAAGUGCAUAUACGGUAUGAAUGAAUCCGGUUUCAUCCACUACAAUAAAUUUCAAUACCGUAUAUGCUGUCUACCGUAUUUGCAGCCUACAAUAUAUAUAGUCUACCGUAUUUGUAGGCAACUUACCGUAUAUGCUACCUACCGUAUUGCAGCUUACCGUAUAUACUGAUUUUUGCGCUUACAAAUACUGAGAAUGCAAAACAUCAUACAUUCACUUAUCAAACCGAAUGUCAGAAAAAAAAUUUCAUAUUUUUAUUUUUUCAACAUAAGCAUAAAAUAAAUAUUAAAAUAUAUGAUGCUCAAUCUUCAAUUUUUCAAUAUUGAAUUACACAAAUUUUAGAAAUAUAAUGUUCACAUUCAAUUCAAUCAUAUCAACACUAUCAAAGAAUACAGGCAAAAUAGUUUGUAUAACCUCGUAUAUUUCUUAUUUAAGUAUGAAAUAUACAAGCAUAUUUUUUUAGAUAACACAAUACUGUUGUAAUUGUAAAAAUAAUUUGCAAUCAUUUUCUUAUAUCAUGAAAAUAUUUCUAGAUAUUACUUCAAAAACUUUCCAAAAAACUAAAAUUCAUAAGCUAAUAAAAAUAUGAUAAAUACAAAAUUCGUGCAACGCACAUGACAGCGACUAGUAUGAAGAAAAAGGGCAAAUGACUAACCUAUUCAAUGUAGUGAAGUGGCUCUUGUAUUCAAUGUUCACAUGCCCAAGAUGGGUUCAAUUCCCAACAUUGUGAAAUUAAUUUUUCCUCCAAUUUUCGGGGCGAUUUUGAGGUGGAAACCUUGUUCCCUUGUAGUGUCUCUACACGAGAUAAGAACUCUUUUCCUAGCCGGGCCAGCCUACCCUAAUUCCUCGAUUAAUCAAGAAUUUUCUGUUAUUUAGGAUAGUCCUUGUUGGCAUCAAGACAAUCGAAAAUAAUUGUCAUCCUAACCUAAAAUAUCAUUUUUGAAUGUUGAGACCCGAAACCAUAUUAAUUCAAAUGUUAUCUAGCACAAAUCUAAUUUUUCUCAUAUUGAAUAGAAAUUCACGUGCCCACCUUUAAACAAAACAAUUGUAGAAGAAAAAUCAAGAAAAUAUAAAGAAUAUCGCAAAAUUCACUUAAAGGCCACUGCCUCCCACUACUGGGCAAAUCUCCUGAAUCGAACCGAAUCGAACCUGACGGUUCUUCUCAAAUUAAAUACCCAAACGGGUAUCUGAAUUAAGAACUGACGGGUACGAUUCGGUUCUCGAUUCUAGACGAAGAACCGAAUAUUCCUAAUUUUUAUUUUUUUAUAUUGAAUAAAUCAAAUUAUUUUAAUUUUUUCCAAACAAAUUAACAAAUUAGGUGAUUAAUUGAUACUUUAUCUCCUAAGCCCUAGCCUAGCUAGCUUGACCUAACCCAACCAAUUUCUAAAUCCAAUUUUUUGGCCCAAUUAUUUGUUUCAUUUCUAUUUUUUUAAUUUUUAGCCCAAGUGUCAUUUUUAGUUUUUAUUCUUCCAUUUUUUUAGCCCAACAUCCAAGUGAUCCAACCCACUAGUGACUAACCCUAAAUAAAUUACACACAUUAUCACCUACACAUAACACAUUUGACAUUCCAAAACUCAAAUAGAUGUAUAGAACCUCCGACUUCGAGUCCGAAGCUAUGACCUCCGGGCUCCGAUGACGACCUUUGACCGUUGAUUAUUUGAAUAAGGUAGUGUGUAAGCUUUCCUAUAUGUGAUUGGUAAAUUAAUCUUGUUGGACAACUUGUUAUAUACAUGUCAAAUUGGAUUACGUUAAUUUAUAAAAUUACGAUUGAAUGUGUUAUUAGUUGUAUUUAUAUAGUGUUGUUAUAAAUGUUAAAAAAUUUAAUUAUAUAGUACAGAACAGAACCGAACCGAACGGAACUGAACCCGAACGGUUCCAUAAUUAUAUUUGGACCCGACAGUUCUAUUUACUAAAUAUCCAAAAUUUUUGGUUCGGUUCUCUAGUGUGUAAGCUUUCCUAUAUGUGAUUGGUAAAUUAAUCUUGUUGGACAACUUGUUAUAUACAUGUCAAAUUGGAUUACGUUAAUUUAUAAAAUUACGAUUGAAUGUGUUAUUAGUUGUAUUUAUAUAGUGUUGUUAUAAAUGUUAAAAAAUUUAAUUAUAUAGUACAGAACAGAACCGAACCGAACGGAACUGAACCCGAACGGUUCCAUAAUUAUAUUUGGACCCGACAGUUCUAUUUACUAAAUAUCCAAAAUUUUUGGUUUGAUUCGGUUCACUUUAAAAUCGAACCGAACCGACUUACGCCCAGGCCUAAUCAUAACAAUAAUUAUAUACAUCUCUACCUUAUUUCAAUACCAUUCCUUUCACACCAUGUGGGACCCAUCUUUAAACUAAUGGUCAAAAAUUGAUUUUCAAAAUAAGCUCCUAACAGGUUCAUAGAGGUAUAAUCAUUAGGCCCUUAUUAAGCCGAGUUACGAACAAUUUUUUUUUUCAAAAUUAGUUUUAAAAUAAAUAAAGUUUAUCUUUUGUAUAUAGGUGGUCGUGGACCAUGAGCCUCUACCUAAGUCCAAGUGGUGUGGUCUCGAGCCUUGGCGGCUAGGUGCACAUUUAUUUUUCUAGUUUUGAAUCAUCCGUAUAGUAAUUAAUUCACAUGCAGAUGCUUAGUUAUAUGCAGACAAGAUGAUCCUCCAUUAAUUUACACAAAUGGAACGAUUCCAACCAUUCGAAACUUGUGCUAUUUGAUGAUGAUAUUAAAUGGUGCUAAAAAAUAUGUCAUUUCAUAUGUGAAUCUAUUCAUAGAUCUUAUCUACACAACUAACACAUCAUAAUCAAUGACUGUCAUUACAAUAUUGCGUGACAAAUUAUCGAACUUUCACAUAACAUUAUUUAGGAAAUCUUUCUUUUGACUUUAUGUUUCAUUGUAAUAAUCUAAAGAUCUCAUGAAUCCAUUUCGAAAAUAGAACAUGACUUCAAUUCAAUUUGGCAAUUUAUACUAAUCUAUCUUUUAAUUUGAGGAAUUUCCUUUAUAUUUUCUUGCUUAACAUAAAUAUACUUUGCAUUUUUAAUUUCCAGCCUAUUUCAUUAUUUUAAUUUUGUGAUUGUCAUCAACAAUGAAACGAAUACUAGUUUUAUUGAAACAAUCUUUCAUGCCUAAUUAAUUUAAUCCUUGAGCAAUAAAAAUCAUAUUUCUUUUGGAAUUUAUGGUUGGAAUGUGAAAUAAGAAUCACCCGAAAAAUAAAAAUAAAAUCAAUUUAAGAAAUCAAGAUCGUUACUGGAUGUUUACAUGUAAAUUUAAUCAAUAAAUAAAAAAUAUCUAAAAUUUACCCAAAUUCGAUAAUUAAUUCUUAAAUCAGAUAUGAAUAGCGAAAUUUCAGUCUUUUGAAUUGUGAAAUUUCAAUUUUGAUUCCAAUAAUUUGAUUUAAGUUUCAAGCCUUCUAUUCAUCAAAAUCAAGAUUACACUAGUGUGUGGACAUCUUCUUUUAAUUACACCAAAAAUUAAAUUAUAGACCUUAGAAAAAUCACUUCAAUCCAUAUAAACUUUUGGUAAAAGUUUAAAAUAUCUACUCAAUAAAUCUUAAUGUCUCUUAUGAUUUUUAUAGUGCUAUGUUGAUUUCCAAAGGGAGUACUAUUUCAUGUUUGACAAUACAUCGUUUUCACAACUAACACCAACAAUUUUAUUUAAUUUCUAAAUUAAAAAAGGAGAUGCUAUUUACAUCCACCAUUAUUAUAUUUAUCUACUUUAAAAAAGAAAAUUAUAUUAUAUUUUUAACCUUAUGUAAAUUUACUUAAAUAUCAUUAUAAAAUUAAAUAAAAAUAUAUUAGUCUAAAUUUAUCCACUAAUAUUUAUUUUCAUUAAAUUCUUCUGGACUUUUUAUAUUCUUUUAAAUUUAUGUUUAAAUAAAAUUCUAAUAUUUAUAAAAUAUCCUCUUCGACUAUAGUCAAAACAACAAUGAAAGACACAUCAUAAGGGCAAAUGCAUAUAGACAUAACAAUAUAUGAAAAAAGAAUUUGAAAAAGUAGGAUUGCCUUUCAUUGUAAGCAUAAUGAAUUUAGUAUGUGAACAAUUCUUAAUUUUUGUUUGGAGUUUUGAUAAUAUGCAUUUUAAACUCAAGUUGUAUCAGUAAGAAAUUUUAUUACAAAUUAUUUUAGUUUUCUGUUGAGAUUAUCUUUUUUUCUCUAAAUUUUUUGAAUUAAAAAUAUUGAUAGUUAUAUUUUCUGUUGGGAUUAGUAAAACAAGAAUUUGAGUUUCCUGCAGGGAUUAUCUCUUUCUUUUUUCCCCUUUCUUUCUUUCUUUCUUGAUUUUCUUUCUAUGGAUUUAUAAGGACAAUUUUGAAAUAUAGUGCUUGUUUGGUAGGGAAUUUUGAUAAUAUAUAUAUGUCCCGUUUGGGAGUGAUUUUUCACCCCAAAAAUAUGAUUUUUUGAUUGUUAUUUUAUUAUUCCAAUCAUAAUUUUUGACUUCUUCUUUCACAGGUGGCUCCCACAUUUUUCCUAACGAUUAAAAAAUCAAUUUUCAAAAUCACUAUCGAAUAUGCCUAUAGAGUGUAAUAAAUAUAUAUCUAAUAAUGAGAGUAAACAGCGACUCUAUAAAAACUAUGACUCUUUGAAUGAACAUAUAUUAUUGAAUGACAAAUAAAGUACUAUAAGUUACAAGAUUAUUCCAAAAAAUGUGAGACUCUAGUUGCACAAUUUGAAUAAAAUUCCAGCAACAGUGACAUUAACUUUGAAAGGGACUCAAUUUUUUUUAUUUUUUUUUCAUUACUAUCUGUGAGGUGACACACUUUUUUAUCCUUAAUUUCAACGACACUUAAAAUAAUUCAUGACAUAUAUUUUUAUAUAUCAUACAAUGUCAACCUUAAUGUAUGCAUAGUUGAUAAAAUAUACAAAUAGCAUUUUCCUUUGAAUAAAUGCGUAAAUAAAUAUUUUCCAAAUAAUUAUUCCAAAAAGGAUUAGUCAAAAUAAAUUGAGAUUGUGGUUGCACGAUUUUGGAUGUUUGGACUUCCUGAAUAAUUGUAAAAAUGUUAAGUUAAUUCGAAGAGCUUUGCUGGGCCACACAAUCCAUUGUUAUUGAUCAGUUUCACUGUUGCCUUCAUCGUGUUCUUUGACCCCACCAUGUUGAUUAAUUGAACCAAUGAAAUUUCUCCGUGUUCAUUGACCCCACCAUUUUGUAUAAUUGAACCCAACCACUGUUGGGUUCAAUUAUUGAUCAGUUUGCUGGGCCAGAUGGAUGCUUGGGUUCAAUUAUUGAUCAGAGACAAUCCAUUGUUAUUGAUCAGUUUCACUGUUGCGAUCAUCGUGUUCUUUGACCCCACCAUGUUGAUUAAUUGAAACCAAUGAAAUUUCUCCGUGUUCAUUGACCCCACCAUUUUGUAUAAUUGAACCCAACAACCAGCAGACGACUUUCAUUUAUACAUUAUACAAGUCAAUCUCACUUGCAUUCAUCCCUCUUAACUCUUGCUUCCUAUCUUACAAAAAAGAUAAUAAUGGCUGUAAUCGAAGUUUUUCUAGGUGCAGUUCUCACUGUUUUGCUUGAGAAGCUGGCCUCUGGUGAGCUACUGAAAUUUCUGCGUCAUGUAGGAAUCGACGCCCAGCUGGUAGAAUGGAAGACAACUUUGAAGAGGAUCCAGGCAGUGCUUACUGAUGCUGAAAACAAGCAAACAACGGACAAAGAUGUGAAAGAGUGGCUAAUUGAUCUGGAAGAUUUGGCUCUUGAUCUUGAAGACUUAGUGGAUGAGUUGAAUACUGAAGCCUUGCAGCGCAAAUUAAAGGAAAAUAAAGGCAGCACCAGUAAGGUAAAAAAGCUCGUCCCCACUUGUUGUACUAAUCUUUCUUUCACUGAUUUCAUGUCUGAUCGCGGGAUUGCUUCCAAGCUAAAAGAGGUCAGUGGCCGGUUGAAAGAUCUGGAAGAACAGAAAAAAUUUCUCGAUUUGGUGGAAAAUGUAAGGGGAAGGUCUUAUGGAAGAUUGCCAACAACUUCGCUCGUGGUAGAAUCGAAAGUUCAUGGAAGAGAGAAGGACAAGGAGGAAAUACUGAAUAUCUUAUUUGGUGUUGAAUCAAAUGAUAGUCAAAUAUCCGUGAUUCCAAUUGUGGGCAUGGGAGGUAUCGGCAAAACAACUCUGGCCCAACUUGUGUAUAAUGAUGAAAGAUUGAAGGACAAGUUUGAUCUUAAGGGAUGGGCUUACGUUUCGGAGGAAUUUGAUGCUGUAAAAGUAACAAAAAACAUUCUUGAGUCAGUUUCUUCUGGUGGAAAGUGUGAUUAUGAAAAUUUUGACACGCUUCAGAACAAACUAAAGGAGAGCCUUUCAAACAAGAAAUUUCUAGUAGUUCUAGAUGAUAUUUGGCAUGAAAAUUACGAAGAUUGGGAGAUCCUAAGCCGUCCUUUUCUUGCUGGAAAACCUGGAAGCACAAUCAUCAUUACCACUCGACAAGAAAGGGUGGCCAAAAUCAUGUCUGAAAUUCCAGCAUACAAUCUGGAUCUGUUAUCAGAGGGCGAUGCUUUAUCAUUGCUAGCUCAACAUGCAUUUGGAGCUAAAACUUUUGACGGUCAUCCAGCUUUAAUAGAGAUUGGUAAGUCUAUGGUAAGAAGAUGUAAGAUGUUGCCCCUGGCAGUAAAGGCCCUUGGGGGGCUUCUUCGAGUUGGUCGUGAAGAUUGGGAAAAGGUGUUGAAAAGUGAAAUCUGGAUGAAUGAAGAAAAUAUUGGAAUUCUUCCUGCUCUAAAACUGAGUUAUCACCAUCUUCCUCCGGAAUUGAAAAGAUGCUUUGGUUACUGUGCUCUCUUUCCCAAGGACUACGAAUUUGACAAGUUCCAACUAGUGUACUUUUGGAUGGCUGAAGGUCUUCUGCAGGAAACAAAGAAAGAUAAGUUAAUUGAAGAUGUUGGUAGUCAAUAUUUUGAUGAACUAUUGGCUAGAUCAUUCUUCCAACAAUCAAGUGCCAAUGCUUCACGCUUUGUGAUGCACGACCUCUUUAACGAUCUAGCUAUGUCUGUUGCUGGUGAUAAAUGUUUGAGGAUGGAUGAUGAACUGCAGGAGAUUUCUGUAAAGGUCCGUCACUUGUCAUUCAAGCGCAGGAUGUUUGAAACUUAUCCUAGAUUUAACUUUCUUGACAAAGUUCAAAAGUUGAGAACCUUUUUGCCACUACCUGUUGAGGCGUCAUUUAAUUACUUAUCCCAAAGAAAUUUGCUUCACCUAUUCGCAAAUUCAUACUGCUUAAGAGUGCUAUCCUUGAAUGGUUAUGCCAUAUAUGAGUUGCCAGAUUCUAUUGGUGAUUUAAGACAUUUAAGAUACCUGGGCCUAGCUGGAACAAGACUGAGGUGGUUGCCUGAAUCUGUGUGCACUCUUAUCAAUUUACAAGUGUUGAUUCUAAGUGGUUGUAGUAGACUUACCAAAUUACCCACAAGCAUGGAAAAUCUUGUUAAACUUCGGUAUCUGGACAUUACUCAUACUUGCAAUUUACAUGAGAUGCCUCAGGGAAUUGCUCAACUAACAAGUUUGCGAACGUUAACUAAGGUGACUGCAAGUAAAAAUAAUGGAAUGAGUUUAAAGGAGUUGGGCAAUCUAUCAUUUCUACAAGGUAAUAUUUCUAUUGAGGAAUUGCAAAAUGUUGUGAAUGUUAAAGAAGCAACGGAAGCAAGGCUAAUGGAUAAGCCAAGCCUCAACGGAAUAAGGUUGGAAUGGAGCGCAGGCUUUGAUGAUCCUCGGAAUAAAAUUUUAGAAUUGAAUGUGCUUAAUGCAUUAAAGCCCCAUAAGAACUUAUCAACACUUGAAAUCAAGUAUUACGGGGGUGAGAAUUUCUCUAAUUGGAUUGAAGAUUCAGCAUUCCUUAAGUUAGCAAGGAUAAGCUUUGAAUAUUGUAAAAAUUGCACGAUUUUGCCACCAUUAGGGCAACUACCUUUGCUAAGAGACUUAAGCAUUCGAGGCAUUGAUCAAGUAAAAGUGAUUGGAGCUGAAUUUUAUGGAAAUAGAGGCCAUGGAGAAUUACCUUUUCCAUCACUCAUUAAUCUGACUUUUAGUGACAUGUCUAACUGGGAGGAAUGGGUUGGAAUAGGAGGUGUUAUCCAACUUCCUAAGCUAUGCUCAUUGAUUAUAACUGAUUGUUCAAAAUUGGUCAGUCUUCCAAAUCUUUUACUGCCAUCCCUACGUCACAUAAAUGCUGCUGGGUGUAAUGAGGUGGUGCUAAAUAGUAUGCAGAAUUUGAAAUCUUUAACCAGCAUAAUAUUGUGUAGAAUUUUCGGAUUAACUUCAAUUAUCAAAGCAUUUGUACACUUUCCUUUUACACUUGAAAGUGUCACAGUUAAUGAAUGUCACAACCUUGUGACUCUAUGGCCAGGUGAUAGUACUGCACGAAACCUAGUUGACCUACAACGCGUGGAUAUUGACAGUUGUCCUCGGCUAUUGUCCCUUCAAGAGAUUGACGUUCUUCCCGAUCUUAGGAGACUUUAUAUAAGAAAUUGUGGAGCUCUGGAGUUGUUGCCUCAUAAAAUAUCUUGUCUUGAGAGAUUGUCUAUCAACAAAUGUCCAUCGUUAAGGACGAUGAUGAAGCUACAGAAUUGCAACAUCUCGCUCGAUUAUCUAAAAAUUUCUCGUGUGAAUUUGAAUUUGGCAAAUUUACUAGGCUCUGGCUCCAAUUACCAAAGUCUCACUCAUCUACAAAUACGGUCUUGUGAUGGUCUAGAAUUGUUUCCCAAUGGAGGCUUGCCCACACCAAAUUUAAAACUACUAAAGAUAAUUGAGUGUCAACAUCUCAAGUCGUUACCUGAUCGGAUGGAUCUACUUUCAUCCCUUUCGUUCCUGGGGGUGUCUUCUUGUGCUUCAUUGAAGGAACUCUUUCCCCAGGAGGAUAUUCCCCCAAAUCUGUGUCACCUUGAUAUCAGAAAUUGCGGAAAACUAAAACCCCCGGGGGAGUGGGGCCUACACAAACUCACCUCUCUUCAAACCUUUGAAUUUGGUGGAUGUCUAGAGC
rnacentral:lncRNA from 1 species